rnacentral:lncRNA from 1 species
UAUUUUAGUGAUAGGUUCUAUAGGAACUGGACGGUCCUAUUUGGUCAAAUACCUAGCGACAAACUCCUAUGUUCCUUUCAUUACAGUAUUUCUGAACAAGUUCCUGGAUAACAAGCCUAAGGGUUUUCUUAUUGAUGAUAGGGACGAUAUUGAUGAUAGUGACGAUAUUGAUGUGAGUGACGAUAUCGACCGUGACCUUGAUACGGAGCUGGAGCUUCUAACUAGGAUGAAUGUACUAACUAUGGAUAUGAUGCCGGAAAUAGACCGAUUUUAUAUCACCCUUCAAUUCGAAUUAGCAAAAGCAAUGUCUCCUUGCAUAAUAUGGAUUCCAAACAUUCACGAUCUGGAUGUGAAUGAGUCGAAUUACUUAUCCCUCGGUCUAUUAGUGAACUAUCUCUCCAGGGAUUGUGAAAGAUGUUCCACUAGAAAUAUUCUUGUUAUUGCUUCGACUCAUAUUCCCCAAAAAGUGGAUCCCGCUCUAAUAGCUCCGAAUAAAUUAAAUACAUGCAUUAAGAUACGAAGGCUUCUUAUUCCACAACAACGAAAGCACGUUUUCACUCUUUCAUAUAGUAGGGGAUUUCACUUGGAAAAGAAAAUGUUCCAUACUAAGAGAUUCGGGUCCGUAACCAUGGGUUCCAAUGUACGAGAUCUUGUAGCACUUACCAAUGAGGCCCUAUCGAUUAGUAUUACACAGAAGAAAUCAAUUAUAGACACUAAUAUAAUUAGAUCUGCUCUUCAUAGACAAACUUGGGAUUUGCGAUCCCAGGUAAGAUCGGUUCAGGAUCAUGGGAUCCUUUUCUAUCAGAUAGGAAGGGCUGUUGCACAAAAUGUAUUUCUAAGUAAUUGCCCCAUAGAUCCUAUAUCUAUCUAUAUGAAGAAGAAAUCAUGUAACGAAGGGGAUUCUUAUUUGUACAAAUGGUACUUCGAACUUGGAACGAGCAUGAAGAAAUUAACGAUACUUCUUUAUCUUUUGAGUUGUUCUGCCGGAUCGAUUGCUCAAGACCUUUGGUCUCUACCCGGACCCGAUGAAAAAAAUGGGAUCACUUAUUAUGGACUUGUUGAGAAUGAUUCUGAUCUAGUUCAUGGCCUAUUAGAAGUAGAAGGCGCUCUGGUGGGAUCCUCACGGACAGAAAAAGAUUGCAGUGCUCUAUCACACUAGUCCCUAAAGCCCUNNNNNNNNNNNNNNNNNNNNNNNNNNNNNNNNNNNNNNNNNNNNNNNNNNNNNNNNNNNNNNNNNNNNNNNNNNNNNNNNNNNNNNNNNNNNNNNNNNNNNNNNNNNNNNNNNNNNNNNNNNNNNNNNNNNNNNNNNNNNNNNNNNNNNNNNNNNNNNNNNNNNNNNNNNNNNNNNNNNNNNNNNNNNNNNNNNNNNNNNNNNNNNNNNNNNNNNNNNNNNNNNNNNNNNNNNNNNNNNNNNNNNNNNNNNNNNNNNNNNNNNNNNNNNNNNNNNNNNNNNNNNNNNNNNNNNNNNNNNNNNNNNNNNNNNNNNNNNNNNNNNNNNNNNNNNNNNNNNNNNNNNNNNNNNNNNNNNNNNNNNNNNNNNNNNNNNNNNNNNNNNNNNNNNNNNNNNNNNNNNNNNNNNNNNNNNNNNNNNNNNNNNNNNNNNNNNNNNNNNNNNNNNNNNNNNNNNNNNNNNNNNNNNNNNNNNNNNNNNNNNNNNNNNNNNNNNNNNNNNNNNNNNNNNNNNNNNNNNNNNNNNNNNNNNNNNNNNNNNNNNNNNNNNNNNNNNNNNNNNNNNNNNNNNNNNNNNNNNNNNNNNNNNNNNNNNNNNNNNNNNNNNNNNNNNNNNNNNNNNNNNNNNNNNNNNNNNNNNNNNNNNNNNNNNNNNNNNNNNNNNNNNNNNNNNNNNNNNNNNNNNNNNNNNNNNNNNNNNNNNNNNNNNNNNNNNNNNNNNNNNNNNNNNNNNNNNNNNNNNNNNNNNNNNNNNNNNNNNNNNNNNNNNNNNNNNNNNNNNNNNNNNNNNNNNNNNNNNNNNNNNNNNNNNNNNNNNNNNNNNNNNNNNNNNNNNNNNNNNNNNNNNNNNNNNNNNNNNNNNNNNNNNNNNNNNNNNNNNNNNNNNNNNNNNNNNNNNNNNNNNNNNNNNNNNNNNNNNNNNNNNNNNNNNNNNNNNNNNNNNNNNNNNNNNNNNNNNNNNNNNNNNNNNNNNNNNNNNNNNNNNNNNNNNNNNNNNNNNNNNNNNNNNNNNNNNNNNNNNNNNNNNNNNNNNNNNNNNNNNNNNNNNNNNNNNNNNNNNNNNNNNNNNNNNNNNNNNNNNNNNNNNNNNNNNNNNNNNNNNNNNNNNNNNNNNNNNNNNNNNNNNNNNNNNNNNNNNNNNNNNNNNNNNNNNNNNNNNNNNNNNNNNNNNNNNNNNNNNNNNNNNNNNNNNNNNNNNNNNNNNNNNNNNNNNNNNNNNNNNNNNNNNNNNNNNNNNNNNNNNNNNNNNNNNNNNNNNNNNNNNNNNNNNNNNNNNNNNNNNNNNNNNNNNNNNNNNNNNNNNNNNNNNNNNNNNNNNNNNNNNNNNNNNNNNNNNNNNNNNNNNNNNNNNNNNNNNNNNNNNNNNNNNNNNNNNNNNNNNNNNNNNNNNNNNNNNNNNNNNNNNNNNNNNNNNNNNNNNNNNNNNNNNNNNNNNNNNNNNNNNNNNNNNNNNNNNNNNNNNNNNNNNNNNNNNNNNNNNNNNNNNNNNNNNNNNNNNNNNNNNNNNNNNNNNNNNNNNNNNNNNNNNNNNNNNNNNNNNNNNNNNNNNNNNNNNNNNNNNNNNNNNNNNNNNNNNNNNNNNNNNNNNNNNNNNNNNNNNNNNNNNNNNNNNNNNNNNNNNNNNNNNNNNNNNNNNNNNNNNNNNNNNNNNNNNNNNNNNNNNNNNNNNNNNNNNNNNNNNNNNNNNNNNNNNNNNNNNNNNNNNNNNNNNNNNNNNNNNNNNNNNNNNNNNNNNNNNNNNNNNNNNNNNNNNNNNNNNNNNNNNNNNNNNNNNNNNNNNNNNNNNNNNNNNNNNNNNNNNNNNNNNNNNNNNNNNNNNNNNNNNNNNNNNNNNNNNNNNNNNNNNNNNNNNNNNNNNNNNNNNNNNNNNNNNNNNNNNNNNNNNNNNNNNNNNNNNNNNNNNNNNNNNNNNNNNNNNNNNNNNNNNNNNNNNNNNNNNNNNNNNNNNNNNNNNNNNNNNNNNNNNNNNNNNNNNNNNNNNNNNNNNNNNNNNNNNNNNNNNNNNNNNNNNNNNNNNNNNNNNNNNNNNNNNNNNNNNNNNNNNNNNNNNNNNNNNNNNNNNNNNNNNNNNNNNNNNNNNNNNNNNNNNNNNNNNNNNNNNNNNNNNNNNNNNNNNNNNNNNNNNNNNNNNNNNNNNNNNNNNNNNNNNNNNNNNNNNNNNNNNNNNNNNNNNNNNNNNNNNNNNNNNNNNNNNNNNNNNNNNNNNNNNNNNNNNNNNNNNNNNNNNNNNNNNNNNNNNNNNNNNNNNNNNNNNNNNNNNNNNNNNNNNNNNNNNNNNNNNNNNNNNNNNNNNNNNNNNNNNNNNNNNNNNNNNNNNNNNNNNNNNNNNNNNNNNNNNNNNNNNNNNNNNNNNNNNNNNNNNNNNNNNNNNNNNNNNNNNNNNNNNNNNNNNNNNNNNNNNNNNNNNNNNNNNNNNNNNNNNNNNNNNNNNNNNNNNNNNNNNNNNNNNNNNNNNNNNNNNNNNNNNNNNNNNNNNNNNNNNNNNNNNNNNNNNNNNNNNNNNNNNNNNNNNNNNNNNNNNNNNNNNNNNNNNNNNNNNNNNNNNNNNNNNNNNNNNNNNNNNNNNNNNNNNNNNNNNNNNNNNNNNNNNNNNNNNNNNNNNNNNNNNNNNNNNNNNNNNNNNNNNNNNNNNNNNNNNNNNNNNNNNNNNNNNNNNNNNNNNNNNNNNNNNNNNNNNNNNNNNNNNNNNNNNNNNNNNNNNNNNNNNNNNNNNNNNNNNNNNNNNNNNNNNNNNNNNNNNNNNNNNNNNNNNNNNNNNNNNNNNNNNNNNNNNNNNNNNNNNNNNNNNNNNNNNNNNNNNNNNNNNNNNNNNNNNNNNNNNNNNNNNNNNNNNNNNNNNNNNNNNNNNNNNNNNNNNNNNNNNNNNNNNNNNNNNNNNNNNNNNNNNNNNNNNNNNNNNNNNNNNNNNNNNNNNNNNNNNNNNNNNNNNNNNNNNNNNNNNNNNNNNNNNNNNNNNNNNNNNNNNNNNNNNNNNNNNNNNNNNNNNNNNNNNNNNNNNNNNNNNNNNNNNNNNNNNNNNNNNNNNNNNNNNNNNNNNNNNNNNNNNNNNNNNNNNNNNNNNNNNNNNNNNNNNNNNNNNNNNNNNNNNNNNNNNNNNNNNNNNNNNNNNNNNNNNNNNNNNNNNNNNNNNNNNNNNNNNNNNNNNNNNNNNNNNNNNNNNNNNNNNNNNNNNNNNNNNNNNNNNNNNNNNNNNNNNNNNNNNNNNNNNNNNNNNNNNNNNNNNNNNNNNNNNNNNNNNNNNNNNNNNNNNNNNNNNNNNNNNNNNNNNNNNNNNNNNNNNNNNNNNNNNNNNNNNNNNNNNNNNNNNNNNNNNNNNNNNNNNNNNNNNNNNNNNNNNNNNNNNNNNNNNNNNNNNNNNNNNNNNNNNNNNNNNNNNNNNNNNNNNNNNNNNNNNNNNNNNNNNNNNNNNNNNNNNNNNNNNNNNNNNNNNNNNNNNNNNNNNNNNNNNNNNNNNNNNNNNNNNNNNNNNNNNNNNNNNNNNNNNNNNNNNNNNNNNNNNNNNNNNNNNNNNNNNNNNNNNNNNNNNNNNNNNNNNNNNNNNNNNNNNNNNNNNNNNNNNNNNNNNNNNNNNNNNNNNNNNNNNNNNNNNNNNNNNNNNNNNNNNNNNNNNNNNNNNNNNNNNNNNNNNNNNNNNNNNNNNNNNNNNNNNNNNNNNNNNNNNNNNNNNNNNNNNNNNNNNNNNNNNNNNNNNNNNNNNNNNNNNNNNNNNNNNNNNNNNNNNNNNNNNNNNNNNNNNNNNNNNNNNNNNNNNNNNNNNNNNNNNNNNNNNNNNNNNNNNNNNNNNNNNNNNNNNNNNNNNNNNNNNNNNNNNNNNNNNNNNNNNNNNNNNNNNNNNNNNNNNNNNNNNNNNNNNNNNNNNNNNNNNNNNNNNNNNNNNNNNNNNNNNNNNNNNNNNNNNNNNNNNNNNNNNNNNNNNNNNNNNNNNNNNNNNNNNNNNNNNNNNNNNNNNNNNNNNNNNNNNNNNNNNNNNNNNNNNNNNNNNNNNNNNNNNNNNNNNNNNNNNNNNNNNNNNNNNNNNNNNNNNNNNNNNNNNNNNNNNNNNNNNNNNNNNNNNNNNNNNNNNNNNNNNNNNNNNNNNNNNNNNNNNNNNNNNNNNNNNNNNNNNNNNNNNNNNNNNNNNNNNNNNNNNNNNNNNNNNNNNNNNNNNNNNNNNNNNNNNNNNNNNNNNNNNNNNNNNNNNNNNNNNNNNNNNNNNNNNNNNNNNNNNNNNNNNNNNNNNNNNNNNNNNNNNNNNNNNNNNNNNNNNNNNNNNNNNNNNNNNNNNNNNNNNNNNNNNNNNNNNNNNNNNNNNNNNNNNNNNNNNNNNNNNNNNNNNNNNNNNNNNNNNNNNNNNNNNNNNNNNNNNNNNNNNNNNNNNNNNNNNNNNNNNNNNNNNNNNNNNNNNNNNNNNNNNNNNNNNNNNNNNNNNNNNNNNNNNNNNNNNNNNNNNNNNNNNNNNNNNNNNNNNNNNNNNNNNNNNNNNNNNNNNNNNNNNNNNNNNNNNNNNNNNNNNNNNNNNNNNNNNNNNNNNNNNNNNNNNNNNNNNNNNNNNNNNNNNNNNNNNNNNNNNNNNNNNNNNNNNNNNNNNNNNNNNNNNNNNNNNNNNNNNNNNNNNNNNNNNNNNNNNNNNNNNNNNNNNNNNNNNNNNNNNNNNNNNNNNNNNNNNNNNNNNNNNNNNNNNNNNNNNNNNNNNNNNNNNNNNNNNNNNNNNNNNNNNNNNNNNNNNNNNNNNNNNNNNNNNNNNNNNNNNNNNNNNNNNNNNNNNNNNNNNNNNNNNNNNNNNNNNNNNNNNNNNNNNNNNNNNNNNNNNNNNNNNNNNNNNNNNNNNNNNNNNNNNNNNNNNNNNNNNNNNNNNNNNNNNNNNNNNNNNNNNNNNNNNNNNNNNNNNNNNNNNNNNNNNNNNNNNNNNNNNNNNNNNNNNNNNNNNNNNNNNNNNNNNNNNNNNNNNNNNNNNNNNNNNNNNNNNNNNNNNNNNNNNNNNNNNNNNNNNNNNNNNNNNNNNNNNNNNNNNNNNNNNNNNNNNNNNNNNNNNNNNNNNNNNNNNNNNNNNNNNNNNNNNNNNNNNNNNNNNNNNNNNNNNNNNNNNNNNNNNNNNNNNNNNNNNNNNNNNNNNNNNNNNNNNNNNNNNNNNNNNNNNNNNNNNNNNNNNNNNNNNNNNNNNNNNNNNNNNNNNNNNNNNNNNNNNNNNNNNNNNNNNNNNNNNNNNNNNNNNNNNNNNNNNNNNNNNNNNNNNNNNNNNNNNNNNNNNNNNNNNNNNNNNNNNNNNNNNNNNNNNNNNNNNNNNNNNNNNNNNNNNNNNNNNNNNNNNNNNNNNNNNNNNNNNNNNNNNNNNNNNNNNNNNNNNNNNNNNNNNNNNNNNNNNNNNNNNNNNNNNNNNNNNNNNNNNNNNNNNNNNNNNNNNNNNNNNNNNNNNNNNNNNNNNNNNNNNNNNNNNNNNNNNNNNNNNNNNNNNNNNNNNNNNNNNNNNNNNNNNNNNNNNNNNNNNNNNNNNNNNNNNNNNNNNNNNNNNNNNNNNNNNNNNNNNNNNNNNNNNNNNNNNNNNNNNNNNNNNNNNNNNNNNNNNNNNNNNNNNNNNNNNNNNNNNNNNNNNNNNNNNNNNNNNNNNNNNNNNNNNNNNNNNNNNNNNNNNNNNNNNNNNNNNNNNNNNNNNNNNNNNNNNNNNNNNNNNNNNNNNNNNNNNNNNNNNNNNNNNNNNNNNNNNNNNNNNNNNNNNNNNNNNNNNNNNNNNNNNNNNNNNNNNNNNNNNNNNNNNNNNNNNNNNNNNNNNNNNNNNNNNNNNNNNNNNNNNNNNNNNNNNNNNNNNNNNNNNNNNNNNNNNNNNNNNNNNNNNNNNNNNNNNNNNNNNNNNNNNNNNNNNNNNNNNNNNNNNNNNNNNNNNNNNNNNNNNNNNNNNNNNNNNNNNNNNNNNNNNNNNNNNNNNNNNNNNNNNNNNNNNNNNNNNNNNNNNNNNNNNNNNNNNNNNNNNNNNNNNNNNNNNNNNNNNNNNNNNNNNNNNNNNNNNNNNNNNNNNNNNNNNNNNNNNNNNNNNNNNNNNNNNNNNNNNNNNNNNNNNNNNNNNNNNNNNNNNNNNNNNNNNNNNNNNNNNNNNNNNNNNNNNNNNNNNNNNNNNNNNNNNNNNNNNNNNNNNNNNNNNNNNNNNNNNNNNNNNNNNNNNNNNNNNNNNNNNNNNNNNNNNNNNNNNNNNNNNNNNNNNNNNNNNNNNNNNNNNNNNNNNNNNNNNNNNNNNNNNNNNNNNNNNNNNNNNNNNNNNNNNNNNNNNNNNNNNNNNNNNNNNNNNNNNNNNNNNNNNNNNNNNNNNNNNNNNNNNNNNNNNNNNNNNNNNNNNNNNNNNNNNNNNNNNNNNNNNNNNNNNNNNNNNNNNNNNNNNNNNNNNNNNNNNNNNNNNNNNNNNNNNNNNNNNNNNNNNNNNNNNNNNNNNNNNNNNNNNNNNNNNNNNNNNNNNNNNNNNNNNNNNNNNNNNNNNNNNNNNNNNNNNNNNNNNNNNNNNNNNNNNNNNNNNNNNNNNNNNNNNNNNNNNNNNNNNNNNNNNNNNNNNNNNNNNNNNNNNNNNNNNNNNNNNNNNNNNNNNNNNNNNNNNNNNNNNNNNNNNNNNNNNNNNNNNNNNNNNNNNNNNNNNNNNNNNNNNNNNNNNNNNNNNNNNNNNNNNNNNNNNNNNNNNNNNNNNNNNNNNNNNNNNNNNNNNNNNNNNNNNNNNNNNNNNNNNNNNNNNNNNNNNNNNNNNNNNNNNNNNNNNNNNNNNNNNNNNNNNNNNNNNNNNNNNNNNNNNNNNNNNNNNNNNNNNNNNNNNNNNNNNNNNNNNNNNNNNNNNNNNNNNNNNNNNNNNNNNNNNNNNNNNNNNNNNNNNNNNNNNNNNNNNNNNNNNNNNNNNNNNNNNNNNNNNNNNNNNNNNNNNNNNNNNNNNNNNNNNNNNNNNNNNNNNNNNNNNNNNNNNNNNNNNNNNNNNNNNNNNNNNNNNNNNNNNNNNNNNNNNNNNNNNNNNNNNNNNNNNNNNNNNNNNNNNNNNNNNNNNNNNNNNNNNNNNNNNNNNNNNNNNNNNNNNNNNNNNNNNNNNNNNNNNNNNNNNNNNNNNNNNNNNNNNNNNNNNNNNNNNNNNNNNNNNNNNNNNNNNNNNNNNNNNNNNNNNNNNNNNNNNNNNNNNNNNNNNNNNNNNNNNNNNNNNNNNNNNNNNNNNNNNNNNNNNNNNNNNNNNNNNNNNNNNNNNNNNNNNNNNNNNNNNNNNNNNNNNNNNNNNNNNNNNNNNNNNNNNNNNNNNNNNNNNNNNNNNNNNNNNNNNNNNNNNNNNNNNNNNNNNNNNNNNNNNNNNNNNNNNNNNNNNNNNNNNNNNNNNNNNNNNNNNNNNNNNNNNNNNNNNNNNNNNNNNNNNNNNNNNNNNNNNNNNNNNNNNNNNNNNNNNNNNNNNNNNNNNNNNNNNNNNNNNNNNNNNNNNNNNNNNNNNNNNNNNNNNNNNNNNNNNNNNNNNNNNNNNNNNNNNNNNNNNNNNNNNNNNNNNNNNNNNNNNNNNNNNNNNNNNNNNNNNNNNNNNNNNNNNNNNNNNNNNNNNNNNNNNNNNNNNNNNNNNNNNNNNNNNNNNNNNNNNNNNNNNNNNNNNNNNNNNNNNNNNNNNNNNNNNNNNNNNNNNNNNNNNNNNNNNNNNNNNNNNNNNNNNNNNNNNNNNNNNNNNNNNNNNNNNNNNNNNNNNNNNNNNNNNNNNNNNNNNNNNNNNNNNNNNNNNNNNNNNNNNNNNNNNNNNNNNNNNNNNNNNNNNNNNNNNNNNNNNNNNNNNNNNNNNNNNNNNNNNNNNNNNNNNNNNNNNNNNNNNNNNNNNNNNNNNNNNNNNNNNNNNNNNNNNNNNNNNNNNNNNNNNNNNNNNNNNNNNNNNNNNNNNNNNNNNNNNNNNNNNNNNNNNNNNNNNNNNNNNNNNNNNNNNNNNNNNNNNNNNNNNNNNNNNNNNNNNNNNNNNNNNNNNNNNNNNNNNNNNNNNNNNNNNNNNNNNNNNNNNNNNNNNNNNNNNNNNNNNNNNNNNNNNNNNNNNNNNNNNNNNNNNNNNNNNNNNNNNNNNNNNNNNNNNNNNNNNNNNNNNNNNNNNNNNNNNNNNNNNNNNNNNNNNNNNNNNNNNNNNNNNNNNNNNNNNNNNNNNNNNNNNNNNNNNNNNNNNNNNNNNNNNNNNNNNNNNNNNNNNNNNNNNNNNNNNNNNNNNNNNNNNNNNNNNNNNNNNNNNNNNNNNNNNNNNNNNNNNNNNNNNNNNNNNNNNNNNNNNNNNNNNNNNNNNNNNNNNNNNNNNNNNNNNNNNNNNNNNNNNNNNNNNNNNNNNNNNNNNNNNNNNNNNNNNNNNNNNNNNNNNNNNNNNNNNNNNNNNNNNNNNNNNNNNNNNNNNNNNNNNNNNNNNNNNNNNNNNNNNNNNNNNNNNNNNNNNNNNNNNNNNNNNNNNNNNNNNNNNNNNNNNNNNNNNNNNNNNNNNNNNNNNNNNNNNNNNNNNNNNNNNNNNNNNNNNNNNNNNNNNNNNNNNNNNNNNNNNNNNNNNNNNNNNNNNNNNNNNNNNNNNNNNNNNNNNNNNNNNNNNNNNNNNNNNNNNNNNNNNNNNNNNNNNNNNNNNNNNNNNNNNNNNNNNNNNNNNNNNNNNNNNNNNNNNNNNNNNNNNNNNNNNNNNNNNNNNNNNNNNNNNNNNNNNNNNNNNNNNNNNNNNNNNNNNNNNNNNNNNNNNNNNNNNNNNNNNNNNNNNNNNNNNNNNNNNNNNNNNNNNNNNNNNNNNNNNNNNNNNNNNNNNNNNNNNNNNNNNNNNNNNNNNNNNNNNNNNNNNNNNNNNNNNNNNNNNNNNNNNNNNNNNNNNNNNNNNNNNNNNNNNNNNNNNNNNNNNNNNNNNNNNNNNNNNNNNNNNNNNNNNNNNNNNNNNNNNNNNNNNNNNNNNNNNNNNNNNNNNNNNNNNNNNNNNNNNNNNNNNNNNNNNNNNNNNNNNNNNNNNNNNNNNNNNNNNNNNNNNNNNNNNNNNNNNNNNNNNNNNNNNNNNNNNNNNNNNNNNNNNNNNNNNNNNNNNNNNNNNNNNNNNNNNNNNNNNNNNNNNNNNNNNNNNNNNNNNNNNNNNNNNNNNNNNNNNNNNNNNNNNNNNNNNNNNNNNNNNNNNNNNNNNNNNNNNNNNNNNNNNNNNNNNNNNNNNNNNNNNNNNNNNNNNNNNNNNNNNNNNNNNNNNNNNNNNNNNNNNNNNNNNNNNNNNNNNNNNNNNNNNNNNNNNNNNNNNNNNNNNNNNNNNNNNNNNNNNNNNNNNNNNNNNNNNNNNNNNNNNNNNNNNNNNNNNNNNNNNNNNNNNNNNNNNNNNNNNNNNNNNNNNNNNNNNNNNNNNNNNNNNNNNNNNNNNNNNNNNNNNNNNNNNNNNNNNNNNNNNNNNNNNNNNNNNNNNNNNNNNNNNNNNNNNNNNNNNNNNNNNNNNNNNNNNNNNNNNNNNNNNNNNNNNNNNNNNNNNNNNNNNNNNNNNNNNNNNNNNNNNNNNNNNNNNNNNNNNNNNNNNNNNNNNNNNNNNNNNNNNNNNNNNNNNNNNNNNNNNNNNNNNNNNNNNNNNNNNNNNNNNNNNNNNNNNNNNNNNNNNNNNNNNNNNNNNNNNNNNNNNNNNNNNNNNNNNNNNNNNNNNNNNNNNNNNNNNNNNNNNNNNNNNNNNNNNNNNNNNNNNNNNNNNNNNNNNNNNNNNNNNNNNNNNNNNNNNNNNNNNNNNNNNNNNNNNNNNNNNNNNNNNNNNNNNNNNNNNNNNNNNNNNNNNNNNNNNNNNNNNNNNNNNNNNNNNNNNNNNNNNNNNNNNNNNNNNNNNNNNNNNNNNNNNNNNNNNNNNNNNNNNNNNNNNNNNNNNNNNNNNNNNNNNNNNNNNNNNNNNNNNNNNNNNNNNNNNNNNNNNNNNNNNNNNNNNNNNNNNNNNNNNNNNNNNNNNNNNNNNNNNNNNNNNNNNNNNNNNNNNNNNNNNNNNNNNNNNNNNNNNNNNNNNNNNNNNNNNNNNNNNNNNNNNNNNNNNNNNNNNNNNNNNNNNNNNNNNNNNNNNNNNNNNNNNNNNNNNNNNNNNNNNNNGUACUUUCUUGAUAUGAUAUGAUUUCUGUCAAAACAUUUUUCUUGAACUUUAUCUUUGACUUUGGUUUUGUCAUACAUAAGCUAUGAUCAUACACUAUCAUCUUUCAUGCAUGUCACCAUCAUUAAUCUUUGAUAUUAUAACUACCAGAUCUCAUUAUCCUUUGUCAUUGUCAGGAAGCUCUCAGAUCAUUGUGGAAUGCAGCUUUUCCAGAUAUUCCUCUGAAAGGCUUGAUCUCUGAGCAGUGGAAAGACAUGGGGUGGCAAGGUGCUAAUCCAUCAACUGACUUCAGGUAAAGCUUUUUCAGUGGCUUCUUUUCAUGUCCUUCGCUGAUAAGGAGUGAAUUCUGUCAUGUAGAAAGAACUGAAUCAAUAUAGAGGUUUAAUCCAUAAUUUCAUUUAGAAAUCCUCCUUAAACUAUUGUUCAUGCCUCUCAUCUUUUCCAACUUUUUCCUUAGGGGCUGUGGUUUCAUUUCUCUUGAGAACUUGCUGUUUUUUUCAAGGACUUAUCCGGUAUGACUUUUAAACUACUGCCAAAACUUUUGCAAGCAUUGCUUUAUUUAUUCCUAUCAGAGCCUGUUCAUGCUUCUCUUCGUUCCAGUUUCCCUAAAGUACGAAUUUGCACAGAGUGAGCUGUGAUUUUUACUGAUUAUGAAAAUACAAAAUGAAGGCAUCUUUUCAUAGGUUAUUGUUCAAGCAGGGUGGGCAGCGAGCUACUUGGGAAUACCCAUUUGCUGUUGCUGGCAUUAAUGUUUCUUUUAUGUUGAUCCAGAUGUUGGAUUUACGGUCAGGUAAGCAGAAAUGUUCAAUUAUCAUUUGCAAAUGUGAUUCUUUUUCUUCAGUAUUAACCAAAAACAGAAAAAGUAAAAACUGCUGCAUUGGGUUUUGACUAUCAAGUGAAGGUAAAAUAUUUUAUAUUUAUAAGUCAUGCGAGAAUUGACAUGUUUUUUACAGUUUUCGUGAAACCUUACUUUCCCCGAGCUUUGUUUCACUGUGAGAUCUAGGAACACCUUUUCAUUUCAUUCUCUCCUAAUCUCUUAUUUCCCCCCUUCAUCAAUGUCUUAACAAAAUGAAUGUUAUCUGCUCAAGGACAACCGGGUCUUAGUUUUAAAAUCAAUGGGGUAUCCAAAAUUCUUUUCAUCACGAGAUUUUCCUUAUUUUGAGCUUAGAAUUUUAAAGACAAUGAUGAUGGAAACAGCACCAUAUUUUAAGCUCAUUGUCUCCUUUUGUGGGCAUGAAUAGUUCCAUCUAGUUUAAAUAAGCACAUAGGUUUUUUGAUGCAACGGUAUCGUUUGUUUCCCACUUAUCUCUCCCAUCAUCUCUUUUGCAGAAAAACCAAGAUGUCUUCCAGGAGUCACUUUUGUUAAAUUACUAGGAGGUAUUGAGAUUACAGCUCCAACUAUAUUAUGCUCAAGUGCUCUUUGAUAUACGCAAAUGAAUUUGGUUUUUAAGCUUCUUCUUUGUCCAAGAUAUACACUCAUAAUAGCAUGUUUAUAAUCACAGAAGAUGAAUCUGCCUUUGAUGUACUAUUCUGUAUAGCUUUCGAAAUGAUGGAUGCUCAGUGGCUUGCUAUGCGUGCUUCUUACAUGGAGUUCAAUGUAUACCCUCUAUCUCAGCAAAGUACUAGAUUCUUGAACUUUGGUGAUUAUUUACCAUGAUUUGAAAGUAGCAUUAUUUUCAACACUAGUGAAUCUAUAAAUUUUCCAUUUGCCUACAUACAUUGGGUCAUUUGCAUGCCUUUGAUAUAGAGGCGCUCCAUUGACUUCUGCUUGAUAUGUUUUUUCAUUCCUGCAGGAGGUUUUACAAGUAACAAGGACACAAUUGGAGAGGGAACUAUCUUUGGAAGAUGUUCAUCGAAUAAAAGAUUUACCAGCAUACAACCUUUUGUAUCAAUAGCAAUUUAUAGUGAGGUCCUCUUAAAAUGCCCCAAAGUACUUGCUAGGUCCAGUAGAACAUUUCGGAGAACCCAAAGGUUUAGAUAUAAAUUCACGUGUCGAACUGCUGAACUGUAGAAACCAUUUUUGAAGAUGUUAUAGCUAUGCUUAAUGCUAUACAAUGAGCUUCUCACAAGUUAAUGGUGCUGAGGCUGAGUCUGAUAGUGAACCCUGUAACCAUCUGAUGAACUGCUGUUCGCGGCUAAAAUUAACUAGUGUCAACGUAGGUGGACUGCUUCUAAUUCCUAACAUACACGGUUCUUUUAUGUUUAUUAAUAUUUAUGGCCUCCAGCAGUCGACUGAUGACAAGCAAUGUCGUAUCCAGGACAGAGGGGGUUUUCCCUGUGUCCAACAGUAUUCCUGUUUCCGAUGGUUUCCACUUGUGAGUCAGAGAGGAAAGAGGUUUGAGAGGAUUAGGAUGGCACAUUGUAUAGACGAUGGAGACAUCAGACAUGCAUGCAGUUACCUGCAUACGCAAACUUGAUUUGAAGAAUGUAUGAACUUAUUGUAAUUUGCAACUUUUUAAAAUCAAAUUCCCAUGAUGAUGUGCUAUUUUUCUGGUGGCAGCUCAAUUCUGAAACCUUUGCUCGCAUAAGAAAUAUUUUACUCAUUGUAACUUUACAUGACAUGAAUUUUGAAUCUUAAUAACUAAAAUAUGACUGAAGAAAACAUUAGAACUCUCUUACGUUAAAUACUGGAUGUUUGGCAAAUCCAUAAUUUUUUGCAAAAGUUCUUGGAAAAGAAUUCUGUGUACUCUUUAAAUUCAGGUGGGGAGCGGAAGUUCAGAAUCAUCACAUCAUUGAACUAAUUAACAAAAAUCUAAACAUUGUGAGUAAAACAUCAUGUACAACAACAUUGUUCAUGCUCUUACAUUUUUACAGUGGACUUAUUGUACAAUUUUUUUGGUUUUCAAACUUUUUUUUCCACAAUUGCAUUUUUUUUAAGCUAGAUUAAAGGAUAAUUGAAUUAAAUUUGUUGAAUAAGAACAAAAUUGAAAGAUAGAGAAUAAAAGUAGAAAAGACUCCACAAAUGGGUGAUGGUUUCAAAGUUAUCACAAAGAGUUUAAGUUAGUUCUCUAACUUCUUAAAUUAUACCUAUUCAUCCCUCAAUAUUUUUGCAAUUCAGUUUUGGUAUAAAAAUUUAUUUUUUUUUAUAUUUUUUAGUCUCUAGUUUGAGAGAGUUGAGAGAGAGAGAUCACUGAAUUCCAGUGGUAGAAAGAAAAAAUCGGUAUUGACACCUAUUUUGGGUACUAAAAUGGUUGGUCUUGAAGUUCAUGAGUUCCAUUUGAUAAUGAGAGUUUCAUUUAGGUGUUUUUUCACCUUAAAAAUACCUAAAAAACAGAUCUAAACUCGAGAAGAUUUUUGAUUUCGAGUUGAGUUCGAGUUUUUGUGUGUUUGUUUUAGGUAUUUUAAAGCCAUUUAUGAGUUUGACAAGGUAUUUAGGCUUUUUUCUAGGUAUUUUGGGUUGAAAAUGAGUUUAAAAAUAGUUUCUAAGCAAAAAAAUAAAAAAAAACCUAUGAUUUUCCAAUCAUCAUAGCAGUCGAAAUCUAGAAAAAUUAGUGGAUGACAUGUCAUCUAACUUUUUUUUGAAAGAAAUUUAGGGUAAAUGACAUGUCUUUUUUUAAAAAAGAAUUAAGGACCGGCACGUGGACCCAUUCUAAAUGGGCCAAGUUUGGCUGGCCCAGCAAAGCUUGACCUCUUUCUUCUCUCUCUCUUUUUUUCCCCUAAUUUUGACUUUUUUUAAAAUAAUAUAUUUAUAUUUUUUUUUAAAAUAAGUUUUUAAUUUAUAUUUCAAUUAAUACCCCCCUUUUGUUUUUUUUUAUUUUGCUUAUUUAGCCUUUUAUAAAUAGAGGUUUUUUUAAAAAAAUUAUUUAGUAUGUAUUUAAUUUUUGAAAAGAUUAUUCUACUUCAUUUAUGAAUUUUUUUUUUCAUAUAGAUGGAUUUUAUUUUUUAAAAUAAAAAACAUUUAUUUUUGGAUAAUGUUUCUAAUAUAUGCAUAUUUGUAUAAUAUGUUUUCUUUUAUUUUAUGUGUGUUUGUUUAUGCUAUCACUUGAUUUAAUAAGAAAAUGAUUUUAGUAAAUAAAUUUAUUCAACACAAGUACGUAAAUGACCCAUGUUGCGAGAUUAAAUAUCUUGAUCUACAUUUUUGUAUAAUAUCUUGAUUUUUUUAAUUUUAUUUUUAGUUAACAUUUAUAAUUUUUUUUCAUUUAUUUACACAAAUGAUUCUUGUUUUAGAUAUGGUCAUAAAAUUUUUGAUUUACAUUUAGGAUUUUUUUUAUGUAAAAAGCCUUGUCUAAAAAGUUUGUGUAUUCAAUUUUUUUUUUAGAAAAAAAAAAUCGGACUUGAGGCAGAACAUGUGUCAAAUAUAGCUAGUUAUAACCUAAUCCAUGUAGUUUAUCAAGAUUAAUUAAUUAAUAUAGUCCUACAGUAUCAAAAACUACAAAUAGAUUUCAGAAACAAUCAUGAGUCAAUCAAGAAGGCGAAAAAAAUGGUAACAUAACAAGUAUACCUUCAUAAAAAUGGCAUCUCCUUGGGAAACACAUUGAAACAUAUCAUCCUCUAGUACAUGUUCAACACCUGAAUCGUAAAUUAUCUGGUCCAUAAGAUUGUGCUUUGCCUAGCACAAAACAUGCAGUUUCUUGAGCAGUCCUCCCAAGGAUUACUGAACCUGGAGUCACCUUGAGGAUAGUAAAAAACAUGCAUUCCAUGAACCUUAUUGAAUGGAAUUCCUCUUUCAAGAACCACUUCAGGUAGACUUUGGUUAUGGUCUUGGAAUAUAAGAGAUGGGAUUAGAAGAAACAUGCUUUUUUGUUCUUUCUAUUUUGAAAGUAUAAAAAUUUAUUUCAAAACUGUUUUAAAAAUAAAUUUAUUUUAUACCUCUAUCUCUAUUUUUAUUUUCAACCAAAUACUUUUCAAUCCCUUUUUUAUUUGUUCUUCAUAUGUGCAUAAAUUGACAAAGAAAUUAUUAAGUAACUAGCUAAUGGAAAUUUGCAAAACGGUGAAACUAGAAGUUUUGUUAAGUAUUUCACAAAAUAUUUCUUCAAGUUGUUGUAAAUUAGUGAACAGUGCUUUUUGCCAUGGACAAGUCGAUUUCUUUCAUAACCUAAAAAAGCAAUGUUCAAGCACUGUAAACAUGUUUUAGAGCAAAAGAAAAUUUUGUGACUCGAGUUAUAGAUCUCAAAACAAAAAAAAUUGAAAAAUAAAAAAACAAUCUGACCCAAUCUGAGCUAGCAUGACAAAUUUAUGACCUAGAUCAUGAGGUCGGGACAUCCUUAUAGAAAGUAUAUAGAAAAAUAAAUAAAUAAAUAAAUAAACUCAAUAUUUAAUAAACUCGACGUUAAGGACUAAAAUUGAGAAAGAAAAUAGGUGCAAAAAAAGAUUAAAAAAAAAAACGAUGUCAACCUAAGCUAACAUCUCAUACUCGUGACCAAGGUCAUGGGAUGAGGAUGACCACAUCGAAAAAAACAAUGAAGCUUAGUCCUUAACAAUCUUAUACUGAAAGCUGAAAAAAAAUCAUUUUUUUUAAAGGAUAAUUUUUUUAAAAAAGAAUGAGGAACAAAUUUGAUAUAAAACUAAAAUAAAAUGAUGUAAAAAUCUCAAGCCAACCUGAGUUAGCAUGACAACAAUUAUGUGACUUUGAUUGCAUAAAAUUAAAAUAAGAUGAUGUAAGAGCUCCAAGCCAAUCCUAGCUAGCAUGAUAACAAAUAUGUGACUUGGACUACAAGGCUGAGUAAUCAUCAUAGAAAGCAAAACAAAAAUAAAGAAGCUUAACCUUUAAUAAACCUAAUGUAGAAUGAUGAAAUAAAAAAAAUAAAAUCAGUGAAAAAAAAGACAUGAAAAAAAUACCGAUAUCAAUCCGGGUUAAAAUUUCAUACUCGUGACUUGAGUCAUGAGAUUGAGAUCAUCACACCGAAAAAAUUAACGAAGCCCAAUUCUAAAGAAAAAAAUAUUGAAGGAUGAAAUUGAAAAAAGAAAUCAAUUUUUAAAAAAGGAACCAAGGCAAAAAUAAAAAAUAAAAAAGUAAAGGCCUAAUUUGACAUAAAAAUCAAAUGAAAUCAAAUUAUAAGGGAUAAAGUUUAAAAAUAACAUUAAAAGAAAUUAUAAUAAAAAUAAUGAGGAUCAAAUUUAAUAUAAAUACCAAAUAAUUAAAAAUACGAAGGGAUAAAAUAGAAAAAAAAUAAAAAUAAAAAAAAUAAAGAUUAAGAGCCACAAUUGAAAUAACAAGAAAAUUGAGGAUAACCUUUAAUUUUAGCUAGGCUGGCACAUUUUUCGAUAGGAAGAGAGAGAAAAGAAAGGAGGAGAAAAAAUCUUACUGCCACCUAACUACUACGAAACGUAUUACAUGCGUAGCCCCAUUAGAUGCACCUUCACGUGAUCUGUCGGUAGAGACAAUAGUUAGCCUUUUUGAUGUCGGGAGGCACUGCAGGUGCCAUAACUAUUUUUUAUUCAAUUUAUCAAAAGACAUAAGUGCCCCUGACCGUACAUGAUAUUUUUCAUAACCUAAUUUUGGACAACAUAAAAUUCAAAAAAAUGAAAUGAAUGAAAAAUUAAGGUUUGGAUCAAGAUAACACAAAUUGGAAGCUUUGAAGGGUUAAUCAUGUUGGGUUUAUGACUUUGGAAGUUAAUUUUGAAAGAAAUCGAAAGAAUUAACAAGUAUGGAGUUUCAAUUAAACUUUGAUUCGGUUCACUUAAUGAUAUCGGGAGUUCAAUUGAAGAAUGAAUAAGUUUGAAGAUUUAAUUAAGCUUAGAUUUAGUUUAAUUAAUGAAAUCAUGGGCAUAAUUGAAUAAAUAUUAAAUUUCUGAGCUAUUUAAGGUGAAAUUACAAGUGAUUAAGAUCCAGGGACCAUCUUGUAAAAGACACUGCAUUUCUGCCCAGGGAUCAGAUUAAGGGUUUUUGAAACUUGGAGGACCAAAUUGAAAAACGGCUGCCCAGUCCAGAAACGACGCCGUUUUUUAUUUUUGGCCAUCGUCUUCUUCCUCUGGAAACUGAGGAAACAACCUGCAAAGAAAAAAAGAAAUCUUGCUUAGGUAGACAGCUCAACACAAGCAGGGACAAAUUGAUUUUGGUCUGCUAAGGUCCCCAAUCCAAUCAGGCUCCAUCUCCGAACACGCCGCUGGAGUCCGAGUCAAAGUCUGCCACCAACAGUCCAACAAUGGCAGGACUGCUGGUGUUUCCGUUCCAUCCAAACAUGGAGCCGAUUCACUCUACACAGGAUGACGAUCCUAGAGAAGAUAAGGAUUGAAUCCAAUAUCCAAGUCCCUGCAGGACUUAUCCUUUGCCAAGGAAAGAAGAGGCGUACUGGGGAACAAACAGUUGAUUCUGCCCCUAUAAAAGGCCAGUGAGUCGUCAGAGGAGAGGAGGGGAAAAAGAGGAGAGACCGAGAAAAAGAGAGCAGAACACAGGGGAACAAAAAACCAAAAAAAAACCAAAGAAAAGGAGAACCCAUAACAAAAAAAAAAAAAACACAAGAGCAAAGGAAAGAAGAACAUUCUCCAGACAAGACCAUCACUUUCAUCUUCAUCUCCGCCUUCGCCUUCGUCAUCGCCAGGUAAGGCCUUCCUUUUCCCUUUUUUUCUGCAUCUCUUGUUGCAAAAGAAGAAAACAGGGCGAAGGUAAUUUAAACCAUGCAUGCCUGCUGCCCAGUCAGGUCACUGGCCUGGGCCAGUGACCGGGCUGGGCCGGUCGAGUCUAACCCAGCCCAAAAAAAGGAGUGGGCCGGGUCUGGGCUUUAGGCCCAGCCGGCCCAAAGUGUGUUUGCUAAGGGCGUGUUUGGCAAAACACACCCUUAUGCCUUGACCAUAAUUUUUAUGCCCAUUCUAGUUUGAUGUUUGACCAAACGAGCCCCUUUUCGAUAUCAGAAAAUUUCAAAAAUAUUUAGGGGUCUUCGUUGAUUUAUUUGUGGGCCCUUCGCAUUUUAUUUUAUUUUUUUUUCUUUGUGCUUAUAUUUUUUUUAGCCAUGUGCUCAAUCUGUGGACCAUUACUGUUGAAUGCAAAUAUGUCGUGCAAUGUUUUUUUAUUUUCAUCUGAAAAGAGUCAAUAAAAAUAAAGGAUAAACAAGAAAAGUCGCAUAGAAAAUUUCUUCUUCAAAUUCAUUUUUUGCAAAAGUAUUCACUGACGCCAGAGUCAAAAGUAUCAUAUGUUUUUGGAUUUGCAUGAUAUUUCCAACGCUAGAGUUGGAAAUAUUCGUAGGAAUUGUUCACUGACGCUAGCAAGGAAGGAUAAAAAAAAAGGAAAAAAAGAACAAAUUCUUAGCAAUUUUAGACAAAAAACCAGCAAUGCAGCCUGCCUUAGGUAGGAUGCUUAAUGGGUGAUAACAUCUUCCCUUUUGUGUAACCAGUCCCGUACCAUAGAAUCUUUAUUGACCAAUUUAGGGUUUCUAGUGACCAUAAUACUAGGUGGCGACUCCUUGAACAAGACCUUUUCCUCUAAAAGAAGAAGAUGCAAAAUAUCUACUUUUUUUUUCUCCAAUCGAGAGAUAAUUUUUAAUUGGUCGCUGCGAUGUAUGGGUGUGACAGAAUGACAACUCCAUUGGGGACUUCUAGGACUAAACUUUGCUAUUUGUCUUUUUAUUGCUAAAUAAUAUUUUGUUGUACUUGUUUUUCUUUAUUGUUGCCAUGUUGUGUUUAUCAAGCUUUAAUUUUUGCUCUUUUUACUGUUUUAGCAUGCAUAGUUAUUCAUGUUUAUCAUGCAUAUAUAUUGGAUAUGGAUCUAUGGCCUUCACACAUCACUCAUCUCAUUUUUAAUACAUGUGGUAUCAAUUUUAAGAUAAGUAGAGGAGUAACGGUACCCCAAUGACUUUAGCUUGGGUAAGGCUCGCGAAACUAUCCAACUAUCACAUGAUUGUUUGCUCGACAGUGGUUGAUAUGCUGAACUGAUAUUACUCUGGGUCUCUAUCUUCACACUGCUUGUAAACCUCAUAGCAACCUUUCGAGGACGAUUAUUGAGCAUGCGAAAGACCGGUGAGACUAGAUAGCCAAAUUACCCCGAUGCAUUUAAUGACUAGAACAUAUCCCUUAUGUUGAUCCCUGCGUAAUUUCUCUAAGAUAAGCUUAAAUGUGUAAGCAUCUUUAUUACAAGGCUAUCGGGUGACAUAAUGACCGCUAUUCCUAAGAUAACAACUGUUGAGUAUGGACUCGAGUCUGAAUCCUUGCAAAUGAUCGAGGGACACUGCCCUAGACUGAAUGUCGGUGAGAUACCGCUAUCUAAGAUAUUAGAUGCAUAAUGAAAGACACAAAAAAUGUGGCUGAAAGCUCAGAUGAAAAAAGGCUAAACAGAUCUCCCAUCGGCAUUGCAAUAAUGAUAUCUGAUUCGAAUAUGACAACAUAUCUAGAGAAUAGCGAUCAUUAUGUCACCCCUUGAAGAGCGAAUCCAUACACAAUAUAUUGCAUUCAUCUACAUACAUGUUUGAACAUACACUUAUGAACUGUCAUAAUACAGGACUUCAGGUGAAAUAUAGGUACCCCAUUGAAACACACUUAUAACACUCGACUGCGAAAAAGACAAAUGGAAAACGAAGAAAAAGCCUUGUUGGAAGCCCAACACCAAAAAGAGAUGGAAAGUCUUAGAUAAGAAGUCGCAAGGCUUACUAGCCUACUCGAACAGGCAUUGAGAUCUAAAGAAGCAAAAUUUACAACUCAGCCUGAACCUAUGCUCGCAAAUCCACAUAAUCUGGGGGCAAAUGAGGUGUCUCAACAGGCUAUGUAUUCCUAAUUUUCUCAACCAGCAUAUCCCAUAAGAAUAUCAUCUACCAUUGAACUUACAAUGAAGGAAUCUCAAAAGAACAAGAUGGUAAAAGAAGAUGGCCUGGACAAAUGGGCUGCCCUGGAACAAAGGCUGAUGGCAUUCGAGGGAUCUAGCCUACAUGACCAUAUCAAAGUUGUUGAGAUGUGUUUGGUACCUAACGUAGUCAUUCCUAAGAAGUUUAUGGUGCUAGAGUUCGUCAAAUAUACAUGAACUCAAUGCCCUGUAAUGCAUCUCAAGGGGUACUGCAACAAAAUAGCUGAGGUGGUCCAUGACGAGAAACUAUUGAUUCACUUCUUUCAAGACAGUUUGAGUGACGUUGCCCUUACUUGGUAUAUGCAGUUGGACAAUACCAAGAUAAAAAAUGGAAGGACUUAGUAGAUGCCUUCAUUAGACAAUAUAAGUUCAAUAUGGAUGUGGGCCCUGAUAGGUCAAGCUUGCAAGCUAUGGAAAAGGACAAUAAGGAGUCCAUAAGAGAAUACACUCAAAGGUGGUGUGAGACUGCCGCACAAGUUUAUCCUUUUUUAUUGGAAAAGGAGAUGAUCAGUUUGUUUGUCAACACUUUCAAGGCCCCGUACUUUGAAUACCUGGUUGGAAUCUCUACACAACAUGUUUCUGACUUGGUUGCUGUAGCCGAGAGGAUUGAACAAGCCAUCCGUUUAGGAAAGAUUGUUGACUCGACUGAGGAGAAAAGUUUCACUUGAGAAAGGAAAGAAAUCGAGGUUCACAAUAUCGAAGGUGAUUACAAAGGUGAGAGAAAGAGCUACCAGAACAAAGACAUCUAGAGGUCACUCGUCCUGAAUACGAAGCCACAGUGUCAUUAGGCCAAGACUGGUUUAUGUGUAACCUUAACUGACUACUGGAAAGGUGCCCUUAUCAAGGAAUUCAUAGGAGAGGGACGGUUGGAAGAUUCCAGAAAUUCCAAUUGAUGAUUGCUAAAUGUUUAGCCCUUUUAUGUGUCACCUUGCUAGUAUAAGGUCUUUGUUGCUUUUUUUUUAGGAUUUCAAUGAAAUAAUGAGUUCGUCCUUCAAUUGUGUCUCUUCCUUUGAUUUACAACCAAAAUAUCAUGAAAGGGAUUCUCUCUAAGAACUCACAAAUACACUUUUAAAGCCUCGCAUGAUCUAAAGACUUAAUUCAUCUCUUUUACUAAAAUCAGUUUCCCCAUUGGAAUUUUGAAAAUUGAACUUGCAUUUUGAUUUCAAAAAUAAUUUGAUGUUUACUUAAAACGAUAUUUUUGACAUUCUACUUGUAGAAUGACACAUGAAUCAAGCAACUCCUUCAUUGAGGUGACUAAACUCUGAACCAAAGUGCACGAAUAAAAAAUAAACUUUCACCUUGACAUUAGGACCCUUGAGCCCUAUGCUUUUAAUGCAUGCAUAAUGGUAUGUAGUGGACUUGUUGUUCAUAGACUCAUGAAAUGCAUUUCCUUGCAAAAUUCCAAAUCAUCACACUGAACGAGGUCAAAGUUUAUUGAUCUUAAAUGCUUGCGCUUGAAAUGAGGAAAGACCAUCUUUGUUAUUCCUUUCACAUUCUAAAAAGAGUAUAUCCCUUGUGGUCCUUCUUUUGAGCUUGAAUGAUGUUUCUUUCAUGAAAAAUCCCGACUAGGAUCACACCGUACACUGGGGGCAAGUGAAAAUUUCAAUGAGAAAAGAUGAAAAAGCCGUGAGAAAGCUAAAAAGGUAAAAUAGUCCAAGAAACUCAAAUACUAGGGGGCAUGCCCAAAUCAUAAGAAAAAGUGAUAAUCAAGAUAAAGUGAAUAUGCCUUGGCAUAGCAAUGAAAAGCAAUUCAAAGAAGAGCGGCAAAAAAAAAGAUAAAUGACACAAAGAGUCGAACUGCUGAUAGUGAUCCUUAGUCUUUGAAUCUCUGAAACACUCUUUGAGCCUUAUGAAUCCUUUUCUUUCAUAACCAAAAACCACAGCCUACAUUACGUGCCUGUAGAAGUCCUUUCUAAUCAAGAAAGCAAGCAACCAGGGACAAUAAACAAUGCUCUCAAAAUGCAAAGAGUACUUUUUCAUAGGAAUCAUGCCAUCGAGAACAAACUAAUCAUUAUUAUUCAUGCUGAUAAAAUAAGUGUUCAAGAAGAGAUAAAUUUUUCUCAAACAAAACCUCGAGUUUUUGCUCGAGCCCUUCACUUUGAAACCUAUAAAAAUAGAAGGUCACCUCUUGAUGUACCUUCACCAAAUGACAAAUAUUGCCAACACAGGAGCAAAUCAUUUGUUUUCCAAGAAAAAACCAGAGAGUUGCAAGAUUUCAAAAGCAAAUUGUUUUAAGCUUACAUCAAAACAAUUUAUGUUUUUAAAAUGCAAGAUCAAGAUUUCAAAAUUCAUUUUAGAGAAAUAUUCCUCUACCAAACUGAAAAUAAGAGAAAUGAGAGAAUGGUCACUUAAAAUCAUCAUUUGUCUGAUGCUGACAAAGCACACUUAGGGGUAAUGGCCAGUACAAGGGGGUAACAUUGUGUUUAGAAGGAAAAUCAAUCCCUUCUAAAAAAAAGAGAAGAACAUCUCCUGCAACAAGACAAGGGGGCAUUUUGAUUUACAAAGGGCAGUUUGAUCCCUCCAAUAAGUGACACCAAGUGUUUAGUAAAUGAUCCUCUCAAAUUAUAUGACGAGACAGAAAAUCUCUAGCAAGCAAGUGGGCGAUGAUGGGCUUCAUGAAGGCUGAGUUGUGUAAACAAAUAUGGGAAAAGACUUACAUGGGCCAACUCGAGUGGGCUAGAAGUCAAACGACAAAUAUGACCUAAAUCUGAGAUAACAAGUCCUCAUCAAUCAAGCAGCGAGAAGAUUAAGAAGAAAUGGAGGCCUACAUUUCAAAUCAAGUAAAGAUGCAUGCAUAUCAUCUAACUUUUGAGACAUUGGACAAUGAGUUUUGCAAAGUUCACAAGAGAAAUCUCUGACAAGAUCCAUCAAAUGGAAGGUCGCCUUGAAAUGGCUAAGAUUGAAAUUGCUUUUGGAAAAAUUUCACUUUUGAGAAAUUUUAACCUGGGCAGGCCGCCCAUGAGAAUUAGGCCGCCAAAAAAAAAUCUUUGUAUUUUUCUACCACCUUUCAUUUCCCAUCACUAAGGUAGUGCGUUUCCUAACCCUACCUAUUUUUCUACCGCCUUUGAGCCCUCAGCUCCUUUCGAGUGUGCCUUUGAGCCCUCGAGCAUUCAAGAUAGUGCGUUUCCUAACCCUACCACUUUCGAGUGCACCUUCGAGCCCUCACCUCCUUUCGAGUGCGCCUUUGAGCCCUUAAGCAUUCAAGAUAGUUUGUUUCCUAACCCUACCACUUUCGAGUGCGCCUCCGAGCCCUCACCUCCUUUUCAAGUGCACCUUUGAGCCUCAUCAUGACGUCCCUUUAAGACUUUUCUUUUCUUUCUUGGGUAGGUCACUCAUUACAAUGAGACCUUUUCUUGGGCAGGUCACCUAUUACAAUGAGACUCUUUCCUUUCUUUUUCCUGUGUAGGUCACCCAUUACAAUGAGACCACUUCUAAAAAAAAAAUGAUGAUGAAAUUUCUCUAUGUAGUUUUCACCAUCGAGCAGGUCGCUUAGAAAAAUGAGACCACUCGCGAAAUCCUUCGCGUUUCUUCUUCCUAUCGGGUCGGUCGCCUAGAACAAUUAGAUCACUCGCGAAAUCUUUUUCACAUUUUAUUCUUCAUCGAGCAGGUUGCCUAGAAAAAAGAGACCACUCGCGAAAUCCUUCGUGUUUCUUCUUCCUAUCGGGCUGGUCGCCUGGAACAUUUACAUCACUCGCGAAAUCCUUUUCGUGUUUUAUUCUUCAUCGGGCAGGUCACCUGAAAAAAUGAGACCACUUGUGAAAUCCUUAGCGUUGCUUCUUCUUAUCUGGUAGGUCGUUUGGAACAAUUAGGCCACUCGCGAAACCCUUUUCAUGUUUUAUUCUUCAUCGGGCAGGUCACCUAGAAAAAUGAGACCACUUGCGAAAUCCUUCGCGUUGCUUCUUCCUAUCGGGCAGGUCACCUGGAACAAUUAGACCACUCGCGAAACCCUUUUCGCAUUUUAUUCUUCAUCGGGUAGGUCGUCUGGAAAAAUGAGACCACUUGCGAAUCCUUCGUGUUUAUUCUUCCUAUCGAGCAGGUCACCUGGAACAAUUAGACCACUCGUGAAACUCUUUUCGUGUUUUAUUCUUCAUUGGGCAGGUCGCCUGGAACAAUUAGACCACUCGUAAAAUUCUUUUCGCGUUUUAUUCUUUAUCGGGCAUGUCGCUUGGAACAAUUAGACCAUUUAAAAAAAAACAAAAAAGGGGUAAGAGUUUUUACGCUUAUUUUUCUUAACAAAACUCACUAUACAAAGUCAGAAGAAAAUGAAUUUUCCAAUACCUUUGCACCGUAAGCAUUGUAAAGAGGGGGCAACUGUCAUAACCCAAUUUUGGGCAACAUAAAAUUCAAAAAAAUGAAAUGAAAAAUUGAGGUUUGGAUCAAGGCAACACAAAUUGGAAGCUUUGAGGGGUUAAUCAUGUUGGGUUUAUGACUUUGGAAGUUAAUUUUGAAAGAAAUCAAAAGAAUUAACAAGUAUGGGGUUUCAAUUAAACUUUAAUUCGGUUUAAUUUAUUUAUGGGCCCCUCGCACUUUAUUUUUUUUUUUCUUUGUGCUUGCAUUUUGUUUUAGCCAUGUGCUGAAUCUAUGGACCAUUACUGUUGAAUGCAAAUAUGUCAUGCAAGGUUUUUUUAUUUCCGUCUGAAAGGGUCAAUAAAAAUAAAGGAUAAACAAGGAAAGUCGCAUAGAAAAUUUCUUCUUCAAAUUCAUUUUUUACAAAAGCAUUCACUGACGCCAGAGUCAGGAGUAUCGCAUUUUUUUGGAUUUGCAUGAUAUUUACCAACGUUAGAGUUGGAAAUAUCAGUAGGAAUUGUUCACUGACGCCAGAGUCAGGAACGUGAAAGGAAGGAUAAAAAAAAAAGGAAAAAAGAGAACAAGUUAUUAGCAAUUUUAGACAAAAAACUAGUAAUGCAGCCUGCCUUAGGUAGGACGCUUAAGGGGUGAUAACAUCUUCUCUUUUGCGUAACCAGUCUCGUACCAUAGAAUCUUUGUUGACCAGUUUAGGGUUCCUAAUGACCAUAAUACUAGGUGACGACUCCUUAAACAAGACCUUUUCCUUUAAAAGAAGAAGAUGUCAGAUAUCUGUUUUUUUUUUUCCAAUCUAGAGAUAAUUUUUAAUUGGUCAUCGCGAUGUCUGGGUGUGACAAUAUUAACAAAAACAAAAACCAUUACAAAAGACAAAAAAGCCUCUUGACCUAAGCUAUAUUUAUAUUUUUUUUGCUUCUAAGGGUACCUUAGUAAUUAUAUUAUGCUAACAAAGAUAGAAAUCCGAAAAUGUCUCCGCCCAAACAUGGUGGGAUACCGUAUAAUCGAGGAGGCCCACAAGGUUAUGGACAUGGGCUGAAUUUAAAAGGUAAUUAAAAAUUAGUUCUAUUUAUUGUACCAUCAAAAAGUGAAAAGGAAGGAGUUCCUGGCUUUGGAACAAGGGGAUAUAUCGAUUCUAGACUACAAGAGGACGUUCCAUGAUCUCUCCAUGUUUGCUUCUCAUUAGUGUCCUAUCGAGCACCAUAUGAUUGAUAUGAUGUGAGAUGGGUUGCGAUGGGAAUUGAAACAAAGUUUGAUCACUCACAAGUUUGAGACUGCCAGAGAACUGAUUGAGGCAACAUAUACUUUAGAGGCUUGUAUGAAAGAUUGCUAGCAGGGCCAAUCAGGAUUGGAUAAGCACAAGGAAAUUGGUAUUUCUUUUAGUAGACCACCAUUUCUAAGAAAAGGUAAAGGGCAGUUUAGACAAUUUAGAAAGAGCGGAGGAGCAGUAACUACAGGAACCAUCUAGAGCAUAGGUAUUAGAUCUACUGAAAGGUAGUCAAAUCAGUAGGGUGUCCCUACUCGAGGGACUAUAAAGUAGAAGACUAUCACAUACCCCCUACUAGGAUAGGUUUGGGAGGAGGCACCUAGAAGACUGUUCUACUACACCAAAAAUGUGUUAUGUUUGUAGAGGGGAGCACAUAUGGAAAGACUAUUCAUAUUUAGGUAAAGGGUGCUUUUAUUGUGGAGGAUAGGAUCAUUUCUAGAGGAACUUCCCUAGGAGGACUGAGUUUACACGUGGAUAAAGAUAGCUGGUUUGAAGUCAAUAAUAGUCUCUCAUUGUAAACCAACUAGCUAGAAAAACACAGUCUGGGAUCAGUGGUACCAGAGGACGACCUCGAGCUUUAGGUGACAAGACUUAGGGCAUAAUAUUCCAUAUGAUACAGGAUGAUGCUAAAGUUGCCCCUAGUUUUGUGGCAGGUACAUUGUAGUUAAAUUCCAUCUGGGCUACACACUUCUUUUUGACAAAUAAAACUCAUAACCUUAAAAUUGGGGAAAAAUUCAUGUAGGGCACAAAAAGGGUUUUCUAUAAGUAUUCCUCUAGGUGAAAAUGUUGAUAUUGAUCAUUUGUAUAAGGGAAUUAAAGUUGACAUUAAAGGGUGUGAAAUGAGUGCAAACUUAAUACCCUUGGAAUUGCAUGACUUUGAUGUCAUCCUGGGUAUGGAUUGAAUAGGCACAUAUAGAGCACAAUUAGAUUGUUUCGAAAAAACAGUGACUCUAUAUGGACCAAAUGGUAGGACGAUGAUUUUUAGAUGCGAAAGAAAUGUCAUACCAGAUUAUAUGAUUUCAAUUAUAACCACUAGAAAAUUGAUGAAAAAAGGAUGUAUGACAUAUCUUGCUUAUGUAAUCGACUCAAAGAAGGGUAAUGUUGAACUAUCAAAUGUCCUAAUAGUGAGAGAAUUUUCAGAGGAGCUACCAAGAUUGCCUCUAGAGAGAGAAGUAUAAGUCGUUAUUAAUGUAUUACCCUAUACCGCACCAAUAACACAACUGUCAUAUCGAAUGGCUCCUAUGGAGUUAGCCGAAUUGAACAUUUUACUACAUGAAUUGUUAGAUAAAGGGUUGAUACGCUCGAGAAAUUCACCUUAGGGAGCCCUAAUAUUAUUUGUUAAAAAGAAGGAUUGCACCCUUAGAUUUCGUAUUGAUUAUAGGAAGCUAAAUAAGGUGAUGAUGGAGAAUAAGUAUUCGCUGCCAAGGAUAAAUGACUUGUUUGAUCAAUUGACAGGUGCUGCAAUGUUUUCAAAGAUAGACUUAAGGUCAAGAUACUACUAGUUAAAGAUUAAUGAGUAAGAUAUUCAGAAGACUGCAUUCAGGACUCGCUAUGGACAUCUUGAAUUUCUUCUAAUGCCAUUUGGACUGUAGAAUGCUCCAACGAUAUUCAUGGAAUUGAUGAACACGGUUUUUCAGCCUACUUAGGUAAGUUUGUGGUAUGAUAUUUUGGUAUAUUCUAGUUCCCAGUUAGAACAUGAACAACACUUGAGACAUGUAUUACAAACCUUGAGAGAUCACUAGCUAUACGUUAAGUUUAGCAAGUGUGAAUUUUUCGCUAAAUGAGGUAAUCUUUCUAAGACAUGUUAUUUUAGGGGAAGACAUAUUUAUGGACCUGAAGAAAGUGGAAGUUGUUUUCAAAUGCAAGAGUCUUAUGAGUGUUGUUGUUACCCAUUUUCAGGGAUCCCCAUUCAAAAAAGAGAAAAUACAAACAAAUCAAAAACAUUGUCAGAAGAAAACAAAAAAAAAAUCAGUGAGAAGAGGACACCAGGGUAUCCAGAAAAUGACCAAACUUUGGUUGAGGAGGUUAAAAAAAUAAAAAGAUUGAAAUUUGACAGUAUAUUUUCUACUGAUGCAAGCCCUGUUGGCAAAGAAAAUUCAAUUUAAGAAAGAGAAAUUCAAAAUUAGAUGUUUAAGGACCCAAUUAGAUUUUACUGAAUGUUUAAUUGAAUUUAUGAAGGGUUUAAUUACAAGAAAAUUGAUUUUUUUAUGUCAAUUUGGGCUUUAAUGGGAAGAAAUUAAAGUUUAGGGGUCAAAUUGUAAUUUGUAAGAGUUAAUUUGGUCAAAUCAGGGGCUUAAUUGCAUAAAAAUUAAAGUUUGGUGGGCAAUUAGGGACUUGAUCACAGAAAUCCAAAACCAAUGACAAAACUAGAAAAGGCACGCUAAUAUAAGGGCAGAAAUUGACUGAAUCAGGUGGCCAAAUUGAAGAAAUUGGAAGUUUGUUGACCAAUUGAGGGUCAAGAAGCACAAAUUCAAAACCAAGAACCAAAGUGAAAAAGGGAGCCAACUUUAGGGUUGGUAAUUGAAUUUGGCAAGGAUGCAAUUGAAUUGAUUCUUAAAAACAAAAUCCCAAUUGAAGACUUGAUUGAAUAAAUAAAAAAUUAUGGACUGAUUUUGAAAUAGAGCUUUCUUUGGCGAUUUCAUUUAAAUGAAACAAUGUGUUUUGUACAAAAUGAUGUCAUUUCAUUCACUGUUAUUAAAAAAAAAACAACAAAAUAGUGUUGUUUUGAUGGCACUGUUUGCCAUCUUCUUCCCCUUUACACAUUGCAGGUAAGGGAAUAAGGUUUUUCUUCCCCUUCUUUUCAUCGUCUCUCUCUCUCUCUCUCUCUCUCUCUCUCUCUCUCUCUCUCUCUCUCUCUCUCUUACUUACCUAAAAACCCCGACACAACCCACAUCCCUCUCAUGGCCUACCAUCGAGAUGAAAAAAUAGAGGGGACAAGCCCUGUGGAUGGCUGCACAGAGAUCGCCCAAGCUACCUUACCCCUUCAGCAUGACAGGACAGGGGUAGGGUAGUUCUCUCUCCCCCUCCCCCCUAUAAAUACCCUUCUUACCAGGAGGAUGUGGGGGGGGGGGGAAGAGAGGAUGAAAAGACAACAAAAGAGAAAAAAACAGAAAUAAGAGAGGAAGAAGAACAAAAACGAAAGAGAAAAAAAUAGAGGAACGGGGAAAACAGAGAAAGAAAAAAAAAAGAAAGGAAAGGAAAGGGAAGAAAUAGAAAAGAAAGAAAGAAGAAAGGAACGAACACAUAGAGAAAUAAGAAAGAGAGAAGAGGAAGACAAACUCCCCAGCCUCUCACCAUCUUCUUCCCUAUGUCAGCUUCGUUGCAACGCCUAGAACUACCGCCGCCGUGAGCCACCACCAGGUCAGCUUCCCCUUCUUCUUUUUCACCCCUCAUCUCCACUGUUCUGCUGGUGAACAAUGGAGCCCAUUGUUCUUGGGCCGGACCUAUGCCGACCCAUACCAAAAUGUCUGGGUCGGAUUUGACCUAGUAUCAUUAGAAAAGAGAUUGUUGGGCUGACAUCAACCCAACCCCUUUUUUAGGUCGAACUCGUCCCAAUUUCUUUUGGGCUAGUCUUGGCCCAACCAGGAUGAGCUCAGCCCAUAUAUAUUUCAAAAAUACCAAAAAAAUUAUUUUAUUUUUUAGUAUUUGAGAUUAUGAACUUAUACGUAAGAUGUAUUCCUGAAUUUAAAUAAAAAGGUAUUUUUUUUCUUUUACAUAGACAUUAGAACGAUUAGGUUUUUACCUAACAAGAUAAGGAUCUCCUUACUGUAGAGAACUUUUCUUAAACCUUAGAUAGACCAACUAUUAGAAAACACAACAAUAACUUAGUUUAUAUCAAACAAUUAAACAAUGUAGCUUACCUCAGUUAAAACAUAUUAGAUACAUUCCCUCUACACAACCAGUUCCCGUGUCUAAUCUCUGAGACCAGUUAGGGUUCCUAGUAACCAAAAUAGUAGGUGACGACUCUCAUUCCCUCUUCCUACUGAUAAAGGACAAGAAUUGAAGGAGGAUGAUCGCUGCGACGCCGCACACAUGCGACAAGUGUAACAGAAAUUCGUAGCUUCCUCAGGUUUGCAAGGUAUUAUAUGAGAUUUAUUGAGGGGUUUUCUACAACAGCAACUCCUCUUACUCGAUUGACACAGAAGGAAGUCAAAUUGGAAUUGUCGGAGGAGAGUUUCCAGGAACUAAAAAGGAGACUCACCAUCGCUCUAGUACUAACACUUCCUUCAAGGUCUGAUGGGUGUGUGAUUUACAAUGAUGGAUCAAAUAAAGAUUGGGAUAUGUCUUGAUACAAUAUGGGAAGGUUAUAUAGGUUAUGCAUCAAGGCAACUGGAGCCACACAAAAUAAAUUAUCCAAUUCAUGACCUAGAACUAGCUGUCGUGGUAUUUGCAUUGUAGGUAUAAGGACAUUACUUGUAUGGGUCUCAAGUACACAUUUACACUGAUCAUAAGAGUUUAAAAUAUUUGAUGACUCAAAGGGAGUUGAAUAUGUGAUAGAGGAGAUGGAUAAAUUUGAUUAAAGAUUAUGAUUGUGUUAUAAAUUAUCAUCUAGGAAGGGAAAAUGUAGUUGCAUAUGCCCUUAGCAGAAAAGGAAAGGAUGUGAUGUAAGAAUUGGGGCAAUGGGAUAAAGGAAAUAUAAUGGAGUUGAAGAAACUUGAUGCUCGAUUAGAAAUUGGACCCAAAAGGAUCCUUAUUGACACAACUUAGAGUACGAUCUAUAUUUAGAGACAAAGUACUGGAGGCCUAGCAAGGUGAUGUUGAAGUGGAAAAAGUGAUGAAUAGGAUUACGUUGGGGGUCGAAACACCUUUUCAAAUUCUAGAGGAUGAGAUGAUUGUGAUGGGAAGACGUAUAUAUCUGCCAAGAAAAUAAGUUAGUGAAGAAUGAAGUAUUAAAAGAAGCCCACAAGUUGAGAUUUGUUGUACACCCUAGGCAUACCAAGAUGUAAGAGACUUGAAGGAUAUCUAUUGGUGGCUAAAUAUGAAAAGAGAAAUAACAAAGUAUGUGGCUAAAUGUAAUGUAUGUCAACAGGUAAAAAUGGAACAUCAAAAAGCCAGUGGGGCCACUACAGUCACUAUUGAUACCCGAAUGGAAGUGAGAGGAUAUCACUAUGAACUUCAUGUUUGGAUUGCCAAAAGGAAGAGAGGCAAUGAUGCUUUUUUUGCCCAUGAAGAUGAUAGAUUCAAUUGAAAAAUUGGCUAAAUUGUAUGUAAACAAAGUGGUAAGGUUACACGGAGUACCAGUAUCGAUGGUUUUAGAUCGAGAUCCUAGAUUCACAUCUUAAUUAUGGCCAAGUAUUCAACGUGUUCUAGAGAUGAGAUUGAAUCUGAGCACAACUUUUCAUUCUCAAACUGAUGGACAGUCUAGAAGAAUAAUUUAAACCCUGAAAGAAUUGUUAAGAGCUUGCAUUUGGAAUUUUAGGGGCAACUUGGAAGAUCAUCUGCCACUGGUAGACUUUACUUACAAUAACAAUUAUAAAGCUACAGUAGGAAUAGCUCUUUACGAAGCCUUAUAUGGUAGAAAAUAUUGGACCCUUGUUUGUUGGGAAGAAGUGGGUGAUAGGAAAUUGAUUGGGCUAUAAUUGGUUUAGAUUACCUUAAAGAAGGUGAAAAAUAUAAAAGAUAGAAUGAAAAUAGCUUAAAAGAUCUAUGCAGAUAUUAGGAGGAGACCCCUUAAUAUUAAUGUACGAGAUAAGGUACACUUGAAAGUUUCACCUUGGAAGCAUAUGUUAUGUUUUGGCAUGAAAGGAAAGCUAGCACUGAGAUACAUAAGGCCUUUUGCGAUUGUGAAGAGAAUUGGGCUUGUAGCAAAUCAUUUGACUUUGCUCCCAUAUCUAGCUAAGAUCUAUGAUGUCUUUCAUGUCUCAUUGAUACGCAAGGCUGAGAUAAGUCCUUUACGAGUGUUGUCGUAAGUCCCUAUAGAGAUUGAGGACUUAACCUUGAAAGUGAAACUUGUAAUAGUGUUGGAUCGCGGCGAGAGAGAGUUAAGGACUAAGAAGAUACCUAUAAUUAAAGUUUUAUGGAGAAGUUCUCAAAUGAAAUAGGAGACUUGGGAAUGAGAGUCAGAAAUGAGAAGAAAAUAUCCCGAACUAUUCUCUAAUAUAGGUAAAAAUAAAAAACUUAAAUUUUGACGAUGAAAUUUAUAUUAUGAGGGGAGAAGGUAAAGCCCAAUUAUAAUUUUAGAGAUUUUUUUUGGAAUAAAAAAUUAUUUAAUGUAAAUGAAUAAAUUUUUGAGAAAUUAAAUUUAAGAUAGGGAUAAAAUUGAAAAAUUGGAAAGCUAAUAACACAAAUUAAACUAAAAAAAAAAUGUGGGGUUUCUUGUAUAAAUAAAAGAAAUAUUGGGCCUUAUGGGUAAAUAAAGAAAAUUUAUAUAUAUAUAAGUAUGAAUAGUUCUUUUAAACACCAUAGCUACCGACCAAAGAAAUGGAAAAUAUUGAAGAGAAAAUUUAUGAGGAAAACUCAUCAUAAAAACACAAGAGAGGUAGAUUAAGAAAUCAAAGUGUGUUAGGGAGAGAAUUGAGCAAAAAAAUUUGGUUAAGGGUUUUUGGAGGGAAGAAAGAAAAGUGAAGAAAAUGAGGUAUUUUCAAGCUUUCAACCUUUCUUUUCUUUGAGUUGGGAUUUAAGAAACUCUCCAAAAAACAAUUGAUUUAAAUGGUUUUUGUGUGCAAUGUUGAGUGAGAAGUUUAAAGGUAUAAGGAUUCUUGAAAUUGAAUGUUAGAGUGUUAGAUGAUGUGUUUUGAUUAUUAAUUAAAGUUUAAUAAUGUGAAAAAUAAUUGGGUAACAACUAAAUUUAGAAAUUUUAUUCCACCUCUUAGGCAAAGCUUUCAGCCACAUAGAAAAAAAACUGGUGUUUGAAUUAUUUAAUACAAAUGAUAGACUUAUUGUGUAGAAUUGUGUGUUUGAAUGAAAAAUGUAGGGUGAAGACUGAAGUGAUUGAAAAAAAAAAUGCCUAUGGAAGGAGACAAUUUCAGCCAAGACAAAAUUAAUUAAGAUGGUUAAUUUACUAUGGUGUGUGAUUAUUAAUGUAUAAAUUAAACUAUUGAUGGAUGAAUAAGAGAUUUGUAUUUAGAAAAUUUGAAAUGAAAUAUUAUUCCGCAUUUAUGCAUAAGUUUUUGGCUAGGAAAAAGAAAACAAGAAAUUUAUGAGUUUCUAUUUUUUUAAAAUUGGAAAAUUUGUUUGAGAUGUGGAAAUUGAAAUUUAAACUAUAUAUGGAUAAAGAUUCAAAAUUUAUAAAAUGCACGUGUUGUUACAUAUGAGAUCGUAGGUACAACUCAACAACAGGGGGACUAGUAAAGCUCAUGUUCUAAGUUGGUAUUAGACACCAUGACUUUUUAUUAUUUAUUUAAAGUUAAGCAUGAUAAUGAGAUUUUGGUUAAGUUAUAACUUAUAGGAUCUUGUAAUAUGUUGAGCUAGGUGUUCUAGAAUAAGAACUAGCGUCUAGUUUAGGCAUGUCGAGCUAGUUAUUCUGGAAUAUGGAUUAGUGCUCGAUUUGGAGAUGUCGAGCCAGUUAUCCCAUAAUAGGAGCUAACACCUUAAUUGGACAUGUUUGGUUAGUUAUUCUAGAUUUGAGAUUUAUGUCUGGGUAUGGAAAAUGCGAAUAAUUUGGAUAAGGAUCUAUGUACGAUAUUAAAAAAAUUCAUUAUGAAAAUAAAAAGUUGUAUAAGAGGGGACUGAAAUUAUUAAUGACUUAGAGUUGUGAUGUCUAUAAAUGGUUGAUUUAUUUAAGUUGAAUUAAGAAAUUUUUACUUAAUAUAUAUGUUAUAUUUAAGUGAAUAACUUUAUAUGAAAUAAUUUUUAGAUACCUCGCAACAAUAAAUUGAUCCAUAGUUUAUUUUUAGUAAUUCUACUUUUGUAUUAAAAAUUGCAAUGUAACAUGUUAAAUCAUUUUGUAUGUAAAAAGUCCUAAGAUGAUAUUAUUUUGACUUAUUUUGGAAUGUUAUAAAUUAUUAUGUAUGCUGUAAUUUUAAUUAGUUUGAAAUCUGGAUGAUUUAAAUUAGGUUUUAAUUUUAAUUUUACUUUAAAUCCUUAGAUAAAAUAUUGCCAUAAUUAAUUCAUGCCUAAAUUAUAUGUAGUGAUAAUAACCAUAAAAAAAUAUCAACAAUAGAUAUUUUCUUUUAAAUCAUAUCAUUAAUUAAAAUGCUAGAAAUUAUUAUUGAAUGAUGCCGAGAUUGUUUGGAGUCUUGGAUGAUAAAACACUAAAAUAGUGUAAGCUUUUGAUAGUCAGGUUAUGAGAAAAAGAAGUUGUUGAGUCGAUAACUUGAAAAUGAAAUUUUAAGGGAAACUGUGUCAAAUUUUCGGUGUGUAUAUAUAUAUAUAUAUAUAUAUAUAUAUAUAUAUAUAUAUAUAUAAUUCAUGCAUUUAUUGCGUUUAUAUAUUAAUUGUACAUGGAGUAUUGUGAAAUUAAAUUGGGGUUGCUACAUGUAUGAACAAACAUUAUUGGAUUCAACUACAUGCUGAGCCCAAGCAAACAUGGGGCUGACAUGCUACUAGACCCAUAGCUUGUGAGCUUGGCAUUGUACCAAACCUAAAUGGGUAUGAGUUUGGUGAACUACCAGAUCUAACGCUCUUGAGCUUGACUGCGUGCUAAGCCCAAUUGAGCAUGGGUCUAGCGAACUGCCAGACCCAUUGCCCCUGAGCUUGGUAAUGUGUUAAGCGUGAAGGGCUAACGGUCUAGAAACCAAAGUGAUAUUUUACAGUACGAACGUCUUUAUAAAUUUUGUCAAAGUAAUGCAGAGUGUCCAAAAUAAAAGAAGAGAGUGAAAGAGUGAUUAUUCAACCAUUAAAAGGUUUGUUGCCCCACAACUAAAAAAAGGUAAAGUUGAAAGCAUUUUUACUCUACACAUAUAAUUUAUUAUUCACCGUAAUAGUGUAAUUAUGUUUUUGUUAUUUUCAAAAAAAAGUCAAAGGCCUUGGUAUUAAGGGUAUUUCAAUCAUUUCUCACAACCCAUUAGUUAUUAAAGAAUUGAUCAAGAGUAUAAGUGUCUUUUUAUUUUUUUAAAUACAGUAAAAUAACAAGUUUACCCUUGGAAUAAAAAAAUAAUUAAACCAUGCAUCUAGGGACUUUUGGCCUUUUCACUUUGUUUUUUUUAUUACCAGAUUCAUCGAGGGCAAUUUGAUCUCUAACUAAAGGUUAAUUAUUAUUUAAAUGAAAAAAAUUGCAAGUGUAUGUGGCGCACUCGCUAGUGUUUAUGAGGUGCUCACACAUUUUGGUAGGUGUGUGCGGCAUCUUCUAGUGGAAAAAUUACAUCAUUUUCUUGUUGUUAUGGCGUGUGUCGGUGGUGGUGGGCUGAUUUGUCACUGGUAGAGUUUUUUUUCUUCUUCUUUUCUCUCUUCUCCUCUAAAAUAUACAUUUUGGUCCUUUUGUAAAUUUUUUAUAAAUCAUUAAAAAAACAAUAAUUUCUUGUUCUUCAAAUUCCGAUACGGGAGGAUGAUCACCGUAACACUACUCACAUGCGACACAAACAUUAUCAAAUAGUUUAUUGAGAUUUGCUAGAGAUGCUGAAUUCAAGGAAGUUGGUUAGCAACUUCUCAACAUCUAACAUUAAGUUAGUUAGCUACUCACUUCCAACAAUCCUAACCUUCCAUUUCAUCUAUCAGUUUUAAAAACAACAUGAUCUCUAUAAAGUUUCAUGCGAACUUCAUCAAAUAGUUUAUGGAGAUUUGUAAGAGAUGCCAAAUUUAAGGAAGAUAGGUAGCAUUAAUAUACCGAAGUAGUGCAUGUAAAUUUGAUACUGUUAGGCAACAAAUACCGUUAAUUAGGCACCAACUUAGCCUUCCUCUAAGACAUAUUUACAUGAUGUGAACUUCUCAACAUCUAACAUUAAUUUUCUAUAUAAAUUUCAUACCGUUAGGCAACAAAUAGCCUGUACUCACAAAUUUUAGGCAGCCUAAUUCAACUCCUAAUAUUCAAUUAACCUAAUAGCUGAUAUUAUUCUAAAGCUAAAAAACUUAAUAUACUGGAGUACAUGUUGAAAAUUAAUUGUCCAUUUAAUUUUCUAAAUAAAUUGGAUACCGCUACGCAACAACUAGCCUAUGCCCACAAAUUUAAAGCAGCCUAAUCCAACUUCUAAUCUUUAAUUAACCUCAAAGUACAAAAUUAAUUAUCUUCAUCUCUCUCUCUGUCCUAACAAGCAAUGCAUUACGCAAGACUACAAUUAUACUUAUCUAUUACAAGCAUAACCACACACAAAAAAAUUGCAUUUUACCUGCCGGCCCCGUCUAUAAAUUAUACUAUUAUCUCACAAACUUUUGGAGGGUGAACUUAGGCUUGUUAGGGGAAAACAGAAGCUGAGAAUGGCAUCACAAGAGGCAGAAGCAUUUUUCAAAAGCCUAUUUGAAAUAUUCCAACUCUCGCUUGGUUUUGUUGAUUCUAUGGCUUUAAAGUGUGCGGUGGAGCUUAGACUGCCAGAAAUAAUAAAUUCUCACGGUCGUCCAAUCUCUCUGUCCCAAAUAGCUUCAGGUUUCAACUCUUCCUUCAAUCCUUUUCUUUGCUAUUAAAUUAUUAGCGUUACUAUGCAUAUUAUUCUACUGUUGAAAACUACAAAGUCAUUUUGGUAAAUUUAAAUAGUAUAGGUUUUAAGAGUUCAUAAAAUAUUGGUCAAGUAGUUUUGCAUUUAGACGUUUUAUUUUGACCAUUAAAAUGUAGCUCAAGUGAAAAUUAUUUUUCUCCCUUUUCAAAGAAAUGUCAAAUCCGAAUCUCUCCGUUAUAACCCAAAUCUUUUAUGUUAAAUACAUAAACGAUAAAAUUGUGUAAUUGCUCCUAAGAUUAUCCUAGGACUUCAUAUAAAUGUUUCCAAAGCACAACAUAUAUAGCAUUAAUUUCGAAAAUAUUUUAACAUUAUAUUGUUAUCCCUAGCCUCACCAAAGCACAACAUAUAUAGUAUUAAUUUCGAAAAUGAAAUAUGCUGUAUAUAAGUUGCAAUAUACAGAUUUUUUUCUUCUAUCCUUCAUGAUUUCAGGUAUUAACUCACCUAGCUCGGACAUUUCUUAUCUUGCUCGUAUCAUGAGAUAUUUGGUCAGAAAAGAAAUUUUUACUGCACACCCCCCGUCAGAUGGAGGAGAAACACUCUUUGGGCUGAAUCAAAAAUCAAGAAUGCUAAUGCAUGACUCUGAACGAAGCCUCGUUUCUAUAAUAACCAUGCAACACAGUUCAUGGUUCCUAGCAGCGUGGCAUUGCUUGAGCCAAUGUAUCAAAGAAGGUGGAACCGCUUUCUCGAAGGCUCAUGGCUGUGAACUGUGGGAUUUUGCGUCUCGAAAUCCUGAGGUCAAUAGGAUUUUCAAUGAGGCCAUGGCAUGCACAUCAAAUAUCACGAUGAGGGCAAUUUUAUCACAUUACAAAGAUGGUUUCAACAAUAUUAGAUCAUUGGUGGAUGUUGCUGGUGGUAUUGGAGGACAUGUAGCAGAGAUUGUCAGGGCCUACCCACACAUUGAAGGAAUAAACUUCGAUCUGCCACAUGUUGUAGCAACAGCACCAAAAUAUGAAGGAGUUUCCCAUGUUGCAGGAAAUAUGUUUGAGGCUAUUCCUAAUGCUGAUGCAAUUUUCAUGCAGGUCAGUGCCCUGGUAGAAAUUUUAUUGGGGCUCAAAUUAAUAUAACGAUAGAUAAUUCAUCAAAAAAACAACGAUAGAUAUCCUUUCCUUGAGAAUUAAUUUUACAUAUGCUUAUUCCUUCUUUUUUGUAUUUUUACAGCGGAUAUUGCAUGAUUGGACCGAUGAAUCAUGCGUUGAAAUUUUGAGAAAUUGCAAGAAAGCAAUACCUGAAAAAACUGGAAAGCUUAUCAUAGUUGAUAUAGUUCUACCAACAGAUGAUCAUUGUGAUCAAUUUGAUGAUAUAAGAAUGGUAAUGGAUUUAGUGAUGUUUGCACUGACCACUGGUGGGAAGGAGAGAACUGAGCAAGAAUGGAAGAAAUUAUUAGAGGAAGGAGGCUUCUCUCGCUAUAAAAUCAUCAAGAUCCCAGCUUUGGAAUCUAUUAUCGAGGCUUAUCCAGAUCCAGAGUGAAAUAUCAAUUUGUUAGUCAUAAUAAUAUCUUAAAUAAGUAAACUACGCCUGCGAUGCAGCAGUCAAUAAUAAUAUUAGGCAUAAUAAUCCGACCCAUGUAACGCCUUUCCCUAAACUGUAUUCAUAGAUUCUUAAAGCUUUAUAAUAUAUUAUUGAUUAUGAUGGUCGCUUGUGGUUGUAAUCUAUAGAAACUAGAUGAUUAUAUAUAUGUUUUAUAGUAAAGCAAGUAUUUUUGGAUUAGUCUUUACGUAACUGAGACUCGAUCCACCACUCACAGAAAUAGGUCAGCGCCCGAUCACCCCUGGCCUAGGAACGAUUCCAAGAACCAGACUCUUUGAAUCUAGUAACAAUCAAUAUGCAAUAUUACACGAAGAAAAAGAACAUUUUCGAUGUUGAGAAUUGAACUUCGAACUCAAUGAGUUCGAAGCACAUUCUCCUAUAUUGCUCCACAACAAUCUUUGAUGGUAGAAAAUAAUAUAAUGAUAACAAUGGUAAUGGAUUUAGUGAUGUUUGCACACUCCACAGGUGGGAAGGAGAGAGCUCAUCAAGAAUGGAAGAAAUUAUCAGAGGAAAGAGGUUUUCCUCGUGAUGAGGUUUGUGGUAAAGUCAUUAAUAUCCUAGUUUUGACAAUUUAACCCAGCCUUCCAAUGUAAAAGAAUCAUCGUCGUUACUUGCAAAAGGCUCCAUUUUAUCUAUUUAAGGACUCUUUGAUGAUUAAAUUAGAAUCGGUUCAUGGAAAGAUUAAUUAUCCCUUUGAGAAAAGGUUUUUUCUUUAAGAAAUAAUUGUCAUUGUUUAAGAAAAGAGAAAAAAAAUUGAACCUUAGACGGUCAUCUCUUUUUCCUCCUAGCACCUUUGUGAUCCUCAAGUCUAGGUGGAUUCUUUCUAUGGGUAAGAGGUUCGCCUUGGGGAGUGAAACGACAACUAGUACUCAACGUAGCACUCAUAUAGCCUUCUCGACGACUAGCACUCAAUGUAACACUUAUGUAACCUUCUCGAGAUGUGUGAUGACACAAAAAAAUAUUUCAUCCAACAAUAAGGGUGUAGGGUGAAAAAAAAAACUCUUAUUUAUAACCUUAGUUGUUUUUACUUUUGCCUUUACUUUUACUUUUGCCUUUACUUUUACUUCGUCUCAUCAGUAAAAAAAGAGAAAUAAACUACUCUCGUGGAAAAAACCUCAAGUUAUGUCUUCCUUGAUCCGAGACAAACUUGUAUGAAUCAUCCUAAAAUUUUUUUUAAAUGAUCUUUCAUUUUCAACCAGAAUUAAUGGAGCCUAUAAACACUAGACCUAUUUCAAAAAAAAGAAGUGCUUCAGCUCUUCUUUCUUUUAAACAAUUAAGGAAUGGCACGUGGACCCAUUCUAAAUGGGCCAAGCUUGGCUGGGCUAGCAGAGCCUGACCUCUCUCUUCUUUCUUUCUUUUUUUUUCUAAUUUUUUAUUUUUUAAAAAAAAUAAUAUUUUUAUAUUUUUUUUAAAACAAGUUUUUAAUUUAUAUUUCAAUUAAUACCCCCCCUUGUGUUUUUUUUUUUUGCUUAUUUAGCCUUUUAUAAAUAGAGGUUUUUUUAAAAAAAUUAUUUAGUAUGUAUUUAAUUUUUGAAAAGAUUAUUCUACUUCAUUUAUGAAUUUUUUUUUUCAUAUAGAUGGAUUUUAUUUUUUAAAAUAAAAAACAUUUAUUUUUGGAUAAUGUUUCUAAUAUAUGCAUAUUUGUAUAAUAUGUUUUCUUUUAUUUUAUGUGUGUUUGUUUAUGUUAUCACUUGAUUUAAUAAGAAAAUGAUUUUAGUAAAUAAAUUUAUUCAAUACAAGUACGUAAAUGACCCGUGUUGCGAGAUUAAAUAUCUUGAUCUACAUCCAUCUCUUGAUUUUUCCAAUUUUAUUUUUAGUUAACAUUUAUAAUUUUUUUUUCAUUUAUUUACACAAAUGAUUCUUGUUUUAGAUAUGGUCAUAAAAUUUUUGAUUUACAUUUAGGAUUUUUUUAUGUAAAAAGCCUUGUCUAAAAAGUUUGUGUAUUCAAUUUUUUUUUAGAAAAAAAUAAAUAUCGGACUUGAGGGAGAGCAUGUGUCAAAUAUAGCUAGUUAUAACCUAAUCCAUGUAGUUUAUCAAGAUUAAUUAAUUAAUAUAGUCCUACAGUAUCAAAAACUACAAAUAGAUUUCAGAAACNNNNNNNNNNNNNNNNNNNNNNNNNNNNNNNNNNNNNNNNNNNNNNNNNNNNNNNNNNNNNNNNNNNNNNNNNNNNNNNNNNNNNNNNNNNNNNNNNNNNACAUAUCAUCCUCUAGUACAUGUUCAACACCUGAAUCGUAAAUUAUCUGGUCCAUAAGAUUGUGCUUUGCCUAGCACAAAACAUGCAGUUUCUUAACUUCUCAUGAGCAGUCCUCCUAAGGAUUACUGAACCUGGAGUCACCUUGAGGAUAGUAAAAAACAUGCAUUCCAUGAACCUUAUUGAAUGGAAUUCCUCUUUCAAGAACCACUUCAGGUAGACUUUGGUUAUGGUCUUGGAAUAUAAGAGAUGGGAUUAGAAGAAACAUGCUUUUUUGUUCUUUCUAUUUUGAAAGUAUAAAAAUUUAUUACAAAACUGUUUUAAAAAUAAAUUUAUUUUAUAUCUCUAAGAGUUAAUUAUAAUUUAAAUGAAAAAAGUUACUAGUUUGUGUGGCGCACAUGCCAGCGUUUGGGAGGUGCCCGCACAUUUUGGUAGGUGUGUGCGGCAUCUUCUAGUGGAAAAAUGCUCUUCCGCUGUGUUAUUUAAAGCAUAAUUGCGUCCUUUUCUUGUUGUUACGGCGUGUGUCGGUGGUGGUGGGCUGGUGUGUCGGUGGUGGUGGGCUGAUUUGUCACUGGUAGAGCUUUUUUCUUCUUCUUUUCUCUCUUCUCCUCUAAAAUAUACAUGUUGGUCCUUUUGUACAUUUUUCAUAAAUAAUAAAAAAAACAAUAAUUUCUUAUUUUUCCUGCAUCCAAAUCUCGAUACGGGAGGAUGAUCACCGUAACACGUGCGACAUGCGACACAAACAUUAUCAAAUAGUUUAUUGAGAUUUGCUAGAGAUGCUGAAUUCAAGGAAGUUAGUUAGCAACUUCUCAACAUCCAACAUUAAGUUAGUUAGCUACUCAGUUCCAACAAUCCUAUCCUUCCAUUUCAUCUAUCAGAAUUUUAAAAACAACAUGAUCUCUAUAAAGUUUCAUGCGAACUUCAUCAAAUAGUUUAUGGAGAUUUGUAAGAGAUGCCAAAUUUAAGGAAGAUAGGUAGCAUUAAUAUACCGAAGUAGUGCAUGUAAAUUUGAUACUGUUAGGCAACAAAUACCGUUAAUUAGGCACCAACUUAGCCUUCCUCUAAGACAUAUUUACAUGAUGUGAACUUCUCAACAUCUAACAUUAAUUUUCUAUAUAAAUUUCAUACCGUUAGGCAACAAAUAGCCUGUACUCACAAAUUUUAGGCAGCCUAAUUCAACUCCUAAUAUUCAAUUAACCUAAUAGCUGAUUUUAUUCUAAAGCUAAAAAACUUAAUAUACUGGAGUACAUGUUGAAAAUUAAUUGUCCAUUUAAUUUUCUAAAUAAAUUGGAUACCGCUACGCAACAACUAGCCUAUGCCCACAAAUUUAAAGCAGCCUAAUCCAACUUCUAAUCUUUAAUUAACCUCAAAGUACAAAAUUAAUUAUCUUCAUCUCUCUCUCUGUCCUAACAAGCAAUGCAUUACGCAAGACUACAAUUAUACCUAUCUAUUACAAACAUAACCACACACAAAAAAAUUGCAUUUUACCUGCCGGCCCCGUCUAUAAAUUAUACUAUUAUCUCACAAACUUUUGGAGGGUGAACUUAGGCUUGUUGGGGGAAAACAGAAGCUGAGAAUGGCAUCACAAGAGGCAGAAGCAUUUUUCAAAAGCCAAUUUGAAAUAUUCCAACUCUCGCUUGGUUUUGUUGAUUCUAUGGCUUUAAAGUGUGCGGUGGAGCUUAGACUGCCAGAAAUAAUAAAUUCUCACGGUCGUCCAAUCUCUCUGUCCCAAAUAGCUUCAGGUUUCAACUCUUCCUUCAAUCCUUUUCUUUGCUAUUAAAUUAUUAGCAUUACUAUGCAUAUUAUUCUACUGUUGAAAACUACAAAGUCAUUUUGGUAAAUUUAAAUAGUAUAGGUUUUAAGAGUUCAUAAAAUAUUGGUCAAGUAGUUUUGCAUUUAGACGUUUUAUUUUGACCAUUAAAAUGUAGCCCAAGUGAAAAUUAUUUUUCUCCCUUUUCAAAGAAAUGUCAAAUCCGAAUCUCUCCGUUAUAACCCAAAUCUUUUAUGUUAAAUACAUAAACGAUAAAAUUGUGUAAUUGCUCCUAAGAUUAUCCUAGGACUUCAUAUAAAUGUUUCCAAAGCACAACAUAUAUAGCAUUAAUUUCGAAAAUAUUUUAACAUUAUAUUGUUAUCCCUAGCCUCACCAAAGCACAACAUAUAUAGUAUUAAUUUCGAAAAUGAAAUAUGCUGUAUAUAAGUUGCAAUAUACAGAUUUUUUUCUUCUAUCCUUCAUGAUUUCAGGUAUUAACUCACCUAGCUCGGACAUUUCUUAUCUUGCUCGUAUAAUGAGAUAUUUGGUCAGAAAAGAAUUUUUUACUGCACACCCCCCAUCAGAUGGAGGAGAAACACUCUUUGGGCUGAAUCAAAAAUCAAGAAUGCUAAUGCAUGACUCUGAACGAAGCCUCGUUUCUAUAAUAACCAUGCAACACAGUUCAUGGUUCCUAGCAGCGUGGCAUUGCUUGAGCCAAUGUAUCAAAGAAGGUGGAACCGCUUUCUCGAAGGCUCAUGGCUGUGAACUGUGGGAUUUUGCGUCUCGAAAUCCUGAGGUCAAUAGGAUUUUCAAUGAGGCCAUGGCAUGCACAUCAAAUAUCACGAUGAGGGCAAUUUUAUCACAUUACAAAGAUGGUUUCAACAAUAUUAGAUCAUUGGUGGAUGUUGCCGGUGGUAUUGGAGGACAUGUAGCAGAGAUUGUCAGGGCCUACCCACACAUUGAAGGAAUAAACUUCGAUCUGCCACAUGUUGUAGCAACAGCACCAAAAUAUGAAGGAGUUUCCCAUGUUGCAGGAAAUAUGUUUGAGGCUAUUCCUAAUGCUGAUGCAAUUUUCAUACAGGUCAGUGCCCUGGUAGAAAUUUUAUUGGGGCUUAAAUUAAUAUAACGAUAGAUAAUUCAUCAAAAAAACAACGAUAGAUAUCCUUUUCUUGAGCAUUAAUUUUACAUAUGCUUAUAUAUUCCUUCUUUUUUUGUAUUUUUACAGCGGAUAUUGCAUGAUUGGACCGAUGAAUCAUGCGUUGAAAUUUUGAGAAAUUGCAAGAAAGCAAUACCUGAAAAAACUGGAAAGCUUAUCAUAGUUGAUAUAGUUCUACCAACAGAUGAUCAUUGUGAUCAAUUUGAUGAUAUAAGAAUGGUAAUGGAUUUAGUGAUGUUUGCACUGACCACUGGUGGGAAGGAGAGAACUGAGCAAGAAUGGAAGAAAUUAUUAGAGGAAGGAGGCUUCUCUCGCUAUAAAAUCAUCAAGAUUCCAGCUUUGGAAUCUAUUAUCGAGGCUUAUCCAGAUCCAGAGUGAAAUAUCAAUUUGUUAGUCAUAAUAAUAUCUUAAAUAAGUAAACUACGCCUGCGAUGCAGCAGUCAAUAAUAAUAUUAGGCAUAAUAAUCCGACCCAUAUUGUAACGCCUUUCCCUAAACUGUAUUCAUAGAUUCUUAAAACUUUAUAAUAUAUUAUUGAUUAUGAUGGUCGCUUGUGGUUGUAAUCUAUAGAAACUAGAUGAUUAUAUAUAUGUUUUAUAGUAAAGCAAGUAUUUUUGGAUUAGUCUUUACGUAACUGAGACUCGAUCCACCACUCACAGAAAUAGGUCAGCGCCCGAUCACCCCUGGCCUAGGAACGAUUCCAAGAACCAGACUCUUUGAAUCUAGUAACAAUCAAUAUGCAAUAUACAUNNNNNNNNNNNNNNNNNNNNNNNNNNNNNNNNNNNNNNNNNNNNNNNNNNNNNNNNNNNNNNNNNNNNNNNNNNNNNNNNNNNNNNNNNNNNNNNNNNNNNNNNNNNNNNNNNNNNNNNNNNNNNNNNNNNNNNNNNNNNNNNNNNNNNNNNNNNNNNNNNNNNNNNNNNNNNNNNNNNNNNNNNNNNNNNNNNNNNNNNNNNNNNNNNNNNNNNNNNNNNNNNNNNNNNNNNNNNNNNNNNNNNNNNNNNNNNNNNNNNNNNNNNNNNNNNNNNNNNNNNNNNNNNNNNNNNNNNNNNNNNNNNNNNNNNNNNNNNNNNNNNNNNNNNNNNNNNNNNNNNNNNNNNNNNNNNNNNNNNNNNNNNNNNNNNNNNNNNNNNNNNNNNNNNNNNNNNNNNNNNNNNNNNNNNNNNNNNNNNNNNNNNNNNNNNNNNNNNNNNNNNNNNNNNNNNNNNNNNNNNNNNNNNNNNNNNNNNNNNNNNNNNNNNNNNNNNNNNNNNNNNNNNNNNNNNNNNNNNNNNNNNNNNNNNNNNNNNNNNNNUUUUCUUCCUUGUUGGGAAAAGGUUGGCUUGUCCACAAAAUAUUUAUGUCCCAUCAUGAUAAAAUAACUUUGUCCUAUCAUGAUAAAAUAUCUCUAAUCCAUUAGUAUAAAAUAUCUUUACUUUACGUUCCAAUCAAGAUAAAAUAUAUAUGACCUACAGUCCUAUCAGGAUAAAAUAUCUUUGUUCCAUCAAAGGGCCUUUAGGCUCAACACUUGGUUGAACCUAGGGACAAGGGGUUUAGCAACUCGUCAAACUAACAGGCAUCUGGACUUAGUGCUUGGCUAAGCUCAGGGAUAAUGGAUCAUAACCCUUUUAUGGUCAGUCAUUUGGAGAGCAGUUUCAAACAAAUGAAAAAAAGCAAUAAAUGAUGAUCCAUCAGUAGCCCCUCAAAUCUUUGGAUAUUAUACGCAAAGAUUUUCAAAAGUCUUUGCACGUAGCAGGUGAGAACCUUUUUAUCUUUCUUAUAAGAUCUUUAUGCAUCCCUCCUAGCACCUUUGUGAUCCUCAAGUCUAGGUGGAUUCUUUCUAUGGGUAAGAGGUUCGCCUUGGGGAGCGAAACGACGACUAGUACUCAAUGUAGCACUCAUGUAGCCUUCUCGAUAACUAGCACUCAAUGUAGCACUUAUGUAGCCUUCUCGAGAUAUGUGAUGACACAAAAAAAUGUUUCAUCCAAUAGUAAGGGUGUAGCGCAAAACAAAUCUUUUAUUUAUAACCUUAGUUGUUUUUACUUUUGCCUUUACUUUUACUUCGUCUCAUCAGUAAAAAAAAAGAGAAAAAAACUACUCUCGCGGAAAAGACCUCAAGUUAUGUCUUCCUUGACCCCAGACAAACUUGUAUGAAUCAUCCUAAAAAAAAAUUUAAAUGAUCUUCCAUUUUCAACUAGAAUUAAUGGAGCCUAGAAACACCAGACCUAUUUCCAGAAAAAGAAGUGCUCCAGCUCUUGACAAAGAGUUCAGGUUUCAGCCAGAACCUGAAAAGAGCAAUAAUGGAAAUAGGUCCCUCAUAUUAGGCCCAAUUGAGAAUAAUUAGGAGGCUUGACCUUUAGUUUAGCCAAUCAUUUUCUAUUUAUAUGUGUAGGACAAUAUACAAUAGUUAAGAUAGAGAAUACAAUACUAGAGUAGUGCCUAUAAUAUUUUCUAUAUAGUAUACAUUCUAUAAUAUGUCCUCUCAAGCUGAGGCUAGAGGAUUGACCCGAAGCUUGAAACAAAAGGCAAUAAAUGAAGCAGUAGGAAGUGGCUUAGUAAAGACAUUUGCAAGUUGAUCCUAAGAGGAAAUAAAAUGAAUUUGAAUCUCCUUCUUUACAACUCUAUCUUGGACAAAAUGAUAAUCAACCUCAACAUGUUUUGUGCGAGCAUUAAAAACAGGAUUCGUAGAUAAAUAAAUGGCACCAGAUUAUCACACCGAAUGUUAGGAGUUGAAACAGAAGGAAUUUAAAGAUAUGUUAAUAAAUAUCGAAGCCAGAUAACCUCAGCAGUGCCAUCUGCUAAGGCUUUGUACUCAGCUUCAGUAGAGGAGUGAGCAACUGUACGUUGCUUUCCUGAUUUCCAUGAAAUUAGCGUCUGACCAAAAAACACAGGAUAAUCACCCGUAGAUUUUUUAUCAGCAAUACUACCUGCCCAAUUUGCAUCUGUAAAGCCAAGUAAUGCAAAGGAAGAACUACGAGUAAUAUGUAGGUCAUGUGUUGUCGUACCCUUAAGAUAACUAAACAAGUGUUUGAAAAGGACAUAGAGACCAUCAUUACUCUGACCGGAAAGGAGAACUUCCUUGGUGAUGAGAUCCUUGACAUAAAACACAGAAGCGUAAAAUUUUAAAUAAACAUAAUUAUCACGAUAGAAUUUUUGAACAGAUAACAAUGGUUUGAUAAUAUGAGGCACAUGAAGAACAUUAGAUAAUGUAAAAAUACGUUUUAGGGAAUGUAACGUGGUAUGUCCAAUAUGUGAUAUGUCCAGACCCUUACCGUCACAAACAUGCAAAUGAUCAUUACCAAGAUAGGUUGCAAAACGGUCAGAGUUGCAAGAUCAGGUGUGACAUGUUAAUUCGCACCAAUGUCGGGGAACCAAGUCACAGCAGAAACGUUACCAACAGCAAGGUGAGCAGAGGGCUGUUGGGUACUGCCACGAAACUAGGAACAAUGAGGAGUUGUGUGAUUGAAAUUGGAGCACAAUUGGCAUAGGAUAUUCUGUUGUCCAUACCACUAUCCAGCCCCUGUGUUGCGCCUAUUCUGCUACCAAUUGUUUGGCCUCCAGUCAGCAGCAGAUUGGAACAUGUUCUGGUGAUUGUAGUGGUUGCUAUUGGGACGCCAAAUGCCAUGAGAAAACACCCUGGUAUGACUGAAAUUUAAGUUGUGAUGAGACAUAACAAGAUGAGCAGAGGGUUGUGGUGUUGGCAGCAGUGGUGGCUACAGCAGCAGAGAUGAAGACAACAGAGGGAUUUGCGUCCAUGAAAUGAAGGGAGUUCUUAUGCAGAAAUUCAUGGGUAAAAAGGUGGUUGUGAAGGUUAGCAUACGAUAAUGGUUCUGUCUUGGUUAUAAGACUCGUUACUAAGUCUUUGAACUCACCACGAAGGCUACAAAACACAUAUAGAUAAAAAUCUUUAAGAGACAUGUUCCGGCCAGCAACAACCAAUUAGUCAAAUAACGAUUUGCCUUGCUACUGUAUAUAUUAACCGAUGAGUCACCUUUCCGAAGAUCUUGAAAAGAAUCAUGGAGUUGCGUGAUGCGAGAAAUAUAUUUAGAUGUAGGAGCUUUCUCAAAAGUGCACCAAACACAUUGCGAGGUAUGGCAAUCUACCAUAAGAUGCAACACAUCUAUAGAGAGAGAGAGAGAGAGGAGAAUAAUACACUCAAAAUAAGUUGAUCCUAUUGUUUCCAACAAAGAAAAGAAGGGCUGAUUAUAGAGGAAGAACCAACAGAACCGUCAGAAACAUGAGAUGGAUGACAUGGCAGUAAGCCGUCAACGAAGUGAAAAACACCUUGACCAAGAAGAUAGGGCUUCAUCUGCAUUCGUCAAAAAAGAUCAUUUGUGUUCAUAAGUUUUAACGUAACAACUUGGUGGGUGUUAGAUAGAGCAAUGAUAGCUAGAGUUUGUGCUCCCAUAAAGUGUAGAGAAACGAUAGAAACAUGCGAGGGGGAAUCAUUGACGUGUUCUGCAAGCGAAGGGUGUUGCUGUUGUGGAAGAACACCACUGGCAGCAGCUUGUAGAUGGUUAGCUGACUAGGCUGCACCAUCGAUGGUGAGGGAGAAGUCGGCGGCAACAGCAGUAGAGUCCAUUUAGGAGAGGGAGAGAAAAGGUCAGCUGCAAGGUGGAGAGGAAGAGAAAAGUCCUGAUGGCAGAAGGCUUUGAUACCAAGUUGAGAAUAAUUAGGAGGCUUAACCUUUAGUUUAGCCAAUCCUUUUCUAUUUAUAUGUGAAGGGCAAUAUACAAUAGUUAAGGUAGAGAAUACAAUACUAGAGUAGUGCCUAUAAUAUUUCCUAAAUAGUAUACAUUCUAUAAUAGGCCCUAAGGUUCGAGGGAAUGCCAUAUUGGCAUUGUUUUCUAGUGGAGAGAAGAGAAGAUCCUCUUGUAGGGAUCCAUUUGCUUCUCCUACUAGAGGUGCUCAAAAGAAGGGGUCCCGUAAAAGUCCCUCCCUUAUCCUUACCAAAGACCCACAUGAGAGAGAACGAGAGAGAGAGAGAGAGAGAGAGAGAGAGAGGUUGCCUCAUACCCCUAAGAAUGAUGUCCCUAGCAACAUUUGCACCGCAGAAGUGGAAUUCAUGGCUCGUCAAUAACCUGGUGAGUACAUUGCCCAGAUGCCUCUCUCUAAUGAGCAUAUCAGCAAAAUGACCCUGGGAACCUUCCAGAGUCUCUUCAAGAUCACUACCCCCAUUAACAUGUACAUGAUAGGGUAUUAUUUCUCUCUCUAGAGAUUAGUGACGGAUGUGUUUAGCUACAAUCAGCAAAGCUUAGGCCAACUACAUCCUAGCAGGUCAUCACUCGUGCCUUUUUUUUUAAGACUUUUGUAGAAUGGUUGGGUUUGAGCCCACUGUAAAAGCCUUUUGAAGAAAAAAGAUGUUGUAAGAGCUGAACUACAGAGUAUCAAGGUGGUCUAUUCCAAAUUGAAGGUAAAUACAAGCUAGCUUAUGAUAGUAAUUCAUAGAAAAGAAGAUAUAUAUAUAGAGAGAGAGAGAGAGAGGGGGGGGAUAUUUUUGGAUCAACAUAGUUAAAAAGUGAAAGGUGAUGGGAGGAUACUUUUCCCUUUUUUUUCUUUGGGAAAUAUAUGAGAAAAUAAAUUAUUACUUGAACUUCGAAAAUGUCACACUCGAACUCAAAAUUAAAUACUGGUUCUUACGAAGAUAUAUAUUAACUAGAUUUUUGUAUUGAACACUAGAUUUGACAAAGCGAUAAAAUUAUUGAUAGAGCUCCCAUUUGGUCCAAUGGCUUUCUUUGCGAGUUGUUUAAGUGCUCUUAUAUUCUCCCUCAUUUUCUGCCCCCCCUCGUGUGAAAGAAUUUUAUUCAAACUAUUUAACACCUCAAGCUUUGUAAAGACUCCAUCCUCAACUUUGAGACCAAUCUCCCACACAUCCUCUAUCAUGCGUCCAUUGAGCCUUUGAUCGCCAAAAAAGGGCCUACAAAUCAUUGGCACUCCUCCGGCAAUACUCUCUAGCAAUGAAUUCCAUCCACAAUGAGUUACAAACACCCCAACUGCUCUAUGUGCCAAAACUUCCAAUUGAGGACUCCAUGGUACCACAAGUCCCUGUGAGGUGGUUCUGUCCAAGAAUCCAUGGGGCAAAUGUACCUUUGAGUUGUCCUUAAGUGACCAAAUAAACGGCGUCUCACUUGUUUCAAGGGCCUCAGCUAGUGCCACAAGUUCAUGUGGUGGUGGUGUUGUGACGGAGCCAAAGCUAACAUAUGCUACCGAAGCAAGUUUUUGCUUGUCAAGCCAUGUCAUGCAACCAUAUGUGUCUUCCAUGGGUGGUGGUGAUAAAAUCAAAUGGGAGGGUCCAAUGUUGAGAAAUUUUUUGAAUCUAGACUUCAAGUCCUUUAUUGUGCCAGGAUCUAGCUCUUCAAAGGAGUUAAUGAAGACUGCAGCUGCUUGCGGUAACGCUUUUCCCAUUUUAUGUAGCAUGUUUGAAAAGAAUGAUUCUGUGUUUCCAAAGAGUACACCUUCUGGCAAAUCACAGAUUCGAAUCUUGGACAUUCCUUGAAUUAAACUUAUCGUUUUAUCUUCACGCCCUACCAUACCUAUAUUUACACAAAGACAUUGUUAAUCUCUCCCAAGAAAUUGAGAUCAAUAUUAAUUAUCCAUUUGCUUUUGUACUUAUUUCCAAUGUUCUUAAUUUGGCUACAAUUAAGGUGACAAAUUAUCACUAUUUUAAAUCUAGAGACCCGAGUGAUUUGGGAUAUAGACCAUGCCAAGUUUCGAUAAAAAAUAAAAAGAGAAUUGUCCCGAUAAAAAUAUCGGGUUAUUGAUAUAUGAACAAGCAGGCGAUGAACAAAACUAUUUAUUUUGAUAUUUCUAAUAUUAUAUUAAAAAGUUGUUUUAAUUAAAAAAAAUUAAGGUGAGAUCAUGAAAUAUAACUUUAUAUUAAUCUAACAAAUUUUGGCAAGAAAAUUAAUUAAAUUAUAAUUACUAUGUGACUGUGUACCUCCAUCUCCAAAAGUCUCCCUGAUGAGAUCAGUGUAAACAUGAGCAGAAAGUGAGUUAGGUCCUGCAGUCCAAAAGGGCAGCCAGCCCACCCCAAUCUCCUCCGCCAUCUCACAAGCGAACCAAAAGAAGGCAUCACUCACCAGACAACUCACCUUUCUCCCCGUCUCCGACACGGCUACCUCCAUGGCCUUCUUGAGGCUCUCACGAGCUGACUUCAUGAACAGCUCAAUGUGCUCUUGGGGAUUCCCAGAAAACACGUAGCCCUCGGGGGCACCAUCCCACACUUCGUAUGCUUUGAUGUUGGGCUGCAUAAUAUUCAUCUUUUUCUUGUAAAUGGAGAAGAUGGAACUGUUGGAUUGUUGGGUGCUGAAGAAGGAGAAGUGUGUGUUUGGAGAGGCAGUGGCUAGGCGGUGGAUGAUGGCGAGUAAUGGAGCGGCAUGGGUUCCGAAAGGGAAGGCGAAGACUGCUACAUGAUCGGACAUUGUCAGGCGUACUUGAGAGACACAGACAGAGAUGGCGUUUAGUAGUUCACUCCUGUGGUUGGUUAAGUUGGUUGGAGGUAUAAAUGUGCGUCUAAUCAUGUACAAUGGACGCAGAUAUAAAGAAGGGAGAAGGUUGUCUAAAAGGUAAGUGCAUUUAUGUGUACAGAAAGGCAGCAGCAGGAGAGGCUUUUGCAUCCAAUGUUUCUGAUGAUGUCGUCAUCCCCAUUGCAGAUUGGUAGGUGGUCGUUUGUUAGAAAUGGCAGCUAACGUGGAAGCAGUGUGUUCACUGUAUUUUGUUUUAAUUAUAAACUUAAAUGUAAUUUAUUUAUUAUUUUUUAAUUUAUUUUUUAAACUGUAAGCGAUCAUGAACUCUUGGUGUGAGGCCACAGUUGGUAAGGAGUAAAGAGUACAUGGCCAAGUUUCAUAUUCUUCAUUUAUUACUCAUAUUUAAGAACUAAAUCUAAGUGAAAAGGGAUGCAACUUAAUUUUGUAAAAAACUAAAAAUAUUAAUUCAGUUUAAUUAUAGAUUAAGUGUAUUUGGUAAUUUUCUUGAUUCUAUGAAAGCAAUAAAUUAAAGUCAACUUUCAGAGAAUCUUAUAGAUAUUUGUGUUGAUACACAUAGGUUUAAUAAUCAGAUUUAUGACUCAUUAAUGUAAUUAUACACUGUAUUAAAAGGAAACUUACAGUACAAAUGACAAAUCCAUAAUGUUUUUCUAAUUUCUUCACUCUAAUGGUCCCUGUAGCAAUGGUAAAUAUGUGAUUUUAUGUGAUUUUUUAUAUAUAAAAUUCUUUUCUUUACUCUUAAUCUAUUUAUCACUAUUUUUUUUUUGUUUGUAUCUGUAUUCAUUAAUUGUUUUGUAAAACAUUUGUAAUUUGAUAGAUUAUUAAUAUAUUUAAAAAUAAGAGUGAAAUCAAAAAACAUUUAUAAUUUGAAAGAUUAUUUAUAGAUUAAAAAUUAUAGAGGAGUGAAAUUCAAAAACAUUUAUAAUUUUAUAACUUAUUUAAAAAAAAUAGUGAUCAAAAGCAUGGUGACCAAAUGUGAAGGAAAAAACAAUUGCAAGAGCUAUUUUGAAAUUUCGUAGGAGAUGGCGCAAAAUUCAAGGAGGAGAAAAAAAAAAGGGCAUGUGAUGCCAAAUCAACAGCACGUUAGGUGCACACACCACACCACCGUGUUCAGGGCGCUACGGUUUACCAAACACCACCACAGAAGGUGGUGUUUAGUGGUCGGACAGCCCCACACAUGCUGCUUGAAUGAUGUAGGGGCCAUCAACACGUGCCAUUUUUUUUUAAAAAAAAAUAAUAUUUAAUAUAUGACUAUUACAAUAAUAUCCCCAAGCAACCUCUAAAUCUAUAACAAAACCAAUGUCAGAUGACCAAAAAACUCUUACAGGAGAAUUGUGUUGUUUUUGUUUUCAAGGGUGUCAGAGUAAUUGCAGUAUUUCAAAAAAAUAAAAUGAUAAAAACUCUAUUGAAUCAAAAGCUUUAGAAUUAUUUAUUUGAAGGCUAAUUUUGUAAUUGUAUGCGCAUUAAAAUAGAAAAUAACAAAUAUAACCUCAUACAAUAUGUUAAAAACAUUUGAGUUAUGAUAAAAAGACAGCUUAAUUCAUUGUUUUUAUUUUUUUCCAAUGAAAAAUUAAUAAUUAUACUAUUACAAUAAAUAGAAAAAUGUGCCUUGAGCUAUAGUAAUUUCAUUAGUUUUUUUCUAAUUGGUCAAGGAGCUUACUUGAUUUAAGAUUCAAUUCAUUGAAUCGUGAGGUAAAGUUGCAAGUCACUAGGUCAUCGAGUGUAACAUUAACGAUAAGAGUAACGUUUCAAAUUAAAAAAUAAAUUGAAAAUGGACCGUGUGGGUUUUGAACCUUGCAACAUAUACAUUAUGUGUGUUGGGCCUAAACACUAAACAACCAAGGCAAGGUAAUGGGCCUUAUUGAAAACAAAUGUGGGAAAUGGCUCCAACCUUGACCAGCUUGUUAUGCAUCCAAUUAGACCAAGUUUUAUAGAAACAAAAAUAAGAAAACAUUAUUUCCGACCUGCCGGAUUCGAACCAGCGACCUAAGGAUGGCCAUCAGGAUUUCACCCACUACAGUCCUCCGCUCUACCAACUGAGCUAAGGUCGGUUUCUAUACACUGAGCAAGGCUAGACUAAUUUAACAAUUAGCAGUUAUGAGAAAGAGUCACCCGUGACGUGAAAGGAGAGAAAGUCAAUAAUUUUUUCAGCCCACAUCUUUUUAUAGUCACAUCUUGAGUUUCAACUUGCAUAUAUCCAUCCAAUCUAAGUCUUUGUUUUUAUUUAUUUGUUUGUUUAUUCACUUUUGUAUUGGUGGAUGGUGAUUUAACCAGGUUCAUGGAUAAAUAAUGUAUUUACACCAACUCUUGUCAAAUGAAGUCCAUAAUUUUAAAAUAUAUUCAAAACAAAAGAAUUCAAAUCAAUUCUAGUAUAGAAUUGACUGCAAACAAGUUGUAAGAAUAAAAUUUAAAAAUACAUAUUAAUCAUUAUAUUUAUAAAAUCCAAUAUUGGAUCUCACAUUAAAAUUAUGAUUGGAUGGCUCGCAAUCUUUUUGAGAAAUUUCCUUGUUUUUAUAGAAAAAUACACAUUUUUUUCAAAAACAAAAUACUAAUAAAAAUUAAAAACUAUUUUCAUUUUAAAAAACAAAAUACUAUAGCUAAAGGCAAAGUAGAAGUGUCUUUUUCAUCUAUGCAAAUCGUUAUUCUCAUAUUCUAAAUAACAUUUUAUUAUUUUUUAGUUUAACGUGGGUGUCCGGGUCAGCUUGCGCGUUCCUCGACUAAUCUCACGGGCCCUGAAGUUAACGACCAUGUAAGCCUUCAGUGGCCAUCAUAUGAGCAACCACAGGGCUCGAACCUGAAACCACAGAGGAAGCAAACCUCUUGGUCCCAAACUCUUACCACUGGGUCACCACCUAGAUAGUUAAUAACAUUUUAUUAUUAUUAUUUUGGGUUGUAGCCGAUGAAAUAAUCAUGGGCGACAAGUACCCGUUCUUCUAUCUCUUAUUUUUUCCUUCUUUAUUUUCUUUUGUUUUUCUAAUAAUUUCACUUUAAUUAUGAUAUCUGAUAUUUUUAAUAUUUCAAAUAAUUAUGGAUUUAGUUCUAUAUGAUCUAAAAUUUGUGGUUUUACUUCUUUUCCUCCCUAUAUGCUCCACAAUUUUAAAAUAUAUUUCGAAGGUUGGUUUGAAGAUAUAUAUAUGUAUGGUUUGUGGAUUUAUAAUCUUAAUUGAAUUUCAAAUGAAGUAGUCAUCGAAUUUGUCAAUGAAAAAAGAUUUUAGGAACCGAUUAUAAACUUGUGAAUUCUAUCGAUUAGUAUAAAGAAUCAAUUUAAUCUAAAAAUUUAAAAUAUUAGAUAAGAUCUUAAGAUAUAAUUUAUAUUAUAAACUUGCUAAUUCUAUCAAUUAGAAGUAGUAUUGUGGUUCAUUUCUCCAUUGAUAAAUUGCGGCAAAAAUAUUUAUGAUUUUAAAAUUCAUAAAAAAAAUAUUAAUUUAAUUUAACUUCUCGUUUUACUAAUAUAGCAAUUUAUAUAAGAACUAAAAUUGACAAAUAUGUUAUACUCUAGCUUAUUGUAGUUUAUUGCAUCUUUGUUUGCUGGGGGUGAUUUAGUCAAGAUUUUUAAGUUGAAUUUGCGUGUAAGAAACUAUUGUAGUUAUGUAAGAGAAUCACAAUUUUAUCAUGGAUGAAGAAAAUGUCGUUCCUUUGGCCAUAGGCAACCCCCUCUCUCUUUCUCUCCUCUCUUUCUCUUCUAAAUAUUGUUCUUGCCUUGGCUUUACUUGGCUCUGUAUUUCCCAGCUCUCAUCCAUGCUUUGUUUUACAUAAAAAAUUCUUUCUAUAAAUUAAAAAGUCUGUGUGCGAGCAUUAUAAUUAAAUAACUUGAUAAUUAUCUAUGUAAAUAAAUUAAAUAAAAAAUUAUUAAUGAUAACUAAAAAUAUUUAAAAAAUCAAAAGAUAAAUAUAGAUUAAGUUAUUUAUUCUUACAACAUGGAAUAUUUACCUAGUUAUAUUUACUAAAUUUGUUUAUUAAAGUUAAUUUUUUAUUCAAGUGCGUUUAAUAUAUAUAUAUAUAUAUAUAUAUAUAUAACAAAUAACUUGGGUUAUAGAUCCAUCUAAGUUUAAUAAUUAGACCUUAAAUAAAUAGCCAACAAUUGCAAAUGAACAAGAUUUUUAUAUAAAAAGGGGGGGGGGGGAGUUAAUCUGCAAAACAUUUAACUCGGAUCAUGAGAUCGGAUAACACAAUAGAAAAAACAAUUAAAGAAAACUAUAAAACCAAUUUUUAAAAAAAUUAAAAAAAAUGAGCAAAUAAAAUAGAUGUCAACCCGCAUUAAUUUUUCAAACCCGUAACUCAGGUCAUUAGACCAUAAGCACCAUAAAAAAAAAAUCAUGAAACUCAAUUCCUAGCAAAUCAAACGUUGAAGGAUAAAAUUGAGGAAAAAAAUCAAUUACAAAAAAAGAUUUAAAAUUAAAAAAUAAAAUUAAAAUAAUAAGGGUAAAAAUUAAAAUAAAAAAUAAAUUAGAGAGUAGCUAAAUUUUUUUUAUUAGAGGUUUAAAUUGAAAAAAAAAACUUUAACUAAAACAAAAGGAAUGAAAAGAAUGAGGAUCAAAUUGAAAAAAAAUACACCAUAAAGUUUUAUUGAAUGAUGAAAUUGAAAACCAAUAAAACUUUAACAAAAAAGUCAAGAAAAGAAAUAAAAAUCAAAAGAAUAAGGACCAAAUUGAAAAAAAAAUGACAAAUUGUAAUUGAAUGACUAAAUUGAAAACAAGCAAAACUUUUACAUAAUGGGCAAAAACAAAAAUUAGAAAUCAAAAAAAUGAGAACUAAAAUUGAAAUAUAAAAAACAAAGAGUAUCAGUGUGUACUUUUUAAGGAAGAAGAGAGAAAAGAAAAAUAAAAAAAAAACUAGGAGAAAGAGGACGCAACGUCGCUUCUAAGUUCUAACAACAUGAUGGAAAGUCAGAUAUGGCCACAAAAAAGCGCCAAUAAUUUUUUGAAUUAAAAAAUUAAAAAAUCAACAUUAAAAAAUCAAAAUAUCCUCCAUUAAUAUGAAAUAACAAAAAAAAAAUCAAUGAAAGGAUGAGAUUGCCUAUGUAUUUAUGUCUUAUUUGUUUCUGACUUAAAAAUAUCUUUUUAUUCUGUUUUAAAAAAUAUAAAGAUAAAAAUAUCAUUAAUCAAAAGUUUUUUUUUUUUAAUAACCAAUGAGUCAUUAAAAAUUACAAUAUUACCCCAAUAUCAAGAAUUUGAAUGAUAAAAUUAUAAUUUUACUGUAACAAUAAAUAGUUUCUGUGUCUAAUUUCACCAUCCCUUUAAGAGUGUGUCUAAUUUAACAAUGUUGUUAAGAAAAUAUUUGAAAAUAUAAUAAUAAUUAUGGUUUAAAGUAUUUAAAAAUAUAUCAAAAUAAUAAAAAUAAAAUACAAAUCUUAUUAAUGACUCUUCCAGUACUAACAACUAACUACCAUCCUUUAGAAUGCUGCCAACAACCACCAUCAAUGUCUAGUUGUUUUCAUUGCAUUUGGUACAUAGCUGAAUUGUAAGGUAGGUCUGUGUAAUAAAUUUUCCUGUCAUUAAUUGUGUUUUGUUUUUAAAAAAGAGGAUAAUUUAUCAAUCAAGCAUCACUUGCGAACACAGUACAUGAGAAAUCACCAAAUUAACCUAUCAGAUGGGUCUUAUAACAAUGAUUUUGUCGUGUUGUUCAGUUUAUUAGUGGGUCUGUUUCCAAUAUUAUUUUAUUUGGAAUUCAAAAAGAAAACUAAAAACAUAUUUUAUAAACAAACCAAUUUAGAGAUAUGUGGAUGAGUGGUUUAAAAUAUGAUUAUUAGAAGAAAUUUAAUUUUCAUGUAUGAAAGUUAAUCCUAUUUAAUUUUCAUGUAUGAAAGUUAAUCCUAUCAUACUUCAUCGUAAUAAAAAUGAAAAAAACUAGGGUGCUUCGUAAGUCCAAAGAAACCCAUGUUUGAGUGAUAAUGAUACAAUUUUUUGGAUCAAAACUCAUGAAUUUUGAACAAUUGCUGGUUUUAUCAUAACUCCAGGUAUUAUUUGUUUUUGUAUUUUAAAAGUGUUUUUGAAAAAAAUUAAAUUUUUUUUAUUUCAAAUUAAUAUAUUUUUUUAUGUUUUUAAAUUAUUUUAAUGUGUUAAUGUUAAAAAUAAUUUUAAAAAAACAAACAAAAUUUAUUUCAAGUGAAAAACAAUUUGAAAAGCAACCGUUACCACACUUUAAAAAAUAGCUUAUAUGAAUAGUAAGGAGCUCCUCCUUUAUAAAAAAAAAAUUAUAUCCUUCAUUUUUUUUUAUCUUAUGGUUGAAUCUUUUUUAGUUUUUUUUUUUUAUCUUUUAAUAUUUUGUUAAUUCUAAAUUGUUCUUCAUAAUUUAUUUUGGUUUGUUUUUUAUGAUUUUAUCGUUGUCUCAAACAAAUUUUCUAAUAUUUGGAUAAUGCUUAAUUUUUCGAGCGCCUAUAUCAAUUUAAUCAUUUUUAACUUCUUUUUUCCCCUCAAUUUCAUUCUUUAAUGUUUCUUUGAUUUUCUAAUAUUUGGUUAAUGCUUAAUUUUUUGAAUGCUUAUAUCAAUUGAAUUAUUUUUAGUUUUUUUUUUUUCAAUUUCAUUCUUUAAUAUUUUUUUGAUUUUGAAUUCGUCUUCAUAAUUUAUUUUUUGAAAAAAAAUAAACGGAAUCAUAAGGAAGAGAACACAUUAAAAAAAAUCUAGAGCAAAGGAACCAAAUAAAAAAAAUAGUAAAGGAAUCACAUUAAAAUCAAAAGUAAUUGAUCCAAAAUAUAAUGUGCUUUACUUUCUAAUGUUCAUUGGCAACGUGUAACAAGUGAUCUUGCAUCUGACAUAUUCGUUGAGAGUAAGAUAAUUAAAGAAGUCUAUCAAAAAACUAGAAAAAGUUGUCAAAAGCUAGAGAGUUGAUGUCAUAUUCAUAUAGCAAUCAAGAACAAAGUUAUUGCAUGAUGUUGCGGGGAAAAGUACCUUAAACCUAGCUAGAGCAACAACAUUGGUCUAAGCCUAAGCAAUGAAAAAUUGUCAGUUUUUUUUUAAAAUAAUAUCGUUUUAAAACUGUGUUAAAUUUUAACUAGCAAUCAAGAACUUUGGUAAGUAAGAUUCAGAAAAGAAUCAAGAUAAAGAGACUGAGAGUCUAAAAAGAUUUUGCAACCAAACAAAUACAAAUUGAUGGAGAUGAAAAGUUACCAAUCCCACAAAAGAUUUGGGACCUUACACUUGGUGGAAGUGAGAAACCACGCAUGAAAGCUCAUCAAAUAAAGCAAAAGAAGAAGAGGAAGAAGAAGAAGAAGACAAGAGGGAUAGGUGCAUAAACUAUAAUUAAGUCGUUCCUUAAAAGCUCAAAGCCUCAGUAAUGGAGGUCUCUAGCCCAAUCUUACUAUUAAUUUGUUACAGGGCGUUUGUGAUCAAUGGAUUGCUUUAUCUUUUAGGAUUUAGUCAGAACUGGUGGAGGGACCGAAAGAAUGGAUGAGGGUUGGAUGACAAAUAAAGAAUUUAAUUCUUUAUUUCUUUCUCGUAAUGCAAAAUAAAUAUAUGUUUUUAUUCCUUUUAUAUUAUAUUUUUUAAUGUGUUUUGAGCUUAUUUGAAAUUAUUUUUAUGAGUUUGAUAUGCGUAAGAGAUUUUAUGAAUUAAUUACUAAAAGAUAAAAAUUUCUACAUUUUAUGUUUCGGAUCUUACUUCUUGUGACAGGUUUUUCACCUAGUUAUAAUUUCAGAAUAUGAAUGUGGGCUAGAUAAAAGUUAAAGUACAAAUAUGAAGCUUUUCAGGAAGGUAUUAUGAGCAAAAAUCUGAGUUCGUUUGGACUUUUAAUCAGACCUGUAAAAUCGAGUUAAAAUCCUACUUGCAGCAAGAUUCUCUACUUUCAUACUAAAUAUUCUAACGAGCAUAUCUUGAACCUCAUAUAUCAAAAUCAUGCGGUGCAAAAACCUAUAAUCAUCUACACAUCUAAGACUAAAUACUUUAUAAAGGAUGCCAGGCCAGAUAAAAAAAAAAUUAAAGCGAAAAUUUGGAAGCAAGCUUAAGGACGAGAUUAGUUUUCUAAUUUGAUGAGGAAACUAAAAGUAAGGAGAUCCAUCUUGAGAAGGAAUCUGAAGGAUUGUUUUAUACAUCAUUUAACCUCCUUAUCUUUAGCCUUGAUCUUAUCAUGAAAGUUACCUAUUAAGAUACAAAAACAGGGGAAGACCAACUGGACGGGUGGGUUUUUUUUUGCUGCUGGAAUUUGGAGAGAGAUUAUCUUGAAUGCUGGAACUUUCAAAAAUCAUUAGCAACUAAUUUCUAAUUUCGGUUCAAGGGGAAUAUAUAGACAAGGGGAAUAUAUAGACAUCAUCUCCAUUAUUAAGUUGCAAGAAGUAAUAUUAUUAUUGUAAUUCUUUUAUAUUCAAGUACUUAUUUAUUCUUAUUUUAGAAUUAUGUUAUUGAUUUAUAUUCAUGGUUAUUGAAUUGUUUUGAGAUGAUAUAUAUGUGCCUUUUAGUUUCUUUCAAUCCGUAAUUGUUGUUAGGGACUAGAAUAAGAAGCAAAAGAGUUAACUUGAUUGUUGCAACUAUCAUUUUAAUUUCUUAGGGAGGAAUAAGCUAAAUUAAAUUGUUCAAGCUUUUGAAUGGUUGCUUAGAAUAAAUUUUACAGACUUUGCUCCUAAAGCUACUACCAAGCGAAUUAAAAUUUUUUUUCAAUAUUAAAUUUGUUUGAUGGAAAGAAACUAAUUAAAAAGCUUUAUCCAAUUAAUUUACUCAUAAUCUCCUUGAUUUCUCUUAACUUUAAAGGACAUUGAAUUUAUUUGCUUGAAUUGAAAGAAUAUUUAUUUUACUUUGAUAGUCAACAGAUUUAUAAGAGUGGAUGUCUAGACAUUUGAAUUGAGUUAACGAUAUAUCGAUUUAUCAUUUUUAUUGUCAGAAUUUCAUUUCUUUAAUUAUUAAAAUCCCCUCAUUUUAUUUAUUUCAGUUUCUUGCAGGUAGAUUAAACAAAAUUUUCCUUGAAUUCAACUUGGUUUUCACAAAAAUACUAUAAAUUUAUUUUGUUUGUGAUAAUAAAAUUAUAAUUAUAUUUUAAAGGUUUCAACGACGGGCCAAUUUCUUCAUUGGAAUUUAUUUAAGUUUCUCUUUUUUUAUGGUGAAAAAAAAACACAAAAAAUCAACUGUUUGAGUUAGGUCUGAGUGGUUGGAGGAUUUCACCCCUGCCGAUUGGGUCAAGCUCAAGUGGCUACCCUUCUCUCUCCUUUCUCUCUGUCUUUACUCUCUUUUUUUUACAGAGCAAGCACUGCUUUUAUUGUUAAUAAUAAUUUUAUACCCACACUUGAGCACCAAAAUCAAUGGCAGCAACAACAUCUCAAUCAAUAGCGUGACUCCACUCCUCAUGCUCCACGAGCUAUCUGUAAUUCCAAAUAUCUGCAACCCUACUCACCACUUUUCAUGCUUCACGAGUUACUUGUAACAUCACAUGCCGACGUACCUGCAACACUAUGCUCCACUUUACAUGAAGGAAGAUCGAUGAUAUAAUCUAAAUCUUAAACAUCACAUAGGAAAAGAGGGCAAGAUCAAGUCAAGUAAUUCAAGUCAUUUAAUCAAGAGCUUUACACCAGUUCAUUUAACAAUCAUACACUCCCUAUAAUUUUUUCAUGAUUUCAACGCUUCUCAUUUAGGUGAAUUAAACACUGUUUUAAUCAUUGAAUUUAUCAUUUAAACUUGAUCAAGUAAAAAAGUCUCUAAUUUAACAAAUAUUUUGAAUAUCAUCCAUAGCUUCCAACUAAAAUAAGAUAAAUAAGAAGCGUAAUGCUACUCUUUGUGGAAUAAAGUUCUAAAUUAAUUAUGAAUUAUAUAUCUUGAUAAUUAGCAUCUCCCUUGACAAGAUGGAUCUAAAACGAAAACCAUCGAGUGAUUAGGAUUCUUAGAAAAACUUAACUUAUUCAAGUUUGACAUUCUGGGAAAGGAAAAAAAAAAAACAUUAUACAAUAUACUAAAGUCUUUUAUCUAGAAUGCGAGUACUUAAUGACGUCUUAGAUGAUGCAAAAUCUCUUACACCUCUAUCGUUGACUGUCUUUGGUAGUUUUAUUAGCUUUCAAACUCCUUGAAUUGGCAUGAAACAGAUGCACAAAUUAAGGAAUAAUAAUGAAUAAAAGUAAUUAAGACGCAUGCAAGACUGACGACAAAGAAGGUUGCUUACAGUGUCAAAACAUACCUAACCUAAGAAAGAUUCUUAGCAAAUUAAACUGUAAGAACAUGUGACAUGUGACAUCGAUCAAACUUUUUUUUAGCUUUUGGUAAAGAAUUAAAAUUAAUUUUUUAUGUUUUUUUUAUUCUUUUGAUGUGUUAAUAUUAAAAAAUAAUUUUUAAAAAUAAUAAAAAUAUUAUUUUAAUAUAUUUUUAAAUAAAAAACACUUUAAAAAAAAACUGUUAUUAUACUCUCAAACACCCUCUAACUAGCCUGCUAGGAUGAGAAGUGUUGAUUGAAAAAAAAAAUAUCAACAUGAGUAUUUGAUGGCCUGAAUCGAGGUUAAUUAUUAAAGAAAAAAUAAAACAACAGAAUCUUUUUAAUCAAAAUCACCCAACUUAAGCAGAGAGCUUCAAUCACAUUGAUUUAAAAUAUUAUCCAUCAAAGAUAUAAUAUGGAAUUGACACCGCUACAUCAUUAUUAAUUAUAAGAGUUAUGGGGCAAUUUGAAGUUUUAAAAGUGUUUCAGUUUUUCCACACUGUUAACUGUUCUUAUCCAACUUGAGAAUUAUUAAUGGGAUAAGAUCCAAUUUGUAGGGAAAAGAAGGAAGGUUACCCUAUCAAAUUGAACUUUUCAAUAUUAUAUUUCAAUCCAUAGCUGAAGUGUUCAAUCAAGAUUUCACAAUUGUUGCUGCUGCAGGCAAAUCAACCACACAAAAGCCACAAAAAUUGAGUAUAUCCAAUCAUAAGGCACUGAAUUAGCCUAACAAGGCAUGUAGGAAGGAACCCCAAUCAUAAAUCGAAAAUUCAACCGUUGAAUCAAACUCAAGUUUUUUCACGAGAUUUUACAGGCAGUUUUCAUAUGAGAAACGACUUUGUGGUUCAUUGGAUUAUUAGAUCUCUUAAAAUUAAAUCUAAAAGUUGUUGUUUUGUCUAUUUUAGUUAUUUUCCUUAUUAUUUUAGAUUUUAAUUAGUAUUUCCUAUUUAGCUUUGAACUCUCAUAAUUAGGUAUAUAAGUUUUGUAGGAUUUAUAUACAAGUAGUUAGAGUGUUUUUAUUAUUCAGAAUAUCCGCUAUACAUUGCAUGAUAUUGCCAUCAUGCUGAAGUGGGACUAUGGUAUUUAUGCACGAUGUAUAAGUAUAUAAUGGGCAAUGCAUGAUACGACUUAGUUUUCCAAAUAUAAUCUAAGUGACAGACAACCAAUCUGCCCAUGCCAUCUUUUGACAGUAGAAGAAACCCAUGUGUAUAAGCUAGUGGUGAUGUUGUUGUUGGUUGGCAGUUGGCAUUACAAGGGGGCCAAAACCCUUGUUAUUUAUAAGCAUAGGCUUGGUGGUUGCGCUUUUGAGAUCAGUUGAUGCUAUUUAUCUAGAUAAGAUGUGAAAGGAAACUAUGAUUUCACACAGCAAAUUAGUAAUCACAAAGUGGAUAACAUAGAAGCUAUCCAUCUAGCAUACAAGUCAAUGGAAAACACUUGUUUUUGACGAGUCAUGAGUAGCAAGUGCAUGUGGGCAUGGCGCGAGCUAGCUUCCUUGGUUGUUAAUGGAGUCCAGACAUGUGUAAAUGGGACAUGAGGUAUUUGAAAAUGAUAUUAAUUACCAGUAAUUCCCAAUGAAAAUGAUCUUAAUUACCAGUGAUUCCCAAUGAAUAUGGUCUGACUAGUCGUGAGGCUGAAAAUCACUCUCGUGAGGCAAGCAUUGGGGAAGACCUUUAUCCUCGAGAGAUUGAACGUCACCUAGCUGCAUUUGUCACUCAAAAAAUAAGAAUUAUGUAUAAAGAAAAUUCAUAUUUCCGAUAUGUUUAAAAAGUAAACUACAUCCACAACCUCGUAUUCAAGCUUGAAUAUCUAAAUUUAUGUAGAUUGAGAUAAACUAUUAGCGUAUGUGAAUAGUCAUGAGAUUUGAGUUCUAUUUAGUUAGCAUCUCAGGAUAAAAGAUACAGAAAAAAAUCUAGAAAUGAAAAAAUAAAAACAAAUAUGUUUAUAGAAAAUAUCCUCUUUAUUUUAAAUGUUUCUGUUUUUUCUGUUAAAAAAGAGUAACCAGAAACUAGCUUGAAAACUUGAUGAUAUAACGCAAGCACCAUUAAUUCUCCUACUAGGGCGAGCUCUUAAUACAAUUUUUUAACAAGAAUACAAGCAAUCCUAGUGAUCUCUAAAGUGCUUUACGUGUAAUUCUUGGUCACUGGGAAUUUGAGUAGCGUGCCCUGAAGGACACGAAGGCUACAAUUUGUCAGUCAUUCAUAUCUAGUGUUUACAUGCCUUGACAAGUAUGGCAAACUCACAAUACAUUUGGCAUGGAUUAAAUAUUCCAUGUGUUUGUGGACUCAUCAUAACAUAAGUUAGGUUUUGGAACUUGCAUUUAGCAAAAAAAUCAUUUUCAGACCAAAGCCUCGAUUGGGGUUGAGGUUUGAACGCGGCAGCCGCAACCUUAACCCCAAAUGAAACGUGAGCGUGUUUAGAAGUGUGAUUAUGAUUGUUUUUCAAAAUGUUUUUUACUUGGAAAUGUAUCAAAAUAAUAUAUAUUUUUUUAUUUUUUAAAAAAUCAUUUUUGAUAUCAGCAUAUCAAAAUGAUCUAAAAAUAUCAAAAAAAUAUUAAUUUGAAGCAAAAAAAAAAUUUCAUUUUUUUUCAAAAACGCUUUUAAAACACAAAAACAAACAGAGCUUUUAGUAUAUAUUCAUGGGAUUAUAACAGUUUUUAUAGUUGCAGUUAAAAAAAUGUAAGUUUAAGAAAAAUUAUAGAUUAUAAAAAAAAAUCAAAAUUUCAAGAGAGAAUUUUCAAUGCAUGGAAACAAUUUAUACUGUGUUGAUUAAUUAAAUAAUUUUAAAUUUAUGAUUGGAAUAAUUAAAAUGCAAAUUGUACCUCAUCAGCCACAAAAACAAAUAGAGACAAACACAUCUACCUACCAAAUUCCAUGUUAAAAGUCUAAGGGCAAGAAUCUAACUAAAUCCAACCUUGUCAUUGAUUAUCCUAUACAUUGAGCCAAUAGAAAAUUUUCAAAAUUAGUGACGAACAAACAUGAUUAGGUGUCCACUUAUGUGAGCUUAAGUGGCAGCACAUAGAAGCAUGCACAAAGUCACUAGUACAGGUAUGUGAUUAUGGGCCAUAAGUGUUUUAGAUGGUUUUGGAGAUUGCAACUACAGAAGUCAUAAUCAAGGAAUGGGAGUUAUAAUUGAUCUAUGCCUAAUUAAGGAGGAGGAGGAGGAGGAGGAGGAGGAAGCUGUAGUUGAUGCAAGCACACAAAAUUACACUAGCUCCCCCCUGGUUUUAGAACUAAUCUUGGAAUGGAAUUUCAUAAUUAUUAUAAAUCGGUAAUUACCGCUAAGAUAACUUCGUUUUAUUUUCAGAAAAAAAAGAAGAUAUUUAAUGAUUUUACAUUUACCAUGUGAAAAGGGCUUCUAGGAAUGAAAGUCUUAUCAUAUUUAAUGAUAAUUAAAAAAAAUAUUAACUAAUGAACCAUGAAUCAUGUGUUAUCAUAUCAAUUAAUAAAAUAAUUUUAAUAAAAAACAAAUAUUUUUAACAGUAUAAAGUUAUAUGAAUUUUUUAAGAUUUCAUGAUGAACACGUCUGGCAUGAAUAUGAUAUGGAAAACACCACAAUAAGGUCAUACUUGAUGGAAAAAAAACAAUAGAUUAAUGAUGAUCAAGAGAAAGAGUUGACAAUAUAAAAGCACAUUCACACACAUGUUCGAAUGUGGUUACAUGGUUUGAGGUAUAUUUUUUAAAAUGUUUUUUUUAUAUAUGUUAAAAUAAUAAUUUUUUAAAUUUUUUUUUUAAUAUUAACAUGUUAAAAUUAUCCAAAAACAUUAAAAAAAUUAACUUGAAAUAAAAAAAUUAUUUUUCUUCUAAAGCAUGGUGUCACCUCAAAAACAAACAUUGUCUUGUUAUUACAUUUCAUCCUACUUUUCAAAUUACUUUUUACUUGAAAAAAUACUAAAAUAAUAUAUUUUAGAUGUUUUUCAUUGGUUUUAAUAUACUAAUAUAAAAAAUACAAAAUAUCUGGGGAAAAAAUCAUUUUAAUAUGUUUUUAAUUAAAAAGCAAUAUCAUUAAGCUUGCAAAAUUAUCAUUAAUUUCCUCAAUUUCAAUCAUUUCAUAAUAUUCAAGAGAAGAUUACACAAUCCAAAUGAAGAUCAAAGUUGAUGAGCCUCUAAUCCUAUCCCUCAAGGACCUCAUCCAUCACUCUACACAGAAGGUCUCAUUAACCACUUAAACAGCAGCAAGAAAAGGAGAGCAUUGACUCAACUCACAUACUCUAUUUUCUGAUCAAACCACAUUAACACUGACUGGCUAAAAGAUGAGCUUGGUUAUAUGAGAAAGAACUAGCUAGAGUCCUCACUCCUCGGACACCAUGCCACGCUAUCAAGCAGGAAAUCCAGCAAAAAAAAAAUGGAGGAUUUUAGUGAUCAAUCAAUCCCUAUAUAUCAAAUGGAGGUUCCAAAAAUCAAAUCUUUAAGUUAUGGUUUUAGCCACCCUUAAUCCCCGUGAAGUAAUCGAAGUCAUGGUGCUGGACCGUUAGUUGCUUUAGCCAUGAAUCUGCCACACUUAAAAGUGAGACUAGCCUCUCUUGGUCACGACCGCCAUUGCCUGAGACCCACAACUUCCCUUGCAUCUUGUAAGUGGCCAAACCAAAUGGAGGGAGAGUGAUGAUUUCCCCUUCCUUUCGCUUCUUUUCUGGGCUCCCAAUGUCAUCUUCUACAUCCAUAUCUGUGUACCGAAAACGCGUACAAAAUAAGCUAAUCGACCAACUUGUACAGCUUUUUAAACAAAGAUCAGAAAGGGGCUACAAAAGGUACCUUGAAAAGAUGAUGAGAGGGUGUGGUAGGUCAAGAAACAUGUGGACAAGUCCUUUAUGGUUCUUCCCAUUGGAAUGUGAUAGAUUGGAUACCUGCAAAUAGUUGACCAUAAAUGACUCACUAUCAUUAACAUGAGCAGGUUGAUGAAUAAGAAAAGAAUCAUCCAUUAAAGCUUAUCAGGAAUCUUGCCAUGAAAUUGAAUACCAGGAAAAGCAACCAGGCACCAUGUUAAAUGUGGAAAUCAUGCCUUUGUGCAAGCUUUAAUUAACUUAAUUAUAUAGUUUGAUUACUUGUGGUGUGAGUUCAUGUAAGAGAGAGAUUGAGAAACCAACCAAGCAACAGCCAUCCAACUAGCUGGUGAAAGAUCUACACUUCUCAAUGACAUUAAACCCGGAAAUCGUCGAGCAAAUCCAUUAAUCUGUAAGCAAGAGUCCAACAAGGUGUCAUUGGAAUCCAAGCUUCUAAACAAUGAGAAGGAAUCAGUAUCAUUAAUAGUCAAAAUCAACCCAAAUUUUAAAACUCAUUUUGCUGAUGGUAUCUUUGAUUCUUCUUCCAGGCAACAGUAUAAAGUUAAAGAGACAAUAUCGAUUGAACGUGCGAAUAUAUGCUCAAGAAACACUAUGAUGAACUUAACAAUGUAAUAUAUGAGUCUAUCAGCUCAAGAAAUUGUAUAGUUUCUUGUUCAAAAGUCAAAAAGUUGCGUUUCCUCUUUACUAGAUGCCUCCCAUGAAAAGGAUGCGGAAUGAUUCUCAACAAAUCAAUAGAUUAUUCCUUUGCCUUGAUCAGUCAUAAGAAUAUUGGGUAAAUAAAGCUGAAUAAAAUGCUAAUCGAAGUAAAGAACAUUAGAUUGAAAAAGGCAGCAAGCUGUAAGAUCAGCACAAGAGCAAAAAAAAAAAAAAAACACUAACCUUAUCCAUCAAAGGAACUCUUCCAUAAGGAGUUGAUCUCUCAAAGUACUCAAAAUAUAGUCGCCCCAAUCUAUCAUUUAUAGGCCAAGGAUUGUCUUGCUCUGACCCUCCUUCCUCUGAUGAGCAUCCAUCCGACCUACAUACCUUGUCAGUCACACUCUCAUUACUCCACGAAUCGCUAAAGGAGUCCCUCGUUUCGCCAUCACCGGACUCGGUGUCUUCCCUAAAAACACCAUCAAAACCAUUCCAAACACUAUCUCAGAUUCAUCAACUUCAAGAUGAACACUCAAUUAUCACAUAAUUCAUCAUCCCAUUUAGUAAGUUACAAACUUCCAACAAUAGAAGGGGACUAGUUACAGCAGUUGGUCAAAAAAAAUUCAAUAAAUAAUGAACUAAUGCAUCUGGGAUUUUGAAACAUUUCAAUGAUCUGAUAACAUACGUUUCAUUCUUUUCGAAAGGAACAUAAAACCAAGAAAAUAAAGUGAUACCUGAAACUGUUGACUGAAGAAUUGCUUGUGAAAAUUUGGAUUGCAGAAAGAUAAGGCACAUAGUACUGAACCAAAGUUUCAUCAUUGUUCAAAACAAUAGGAAUUCCAGCCCCAUAAGCACUCCAUUCAUCAUAAAAAUUCCAUAGAUCACCCAAAGUAAAAUACUCCACUGUGUCUCUCUCCCAUGGGUGCCAUAAUCUGUUUAGAUUUCUAGUCUCACUCUAAAACACAAAAUAAACACAAACAAAACGAUUAGUCAACAACCAAACACAGCUCAAUUUAAGGGGGGGAAAAAAGGAACUCAUCAAAGGCAAAAAAACAAACCUUCGCGAGGAAUUGAGAUUGGACUCGUGGGGUUGUGCAAUGAAGGAAGCAAUCAAGGUUUGAUUGCAUUGACCCUUUUUCAAGAAACAUGAUUUUAAAGAGAGGAAGUUUCAGAGUCAAAGCGCUUUCCUCUUGUCCCUGUGAGCAAAAACAGAGGAGAGGUAAUAGAGAGAAAGGAAGAAAGAGAAGAGAGAGUGAGAGAUUGCAGGGAUAUGAUUUCCCUAUUCAAAGAAAGAAGCAGAAAUGCUAGGGAAUUCUAUUUUUGACGUUUGGGCAUCUAAAUAUAAGGCAAAAAAAAAAAAACAAUAUUACUUCCUUUUUCUUUUUUUCUUUUUUCUUUAUCUUUAUCACACAGAAACUAAAAAUAAAUAAAAACCCUUUGCUGGCAACAAAAGGAAGAAAUGGCAAUGUUAUAAAAAAAGAUCAAGUCUUUUCCGGGUCACCGGAGUCUGAAAAUUCAGGUAAGAGUUUUAUGCUUCAAGUUGGACACUAAAACCUUCUCUCUCAAGUGGUAAUUACUUCUUUGUUUUAUAUUGUCCUGUUUUUUCCUUAAAGUAAACUCAACCCUCACACUAGAAAACAGAGACACUCUGCUUUGAUCAAUAUUAAAGAAACUAAAUUACUUGUCUUGAUAAUCAAACAGAAAAACUAAACGUUAAUUCUUCAAGUUAAAUCAAAGCCCACGUAUAAAAACACGUUAAAUCAACAAAAACAGCAAGAAACACACUGGGUUUUGAAGGAAAGAAAGGCAGAGAAAGUACUCGAAAAUGAGAAUUUAAAUGCUUCUCUGUUUUUUAUUUUGUUUUAACAGAAACCCAUAAUUUCCGUGCAAAAGGUAGCUCUAAAACCAAGAAUUGAUUUCUCUUUAUAACAGAAAAUGAUAAAAAGGAAUCAACAUUCAGUGAAAAGAAAAGCUGAGAUAGAGAAGGAGCGCUUGGAAAAUAGAGAAACAAACAAAUAAGCAAAACAGAGUAUGUUGAUGUGUGUUAGAGAGGUCUGCGUGUAUCAGGUAGGGUGUUGUCUGUCAGAGAUAUCCAAUUGGACGAGAAACAGAGAGCUACUGGUUUCUUGAGAGAGAUAGAGGGGAGGGGGGGGCAAAUAUGGACCUCAGUCAAUAAUUGAUAAGACAUCAGAAUACCAGAUUUAUAUCAUCAACGCUUCUCAUCUCUCUCUCUCUCUCUCUCUCUCUCUCUCUCUCUCUCUCUGGGUCUUAAGGAGCAUGAGAAGUUUUUAUUUUAUUUUUUUUAGGGGAGGAUUUUGUAAAAAUCAAUAAAAGCUUUUUUUCAUAUAAGAAAAUCAUUUAUAUUUAAGUUAAGUAGCAUAGAAUAUAGUAAUAAUAUCUGAAAAUAAUUUUAGGUGGAAUUUCCACUUUCAAGUAAUGAAAAUAAAAAAUCUUAUUUUACUCUUAUAUUUUAUCUAAUUCAAUAAUUUCCUAAAGUGAAAAAAACAUUUCUUCCAACCCUUAUCACGUCAACAUUAAAGAAUCUUGCUAACUAUCCUAUUCAUAUGUUGACAAAUUAACUCCAAAUUACUAACAAUAUCUAAACCUUUUAUUUUAUCUAUUAAAUAAUUAAUUCUAUUUUUUAAUCUCAAUUAAUUUAUUAGCACGUGUUCCUCUUAUACUAAAUGCAAGAAAAUAUUUGAUCCCAAGUUUCUUAAGAUAAUAUUCCGUGACUCUAUUAGUAAAUCUAUUUGGCAAUGACACUAAAAUGCAUUUUUAUGUAUGUUUAAUAUUAUGGUGGAUAAUAAUUUUUUAAAAAAGAUAUUAAAAUAUUUUUUUAUUUUAAAUAUUAACUCAGCAAUAAUAUUAAAAAAAUCAUCAACUUAAUUUUUUUAAAGUGAGGGUCUUUUAUAAAAUGCAUUCAUCGUUCCAAGCAGAUUCAAAUUUCAAAUCUUGAUUAAUCGAAAAUGAAGUUAUUAAAAUUAAUUUAAGAUCGUUAUUAAGAAUAUGUCAAAAAACAAUUACAGGAGUUGUUGGGAAUUUGAAUUAUAAAAAUUUAUAUCAAGAAUAAAAUCUUCAUGGCAGUAAAAAAAAAAAAAAAGAAAUUUCAUUUUAAAUCUUGAUCAUGGCAAGUUAUUGAUUUAUGGAAUAAAGGGAAAAGAAGACACCUACGUUGGAAUUUCACUUAAACCUAGCUAUCAUGGAAAGCAUUAAAAAAUAAAAACUCAUUUGUAUAUUAGAAAAGGUUAGCUUUUCCCUAAUUGGGUUUACACUAAUUAAAACUGUGUGCUAUAAUAUUAAUGGCAUUAUUUUAGCAAAAGACAGGGUAGAUCACAUCAUAUCAUUCAAAUCUGGCUGUAUUUGCAAGAGAAUCUAACCAAAGUUAAGGCUAAAGUGUAAUUAAUUAGUGCUAUGCUUUGAAUAAUAUUACAUCAAUUUUCUAUUUAAGGAGGAUUGCAUUCCUUUUUUUAUUCAUAAAAAAGGAUGAAAAUUUUUUUUCUAUUUAAGGUACUGUAAUGGUGGUUGUUUUUUAAAAUAAUUUUAGUUUAAAUAUAUCAAAAUAAUUUUUAAUUUUUUUAUAUCAAUACAUCGAAAUCAUAAAAAAAUAUUAAUUAAAUAUUUUUUAAUGUAAAACAAAUUUUUGAAAUGAACCCAAAAUAAAAAUCAUCACCCUCGCAUACACUCAAUUAUAACAAUGAAAGGAAAAUGAUGAUUCAUGGAGAAAGCAACUCGUGGAUUUCCAGCACGGCGUGGCGAGAUUUAUAGUGACAGAGAGACAGAGAUGUAUAAGCUUAAUCUUAAUAGAAUAAUGGCGUGGGGUCUUUAAUUUGACUUUUCUUUUGCUUCUUUAUGGGUGGAUAAUGGAUUAAUGGCUCCGCAUGCAUUUUCAUCCACAACCAUUACUAGAAAUUAUGAAUUAAAUGUAAUGUGGAAUUUUAUCCAAAAAAAAAUAUAGGUGGAGGCUGCUUUUAAUUAUUUUCUUUUAAAAAUAUUAUAAAAUGCAUAAUUUAACUUAUAGUUAUUAAAAUAGACUUAGCUUGAUAGGUUAAUUUAAUGCUCGAUUCAACUCGAGUUUUAUUUUAAAUUAUUUUAGAUAUUAACUCAACUAAGUCUGAAUGACUUGAACUUGAGUGAAAUUGGGCCAAGUUAAUUUCAAGAAUUUAAAAUAAAACUAAAAUAACAUAGUUUUAUAUUAAAUAAUUAAUUUGGAUUCAUCUGAUUCAGUUAUUCAAAUUAUAAAUAAAAUAAGAUCUCGAAUCGAAUUUCACAACUAUAAUUUAUAUGAUAAUUAAUUAAUUAAAAAAAAUAAAAUUCAAAGUGAAUAAAAAUGGAGGAGUAUAUUUCAUCUGAUUUUUAUAGACCAUAAAAAAAAAUGAAUAUUUCAUCUGUUAUUUUUGUUUUUUUAAAAAAAAAUCAGUAGUGGCUAUCUUUAAUUGAGAGAUAUUGAUGACAUUACAUUAAAUCAACAGCUAAGAAAAAAAGUAUUGGUCGUAUUAAUUAAUUAAUCAAUCAAGUGCCCUAAUUAGUCAAACAAGGGGUUUAAUCGGCAAAAUUUAUGAUUUGAAGUCUAUGCGAUCUAAAUUUCAAAUUAAAUAAUGAAAGACAUCGAAUCACUAAAAUCUAACAGAUAUACUUGUAUUUUUAAUAACUUGAUUAAUCUAGUUAAAUCUAAUACUAUAAAAAAAUUUAAAAAUAAAUAAUAUUAUUUUAAUAAAAAUAAUUAACCCAUGAUCAGUCAUUUGCAGGACAAUAAAUAAUAAGAAUUAAAACAAAAAAAAAACUUUUGAAAAAGAAGAAAGUUAAAGAAAAAAAAAAGAGGAUUAGAGAUAUGCAAAGUCUGCAAUAUUUUCAUAAUCAUCAAAAUUGUUUAACAUUUAGAAAAGUAGAAUAUAAAUACUAAAACUCUAACUAGAACAAGCGAUUGGACUUAUGGCCCACUAAAUGAAAUACUCAAUAAUAAUUAAAUCAAACCCAACAAAUAAAGCCAAAUUAAUAAACCUCAACUAAAAGUUCAUAUAAAUUAAACCCAAAAACAUAAGCUAAAACUCAAUCUUUCAAUUGUUUGGACUAUCUUUCAUCAUGUAUGACCAUACGCGUGCAUAAAUAAUAUUUCGGGUUCGGUGUUCCCACCACAUUUGACCUCAAUAACCUAGUUAUCAAGUUUUUUUUUUUUUUAGUUUACUUUUUAGACGUGAAAAAAUUAACAUCUCCAUUUAUGGAGGAAUGCACGAAAUAAUCUCCAUUAGUAGAGCGUGCUCAUGAUAAUAGCAUCGUUGAAGGCGAUGCUCCACUCAAGGAUUAUUCCUAAAGAUGUAUGCAUGAACAAAUUUAUGGUAGUAGAGUCCCACACGCACAUGACUUAUUUAAAAUGAAUAUGACAUUAAUGAAUACUUAUGAAAUAGUAUUGGAGUUUUUUUCCUCACAAUCGAUUAAAAAGAAAAAUAUAAAUUUACAUUAAUUAAAGGAUUUUAUAACUGGUUAAUUCCAUAAAAAAAUAAGCUUGAGGGUAAUGUUUAAUAAAUGAUUUUAAUUGAUAUAUAUAUAUAUAUAUAUUAUUUCAGAGGCCUAAACCUGCUUAUUUAUUUAUUUAUUAUUAGACUUUAAAUCUAAAUAUGUUUAGUUUUUAAUUUCAUUAACAAAGAAAACAACGAUUUUCUUUCUUUUUUUGAGAAAUAAAAACAAGAAAAAUCCCAAGCAGAAAAAAAAGGACUUCCAAAGCGGAAUAAUCUUAAUGUUAAUUAAUUUGCAGUUGAUAGACAACAACUUUAGGGUGACAAAGGAUGAAAAUGAUACUUAGAAGCAAAUAUAAGGAGAAAACACUUUAUUGUAUGUCCUUUCCCCACUUUUUAAUAUUUGAUAAAUUAAAAAAAGUUGUUCACGAGAAAAUACUUUUCAGUAAAAAAAUAAUUAAAUUUAAAAAUAUAAAAGUUAUUUUCUUUUAUUUUCUUUAGAAAAUAUUUUUCAAAACUUAAAAAAAAAAAACAGAAACAAUGUGAAAUAGCUAGCUAGUAUUUUCAAUUUCAUCUUUCUUUAACUUUUUUAUCUGUUAGAUUUAAUUUUUAUUUUUUAAAUAACUUGAAAAAAAUAUAUAAAUAAGUUAUUUUUCUAUUUUAUUUUUUAUGGCAUAGUUAAAUAUUAAAAAUUGUUUUCUAACUCAAUUUUUAUAAUGCUAUUAAAUAUAAAAAAAUAAUUAUUUUCUAUAAAAAUCAUCUUUUAAAAAAAUAUUUCUUUCCAACAAAUAGAUUGUAACUAAAAAGUCAAAACACAUGUUCACUUUUUUUUUUUAAAUAAGACUUCUUUCACAUCCUCGUCAUUGCGAUCCCCACAGGUAUAACUUUUCGAAUUCAUGAGUGGUCCUCUAUAAUAUUUCUCUUUAUUCUUUUUUCUGGUCUUGUAAUUUGGUAGGGACAUAUAUAAAAGAGAAUAUUUCAUUUAUUAUUAAAUUAGUAGUGUUUAUUUAUUUAUUUUUGAUAGGCAUUAUUAGUGUUUAUCUUAAAUAAAGAGAUAUUGGUACUCUAUACUAAAAUCUAACCGCUAAGAAACGAACACUAGCCUUAUUAAGUGCGGUAAGAGUAUGUUUGGUUUUUAGAUUGCUUUUAUGGUUGUGAUUUAAAAAAUAAAGUUUUUAAAAAAUAUAAUUAGUUGGAUUUAGAUAUAUAUUUGAUAAAAAUUAUAGUUGAGGUUUAUAUAUUACAAAAAAAACAUGUAUAAAAUAUUUGUAUUUGAAAGUGUGGUUAAUGUGGUUGUUUUUCAAAGUGCUUUUUAUUUGGAAAUGCAUCAAAAUAUAUAUUUUUUAAAUUAUUUUUGAUAUCAACGCAUAAAAAUAAUCUAAAAACAUAAAAAAACAUAUUAAUUUGAAGUAAAAAAAUUAAAAAAAAUUUAAUUUUUUUUCAAAAACACUUUUGAAACGCAAAGAGCGUUUGGAAACUAAAUACUAUUUUUUACUAUAUUUUUGAAAAACACCCUCACCAUUGUGUAUCCACAAUCAAGAAGAAAGCUACACUAUUUUUUACUAAUUAGUGGUGGGCAGUGAAAUACAGGAGUUUUCUUCUUGAUUGUGUAUCCACAAUUGAUCAAGACAAAUUAUAUAUGUGAUCAAUUAAAUGAUUGAUUUCAUAAAAAACUUGAGAAUAAUGGUUUAUUAAGAGAUUUUAAUGGAUAUGCAAGUAUAUUUUAGAGGUCCAAAUCUGUUUCUUUUUUUGUUCUUUUUCUAGUAUUUAUGUCCAAAACUGUUUAGUUGAAACUUCACCAACAAAAAAACUAUGAUUUUUUUUUUUUGAGAUAAAGAAAACUAAAAAACUCUAAUAGGAAAAAAAAAUGAAGUGUACAAAGAAAAAAUAUAUUGUUAAUUUGGAGUUGAUAUACAAUUAGUAAGCUAAAUUGUAUUGGUUUGCUACUUUUUUCAUCAAAUUGAUGUUGUGGUUAAUUAUGAUAUAGUUUGUUUUUAAUUAGGUGAUGUACGUGCAUGUCAGCUUGCAUUGAUCAUUUAAAAUUUAAAAAAUAAACUUGCAUUGACAAUUUUAUAUGAUCCAAAACACUUUUGACAAAAGUAUAUAUUAAUUUUUAUUGUAUCGUAUAAAGUGAAAAAGAAAGGAAAUAUAUAUAUAUAUAUAUAUAUAUAUAUAUUUCCAGAAUCUGUGUCUGAGUGUAAGGAAAUUAAACAGGUUACUAGCUAGCUAGGCUUCCAUUGUGUGCCAAAGAGAGGAAGAAUAUGUAGCCAAAGACAACAUAAAAGAGAGAAGACUUAAUUUCCUUUUGAUUUAAUAAUUCACAAUUGACGUGUUUUAAUUGCAAGAAUUUGCUACCUUCUACAAGUGAGUGUUUCACUCAUUGAAAAUGAAAACCACAUUUUUUACGUUAUUAUUAAUGAAAUAGAAACUUCUGUCUCUAGACAAAAUCCACGGCCAAAUUUAUGUAUAACUUCAAAAAAACAAAAUUGAUAUCGAGAUUAUGUAUAAAACAUACAUUGCUCUAUUUACUUUACAAAAUACGUGAUGAAGCAAUGAAAAAAUCUCAAUAUUUGGACUUUACUGAAGGUGACUUACCUGCAAAAUAAUUUUUUUAUCGGAAUAAAAGAUCUUUCAAUAUUUAAAUUAAUAAAUAUAUGAGGGAUAAAACAUAUAUGUAUGUGAAAAGAGAGUAUGGAGUAGAGAGAGUGAUAUACGGUGUGAAUUUGAGUGAAGUUGUAUUUGAAAUCUUGUUUAUCUAGUGACUGAGCGUAUUUUUGCUUUGUGGUGUGUACGUGGUGAGGUAGCCCCUUAGCUGUUCGUGGCUGGGUGAGAGAGAGGGUUAUUCAUGAAAAGUUGAUUCAAAUUGUUUUUUUAUUUUUAAAAUUUUUAAAUAAAUCUUGAACUUGAUUUUAUCCUAUUUAUGAUUUUUUAUUUGCUUUUAAUCACACAUAUUCAUGUAACAAUCAUACAAUAUUUUGUUUUAAAAAAAACAAUAAUUCCAGUUAAAAACUUUGUAUUUACUAAGAUAAACAAGAGAUAUAUUAAUAAAAAAAAUUUAUCUUAACAAAAAAAAUUAGUGUAGUUUUUGAUUUAAUAACAAUGACAAAUAACCCCCUCGUACUUGGAUAUUUUUUAUAUGUUUAACAAAAUUUUGAUUACCUUGCAGCGUAUAAAAAAUCUAUCUCAUAGUUUUUUUUUUUAUUUGAUCCUUUUUUAGCCUAAUUUUAUGAGAUAAAAGUUUUCAAUUGAAUUAGAAGGAUAAAAUUUAAAGUGAGAGGACGAACUCACCAAAAAAACUAAGAAGUUGUUAUUUGGCCACAAUCUAGCCAUGAAAAAAUAAGAAUCAAUGGUAUUGGUCUGGUGAGUCUUCAGACUUAACAGUUCCGAUGAGGAGUCAAUCACUUUUGACAGUUAUAUGAUUACAGAAGAUGAUUGAGAAUUGGAUCGAUUACAUUUAUUAGAAGUUGACAAUAGAAUGGUUGUGCCGGCCAAUAGUCAUCUCCGUCGAGGUAGUGGUUCCACUGCUUUGAUGACUGCCAGAAAGAGGGGAAAUUGUCGAUUUGACAUUGAAUACUAUUUUGCUUCGUUACUGAAUAGAUAGUAGCCGGCAGGAGUAACAAUGAUGUUAUAAAAUCUAAUAUAUGGUUAUUUAGUAUUUAGUAUAAUGAUUAAUAAUAUAUUCAAGUACUUUAUUUUUCUUUUUAGUCUCAGAUAUUCUAGGUUAAUAUAUAGUAAAAGUUUGAUAACAUGUAGAAACAAUCAUGAUUGAGAAACUUAAAGAUCCUCUAAUAGUAAAAUUAGUAUAUAUAAAAAAGACAAUAAAUAUUUUAAGACAAUAAAUAACUUAAAAGAAUUUUAAAUUUAAAAAAUAAAGAUGUUUGUUUUCAAGUUUUAAGUGGAUUAAUACUCUGAAAUCUAUAAGAGUUUAUCUUAUAAGAUAAAAGGUUCUGAACUCUUACCUAGAUAGUUCAGACAGUAUUUAUACUCCCUGAACCUUGUCGUUUUUAGAUAAAAGAAAGACUAAAAAGUCAUCUGUUAUAAGAGACAAAUAUAUCUUACAUAUAUUAAUAAGACAGUAAGAAUGGUAGAUCCCUUAAGAGACCUUGUAUACACCUAUGAGUAUAAAAAAAAAACAUUACAUCAAUACAAAUGAUUAUUCUAAAUGAAGAGACAUGACAGUUUAUCAUACUUUCAAUACUUUUUUUUUUAAGAAUCGUUUAGGAUCAACACAUAACCUUAGAACUUGGUAAUGGUAUAAUCCAAAUGCUUUAUGUCAUGCCCAGGUUUUCUUGGGCUUAGCUGACUGUCAAGCCCAAAAUUUUUAGGUCUGGUAUGUUUGUCAAACACACGUUUUCUCAAGCUUCGCUAGCCGUAAAGUCCAAGUGUUUUGGGUCUGGCAUGUUUGUCAGACCCGCUCUGCAUCGAACUUGGCUAAUUAUCAAAUUCAAGCUCUUUGGUUCUGGCAUAUUUGUCAAACUCGUGUUAUCUUAGACUUGAUUGACUACUAAGUCUAAGCUUUUUAAAUCUGGUAUAUCAUGAGUAUAUCAUGAGCUUAACUGACUGUCAAGCUCAAAUUCUUUAAGUAUGACUUGUUUGCCAAACCUAGACUACCUUAGACUUGACUAAUUACCAAACCUAAAUAUUUUUUUAUUUGACGUGUUUACUAUAUCCAUUUUAUUUGUUUAAGAUUUUUUUUAUUUAUAGAAAUCUUAACCAAAUAUUUUGAAUCAACUAUUAGUAUUGUGACCUGCAAUUGAAAUUAGAGAAAGUCCAAAAAGAUUUUUAAAAAAUAAUUAAAUUUAUUGAGAUAGUGAAAUGGUAUAUUAAUCUCAAUUAGGCAGCUCAACAACGAUGAAAAUCAAUCCACAAUGUUGGUUUACAUGACCUUCAUUUUUGGGUAUGCACAAAUCCACUUCAAAUUCUACAAUAUAAAAAAGUGGGAUUGAUGAUCAAUUCUUCAUAGAAAUCUAAUAGCUGGUGGAUUCGUAGGUCAAUGGCCAUAUAUCCGCAAAUAAUAGAUAAUUACGUAGCAGGAAAUAGUAGGUAGUAGGUGAUUGCUGAAGAUAGAAUAAAUUUCUCCGAUGUAUGUAUGACAUGAGUCAACUUCUUCAUAUUAAUUUCAGACUAGCAAUGGCAAUUUAAUUCAAAAUUGAUAGAUGUCGAUUCGGUUCAACCCCAUUGGUUGAGUAAAUUUUAGACCUGAUAAAUAAUAAGUAAAAUAAAAAUAUUAUCAAAUUUGACCCAAAAUCUACCUCAACCCUAACCCAAAUAAAUAUAUAUUUACACUAUAUAAAUAUAUAUGUAGAUCAUUUGUUUUAAUACAAUAUGAUACACAACACAUAUAAAUAAAUAAUAUUUAUUAUUUUAUUAUUUAAUACACACACACACACACACACAUAUACACACAUACUUCAAAUAUAUAUAUUAAUUAUGUUAUUUUUUUAUUAAUUAAUAAAUAAUGAAUACUCAUCAAAAGCCUAAAAUUUGAUAAACGAAUAUCUAAAUUUUCUACUCAAUAAAUAUAAAUACCAAAAAAAUCCGACUCGCGGUAGCUGUUAUCAUCCCUAACUUCUUCGUUGGCAGUUAAGAAGCCUGGGGCCGAAACCCUUGCUUUUGAGCCCUAACUGUGUUCGCACAAGAACCCAGGAUUAAGACAGCCAUCCUCUCCAUCCAGGACUUCCACGCCGGGCUAGGAACAUGCCCUAGCUCAUAAGGAAGGCAUGACUCCAAAGAAAGUUCAAAGGGGUCCAACAAGAAGGGCCGACUUAUCCAAGAGCCUGAGUGGCUCAACAGUGGACUCGUGGUGGAACUCGACUCGGCUCUGACAUUGGAGAGGGCCAUGCGUUUAUGCGAUUUGCACGUCAUCCUGUUAUAAACGAGCUCACACAGUGAUGGUGGUGAUGCCAGACACAUUUGCGCUCUGUAAACGGCUGAGAUGAUAGGGUUUUUACUUUGAAUAGAGCACCACCACCAGUUAGGAAAUGAUAUCCUGGGCUAGAUCAUGCCUUGCCGUUUGUAUCGCCUUCUCCAUGUGUUUCACAGUUAUAAGAACCCCACAAAACACCAUAUCAGGCAGGUAAAAAGAGAGCAUUCAUAAAGCGAAGCACGAUAGCAGUAUAUCCCCUUGCCUUUAUCUUCUCUAUUUACUAUAAAUUGCACAUAAUUUUACUCUUACAUCAAUACUAAUUUAAAUAUCGAAAGGCCCUUUGCAUGAUACUAAGGACUUGUGUUUUUUUUGGGGAGCUCUUCUUUGUUAACUUACGAAGCCCAUCAAUCUAUUACAAAGAUCAAGAUAUAUCUUAGAAUUUAUUGCAAACACUAAAAAUCUGUGCAUUCAUGGGGAUUUUGAGUGGGAAUUAUCAAACUUUGAGGAGGAUCGAGUGAAAAAAAAAUAAAGUCUCUUUGUGAAUCAAUUAAUAAAGUUGAUUGUAAGUAGUUGGGGGGUUUAGGAAAUUCAAUUUGUAGUAAUUAUAAAAAGAUUUUCCCAUGUCGAGUCUCAUUUAUUAAUGAUUAAUCGUAGUUUAAAGUAAAUCUCAACUAUAAUAGCCUUUUCUUUAUCCCAGAUGAUCCUAUAAAUCCUAAGACAAUCACUGUUAAAAAAAGAGGAAAAGGGCAUAGAUUGAUCUAUCCGAAGGUAUGAAAUUAUGUCGAAGAUGGGAAAUUUAUUCCUUAAUUAUCAUAUUAGAGAACAUUUUUUCUUAUGAUUUUUAUCACAAGGUCAAGAAUAGUGUUAAUAUCAACUAAUUUGGUUGUGGUCUAUAAUUACAAGGGAUAUUUGGAGUGUAGUAGUGGUUGCGGUUUAAAAUAUUUUUUGUUCUGAAAUGCAUUAAAAUAAAUUUUUUAUUUUUAAAAAAAUAUUUUUAACAUCGACACAUCAAAAUGAUAUAAAAACAUAAAAAAUUUAAUUUAAAACAAAAUAAAAAUAAAAAAAAUAUAGUUUCAACAGCAUUUCUAGACACUUCUCCCCAACCAACGAAGAGGAAAAAUAUUGAAAAAUUUGUAACAACUUGUUAAUCCAGCAUUAAUCCCCAUGAAAGACUUGCUAAGUGGGAACCGUAUAUAUAAAUAACUUGUAGGUCUCCAAUUACUAUUUCAAUUCAAUGAAACAUUGAAAAAUCUGACCACCACAGUGUGUGUGGAUUGGUUGAGUAGAUAACGUGUUGUAUGGAUAAGGAUACAAAUAAGGGAUUAGAACAUAGGGGCUCGUUGGAUUAAACUACGAGAAGAUAAUAUUUUACACACGUUUUCCAUAUUAAAUAUGGAUUAUCCACUUCUAUUUCUUUAUAUAUAUAUAGGUAUUUUGGGAUUAAUUCUUGUACAUAGAUAUUGAAUUUUAUUUUCAAAUCUAGAAUAUAUAAAUUAGAUUAUUCAUAUAAAGAUUAAAGAAUUUAUAGAAAAUUUACUUUAAAGAAAAUGUUUGUACAAAUCAACCCUUAAUUUCAAACUAAAAGAUCUAUUUAUUUAUUUUUUUAUCACCGGGGGAUAUUUUAAUAACUCAAUGCAUACAAGUAAUUAGCAUGGUAAUAUGACCUCAUUAUUCAAAGUCCUAAGCUAUAUUCUUUGAGCUCUUAGUUCUAGCCUUCAAUUAACAAUGAAGUUGGGACUAAUCAAGUGACUUACAUAGCAACUCAAAACUUCAUUAUAAAUUAUUGAAAUCAAAGAGAAUUUGAUAUUGCAGUUCAACUAUAUUUUUAUAAAUUUUAAUGAUUAUUUAUUUUUAACAUUAAAUUAAUUUUUUUUAUAUUUUUAGAUUAUUUUAAUAUAUUAAUGUUAAAAAUAUUUUUUAAAAAAUAAUAUAUAUUAUUUUAAUAUAUUUCCAACCAAAAACUUCUUCAAAUUAAAAUUUAUAUAGCCAUGCAGACAUAUUGCAAGCAUGUCAACACCCUCCCGUUUUGGAUCAUUUUAUAACCUGCCAAAAUAUGUCCGUUUUCUCCCUUGUAGGGAAUGACAUUGCUUCAAGAUAAGAUAACCUAAGACUAAAGGGUUUGGAAACAAGUGAAAGGUACAUAAUUACCUUGAGCAUUUCUUGAAUUUUGUCUGCAAGGGUAAAAUUUCGUAAAGGCCAUGAUAAAAUUUGACAUUUCAAGAAAUAUUAAAAAAAAAUUAAUUUAUAAUAAAAAAAUCAAAAAAUUUCAGAAUCGUCAUUCAAUCACAUUCUCGAACACAUCCUAAAUUAGCUACAUGGAUAAUAUUUGGAUUUGAUGUUAAUAGAAACCGUUCAUUUCAAUAAUAUAUCUUUGUUGGAUAAGUCAUAAGUGAUUCAUAUAUAGAUAAUCGAGAGAUUAAGAUGCUUUACCAACUUUCAAUUAAUUGGUGAUCACAUGUUCCAUCCCUUCUCAAAUUUAAUUUGUUUGGUAUUCUUUGUCUAAUCAUGCAUUCAGUGCUCAUAUGCCACGAUUAUUCUUUUAAAAUGUAGAGUUUUUGUUUGAUAGCGGGAAUAACUUGGUUUUUUCAACCCACAUGGCGGCCUAGUACAAUGAGUUUUUGAUAUUAUCAUAGUUAAAACAUAUUAAAUUGAUGUUUUAAAUAUUUUUGUUAUAAUUUUAAUAUAUUGAUAUUAAAAAUUAAAAAAAAAUAUAAGAAAAUCAUUUUAAUAUAUAUAUAUUUUUAAAAAAUAUUUAUAAAAAAUACCAAAAAUAUGUUUGAUUGAAGUUAGGGAGAUAGAAAUUCAAAAUAAAUAUCCCUGCAAUUUUAAAGUGAAUUUUGUUAUUUCAUAGCAAAAAAAAAAAAAAAACAUGAAUUUUUUCUGUCAUCGUUAUCUCUAUCUUUUCUGUGUUAAAGAUAAGAACUAAACGCUAUCUAAAAUCCUUCAAAUUGUUUGGUUUUCUACUAAAGAUGGCAGAACUUUUUUGAAAGAAUGGGCCAAGAAAUUGCUAUUUUUUGGCAACACUGGCUACCAAUUUGUAAAUCAUGAUGAAAUAUCGAAAGGAACAUUUUUAUCUCUUUGGAAGAUUUGAUUGAUAAAGAAACAAUUUGUUUUUUUCCUAAUUAUCAUGAAAUGGCCUAAAAUUGAGCCUAGAUCAACUUAUUGGCAUGCCUAUGACAAGGAUGCUGAGGUUGUCUGGGUCAGACAUGACAUGGAUAAGGUUGGCAAUUAGGGUUUUGGAAGAUAAAAUGGUGGUGUACUGCUUUUCUUUCAAGCUUUCCACUCUUUUCUGCCACAAUUACCGGCAGGAAAUUGAACGGACAACAUCUCUAAUUAGGACUAAGGCUGUUUGGUCUCUCCCUGUCAAGCCAUGUUUAUCUGCCAUGAUUUGGGGUUGAAUGAAUACGUUAUUAGAAGCUAAAUCGGAUGCAUGACCUUCGAUCACACGCAUCCAUGUCCACGAUGUGGAAGGAGUCAAUCAAGGUAUUCCUACUACCUUUACGAGUUCUUUCUCUCCAAAGUUCGUUUCACUUUGCCAAAAUGAAUUAUGGGUUUUUUCAAAAAUUAGAAAAUUAAUUUAUUUUUUAUAUAAAUAUUUUUUUGAUGGUUUUGAUAUGCCGAUGUUAAAAAUUAUUUUAAAAAAAAUUUAAAAAAAUAUUAUUUUGAUAUAUUUGCUAGCGAAAAGCACUUAAAAACAACGGCUAGCACAUUCUUAUACACUUCCUAAACCUCAUACAUCAAGUGUUAUUUAAAGUGAUUCUAAUUGAUACCAAAUGAAAUCUAAGUAUAUAUUUGAUAUUGCAGUAAAAAGUUUUUUUUAAUUGAAUAUACAUUAAAAUAUUUUUUUUAUUUUUAACAUCACCAUAUCAAAAUAAUCAAUAUAUAUAUAUAUAUAAAUUUUAACAUCACCCUAUCUAAAUAAUCAGUAAUGUUGACUAAAACCACGUAGAAUUGUUUGAAGGUCUCAGAGACCAAAAUCCAUUUAGAUGGGCCAAAGAGUAGGAGGAUAUAUUCAAUUGAGCAAUCUAGCCAUUGAAUCAAGGGUCCUGCUUUUAUUAUCUCCUUUAAGAAGUUUGUGGUUUUCUUUUUUUAAGGUUACCUUUUAGUAAUAUUCAACAAAGACUAAUUUUUUUUAAAAAAAAGCUAAAUUUUAUUUUAAAAAUAUACUUUCUACAUAAAAAACAAAUAAAUAUAUUAAAAAAACAAUUUCUCGAAGGUGGUCGAGUAAAGAUGAGCAAACGUAAUUUUAAUCCCAUAGAAGCCCAUUUUAGGAUUACUUAGAGUUAGAGAGGUUUUGGUGAUCACAGCAAAUGUGGUCGAGUAGUCCAUCUAAAACCCACUAAGACCAUUGCAUCAUUUUUAUUUAUUUAUUUAUUUGGGCCAAGCAACCCAAUGUACACAAUAAUUCUUUGAACACCGACUCACUUUCACACUUGAAAUUGAUGUAUAAUUUAUUUUUUUCCUUUUAUUCUGAACAUUUUUUAACUAUUUCUUUUUUUCUAAACAACAUAUCAUUUUAUUAUUAUCUCAAAACAAAAAAAACAAGCACAGUUUAUGACUUGAAGACAUAUAAAUUCAUUUCAAAAUUAUUUUACAAAUAAAUUUAUUCUUAUAUUUCUAUCUUUGUCUCUCAACCGAACAAAUUUUUUAUAUUUUUAUAUAUAUUUCAUCUUUUCUAUCUUGAAAUACUAAUUUAACGUUAUCUGAAAACACAUCAUUCCUUCAUGAUAUUAGUUUGAUAUAUUAAAAUGAUUUAAAUAUUUUAUUUUUGUAGCCCUUUUACUUUUCAUAGAAUUGGGAAAAAGAAUAAUUAACCAGGACCCCAAUCCACGUUGACUACAACUUGGAUCCAUUCAACUUCCAUAAACUAAGUAAUCCAGCGUGUAUUGGCCAUACUUUCAAGAAGUUUUGAUUUAAAAAUAUUGGAGCAUAAAGUUCUUUGCUUCGGAAAGAAGAUAAGGUUAAAGCUUUGCCACCCCCUUUUAAUCAUGGUGUUUUGUACUGCUUCUUUGCAUUAUAUAUCCUUUUGACUUGAAAAAGAAAAAUGAGGGAAACUGUAGUUUUUUCUUCGGCUAAAAAUCUAAAAAUUUGUUCGAGAGUGUGGUUAUAGUUGUUUUUUUAAAUAUUUUUCGUGCUGAAAUGUAUCGAAAUGAUAUUUUUUUUGUUUUUUUAAUUAUUAUUUAUAUCAACGCAUUAAAACGAUCCAAAACAUAUAAAAAAAAUUAAUUUUUAACAAAAAAAAGUUAUAAUUAAUUGGGACUCAAAUGUAUCAUUUAAACAUCAUUUCCAAGUCAAAAUAUAGUAUUUAAGAACAAUACAAGAGACUCUAUGAAACUAGCUGAAGCAGAAAAUAGCAUCAAGGAUUAAAAAUUAUUUUUCAUCUUCAUGUUCUUUAAUAUAUUCAAAUCAAGUCCUUCUGUUACUUUUUUCAAGAUUUCUUUCAUAUUUUACAUAUAAAACUAAUAAAAUUACUUCAAUACUCUCACUUUCAAUAACUUUUAACCUAACCGAAGUUAAAAUUUAAUGUCAUAAUAAAUUUUUGUUUUAAAAUAAUAAUAAAAAAAAAAGAAUAGAUUUUAAGGCUACUAGUUUCUUUUUAAGGAAAAAAAAAAGAAAGGAUAUUUAGGCAAAUAGCUUUUUAUAAAAACAAUUAAAAUGAAUUUUUUUGGAUGGAGAAUUAAAAUUAUGAAAUUAAAUUUUAAAAUUACUUAUUUUACUUUAUAAAAUUAAUUUUAUAAAAAAAUUUAAAAACUAUCAAUUAGAUUAAAAUUAAUGAAGUUGAGGGUGAUUAAGUUAUUUUAUUAUUUUUAUGCAAAAUAUUGAGGGGGCCUUGGAAAUAGUAACGGGAGAAUUUGAUUUCAAAUAUAUCAAAAUAUAAAGAGGUGAAAAUCGAAAUUGAGGAUAUUAUCAAAAUUGAAAUUAAAAACCAAGGGGUAUUUUCUUACUUUUCAUGUUUUUUGCAUGUAAUUACUUAUCUAUUACUGAAAUCUUAUUUCCUUGAAAUUGCAUUCAUUUUAUUAUGAUUUUUUUUUGUAAUUAACAAAUAGACCCAAGGGCAAUUGGAUUUUUUAAUAUAUAUUAUAUAUUAUUUGAAAUAAAUAUGGGUGGCUUUUUCAACACACGUGCCAUUUGAAAAAAAAAAUUAUUUCUAUUUUUUUAUUUUUUUAGAUUAAUUUUUUUCUUCAACUUUAUCCCUUAUUAUUUGAUUUCAUUUAAAUUUUAUAUUAAAUUUGGUCUUAAUUCUUUUGAUUGCUACUUUUUUUUAUAUCUUUUGUAGAUUAAUUUUUUUCUUCAAUUUCAUCCCUUAUUAUUUGAUUUUAUUUAUUUAUUAUAUCAAUUUUGGUUCUCAUUAUUUUAAUUUCUAUUUAUUUGUUUUUUAUUUUUCUAUUUGAAUUUUGUUUUCAAUUUCAUUCCUCGAUAUGAUUUUGAUUUAUUUUUAUGUCAAAUAUGGUCUCCUUUCUUUUUAUUACUAUUUAUUUUAUUUUGAAUCUUUUUUUUUUCCCCCAGUUUUUUCCCUCAUUAUUUUGUGAUUAAGAAUUUUACUUUGUUUUUUUUAGAAUUUUCCUUCUAUGAGGUUAGAGCUUCUCCAAUGGAGCUGCUAAAUGGAUAGCAAAAAAUUAAAAAAAAACAGUAAUAUUUUAGCUUUUCUUUGCUUGUUUUUCAUACUCCAAGGGAAAAGUCAAACAAAAUGCUAAAAUGUCUUUUCUUUCCCACAAAUGUUAUUCCUACAUAUCUCUCAAAAGAGCCAAAACUAACAAAGUGAGGCCAACAAAAGAAUAUGCUAAUUAAAUCUAGCCGUGUGGAAAAAAAACAACAUCAAAAUCAUUAAAAAAAAAUAAAACACUUAUUUAUUCCACUCUAAUAGAAUUGGCUUUUCAAAUGGUUUUUUUCCAUUGGAAUAUACAUGGUAAAAAAAGCUAUAUUUAUACUAUUUAAAAUGUUAUUUUAUCAAUUGGUCUAUUUGAAAUAACAUCUCCCAUUGCAGAUGCUCUUAAUCCUGAGCUCAUGACCAAGAUCACAGAUUUCAAAUAUUAACAAGGGUUAACUUUGAUCCCUUUUUUUAUGUUCUUUAUUAAAUUGUAUCUUUUCCUGAUCUCUUCCUUCAAUGUCUAUUUUAUUAGGAAUUGGUCUUCGCACUUUUUUUAUAGGGUUAUUUCAAUCUCAUACCUAUGGUCGCGAAGUCAACAAGCUAACCUGGGUUUACUCGAAUAGUUUUUCUCCAUUGCUUUUUUAAUUAUAUUUUUUUUGUUUCACCCCUCGACCUUGUAUUAUUUGAUAAUUGAGCUUCAUUGUUUUAUUAAAUUUUCUUUUGAAAGGGUUGUCCUAGUAUCACGAUCAAGUUGCAGAUUUGGCAUGCUAACCCCAAUUGACUUGAGUUGGUUUUUUUAAAAAACUUUCUUUGCUAAUUUUUUGUCAGUUUCUUUGUUGUGGUUGUAUUUUUUAUUCAUAUUAUCAAAAUUAUAAAAGCUUAUUAAAUCUAGUCAAGUCAAUAACCUGAGUCUUAAUUUUUUUUGCUUAUUUUGGAACGCUUGAGUCGUCUAAGCAUUGAAUUUUUAUAAUUGAAGAAAUUUAGGUCGACUCUUAGCAUAGCACAGGCCACCUAUCAUGUGUUAGCUAAUUCUCAAUUGACAUGAAGUUCAUGGAAAGUUUGGUAAGUUUAAACAAUCAUGUAUUGUUAUUUAUUUGAUUUAUUUAUUCAUGAUUUUUUUGUUACAUGAAAUUCAUGCUAUGCAUGUCUUUAUGAAAUAUCAUAAUGCUUUUUAAAAAAGCUAUUCGUAUUACUUGGGGGAUUUUUGCAAUUUCACAUUACUAUAAAUUGAGAGUGAUUAAGUUUAUUUUGGAUGAAAAUCAACAAGAUUUUCUUAAUAAAAAAAACUAUACUUUAAGAAACUCGUAAAGGGACAACAUGUGAUCAAAAACAUAUAGAAGAAAACUAGUCUAUUGGCUUGUACUACACCGCGGGUCGGAGAGAAAAAGACUUAAAAGCAACAAAAAAAAAUCUAGAUAUUUGUAACAUGUCUCCUAAAAAAAUAGAUUUAAACCAUGAAUUGAAUGAUAUUUUUAUUUAAUAUUAAGCUAGAAAUACAAUGGGUUAACAUGGUCUAACAUGCAAGAGUCGUAGGGACAAUCUUGAAAAAAAUAAAAUGAAAAACUCAAUCAUCAAUUAACUCAAUAUUGAAUGAUAAAAAUGAUAAAAAAUAUCACUUAACUAAAACAAAACCUAAGUGAAUUCAAGUCAACUAAGCAAACUCGUGAUGCAAGUCAUGCACAUCAUCAGAUUUAAUAAAACACAUAGGUUUUUUUAAUGAAAUAUUUUUUAAAAGGGGAAAGAACCAUGCUAGACGUGUGUGGUUGAGAUAGCAAAAGUAAAUCAUUGAUAAUAGAGAAUGAAAUUGUAUUUUUUUUUUUUUUUAGUUUUGAGCUAUAAGAAAAAAAAUCAUCGAUAACAUAUGAUGAAAUUGAUUUUUUUAAAUCGAGGGACAAAAAAGUAUUAAACAAAAAAAACAGAUAAUAAUUUGAACGAUGUAGAUGAACACGUUAAACCUACGAAGCGGUUUAUAAACUUGAUUGGAUUCAAUGAUUUCUUUUCUCAAUUAUUCUUAACCCAAAUAUAAAACAACAAAACUUUUUUAUUAAAAAAAAAGGAGCUUGGGCACAUUGGGCCAAAAAUAAUAAGCUCGAACGCGUGUUUCAUUUGUUAAAAGGGUAGACGACAAGGUUUUUUUGAAAUAAGAAAGCAGAUUAUGCUCCGUCUGCUUUGUGCAAAAUUCAAUAAUCAGAGAUCAUAAAAAAAACAUGGUUAGAUUUUUUAGUUUAAAAACGUAUUUUCAACCUAUUUUUUAUCCAAAAUACCUAAACAUCAUAAACACCUUAAUAAAUGUUUUCAUGACCUCAAAAAAACAAAACAAUGGCUCAGUAAACCAAAAUCAACCCGAAUAAAAAAAACACUCUCGUGGUCAGAUCUGUCUUUUUAGGUAAGGAGAAGGAACAAAAAUACCCAAGUGCUCCUUUCGUGAAAUGGAUUUGGAUUGACAUCAAUUUCAAUUAUUUUGGUUGCUGAAAUCAUCUUCAACAACCACUCUCUUUUUCUUUUUUAAAAUUUAGCGGUUCUCUCUCUCUCUCUUCUCUUUCAAAAAAGGAUUAAAAAUAAAAAAUAAACUUUGAUACCAAAAUUGAAUUUCUAAAAACUAAAAGAAUUGAUCACAUGUAAACUGAAAUGGAGUGUGAUUUGUAAUUUGUGAUUUCAAGAAAGUUUUAGUGGAAUCCACAUAAAACAUGAUAUGUGUUAAUUAACUAAACACUUACAAAACUAUAAUUGAAAUAAAAUACAGUUUCAACCACACCGCACCACACUCAUUUAUUUUUGCAUUACAAAAGCGUUUUUGAAAAAAAUAUUUUUUUUUAUUUUUUCUUUACCUCAAAUUAAUUUUUUGUGUGUUUUCAGAUCGUUUUGAUGUGCUGAUAUCAAAAAUAAUUUUUUUAAAAAAUAUAUAUAUUUUUUGAUGCAUUUCCGAAUAAAAAAUACUUUAAAAGGUAGUCGCUACUAUAUUCUCAACACCCGCGUUUACCAAAAGAAUAAAAGAAAAUGAAGUGGAGCAAUGCAUUGAUAAACAUAGAGAGCAAUAGUAUAGUUUCAUGCACAGAGAAAGAAAGCAACAUAACAAAGAAAGUAAAAGAAAAUGGCCACAAUUUUAGACCAUGUCGUAAAGACACACAGCAUUAGCGAGAAACCAUUCCAAUUGGGUUGUGGAAAAGAUAGUGAUUCUUUUGAUCGAUCGACCUCAACACCAAAAGAAUAAAAGGGAGGAAAAAAAUAAUAUCAAUCCCUUUUGCUUGCUCAAAGCGACUGCAAAUUUCUUAAUACAUAAGUAGUAAGCAUCUUAUAUUAAACAGGUGACAUGUUCUGCUAAACAUUUGAGAUCUUGGGUUUGAGUUUUAUUAUAAUUUUUUGAAAAAAUAAUAUAUAUAUUUGCAUCUAAUUAACUCUACUUAUAGAGAUAUUUUAAAAAUUAUUCAUAGUAUAAAUAUAAUGAAUCUCUCCAAAUAUAUAUAUGAAUCAAUAUAUAUAUAUAUAUAUAUAUAUAUAUAUACGCAAUAUUCAUCUCCUGCUAAAUAAUUCCCAAAACCAACACCACUCCAUGCCAAUAAUAAUGAAAAUGUUAGCCCACAUAGGCUGCAUAUGUACUCUAGGAUUUAUUUAUUUUCCCCUUCUAGAGCCGUUGCAUAAUCAAUGUGAAGGAUAUUAAAUUAUCCAUCCAUCUUAGCUACACUUUUAAGAGCCACCAUCUCGCCCCCAAUGGUUGGUGCCAUGAUGCAUCUAUAUAUAGGGCUAGAAGAUUAGCACCUGGCUAAGAGUAUUUUAUUAAUUUUAACCUUAAAUACACGUAUCUUUUAUAUAUAUAUAUAUAUAUAUAUAUAUAUAUAUAUUUAUAUAUCGAACACAACUUAUAUAUUUGUAUUAAAUUCAUAAGUUAUUUUAGAGAAAACAUACAAGUAGUGCAUGGGCACAAAUGAUUAUGGCAUAUAGCUAGGCAUGAUAGGAAAUAUGACUUCAAGAAGGCCCAGCUCAGGCCCAUCAACUUUUCCCACCAAUCUACCUACAAAAAUUUAAAGCAUUCAUGUAAUAAUUUGUUUUUAUUUAAUUUAAGAAAAGAAAGGUGGUAUUUAAUUAAAAAUAAAAGGGACAGAAAGCAAGCACGGAGGGUAAGUGAUUGUGGGUGGGGCUUAAUUCACCACUUGCAAUCACCUUUUUCAUGGCCCCACAUUUAUUUAUUUUUAUUUUGUUUUCCCCUUAUACUGCCACGUCACGUGACCAAAAUCCCUCCUCUUUCGAACCUUGAGCGUGUUACCUUUCACACGCUCGACUUUACGUCUAAAACACACUCUCGUAGCCUUGACAAGAGACCCGUAACCUGACAAUAGACAAGCACUACUUCCGUUGCCUGCGCUCUUCUAUGGACACGGAUUCGAGAUGUCGGCAAUCUUCCUGUGAGUAUAUUUUUGAACAUAAUUUUAUAAUGUACCAAGUUCACUUGGUAAGAACAGGCUGGCUAAAAAUAAAUUUUAAAAUGGUUUUUUUAAAAAAUAAUAAUAAUAUUAAAAUAAUAAAAUAUUUGAUCAAUUCUAGUUAAUUUAAGUUAAUCCAUUAAAUUUGCAAUCUUCAUCAUAAACAUGAUCAAAAUGAACUAAUCGGGUUAGAUUGUUUAUCUCUUUUUUCUUUUCUUCUCUUUUCUUGAUUGAGCCUUUACUGAAUUGGACUAAGAUAAAAUUUAGGAUUAAAUUGAAAAAUUAUUAAAAAAUUAAAAAUUAAAUUGAAUGAAGAUGACAAAAAAAAAAAUGUUUGUAAGAAGGUUUAUGUAUUAAAAAGUCGUGUGUAGUUUAUUCAGAGUUAUGAUGAUAAUGUUUGUUGUUGUUGAAAUUAUCUUGAAAGAGCCUUUUUAUUUACUGUGAUGCAUGGUGACAAUGCAGCUUCAAUAUACUUUUAAUAAAAUUUUUUAUUUUUUUAUUUUAUUAUAUCUUGCGAAAUCCAUGCAAUUAUACAUGGAUAAACAAGUAGAAGUAACAAUGAAUUGCCUAACUUUUUUUAGUUUUUUCUUCAAUUUAAUUUGAUAACUAUAAACAUCCAGCUAAUUAAAUUUGGUAAAUUUCAAGUUUCAACCUAUUAGUAUAUUAGUGGCCUUGGAUAGUUUUAAUUUGAUACCAUCAACCAUGAGUUCAUUAUAAAUGCAAGUAUUUAUUUAAAAACAUGAUAAAUAUUAUUUUUUAAAGUAUUUUUAUUUAAAAAUAUAUUAAAAUAAUAUUUUUAAAUUUUUUAAUAUUUAUUUUUUAUAUUAAACAAUUUAAAAAUAUAAAAAAUUAAUUUAAAACUAUUCGCUGUAACAUAAUAUCGAACUUCUAAUCCACCAUCUUUCUUCCUGCAUCUCAGCUUCAAGCUUUUGGCAUGAAUCAAUCCUAACGCGCUUAAGAGAUGCGAGUGUUGGUUUCUUCAACAACAAAAUUAUCUAAAAGAAAAAAAAAAAUCAUGAUUUGGGCUUUGUGCCUACACCCUUAACACAACAGUUACUGCCGGCCAACCCCCCCCCCCCCCCCCCCCUCGCUAUUAAUGCAGACACACAAACCACUCUCCCCCCUCUCUCUCUCUCUCUUUCUGAAUUUUUUCAUAUCUUCAAAACUUGUUUCUAUAUUGUUUUGCUUUGUUCUUCCAAUCCUAAACUCUGAAGUUGUUUCACUUCUCAACAAAAUUUUCUUGAAGGUCAGUCUUUGUUUCAGUUUUUACUGUCCCUUUUCAGGAAUGUUGCAUGUCUUUUGAUGACAACUGUGUUUUUCUCUGUUAAAGAUAAUGGUAGCAUUAAUUUCAGUUUGUCUUUUGAUGAUCCGCUGAUAUUAAAAAAAAUAAAAUAAAAAUAUUAUUUUAAUAUUUUUCUAAAUAAAAAAUAAUCGCAAAUAUAUUUCCAAAUAUCCUCUUAAUGCAAGAGGUUUAAAGGUCUGACACAUGGAAGUUAAAGUGUUCGUUAACAAACUUUGUUUGGUUACUGAGGAAACCAAAAGAGAAAGAAAGAUGCUUGCUUUAUGGAUUAUGGGGUGUUUUUGUUUUCAAAAAUUGAAACUUUCUGUUCUCUGGUAUACUAUACCAAAUGGGGUUUAAAAAAAGGGAAAAUUUGAAUUUAUGCUCUUUGUUUAUUGGUUUCUUUUUUGAUAUUCUGUGGCUGGCCAAAGAGGGAAACAGAGCUUGACUUGAGUUAGUUUCUAGUACUAGUACAUUUUGUGUGUUUAUCUUAAAGAUAAUUAUGUAAUGGUUACUUGAUAUCUUUGUUACAUUCUCUUUUUAAGGCCAUAUUUUGAUUCGGUUUUGACAAAAUCGUACCUUUGUUUCGUCCUUUUCUACUUUUCUGUUUCUGCUUUAUCUCUUCUUGGUUUUCUCUCUCGUGGGAAUUCAAAGUUCUACGUUUUCUCUCUCCCUUUCUCUUUACUUUGAAAUAAUGGUCUAGUCUUAAUUCUGAAUUGCUUUUUAUAAAGUGGAAACUAGUUACAAAAGAAUGUAUAGUUUGUUCUAUUUUUAAGCCUUUUAUGGACGAUCCCCCAUAAAUAUGAGGGUUUUAAUUAAGAUUGUGCCAAAUAAUAUGCUACUUGUUGUCAACUCUUUGUGUUGAUCUCUUCUUUGGUUCUCUUGUGAUGCUCAAACUUAAAAGGUAAACAUUUAAGAAUCAUGUAAAUAUAAUCCAUUUUAUUGUUUUGAUUGUAGUGUAUUUUGAUGCAUUUUACUAGGUAGGACAGACAGGUUUCUUGUUUUCUGGUUUGUUCUUGAAUUUUAUGCUCCCUAUUCUCCUCUAUUUGUCGGCUUCAAUUUUUUAAUUAGUAGUUUGUGGAUUAUUAAAUAACAUGUUUAUAUCUCUCCAAGUAGUGCGACAAUUAAGUGAAUCCUUAUGAAGGACAAGAUACUCGGACAGCGUUUUAAGAAUAUUCCAUUCCAAGGUCACAUGGAAGAUUAUUAAAUUUGGUUUUGUUUGAUUUGUUGAGAGUUUAGUUACUCGCAGUCAUUUCUGGUUUCUUGCAAGGUAUUUAAUUAACAAUCAAUCAACUGUUGUCUUCUUGCUCGUGUUCAGCUGGUUCCAUCGUUGAUUCAAGCAAUCGCCUAUGGAUUGUAUUUGACCAAGAUAAAGAAGACCAUGGUUUUCUACAUCGAGGUGUAAAGUGAUUUGUGGGGGAAUCUUUAGGUUUUUGGAUAGCCUUUUCUUGGUUGACUAGCUAGCAAAUCUCAGAAUUUUAUGUGAGAUCUGUUCUGGCAAUCGGAGGAAACUUGUCAAUUAUUUACACCACGGAUGUCUUCUUUGUUCUGCGGUUGAGCAAAUGGGGGCUUGUGUUUCAACUAGUCGGAGUACUUGCAGUAGCAAGAGCAAUGGAGAGCCAGUUCCUCCCCCUUGCUUGGGGAUCGGUUUUUGCGGGCAAAAGAGAACUAAAAGGACAUUCUCUGAUCAUUUAGUUACACUUCAGCAUUUACCAUCCAUAUCUAACAGGGUUUUCACCAAUGGAAAGAGCCGAACUUCUUGUAUAUUCACACAGCAGGGUCGCAAGGGAAUAAACCAGGAUGCAAUGAUUGUGUGGGAAGUAAGUUUUAUUCUUUCCGUUGAGAUUAACUUUUAAUGACAUUUCGAGGUUUUUUUGCUUGGUCACACUAUGGUUCUUUGUAGGAUUUCAUGUCUGAAGACGUGACCUUCUGUGGUGUCUUUGAUGGUCAUGGUCCACAUGGCCAUCUUGUUGCCCGCAAGGUGAGGGAUGCCCUGCCAGUAAAAUUACAGUCAUUCUUGAACUCUUGUCAAUCAAGGCAAAAUGAACCGGGUCAAACCUGUUUCACGGGGAAUUCAAAGAAAUCAGAUGUUGGGGAUUUGGACAAGGAUGGCUCUGUCGAGGAUAAAUUGAAUUCUUUAUGGAGAGAAACAUUUCUGAAGUCAUAUAAGGCCAUGGAUAAAGAGCUGAAAUCCCAUCCCAAUUUGGACUGCUUCUGCAGUGGGAGCACAGCUAUCACUAUUGUAAAACAGGUAUUGCGGGAUUAAAGCUCAUUCUUGAUAUUGCCUUCAUUUAGCUUUGGUAGGAAGUAUAGCUUACUCUUCAUGUCCCAUUUAUUUAGAUUUAGCCUUAUCGAAUACGUUAUUUGUGAAUUUAAAGGGAUCGAAUCUGUUCAUGGGAUAUAUUGGGGAUUCGCGUGCAAUCAUGGGAUCUAAGGACAGCAAUGAUUCCAUGGUUGCAGUCCAGUUGACUGUUGAUCUGAAGCCUGAUUUGCCAAGUAGGUCAUUUGCACUAUAAUUAGUAUGUAUUUUGAUGUUAUACUCAUCUUUGCAAACCCAAUAGUUGAUUUGAAACCUAAUUGCUGCAGGGGAGGCUGAAAGGAUUAAGCGGUGUAAAGGUAGAGUCUUUGCAUUGCAAGAUGAACCUGAAGUGCCAAGAGUUUGGUUACCAUUCGAUGAUGCCCCUGGUCUGGCAAUGGCUCGGGCAUUUGGGGAUUUCUGUUUGAAGGAAUAUGGAGUGAUCUCAAUACCUGAGUUUUCACACCGGACACUUACAGACAAGGAUCAGUUCAUUGUUCUUGCCUCAGAUGGUGUAUGUUUUCUCCUCUUAUAUUUUCUCCUACCAAUUCCUUUUCUAUCUGUUAAUAUUGAAUCUGAUUUUCUUCUAUUUUGUGAUACUAGUUGAUGGAUCAUUUUAAUUUGGUAUUUUUAAGGUCCAUUGUUUGCUGACUAAAAAUUUAUGGACUGUGGUUAAAUAUGUGAAUGCCUUUGACAUUGUUCCAUAUCCUGUAUACUGCGUAGCAGAGAGGAAAGCUUGUAGAGGAGUGUUGAGUGUAUUCAUAUACCAAUCAAGCGAUAGCACUUUUUGAAAGGCAUAUAAGAACAAAAGCUCAUUGUGGUGGAUGGUCCAUAUUGCAAUGUGGAUUUUGGAUUGGUAUGAUAGUAUUUUGAAUUGUAGGUUUCUUCUAACCUAAGUAGCAAAUAGAUUGAUCCAUCUGGCAUUUUAUGCCAGCUAUGAGUAACACACUCAUUCAUUGGCCAGCCAUGUUUUGCUUUAAAUAUUGUUGCGUUAAGUAUUGGAUUGAAAAUGAGUUCAGGAUGUGCCUAAUCUAUUCUGUGACUCAUUAUAAUCAUGUCACACGCAAGCUUUUCCAAAUUUAUUUCUCACAUAAAUGUAUGUUCUGACUGUGAAACAUGUGCAUUAUCUUUGAUUGUAUUGCCAAAGUCGUUGGAGUUUUCAGUCUCAGAUUCUGCUUAAUAGCAGCGAAAUGUUCUCGGUGCAUGGAAUUUUUUGUUCACUGUUCCCUUUUGAUUAUUCAGUACAUGGUGACUAUCUUCUGUUGUCUCAUCCAUGUUAUUGGAUUUAUUUGUAUAACCGGAGAACCAAUUCAAUUCCUAAAACAUCUAAAUGGGCUAUUAGGAAAUAUAUCACAGUUGCAAUGCAACUCCUACAUGCUGUCAAGAACAUCCAAAUUCAUCAAGAUUAACAGCAAUGCAAUAUUGAAGCUAAUGAUGCCAAAGCAAUUUUGGAAUGCUAGAAUUAUAACCUUGUUAUGGUUGUUUUUGAGAUAGUGCUUGGCAAUAUAUGUGUGCUAACUAUUAAGUUUGAAUUGCUUCAGGUUUGGGAUGUCUUGAGCAACGAAGAGGUGGUUGGGAUUGUAUCCUCUGCUCCAACACGGGCAUCAGCCGCAAGAAUUCUGGUGGACUCAGCUGCUCGUGAAUGGAAGCUCAAAUACCCAACUUCAAAGAUGGAUGACUGUGCUGUAGUUUGCUUAUUUUUGGAUGGGAAAAUGGACUCAGAAUCUGAUUACGAUGAACAAGGCUUUUCUUCAGCGACUCUUGAUCAGAGCAAUCAUUCUGGUAAUGCUGCUGAGUCAGAUGAUGGGCAGAAAUCCGAGCCAUGUUUGCAAAGAAACUUUACUGUCAGGUCAGCUGAAGAAAAUGAUACUUAUGGAAGACUAGCAGUUGAAGUUGAUGGAGAUGGCGAAACAGUGAGUGCUGAUGAUCAGAGUUGGUCAGGUUUGGAAGGUGUCACACGAGUUAAUUCACUUGUUCAACUUCCAAGAUUUUCUGAGGAAAGGCCAGACCCAUAAUUUUUGUGGUUAUCUACGUAAAUGAAAGAGCCUGCCAUCAUUGUAAUAUUUUUGCUCUGGGGCCCCAUUAUAUUCAAAGAACGUCCUUUUGUUCUGGUGGCAUAAUGUUUUGAAAAUUUACCCUGGUAAAUGAUUGCCACAGCCUCUUGUUUUGUUUUAUGUUACAGAAAUGUAGAAAGACAGCUUUGUUCAGAGAAUUGAACCUAAUCAACAUAGCUCUGUUAAUAUGAUUUUGAUUCUGUCAAGAUUCUGAACGUGCGUAUAUUGAUCGUGUUGGAAGAUAGAGUCCUGCGUUCACUCCAAAAACUAGUGAUUAAAGGAACACUUCACUUGGCUUGUCUGUGAUGGAUUUUCUUCCUGUUUGAAUCCAGCUCCCUUUUAACUAGUCACUGGUACAUCAUCUUCAAAUGUGCCAAGAGACUGGAAGCAAUAAUUUAUUGGUAGUCUCUUCUUGGUAUGGCGGUCGAAGUCAGGACUCUGUAGUUGCUUUGGUGCAGGUUAUAGUACUGAGAGCAGUCAUUUCAUGCAUAACGUGUGUAAAGUGGAAGACCCUCUUCAGAUUCCAAUCCUCUAUGUAAAAUUCAACUUGCAGGUUUGGCUUAGAUGGUGAUUGAGUUUGCUUCCCACAAUAACAUUUUAAAUUCAAAUUAAUGGGAGGCUGCAACAAAGCAUUCUUGUUAACAUAUCAAUCUGAAAGAGGAUGGACUGUCCAGUACUCACUUUGAAGAGAAUUAAUCUGAGAGAGAGAAUUCUAUUUCCAUCAGGACUAAGUUGAAGUAAUAUUGCAUGAAAUACAAGUCAACAUUACGAACAUUAAAUGCAGUAUUGCUAGGAAAAUCAUAGCAUAUGAACAGCUACAGGAAUGGGCAGACAUGCCAUUAAUAGAUCUUCAUAGUCCCGUAAGGACAGAGAUGUAGCUGGAGAGACAGAAGAGACCAAUUUAAUGGCCGCCAGGCUUGGUGAUGAAAAAUAAGACCCAAAAAUUAGGUAAACAAGGUUAGCUCUGCAAGUUUCAACAAACCACCUUACAAUGCACUUCCAAGAGCCUCCCAUGCAAUUCUUAGAGGAAAAUUCCAUGGCCUUUAAGAGGAAAACAGCAUUGUCAUAUCUUAAAUAACCACAAAUGAAAAAAAGAAGAGAGACUCGUGGAAGCCAUAAAAGUAUAUGCUUACCCUAUCCUCAUGCGGUAUGGAUUUAACCAAAUAGAAACGGCUACUUAAGUCGCCGCGAAAAGUUCACCUAACUCACUCAAAUCCUGACUAUAAGAAGAGCAACACUCUUCUCACUUCUUCAUCAAUCACUGCUAACAUAUCUCAUCUGCUAGCUUUGUAGUCAUAAAAUGGCUUCCAAAUCACAGUUCUCUCUUCUCGCUCUCGUUGCCCUGCUUGCAAUAUCCGGGCAAGUACUCGCAGGGCGUCAGAUUCCGAAUAAUGUGGAUGUGAAACAGCCUGAUUUCCUGAUAUCUGACAACAGUUUUCUCAUUCCAGGCAUUGGACGGGUGCUGGUUCCACCAACUCCCAGCUUUCCUUCUUAUGAUCCACAUAUGGGCAUUGGUAACUAUAGUCCAGGUGGAGACGAUACAUUCCCUCCAAUUCCUAAUGGUGGUGUUUCAACAGUAAACCACCCUUGAGAGCAGUAUGUGGGCUGCUGCUUUUUAAUAAAAAGCUAUGCUAGUUGCAUUUGUUUUAUCUUUUAAUCAAGUAUCCUAGAUGCAUGAAUUUAUGUAAUGUUGUUGCAAGGAAGUUGGGGUCUGUUAGGCUUCCUUACAUGGAAAUUAAGUGUGCUGCAUGUACCAGUCCAAGUUUGUCCCUAGAAUGUAAUGAUCACUUUAUUCUGUCUUCUUUAUUGUUUACUUUCAAUAUUGUUGUAAUUGUAUGGUUUUUAUGAAGACUGAAAUUCUUAGCUAUUAAAUUGAGCUUCUGCAGGUAUGCCCUACCAGACAAUAAUGACAGAUCAAUUUCAAUGCAUUACUACUAAUCUUUUCAGGUAUUCCCUGGCCAUUUUUAUGGCUCUUCACCUGCAUUUUACAUAGCCAGUUCAUCAAUGAAGAGAGAUUUUGUUCUUGUAGUUCACUGGUAGUGUAAAACAUUCACUUACUAGACAAAUCAAGAAACCUAUUCAUCAGUAUAAUUUAGUGUUUACUCUUCAAUAUAAGUAGAUGCAGAUGAAGGAUGAGCUUCUAAUGACAAAAAGGAAAUUAAGGGACUCAUUUGCCCCCUUUUCUCAUGAAAGUAUAAUGAAAAAGACAUAAUUGAUUAGAUAACACACAAUCUAAUACAUAAAUUUCAUCCUUGAUUGAUUAAAAACUACUUGGAUUUGUGCACUAAAUCACUGAAUCUUUACAUCGCCAUCACCACUAAUGAUCUAUAUGAUUUUGUUUUUCCACUUUAAGAAGUCUUAUUCAAAACCAAACUUAAUGAAGGUGGCUUGUUGUAACCAUCAGCAACAUUUACAUUGAUCUCUUCCUUCUACGAGCUAUCCACUUCUUUUCAUAUAAUUACUCAAACUAUCCUUAAUUGCAAGCAAAGGCAGUAACACAUUUACACCUUGCUGGAAAACCAUCUUCAAUCAUACACAUCAAAACCAGACAAAAUCUUUCAAUAAAUAGACACCUUAACACGUCAAUCAACACAUACAAUCACAUUCAACAAAGCAAAUUUCCAGUGCAGCAUUGGUUACCAGGAUUUUAUUGCAAAUUAAGUUCGUUUCUCAUUGUAAACCAUUGUUAGAAAUUCAUUAGUAAAUAAAGACAAUGAGAAGAAGAAGAAGAAGAAUAACACAAGAUUCCAAGUAGUAUUUUUCAUUCAAAAAAGAAUGCUUGGCUCUACCUCAAAACAUGACUGGAAAAGCAAACAAUCAACCAUUCUUAUUUAUUUUAUUUUUUUUCAAAGUAUAGUUUUUCAUUAAAAACCUCUGAGAAUCCAAAAAAGACAACUCCUGAGAAUGCUCUCUGAAUCUGGAACUUCCGAAAUGGCAAAGUGGUAGUCUCAUAAGGAAUAAUCUGCAGCAAAGAUUAUAAUAUCCCUGGGUAAGUAAAUAAAAAUAGGUGGGAAAAGAAAUAUACCAAAGAGAGGAGCAUACAAGAGGGAUAGUAUGUAGAUCUUUCUGUUGGAGUUUAAACUCUAGCAUAAUCUUGUCAUUGGAUAAGAAGUGAACGAAAAAGAUAAAAUAACAAUGUCAGUUCUUCAGAUCGAUCACGCGAUAUAGUAAUUUCUUAGUCACAGUUGGCACUUGACUUCUCCAAAAAGAAAGCAAUAAGUAACGUAGCAAAUCACUUUCAUAGAAACUUUGCCAAGACAAUAUGAUGGAACUAAUUAGCAUACCUACCCACCAAAUAUGGUGUGCACUAGACUUCAUCAUAUAUGAUCUUAAUUACAACCACACAUGCUUUCCAUAAAAAAACCAUAAAUCAAGAAUCUGCCUACUGGUAAAGGUCUCAAACAUCAAGUCACCUGCAUCUUGUAAUUAUAAAAGUGGGAAUGUGUCAUGUUUUGAUUCAGGAGAGGAGACAUAAUUAAAGAACCAAACAUCAUUAUUACUUGAGCUACCCAUUUGAAAGCUGUAUUUCAUGUGUAAAUGUUGUCUCUAACCUUCGCAAUAAAUAACAAUCAUUUGAGUUAACAAAUCUUCAAAGUCAUCUAUACCCAAGUAUCACUCCAAUUAAUAGACCAAAACCAGCCCUUUAAAAACUCUCACCGCUUCCUCUUCCCCUCUUUAGCGGCAAUAAGCUACCACCUCAUAAUCAUUGCAUCUCAAAACCAUUUGCAAUCUUUCAAUUCGAAACUGAAAGAAAUUCAAAAAGAUUCACAAUUCUUUCUCACUCAUUCAUGAUUAACAUGAAAAUUUAUAUAAACUCUUAUAUCAAAGACUUAUGCUAAUCAAAAUCCAUCAAAAUGAGAAUUCAAGCCCUUAAGCCAUCUCAAGAACAAUUAUCUACUCUAACAACCAAUAAAACUUACACACAACUAUAAAGUUACAAACUUUCGAUUCUCACGAGGUUAUUAGCUUCUCCAAAUAAAACCCACUAAAUAUAAACAAAAAACAAACAAUAAGUAAUUCAAGUUUUGGAGAAUUACCAGACAAAAGCAAAAAAGGAGAUAAAUGGGGUUUUGGAGAAUUACCUGACAAGGUGGGGUCUUCGCUAGAGAGAGAUAAGAAAUUAGAGACCAACAAUCUUGAAAACAAUGAAGAUAAGGAAAGCCAAAAAGAUGCAUAGGAAUAAGUAAUCCACAAAAACAAAAAACUUGGUUGAUCCAUGAUUUCUUUUCUUUUUAUCAUUGUUGUAGUUAAGGUUGUUGUUGGUUUGGUUUGGUUCUGCAUCAUCAAGUGAUUCAAGUUUUGCCAUUGUUGUUUUAAAACAACAACUGUUGGGUUUGCAGAGAGAUCUUACAGAGGAGGUUCGAUUUGGGGAUCUAGACAAAGCUUUGUUUUGUCUGAUUUAUGUCUCUGUGGUUUUUAAGGUUUGCUAAAAUUGGGUCGUUUGCGUCCCGCGCAAUUUUCUCACCAAAAUGAUUUGUGGACUGUAGGCCCACUACUUCUACCCACAGCAGCAAUCCAUAUUGUGUGAAGGGGGCGCCGAUAAAUAAUUACACUCCAAAAAAACUGGAUCACUUUGACUUCGGGUAAUUGAGUUAACUUUUUUUUUUUAAUUAAUAUGAGUUUCUGAACCAGUUUACACGUAUGUUAAUUAUUUUUAUGAUCUAUAAAGCUAAAGAUCAUAUAAAUUUUUAGUGGCUCUAAGAUUUAUGGGAUUCAAACUGACGAUUUCUAGAAAGCAAAUAUAAAAUCUGACCAAUUAAAUUACAUUCUUCAAAAUUGAAUUAACUAUUUUUAUUAAGCUGAAUUGUAUCUUUUUUAUUUUUUUAAAAUAAUUUUUUUAUAUAUAAUUUUUUUAUUAGAUUUGAGUGUAUCAACCGAGACAUUAAAAACCUCUUUAAAUUAUUGAGCUACUUGAAUUUUUCAGUCGACGUAUUAGAAUAUACUAGGGGUAACAAUUAUGAUAUCAAUCCCAUUUCAGUUACAGGAAGGUUUGGUUUGGAUGAUUAAUGGAUUUGCUCAUGUGUCUUUAUUUUGGAUUUGAACUCAGAAAGAAAGACUAAAACAACGAAAUUCUCGUGAAUACAUCAAUUUGAAUGUAUUCAAUCUGUCAAAAACAUCCUUUAUAUCUAAUGCUAACCCAAAUUCAAGUAAUCCAACUCUAUUUGGAUCAGUAGCGGAUACUCCGGUGUCAGUUUCAACCCAAAUCCUGUUGCCAUCUCAGGCAACUUGUAGUUAAUCUUCUAAUAGAAUGCAUGAAUGUGUACUUCUGGUGAUGGUUAAUGUGUUGUUUAACAUUAAUCUUCCAAGAAACCAACCUUACAAAGAGUAGAAGCAUGAGCUCCUGUUAUAGUCCUGGUGAAUUUUUUUUUCUAAUUUUUUACUGUCAAGGAGAUUUGAGAUACGUCAUGAUAUACAAGAAUACAAGCAUAACAAGGAACAUUGAUUACUUUACAAAUAAUUAAUUUGUUGUAGCCAUGGUUACCAUCUCAGUCUCAGCUCGACACAGCAAUCUUGCAGGAUUCUGUACCAUGUCUUGAUUAUUCUUAGCGCCAUGUACAACUCAAUACAAGAAUCUCUUUCUAUCUCUACACACCAAAAAAGAAGCUUUCCCGAUGCAUGAGCCUCCUUGAAUUGCAACAGUCAUUUGAAUGGUUAGGCGUAUUCAACCUACCGCUAUACUUGCAGGCGGCUGCUUCUGUAGUUUGAACCUACAGGAUCCUGGUUGCAAGGAAACAAUCUUUGCUGUUGCUCUAAGCCUCACCCUAAAACAAUAAUACUAUAACAGAAAAAUUAUGGUAGAGGCUGGUCUGUGAACUAAGUGGCCUGUCCACGUGCAUAUUGCCAUUGGAAAAUGCUUGCAAAUUGAGAUGAUUUUUAAGCCUAUUGACAGCCAAUACGCAACCCUUCUUGUUGGGACAUGAUUUUCCAGUUCACUUAUUUAUACAAGGUGAGAAAAGGUGAUAUCAGCAUAUAGGAAACUAAUCAAGUGCAUUCCAACAUGAACCUGUACAAAAUUACAGUUCCUCAGAUCUACAGUAUAGUUUAAAUUACUAGAUGCCAAGCCCAGGAAAACAAAAGUUUUGGGUUCCAUCGGUCAGAGUCAAUGGACUUCCAAAAUGAAGAUAUUUUAAAGGGGAUGUUCAGUUGUUAUGUACCUCAUCAGCACUGCUUGAUGAGCUCGAGUUUGCCUCAGAAACUCGAGCUCCCGAUUUCUCACUCGAAUAACUUCAAACAGAAAAAGAUAACUCAGUGUUAAAUUGAGAAUCAGCAAAGCAUUUUCAAAAUAGCAGGACAUGGAAGAAAGGCUAUAGCACAAUAUUAACAGAAAACAACCAAAACUAUGAUAAUGCUCACAAGUUAUCACCAGAAAAAGAAAUCAAAGAAAGGCAUGCAAUGCUACACAAACAGUAAGAAAAAGACAUGCUCCUUUCGAGUUCACAAUGGUUUUUGCCAGGGGUCCCAGGUACUUUGGAACCCUUUAAUGUCAAAUGUUUAUUACACAGUGCAGCCAAUCAGUCACCAAGAAUGCACACGUCGUAUAAAUAGUAUAGAGCAAUAUAUAUAUAUAUAUAUAUAAAGUCACAAAACUCAGUUGCAAAUUAAACGAACGAUAAAGACUCAUAGCCAUUCUUGCAGGUCUAAACUGUUGAGACAGUGGAGUUACUUGUUAAAUACUUCUGUUUUUUGCUGGUCAAUGACCAUGGAUGCUUACAUUGAGAGUACGGUCACCCAGAUGAGCUCCACACAAUCUACCCAAAGAGGCCUUUGUUCAAGAGGGAUAACACCAUAGGUAAUCAAAUGAGAAAAUGGCCAAAGCUUCCAUCCUGCCUAUCAAGCAGAUCAGCAAAAACAGUUUACUAUCACCAAGACAUUAAUAAAUCGAUGAACAACUAUCAAUCAGAUGGAAGUUGUUUAACAUUAACCUCAAAGCAUAAAUGCACCUUAAGAAUUGCCCUGGUGAAAAACAUUGGAGGUACAUUAGGGUAUAAAGACACCAAAAUGGACCUUUUCCAUUGUAAUAUUCUUUUUUGCUGCUAGUCCAUGCUACUUUUAGCACUGAUAGAAACAAAUGACUUUUAAUUUAGAGUACAUUGAGCUGUUCAAGGUUUUUCUUUUCCCGAUAAAAAAUGUAUUCAAUAAGAUCUCACAGGUUUGUCAAACUUCAAAAAAUUUCUUGCUCGUAGUCUCAAUUGACAUGAAGGGCAUUUUCAGGUGGGCUAUUAACCUGUGCUCUUCACGAUCACAAGUUCAUAUGUUCAACGCCAGUCAAACAUCAAACAAGAUGGAAAUUUGAAAACAUAUUGAUGCAGGCGUAACUUGAAAACAACAAUUAAAUAAAAAACACAUAAUAUUUUAAUUUGAAAAGGGAGCUGCCGAGAUAUGAAGUCUAAAUUCACAAGUUUUUUUUUUUCUAAAUUAAUGAUAAUCAAGUCUUUUCUUUUUAAAAGAUUUACAAAAUCCUAAAUAAGUUAGAAAUUUCACGUCAACUAGAAAAUAAAAACAAAAAUCCGAAAUUACAAAGGAAAGAAACAUAAAAUUUAAAAUAAACAAGAAAUUCAAAAAUAAAAAAAAUCAUAAAACCUGCCAAAAACAAGAGGGGUGAUGACAUUUUUUAUAUUUAAAGAACCAACGGUUCACGUAAUAACCCAGUAGUUGCUGUAGAGAAAACAGCCUCUGAAAACUCAUAAAAAUUUGAGUGUGAUUCAAUAGUCAAAUCAAAAGUUAUGGUCCUUUUAAGAUGUUAUUCUCACUUAACACAACCAAACCUUUUCUUAGCAUAAACUAUCUUACUGAUGUAUAAAUACAUAUGCUAGGUCAUUUAUGUAAUAUAUUUAUGAUAAAUUCUUAUUUAAUUAUAACAUAUUUAUAUUUAACUACUCAAAACUAAUAAUUAUCAUGCUCAACUAAUCACGUAUUCUUUCCUUUAUUCACUUGUUCUAGAGAAACAUUUAGCUAAAUUUAUUAGCCAAUAGAAAAAUCCAAAAUGCAAUGAACAAUGCUGAUAACUAAGUACAAGUAUAAAAUCGGUUUCAAAGCCAGUAAAUCAAUGGCUUUUUUCCCAUAAAACAACUUUAGUAUCAUAGCCAUAUCAAAAUCAAGAGAAACAGGUGUCAAUUGGGAGAAUUUAUUUAUAUCAUUCACAACUUGCAAGCUAAAUAGAUAGUGUAUUAUUAAAAACUGAUUUUGAAUUCGAAAUUUAUUAAAAUAAUAUUUUAUCAUCAUCAUAUCAAAAUUCUCACAAAAAAAUAAAAAAAUAUUAAAUUAAUAUAUUUUUAAAUAAAAAAAAAAAAACAAGUUGAACGGAUUAACAAACCCACAAAAAUAGUUUUAGUUAAAACAUAUAAGGUCCCACCGAGAUUUGAACUCGGGUUACUGGAUUCAGAGUCCAAUGUCCUGACCACUAGACCAUGGGACCAAUUCUGUUAAAGUUGUCGUAAAUAAUAUUAUAUAAUAAUUACUUGUGUUAAAAAUCCUCUAUUUCUUCCUCUGAUGGUUUCUCACUCAAUAGUCAACAGUCAACAACCAAAAACCCUGAUGAGGAAAAACCCUAUUGUAACCUCGUCCUCUCUGCAACAACCCUACAGGCCUACACCCCUUUCCACCUCUCCUACCCUACAACAAUCGUGGGUCUUCAUCAAAACCUCCAAAAAAAUUCCCCAUACAAAUUUUCACUUCCAAUCCUAGGUGGUUUUUCACUGACAACAGCUAUCUGCCUUCACCAGAAUGGAUAGAGCCCUUUAAUGACCCCCCUGAUAUAGCCUCAGAAACCCCUCAAAACCUUAAACCAUCUCCUUGGGUUCACCAAAUUUCGAGUCUUUAAUUAGAUGGCUCUAUGGAUAUGGAAUCAGGAUUGGACCUUUUUUGUAACAAGUUUUUGAUCAAUUUAUCACCAAAUUUUGUUUCUUUUGUUUUGAAAUAUAUGGAACUUCACAAAAGACUUGAUCUUGCUUUAAAGUUCUUUAAUUGGGCUGGUAAGCAAAACAAAUAUACUUAUAAUCUUCAGUGUUAUGAUUCUUUGUCUGAUGUUUUAGCUAUAAAUGGUGAUUUAGAUAAUGUAAAGUCAGUGUUCUGUAAGUUUCGAGAAAUGAGGCUUUUCAUGAAUGUUUCUGUUGUGAAUUCUUUGAUUAAGAGCUCUGGUAGUGUAGGGAUGAUAGAGGAGUUGUUACGGGGCGGGGUGUCGUAGAAUGAAGGAAAAUAGGACUCGACCGAGUUUGUUCACCCAUAAUUUUUUGCUUAAUGGUUUGGUUAAUUCGAUGUUGAUCGAAUCCGCUGAGCAUGUUCUUGAGCUUAUGGAGAAUGGAGAAAUUGGACCUGGUGUUACUUAUAAUACUAUGAUUAAAGGGUAUUGUCAGGAGGGAAAAACCCAGAAAACAUUUUAGAAGUUUAAUAUCUCUAUAUGGAGUUGAGAAAUGAUCAUGUAUUUGACUUUAAUUCAGGCGUGUCAUGCUGAAGGAGAUUUUGAUUUGUGUUUAAGUUUAUAUCAUGAAAUGGAUGAGAAUGGAUUGGGAAUCCAACCUCAUGCUUAUGGUCUAAUUAUUGGGGGACUGUAAAGAGGGGAAAUGUAUGGAAGGAUAUGUUGUUUUCUAGAGGAUGAUUAGCUCAUCGUCCCACGUUACACCGCAGGUUAUAGUAAAAUUUCUUUCGAGUGAAAAAAUAAAGUCUACGUGUAUUUUAAAAAAAAUUAAUUUUAAUCAUUAAUUAAAUGAUAUUUUAAUUUAAUAUUGAGAUAAAAAAACUUUUGAUCCAUCUUAAUUAAUUAACUUAGAUUGAACUACAAAACUUAUAGGAAUAAUCUUCAAAAACAAAAAACACAUAGGUCAAAUUACUCUUAUGAAAUAAAACCUAUUUACACCAAAAUAACACCUAGCUAGGCUAGCUCAUUGGCUCGCACUAUACAAAAAAACAAAUGAUCAAACAAAAAAAUAAAAAUAUGUUAUCCAUAAAUUUAAAAUUAGUUGCAUAUAAUUAGACGAUAUUUUUAUCUAACAUAGAAAAUGAAUCGUAUUGGAUCAAUCUAGGUCAUUGCAGGUUGACAUGCAGAAGUUAUGAGUAUAAUCUUGAAAAAAAAAACAAAUUGAGAACCUAAAUCUCGAGUUAAUUUAACGUUGAAGGAUAAAAUUAGAAAAAAAAAACUCAAUUUUAUUUUAAAGAAACCCAAAUGAACUUGAGUCAACCAAUCAAGCUCUCAAUGCAAGUCAUGCAUGCCAUCAAAUUCAAUAAGUUUUUUUUAUAUUCCAUAAAUUAUUUUUCAUUUAAUAGAUUUGCAUGACAAUAAAGCGAAUAUAAUAUUUUCUAAAUAAAUAUUUUUUAAAAGAAAAAAAAACAUAAAAAACGCAUGAGACCGAGAUAGCAAAAGCAAAUAGUUAAUAACAAAGAGUGAAAUAAUAUUUUUUAAAAUUUUAAGUCAAUUAAAAAAUAGUUCAUCGAUAAUAUAGGGUGAAAUUAUAUUUUUUUUUCUUUUUAAAUUGAGGUAUUCAAAGUGCAUUAAAUAAAAAAUAAAAAAAGCGAAACAAUAAACUAAAUAUUAUGACUUAACUUGUCAAACUUGUUAUUCGAAUCAUGAAACUAACUGGUUUAUUUUUUUUUUUAUCCAAAACAAGAACUAAAAAAGCCCAACAAUAUUAGUCUAUGCCCAACAUGUUAGGCCUUUAAAAGGAACAACCCAGGUGCAUGGGCUUUUUAAUUUCUUUCUUUUAAAAUACAGUGAUGACGUAUUGUUUUCCAGCCCAAGUUCAGCCACUAUAAUGAUUGCCGAAAAUAAAUGUCUUCUUCCUCAAUUGAGAUCUGUUUUUUUAUGCAAUAAGACUCUCCUUGAUAUAACCUACCAUACCAUACCUUGCUGAACAAUCUUUAAAGCCAUGGCCUUCUGAUAUGUUCUUCACCUGUCAAGCUUUAUGUAACGUCAUUAGCGCACACCCAUCUGCAAUAUAGUAUUCCAGUGUGGUUCCUUGAAUAUCUCUUCCAAGUAGCUAAUGAAUCUUUCUCAGUUUUGUCCCAAAGUUCUCUUGAUUUGGAUCUUUUUUUAGGCGGUUAAAUCCAGAAAAAUCAAUUUAUUUUUGGAAUCAAUUUAACAGUAAGUUGGCUGAAAUAUAAUUGAGCAAGAAAGUGAAUCUUUUCUCCUUGAAAUUGGCUAGAUAAAUGUGAAUUCUGUAUUGCAAAACAGAUUUCUCAUUAUAAGAUCAUGCCCAGUGUAGCAGUGGGUAAAUAUCAAACUUCAUUGUGAUUCAGAGGAGCAUUUCUUUCUCACAGAAGUAUGUCUUCUCGUUUUUUCUCUGUUUAUGUUAGUAAAAUUCUGAAAUUAGAUAUAUGCCAUAUAGUUUGCCCUUCUUUGCUCUGUGUUACGUACUACAAUAUAACGACUGUUAAGUCUUUAGCUCAACUCUCCAAGCUACAUUCUAUGCUUCAAUAUUACGAGUUAUUAUUCGCCUUCGAUUCUCGGUCUUCUAAUCGAUAAGCAUCUAUCUCACCGCAUUCUUGGCCAUAAUAAUCCAGUAAUAGCGUGAAAUUUUGCUGUAUUGUUGGACCUUGUGGGUGUGAUGUCGCUAUAUUUCUUAUAAUCCCGCAUGUUACUGGCAAAAGCCAGGAGCACAUGUAAAUUUGGCCUUGGGGACCUUAUCCAAGUGGAUUUCAUUACAGGUCCGCAUGCAGAAACAUCGUUGUAAAAUAGCUAGUGCUGGAAUCUAGACAAUGGUGUCGUUAUUCUCUUAAUGCUAGCAGAUGUUGCUGUGUUGUUUAGCCCGAUUUAUUUCAGUGAUUGAUAACAAUACUGCAACUGCAUCCACUAUUCGAAUGCAAGCAAUAGCUUAAUCUUCACAUGCAAAGAAAGUGAUAGUACAUAAGCAUCAGUAAAGCACGAGCGAUGAGCUUGCAAGUCUCUAUAUGAUUGAAUAUAAAGUGGGCUUCUUUUUUUUAUGAUCUUGCUUUCUUGAGGCAUCAAAUAUUCCAUUCCCGUGCAAUUCAAAGCCACACCUUGUUUGUUUUGUUGUUAAUGGGAAGGACUUGAUCACAAACAACAACAUGGCUCGAGUUGUUAGCAAUGUCAAUGGCUCCAAUUACAUGGCAGAUUUAGCCUGGUUGGUUCCACUCCUACCAAUAUUUGAGAUUCUUGCGACAAUAUUUACAUAUACAUAGUUGCAAAAAGGUUGAUGGCUGAUUGAUUAGCUUUACUAGUCCCCUUAGUGCCAAGAUUAGUUAUUUUCUUCGGAAUGGUCCCCUUCAACACAAGUACUUUUAUCUGUUCUGAGUAGUCCCUUUGUGUCUGUGGCUCUGUCCAUCAAUGUAGCCAGUCAAUUCCAGUGCCAGUCUGCAUUGGUUCAUAAUGGCUAUGGUUAAACUAAGUAUCUCUCGAUAAUACGAGAAGAAAACUCUAGAAUAUAUAUGAGGUGAGGAAGAGUGUAAAAUUCAGAAAAAUUCAUGUAUUAAACUCUUUCUUCACUCUCUAUUUUUAUAGUAAAUUUUAAAAGUUAAGACUAUUAUUAAUUAUUGAUUAGCCACAAUAAAUUAAAAAUUAAAUCUAAGAAAACUAUAAAAAAAAAUUGUGGAGAUAUCUUUCACUCGUGGCAGCAGAAUAUUUUCUUUUGUUGAGACCCUUCAAUGAAAAUCAAGAUGUCAACGUGGUUCUAAGCAAUAUCUAGAUAUUUUAUACUAGUUGAAUGGCUCAAACAAAACCAUGAACAUUUGGGACCUAAAGAUCUUGAAAAAAAAGUUGAAUUUUGGACACUCCAAGAUAUAUAUAUAUAUAUAUAUAUGGUUAGUGAAUUAUGUGGGGGCAGAGAUUGUAACUUAGCUUAAACCAGCAAGAGGUCACUUCAUUAUCCAUCAAGUUUAUUGCUCAACUUUGAGACUAGAAUACUUCGUUUUCAUAACCUAGAGAGAGAGAGAGAGAUCAUCAAAAGAAAAUAUUUCGAUGAAAAGCUUUGUAGAAAAAACAAAACCUUGGGGAUCAAGUUAUAGAUUGGCUUACAGAAGACCUGUAAUCUUCUACAUAAGAAAGACAAUUCAUUGGCUUUAUUGAAAGAGGAUCUGGACGGGGAUUCUUGAAGUUUAUCGAUCAGCAUUAUUGUAUGCCUUGGUGACACAGAAAGUACGAAAAUGUUAAUAGCCAUUAAAGAUCGGGGGACCUUGAGCUUACAGAGUGGCACAGCUGUAGCAGCUACAAGUAUAUGGUGGUGAUUGAGGAAAAGGGCCCUACAAAAUAUGAUCAAAACUAAUUUAGGGGUCUGAAUUGGAGGCCAAGGAAAAUGAACUAGGAUCACUCAAGUGAUGGUCCGGCCCUUAAUUCAUCCUACGGAUAGAUAGGUGGCAUUUACGAAGCCUAGAAAUACUGUCAACUACAUGGGCCAAUCUAUUCCCAUAUGCUUACAAUUUUCAACUCCAACACCGGCAGCUGGCGUCACAGUUAUUAAAUCCGGACCGGUAUAAGAAGUUGAUCUAGAAACUGAACUGGUUUAGAAUUUUUAAAAGAUCAGCCGGUGUAACGACCCGGCAGAUUAACCUGUGACCCAAGCAAGACCCGGUGGUUUUUUUUUUCAAAUAUGGAAUUUGAAACCCAUCAGUAUAUAUACUCUAUGUUCCCAAGAAAAAAAAAUUAUGUUUUUUCAAUGUGGAAUAAAAAAAAAAUUUUGUUUAAAUACUUCAACUUAAAAGCUUAACAUAAUAUCUUUUUAAUGUGGGAUAAAAAACUUUUUAAAAUAUUCUUUUAAAUUUCAUUAUUUACAAUAUGUAUAGCUUAUAUUUACAUGGAUUUUUUCUUAAUUUUUUCAUAUAAAAUAUUAAAAUUUUAAUUUUUUUUUAAUUUUUCCGGGUUGACCCAAGUUGACCCAUGAAACCCAGGACUCGGCCCCUUGACCGGGUCAACCCCCGGGUCAGGUUUAAUAACUAUGGGUGGGAUGGUUAAUUUUCAAUUUCCUUUCAAAUAUGAAGUAUGGCCAGAAAUAAAAAAAAAUUAAAAUAAUUUAGUGUUUUUUUCUAGUUAUAAAACUCAAAUAUGCCCGAUGAUCAGCCCGAGACUUAAACCGGUCUAGGUUGAAAAAAUAUUGGUUAAGACAUUAACCCGACUCAACCUGAUUAAAAACUCAGUCUUCAACCCAUUGAAUAUUUUUGUUAAAAAAACAUCGUUUUGAUUCUUAAAAAAAAAACUAAUUAACUUGGAUUUACGUUCUUGAUUUGUGAUUCGAGCUUUUCUCUAUUAAUAAAAAACUAAAAAAAUGUUAUUUUCUUUGAACUUUUUAAUUGUUUUUGAAGUGUUGGGUUAAAAUGGUAGAUAUCUAUGUGUUCUAAAGUAUGGGAAGAUAUUAGGCAAUGCCUAUGGUAAUUAUGACCCAUUAAAUUUAUGACAUAUAUAUGGCUUUUUCAUUUAAUUAAAUCGGCUGAGAAGUUGUUUUUUGGGAUCUAUUAGAUUUGGUUUCCUUAAUGAGAAGGUACAUAGAACAUGCUUUAAUGUUAUUAAGGUUUGUACGUUCAUCCCACACUUUAACCUAAUCUAUAGGCUUUAAUUAGUUUUUGAAAAGUGAUAAGGUACGCACGCACCCAAUCACGAAUUUAUAUUUCUUAUACAAUAAGUUAAAAAUAAUAUUGUUUUUUAACGUUCGUUACUGUACUUUGCCUUAUAAAGUUUUUUUUUUAAUUUCAUUAUGCAUUAUGUUGUUGAUGUUUUAUAUGUUGAGAUUUGUUUUUCUCUUACAUAUUAUUUUAACUAUAAGGUGUUUGAUAAAGUUUUAAAAUUGAAUUAGAUGCUAAUUAAUUGAAAUAGGAUCAGGUUCGGAUAUCUAAAAUGAUCAAAUUUUAAUAAGGUUUUAAUAAUUUUUUUGUAUUUAAAUUUAAAUAUAGAUAAUACAAAACUUCACGCAUGAGAAUCUAUUAUUAUCCCUAAUUUUGAAACUCAUAAGAAAGACAAAAUGGAUAGAUAUUUAGUUAGUAUCUUUGGAUUUUUCUAAAGGAAAAAAAAUAAAAAAAUAAAAAAGAAGGAAAGGGAAAAGGGGGAAUUGAUGCUUCAAAAUAAAGUUAGUAUGUGAUUCAAUAUUUAAAAAAAUAUAUAAAUUAUAUUUUAUAAUUAACAAUUUAACUUAUUGGGCUGAAAUAGUUUUUUGAUAUUGUAUCAGAGCUUUAAUGACUAAACGAUCACGAGUUCAAAUCUCACUGUAUCUAUUUAUUUGAUAAAAUUUAAAUACAAAGUAAUAUGGAUCUCUAAAAAUUUUAAGUUUAAAAAACUUUUAUUUAAGAUAAUAUAUUAAUAAAUAAUAUAAAUUAUAUUUUAAAACUUCACAUAAUAUCUUAAAUUAUUAAAUUAACAUGAUUUUAGAUAACCACCAUUCAUCACAUUCAAAUGGUGGCUUGCAAAUUGGCGAGAAAGAAGAAAUAAGCAUGAUGCGAAGCUCUCGAACUCCGUUUGGCCUGAAAAAAUAUGUGUGAUUGUGUGUUUUCCAGCCAAAUAUAAUUUUAAACACGAUAUUACUAUGUAGAUAAACAACGGUCACUAAGCUAGCAUGUAAUGGUUUGCUUUUUCGGUCCCGGCCCCUUGUCACAUUCUUCUGCAUACAUCUAUCAAUUUUAAUGAAGAAUCUCUCUCUCUCUCUCUCUCUCUCUCUCUACCUAGCCAUAUUGAUAACAUGGCCAUGUCUUGUGGUCUAUAUCCUAUCGUACGAUUGCAAGAUGGAGCUUCGAUCUCUGCAAUAUUUAGAGAGGAGUUUUUUGAGCUUUCUAACAAAGGGACCAGCCUUAAGAUUAAAUUUUCAUAAUUUAGAGAACGAUAUCUUUCAAAUCUUCGUGAUUUAGAGAACGAAUCUUUCAAUGUAUAUGGGCUCUCUUUUGUUUCUGUCUAUUGUACACAAGAGAGUGUUCCCUACUUAUAGCUCCAAUAUCUAUAUUGACACCAUUAUUUGUCUAUACUUCUUGUAUUGAACCAAGCUAGCUACCUCAGCAUUCAUCGCCUUCAUGGAACCAAAAAACACCAAUGGAUCGUCAAGAAGCUAUGAGCAUGACAUUAUCAGUUGGUUUGAGGACAUAUCAAAGAAAGCCGGCCAAGUUCAGACCGAGACUCUUCGCCGAAUUCUUGAGCUCAACUGGGGUGUGGAGUAUCUCAACAAAUGGUUAGGGGAUAUCAAUAUUCAAGACAUGGAUGCAAGUGCAUUGGAAUCUCUGUACACUUCUUUGGUACCUCCUGCUUCCCAUGCAGAUUUAGAGCCUUACAUUAGCAGAAUUGCUGAUGGGGAUACUGUUCCGUUACUCACUAAACAACCUAUAACACUUCUCUCCUUAAGGUGUGUCCUCUUCUCUGCUCCUCUCCUCUCAUCUUUUUUUAUAUUAUUUUUUUCAAGUUUUUGGAUGCUUGGACCAUAUUGCUAUAGCAAAAGCUUAUCUUUUUAGAUAUCAUGUGGAAAAUGGAACCAGAAUAUUAAUUGAUAGAGUUGUGAGUUAUGGGCUCUAUUUGGCUCUUGUUCAGUUUUCUUAUCUUUUAUGAUUUCAUGGGAUAUAUACCUUUAGGUUGUCCAAGGAUUGGUUGAAGUCUACAAAAACUCAGCCUUUUUACCUUGAUUUGAAAGGAUUCCAUUAGCCCAUGUUUCCACCAUUUGUAAGAGAAUAUUUCCAGAAUUAUUUCCUUUUUUUAUGAUUCUAAUUUUGUUCAUGGUUACAAUUUUCUCAAGCUCUGGAACCACAGACGGAAGGCAGAAGUUUGUUCCUUUCACUGACCAUAGUGCUCGAACAACUCUUCAAAUUUUCAGCUUGGCAGCAGCUUAUAGAUCAAGGUUUGACCAAUCUCUCUCCCUGUUGGUCACACAUAAUCCAAAUUUGUAUGGUAUCUAAGAAGACAAUUAAGUUAAGAAAAGAUGGAUAACUACACUUUAAAUAUAUUGUAUUGAACAGUUGAAAAAAAAACUGUACAAAGUAAUCAUUUGAUUUCUUGUACUCUCUCUUUAUUUUAUGUGGUGGAUGUAGGGUUUAUCCAACAAGGGAAGGAGGAAGGAUCCUUGAGUUCAUAUACAGCAGCAAACAAUUCAAAACAAAAGGAGGGUUAACAGCAGGAACAGCUACAACCCAUUAUUAUGCAAGUGAAGAGUUUAAGAUCAAGCAAGAAAAAACAAAGUGCUUCACUUGUAGUCCACAAGAAGUCAUUUGUGGUGGAGACUACGAGCAAUCUACUUAUUGUCAUCUUCUUCUAGGCCUCUUCUUCUGUGAUCAAGUAGAGUUCAUAACCUCUACUUUUGCUUAUAGCAUAGUUCAAGCCUUCACAGCAUUUGAAGAUGUGUGGAGAGACAUAUGCAAUGACAUUAAACAUGGUACUCUUAGUGAAAGAAUCAACUUGGCAAAGAUGAGAAAGGCUGUGCUGUCUAUCAUCUCUCCAAAUCCAAGCUUAGCUUCAAAGAUAGAAGAAAACUGCAAGGAGUUGGAGACUCAAAAUUGGCUUGGUUUGAUUACUAAGCUUUGGCCAAAUUCCAAGUAUGUUUACUCCAUAAUGACAGGCUCAAUGCAACCUUACUUGCAAAAACUAAGGCAUUAUGCUGGGGGCUUGCCAUUAGUGAGUGCUGAUUAUGGAUCAACAGAGAGUUGGAUUGGAGCUAAUGUGGAUCCUUAUUUGCCUCCUGAAGAUGUUACUUUUGCAGUAAUACCAACCUUCUCAUAUUAUGAGUUCAUGCCACUUUAUAGAGAGAAUCAUUAUUGUGGCUCAGCCAUCGAUGACUUCAUCGAAGAUGAACCGGUACCACUCUCAAAAGUCAAGGUAGGACAAGAGUAUGAGAUUGUCCUCACUACUUUUACUGGUAUGUUUAGAUCUUUUUUCCCCUCCAGUUGCUAUUGCAUUUUCCAUUGAUAUCUUCGUGAAUCUCUCCAACCCCAUUUCUUGUAGCUAGGUUGAUGUUUUCGUCAUAUUGCCCAUGGUAAUUAAAAUUGGCAGCCAGAAACUACUGAGUUUCUUUCAUGGGAAUGGACCAAUUGUCCUAGCACAUUUAAUCAUAGAAAAUCAACAUCAUUGCAUUAUUUAUUUUUGUGCCACCAUUGAUGUAUUAAUUUCUUGAUUAGUCAAGCAUCGAUUUUGACAUAGACAUGGCAUGUCGACGAUUCACAAAACAAAAAAUCUUGCAUGAAUCUAGUCCCUUCACAUGAUUGGCAGCCACUUAGCAAGUUUUAGGAAAGUUGGUUCCAAAAACUUAAAAGUAAGGUUUCGAUCUAUGGUCACGAGACUCUCAACAAGCCAUCCUCUUACACUACCGAUAUUCAGUUUCCUGUUUGUAAUUUCUUGUAGCCUGGUGUACACGUUCUAUUGGUUCAAUCGGUUCAAGAUCGUGGUUUUAUUUGAUUUUCAAGGGUUUUUUUUUUUUUUUUGGGAAAUUAGAUAGAUGAUAACUUUAGAGUUCAUUGAGUUUUCAAUCCGUUUCUAGCUAUUAGGAAUUGAGAAUGACUAAAUGGUCAAAAAUUCAAAAAAAUAAAAAAAUCAUGCAAUCCUUUUUCUUCUUCUUUUUUUUUCCAAGAGGGACCAAGAUUCAUAUAUUAUAAUUUGAUGAAGAUUUCUUCUUCUUCUUCUUCUUCUUCUUUUUUGUUCAGGGCUUUAUAGAUGCAGGCUAGGGGAUGUAGUGGAGGUUGCUGGUUUUCACAAAGGGACACCAAAAUUGAACUUUAUAUGCCGGAGAAAGCUAAUUUUAACUAUAAACAUUGACAAGAACACUGAAAAAGAUUUGCAGCUGGUGGUGGAGAAGGGGUCUCAGCUACUCAUGAGCAAGGCUAGAGCAGAGCUUGUGGAUUUUACUAGCCACGCUGAGUUAGAAACACAGCCAGGUCACUACAUAAUUUACUGGGAAAUCAAAGGAGAUGUCGAAGAAGAGGUUCUUGGUGAGUGUUGCAAGAAAAUGGAUGCAUCUUUUGUUGAUCAUGGCUAUGUGGUGUCAAGAAGAACCAAAUCAAUAGGACCUCUAGAGCUUUGCAUUGUCAAGACGGGGACUUUCAAGAAGAUCUUGGAAUAUUUCAUAGGAAAUGGGGCAGCAUUGAGCCAGUUCAAGACUCCUAGGUGCACCAGCAACCAUGGACUGUUGAAAAUUCUCAAUGGAAGCACCAUUAAAAGGCUCUACAGCACUGCUUAUAGCUAGUUAAUAAUUAAUAUAAUUCCAAGAAUUUUUGUUUGGUGACUUAGUUAGUCUUCUCAAUAAAUAAUUUUUGUCUGAUCACUUUGUUAAGAGCAUGUGACUAGACUAGUUAAACCAAUAGCCAACACGAAGUGUUGGGUGUAUAAAUAAAAAAAAAAAAAAAAAAAAUUGUUUACAUAUAGCUAUAGCUGAAGUAUUAGUUAGUACAAUUACAAGUGAUCAUUUUCAGUUCGAUUCGGUUUUUAUCAAAAAAAAUAACCAAAUCAAUUUUAUUUUUUUUCAAAAAAACCGAAACCAGUUCAAACCCACCGGUUUCUGUUCAGUUACUUUAGAAUAAAAACAAGUUUCUUCGGUUUGGCUCUGUUUUUCUGGUUUGGCUCGAUUUUUUUUCGGUUUGGGUUCGUUUCGGUUUUUUCAAUUUCAGGUUUAUAAAACCAAAACCAAACCAAACCGAUCAGUUUUUUAAAAAUUCUAAUCGGUUUUUUUUCACGUUUCAGUUUUUUUAUUUUUUUCCAGUUUAAUUGGUUUUUUGAUUUUUUUACUCACCCUUAUAAUUUAGAUAAGUAACUAAUAGUUACUUAGAUAGUUACUUAGUUACUUAUCUGAAUUAUUGGGUUACAUAUAUAAAGGUAAGAAUAUUUUUUAAAGAUAAAAAAUUGUAAUAGAAAAAAAAAUCAAGAAAUAUUACUUAAUAAUAAAUAAGAUGUUAACAAAAAAAACAAUGUAGUAACACUAAUUGAAAUUAAUAAGAAUUCAUUAAAAUUACUUAAUUUUUUAUAUACUAGCUAAAUAUGUGUUUGUUUUGUAAAAUAAUAUUUUCCAAGAAAAUAAUCAUUUUCUUGUAAAAGGUUAUCGAAAAGGGUUAUCUUCCAUUUCUUUGAUAUGUUAAAAUAUUUUUCUAGAAAAGGUUUCUUGUAAUCUACAAGUUUAGAUUAAAUUGUUAUUUUUAGUAGGGGUGGCGUUGAAAUGAUGACGAUGAGAAAGUGGCGAUUACAUAAAUAAUAAAAUAUAGUGGUGGUAAAGUGAAAAUGGUGAUGUUAAUAAUAAAAUAUCACUUGUAUUAAGGUGCUAUCCCAAGUCUUGUCAAUUAUCAAGUGUGCAAAAAUCUUGUAGAUAAUUUAUUUUUUAAAUUAGAGGGUGACACAGGGUAACUCUAAGAUAAUUUAGAGGGUGUUUGCUUUUAAAAUAGUUUUUUGAUUGAGGUUUUGAAAAAAAGUAAAUUUUAAAAAAGUAUGAUUGGUUGAAUUUAAAUAUGUAUCUGGUAAAAAUUAUUAUUAAAGUUUAUGUGUAGCAAAAAACAUGUAUAAAAUAUUUGGUUGUUAUAUUUAAGAGUGGUUGCGGUUGGUUUUCAAAAUGUUUUUUACUCAGAAAUACAUGAAAAUAAUAUUUUUUUAUUUUUUAAAAAUUAUUUUUUAUAUCAGUGCAUCAAAAUGAUAUGAAAACACAAAAAAAUAUUAAUUUAAAAAAAAAUAAUAAUAAUUUUUUUCAAAAGUGUUUUUGAAACUCAAAAACAAAUAGGAUUUAAUGAAAUCCAAUUAAAAAAAUAUUUAAAAACUACCUCAUAAAAACUGUGUUUCAAACUUAAUUUUUGAGUGGGUCCUACAGUAUAAAAUGUAAUUUAAUAUAUUACUAAAUACCUUUAUGUAUUUGUUUCAUCAAAAACACAAAAUUUAACGAAAAACAAAGACCGGAAAAAAUAGAUAUCUUGUUGUAAUAAUAUUAUCUAUAUAAUAAUGGCGAUCAAAAUGGAAUACAUGAGUUUCGUCAGUGUCAUCAUUUUUUUUGUAAUUUAUAUGGUACACUAUGGUCUUUCCUAGUUACUUUUUUAUUUUUUAUUAUUUUAUCAAAAAAAAAUUAAUGAUACUUGUUGUAUUAUUGCGGGAGCUUUGAUGUGUUUAUAAUAUAUAUUUUUUUUUAUUUAUUUAUUCUAUCUCCUCUCUCCUCAAUUUAAUUUUUUUAGAUCAUUUUAUAAUUAAUUUUUAAAAAAUUGCACGCAUGUGAGUCGCAUUUCAACUGCGCUAAAUAAUUUUUAGAAAAGAUGCCACUGUACUAAGAUCUGAAAAAACUCCACCAUGGUGUCCUUUGUUCAUCAGAAGGGAAAGGGAAUCGGUGAAUUGCACCAUGUGCUUGUCAUUGUUAUAUACCAUAAUACGUACCAUGAUCACGAUCCCACUUCUAUCUGCACGUACGAAGUUUUAAUUUUCAACAGUACUGGGACAGGAGGAAACGGACAUGACAUUCAUUUGUACCUUACCCUUGUUCCUCGUCCCCAGAACUGGUCGGUUUCCAACUAUGUCCAAGGCCCAAGGGUGCUGAUUCAUACAAUUUGCAUUGUUAAUCCUAUUGUACUUCCUUCCUUGAGCAGUCAAGGGAAAGUUAUUUAGUUAAAGGUAUGGAACAGCAACUUACUCUACAUCUACAAAGAGUUAUUUAACUAGAGGUUUUGACGGUAUUUUAUCAUAGACUAAUAAGUAAAGUAUUUUUAGUUUAGAAGCUUGUUAAUGUUUUUUUAUUUUUACAUCUUUUUAAUUUUUUGAAUUCUAGUUCAUUAUAGUUUUAAUGGACUAAUAAGCAAUAAAAAGUAAAUCAACCCGAGUUAAUCGACCAAACUCAUGGCUUAGCUUGUUUUGUGGUUGCUUUUCAAAUAACUUUUCGUGCCAAAAUACAUGCCAAUGAUGUUUUUUUAUUUUUUAAAUAUUAUUUUUGACAUCAACACGUAAAAAUAAUUUGAAAAUACUAAAAACAUAUUAAUUUGAAGUUAAUAAAAAAUAAAAAAAAUUUCAAUUUUUUUCAAAAGCACUUUUAAAACGCAGAAACAAACAGGAUAACCCAGUAAAAAACCGUAAAAACCCACAACACUAAAAAUAAAAUAAAUAAAUAAAUAAAAAAUAAUACGAUAAUAUGACAAAAUUAUGGGCAUUGUGCAAUGAAAUCUCACUAUUAAAGCUGAAAACUACUAAAGUUUUAAUUGGUAUGUACUAACCAGUUGUUAGAGAGUGUUUGUCUACGUUGUUGCGUCUGCGUUUUGCUUAAAACACUGAUGCAACAACGUUUGGUAACAAAAAAAAAUAUAAAUUACUAUUCAUGGGUCCCACAAAAUUAUGUGUUUGAAACGCUGGAAAACGAAAGCAUGUGUUACCUGCUUCUUGCGGCUGCGCCAUGCUGCACUGUUCAGUGAACAGUGCAGCAUGGUGCAGCCUUCGCACUGUUCACUAAAAUGAACAGUGUGAAUUUUGUUUUCUUCAAAAAAGCAGCGAACAGUGCGAGUGAAAUAUAAUUCACUCGCACUGUACAUAAACAGUUUAUUUUAUUUUUUUCAAAAAGCCAAUUAAUAUUUUUUUUCCGAAAAACCAGUGCAAUUAAUUAAUUUCACUCGCAUUGUUCACGUGAAUGUGAACAGUAUUUUUUUAAAAAAAAUUAGUUUAAGGUGAAUUAAAUUUAUUCAUACUAUAAUUUCAAUUUUAUUCCUGGUAAUAUUUUACCUAAUUUUAUUGCACGCUCAAAGAAUCAUGGAAACUGUAGUUCUUGUCGGAUGAAUUUUGUAUGUAAUGGAAUUGUAGAUAGUUUAAUGGAACAAUAAAUUUUUUUUAUAUAAAGUAUGAUUUAUUUCAUGAUGUAAUAGCAAUAGUUAAAUCUACAAUAUUUAAAUUAAAAAUCAUAAAUAUUAAUAUAUAUAUAUAUAUAAAUUAUUUUAUAACCUCAAUUUCUAAAGCAUUCUUAACCAAACACAUUAAAUUACUUUUUGUUCAAAUUCAAUUUCAAUCACAGUUUUAACCAAACAUAUAUUUUUUCAAACCAACUUCAACUAAAAAUAUUUUUUAUAAAAUAAUUUUUUUAAAAUCUCAACCACAGCAACUAUCACAGUAACAGAGUUAUGUCACUAUUAAUGAUACGGAGGCUGGCUGUGGUUCAUAUUAACAGUCGGGAUUUCCAAGGAUAUACAUCUAUUUAAAAACAAUGACUUGAAAAUUACUUUUGUAUAAAGUUCUGACUCUGCAGAUUUUACCCUGAUAGAAACCAAGCUCUCUAUGAAGGGAAAAAAACAAUAAAAAGUGUCUUUCAAUAUCCAUAUAUAUAAUACAACGUUUCAUGAGUCUCCCGUCAUUUCUUGUCCUUGACAAUGAUACAUCAAGAAACGGCUACAAAUUCAUCGAUUUCUGUAAUUUUGGACCUGUUGUUGGAAGAUUAUCAUGCAAAGAUAUAUAUAUAUAUAUAUAUAUAUAUAUAUUCCAAACUAGUUGGAAAGAUAACAAAAGAAGCAUAGAAUUUAAUGGUUUUCAAGAGUUACUUAUUAUGUUUAUUUUUAAGAUAAGUAUAUGAAUAGAAAAAAUCAAUCCCAGAUCACAUAAAAUGAUAAGAAUAUUUUAAUCUAAGUUGAGGUUUUUUUUUAUUUUAUUUUAUUAUUCUCUCUUCUCUUUAUGUGAUCUAUUUUUCUUGGGAUUAAUUAAUUUGCAGCAUUUUUAUAAGUGGAGGGAAUUAAAGGAAAUAUUUAAUAUGUUGGAAAGUGAACUAGUAAGUGCUAAAAGAGUAUGCAAAUAUCAUGUCAAUGUUUAACAAUCAAAUUUUUUUUAAAAAAAAAUGUUAGGUGAAAUUGAAGAAUGAAGUAAUUUUAUAUGUAAAAAUUAUAAAACCAAACUACAAAACAUGUGAACAAUCCCAAACCUUGUAAAAAAAAAAAAGGCCGGUUAUAGGUCAUUGGAUUAUGGGAUUUGAAAUUAGUAGAUUUAUUUUGUUAUUUUAUUAAAAUCCAAUGAUUAAAAAUUUAUAUUUUUCUACUGGUUAUUAGAAAAUAAUAUAAAUCAUAUCUUGGGGCCUCAUCCAACAGUUUAAACUUUUGGGUUGAAUUGAUUUUUUGACAUGGUAUCAAAGCCUUGAUGACCAAGCGGUCACGAAUUCGAAUCUCACUUUUUCUAUUUAUCUGAUAAAAAUUAAACACAAGGUAAUGUGAACAUGUGCAAAUUUCAAGACCAAAGAGCUUUCACUUAAGAGGGUUUGUUAGAAAAUAAUAUAAACCAUAUCCUGGAGCCUCACCUAAUAGUUUAAGCUUUUGGGUUGAAUUGAUUUUUUGACACUGGGUAUGAAAUUAAUAGAUUUAUUUUGCUGUUUUAUUCAAAUCCAAAGAUUAGAGAUUUAUAUUUUUUUUACCGGGUAUGAAAAUAGUAUUUAUUUUUUAAAUUUAUUCAAAUCCAAUGAUUAAACAUUUGUAUUUUACUAGGUAUUUAAGAUCUUUUUUUUUUCUCACACAAUCUGAAGUUACCAUGAUUUUGGUAAAAAUUGCUGACUCAUUUUCUAUAAUAAUUUACAUAAACAAAAGGGACUUGCUUGCUUUUUUGAUAUAUAUUUAUAUAAACCACCUCGAAGUUAUGAACAGUUUCAGGGGUGAAAAGGACAAAUUCCAGCUGAAAAGGUGCUCAUUUCCUCUUUUAACUUUCGGCGAUCGGCAUGUAUUGUGGUGUACGGCAUGUCAAAUAAAGGGGAAUUUCAGCACAUGUUGUUACUUUUUUAUACGUUAUUACAGUGAGAUUAGAAAUAACAAUUAUGAGAAUCAUAGUUAUAACUGAGGUUUUAGUAAUUGAAUAAUCAAAUUUUACAUGUUUUUUCUAUGAUUGAUUAAAUUUAUGUGUAAAAUCACAUUACCUAAGAGGUGACGUAGAAUGAAUGGAGUAGUUAUAUAUAUAUAUAUAUAUAUAUAUAGGAACCUAUAGUUUUUCCACUUAGGUAGUGGGUUGGAAUAUUAUUUUUUUGAAUUUAAAAAAAAUAUAAAGAUAUCAAGAAGGCAAAAGUUUAAUGCAUGCCGGCUGAAACACAUUUAAAAUGCUUAAAGGUGACAUCUUGGACGACAUAGUUUUUUCAAAUAAAUAUUGCGAUGACAAUACAUUGAAUUAACUCGGGUCAUUGAGUUGACUAAGUUUAAUAAGUUUGGUUAAUUUAACAAUAUCAAAAACAAUGCAAACUUAAAUGAAUCUCUUAAACCUGUGUUCUUUCAAAAUAACCGUUAGUGAAAUCUUAGACCCAAACUCAAUCAAGAAACUCAAUUCUCAACCAAUUUAAUGUUGAAGUAUAAAAUCAUAAAAAAAAUCAUUCCAAAAAAAAAUAAUGAAGGAGGGUGAAAUUGAGAGAAAAAAAAAACAAUCUCAAACAACAAUAAAAAGAAUAAAGAUAAAAUUUGACAAACUAAAAAUUUAAAGGUGGAUAAAAUUGAAAUAAGGUCAAAUUUUAGAAAUUAAUUGAUAUAUAUAUAUAUAAAAAGGGACUAAAUCCAAAGGAAGAAAAAUAAAGGACCGAUCUGUAAAUUUGGAGUUCAAGGCGUGGAUUUCUAGGGAAAGAGAGAAAGGAAGAAAAAAAAAGUUGUUGGCAUCAAACCAAAGAUCCAUAGUCUAUACACGUCGCCUAAGGAACAAGAGAAUGCCGAAAUGAAUCGAAUGAUACGGCGAAACAACAAUUUAAACUACAGAGUCAGCCACACAUGCAUCUUGAAGGCGGUUGAAUUGUGCGUCAACAAAUUUUUUAUUUAUAAAAGCAAUACAUUGCCCCUAAAACAAAGUAAAAAAAUCAUUAUGAAAUAACAAAUAAGCCUUUGCUGAGAAUUUUAAUUUUAAAAGCAAUAUAAUCAUUAUAUUAUGCUUGAAAAGUAAAAUAUAUAUAAAAAAAAACCUCUAGCUCAUAGUUAAUUUUUUUUUUAAUAGCAAUCAGGUAAUUUAACUGUGUAAAAAAACUACAAAAAGAUAAUGUUACCCCGGACAAUUCAAAAAUAAUAAAUGGAUCCCGUAAAAAGACCUGUUAACCUUCUUUCAAAGUAUGUUAAUUUGAUUUUUUUUAUAAAGAAUAAAACCGUUAUUUUACUAUUUUAAUCCUAAGUAAAAACAAAAUAUUUGUACAAUAGUUUGACCACUUUCUUUGGUUUUUUUAUAAUUCAAUGGAGAAGUCAGAUUAUUUCAGAAUCCUGAAGUUUGGGGUGAUAGAAUUGGUACUGAACUCAACAGAGUCAAUAAUCUACAACGACUAUGUAAAACAAGCAAGCCGUCUGAUGGUGCUAUACUCAAUUUCAAACAGAAAAGUCUAAAUUAAUAUAUUUUUUAUGUUUUUAGAUCAUUUUGAUGUGCUGAUAUCAAAAAUAAUUUUUAAUAAAUAAAAAAAUAUAUUUUUUUAAUGUAUUUUGAAAUAAAAAAACACUUUAAAAACAAUCAUUACUACACUUUCAAACACCCUCGAGUCAGCUAUGGAUAAUUUUUUUGAAGUUUUGAUAUGAAAAAUAAAUUUUAAAAAUUAAAAAUAAUUUUUUAAAAUAUUAUUUUAAAAAAUAAGUAUUAUUAUUUUCUUGAAUGCAACUUGGAGACAAGUGUUGGUGGGAGUAACGGGAUGACAACUGGGUGAUGCCCAGUUCCAGUCCUAUGCUUGAAAGAUCUUCCAUGUUGCCAUUAAACGAUGGCCUCAUGUGUUUGUCUGCAAAGAUGCUCGAGGGCACGAACCUUCUGGUUUAACUUCCAAAGGACUCAACUUGAAUCCUUAACCACUGAACGAAUUUUUCAUUGAUUAAUUUAGAUAAAUUAGGUAAUUAGCCCUCAAAAUAUAAUUAAUGAUAAAAUAACACAAGAUAAAAAAAACAACAUUUCAAUAAUGUUGCAGUUAAGAAACACGACACUUUAUAUAUAUUUUGUUUCUGAACAGCGACAUUUUCAAAGAUACUAUUAUGAGAAAUGGCUGGACAUUUGAUAAAACAGUUGGACAAUAGCCAAAACGGUUUGACCGUUUUGGCUACUGUAAGGUUUUUGAUCAUUUUUUUAUUUUAAGUUUGAAAAAAAUUUAUAAAAUCAUAGUUUUUAUUAAUCUAAAAUUUUAAUUACUUUAUGAUUUUAGAGAGUUAAAACAUUUAUAAUUUUAUCAAAAAUUGAACAGAGUUUUCUUUAUAUAGAAGUUAUACCUCAAAUUUUAUCCUGCUUAAAAAAACCUGCAAAAAACCACAAUAAUCACAAUAAAAAAAUUCUAACUAAACUCAAUAUAUUCUUAUAUUCCAUAAUCACAAGUAGCCACAUGAAAGAAUACACACACACAUGCAAAAUGAAUAUAAAAUAAUACAAUAUUUAAGUAAUUCUAAAAUAUAUAAACAUAACUCAUCUAUUUAUCUACGUUUAUGUCGUCUACUGGAUGAUCCGGGCUCAUCAAUAGUACAACUGGAUCUAGCUCCUACUCCUGCUUGAGUGGCCUUGUUUUCUGCCAUGACAUGUAGUUAAUAUCAUGCUUAAGAAGCGUGGCAUGUAGUUGUCACAUUUUAGAAGCGCGAUAUUUAGUGGAUGUCGCGCUUCAAAAGCGUGAUAAGGUCAAACUAUAUCAUUUCAUUAAUUUUUUUUCGAACGAUGUUAUUCUCCCAAAUUUUUAAGUUUAAUUUGCUAUUUAAUGAAAAAAAACCAAUUAGUUCAAGGGAAAUAAGUAAUAAUAAUUAAUAUUUUAUAAAUUAUUUCAAAUAAAAUAAGUAAAAAUUAAAAGAAUGAAGACCAAAUUUGAUAAAUAAAAAAUUUCAAUUAAAAAAUGAUAAGGAAAAAGCAAAUAACAAUUAUAAAAAUAAGGACCAAAAUUAAUAUAAAAAUUAAAUUCUAAGGGAUGAAAUUGAAAAAAAAUAUUCAAAACAAAAUAUAUAUAGUAAUCAAAAGUUUGAGGACCAAAUUUGAUAUAAUCAGCAAAUAAUAUGACAUUUCUAAAUUUUUCACAACUUCCGGAAAGUGUUUUCCGCCUAAAAUAAAAGGAAAACACUUUUCUGGAAAUCAAGCCAAAUUUUUCUUUGACUGGAAAGUGUUUUUCGUUGACUGAAAAAUAUUUUCUAUUAACUAAUUUUUCUAACGACAAACAAAUAUAGCCCUAGCUGCACUAACUUUCUGACCUAAUAUGGCACAAAAAUAAUUUAGACAUUCCAAAAUUGUAUCCAUCUGCUCCAUUGUAGCUUCUGCAAAGAGAAGCAUGCCGUCUGCCAAAAAAAGAUGGCUUCCUGCACCUCUACAAUAGAGCAAAACUGGCUGCUUCCUGCACUCUACAAUUCCAAAAGCAAGCAUUGAUCAUCUCCAUCAUAAUUAAGAUAUGAAGGAUUAGAACCCAAACUCAAUCCGACACCGUCGCAUCAUUUGUGCCUUCCCCUUUCUCUGUCAUUAUUGUAUCUUCACAAUCUUGGACACUUAACCUCUUGUCCAAGAAGAACAAAUCUCUCUUGUUUUUUUAAUGUUUGACAGAAACAAUAAUUAUUCUUGAUUUGCAUUUUAGCCUUUACAAUAUUAUGAGAAAUAUUUUUUAAAAUUCAAUUCAUUCUAUCAUAAUUUGUGAAUUACAACUGAAAAUAAAAACUUAAUUUCAAAAAAUAACAUCAAAUAAAACGUUUACUAAUAAUUGUUCUCAAAUUGAAGUCUUUGCCGACAUGAAAACCUCAUUGAAAAGACAAGGUAAGGUUGCAAGAGAGGAUGGUCUGCCCCCUUGGAGACAGCCAAGCACUAAUUAGCCAUUGAUUAAUUCACCAUUAUUGCAACAGCACAACUUUUUGAUCGAUCGAAAUCACUGAGCACGGUUGACCACAGCAGCUAGACCCUCAAGUGCGCACGCGUGCAUUUUUGUUUGUCCUUGUGGGAGCAAUGUCUAUGCAGUACAAUGAUGCAAUUCUUUUGAUGGGAAAACACAGCAAUCUAGAAUAUUAUCUGUUUUAUAUUUAAAUUAUUAUUUAUAUCAAUUUUAUCAUUAUGCUAUUUUUUUUCUUGAUAAUAAUUACUCUUUAUAUUACAUUGUAACAAAAGCUAAAUGGUGUAUGAAAAUCACUAUAGAUCAAGCGAACUUUUAUUAUGAAUUGCAAUAAUAAUUUUACUUUUAAUUUUUUAUCUUUUAAUUUUCUCAUCUUUUUUCGAGAGGAUAAAUGUUUCUUUAGCUCUCUUUUUUUUUCUAGCAAAUAGACGGCGCUCGCGUCAUUAAAAAAGCAUGUAUGACGCUUCUUGAUGGUCAAAUAUGGUCAUCCAUCAUCUAACUGGAUGCGCAGUCUUGCCUUCUUUCACAUGGUAUGGCAUGUGUAGAUAGAUAAUGGUUUAAUAAAUAUAUUUUUUUUCUUGAUAAUAAUUACUCUUUAUAUCAAAUUCCUACAUAAUUGGAUAGUAUUUUUAAGGUUUUCCUUUUUUAAAAUUGAUAAUAAUUUUAAGAGCAUUUAUCUUAGACCCCGUUUGUUUCAUGUUUCAUGUAAAGUGAUUUCUCUUUCUUAAUUUUUAUGUGUUUGUUUAUACAAUAACAAGUCUAUUAAUUACAACCAAAAAUUGAGUUGAAAAGCUAAGAUAAAAGUGUUGUUUUUUAGGGAAAAAAAAGGUUAAAUAUUUGUUCAAAUUUGAAAUUGGAUCCCAAAAGAUUUAAUUGGUUUGAAUUGGUAAAAUUAAAUUUUAUUUUGCUAAAUUAAGCAUUAACUCAAUGUCGAAAUUUAUUCUUAGAAUUGCAAGGGCCCUAAAUAAAAUUAACCAAAACAAAAUAUCAAAUUUAAUCUUAAGUCAACUUAAUAUGAAAUGAUUAAAUUGGGAAUAAGAAAAGUCAAGUGAAAAAAAAAUAAAGAAGAAGAAUAGAAGGGAAAAAAAUAAUGUGGGUAACUGGUGCAACGCAUAAUGAAUAUUGUCUUUCUCUUGCGUUACAUUUUCAUCUUUUUUAACCUCACAUUAUAAUUCACCUGUUCAUGAUUUCAUUUCAUGAUUUACAGAGUAUUAACUUUGUGAAAUUACACUACAAUUAUUAAAUAGAAAAUAAAAGAACCCAAUAUUUAAAAAAGGAACGCGAAUGAAAAAAAUAUAUUAAGGUUUGUUAAAUGGAAAGUAAAAUGACCCAAUUAAAAGAAAAUUAGACCUGAAUGAACAAAAGAAAAACACAAUAAAAAAGGACUUGAAUAAAAAAAAUAGAGUUGAGAUGAAAUGUUUUGAUUGUAUUGAUAAUUAAAAGUGAAAUGUCAGUAAGUGAAAAUUAAAAGUGUAUGUGCAUAUAUAUAUUGAAUAUUUAUUACUUAUUUUCAGUUACUAAUUACUUGUUUUUCGUAAUUGAAAAUAACUUUAAUUGACUUAUAUAUUUAUCUUAAGAGGGCACUAUAGACCACUGUUAUUAAACCCGGCUCGGCCCGGCGGGUCGACCCGGGACCCGGUCGACCCGGUGGCUAUAUCAGUUUGAACAUCUUGUGAUAGCUGAACUCGAAGAUUGUCCAGAAAGAAUAAUGGAGACCUUAAUUAUAGCAAUUAAAUGAUUGGAUCCCAUUUUCACAGUUGCAGACAUUCAUGUGCUUUGUCUCAUAAAUUCAUAAUCAAAAGUUUCACGAGGAACAAAACCAUGUUUUUUUCAAUGUGGGAUAAAAACCUUUUGGUUUAAAUAUUUCAACUUAAAAGGAUAAUAUAGUAUCUUUUCAAUGUGGGAUUUGAAGCCCUUUCUCAUAUAUACACUAUGUUCCCAUGAGAAAAACCAUGUUUUUUCAAUGUGGGAUAAAAAACCUUUUGAUUUAAAUACUUCAACUUAAAAGGAUAACAUGGUAUCUUUUCAAUAUGGGAUUUGAAGCCCUUUCAUAUAUAUACUCUAUGUUCCCAUGAAAAAAACCAUGUUUUUUCAAUGUGGGAUUUGAAACCCAUUAGUAUAUAUAUACUCUAUAUUCCCAAGAAAAAAAUCAUGUUUUUUCAAUGUGGGAUAAAAAACCUUUUGGUUUAAAUACUUCAACUUAAAAGGAUAAUAUAUUAUCUUUUCAAUGUGGGAUUUGAAACCCUUUCAUAUAUAUACUCUAUGUUCCCAUGAAAAAAGUUAUGUUUUUUCAAUGUGGGAUUUGAAACCCAUUAGUAUAUAUACUCUAUCUUUCCAAAAAAAAAGUUAUGUUUUUUCAAUGUGGGAUAAAAAAAAUUUUUAGUUUAAAUACUUUAACUUAAAAGCUUAACAUAAUAUCUUUUUAAUGUAGGAUAAAAAACUUUUUAAAAUAUUCUUUUAAACUUUAUAAUAUGUAUAAUCUAUAUUUACAUGGAUUUUUUCAUAUGAAAUAUUAAAACUUUAAUUUUUUUUUAAUUUUUCCGGGUUGACCCGAGUUGACCCGGGUUGACCCAUGAAACCCGGGACCCGCCCCUUGGCCGGGUCAACCCCGGGCCGGGUUUAAUAACUAUGCUAUAGACUAUAGAGAGAAGACUCGACCAGAGAUUCAUUCCCUGGCUUUUCUGCUUAUUACUCUAAAAUUAUAUAUCAGUUUGAACAUCUUGUGAUAGCUGAACUCGAAGAUUGUCCAGAAAGAAUAAUGGAGACCUUAAUUAUAGCAAUUAAAUGAUUGGAUCCCAUUUUUUUGUCCUAAUUAUUGAUGUAAUUAGUACACAAGCAAUCUUCACAGUUGCAGACAUUCAUGUGCUUUGUCUCAUAAAUUCAUAAUCAAAAGUUUCACGAGGAACAACACUUCAUCAAUCCAUGAAAGGACAACGUUUUCAUUGUGAUUUUCAGUUGGAGUGACAAUUUUCAUUCGGUUUGAUUUUUAUCCAAAAAAAUAACUAGAUUGAAUUAAAAAAAAUCAAACAGCUGGUUCAAACUGAUCGGUUUCGAUUAUUUUAGAACAAAAACCGAAAUCCAACCGACUAGUUUCGGUUUGGUUUGGUUCGGUUUCGGUUCGAUUUGGUUAUUUUAUAUUAAAAACCAAAAACUAUAUUGUUUUUUGAGGUUUUUUUGUAAUUUCUAAAGGGUUUGGUUUUGGUUUGGCUCGGUUUUUUAUUAAUUUCAGUUUAGUUUGGUUUUUCGGUUUCAGACUUAUGAAAUCGAACCGGUCAGUUUUUUAAAUAUUCUAUUCGGUUUAAUUGGUUUUUUUUUAUGAUUUGGUUUUUUGUAUUAUUUUUUUCUAGUUUUCUCAAUUUAAUUACUUUUUUAUUAUUAUUUUUUUAUCGCUACUAAUUCCUUGCAAACAAACAACAAGCUUCGAUUAGUGACCUGGUUUUAUUAUUUAGAAAAGAAAAGGAUUUUCAAGGAAAACUCCAUGCCCUUACUUCUGCGGGAAAGCAUGCGUCUGUGUCAAAUGUCUAUAAAUAUGGAAGGACAUAAAAAGCACACCCACGCAUUGAAAACCAAAUGUUUUUUCUCCAAAUUUGCAUCAUUCAUAAAAAUAUUGAUUUUUAUGAUGAUUUUGGAUGAAGAAUGCCUUGAAAAUAGAAUUUUAGGGGGGAAAACUCCUCCUUUUUCACUUUUUAACCACCAUAAUAGUGGACGGAUUCUAGAAACAUCGACCAACCAUAGAAUCAGAUAUUAUAAUUUGUUCUCCUUUCAUGAUUUCUAUUAACAAGAAUUAGUUUCUAACUUUAUAAGAGAUUCUUACUAUGUUUUUGGUAUUACAGUGUAAUGUAUUUUUGCAAAAAUAAUUUUUAAUUGAAAAUGUAAUAAUAUUUUUUUUAUUUUUGAUAUUAAAACAUCAAAAUUAUAAAAAGAAAUACUUAAAAAACAUCAAUUUAAUAUUUUUGAUUGAAUCAAAAAACAAAGGGACCCUCCAUCCAAAUACAAUUGCUUUUUUAAAAUACCUUUUAUUUAAAAAUGCAUAAAAUCUAUUUUUCUUAAAUGAUUUUUAUUUUAUUUUUCUUACUUCCUCAUAUUUAAAUGUAAAUAUAUUUUGAAAAACUCUCGAACAAAACCACUCAGUGACUUCUCUAAAAUGGCUUACUUAAAAAUAUUGAUUGGCUAAAUAAUAUAGCCUAUAGGUUUUUUCAAGAGAUUUUUUUUAUUCUUGGUGCUAGGGUUUUACUGUUAAUGGAACCACAGAUACAUUAACUAUAAAACAGAAUACAAACAAAGAUAACCAGAAAUAAAUAUGGGCCUACUUAUCCAUGAUCCAAAUAAACCAUUAAGAGGCUCAUGGGCCUUGAUUUUUGGGCCAGUGGACUCCAAUCUAUAUUUUUAUCUUAGGGUUAAUUUCAUUUUAAGCCAUAUCAAUUUCUUCUUAAAAAUAUUGCCUAAGAAGAGCACAAUUUAAGUCCUAUAAUAUAAAGCACAUAUUCAAAGUCUACGUGUCUGCAGGAAAAGUUCGUUCGCUUGUCCACAUGGGAUUUUGUCGGCUGAGGUGUAUGACCCGACACAUGACGAGUGGAAAGCAUUGCCUAAGAAGAGCACGAUGAGGUGCAAAUGCGUUGGGGUGACAUGGCAAGGAAAAAUCCAUGUGGUAGGGUAUUUGCUGAGAAAGGAGACGGUAGUAAAGGGUGUCACGGCACACAUUGGACCGUGUUCUGCUGAGGUGUACAACUCUGAGCGUGACAAGUGGGAUCUUGUGGUAGGGAUGUGGCAAUCAGAUGUGCCACCUAAUCAAGUAUUAGCUCUUGUUAUCAACUUAUUUAGCUCUGAAAUGCAGUAACGAAAGCAAUAUAUGUAUGAAAAGAAUCGAACAAUCUCUAGUAACUUGUAAUGGAUGGCCCCACCAAGUGGGCCAUUUCUCAUGAAACAUGAACAAAAGUGGGCCCAAGCUGUUGAGAAUCAAAGGAUCAUGCAGCCCAUUCCACAACUUGUUCUGUAAAAUAUCAUCUAAAGAAGAGAAAGUCUCAGCAAAAUAAAUCAGUAAGAGAGUCCUUCACGUGAGGCCCAAAUUUGCACGCGCCACCGGUGACUCGGUCCCACAACCUGUCAAGCCUCGCCACACACGCCGGUGCACAUGCCAUUGACUUCUACUUUGACAUUCUAAGUAAACGACGGCCCUGAUUUAAAAUUAUUGUGAUGAUCAUCUCGGUUCUUGGGAAGGAUCGGGUUCUUGCUGUUUUGCCACGUGGUUCUAGUGUGAGACCACAGCUCUGGGAUCUGUGACACGAGAGGCACGUGAAGCUGGGAGUUGUGUUUAUUAUCCUUCAUUUACUGUAGCAAAUGCACAGGAUAAUAGAUUAUCAAUGUCCGUACAUGUGAAUAUUUUGGUGGUGCUUAAUGCUUAAUAUCAAAUUUAUAAAUUGGGAUGACGGGGAUUAAUUUAAAAUAAUACCGUUUUAAUUUUUUAAAAAAUUAAAAAAAUAUUAUUAAAAAAAUUAAAAUUAAAUUAAGUUUUAAUUAGAUUAAGUUGAGUUAUGGAUUUAUCUUAGAUUAAUUAUUUUAAUUUUUACCUGAAUUUUUACCUGAUUUUUUUAAAAAUAUUAGUUUGAGUUAAAUUCCUGGUUGAUCGAGUUUUAUAUUAAUUUUUUAAAAUAAAUCGGGUUCAAUAAUAUUGCUAUGCUUUUAGCUAGAUUUCAUAAAUUGAUGAUUGUUUUUAAUUUGGUUAGUUAUUUUUUGUGUUAUUUAUAUUUGCAAGUAAUGAAGAAUAUAUGAUCAUUUGAUCCUCAGCUCUUUACUAUUUAAGAUUAAGUCAGGUUAUAUCAGUUAUAUUUGCCAUUUUAUGAUUUGUGCUAUUUCUUAACAGGUAAUUUAUUCUUGAAUUUAUCAAUAUUUCCCUGUUUUUUAAUUUGAAAUCUAAAAUAUAAUAUAAGAAAAUAAAAUAAAAUCACUUAUUAUUUAAACCAAGAACACAAAAUAAUUAAGAAUUUACACUGUUAUAUUAAAUUGUUACUUCACCAGAGUUGUUAUAUAUAUAAAUAAUUAAAGUGAUUUAAAAAAAGUAAACAACAUGUUAAUUUCUAAUUAAAAAAAUAAAAUUAGAAAUAUUAAGUGAUGUGAAUCUAAUUUUUUCUCCAUUAACAAAUCACCUCCUCGGCUAAUAACAAAACUCCUCAAAUUAUUUAAAAUGGAUUAUUAGUUAAUUAAUUGCUUUUACUUUCUUCAAUCCAUUUGAUUCUGUGCUUCAAAAAGAUUUAACGACGAAACAUUACCCGAGGAGUCUUAGCAUUCAUCAAUAAACAGUACUAAUUUUUCAUCAAAGUAAAAUUAAAAGUUUAUUUGUUUUUUUGUUUUAAAAGUAUUUUUAAAAAACAUUCAAAUUAAAUUUUUUAUGUAUUUUGAUGUGUUGAUAUUAAAAAUGAAUUUAAAAAAAUAAACAAAAUAUAUUAUUUUGAUAUAUUUGUAAAUAAAAAAUAUUUAAAAAAUAAUUGUUAUUACAAUAAUAAAAAAAACUAAAAGAGAGACAUGUGUGUGUGUGUUGGUAUUAAUUAUUAUUAUUAUUAUUAACAUAUGUUUAAAAAAAAGGCAUUUCAUUCUAGCAAUGCAGUGAAAUGUUUAGAAUUUUUUUACUUUGAUUCUUAAAGUUUUUGAGGAUUUUUUAAAAAAAUUUAAACUUAGUUUUUUUUUUAAUUUUAUUCUUUAAUAUUAGAUUUAUUAGGUAUUAGACUUCAUAAUUUAUUUUAUUUUUUUGCUAUAAAAUUAUUUCAAUCUCGUAACCCGGGUUGUGAGUUUUGUCGGUUAAACGUGUUUACUCAGGUUUUUUUGGUUCUUUUUAAAUUAAUUUUUUUUUCAAAUUCAUCCUUUAAUAUUAAGUUUAUUGAGAAUUAAACUUUAUAAAAAGAUUUUAUUUAAUGUGUUGGAGUUAUCCUGGUCUCCUGACCGGGUUUGGCAGGUUAACUUGGGUCAUUUUGUUUCUUUUUUAUUUGAUUUUCUUUUUAAUUUAAUACUUUAAUAUUUGGUUGAUUAAAAAUUAGGCUUUAUAAAAAAAUUUAAUUGAUUUUUUUUUCAGAUUCAUCCUUUAAUAUUAAGUUUAUUGAGAAUUAAACUUUAUAAAAAGAUUUUAUUUGUUUUUUAUGAAGUUAUUCUGGUCUCUUGACCAGGUUUGGUAGGCUAACUUGGGUUAACUAUGUCAUUUUUUUCUUUUUUAUUUGAUUUUCUUUUUAAUUUAAUACUUUAAUAUUGGGUUGAUUGAAAAUUAGACUUCAUAAUAUUUUUUAUUUGCUUUCUAUAGAAUUAUUGUGGUCUUAUUAUCCGAGUUGCAGGUUAGGCCAAUUAACUUGGAUUUUUUUGUUCUUUUUUAGUUGAAUUUUUUUUUCAAUUUUAUCCAUCAAUAUUGAGUUGAUUGGUGAUUAGGCUACACAUUUGUUUCAGUUUGCGUUUUAUGAAGUUAUUUUGAUCUCAUGACGUGAGUCACGAGUUUGAUCGGUUGACUCAAGUGGUUUUUUGUGUUGAUUUUUUUUUAUUUUAUCAUUUAAUAUUGAAUUUAUUGGGAGUUGAUCUUCAUAAUUUGAUUUCAAUUUUCUUUGUAUGAGGUUAUCCUGAUUUUAUAAUCCAAAUUUGACAAGUUAAUCGGGGUUGACUUGACUCAGUUUUUUAGUUGAAUUUUUUUUUCAAUUUUAUCAUUCAACAUUGAGUUGAUUGAGAAUUGAGUUCAAUAAAAAAAAUAUUUGAUUUCUAUAAGGUUAUCGGGGUCUUAUGGCCUGGGUAAUGGAUUUGACUAAUUAACCUAAGUUGAUCCAAGUCGAAAUAAUAAAAAAAAUAUUAUCUUAAUUUUAUUAGUCAAAUAUUUGUAUUAGUAGUUUGGAUUUUCUUUAAACUUGUCAAAUCAACUAAGUCAUGGAAAAUUAAUCCUUAUAUAGUUUGAUUUUUGUUCUAUUAAAAAAUAUAUUAACAACUCCAAAAUAUUUACAUCCAACAAAAAAAAUCUAUUAUAACUCGUGGCGUUACACGGGCAAUGAUAUAUAUAUAUUAUCUUAAUGGUUAUGAAGGUAUAUUAGAGCUACUUUCAUCACAAGAUAAUAAACGGUUUUUAUAUAUUAAAAUGUGUCAUCAUCUAUAAUACGAGGACUAUAUGUUAACUAAAAACUAAAAGAAGCCUGGGAAAUCAUCUCUUUCAUUGAUCGCAUGAACAGUUAAGUGGUUGGCCCUUUAUUUUUCCUUGAUUUUGUUUUGAGUUUCAUUUUUUAUUUUUUUAAUUUUAUCAUUCAAUAUUUUCAUUCAUUUUAAAUUAGUUUUCAUAAUUUAUUUUAGUUUUUUAUGAAGUUAUUGCAUCAUCGAACAAACAUAUUGCUAUUUAUUUGAUGUAUAAUUUUUCAAAUAUUUAUUUUUAUUAUCAUAUCAUUAAGUAAGAAAUAUUUUUUUAAAAAAACAUGUUAAACCCAGUAAAGUCUAAGAUUCGGGUCAUGGGUGAAGCCACGUAACAUGAUCCGAUUCAAUAUAUCACCAUUUCAAUAAUCAAAAAAAUAUGUCAUCUUGAAUUUUUUUUCUAAAAUCAAACCAUAUUUUUUACUAGUCGUCCGCGUUGUUUUUGGACCCACCAAGUCGACUAGGUCAUAUCAAGAUAACUCUCAUAUAGAUUAAUUGUAAACCCACACUAAACAAGGUAUUGGGUCGAAAAAUUUAAAGAUUAAUCUAUUGGGUCGAGUUUAAUAAUAAUAUCAAAUAGUUAUCUUCUAAGUCUUAGAAUGUUUCUAUAACUUAUUGAAAGAUUUUACCCUUUAUAAUGUUGGUGGGUUUUAAAUUCCAACAAAUCAAAUACUUAUUGUAAAAUAAAGAUAAUUAUAUUAAUAAUUAUACCAACAAUUAAAAGAUUUGAAUUUUUUACUUGGUUGUUUCACUGUUUAUAUAAAGAGUGAAACUUCUCUAUCAUUUUUUCAUUUUUUAUUUUUAUUUUUAUCCUUGUAUUUUUCUAGUUAAACCUUUUAUGGUCUAAUUCCAUGAUAUAAAGUUUAAAAUAGUAGUGGAAAGAUAAAAUUUAAAGUGAGAUAACUAUAAUGUAAAUUAUAAAAAAAAUAUAAGGUUAAUAUCAAAUUUUUUAGAAAUUUUAUUUUUAUCCAAAAGUUUAUUUCAUUUAUUUUUUAAUCUCUAUGUUUAUAAAAUGACAGAAAAAAAACUCAUCGGGAAAUGACAAGUUUGUUGGUUAGCCACAAUUCAACCAUAAAAAUGAGGAUUUUUAAGUCAAUGAAUUUUUAUUAUCAAGAGAAGUUCAAUGAAGUUUGUUUUCUUAUUUAACAUAUAUCACCAUUUCAAUAAUCAAAAAAAUAUGUCAUCUUGAAUUUUUUUUCUAAAAUCAAACCAUAUUUUUACUAGUCGUCCGCGUUGGUAGAUGACUUGUGAAGGUUUUUAUAGUGUUUAUUAGGUAUUUUGGAAGAAAAUAGACUGCAAAUAAAUUUUUAGGCUAAACCUUAUUAAUUUUUGUCACCACAGUGAUGAUCAAAUUCUAGAUAAGAGGCCUAGUAGGCUAUAGGUGGUUUGCCAUCACAAGUGACAUGUCAAUUGUUUAGAAAAAUAAAAGUGGACACCAUGUGGUUUGCUCCUGAGAAAAUAAAAGGCAUGGGCUUGGCUUGGCAAGGUUAAGCGCGUGGGUUUUUUAAAAGUUAAGACCUAUGUGCUUGAUUUUUUUUUUUUUGUGGUCAUACUGUUUUUUUAAAAAUUCUUGAAUUUUUAAAAUUUUUUUAGUGUUUUUAGAUUUAAUAUGCUUGUAUUAAACAUAAUUUUUUACAAGCACGGGUUUGGCUUGGCAAGGUUAAGCGCGUGGGUUUUUUAAAAGCUAAGACCUAUGUGUUUGAUUUUGUUUUUGGUGGUCACACUGUUCUUUUAAAAAUUCUUGAAUUUUAUUAAUUUUUUUAGUGUUUUUAGAUUUAAUAUACUGGUAUUAAAAAUAAUUUGUUAAAAGCAUGGGCUUGGCUUGGCAAGGUUAAGCGCGUGGGUUUUUUAAAAGCUAAGACCUAUGUGCUUGAUUUUUUUUUUGUGGUCACGCUGUUCUUUUAAAAAUUCUUGAAUAUUUUUAAUUUUUUUAGUGUUUUUAGAUUUAAUAUGCUGGUAUUAAAAAUAAGUUUUUAAAAUAAAAUAUAUAUUAUUAUAAUAUAUUUUCAAAUAAUUUUUUUUUAAAAAAAAUUGUAACUCUACCUCUCUCCCCGUGUGUCCACGAACUGUAAUAAAACUUUUCUGUAGAAGCACGAGUCCAUUCUUACUAUCAUAAAAAAGCUUGAUCUUUGUACUCAUAAAGAACUUUCCUCUCUCUUUCUAUCCGAAAGUUCUUCCCUUAAACAAUUCUCUACAAUCUUUACUAGCUACAAACCCAUUUCCAUGCUUAACAAAGCAAGUGUUAAAACCCUAUGACAACCUGAAAGAAACAGGCAACUGAGUUUGCUUUGGUUUCUCUCUUUCUUCAAUGAGAGAGGAGAAGGUAGAGAAAGAGUGAAUUUCACUUAACAUUUUGGUUCUAAUGGGUGUAGGAGAUAGUUGGGAUACAGUAGUGUCACCACCACCAACAUCAGUGGUGCCCUUGAAUUUAGAAAGAGAUUAUCAUUGGAGGCAUUUUGAUAAUUCAAUGAAUGCUAUAUUAAUAUCCAUGUUCCUUGUAAUAGCUUAAUAUAUAUGUUCCUUGUAAUAGCCAUCUUUAGAAGGUUCUUAAGGCCAAGAUCAUUGUCUUCCUUAGCUGGUGCUAAUGGCAGUUCUUCUCCUAAUGAUCUUGAAGCACAAGUUGUUUUCCAAGGAAAGCUUGAUUUUCCAUCUCCAAAAGUACUCUCUCUCUCUCUCUCUCUCUCACACACACACACACAAUUUGAUUACAUUUUUGUUUUUGGAUUUUGAGAAGGAAGGGAUGUUAUCUUCUUUUUUUUCUGUUUUUUUUAUUAAUUAAGAGAUUGGAAAUUAAUUAUUGUAGUUACAAAAGAAGCAUUGAUUUUUCGUUCCUUUUCUUGUUCUGUUUAUGUCUUGAUUCUUUUUGGGAUGACCUGCAAAGUGUAAUGAGUAUACCUGCAAGCAUGAUUGUGACUGCUCUUUUUGCUUUUUUUUUGUUUGUAAUGAUAAUUAAUCUUUGGCAGUUUGACUGGCCAUUAUGCAAAUUGCAAUUUUUGUGUGUAUGUGUUGAAAGCUUUUUCUUUUUUAUGCUUUCUUGAACUUGUCUUUCUGAAAUCACUUUUUGGUUUUGGUUUAUUGUAGUAACCAUUGAGAUAUCUUUUAUCAAUGUUUAAGCUCUCAAAUUCUGUAUAUAUUUACUUCUUUUGACAGUGAUUAACAUGAAAGAUUAAGUCUUUAUGCAUAGAUAAAGUAUCAAUUUCUUCUUGUUCCUUAUUUCAUCAGCAUUUGAGGGAGUUCCUGUUUGAAAGAAUAUUAUACCAAGUCACAUGAGACAAAGAGGGCGAUAGCUGGGACCUAUUGAUAUGCAUAUGCACCGUCCAAUUGAUAGCUCUAUCUAUAUGAGGACUGCCAAUGUGUUGGCAUGUCCUUCAGGUUCCUGCUGAUUGAAUGAUCUCUUUCAACUUUUGAUACCUGGGAUUUUUCUCUUCCACUCAGUGGUUGGAGCCAUUGGUUUUCAUUAUGUAAUUACCUUUCAAUUACUAUUUAGCCUGCCGGUAAGUUUUCAUUUUAGUUGAACUUAACCUCAAGUAGUAAAUUAUCUUUAGUUCCUAGUCUCAGUGAGUGGUUUUCAAAUCCAUGAUUGCAUUUGGCAUAUGUGAUUUUAGAUUAUGAUUAAAGAUGACCAUUAUGAAAAUUUAAAAUUAAGCUUUAGCUAAUUGAAGUUCAGUGGCUUAAUUUAUGGACAUAUCAUGCAAAUUUGGAAGAUUAAUGGAAUUAUAUGGGAGCUUUUGUAGUGGGCGGAAUUAUGUUAAAUAAUUCAUCAUUUGCAUUAUAAUAUAAUAUUACGACGGCUCUUUAACGCAACCUCAUUUGAUUGUAAACAUAUUAGAAUAAUAGAUAUUAUUAUCCUAAUGCAUAUGUAUUGUCAUUUGAGUCUUAUAAUAUUAUUACUUUUUAUACCAUUCUUAUUUGUUAUUAACAACAAACAAGGUAUUGCUUUCCUGUUCAUGUGUUCAUUAUAGAGGAUUUGAUACAAUUAACAUUCUUUGGUGAACCUUUUGCUUACUUCAUUUUGUACAAGGCAGUCAUCUUGGCUAGAAACAAUCAUGUUUAUGCUUCAAAUCUACUAUACCAAAGUCCAAAUCUAAUCCUCUAGAUUUGUUAUUUAUGAGCAGCCAAUGUUGUUGAUAUGGCUGUGUUAUUAUUCUGAUAUAGCUCUGUCUACUGUAUUAUUAAUCAAUUUAGGUGUCUAUUAAACAAUUUGAUGCUCUUUCUGCGUGGUUAAUUAUGUUUAAAGCACACAUGGGAAGACAGUAAUUACAUGAAUGUGUUUAUCCAUGCUAGUUUAUCAGGCUAAAGGGUCCAUUAUAUCUUACCAGCAUGUGAUUUUUGUCUUUAUUGCUUCACACCAUUAUAGUAUCAAUGAGUGCUGAAGAUUGAAUCGUGUAAGAAAAUGAUCUUGCUUUGUUUAUUUACAGAGAAGAACAUAACAAAUGAUGUAUGAAAUUCUUAUAUGCAUGGUGAGUUGUGUGAAGCCUUGUUAGAAGGUCUUUAGAGAUUAGGGUGGCCCGAAGCUGUCAAAGAAAAAUAUUUAUCAUUGACAAUCUCCUAUUUUCGCCAUCCCGAGAUUUGUCCUAUGCCAUUUUAAGCACCUAAACAUGUCUAGACACAAUGGCCAAGUUUUUCUCUUCUGGAUUUGUUGUUUAGCUUCAACUUACAGUAGGCCAGCAUAUUAUCAUAUUCACCUGAUGUGAUGCUGCAAGUGAGAAAAUGUCUUUAGAAAUAUGCCUGAUAUCUAUAUUAUGUGCCUAUUGGUUUGCCAUGUCUCAUUGCUCCUUUCCUUCUACAACGAAGACAUGGUAGACCAGCUUUCUUUUGCCUUGUUCGAUUGGUGGUCCAAGACAGUAUCUUGGCAUAGCUAGCUAAUUAUUUACCUUUCAUAUAUCAACUUGUUUCAAUGAUAUCACAUUUUUUCCACACUAGAUGUUAACACAGUAAUUUGAUUAUUAAUUAAUCGAGACCCUUGAUUUAUGGAAAAGUAAAUCAAUGGGGAUAAUGUGGUAGGUAUUCAUGCUUGUUAAGAAAUCAUUCUACUCCACUAUUUCAUGUCUUUAUACUUGUAUCUUAAGAAUGAUUAAAGUAAACCCUUUUGUCUCUUCUUGCAUUGCUUCUAUUUGCAGCUUCUCCCUGCUUGAAUUCCUUUGAAAAUAUUAACCUGCGUUAGUUGCUGAACCUGUUACACUUUCCAUGGUUGGAAAACUCCUAUACUUAUUACAUUAAAGUAUGUCUUGGAACUUGCAUAGGAGACCUUCCGCUAAUAUCUUGUUUCGUUGUUCUAAUGAUUGAAAAUAUAUGAUGCCUGAAGAGUGAUUCUUCAGUUUUACUUGUAUCUAGUUAGUGCUAAAUUUGCAGCAAUCUUUGAUUGUCUGUACAUGUUUUCUUUGCUGACUUCUUGUUUCAUAUGCAGAUGACAGUUUAUGCGGAAGGGGUAUUGGUCAUCAUGCCCGGUGACGAUGUUCCUACCUUCCUUGCACAUCCAGCUCCUGCACCCCUGCCCUCCAGAGCGCAUCAUUAGGCCACUUCACCAUCAUAGUCUAUGCUACAGUUUCACCUCAGCCUCAACUUCAAGCUAAAAAAGAAACCUAACAUGACCUCAAAAUAACUAACCAGAGCAACCGAUUUUGCCAAAACUUUUCAAUCAUUGUCAUCAACCAAACUUGAUUUGAGCUGUGUACAUUACUGAACAUGAAUUAGUGUACACUUGAAUUCAAUGAUUAAAUGCAAGUUGUCUUUGCUUCUGCAAGGUCUAAAUCAACACAGCCAAUUGUGCCACUCCUUUUAAACUCCUUGUUUUAUUGCGAAAACGAUCUGGAAUGUGCUUUCACUGUCUACAAAUUUAUAUCUUUAUACAUGCAUUGUUACAUUUCCUUCCUCGAAUUUGUACCAAGAUGUGUAUAAAUAUCUUUGUUUUCUUUUCCUUUCUUUUGGUUUUAGCCUAAAAGGUAUUUUCCCGCCUGUUUGGGAGUGUGGUUGCGGUUGCUUUUUAAAAUGUUUUUUACUCAGAAAUAUAUUAAAAUAAUGUUUUUUUAUUUUUUUAAAAAUCAUUUUUGAUAUUAGCGCAUCAAAAUAAUCUAAAAACACCAAAACAUAUAAAUUUGAAGAAAAUAAAAAAAAUAAAAAAAAAUUAAUUUUUUUCAAAAGCGCUUUUAAAACGCAUAAACAAACAGGGUUGCUCGAAUACCAUUGCGUUAACAAGGAGUUAUCUUCUUACAGCAUGAUAACAUGGUGAGCAAAUACACUUACCAGUGUGGCUUUCUGUCAACGGAUAUCAUUUCUUUAGAAGCUUAGAUAGUUGUGUUUAGGCAAAUUUAUGUUCGAAAUCUAAAUCCUUUGGGAUUUAGGCAAGUUUAUGCUCUGUAUCCUUUGGGAUUAAUGGACUCAUCCGCGUCAUUCGAGCUUAUUUUCCAUUAUUUAAAAACUAAAAUAUCAAAUAGAAUAAAAAAAUACAAACAUGGAUUUAUUUAUUUUCAACAAGGUUAGAGAACAAAACCACAUUCGUUUUCGUUUUAUAAGAUAAACUUAUUGAUAUUAAGAUUAUUAUUUUUUUGGCCAGAUUUUAAUCAUCUAGUAUUAUACAGUUUAAGAUCCUUUGGGCUUCGCAAUAUAUAUAUAUAUAUAUAUAUAUAUAUAUAUAUAUAUAUAUAUAAACUGAAACAGAAAAAGGAUAUAAUUAUGGCCUAAAAAAACAUUUUGAUGUGCUAAAAUAGGUUAAGAAUCGUUAUGGCCCUCGGUCCAUUUAAAUCAAUUGGCACUAGGGUCAAUAUAGCUCAAAUUCAAUAGGUGAUUCCAUGUAGAUGGCCUAGAAAGCUUUUUGUCUAUCCAAAAUUGUUUCGAUAAAGAGGCUGAAUUCGAAGGGCUAUGUGGCUUAAUGGACUUGGGUGGCACAAAUCUCUCUGCCAAUAUUGUUUUAACUUCUAGCCUUCUCAAGUCAUAUGCUGAAGUUGGAUAUCACUAUUUAGUUAUUUUAGAUGUUUUAUUUAAAAUAAAUUAGCUAUUUUUCUAGGUAAUUUAUUCUAAAAAUAGAUUUUAUUCCUCACUUCUUUAAUUAAGGGUGAUUAACUUUUGUUUUUUUUAUAAUUAGUGAUUAAUUAAAAUAGAAAAAUAAAAUUGUUGUACCCAAUCACGGAUGGGCUUGGUAAAACACUAGGCCCACCUUCUUGUACUCUAUUACGUGUUGAGCCCAAUUAUAUGUGAGUUUAGCGAGAUGCAAGGCCCAACUCUUUUGGACUCUGCUACACGUUAGGGCCAAACGCAUGUUGAUCUGACAUCUUUAUGAAGACAUUGACAACACUAGAUAAGGGAUCAUGUUACGUUACGGACUGGCCUAAUUUUUUUUACAUAGAAAAUGGUGUUAAAACAACGCGAGCAUUUCUAAAAUAAUUUGAGGCUCGGGUCAUUGACUCGACUGUGUUUAAUGAGCUCGGCUAAUCUAAAUAAUAUGAAUAAAUAAAUGCAAUGGAAAUAAAUAAACUGAGAAAAAAUUGACAAUGUAAAAAAGGUCAAAAACACUCAACUUGAGCUCAUCUAAGUUAGCAUGCCAAAUCUGUGACCUGAUCGUGAUACCGGGGUAACCUCGUCAAAUGUAUACUGAAUAAAACUAUAAAACUCAAUUAUAAAAAAACCCAAUGUUGAAGAGCGAAACUAGGAAUUAAAAAAACCAACAAAAAAAACUCUAGAAACUCUAGUCAACACAAGUUAACUCGCUGACUUUAUAACCAUGAGUAUAGGAUUAGAAUAACCUCGUAGAAAGAAAUUUUUUUAAAAAAAUAUGAAUACCAAAUUCCUAUAAAUCAAAUGUUGUAGAAUGAAAUUGAAAAAAAAAUCAAAUUCAACUUGUGUUAACCUUUAAAGCUCGGGUCCUUGGUUAUGAGCCCAAGACUAACCCCAAAGAAGUCAAAACCUAAAAAAUAACAAAGAAAAUUCUAAAUCAUCAAAAUGCCAUGGAAUGAAAUUGAAAGGGAAAAUGCAACAAAAAAAACAAUUAAAAGAAUUAAGAUUAAAUUUAAUAUAUAAAUAAUUUGACAUCAAAUAUUGAGGGAUGAGAUUGAAAAUAAAAUUCAAUCAUGAAAAAAGAUAAAAAACUUAAUAACAUUAAAAUGAACAAAAACCAAAUUUGAUUAAAAAAAUUAAAUAAAAUCAAAUGAUGAGGGGCAAAAUUGAAGAAAAAAAUCAAUCAAAAAAAGUUAAAAUAAAAAAACAAAACAAAUACAAAUUAAAAAAAUGAAGAUCAAAUUGUAAAAAAAACAAAUUAAACGACACAUUUAUAUUUUAGCAAUUAGAAGAUAAAAAAAAAAAGAAGAAGAAAGAGAAGAAAAAAGUCUAUUGAAGACCAACCACCAUGCCGCCGAUCAUAUGUGUGGCACCAACGGAAAGAGGAUGACGUGGUGCUUCCAACUCUAUCCUGGAAGGCAGUGUUUGGACGUGGGAUGAUGUCACAUAUGCCGCAUUCGUCGCCCAAAGGGUAAUAUACUCAACUUGUUUAUUACAAAAAAACCAAUUUAGACAAAAAAAAAAAAAAAGCUCAUGGAUACAAGUUUAACCAUUUUUGUUUUACUUUUAAGAGUAAUAUAGUCUUUACAUUGUGCUUAUAAAACUUGAAAAGACUGAAUUGCCCCUGUUCAACAUUUUAAAAUUUUUGUUGUUUAGGGAAAUAUAGUCAUUACGCUCCAUUCGAAAGAUAAAAAAACUAAAUUAUGCUCAAUCAAUUUUAUAAUGACUAGUUUACCAUAAAAAAAAGACCAAUUUAUACCCUUUUUUUUUCUUAAAAAAGUAAAAUGUUAAUUACACUAUUUUUAGUUUUUUUCAUGCUAGUAAUUGUAAUUUGUUAUAUGGAAAACAACCCUCACUUUCUACUUCCAUAAUGAUAUCGAAUCAACCGUUGAAAUUAUAGUUCUAACUAAAGUCUAAAGAAACCUAAAUAAUUGAAUUAUUGGGUCAAGAUGGAUCAUCGGAUCAAUACAAAUUUAUCAUUUUUUCAAAAUAAUAUCUCUAAUUUUUUUAUUUUUUUAAUUCUUCAAUUUUGACUUAUAUUAGAUUUAAUUAGGUUAAAGCAAGGCAAUCAUAAAAUCACCAGAAUCCAACCAUAUCAAUAUUAGGACCAGUUCAAAUUGAAUCUCGGCACAAAUUAAAUUGUAAAAUUGCAGGUGAGUCAACUGAACAAUUUAAUAACUAAGUCAAACAAGACACAGGACGUUAUUUAAUUACCACUUGAAUUUAACUUGCAAUCACUUACGUCCUCAUUGAAUUUGCAAUGUCAAACAAGACACAAGGCUCCACCAUGUACAAAAUUCUAGCCCAUCUUGAAAUUUCAAAUCACCUAUUUUUCUUUAAAAAAUUUCGGUUGCAUAAUAUUUUACCCGAGCUAAUAUUAAAAAUAAUUUUUUAAAAAUAUAAAAAUAUUAUUUUGAUGUAUUUCCUAGUAAGGAGCACUUGGAAAACACAAUCGUCGUUACUCUUCUAACUUUGCGUAUUUGACACUUCGGUUGGAAAGUGUUUUUGAAAAUUUUUUAUUUUGCUUUAAAUUAACAUAUUUUUGAUGUUUUCAGAUUAUUUUGAUUUUUAAAAAAUAAAAAAAUAUAUUAUUUUAAUGUGUUUUAGAAUGAAAAUCAUUUUAAAAAACAAUCACUGCCACAAUCUCGAGCACUCGACAUCUUGGCUUUUCCUUCUCAGCAAUGUAAGGUGCAUCCUUUCUUAUGGUCCCUAAUUUGAAUCACCAUUGCUUGUCCAAUAAGUAUGAUCUGUCUGCCAGGAUUGUUAUAACUUCAAGUCUUCUCUAAAGUUUAAAGGCAGAUGAAAACCACCAUCUCUUUAAUUGAUUGCUUUUAAUUGCUGAUAAUUAUGCUGUCCUCCAUGAGAUACUACAGUGGUUUUACAUGUUCAAACCAAGGAUGGAUGGAGGUUGAAUGAUAUAAUUGCUGAUAAUUUUUUAUUUUAAAUUAAAAUUUAAAAUUCUUUUAAUGUGUAAAUAUUAAAAAUAAUUUUAAAAACAAAAUGACCGUACUCAAUCUCGAAAUUGUUAAUUCAAUUGUUUUUUUCUGAGUUUCAUACACUAUUCAGUAUUCAUUAGGUGAAGGACAGAUGUCAGUUAAGCCACGUGCAGCAGCAGAGCAGAAGUGACCUAACGUUGGGCUAACUUGCACUUUGUGUUCACACAUUUUUUCUCGAAGUCCCACGUGGAAAUAGUAACACUUUUCUUGUCUUCAGUCACUGUAACAUGGAAGGAGGUGGAUGCAUGGUCCCGAGGGACAAACAGCCACCUCUUAAAUACUCCAAAAGAAGAUAGUCGUGUCCUCACUUGCAUUCGAAAAAUUAAUAGUAAUUACAUUAUUGUAAUAAAUAGUAGUUUAUGUCUUGGGGAUACAGUAAUCUCACCACGGGGAUUGGUUGUUUAGACUACGAUACCCGCGCGAUGCCGCAGGUUAUUUUUUUUAUAAAAAAUAUUUUAAAAAAUAAAAAUUGAAAAAUUUUGGAUUUUUCUGCAAAGUUAUACCCAAGAAUCUUGGGUUUGACUGCAACGUCUAAUCUAAGAGUAAUAUUUAUAAUAUUAAUAAAAAAAAUAAACUUGUAUGACCAAGUAACACCAGACCCAAGAAUAUUGGAUGUGGGUGUGAUAAUUAAAUAGAGUAAUUAAAAAAAACAAAGAAAAAAAAUCAACAGAAAGAAAAAAACUAAUGAAGAAAAAGAAAAAAAAAUUGAAUUAAUUGGGUUAACCCUUUAAACCAGGUUACCCCGUAAAACCUGGGAUUUGCGUCAUGAAAGUUUGAUAACUAAAUAGAAAAAAAAAAUAACGGGUUUACCCAGAAUUAACCGGGUUAACCCAUCAAACCAAGUUAACCCGUCAAGCCCAGGAUACAUGUCAUGAAAAUCUGAUAAUUAAAUAGAAAGAAAAUUAACUUUAACAAACUAAAAUAAAUGAAAAAAAAUAACUCGUCAAAUCAGGUUAACCUAUCAAACCCGAGAUUCGUAUCAUGAAAAUAUGAUAACUAAAUAAAAAAAAUUAACAUUAACAAAAUAAAUCAAACAAAAAAAAUUCAUUAAAAAAAAUUAAAAAGAAAAAACAAAAGAAAAAAACAGUCAUAUAAUACAAUACAAUAUAAUAAUAAUUAUAAUGAAAAAACGUGGGGAAAGCUAAAGCUAAAGCUAAAUUUUCAACCAACUCAAUAUUAAAAAAAUAAAUUUAACAAAGAUAAUUUAAAAAAUAAACAUUUGGGGGAAACACUACAGCCAAACAAAAAUCAUGCAAGGGAAACACUGUAGUAAUCCAUAGUAUUUUUUUUUAAAAAAAAAAAAGCUACAAAGUUAAGUUCUCAACCAGCUUAAUAUAGAAAAAAAACCGAGAUCUGUGUAAUAAAAGUAUGAUAACUAAAUUAAAAAAAAAUUUCACAUUAACAAACUAAAUUAAACAAAAAAAAAUUCAUUAAAAGAAAAAAAAACACAAAGAAAAAAGCAAAAAAAAAAACCCCAUAGGCAAAACGAAAAAAAAUAAAAGAAAAAAAAAACAAAAACAAAAAAAAGGAAAAAAAAGGAAAAACUGCUACAGAAAAACAAAACCAAAAACGAAAAAAAAAAUGCAACAGAAAAAAAAACGAAAAAAAAAACUGCAAAAAAAAUGAAAAAAAAAUAAAAAAAUAAACAUGUGGGGGAAACAUUGCAACCAAACAAAAAUCAUGCAAGGAAAAGACUGUAGUAAUCCAUAGUAUUUUUUUUUCUUUUUGAAAAAAGCUACAAAGUUAAGUUUUCAACCAGCUUAAUAUAGAAAAAAAACUGAGAUUCGUGUAAUGAAAAAAUGAUAACUAAAUUAAUUUUUUUUUUACAUUAACAAACUAAAUUAAACAAAAAAAAUUCAUUAAAAGAAAAAAAAACACAAAGAAAAAGGCAAAAAAAAAACUCAUAGGCAAAACGAAAAAAAAAGAAAAAAAACAACAAAAAAAUCAAGUGUUUCACUGGGUGCACAUCGAUACAUUAUAUGUAAAAAACAGAAGAAACAAAAGCGAGGAAAAAAAAACAAAAAUUCUAUAGUGAAAAACCAAUGCAUUAAAAAAAAAAUGUAAAAAAAACAAAAAGAAAAAAAACUGCUAUAGAAAAACAAAACCAAAAACGAAAAAAAAAAAAGCAAGAAAAAAAAUGAAAAAAAACUGAAAAAAAAAAAACAAAAAAGAAAACUGAAAAAAAAAACAAAUAAAACUGUCCAAAAAAAAAAAAACUUUAGCUACAGUGAAUUUCCUACGCGUUUUAGUAUAUUACUUAAUAAAUUCCACUACAUCUCAGCUCUGCUAUAGCCCUCUACAUGCAGAGAGAAAGUUGUCAGGAAAAUUUUAAGGUGAGAGAAUGAUUCAGGAUAGUUUGAUAUUUAUACAUGUUAAUAAUAGAUUGAAUAAAAAAUAAUUUAAUAUAUUUGAUUAAAAUAAUAUUUUUUAAAUUAAAGUUAUAAAAUAUAUAUUAAUAUUAAUAGUUUUUAAUUUAAAUAUUGUUGAUUUAACUACUGAUAUUACAUCAUGAAAUAAAUAAUACUUAUAUCAAAUAUUUUUUAUUGUUCCAUUAAACUAUCUGUAAUUUCAUCACGUAUGCUGGAUUACAGUUUUCUUGGUUUUGUAAGAGCACAACAAUAUCAAGUAAAAUAUCAUCAAGAACAAAAUUGGGGUUGUGAUCAAAUUCUUCAAAUGCUACGUAAUCAAGUGAUCUUCUUCUAAUUUUUCAAAUAAAACACAAUUAAAAAUAAAAAUAAAAAUAAAAAUUGAUUUUUUUAACUGGAUCGGAUCCGGUUCAAUAUAUUUAACUUUAGACCGGAUCCAGUCUGGCCGGAACAGUGAAGAGUAGCUUCACUGUUCACAUCAAACAAUGGAGUUUCACUCUCAUUUGUAUGGAUCUCAUGUGAACAGUAAAAUAUAUUUUAUCAUUACCAAACAUUCAUCAUGUGCAUUUUACUUUAAAAGCAAAAAUUAUCACGUAAAACGAGCAAAAGUUCUUUAUGUUGUUUUAGAUGAAAAUAAAUUAAAAAACAGUUUUUUGUGGUUUAAAAUAUUGAAUCCUGAUUUUUUAGUUAUAGAAAGUGAUUAAAAAACUAUUCAAUAGGUGACAAAUCAUCUGCUGCAACAGACGACAUGUGGUCCAACUAUGAAAAAAUAGAGUUGAUUUGCUAGGCGUAAUUGUGUCUACCCUUGUUUUUUUCACUAUUUGUUUCUACUUAAAUAUUGCUUAAUACCAUCUCUUUUAUUUUUUAAAAUUUUUUAGUUUUUUUUUAAAUAGUAAUUGAUCUUUUAAAAUGUUUUUUCUAAUUUCAUAAUGCUUCAUAGAUAUUAUACAUUAGUACAAUUAUUAUUGCGUCUAUCUUUCGUUUUUUUUUUUAGAAAUGCAAGCUUUUCAUUUUAUUAUUCAGUUAACAUUAACAAUUUUUUUAUUUAUCAUUUUAUUUAUUUUAAUAAUCAUACAUAUUUUUUUUAAUUAAAAAAAUCAUAAUAUCUAAAAACACAUUCAUAGCGCAAAAGCUUCCUUUUAUUGCCUGACUUAAAAAUAUACCUGCAUCGUAGCAUGGAUAAGGCUAGUAAAUUUCUUAGAAUAAACAGGCACUAAAAAACACAAUGAAUGAAAAUAGGGUUGAAAAAUCUGUAAUCUGGUCUUCUAAAUCAUAGUUUUGAAACCCGACCCGAUGAGUUAACUUGAAAUCCGGCUGAUUCAGGGCUGGAACCGAGUCGGAUUGAUGAAAAAAUAGGAAAAGUCAUAACCCGACCGACCCGACAGGUUGACCCGGCAAAACCCGGUCAAAAACCUGGUUGCAACCCGUUGACUUUUGUUUUUUUAACUAAAACGACGUCGUUUUGAAUUUUUUUUAAAAUAAAGAUUGACUCGGCCGACCCGGUGAUCUGGUCAAAACCCGAAAUCAGAACCUUGGACCGAACCGGGUUUAAAAACUAUGAUAUAAACUGAAUUCAAGAAUUAAAUAUAAAAAAAUCAAUAAUUCUUAGAAUAAAAAAAGCCAAAAAUUAUUUAAAAAUAAAUCUUGUCUUCUCAUAAUUUAUUUAAAUAAUAUCAAUUAAAUAAAUUUCCAACCAGACAUGAUUUCUAGAUAUUUUCUUCGGGAGGGGCACCAGAUGGGAUACCUAACAAAAGGAAUUGCCAACCUCUUUUAAUUAUCGAUGUCAUGUCAUGUAAAAAUUGAGGCAUGCAAGCUUUAAUUAAGGAUGUGACUGAUGUCCAUAAAACCCUGUUAGUCGUGACUGGUGUGACUCUGUGGCAACCCCACCCUGGUGAGACCCAGAGGCGAGUGAUGGUCCCAUAUGGCAUCAAGUGGUUCAAGUCUGUGCAUGGUGAUGCUGCCUUAACGAAUCACCGAUCUGUUCUCAAGCUCCUGGCAUCAAGUGGUUCAAGUCUUCUUGUUCAAGAAUUCUGUCCAUGGUGAUGCUGCCAUAGCGAAGCACCGAUCUGUUAUCAAGCUCCUGGUUUUAUAUAUAUAUAUAUAUACUGUGUAUAUUUAUUUUGUGUGGCCACUCAAAUUAAUUUGUGGUGAAUGAUUCUUUCCAUCAUAAUCACUCGGAGGAAGUUUUUUUUUUGGUAACCCGGCGUGUCCGGGUCAACUUAUAUGUACCACAAUUAAUUUCUGGAUUCACUAAACAUCCUGCAAGCCCAGCAAAUAUAUAAUAAACUGCAUGGAUGACAGAUAUGCAUAAUAAAACUUAUUCCUAGUGCAGAGAUAGAUAACAAGUUUCUUCCACUGGUGGGCUUAGACUCUUAGUGCAUGUUCUUGGCAUGUACUUUUCUGAGUGCUUUAAAUAAAUUAUAUAUUAUCCAAAAUUUAAAACCAGAAAAAUCAACGUCAAUGUUCAUAAAUUAUCUAGUAAAUUCUUGUGGGGGCACUCAGAAAAGUACAUGCCAAGAACUUGCACUAACAAGAACUGCAUCUGAGUGAUUCUGAUGGAAAGAAUCAUCCACCACAAAAGAAAGAGAGAUAUGCCUUUGAUUUUGUGGUAAUUACAAAAUAAUGUUUGAAAAUGGUGGACUUGAAACCCCAAAGGACAUGAGAUUGAUUUCGAGUUUCAUCACUGGACCACUCUCUUGCGGCUUGUUGUGCAAUGAUGUGAAACAUUAUGACCAUUUAAAAUAUAUAUAUGUUUUUUUUGAUUUACUUGGGGUGUCCGGGUCAGCUUACGCGCACCACGAUUAUUCCCCACGGCCCACUGGACAUCCUGCAAGCCCAGGAGCAGGUAAGGCACCGCGGGGGUGACAGACGUGCACAUAGAGAGUCGAACCCGGGACAGGGGCGGAACAAGUCACACGAUUGACCACAGCAGCUAGACCCUCAAGUGCAGAAAAGAGAGGUCAUGUUCUUGAAAAAAACCCGAGAAUACAACUACAAGUCGUCUAAAUAUAUCCAAAAACGUUUCCCGGUCCUCAUGAGAGUGACUUAGAACAGUUCUUGCUGAUUUUUUGAACCCCAUUGCCAUUAGCAGGUUGCUAUCCUUGUCUUUUCUUGUGUGAUUUCCACGAGCUCAUGAACUCUUUUUUCAUGAAAAUGAUUUCUCUGGAAAAUAAUGAAAUACUUCUCGGUGCAAUCCUUGAUACUUUUGUCUAGACGAUCCAAAAGUUGUUCCAAUCUAUAAUAUUUUGUGUUUUUAUAAUGAUGAAACAUUGAUCUCGUUUUGUUUUGAUUUAAUACUUGAAAUACAGUCUUUAUUACAUUUAUAAAUAUACAAGUCUUUUUAUUUAUCAAUUUUUUAAAAGAAAAAUAUACUUUACACGAUUUAAAAAAAAUUGGCUCUCUUGUUUUUUUUCUUAAGAUCAAGUUCUAUUUACGAAAUUUGUUAUUCAUGUCAAUUUUAAGAAAUGUUAGUCUAUGUAUUUAUAUAUAAAAUGAAUUACUCAGUAUACCGAGAACUGUAUUCCUUCCUCUCGCAGAAACAUGGGAUACAUACGUGAAUUAUUUUUGUAAUAAUUCCUAAAUUUUAUGAAACAAUGGAAUGAUAUAAUUAAUAAUUUCAUCAUUUAUUAUUAAAAAAAAUUAAAAAUAAUUUUUAUUUUUAUUUUUUUAUUUUUUUAUGAGGUCAUUCAGUUUUAUAAUCUGAAUUAUAAAUUUGACGGGUUAACUCAAUUGACUCGAUUUUUUUUCUUUUUCUAAUUAUUUUUUUUUAAUUUUAUCUUUUAACAUUCGGUUGAUUGAAAAUCAGACAUUAUUAUUUUUUUAUGAGAGGACUCCCGGUCACAGGUUAACCAGGUUAACUUGAGUUGUUUUUUAUGUUAUUUUUUUAAUAAAUCUUUUUUUAAUUUCACCCUCCAAUCAAUGAUAAUAUUUGUUUUGUAUUUUAAUUUUGAUCCCUGUUCUUUUAACUGCUAUUUUUUUGUUUUGAAUCCUUUUGUAUAAUUAAUUUUUUUUUUCAUGUUUCAUCCAUUAACAUUUGAUUAGUCGAUAAUUGAUUUUCAUGGUUUUUUCAAAUAUGACACUUUUAAUUUAAUGACCUAAGUUUUGGUUUUUUCAUCCAUCAACAUAAUUUUUAAUCAAAAAAUUAUAAACACCCGUUUCAUUUUAUUUUAUUUUAAAAAAAACAUAAAAUUUAAAUCUAUAUCUCAUUGACUAAGAGGCUCUCUUAAAUGAAACCAAAAUUAAUUGCUAAAAAAUGACUAAUCAACAACUCAUCGAUCCCAUUUUCGUCCCAUCCAGUUGCAUCAUGGAUACAUGUCAAGCACUCAAGGUCUCACCGAGUCAUUAUAAAGUACUAAUUACAAGUAAAACGUGAAGCUAAUUACUUUAAUUAAUUAAUUAAUCUGGUGGAGGCGGUGAUAACGAAAUAUAACGAAUAAGAAAUUAAAGUCAUCAUCCUUAAUAAUAAGGUCGGUGACUAUCAAAUAGAUUCUUGAUAGAUGACACGUUUGGUAGGGCUCCGAUUGGGAUAAAAAAGAGAUAAGGACUGUUUGCCUCUUUUUAUUAUUAAUAUAUACACACCAAUUUUUCUCAGUACUUUCUUCCUUUUGGCCGUUGCAGGAGAUAAUAAAAAGAAAGAAAAAAAGCUUUUUCAAAAGUAGCUUUUGCUGCCAGGAAUUUUCUUAUGUGACGACAAACAGUGCCGUAACGGUCCUUAACCAAUAACCUCUGCUGGGAUUUUUUUAUUGGGUAUUAUUUGACUAUAUUUUCUUAUUAUUUUUAAUGGGUGUAUAAGAAAAAAGAAAAAGAAAUUGGUGGCUUGCAAGUUACUACGAGUAGUCACCCUCAACCCACUCGAUAUUUGUUGGACUUGGUCAAGGUGUAUGAGCAAAUAGAGGCUACUUUCAUUAUAAAAAUACAUAAAAAUAAAAUUAAAAUAAAAAUAAAGGCCUCUUUCAGAAAUGGAAACUAGAGGAAGACAACAAAGAAAUUAUAAAUUGAAAUGUUUUUUUUUUCCUUCUAAUUGGGUUCCAUUGUCAUAAUGAGAUAUUUUCGGUUUAAAGAUGAAAAAGCUGUCUGUAAAUACAUUUUUUUGAAGUAUAUUUUUUAUAUAAAAUUUAUGAAAAUAAUUAAACCUUUACAUAUAAAAAAUAAUCCAAAUAUAUUUAAUAUUAAAAAUCUUUACCUUUCAUUUUAGGCAUUGACGAAGAUAUAAUUUUUAGAUAUUAUUUGAUUACUUAUCGAGAAAAUAAAGAAAUAUAAAAUGUAAAAAUAAUAAAAAUAAGUUAAAAAACUAUCUCAAACUUAAGCUAUUAGAUGAAGUUUCAAGAUAUGAUUUAUAUUAUUUUUUAACACACUAUUUAAAGUGAAAGUUUUCUAAAUUUGAAACUUGCAUGUGCUAAUAUUAUCUUGUAUUUAAUUUUUAUCAAAUAAAUAAAAAUAAUUACUUUAUUAUAGUCUAAAAAAAGAUAAAAAAAUGCAAGAAUAAAAACAUGUUUUCAACUGAAAAAUAUAAAAUAAAAUUUAUUUAAAUAAUAAUUUUAAAAUGAAUUUGUAUAGAUAAAGCAGAGGAGGAUGGGUACGAUGUUGCCUUCAUUUGAUGGGCUAGUUGCAGAUUGCAAAUGGGAAGAUUGAAAAUUUUGUCAUGCUCCUUUUCUUUUUCUCGAAAAUUAAGAAUAUUUCAAUGAUAAUUACCCCACAUCACUCUUCUUUAUGUCCUUUGUCUAGGGAUACCAAGGCAAAGAACAAGGCCAGGAGGGACCACUAGCUUCAUGACAUAGAGAUGCUUCCUUGCAUUAUUUUUUUUGUCCGAUUGCUAUAAUUUUCUACGAUGUUAUUAAACCUCACUCCAACCCGAUGCAUGCUAAUAAAAGAUAUAGUAUAAAUCUGUAAUUUAGUUAAUUCAGUGAGAGUUGAAUUUAGCGUGUUUGAAAGUGUAGUUACGAUUGUUUUUUAAAGUAUUUUUUACUUGAAAAUGUAUUAAAAUAAUAUUUUUUUAUUUUUUAAAAAUUAUUUUUGACAUCAGCAUAUCAAAAUAUAAACUUUUUUAUAACAAUAAUACAAUUUCCCUUGUAAAUUAUAUCAUAUGGUUAAAAAGCCUAUUCUUAGGAGUAUUUGUUUAAAACAUUUUAAUUAGGCAAUUAGGCAGUAGACUGUUGUCAAAGGUGACCCCAGCUUGCUAGGAGCCUAGGAUUAAGAUAUUUGGCAUAGGAAAUAAAUGAUGUGGAUGAUUUAUUCAAUAUCAUAGACGAUCUGAUUAAUAUUGAAUAAAAAAUUAAUUUUAAUAUGUGGAAAUUGAAAACUUGGUACGAGCACGUCCUUAACUACCCUGUAAGAAAAUUAUAAGUACGACCUUGACUAGGAAACCAAAAAAGAAUGAAGACCUUGACUAUUUCUCUUAAAACCUAAUAGUCUCGGCGGCUAUUUAAUAUUACGAUAGUUUUUAUAGUCGUUAUAAAAAAUUAGAUUUUUAAAAAUAUUAUUAAUUGUAAUUUUUUAAAAUAUAGAUCUAAAAAAUAUUUAUUUAUUUAAAAUUAUUAUGAGAUUGAUUUUUACAUGUAAAAUAAAUAAAUAAAACAUAUCACCGUGAAUUAAAAGCAUGUCUCUUAAAUGAAAGCGUGUUAUUUAGUUUUUAUGUGUGUGUUUGAUACCAUGGAGCAAAAUAAUUUUAAUUUAAGAAAUAUAAAAUAUAUAUACACAGAUACCAGCACGUCAAAAUCAUUAAAAAACACUGAAAAAAUAUUAAUUUGAUAUUUUUUCAAGUGAAACAUGUUUUUGAAAUGAACUAAAAAACAGAAGCUAUCAUACAGAACCAAUAUUUAAAACACAAUUAUGCAUGAGGCUCAAUACAGAAAAAUAAAAUUAUUUGAAUAAUUAAAUAACUUUUUUUCUAUAGUUAUAAAAAAACAUAAUUUACCAUCUUAUAAAAAAAAAAACCAAUUCCUACUCAUGUUUUGGUGAGAAUGGAUAUAAUUGCUACGAUUACAUAUGGGGCUAGUGCAUAAAAACAAAAAUUAUUUGAUUAUUAAAAUAUUUUUUUCUAUUAUUGAAUAAAAAAUUAAAAUAAUUAUAAUACCAAAUAAUAUCUUAGUCUUGACAACAAGGAAAAAAAAAAUCAUAGUCAAGUUUUGGCGAGAAUGGAUAUAAUAGCUACGUAAGACUAGUGUCCAAAUCAAACGUAACAUUCUUCAUUAGGAUUGGCGAAUGAAGAAAUACGCAAAGACAAAAUAAAUUAAUAAAAAGAAUAUCAACUUGAUGCAUGUUGAAUUAGUGUGGUGCACGCAAACCAUUUUCUUGUAGAACAUGACUGGAAUUUUGGAUUGAAACUUGAAAGGAGUGAUGGCAUGCAUCAUCGUAGAUGAUGGGUAACACAAUUUAAUAUCUAAUUCCACAAAUUUAAUUAUUUGAGAUAAAUAAUUCUUGCUUGAGACUACGUUUGGAAACGCGGGUCAACCUGUAUUUUUAAAAAAGUUAAAUUUUUUUGUUUAAAAUUAAUUUUUUUUUAUGUUUUGGAUCGUUUUGAUAUGCUGAUCUUAAAAAUAAUUUAAAAAAAUAAAAAAAUAUAUUAUUUUAACGCAUUUUAGUAUGAAAAAUAUUUUAAAAAACAAUUACAAUCAUACCUUCAGACAGCCCAAAUCCAAAUUGUGAAUAAGAAUUGGAGGUCUUAAAUAAUUAAAAUUUAAAUAUUGUUGGAUUUAAAAUAUUUUAUUUUUAAUUUAAUAAUUAGUUUGUUUUUAUAUUUUAGAAGUAUUUUUUAAAAUAUUUAUUUAUUGUUUUACAUUUUUAAAUUAUUUUGAUAUAUUAAUAAUAAAAAUAAUUUUUUUUAAAAAAAAUAUUUUAAUAUAAAAUAAAAAUAAAAAUACUCUAAAAACUAUGUAUCGAACCUGCUAAAAAUAGCCUGACCUGUACCUAAUUUUUCACAAUCAUAAAGCCUAUCCUCACUUCCAAGCUACACAGAUAGAAACACUCAUGCACGCGCAAGUAAAGCGCGUGAAACAAUAUUAACGAUGCCUUGUCAGCAGUUCUAGUCACCACGCAAGACAUGGUUGAUGGUGCAUUUGGGUUCUUCUACUCUCAAUUUUAACCUAUUUGGUAUCUCUACUAUUCUUUGUUUCAAUAUCACCCCUCUUUUAUUUAUUUAUGCAAUUAUUUGAUCCUUUUGUUAUUUAUGACAAGAAAUUGCAUUAAAUCCAGCCACUCUAGUUGGUGCCAUGUAGAAUCAAUUUCAUAGGACUACACUUAACAAGGUAUUUAAUAUCAUCUUUUAAGGAUAAUUAAUGAAAAGAUCAAAUGAUUACUAAAAUUAUACUUUUUUCUUUUUCACAUUAAAAAAAUAACGAUCAGUUAUUAACCUCACCAAUAAAAUUCAUCAAAAAAUAAUACAUACUUUUAGUUCUUAUUAUUUCUAAGAUUAAGUUUUCUUAUGUGUAUUUGAAUAGGGUUUUCUAAGUUCGUUAAAAUGUAUAUUUUUAGAUUAUUUUGAUAAUUAUUUUAAACCAAAUCAUCUUUUAAAUGAUUUUAUAAUACAUCCUCGCAUCAUCUAUGCAAAAGGAUAAGUUUAUUUGGAUUCUAACCUUAAGGUUGGAACUUGUAAGUUAAGUGCGUUUGACACUAUGGUGUAAAGUGUUUUACAAAAAUAUUUUUCGUUUUAAAAUAUAUUAAAAUAUUUUUUUUAAAUUUUUUUUACAUUAAUACAUCAAAAUCAUCGAAAAAAUAUCAAUUUGAUGUUUUUCGAGCCAAAUACAUUUUCAAAAUGUAUCCAAAUACAUUUUCAAAGGCAAAAACAAAUGGUGUUGAAGGGGACAAACCUUCUUAAUCCAAUACCUUGCACUUAGGAUUUGAUGGAAGAACUAGCUUAAACAAAGGGCCACUUGAGCAAUGAUCAAAGACCUCAAUUUAACAAAAAAACUCCAAAAAUAAAUAAGGUAUACUUAUCAAUUAUGUUUUAUGAAAUAAAAAUUACCCUCUCCAUUCACCUUAAGCCGGCUAUCAUUGAAUAUGAAAGGAUCUGAAUCAUAAAAAUCGGAAAUAUAGGGCUGAUAUUAGAGCACAAAAAAGGUAGGUAAACUAAACUAAGUAAAAGUCCAAGAAGUUCCAUAUUACACUCUCUCACACGCACAAAGACUGUUCAACUUCAACUUAUGUACAGUACUCCUCUUCUAGCUGCCUAGUUUGUAUUUUUACAGAAAGAAAAACAAGAAAAGAGCCUCCCUCCCUGUCUCCCUGUCUCCCUCUCUCUCUAUAUAUAUUAUUUUUUUCUCUCCACAUUUCGUGGUUAGAACUCUCUUUCUGCAACUUUCUCUACUGUUCUUUACAGGAGUAAGUUCUUUUUCUCCUUUCGGUUCCGUAAAAAUUGUGAUGUAAUACCUGCUUACGUCUAUUUCUUGCUCUCUAUCUCCUGAUUCAUUGAUCCUUAGCACUUAAGUUUCUUUGCGUUACUUUUAGAAAGAGCUUCAAAAAAGUAAAACAGAAACUUUCUUUCGUUUGUUAGUGUCAGCAAUUUGCUUCAUUUAAGCUUGACAUUUGUCAAGAUUGUGUUUUUUGGUGCUCAUUACUUGGUUUUUUGUUGUUGGGUUUUUAUGCUGUCGAGUUCUCGAGCUUUGAUAAGAUCACUAACUGUGUGUUUCCGUGGGUAUUCUUUUGUGGGGUCUGGUUGGUUUUUUUCAGAUUGGAAGUGGGUUUAUGGUUGGUGGUGUAUAGAAAGAAGAGAUAAUUGAGUUCGAGAGGUUCAAUGGGAGUCAAGAGAUCUGGUAAAAGAGUGUGCUUGAAUUUGGAGAUCUAUGGAAAGUUCUUUAUUGGGUUUGUUUUGAUUUGCACAGCAAGGAUUUCUGUUGGUGUUACUAAUCCAAGUGAUGGUAAUUAAGCUUGACCUUUUUUUUUCUUUUGCUCUUUCUUGUUUUGGGUUUCUCUCUGCUGUUUGGUUUGUGAGAAAAUGUGGGAUAUAAAAGUAAAGUUAUUAGUUAAAAUUAAAAUGAUAUAAGCUAUCAAACCUAGAUGGAAGAAAUGCUUGGUUGGUUUUGUAAAUUUCCUUUCUUGUUUCAACUUUUCUUUUUCAGCAACCAAAUUCGGAUUUUUACUAGUUGUUAUUGUAUAAUUUUAAGCUGGAAUAGUAGUGUUGCUUAUUAAUUUUGUUUUAUAGUACAUGGAACUUUGAAUCUUAUCACCUGCAUUGUUUUGAUUGACUUAGUUACUGCAAUUAAUAGCUUAUACAUUUCACUGGGCUCUCCUGUACUGCCCGGGUGGGUCGGCACCGGGGGAGAUCCAUGCGGCGAAGGGUGGCAAGGCAUUGUAUGUAAUGUUUCAGAAAUUCAAUCCAUGUAUGGAGCUCUGCUGUGGUCUCAUCAUAUUUAUUGCCAUUUGUCGGCAUUGAUAAUGUAAAGCCUUUUAAAAUGUGCUGUUUUGCAGAGUUCUUAAUGGUGCGAAUUUGGGAGGAGAACUUGGUGAUAAUCUGGGAAUGUUUGCUUCUAUCAUAUCGAUGUAAGUGGCAGUCUCUCAAUCGUUCCCUCUCUCCCCUCCCUGUCUCUAUACGUGCAUAUGCCCAUGGGGGUGAGCAUGUGAAUGGUGUUUACACGUUGACUAAUGGAAACAUCUUUCCUUCCAUCCUAAAGAGCUUUUUCACUUAUUCCUUUGCUGCCAUUAGAAACGCUGUUUUGGUUUUCAUUUCAUGUGAGAGGAACAGAAGGGGCAUUCUAUGUGUGCCUUUUGACAGUUAUUGACUACAAGAGGCAUUGAAAAAAUUACAUGGGAUUGUUUUAUAUUUACAGGGGCUUUUAGAAAGUGAGACGGGGUUGCUCCAGCCAACUUGGAAGACACUGCAUUGUUUGAGUAAAAUGCCAAUGAUGUGUUGCAUUGUUCCGGGACAUGAUUUUGAAAACUUCAUUUAUCUACCCUUAAAUGAAUGGUCUAACUUUCCUGAUACCCCAAGUUUCGAUUUCUAGUUGUGUGCUUCACACAUUAGAUGAAAUAGGAGGAAGUAUAACCAAAGUACAUAAAUUGCAUUUGUUUGGAUUCCAGGCAAUAAUCUUUCGUGUGAUUUUUGUGGAUUCUGACAUUAAUCUUUGUGCACUUAUUCUUCUCUUCUUCUUGUUUUUUAGAGGUCUGAGCAACAACCACAUAGGGGGGAGUAUUCCAUCGAAUCUGCCUGUUACUAUGCAAAACCUGUACGCAUCCUGUUACAUGAGAUAAUCUACGGGUUUUUUUUCCCCUCUAUGUAUUCUAUUACUGUUAACUUUUUAUGCAACAGCUUAUGAUAGUCUUUACCUUUGACAGUUUCCUUUCAGACAAUAACUUCACUGGAAGCAUCCCUGAUUCCCUGUCCACUUUAACCUUACUGAAAGCCAUGUAAGUUUUGGCUCCUCUUUUGCCAGUGUUGAUGCCUGCUUAGUCUCAUUUUUUUUAAUUUUUAUGCUUAUAUCUUAACUUUGUAUGCCUUGUAGGUCUCUUAACGAUAAUUUUUUAAGUGGAGAGAUACCAGAUGCCUUUCAAGCUCUUCCUGGGUUGAUCAACUUGUAGGUUAUUUUUUCAAAAGCUGGCAUACUUUUCCAGUUUCAUUAAUGUUGCAUUAUGGUUAGUGUAACAACUUAUGCUUUUUGCAGAGACUUGUCCAAUAACAAUUUGAGUGGGCAGUUGCCUUCUUCUUUCAUAGAUUUGGCUAGUCUUACAACCCUGUAAGUUGUCACAGCAAGUCCAUUUAUAUUGCAUUCACUUCAUCUCCUCGUAUAAUACUAACCACUUAGUUGGCAGACGUUUGCAGGACAAUCAACUAUCUGGGACCCUUGAUGUUCUACAAGAUCUUCCCCUGAGAGAUUUGUACUAUUCCCAACCAUGUCUCUUUCAAUUUUAAAUGAUAGUACCUUUUUACCUCUUCAGGAAUGUCUAUCUAGUUUUGUGUCCUGAAGUUUGUUGAAUGAUUCUUUCCCUUGUUUUGUUGUUCUUUUUGCUCCUCAUAAAACAGGAAUGUAGAGAAUAACCUGUUCUCAGGACCCAUACCUGACAAGCUGCUGGCUAUCCCAAAUUUCAGGUAGGAAUGAAAAUGUAUUUCAUUUGAAAUAGAACUUGAUGUUUUUUCAAAAGCAUUCAUUUAUCUCUAUGAAUUAUGCUGUCAUGAUGACUUAAAUUGAUGAAUAUUAUGUCAAUUAUACAUCAUGUUCACUCAAUUUAGGAAUUUCUGGUAUUUAAUACUUAUUGACAGUUGUAUGAAAACUCCAUUAAGCUUAAAUCUUUGAGUAGACUAGUUAAGGAUGAUGAUAAUUAUUAUGCAUUUCCAUUGUGUUAUUCUGACCAGAGCAUGAGCAACCAUUUGCAGUGUCCUUGAAAACAAGCAGGUCUUGGAAAUCAUACCAUGUUGAUGUGUCCAAACGAUUCAGACCAAUCAUGUUCUUGAAGGGUUCUAUUAAGAAUGCAUGGAUUUUUUUUAAGCAGGGAUUUUUUCUGGAUAUAAUAUACAUGUGAAGAAACCUCUAAUCCUCUGUUGGAACUUAUGGGGAAGAAUACAUCCAAUUCGUGUUAAAUGUGGUGAAACACAUAAUUAUUAGACAUAUUUAUACCUUACAGAAAUCGGAGCUGAAUAAUUUCUUGAAUGCAAGCUAGGAAUUUGCUCAGUAUGGAAAUCAUUCUACGGGGACUUUCUGAUCUCCACAUUCUGAUGCACCAAGUUAACAACACCAUAUGCUUACUAUGGCUCCUACCAGAAAAAAAAAUCAAAUAUUCUUAAAUAGGAUGGAGGCAUUUUCUUUUACUCGCAUCUGCUCUGUUUGGCAUCUAAGUCCAUAAAACUUUGCAAUAUGCUGUUUGAAAUGAAUAGGAAUCACUGUUCUUUGCAGUUUGGAAGAUUUAGUUAUCUCUUCCCUCAUUUGUUUGCUAAUAUUGAUACUUGUUGCAGAAAUGAUGGCAAUCCGUUCAAUACUUCCUCUGCUCCAUUACCUGCACCCACAUCCCCAUCACCAUAUACACCACCACUUUCUGGGGCUCCACCAUCACCGUCUUCUCGGAGAACACCCGGGAAGCAGGCUGAUGCGCCGUCUUCAUCAGAGAAAUCGAGUUCUGGAGGAAAAAAUAAAAGAGUAGUUUGGAUAUCCAUUGCAGGUGUAUUGUUGUUUGUAAUACUGGCAUUAGCACUUGUGCUUUUGAUUCCAAGAUGUAGCAGAAGAAGGUGGGAGGAUAGCAGAAUUUUCAAGCGGCAUCAAGUUGGAGAGAACCCAAGGGACAAUGGAUCCUUGGUCCGACCAACUAAUCAAAAUGAAAAAGGCAAGCAACUAUUUAACUUGAAUCAUGUGCUUCCAUGCAAGAUUUCAAUUCUUUUGAUCGCUGACAUGUUCUAAAAUUUUUCAAACAGUUCCAAAGGAGACCACACAGAAGCCCAAAGAGGACCAUCCAAAGCCACAAAAUAUGCAUAUGAGAAAUGAACCCAAAAUGAACCCAGCACCAAAUAGGGACAAUCACUUAAUGGCCAUUGGCAGAGCAGAUCUAGAUUUCAUGGCUCCUCCUCUUCCUCCACCUCCACCUCCACCUCCACCUCCACCCCCACCACCUCCUCCUCCUCCACCCCCUGUUGAGAAUGUCAUUGUUAAGCCAAUUGUGCCUGCUGAAGUAAGCUCAGGGAAGCCUUCUCGUAAAACUCAGAUCCCUCUCACUUCUGCUAGGUCCUUCAAUAUUGCAUCACUUCAGCAAUACACAAGCAGCUUUUCUCAAGAAAAUCUUAUAGGAGGAGGCAUGCUGGGAAGUGUUUAUAGGGCACAGCUUCCUAAUGGAAAGGUGCGAUCUUUUACCAUGAUUGGUGUUAGUUUUGGCAAUUUAUUUAUGGUGAUUGACGACGAGCCACAAUAUUCUAUCUGGAGAUUUGCUGUAUUAUUAUAUUAAUUUUGUUAGUUUUAUAGCUUUGUUUCUUCUCUCUCAAGUACUUUUUUAACCAGUUUCCUUUCCUUGUGUGCUCCUUUCCACAAUUGUCCAAAACUCUGGUUUUCAACUGUUGACCAUUACUGCAAAUCCUUAAACAGAAUAUAUCAAUGAGCUUUGAAAGGUGAAAACUUAUGGUGGUUCAGUGCAUUUAUCUCAAACCUCUCUAUUAUAUGGUGCCAUGUAUCUGAUCAAGCAAGUCAAUUUUGUUGUAAGAAAAACAUAUAGCAGAGUGUCUGGCUUCUGAUAUUUGAUGUAAUUGGUUGCUGUUUUAGCUUCUUGCUGUCAAGAAACUCGAUAAGAGGACUGCAGAGCAGCAGAAGGACGUGGAGUUUAUUGAAUUGGUUAACAAUAUUGAUCGGAUCCGACAUGCUAAUGUUGUUGAGCUCAUGGGAUACUGUGCAGAGCAUGGUCAGAGGCUUCUGAUCUAUGAGUAUUGCAGUAAUGGCUCUUUGCAAGAUGCACUACACUCAGACGAUGAAUUUAAAAAGAAACUUUCCUGGAAUGCCCGCAUUAAGAUGGCACUUGAAGCUGCUAGAGCCUUAGAGUAAGUGAACUAGCCACUGAGAUGAAACCACUUUUCCAACUCGAAAAAAAAUCUUAACUAGUAAGAAACAUGAAUACAAAGAGUUUGUGUGCAUGUAUGGAGAGAGAUUUGAAUAGCCGACAAAUACAAGCUAUCCGAAGGUAUAUGGGUUAAAAAGAUAUAACUAGGUAUCCAAUAUGCUAGAAAUGGUUUGUAGAUUCAGGUCUAUAAAAUGGUCAAUCAUUCACCAACAUAUUUCAAUGGGGUGAAGGUGGGAGGCACGCUUCUGCACACUGAUUUUGUUGUUUUAUGUGUGAAGGUAUUUGCAUGAGGUCUGUCAGCCACCUGUUAUACACAGAAAUUUUAAGUCUGCCAAUGUUCUUCUUGAUGAUGAUCUUGAUGUUCGUGUCUCGGAUUGUGGUUUGGCUUCAUUAAUAUCAUCAGGGUCUGUAAGUCAGGUAAGUAAUGAUUACAAUCAGGCAGUGAUCCAGUUUGAAAUGUGAACCAUCUUGGGAGUUGACUUUCAGAUGUGUUAGAUUGAGUUACUUGACUGCAAUUUAUUGAUUCUUAAAGAAGGGAAUUUUGUUGAGCUAGUUGACUGAUUUGUUAAACUUCUUUCAGUAUUAGGAAAAAGUAUUUCAAUUGGUGUAGGGAUGUAUAUAGCCUUCUUGUUUCCAUGUCUGCUUACUUCUCUAAAAUUAUUCCCCUCAUUUUCAGUUGUCAGGCCAGCUGCUAACAGCUUAUGGUUAUGGGGCUCCAGAAUUUGAAUCAGGUAUCUAUACCAUCCAGAGUGAUGUUUACAGCUUUGGUGUGGUCAUGCUGGAACUCUUAACUGGCCGGAAGUCUUAUGACAGGUAAAAUUGUAAUGCAUGCUGUGUUUGUUUUCCCAAGGGCAAAAGCAUAUGGUGCUUGUUAUCCCAAGGCAAAUUUUUUACUUAUCUAAUGAUGUCCUCUUUUCAAAUUUUGCCCAGGACACGGACUCGGGGGGAGCAUUUUAUAGUGAGAUGGGCAAUCCCCCAGCUCCAUGACAUUGACACAUUGUCAAAGAUGGUUGAUCCCGCCCUUAAUGGAGAAUACUCUGCUAAAUCUUUAUCAAACUUCGCCGAUAUCAUUUCUCGAUGUGUUCAGGUGAGAAUUAUAUUGCUGGUUUCGUUAUGAUUUCCUCAGACUUGGUACAUUAUUAACAUGUGAAUGCCACCUAGUUGCAGUCCAAGAUUUUGUUUUCUGCCAAAUAUAGGAUGAUUACCUUUGCCUAACCUCAAGGUUACCAUGCAGUCUGAACCAGAAUUCAGGCCACAAAUGUCUGAGGUUGUCCAGGAUCUAACAGACAUGAUAAGGAGAGACCGCCCCAGCAAUGAAUCAAUCGGCGACUGAAUGAAAAAUCGGUACAUAGAACUUAUGAUUCCACUUUGGAAUGUGAAGCUGCAAAGUUGUAAUCUCCCGGAAUGUCAACACUAGAAGAUGCAUCAUCAACUGUAAACAAAUGCUGCAAACUAACACAAUGACUGUUCACAUCCCAGGUCCAUACCUUUGAGAAGUCUUCAAGCUACCUCUGGACAGAAUGUGAAAAAUUCAUUUUUCUUCUGGUCAACAAUUUGUGAUUCCGUUGUUCAUUAAAUUAUGCAAAACAAAGUCUAUUACUGCUGGAAUUUGCUAACCAAUUGUUUUAUAUUAUUAUUCGUUUGUAAUUCUUGACAGUGAAAUUUUGUGGUAAUGUAUCUGUACCGAGUGAAACUUACAUUUAGCUUCAGCCAAAUCUAUAUGACUCUACCUUUCAAAUACUCUUAAUUUUACCUUGUAUGCAUCGUUGUGGUAGCUCAAGAUAAUGCAGCAAUCGAUUCUAUACGUGCUACUUGCCUAAUUUUAUUGACGUAGGGGCGUGACAAGUAGAGCUACGGUCUGCAAGGCUAUCUAUGAGUAUUGCACAGCUCUUCCUGUCUGCAGUCAACGAGAUUUUAUUGCAUUAAAACGCUUUCUAAUUCACCGAAUCUCUGGCCGAAUACCUUUUCUUGCAAGGAAGAACGUUGUAUGCGUAACCAAGCAAACUGGUGAAAGAUGCAUGCAUGCAUUAUAAGCCAGUGAAGCUUCAGUUUCAUGUUUUCGAUGCAUGGCCCAAAAUACAAGAUAGAGUUACAAAAACGUUAUAUAGCCUUCUGUGCAUGUAGGCUAUAGCCCACAGGCACAGGUAAUUGACUCCAGACACACAGCUACUGCCAUUGUGCCAUGAGUUUGGUCUAAGUUAUUUAAACUGUUGAAAAUAAUGAUGCCCCUUCACAUCUUUCCCAGCUCCUUAAAUUAUUUUGUUUUAUGAAAAGAAAAUUAUAAAUGACAUGUUAGAACUCGUCUUAUAAAAUCUUAUAUUAUAUUUUUUUCCCCUUCCAAAUGCUUAGAAGCUCUAUAACCUCGCUGGCGAGCUCAAUUUGAGUCGCUCAUGAACCUAACCAAGCUAAGCCAAACCAAGCUUUAGUGCUCGAAUUAGCUUAGCCACCGUUGAAAGAGUGUAUAAUAAUUCCGAAGAUGAACACGACUGAGUGAUCUGUCAAAGCUACAAAAUGUAAGAAAUUCUUUGGUAGGGGAGCGUUCUGCUCAGAGGGAAACACCGGCACUAGCAAAGAUUGAUGAUAAAGUGAAAGCGAGAAUGCGGGCUUGAAUAACACAAAAUUGGUGAGAAUCCAAUGCACUCACCCUGGCCUGUCAUCAACUUUAACAUCGACAGGAAGUUAACAUCUCAUUAUGCGAAGUGAUCAGGAAAAAAAAAGAAAAGGAAAAGCGUGAACAGCAGGAUUCGAACCUGCGCGGGCAGAGCCCACAUGAUUUCACAUGAUUUCUAGUCAUGCCCGAUAACCACUCCGGCAUGUCCACCUUGUUGCAGGCGUUCGGAUUUAUAUACAAUUUACUUGACCUUUUCUUAAGAAUGAAGCAGACGUACAAGAGCCCAAAAAACAUGUACCUGGAGUGUAUGUGUGAAAAAGGGUGAAGUAGAAAACCAGCAAUGUCUUAGAAUUUAUAAUCUCCCAUCCAAUUGGUGUGGCAAGAAGAUAAGAACAGUUUGGCAAAACAAGAUCUAAGUAGAGAGAUUUUUUUAUCAACUAUAUAUACAUAAACACCAUGUCAUGGUGAUGACAGGAAUCAAUUGAAUCAAAGUUAGAAGACAUGGCCAUGACAAAAAUCGCGCGGAUCUAAUUAUAAUUUUGAUCCUUCUUCGUGGUCCAAUUGAAGAUAGGUAUAUGUUUUCAUGGUUAGAUGGCAUGCUUUAUGGGACUUGAUUUUGAUAUUUGAUUAUUAUAAUUUUCAGGUGUUGGCUAAAAUGGUUAUUGAUUUAAUUUGAUUAUUUUAUGUGUAUUUAUCCUUUGUUAAUAUACGUGUAAAAAAUAUUUAUUUUAUUAAUAUUACUAGGAUGAAACAACUUUACAACUAUUUUAUUCAAGCAAAAAGACAAGUUUUAGAAGAUAUAAAAACCACCUAAGUAAAAAAGAUGGAUAAUUUCUCUAUUAUUAAAAUAUACACAUAACAUCAUUUUUUCUCGCAGAACAUUUAUUAUAUACCUAAAAAAAUAUUUUUAUUCAUGAGAUUUAAUGUUUUUUUAUAUAUUUAUUAUACUCUCUCGCCGUAAAUAUAUUAACUCAAGCAUAAGAAUAUUUAAAUCCAUCAAAAUGUAUUGUUUUGCUGGCACUAAGCUUCCUACUUAUAUUAACAAUAAUUUUAUUCCUAAAUAUAUUAGAAUUUCAAAACAUUUUUGUGUAUUUAUUGCUAACGCGUGCCUGGAGAAUACCUCAACAAAAGGGUGUGACAAGAAGAAUUACUGUCUGCAAGACCUUUAUGAUGCUCAUAAAAAAAAUUAAAUUAAAAAAAUCACUGCUGAUUCAGACAUUUAUACACCAGAGAACCAAGGAAAAGGUGUAGUGUUAGAAUAAUGGUCUGGAAAAUUAAAAAAUGAUCAACCUUGUGAUAUUCCACUAAUUACACCUUCCCCUGCAAUGCACGCCACCAUUUGAAUUAAAAAAGAAGAAGAGGGUAACCUCACCUCUCUGUAAAGGGGUGUUUAUGAAAACGAAUCCUUUGAUUAUGAUGACGACCAUUGGGACAUAGAGAUUCUUACAUACAGUGUGAUAAUUUUUUUUUUAAAAAAAUAUAUUAAGAUAAUUUUUUUUUAUGUUUUUAUAUAUUAAUACAUCAAAAUAAUUUUAAAAUACUAAAAAAUAUGUAAUUUAAAGCAUUUUUUUUUCAAAACUUAAUAAAAAAUUGAUUCAACCGCAGUUUCAAACGAUACCAUAAUAUUAAAUUAUGAGGUUAACCACAAUGUUUUUUUUUUUUAUUGGUCUUGACCUGACCAUAUUUAUACCAUGGGAAUCAUAGCUCUAAGAAGUGUUGGAUUAAUAUCUUAUUUAAUUUAAUUAAAAAUAUAAUCUUGAUUAGGUUUUUAAUUUUUAAUUUUUUGAAUUAAUCAAUAUAAUAAAACCGAGUUUAAUAACUAUAGCAUAGAAUGAGUUACUUGCACACAUUUUUAUUCAUGGGAACUUCUAUUUUUGCUAAUAUAACGUAGGGAAAAACAGAAGAAACUAUAGGGUGGCCCGCAUGGCUAAUUGUUUAAUAAAUAAGCUUGAACUGACUGCAAAACUAAAUUGAUUGUGACAUCUUGAUGCAGAUCAUGCAUACCUUUCAAUUUUUUUAAAAAAAAUUCCUUUCAAAGGCCAUUUUCUCAGGGAAGAAGACUCCUUUCCUGUAUUUGUCUACAAGUCACACAGAGAAGGUUUUGGUUGAUAAUAAAUAAUUAUAAUAAUAAGGUGAAAUAAUCUCUUAUUAAUUAAGACUUGAGAAUCCAUGACAGGAAGAGAAAGGUCAGGUUUUCCUAAUUAAUUAAGGAAAUUGAUACGUAUCAUUCAAACAAGAAGGUUCAAAUUAUCCUCUCAUGGAUAUUGUUUACUUGGAAGCAAAAAAUAUUCGUGUCAAUAAAAUGUUUUUCGAUGAAAAACAAAUUAUUCUAAUUAAAACUUCAUCUCCACUGAUGUAUUAACUCAUAUGUUAUAAAAUAUAUAUUUCAAUAAUGAGGUGUGUAGCUCAGCUGGUAAUGCUCUAAAUUUGCUCCUUAAAGAUCACCAGUUCGAGUUUUACAAAUUUUAGGAUCACUGGAGACUUACAUGGUCGUUAACUUCAGGAUCCGUGGAAUUAGUCUACGUGCACGCAAACUGGCCGGACACCCACGUAAAUCAAUAUAUAUAUAUAUAUAUAUAUUUUUUUUUUCUUGUAUAUUAUAUAUGAAUAUUGAUCUUUCAUGAAAAAACCCUUCAAUCAUUAAAGAUUUUUAAGUUUUUGUUUCAAUUAAGAAAUCUCGUAAUUUUCUAGCAAAAGUUGUGUUACGGGUCGGAUUAAUUUUUUUUUACGUAACAAAAAUGUCUUAAUUAUUAAAAAUUAUUUGACAUUGUUAUUAAACACAGGUUAAUGAGUUUAAUAUUUAUCUUACACAAAUAAAAUCUUAUAACUUCUUUUUGUCGACAUUAUUAAGGUUCUAAUAAAAAAUUACAUUGCAAAUACAUAAUUCAUCUUAAAUUCAUUAUUUUUUUCUUAAAAAAUAUAAUAAUUCGUCGUUGUUCUUUCAAAACAUGAAAUAACCUUUUCUGUAGUACCAAGGCCAUUUUUUCACAUAUAAACUAAAAUAUUUGCUUAAUUUAAUUAUCAAUUAAUCCUUGAAUAAUCUGUCUAACAUUUUUUUUAAUUUAAUGAUAAGAAUAUUUUCAAGCUAAUUUACAUGCUAAUCUUUUAUAUUCAUAUAAUUUUUUAAAAAUUUAUCUAAAUAUUUGUUCAAAAUUUGACUAAUACCUGUCCUUAUGACAAGUGUUAUUAUAAAAAAACAAUUCGAAAAUAAUAAUAAAACUUGGAAGGAAAAAAAAACCAAAUCCAGAGUCAAACCGAGUUGACACCGAGUCAAGCACACAUAUAUAAACCUCAGCACCCUCUCCCUUUCCCCCCCCCCCCCCCCUCUCUCUACGUUAAUAUCCAUUUUUUUGUCUCGUUUUCACCGCUUUAAAACCCUUAAUUCCUCCGUUUCUCUCCAUAAAAUCCAAUCCCUAGUCAAUUAAUCCUCCUGCAUUUCUCUCAUUUUUCUGGAUCUAGAUUUUGUUAAGAUCUGGUGAUUUUUCACUAGAAAAUGAGUCGGUACGAUUCGAAUCCUUUCGAUGAAGAAGAGGUCAAUCCUUUCGCGGUAUGUGGAAGUUAUACGUUUCGUAUUUAUUAGAUCUGUGUAUGAUUUGCGCAUGUACAUUGUUCGCGUUUUUCGUUUCUGAUUUUUAGAUUCUUUUGUGAUGUUGAUUGUGUUGUUUGGUUGCUGAGAAAACGCGGAGGAUUUUUGAGAGAGAAAUUUUACAUGUUUGGAUCUUAUUUAGACUAGAAAGUUUUUGUUUCUUAAUAAAUAUUUGCUUAAUCAAGUAGAGUUUGAUUAUUUGCACUUAGUAUAGCAAUAUUAAUUAUAUAGAUUACUAUUAAUUUUGAGUUUAGAUGAAGAAAUGAAGCUUAUAUUUUCUCUUUGUUUGUUUAUUUGUUUGGUGAUGGAAGGAUCAAGGAGGAAAGGGGAAAGGAUCAGGGCAAUCAAAUUAUGGCGGAGGCGCGUUUUAUAUGCCUGUAAGUUUUUGUUUUCUCCUAAUUUUUCAGCUUUACAGAAUGUAGUGUUUGUUUUGUGAAAGAAGAAAAAACUUAUUUCUUUUGAUUUAGGAGUUUGUAAUUGGUUAACAUAAACCUUGUCCUUUAUAUGAGUUUGGUGCUACCUUGAAGGUUUGAUAGCGAAGUCAAGUCCAAUGUAGGUGUAAUUUGACCGUAGAUUAUAAUUUUCAGUUGGUCAAAGGAUAGUUUCUAGCGUUGUUGAAGUAAAACAAGUUUCCCUUUUUUGAAAUUUGUGAUUUUUUUUUAGUAUUUUGUUUGUAAAUUGGAUUUGAGUUUAAGUUCAUUAUUGCACCUCAAACAUGAAUCUAAGUUAGGGACCUGGAAUUUAAUCACAAUGAUAUGCUCAAUAGGAAUGGAAUCCGAGAGUGAAGUUAAAACCUAUAAGUGACAUACAAGCACAAGGUGAACAGGAUCACAAGCUAAUGUGCUUAAUGUUUCUCUUAAAGCAAUUUUUGUUUGCCAGUUUCUUGUGUAGCCACUGUGCUUUAUGGAUCUUCUACUUAUUGCUGAGUGCCAGUCCCAUGGUUGGUUUUAGUUGUUCUUGCAUAUAUAUGGAUUUCAUGAGCUGGUGGUGCGAUUCUGUUUUGGUGUCAAUUUUUCUGUAUUGGUGCUGUUGCUAACUUCUUCUCUUGUGUUUUUCUUUUGUUGUAUUCUUGCGAAAUUUAUAGAAUCCUGGAAGUGUCCCCCCUGCAACUUCAAGGCUUUCACCCCUUCCUCAUGAACCCUAUGAUCGUGGUGCAACCAUAGAUAUUCCUCUUGAUUCUGGAAAAGUACUAUAAUGAUUCAAGAUUUUUGGUCGCACAGUUACAUUAUUUGAAUGUUGCUUUCAUAUUUUUCGUUUUCGUUCUUCUGUCUCUAGGAUAUAAAAGCCAAGGAGAAGGAACUCCAAGCUAAAGAGGCUGAAUUGAAGAGGAGGGAACAGGUGAGUGUUCUGAUAUAGUAGCUUAUGCUCAUAUAUUUAUGUGCGUGUGUGUUUAUAAAAGUAAUUUGAAAUCCACUUUCCUUUUGUUUUCCAGGAACUAAAACGGAAGGAAGAUGCGAUAGCACGGGGUAUGUUAUCAUAUUGAUUUUCUUUUUUUUGUAGUCAACGAGGCUGUGCAUGGUUAUAUUUAAUAUAAGAUAAUGUUCUCUGCUUUGUUUUGACAGCUGGAAUUGUAAUAGAGGAUAAGAACUGGCCACCAUUUUUUCCGAUUAUCCAUCAUGACAUUGGAAAUGAAAUACCAAUCCACCUGCAGAAGAUGCAGUAUGUUGCAUUUACAACAUUGUUGGGUAUGUUUUGUAUUCUACUUCUUGGAAAUUCUUUUCGAUGGCCGCUUAUCAUUUCCAAUUGUUUGGUUCCCAUUGUCCCAUUGUCCAUUAUAGUCAAUUUUGCUAGGCUGGUCCUCAAGGUUCAGUCCUGUCAGCAAGGAGAAUCUGGAGACAAGAUUGUCAAACUGGACAAUGUAUCUUAAACUGUCAGCAUAUCAUUUUUAAUGGAUUUAGGUCAUUCCUGUGAUCGAUCAUGUAGCUUAAAUGGUCAUAAAAUAGUUUUGUUUAGUUGGGUAAAUGGUGGACCAGUUUGAGAAAUGUUUCCAGACAAACAUUUAACAGCUGUAGAGUAACCUGAUGUUAUGAAAUUGCAGGUUUAUUUGUCUGUCUUUCUUGGAAUAUUAUAGCUGUUACCACAGCCUGGAUCAAAGGAGAAGGUUGGUGCAUAUCCACUGAACAUAUUUGAUUAUAUGGCUAUCUCACCAGUUUGUCUAAAAUCAUUUUCUUUUCUAGGUCCAACGAUAUGGUUUCUUGCCAUCAUCUACUUCAUAGCAGGGGUCCCUGGAGGCUAUGUUAUGUGGUAUCGCCCCCUUUAUCGUGCGAUGAGGUAUUAUUCUGUCAUUCAUGGCUGAAUCUCAUUUUGUUUUUCAUGACAUGAAAGGUGGGGCCUGUGAAAUUUCUCCUUUGACUAUUCCGUACUUGCAUAGCAGUGUUUCCUAUUCACGCCCUUUGUUUCUAAAGCUUUUCAGGAUCCCAUAAAUAUCUAAAUAUGAUUAUAUGAGCUUGAUUCUGUUUGCAUCAUUCACAGAUGACCUUAUGGAUGGUGUGAAGACUUGAUUUUUCAUAUUUAAUAAUAAUGUGGUCAAUCUAGACAUGGUUGGUGAAUUUUUAUAUGCCAACGUGUGAUUUGAAUUGGAUAUUUGUUGAUCUGAAGCAUCAUCUUAUAAAAGAAUAUAUACUUCCUGCAAUUGUGGAAAGAAUCUGGCGUACUCUGGUGAGGAGCUGAACUUGCAAGGAGGUCCAAACAAAAAGAGGGUGGGAGGGAGGUGGAUGGAGCUGAAAAUGCAGUAACAAUAAUAAUAAUUUUUUUUUGCAAUGCUCUGCAUUGGAGAGGUCAUGUUUAGUUAUUUUUUAUUAGUUUGCCUGCUAGCAUUGGAGAGAAUUAUCCUUAAUAUUCUUGAAAGCUUAAUGAAAUCACUAAAGAAACUGUAACUCAGAAAAUUCAUUAGAGAAAUGAGAUCAAUCAGUGUUUGCAUAAAAACUCAGAUAUUUUCCUAUCCUUGGCUUUUUUGAGUCUUUGCUUUCAUGCUGUAUAUCAUUUGAUUAGCAUAAAUAGUUCUGCUAACUGAUAAAAGAGAUUGCUAUAUGUUUUGAACUUUGCCCAUGGUAUAUGAUGGAUGAAUGUGUUCAGAAUAGAUAGAUCUUUUUUUCUGGAUUAUGUUCCAUUAAAAUACUGGUAAUUCUUGAGCAUUAUAACUUAGCAAUAAUAGCCUAAUGAAAAAUAUGGGAUGGGUUCUGAAGUACUUAAAUUAUGCUUUCAAGUAAUAAGAAGAAUGUAAUGGUUUAGUUAUACUCUCUCUUUGUUCAUUUUUUCCAUUACGUGCAUUAUGCUAUCAUAACUUCUAUUCAACUCUGUGCCAACUCCUUUUGCAGGACAGAUAGUGCUCUGAAGUUUGGAUGGUUUUUCUUUGCUUACCUGGUAAUCUCAUUUAUGUAUUCCUUUCCUUCUUGAAGAUCCUCUAGAAAAUCCCUUAUUUGUUGUUCUUGUGUUUUCCAUGCAGUUUCACAUUGGCUUUUGCAUCUUUGCUGCUGUUGCUCCCCCAAUUGUUUUCAAGGGGAAAUCUCUUGCGUAAGUUUUUCUUUUAGAUGUUGCAUUGAAGAUAGUUAUUUUGCUAGAAAAUUAAAUAUGACGUGGCUUUGUUUGGAAAGUGAAACAACUAUUCUGGGAAAACGAGGAUUGUCCCACUCAUCUGAAACUCAUAUUAUUAUGUUUUGUUGGAGUUUUUUUCUAAAAUGUUUGAGAUUGAUAGGGUUGAAAAUAUAUUGAUUGUAUUUACCUUUAAUUUCUCUACUCUGCUAAUGUUUGUGUGAUCUUUUGUGGACAGAGGUAUUUUGCCUGCUAUUGAUCUUAUGGGCAACCACGCUUUAGUUGGGGUAAGCUUUCUACUUUUUAGUUAACAGUUCGAUCCUUGAUAAUAUUAGUGGACCUCCACUGCUAUUAUGGAAGUACUUUCAUGCUGCAUAUGAUAUGUUACAGUUCAUUUUUAGAGCGAGAGUUUCGAUGAAGUAUGGCUUUGUAAAAUUAUUUGAGUUGGCUUGAGAAUAAUGGGAGAAAUGCAUCUGUAUAUUUGAUUGUGUACAGUUUUGAUGCAGAUGCCCAAGCAAGUCUGACUCUAGUACAAUUUUGUUUGCAGAUAUUCUACUUCAUUGGAUUUGGAUUCUUCUGUGUGGAAUCCCUCCUCAGUAUCUGGGUCAUUCAGGUUGAAUAAAUCCUUGGACAACUUGUGCACGCAUCCCUGCUUACUGUUUCAUUAUGGUUUUGCUAAAGGUUCUUUGUUUGUUUGUUGUCCUGAAUUGCAGCAAGUCUACAUGUAUUUCCGAGGCAGUGGGAAAGCAGCAGAGAUGAAGCGAGAGGCUGCAACAAGGACCAUGAUGGCUGCCCUAUGACAUUGCUCCCACUGGACAAAAAUGCUCUUCUUGGAUGGUACCGAAAGACCUACUUCCAUACUAAACGCGUCUUGCUUCAUUGUUAACCUUGUCGAUGUGUUCAUCUUUAUACACAAUUCUCAAACCAAAGAACUUGUCAGAUUAGAAAAAUUGAAUAGGAUUCAUUUUUAGAGCUUUGUGUUCAGCUGAGGCAUCAGCUUCAUGAGACUGAGAUUGAUACUUUGUUUCUCACUUUGUAUUUCUAUAGAAUGAUUGUGUCAUUGUAUGUUAAUUCAUUUUUACACUUCUAGUGCUUGUAAAGAGAGGCGGUUGCCGAGACUACAGCAGAUGGCUUCAGGCUUGAAUGGUUCCCUCAAACAAGAAGUGCUUGAUCCAUGAGAUGAUGAUAUGUGUUAUCGCACUGGUCUGGUAAACCUCAGCUAGUUGAUUCAUGUUAAUUUUGGCCUGUUUUGUUCUUGACCUGCCAUGGACAUAACGUUGUGGCUCGCAAGGAGUCAAGUCUUGCAGUUUGCUGGUGUUGAUGGAUUUCUUGUGUGAAUGCUUCUGAUAAUUUUCGCAGCUCCACAAUGUUCCAUUUUCCAUCAGAUGACUUCAGUCGUUACAUCACUAGCACACGGGACGGCAUGGACUACGCAGAAAAAAGAAAACCCAUCUUCAAGUUGCGGUCAAAUAAAAAUUUGGUUGCAGAAUGGCAUUAAUCCGAACAUGAUAAUAUUUUAAUAAUAUAUUAGUCUCUGAUUCUAGGGUUUCCUGGAAGUUAAAACCCCCCAAAAGUUCUCACUUCAAAACCUUUUCCUAUAUAUAUUUUUUUCCCUCUUGAUUCUUACAACCAGUCAAAAAAAAAAAAAAAAACCAUUCAAAAGAAUUUUACCUGUUGGAAGUAGAAAGAAGCCAAACUCGGCCCUUGUUAACAUUUACACCAUAAACUAAAAAAUUUAGCUAAUUGUAAACUCUUCAGUACACUGUUCAUAGCUAAUAUUUUCCAUCACAUUGUCCCUCAGAUUUUUACUUUUUAUUUUAUAGAUUAGUUAUUUAACUUAAUUUCUUUUUAAUUUUAUUCUUCUGUAUUAUAUUUCCAUGAUCUUUUGUGUUAAUAUCCUUUUCUAUUUAUAUUAUUCUUUGGCAUGCCUGGUUUGCUAUAGAGUAUUUUAACAUUAAACUGAAGAUUUAUUUCACAAAAUACACUUCAAACUUAUUAUAUAAAAAAAUAAAAGAAUAAGAAUCAAAAUUAACACGAAUAGAAAAAGAUAUGUUUUUUCAAAACACAUGGAAAAAUUAAAUUUCAUUCCUGAAGUUUUGAAUUAUACAUAUUUGGUCCCUUUUAUUUUUUAUUUUUAUAUUUCAAUUCAAAACUUUAUUUUGAUCGCAUUUCAUUCCUUGAAUGUAAAGAAAAGAAAGAGAAAGAUAUGUUGAAAAAUGACAAGGGGAGAAAGAGUGAUCAUAAAAAUAACCAAACUUUGUGUUAAUAAGUUUGUCUUGGAUAAAAAAAUUUAAUGAAGGUGAUUUUGCUUUUAAACAUACUUUAGGCUUCAAAAUGUGUAUUGAGGUUUUUAUGAUGAUUUAGAUAAAAAUAAAUUGAAAAAUAGAUUUUAAAGGUUUCAAUAUUCAAAUUAUGAUUUUCUGAUUACGUCCAAAAACAUAAAUGAAUAACAAGUCAUUUAUCAAGUCAUGCGACUUGUCAUCCAUUAAAGUUAAAAUAUAAACAAUAAAGUGGACUGUGUGCGCGUUAUAUAAUCUUUAAAAAGAUAAAAAAAACAAGUGGAGCACGUCUCCUUCCCAAGACCAACAACUCAUGAUCUUAUUUUUUUAAUUUUUUAAUUAAUACCCUUUAUUUUUUAAAAAAAUUGUCUUGUUUAAUUAUUUUUUUAAAAUAUUAUUGAUCUUUUGGAUUUUUUUAAUUUCAUAAUACUUUAAAUAAGUUAUUUUAAUUUAUCUUUAAACUUUUUUUAUCUUAAAUUUUAGACAAAUAAGUUAUAUUUGCAUGAUUUAUUUAUAAGAAUAAAAAUCAUAUGUAUGUGGAUUUGACCUUAAAUAAAAAUAAAAAAAUGUAUAAAAUAAAAAUAAUAGUCAAAAUAAAAUAUUUAUAAGUGCAUCUAUUUUUUUUAUAAAAAAAAUCAACUUCCCACUUAGAUCUUUACCGGUCUUAACAAUUUUUAUUUGAUUUAUUAUUUUUUAUAUUAUUCAAUCUAUUUUAUUAAAUAAAAAAUUAUUUUUAACUAAAAAAAUUAUAAUAUCAAAAAAUAUAUUUAUAAUAUUGUCAAUUUUUUUAUAUUAAAAAUUAACUUGAAAUAGUGGUUCGGUAACACCAAUUGAAAAUACUGACUAACUUUCUCACUAUUUUACCCUUCAGAUUCAUUGCUAUUCCCCUUCUGUCGUUUGCUUCCAGCCUGAGCCCACUUUCUACGGCCAAAUAUCAAGCAACUUGCAAGAACACUGUACAGUGUACACCCAUUUCAUUUCCUAACCAAAUUUCUUGAACCCCAAAAACCCUAACUCAAGAAAAAAAAUGCUUCACAGUGGCAGUUACAGUUACAGUCAGAGUCACAAUCAAACUUCAAGAGAAUUAGGGCAUCAAAAUCUCCUCCAACUGAACAUUUACUCUCCAAGUAAGCUCCUUUCUCUUCAUUCUCCUAGGGUUUUUAUAGGGUUUAAUAACAACCAUCUUAAAAAUCGUAACUUUUCAAGAAGAAAGCACUGCCCUUUACCCAACAAUGCUUUACUUGGUGAUAAAAGAGUUUUAUAUUCACAAACCCAGAAACAAAGUAGUAAAGAAAGUAAGGUUUUUUUAGGGUUUAAGCUUCAGUGUCACUCGAAGACUCUAACUUUACCGACUAAGGGUUUUUCAGUAAAUGGUAAAAAGAAGAAGUAUGGUGGUGUUUUGCCAUCAAUUUUAAGGUCUUUAGAGUCUAAUACUGAUGUUGAGAAAACCCUUUAUUCCUUUUGUGAGAAUUUGAGUCCUAAAGAACAGACUGUGGUUCUUAAAGAACAGAGGAAUUGGGAGAGAGUUGUUAGGGUUUUCGAGUUUUUUAAGUCGCAGAAGGAUUAUGUUCCCAAUGUGAUUCAUUAUAAUAUUGUGCUUCGAGUGUUGGGUAGAGCUAAGAGAUGGGAUGAAUUGCGGCUUUGUUGGAUGGAUAUGGCGAAAAAUGGGGUUUUGCCGACGAAUAAUACUUAUGGAAUGCUUGUUGAUGUGUAUGCCAAAGCGGGUCUUGUUGAAGCUCUUUUGUGGAUUAAACAUAUGAGACUUAGAGGGUUAUUUCCAGAUGAGGUUACAAUGAAUACUGUUGUCAAGGUUUUGAAGGAUGUGGGGGAGUUUGACAAGGCAGAGAGGUUCUAUAAGGAUUGGUGUGCUGGAAGGGUUGAGUUGGAUGGUCUUGAAUUGGAUUCUAUGCUUGAUUCUGAAAAUGGGUCUCGAUCUGAACCAGUUAGUUUUAAGCAUUUUUUGUUGACUGAGCUUUUCAAAACAGGAGGGAGAGUAAAGAUUGGGGGUUCAUCAGAUGAAGAAACACUGGUUAGGAAGCCAUGUCUAACAUCCACAUAUAAUACGUUGAUUGAUUUGUAUGGGAAGGCAGGACGUCUCAAGGAUGCAGCUGAAGUCUUUUCAGAAAUGUUGAAAUCUGGGGUGGCAAUGGAUACUAUCACUUUCAAUACCAUGAUCUUUACUUGUGGAAGUCAUGGACUUUUGUCAGAAGCAGAGUCUUUGCUUGAUAAGAUGGAAGAAAGACGGAUAUCUCCUGAUACGAGAACUUAUAAUAUAUUUUUAUCUCUAUAUGCUGAUGCAGGAAAUAUUAAUGCAGCCCUUGAGUGUUAUUGGAAGAUUAGAAAUGUGGGUCUUGUUCCUGAUAUUGUAUCUCAUCGAACUAUACUUCAUAUAUUAUGUGGAAGGAAUAUGGUAAGAGAAGUGGAGGCUGUUAUUGAAGAAAUGAAGAAGUCUUCUCAGAAAAUUGAUGUGCAUUCUGUGCCUGGUAUCAUUAAAAUGUAUAUUAAUGAAGGUUUGCAUGAUAGAGCAAAUAACCUUUUAGACAAGUGCCAGUUUGAUGUUGGAUUCUCAUCAAAGGUUCGUGCAGCAAUCAUCGAUGCUUAUGCUGAAAGGGGGCUUUGGGCUGAAGCAGAGGCUGUCUUUUAUGGAAAAAGGGAUUUGUUGGGACCGGAGAAGGGUGUUUUGGAAUAUAAUGUCAUGGUCAAAGCUUAUGGUAAGGCAAAGCUUUAUGAUAAAGCCUUUUCUCUCUUUAAGGGCAUGAGAAAUCAUGGGACUUGGCCUGAUGAGGUCACAUAUAAUUCUCUUAUCCAAAUGUUCUCUGGUGGUGAUUUAAUGGAUCAAGCUAGGGACCUCUUAGAUGAAAUGCAAGAAGCAGGGUUUAAACCGCAAUGUCUAACCUUCUCUGCUGUCAUGGCAUGCUAUGCCCGUCUGGGCCAGCUUUCUGAUGCAGUUGAUGUUUACCAAGAAAUGGUAAAGGCAGGAGUAAAACCUAAUGAAGUUGUUUAUGGGUCUUUAAUCAAUGGAUUUGCGGAAGUUGGAAAUGUUGAAGAAGCUCUGAAAUAUUUUCGCAUGAUGGAAGAAAGCGGGAUUCCUGCAAAUCAGAUAGUGCUGACUUCCCUGAUCAAGGUUUAUAGUAAGCUGGGAUGCUUUGACGGAGCAAAACAUUUGUAUAAGAAGAUGAAGGAUUUGGAGGGUGGUCCUGAUAUUAUUGCAUCAAAUAGUAUGAUCAGUCUUUAUGCAGACCUUGGAAUGGUAUCUGAAGCUGAAUUGGUUUUCAAAAAUUUGAGAGAAAAUGGUCAGGCUGAUGGGGUUUCCUUUGCGACCAUGAUGUAUCUGUAUAAGAGCAUGGGCAUGCUUGAUGAAGCCAUUGAUAUUGCAGAGGAGAUGAAGCAGUCAGGUUUACUGAGGGACUGUGUGUCAUAUAAUAAGGUAAUGGCAUGCUAUGCCACCAAUGGUCAGCUACGUGAGUGUGCUGAAUUGUUGCAUGAGAUGAUUGGCCAGAAACUGUUGCCUGAUGGUGGAACCUUUAAAAUUUUAUUCACUGUCUUGAAAAAAGGGGGCUUUCCAUCUGAAGGCAUAGCACAGCUAGAAUCAGCUUAUCUGGAAGGAAAACCUUAUGCUAGACAAGCUGUCAUCACCUCCAUUUUCUCUGUAGUGGGUCUGCAUGCUUUAGCGCUCGAGUCAUGUGAGUCUUUCACAAAAGCAGAAGUAGCUCUCGAUUCCUUUGCCUACAAUGUUGCAAUAUAUGCUUAUGGGUCAUCAGGGGAGAUUGAUAAAGCUUUGAAAACAUUCAUGAAAAUGCAGGAUGAAGGCCUUGAACCAGACCUUGUUACUUCUAUUAAUCUGGUUCAUUGUUAUGGGAAAGCUGGUAUGGUUGAAGGUGUGAAGAGGAUUUAUAGCCAAUUAAAGUAUGGAGAGAUCAAGCCUAAUGAUUCUCUAGUCAAGGCUGUCGUGGAUGCUUAUAAAAAUGCCAACAGGCAUGAUCUUGCCGAAUUGGUUAACCAAGACAUAAGAUUUGGUUUUGAUUCUCAACAAUAUUCUGAUUCUGAAAUUGAAGCCGGGUCUGAUGAAAGUUCUCUGGGCUUUUAGAAUCCAGUAAUUUUGUAUUUUUACCAAUUAUGCACACUGUACAGAGGCAAAGUUCAUUUGAGCAUCGAAGAAUUGUAUGUAUGGAUAGUACAAUAGUCAAAGGAUAGUCCUGUCUUGAUGUAGAGUCUGGUUUUGCUGUAAGAUUAUUUUGACUGUAAACCAGUGCUGCUCCCUUCUUAAUAUUUGAUGUCAAUACCAAAUUUUGCCUGUUCUCUUCUUUUUACACAGUUGCGGUGUGUGGUUCUUUCAUACACAUUGAUUCCUCAGAGUUGAUGCAUCGUAUUGCAUUUGUAGCUGACUAGCUGUAUGACAUGUUAUAACUUUCUGAACCUAAAAUGGUUAUUUUCAUUGAUAAACAGAAAUGAUGUCCUUCAUUUGUCCAGGCUCUUUGUGGUGUUUCUUGUUACUUUGAUCCUGUAAACCAGUGCAUUUCUUACAGUUAACUGGGCUCAUGCUAGAGCCUCGAAGUUGAAAUGAAGUAGGGUUAAGGUACAUGCACUUACAUUCCCCAUGCACAGUUUCUGUGCUCCUUUUAUUUCGUCAGAAAAUAUAAGAAUUGAGUUUUCAAAGACAACAAGUUAUUUGAAUACUGCAAUAGUUUUGAAUAACCAUCACCUGGUCACUGGAUGCCAGCUUAUGAACAUUCGGCAAAGCUUAUGAAACAACAUUCAGCAAGCAAAGUUUCAUCAAUAGAGUUCUUGGAAUAGAAUGUGAAACAGCAUGUUGUUCAUGAACAACUAACUAUGGAUGAAAGGAAAAAAGUUUCAGUCCUUUUGCAAUUUAACAUCUUCUCUCUACAUUUCAAAGCAUUUUGUAGUUUUAAAUCAGAUUAUAAAAUUAAUUGGAGGUUGAAAGAUCUAUUCAAUUAAGUGCAAAGACCGCACACCUUUUUUAUUCAAUUGUAUUUCUCGGAGAUAAAAAAAAAAAUGAAGAAAUUUACAGGACUUAGUUGUCAUAAUGGCUCCCAGGAAUUAAACAUGGAAAAUAACUUGGUGUCAUUUGUUUAAUUCCUGAUGGUGAUUGUAUUACAAAAAGGGCAUGACAGCAGAGGAAGUUUUCGUUUAGGUCGAGAAGUUCCCAUGAACAAAAUUUUGGUGUCUUCUCAUCUCAUUGCAGGAGAUUCUGUGCUGACAACUAUCCGAGUACUCAUUUUAACCAAGACAUUGACAGGAAAUCUUCUAGUAUGCCAAAUGCCUGGAAGCGUUCCAAUUCGGUGGUCAAGGACAGCUAUUGCAGAAAAAUCAGUGUCCGUAGUCUGCAUCUGGUUUCAUCGCUCUUGAUUUUUGGACCUGCAUGUCUUCUGUGAUUCUGGAUAUCUUGAGAAGUUCAAGCUUUUCUUCAGCCUUCAAAAUUGCUAAGAUGAUAUACAUAUAAGAUUCUUUUCACCUGAGACUGUUAUCUAGAUAUUAACAAAUAUUACAAUUUAAGUCUCGAUCCAACUUGUGCCUGGCAUUUUGCCAACACCUCUCUUCGUCAUUAAAUUCCGAAUUUUAACAGCAUCAUCCCAUCGGCCAACUGCUCUAUAGACAUUAGCUAAAUAUACAUAGCUGAGGUGGUGGUCAGGUUUCAAUUCCACUGCUUUCUUUGCAAUGCGCUCUGCAGUAGCAGAGUGUGGACUGGCUGCACAAGCACCAAGAAGAACUGUCCAAAGAGAUGGCUCAUCUCUGCAAUUUGCGUUCUCUAUCAAAUUUUCUGCUUCUUCUAGAAAACCAGCACGGCCUAGAAGAUCAAUCAUGCAAUUGUAAUGCUCAAUUCCUGGUUUAAUUUCAUAUACCUCAGUCAUUGCGGCAAAAUAUUUCUUCCCUUGGUCAACCAAACCAGCAUGACUACAAGCAAAAAGAACCCCAACAAAACUAAUAUAAUCAGGCCUAAUCCCCUCUUCAAUCAUCUCAUCAAAUAAUUGAAAAACUUCUCCACCUCUUCCAUUCUGGGCAAAGCCAUAAAUCAUCGAGUUCCAAGUUAUCAAAUUUCUAACUGACAUCCGCGCAAAAAUUCUGUAUGCAAAAUCAAUACAACCACAUUUUGCAUAAAGAUCAACUAAUGCUGAUUCUGUGACCACAUCUCGCCAACAACACCUUUUCACAUACUGGCAGUGAACCUCUUUCCCUUGUCUUACAGCUGCCAAACCUGCACAAGCACGAAGAACAGUUCCAAAACUAUAGGUAUCAACCUUUUUCCCUUCUCUAAAAAUCCUAAUAACAGAUUCAAAGUCACCAUUUUGACAAUAUCCCCCUAACAAUGCAGUCCAAGAAACCAAAUUCUUUACACUCAUUCUAUCAAAAACACAUUGAGAUUGGUUAACCAACCUACAUUUCCCAUACAUAUCAACAAGGCUGCUCUCAACAAAAACAUUUCCACUCAAUCCUGAUGUAAUCACCUUAGCAUGCACUUCUUUACCUUGCUUCAACCUCCCUAAAUUACCACAAGCAGUCAAAACCGUCCCAAACGUAAACCCAUCAGGCGACAACCCAUGUUUCCUACACAUCGAAUAAAAGAAUCCCAAAGCUUUAUCAUACACAUCGUUCCUCGUAAAAGCUGAAAUGAUCGAGGUCCAACAAAUAGCAUCUGGUUGAGGCAAUUCAACAAACACCAGGAUCGCAUCAUCCACCGCAGAAUUCCUUCCAUACAUAUCAAUCAAAGCAGUAGAAAUAACAUCAUUCAAAUCAAACCCACGAACCAUAACAACCCCAUGAAAGCAUUUACCAAGCCUUAAGUCCCCAAGUCCCGAACACGCCUUUAUCACAGCAGAUAAAGUGAACCCAUUUGGCUCAAUACCAAGACCCAACAUUUCCAAAAACAAUUCAAGAGACUUCUUUGGUUUUUCUACCUUAACAUAACCAGUUAUCAUUGAAGUCCAAGAAAUCAAAUCUUUAUAAAACAACCCAUCAAAAACCCUUCUUGCCUCAAAAAGAUUAGGGCCCAGCUUGAAAUAAAGUGCAAGCAAGCUAUUCCCCACAAACCUAUCAGUAUCAAGACCAGAUUUUAUAGCAUGAGAAUGGAAUUGGAUACCGUGAGUAAAGGAGACAGCUUUAGUACAAGUUUGCAAGAGAGAAGCAUAAAAGAAUGGUUUGUUGGAGAGUCUUGUCCAGUCUAUGGAGUUUAGGACGUGAAUUGCUUCAAAAAGCGAACCGGAUUUGCAGUACUGGAUGAUUUUGUAUGCUUUGGAUUGUGGGUUUUCUAAAGUUUUGAGAUUUAGAGAAGCAAGCGUGCUGUAAUGGCGUUGGCUAGAGAGAAGAAGCUUCAUAACUGAUUUUUGAACAUUUCUGGCGGUUCGGUGAUGUGUUGGUUCAUGACAUGGGCUCUGAGGUGGAAGGACUGAUGCUACUGUAGUCUUUUGAGUUUUGGCUCAUUUGAUAAAUAGAUUUUGUUUUUUCAAAUAUGUUUUCGGAUUUCUACAUAAAAAAAUGCUAUAAGGUAGAUUGCUCAUAUGAAUAAAUCAGUUCAAAAUGAUUUUAUUUGUGUUUAAGAUUAUGAUAAAUAUUGUUUUUUAAAGUGUUUUUAACUUGAAAAUACAUUAAAAUUAUAUUUUUAUUUUAUUUUUGAUAUCAAUAUAUCAAAAUAAUUAAACAACAUUAAAAAAAUAUUAAUUUAAAAUUUUUAUAAAAAGAAUUUUAAAAAAUUCAAAAAAAUACUUCAAUCAGAUUUUUAUAGAUAUUUGAUAAUUCUUUCAACUCAUAUUAGUGUCUGUUUGGUAAUAUUAAAAAAAGUGUAAGUAAAUAUAAUUAGAUGAAAUUAUAUCUAUUAAUUUUAUUAAAAUAAUUUUGUUUUUGUUUUGUUAAAAUGGUGGGGUUAACCUACCGUCAACUAAAUGUUACCAAAUCAAUAUUGUUUAAAAUUCAGCUUAAAACCUAGCCUGUGUCAAGCUCCAAGCCGUGAUUUUCUCAUUUCAAGCCAAGCCGAGAUGUGUUUAAUAAGUAGGCUCUAACCACAGCUACAAAUACGAGAUAUAUAUAUAUAUAUAUAAUUCUCAUCUUUUAAUAAACUAGCUAGGGUUUAUAAAAAACUAAUUAAAUGAAAAUAAGUCAAUCAUGUUAAUGAAUACUCCAAAAUAUUCUUCAGUAUAGAAAAGAAUAAUAAAAUUUAUAUAGACUAACAUUUAUCCAUGUUAUUAAAGAGUACUUAGCUAAACAGUAAUUAUUAUAAAUUUAAAAAUUAACUUGGUAAUCAAGGAGUUUUUCUUAGAAGAGAAAAUAUAUAGGUUAAAACAAUUAAAAAAAUAUUAAAAAAAAAUAAUUUAAUUUUUUUAAGCUAAGUAUAUUUUUAAAACGAACUCAAAUAUAAUUAUAUAUAUAAAAAAACAGGAAAUGGCAAUUACCCUUUAAAAAUAAUUUGUCUGUUUCGUAGCAGUGCCCGAAAAUCGAUAGAAACCUAACAACUGCCACCCACAUUCUCCCUCGUCAACAAAAGCCUCCUGGCUGGUCUCGGUAAUGACCUUGCUAUUUUUCGCUCCAGUGUCUGCCCGCGUGUGCGGUCCAGAUCAUCUCAGACCACCUCCCUUGUAGUAGUAAGCCUAACUGUGCCUGACACGUGGAAUAACCCACAAGAGAACUCUUUGCACUCAAAAGGGAGCUAGACCGCCACCAUUAAUUCUUGACCAAACAACAAACAACUCUCCCCGUAUCCUCAUAAAUGUUGUUUUAGUUUUUUUUAAAAAAAAACAUAAAAUGAUAUUAUUUUAAAAAAUUUAAAAAUAUUAUCAAACCAAUUUUGAUUAUAUCAAUCAUAUUAACUCUAGAUUUUUCUUUGACAAUCAAUAUAGGAAUAGGAUCCUAACUCAAUUCAUUUAGCUGGGUUAUGUUUCUUGUAAUGUGUGUUUGGAAGUGUGGUUUUAGUUAUAUUUUAAAGUGUUUUUUAUCCAGAAUUAUAUUAAAAUAUUUUUUUUUAUUUUUUAAAAGUUAUUUUUAACAUCAGCGCAUUAAAAUAUCUAAAAAUAUCAAAAAUAUAUAUUUUAAAACAAAAAAAAUAAAAAAAAUUUAAAUUUUUUUAAAAAUAUUUUUAAACAAAUAGGGCAGGCCUAGUAAAAAAAAUAGACAGAAACCAAACACCUGCCACCUAUAUUCUUUGUUAAACAAAGAUAUUGUUGGAUAUUGUAAUUCAAUUUUGUUUUGUUUUGUUUUGAAUUUUUUAGUUUUAAAUUAACCAAUUAUUUUUUUCUAAUUUGAAUUGUUUUAUGUACUGAUAUAAAAAAAAUUAAAAAAAUAUUAUUUUAAUAUAUUUUUUAAAAAAUAACUCUUGCAGCACUCCUGAAAAACCGAAAAAUCUACCUGGCUGGCCUUUAGUAAUGACAUUGCUGUUGUCGGCUCCUGAGUCUUACCCGCGUGUACGGUCCAGAUCCCCUAAGACCACCUUCCACGUUGCUGCAAGCCUAACUGUGUCUGACACGUGGAAAUAAAAAACUCUUUGCACUCAAAAGGGAGUAGACCGCCACCAAUUAAUUCAUGACCAGACAACAAACAACUCUUCCCAUGAACUCGUAAACUUGUUCACAAUGAUCUUUAUUUAUUUUUAGUUGGUUGAGAAGUGAGUUGGUUGUUAUUAUUAUUAUUAUUUAAGAUUUGAAAGAGACAAGAUCAAAAGAUUUUAAAAAAAAUAUUUUAGUUUAAAAUAAAAUUAUUAAAUUCAACAUGUUUCUAAAAUGGUCUAAAAUAUUAAAUUACUAGUCAAAGCAAGUUAACUUUUGAUAAAUUUAAAAUAAUAUCAUUUUAAAUUUUUUUAAUUAAAUUAAGUUUUGAUUUGGUUAAUUUGGUUAUGAGUUAACUCAUUUGAAUUUAUUUUUUUUAAACUCAGGUUAAGUUCUAGACUAGUUCAAUAGAUUACCGGGUUGAUACAAACCAGACUAAAUUUAGUGUCUAUUUAAGAGUAUGGUAGAGAUUAUAUUUCAAAGUACUUUUCACUUAGAAAUAUAUUAAAAUAAUUUUUUUUAUUUUUUUAAAUUUAUUUUUAACAUCAACAUAUCAAAACAAUUAUAAAAAUUAAAAAAUUAAUUUAAAACAAAACAAAAUUAAAAAAAUUAAAAAAAUAGCUAAACAUUCAUCUCAACUCCAAACAUACCUUUACACGACGGGGUUAAAAUUAAUUGGAUUAAAAAGAGUAUUAGUUUUAAAAAUGCGGCGAAUCUAACGGUCAAAAGACCAAUGAAGUUGCUUGAUCUUUAACGCCUCUCAUGCGUAUAUAAAUGCACUUGCCCAGCUACUAUUAAUUUAUGUGCUGACUGCUUACCAGCAGUAUUGCUCUCUCAAGUCUCAACUCAAAAAAACUACGGCAAGCCCAAAAUAUAUCAAGACAAGAACACCAUGGUUUACUUUUGUUUUCUUGUUGAUCAGACUCGGAAAGUGAGAAGAAGCAAGCCGGCAGCUGGUACUUGUUCAAGGUGUGGUGGCGGAGCAAGUGUAGCUGACAUGAAAACCUGUACAAGAUUUUGCUAUGUGCCAUUUUACUCGAGAUCUUGGAGAGCUAUCAUGUGUACUUUCUGUGGAGCUAUUCUCAAAUCUUACCACUGAAUUACUGUUCUUCAUUCCUUUAGCUAGUUAGCUUUGGAGGACUUCAGCAUGGUUUUUUCCCCUUUGCUCUAAGUUUAUAUAUAUGGUGUUAAUUAAAUAAGUUUUGGAUGCCUUGAAGCUACUUAUAAAAACAUGCUUGAACCUCUAGUUUUACACGUUGUUAUUCUAUUUCUUAACCUUUUUUUAUGAGAAAUCUGGGGUGGGAAAUUGUAGAGAGCAGUGUUGUUCAUCGAGAAAAAAUCAAGAAGGAAACUGUAGAGAGCUAGAGUCCUCAAAGGGAGAUAGAUGCUCAAUGUUCUUUCUUGUUUGCAGCAUAGAAAAGGGGGGAAUACGUCAAUGGUUUUGGGUUUGGAAUCCUGCAGUUUGUGCAGGGAGUGUGAUAAAUUUACAGACGGGCAGCUUUAAUCAGGAGGAUGGACAGUAAUGGCUCAUCAUCAAGAGGAGAGGACAUGGAAGGUGGAGUUCUGUAGGUGAUGCCAAUAACUGAAUACGUACGGUCUAACUUUUACUAUUAAAAUUGUAAUUUUUUUUUAUUAACAUACGUUGUCUGGUUCGCAUAAUUAUAUUAAUGCAUGCAUGCAUGGAGUCUUUUUCAGAAAUAAGUGAAAUAAUAAGAGUACUAGUCUAGGUGAACCAUUUAAUGACCUAAUAGAGGGUAGCAAUUUUACACGUAGUUUUAAAAAUCAAUCCGGUAGUUGAGGGAAGAUUUUUAUAACGGGUUCAAGGUUUAUCCAGGUUAAUAAAAAUAAUUAAAAAUUAAAAAUUAAAAUAAUAUUAUUUCAUUAAAAAUUAGUUGAUGGUCGGGUUUUAACCGGGUCAAUUAUAUAUUUUGUGUCGACGUGUCAGGCCAAUCUGGGUAUUAAAACUAUGAUUUAAUUUACGCACCAGAUAAUUUUCUGUCUAGGCUAGCUGCAUGCUCCAAUCUUCUAGCAAUGAUUUUUUUUUCUUGACAUUGAACUUACUUUCUUUGAACCUUUUAAUCAAGAAAAUGCAGAAGUGUAAACUUCUACGAAUACAAAGUAUGAUCAUGAAAGGGCAGGAAGAUGAAAACUCAUGGGAUUUUCCUUCUGUUUUUGUUGCUGAGGGAAUCAAGGGAUGGAUAUAGACAGCCGUGCCUGGGAAGUUGUUGAAUGAUGAGAUGCAUGUGAAAUGCCAGCAAGAAAUUAAAGGGGUGUUUGGUUUCCCUUUCAUCAUCAUCUACAGAUAUUAUCACUCUCAGUGCAUUUUGUCUGUCUCAGCUUAAUGAGUGAAGAAAGUUAUGAGAAAGGACAACUGGGUGUAAUAAAUUAUGAGAAUUAAUUCCAUUAGAUUACAGCUUUCUGUAUUUAUUUUGUUUCAGAAGUCCUUUUCAUAGCCCAGCUUGUAAUAAGCUUUCAAUUUUGCUAUCUAGCGUUUUAAAUUGUGGUUCAAUAAUAAUGAAAACAUUAAAAAUAGUGUUUUUUUUUAUUAUUAUUUCAAUCAUGCAUGGUUUAAAAUCGUGGCAUGACCAUAUAGAUAAGGGGGGUGUUUGAGAACGUUAUAUAUGAUUGUUAUUUUUAAAAGUGUUUUUUACUUAGAAAUGCAUCAAAAUAAUAUUUUUUUUUAUUUUUUUAAAAAUAUUUUUUACAUAUUAGAACAUCAAAAUUAUCUAAAAACACCAAAAAAAUUUAAUUUGAAGUAAAGAAAAAAAUAAAAACAAACGGGAUCUUAGAUCACACUUUAAGAAUAUUUCAUAAAUUAAAAGGGUAUUUAUUAAAAUUAAAUUAUUCAAUGUUCUUAAUUAAUCAAAAUAUUUCUUUUUUAUUUAGAACUUGUGGGAAUACUUAAAAAUAUUAAUAUAUAAAAUAACAUUUAUUUAAUGUCUUUAAAAAAGUCAUUGGUUUUUAUUUAAAUAUUUCUUUUUUAUUUAUUUUUUUAAAAAUAUUUUUUACAUAUUAGAACAUCAAAAUUAUCUAAAAACACCAAAAAAAUUUAAUUUGAAGUAAAGAAAAAAAUAAAAACAAACGGGAUCUUAGAUCACACUUUAAGAAUAUUUCAUAAAAGGGUAUUUAUUAAAAAUUAUUCAAUGUUUUUAAUAAAAAACAAACGGGAUCAUAUUUCUUUUUUAUUUAGAACUUGUGGGAAUACUUAAAAAUAUUAAUAUAUAAAAUAACAUUUAUUUAAUGUCUUUAAAAAAGUCAUUGGUUUUUAUUUAAAUAUUUGAUUUUUUUCAAAAACAAAUCUAUGGUAGAUAAAAGUUAAUGAAUGCAUUCAUAUAUAUAAUGUUUGAAUCCUAGCUUUUUCCUUCAUAAAAUUGGAGCAAUACAGGGGAAAUUAGCAUGAUUAGUUUUGACCAAUAAUGACAUGAAAAAAUCUAGAAAUUAAUGAUCUAAACAAAUUUUAAUUCAUUAAAAAUAACAUCUAUUGCUUGCAUAUUUGCAGAAAUUAUAUAACCUUGGAUGUCUAGGCCCAUAGUAUCUUGGUAGAAAUCAAGAUAUCAAGAACAAUAAUUCAAAGUUUCAUUAAUGGUUGAAAAUAUGUGAUAAUCUUAAUUUUAAUUUGAAAAACACAUCAAGUCAUCAAUUUAUUAUACAAUUUUUUAUCCUUAUGAGAAGAUCAACGUCCACUUCUUUAUUUCUUAACCUAUCAUAUGAACAAGAAAAGGAUAGGAAAACAGGGGGGGUGUCUCGAAAUAACAGAUUCAAAUUAAUGGCCCAAGAGUAGCCCAUCCCAUGUAAAUAAGAAGGCUUAGCUCACCAAAUCCAUAUAAAAAAUCCCAACAAAAACCAAAACCCUAGCACCUUCCAACUAGGGUUUAAGAGGCAAACCUUUCUCCCAAACAACAGAAAUCCCAGUUCUCACACACCAAAAAAAGGAAAACAGUAUAUAUAUAUUAUCAAUAGAUUUUCCACUGUUUCAGUUAUGAAAUUUCACUGCACCAUAAACUCUUCUCUCCAAAAAUCCAAUCUUAAAAAUGGUGGGGUUUGUAUCUGAACCCUCCACCAUUAAAGAAGAAGAAGAAGAAAGCAACCAAGUUUCAAAAGCUAGAAACUUGGAAGACCCAAUUGACCCUUUUGAUCAAAAGCUCACAAAUUUUGCUGAUUCUUUUCUUGAUUUUGAUUCUAUAGAGGAGUUUUUUGAAGGCCCAGAAAGGUUUAGUUUAGAUUUUGAGAAGAGAAUGGAGAUGGAUGAUAAAGGGCUUGUUGUUAAGGACCUGGUUGUUAAUGUUUCUGAUUCAGUUUUCGAAGAAAAGAACGGAAUUGUUGAUGGGUCUGAUCUGGGGGGUUUGGUGAAGGUGAAGGAAGAAAGAGUGGAGCUUGAAAGAGGAGGGAGUUUGGGGUGUUCUAUUGAGGAGGAGAUGGGAAGGGUUAGUUUGGUUGCUGAACUGAGUUUAGUUGUGGUUGAUGGGGGUGCAAAAGUUGUGGGUGAUGAGGCAGAGAUAGGUAAUGGUGGUUUGAUGAAUGGGUCGGGUUCAGAUAUUGGUGACGGUAGUGGUGUGAAUGGUAAAAUAGUGAGUGAUGAAGAGGAGAGCGAAAGUGAAAGCGAGUCUGAAUCGGAGAGUGAAAGCAGUUCAUCUUCUAGUAGCAGUGAUGAUGAUGAUGAUGAACAAGAAGAGGAGAGUGAUCAGGAAGAGGAGGAGAAGAAGGGGGAAGUUAGAAUGGAAGUAAAUAAAAGGUUAGAUGGUUUGGGUGACAUGGAAGAAGGUGAGAUAAGGGAUGCUGAUGGAGAGGAAAUGGUUGCUGGGAAUGAUAGUGAGGGUGAGGGUGAGGAGGAGGAGGAGGAGGUGGUGGAGGAGGAGGAGGACGAUGGAUGCAAGAUGGUUGAGUGGAGUGAUGUUGAUGAGGAGGAGGAUGCUGCUACGGGAGAGCCUAUUAGGUCGAAGAAGGUAAAUUUUUGCUGCUUUUGCUGCUAUUUUAUGUGUGAAUCAGUUUUUUCUUAUUGUACAUUGUUUAAUGUCCAAGGCAUUGGAAUUAUUAGUUCUUGCUUUGUCAUUGAUCAUGUGAGUACGAUCUAUGGAGUUAAAUAUAGAAAUGCAAGGUGUUUUUAUACACAUUUUUUCUGGCAAGUAAAUGUUAGGGCAAUUUAUUGUGUUACAUGGCAUAGUCUAGCGGUGUAUUGUUUCUUCACUUUCCAGAAGAUGAAGGUUUAGCAGCUUAACAUGAAUACUGUUUGAAAACAAAUUUUUUGUUGUAGUUACUGGUGCUCCAGCCCAAUUAACUUAAGGUUUAUGUAAGAAUACAAUUAGAGGACUGUGAAAAAAAAAAUAACAAUAAAAACUAAAAAGUCUUCGUUCCUUCUCUAUUUGAUAUAGUCACUGAUUUUUAUGGUUCUUCAUUAACAGGUUAAUUGCUUUGAUAAUGAUAAUGCAAUUUACUAUUAAUGUUAGUUUAAGAAUAGGAAUUUUUGACUUGGCUCCUCUGUGUGUGACUUUCUAUGGACCCAGAAUAAGGCUAUACUGUUAUACCCAUUGAUGGCAAGUAUGCAGAGCAUGACUUCUUCUUUGUAUUCCUGAGUUAGGUUGCAGAUCAAAAUUUGAUCCAGUGGCUCACUAUUCAGGCGUUUCAAUGUUUUGUUUUUAUGUCAUAUUGCUAAUCAAAUAAACUUGUGCCAAAUCUGCAGUUUCUCUCUCCUGUUCCUCCUGUUCAUGCUUCAUUGGAACUUCAUCAUCAGAUGCUACCUGUUGGAGUUGUUUUGUCGGUAAGCCCAUCUGAAGCCAAGUGCAGAUCAUUUUUAUUGAAGUUUAGAUGUCUUAAAUCUAACACCAAUAUAUGUAAAUCACACAGAAAUGUUUGCUUUCUCUGUCAAUUUAAGCUCUAGGUUGACUUUAGAUUGGUAAGAGCUGUAUCAGUAUAUCUUUUAUUCUUGAUUUUUCAGGCUAUAGGUCCCCAGGUUAUAGUACAAGGGGUGGAAAAGCACAAUCCCUUGAAUGAGGGUUCUAUCCUGUGGAUAACUGAAAAGAGAUCCCCGUUGGGGUUGGUAGAUGAGAUUUUUGGACCUGUCAAAAACCCAUACUACGUGGUGAGAUACAAUUCAGAAAGUGAAGUCCCUUCUGGGGUCCUUAAUGGUACUUUGAUAUCUUUUGUUCCUGAGUUUGCCAAUCAUGUGCUCAAUGUCAAGAAUCUUCACAAGAAAGGGUAUGAUGCAUCUGGUGAAUACGAUGAAGAGUUAACUAAUGAGACAGAAUUUUCAGAUGAUGAGAAAGAGGCGGAGCACAAGAGGAUGUUAAAAAUGUCAAAGAGGGGAGUUAGUGAUGAGAAAUCUGGAAAAAACAAAAACAAUAGAAGGAAGGUGAAAAAUAGGGGUGGCGGUUGGAAGAAUAAUAAACCUUUUGGGGAGCAAAUGCCAACUGGUGUAGAUCAGCUACCACCCGAUCAAAAUUUGCGUAAUGACUCUGCUGUUGGAACAUCAUUGGCCCCAGUGCCUCAGACAACUGGUGUUUAUGCACCUUCAAAUGGUGUAUGGACGAGCAUGGUACCAUCUCAGCAGCCUCAAGCUUUAGCAAUUCGAGGUGGGUUUCCAUCUAAUAAUAUGCCUUGGCCUGUACAGAGUCAACUUCAGCAUCCCUAUCAGAUACCUAUGGCAAAUGGUAUGCCAAUUCAGCAACAGUUCAAUCCUGGUCAGAGAUCACUUCCUAAUGCUUUGUUCGCAGGCGGACAACCAAAUUUCUUUGCUGGACCUGCAUAUCCUCCACCAUGGCCUGUAGUGGGAGGACACUACUUUAACCAAGCUGCAUUUGGAACAGGAUUUCAGGUUCAACCUAAUCCUCCAGCUAUGAAUGUGGUAGACCAAGGAAUGAUAUCCACUGGACCGCCUUUAGUACAUAACUGUAGUUUCCAACCACCAGCCAUCUCUCCUGGCAACAUACAAGCUCCUCAGCAAUUCAAUGCAGGAGCCUCUUCCAGCCAUGGAAGAAAACCUUAUCGUAGAGGGGGUGGUCGUUUUUCAGGUGGGAGAGGUAGACAGCCACCAAACUGAUUUUUGUCAUGUUUACGUUGCACUGUAACAUGUUGAGCUGUAACUUGAAAUAGGCUAUGAGUGGACCUGCAGUGCACUGCAGACUCGCCUCCUUUGUGUAAAUUAUUUUACGUUAAUGGAUGUCAGAGAAAAUGUUUGCUACAUUGCUCGUCUGGUGCUGGACUUGCCUCAAUUACAGUUGAUGCUGCAGUAUUCCCCUUCACUUUUAGUUUAUUAUAGUAUAAUUAUAAUGGUAUUUAGGAAUUGUUGUUUGGCUUUCGUUGAGGGGAAGCUGGUCUGCUGGUGCAAGGGGAGUGGUGAUAAUGGUUGCUCAUGGUUGGUUCAUGGUGGCUGUGAGAUUCUAAGAGAACCUUGGCAUCAAGUUUUGGGCUCAAUAUAUGCAUGGAUCUGGAUUGUAUCAUGUGGUCUCGGAGAUUCUUCCUUAAAAUCUUAAUUCGUGCAAAAUUUGGUGUGCUCCCCAGGUGCUCCUUGGGAGUGGUGCUUUUUGUUGUCUUUUGUGCAAGCCGAAUGCCCUCUCGGACUCUCCCUCCCUCCCUCAUUCCUAUACUUGUGCAAGCUUCUGGUAUUUCAUAGGCCAUGGUGUGUUGGAUAAAAUAUAAAAUAGAAGUGGAAAGGACAUGACAGCGAUGCAAACUAGACUACUGUACUGGACAACUGUUUUGUUUUACGUCUGGUGAGUGUAGGCUCAGAACAACAUACUAUAAGAACAAUCGUAUCCUUAUAAAUAUAAAAACUAUACAUGUACUAGAAGUACAAGGUUUUUUUAGGGUACAAAUGUCACCAUUGAAAUUUUCUAUAUUUUUUUCCUUUAGCGGGUUUUCUAACGGUGAUAAAUUUGUAAUUUUUUUGUUUUUUGAAAAAAUACAAUAGAAAUAGCACAAUUAAAAUUUUCUUCAAUGUUUUUAUCAUUUUAUAUUUUAUUUCGCCUAUUGAUCACCAUUUUUUUUAUUAUCUUCAAAUUUUUGUAAUAUUUUUUUAGUUUUUUUUCCUUUAUAAUUUUUUUAAAACAAUAUCAUUUUUUAUUCUUUACACUUUGAAUAUUUAUUGCUUUACACUUAGUCUAUUUAUCUUUAUUUUUUUGCAAUUUGUUUUUUAGAUUUUUUUUUCUUUAUAUUUUUUUUGAAAAAUUAUUAUAUAGAGACUAAUAAAAUGGUGUUUCAAUGUAGCAAUUGCAACAUAAUCCUAAUUUUCCACUACGUUAAAAAUAAGUUUGAGAUUUUACAUGUUUUUAUUAACGCAUAUAGUGUCUACUAUAUAUGUAAGCAUCGAUCUUUUGAUUUAUAGUUAUAUUUUUUACUCGUUGUCAAAAAGCACAUUAAUAACAUCUACACAUUAAUUUAUUUGCAUUAAAAAAAUUAUUUAACCUCUAGCAAAGCGAGUCGAAUAGACAUUUUAACUUUUUUUUCUGCAUUUAUUUGCAUAGAAGGUUCUUGAUUUAUUUAAUUAAAUGCACGUAUUGAUUUUUUUAUUUAUAAUUGGGAUUUUUGUUAUAAGAAAAUAGAAUAACUAGUAAUAUUCUAAUUCUUUUAUUUUUCUUAAAUAAUAUUCAUUUUAAUUAUCUUUUUUUAAUUUUUUUAAAUUUUAGUAAUUUUCAUGAAAAUAUAUAUGAAAAAAAAUCCAUAGUCCAAAAGUGGGAAAUAUAAUUUCAAAUCUUAAGAGAAAUUAGUAUAAAUAGUAUAUAAAACUAGUUCAUUCUCCCGCUCUAUCUUGGAUGGAACCAAAAACUUUUUAAUUGUGAUAAAAAAAAAAUAUUAAAAUUAUAGGGAAUUUUUUAGCAAUGUUAUUAAUUAAACCAAGUUGAUUAAUUUUGAAAUCUUCUAAUUCAGCUAUUUGUUUGGUUCGAGUUCCAAAUUAAAUCGUGCAAAAGUUUUUUCAAUAUAAAUUGGUUGAUUUUACAGAUUCAAAUACAAUCUUAAACGAAUAGCAAAAACAUAGGCUAGCUUUUAAAAGAAUUCCAAGAUGACAACUUAAAAAAAAAAGAUGAUAUAUUAAAUUAACUUAAAUCACCUUGUGACCACCCUAGUUAUGAACUCUAUUGAAUUUAAAAACUUUGUUUUUUAAACUAUAUUUAUUUAAUUAUAUAUAUAGCAAUUCAAAAUUAAAAUAGUGGCUAAAUUUUUUAUCAAAAUAUAAUAAUUAAAAAUUUAUUUAUAAAAUUAACAUAGUAUAUCGAGACAGGUCUCAUAUUUGUGAUCUUAAAAUUACAAUUGCAGAGGCAUUUUUUCAUCCUUUAAGCUUACAUUCGAGACAUGUGUGCCUCAGUGAAUUGUUCUAUUCUCAAAAAUAAAUUUCCAACUAUGAUGUUUUAGCAAUUUUUUUGUCCGAUUGAGCUAAUAAAAAAGAAAAGAAAAGAAAAGAAAAGAAAGAAAACCCUCAUACUCCUAUGUUAUUCCGCAGACCAAACAUAUCCUUAAAGCCCUUUUCUCUGGGUUUUAUGCUUGUUCUUCCAUGGGCCUAAAACCAUCUGCAACUUGUCUUUCAAAGUCAAAACCAGCUCUUUAUCUUUAUAUGGAAGUGGAUAAUAUUUUAAAAACGUUUUUAAAAAGUUUAUUUUUUAAAUUAAUAUUUUUUUAGUGUUUUUAGAUUAUUUUGAUAUACUGAUGUCAAAAAUAAUUUUAAAAAAAUAAAAAAUAUAUUAUUUUAAUAUAUUUCCAAAUAUUUAGAAAUAUAGUUGCAAUUGUUUUCAAAUUCUACAAGUAUACAGACAUUUUUCUCAGUAGAUUCAUCCACUCACUUGUGAUUUCCUCCCAAUUCUGACCAAUCUUGGAGAAAUUAUCACCACCAUAGCACUUCAAUGGUGCCAAGAACUUCCACACUAGUUGACUUACAACUGCACCUGGCUGCUUGCUUACCAUCCUCCGCAAAACUAAGAGUAAAUUUUCUUUUUAGUACUUGAUUACAAGUUAGUCUUCAAUUUUUUUUUUUCAGACUUGUUAUUAUUCUUUAGUCCCUAGGUUGGUUACAUGAUUAUAACUUUGAGUAUCAUUGGAAACAUGUUUAGGAACACAUUUUUGAAAAAAAUUAAAUAUUUUUUUAUAUUUUAAAUCAAUUUUUUUGUGUUUUAAAAUUGUUUUAAUAUGCUAUGUCAAAAAUAAUUUUUAAAAAAUAAAAAUAUUAUUUUAAUAUAUUUUCUAAAAAAUAUAUAUUUAAAAAAACAACCACUAUUAUUUGAACAACAGUUUCUCAAAUUUUUUAUUUUUUUUAAAUUAAAUUAAUAAUUUUUAUUGUUUUUUAUGUUUUGAUGUGCUAAUAUCAAAAAUUAAAAAAAAAAAUUUAAUAUAUUUUUAAAUAAAAAAUAUUUUAGAAAACAUUAUUCACUCAAUCUCAAACUCAAACUCAUAAAUUAUCAAACACAAAAUAUAUAAAUGCAACCAAAACCAAUAACUAAUAGCCUAUUUAAAAAAUAUUUUUUUUUUAUUUUCAAAUGUGCUAAUAUUAAAUAAUUUUAAAAAAAUAAUAAAAAAUUAUUUUAAUACAUUUCUAAAUAAAAAAAUAUUUUUUAAAAAAAUCUCUAUCCUCUUAAAACUAAAAUUCUUCACCGUAUAAAACACCACAAAACAGGAUUUCACCUCAGUUCAACCAUCCCUUUUUCCAAACAAACUUAACCCAACAGGGUAUCCCAAUGACCCAAAACUUGAUUUGGACCAUUUUAUAUAGACUCAACCAAGCUUGGUCUUAGACCAAAUUUUCUUCAAAUCAUUUUGUAUCCAUACCAGGUUUUACUUUAACCGUUUAGAUAACCUAGCAAGUUGACCAAACCAAACUCAAACGACCUGUUCAUGUUCAAAUGAAACAGUCUUUUCAACUCCAAAGAAUUUAAAAUAAAAUAAUUGACUUGGAUUGAUUGAUGCCCCAAUCCUAAACUGGAUGGACCCUGAGCAGACCUGACAACCAUGCUUCCAAACAUGCAAGUCAAUUGUCACAAACCCUCAUCUUUCAGUGGCCGGGUGAGGAGGGCUUGUGCCUGUGGCUAAGCAGAUGUAAGAAAUGCAGGUUUUAACCUGCCAAGAAUUGAUGGUGGAAAAGAAACCAUCGGUAGACAUGAACAUGCAAAAGAAAAAAAUAAAUGAGAUAAAUUACUAAAUUUCGAAGUUCUAUACCAGCCAACGAGCACAAUGAAUGCCUAACUCAGAGACUGGAAUUUCAGGUUUAACAUAAGAGAAUGUUACUCAUAGGCUUAACUGUGGGGGCAGGGGAUUAAAUAAAGCAAUAAUGCCAUGGAAAGGCAACAAAUAAAAGGGGGGAUAUCAGGACUGCUAAAGCAUCACUGUUUUGAACUCAAACUUUUGCAUUCCUAGUGAAGUCGGUGCAAGUUUGGCAGCUGCAAUCUGAGAAACGACAGAUUUCACAACCAAAGCACACACAGGAAGUGCAGCCCUUGCAUGUUGGAGAACGGGUGCAACCCCUGUACACCCUUCGACUUGCCCGUUCUUCGUCAUCAUCACAUGUUAUUCUGAAAUAAGUAAAAAAACACAUGAAACCACAACAUUAGUUAAAUUUCUACUAGCAGACUGCGUGCAUGCAUGCUAGACCAUUGAACAGCUAGAAAAAGUCUAGUCAAAUUUCUACACUAAAGUUGUGCAAAAGGCGAACUUCAGUCAUGCAUCAAGUACAGAUCUGAUAAUUGCAAGAACCCACCAAUCCAUUUAAAACAUCUUCCAAAUAUAAAGAAACUCGAGCACCGAUGGAAAAAUUGUAGCCCAUGAAGAAACACAGGUGCUUUUGCUUCUUCAAAAGACUUAAAUGAAGAAGUUUCAAAUAUAGAUAAUAAAAACAAAAGAUUGAGUGGAAAAAAAAUGCAAAAAACAAAAAUUAUACAUGUUCCAAAUUCUGUAAAUGGGAUCUCAAAUAAGAACUGUCCUUAACGUGAAAAUGUUCCAGAAAAGCAUGGAGUAGAAAGCAUGUCACUGGGACGGGAUCUCAAAUAAGAACUGUCCUUAACCCUAAAUGUGAAAAUGUUCCAGAAACGCAUGAAGUAGAUAGCAUGUCACUGGGUUUCCUUCAAUUGCAUGGCACAAAAUUACAUCUAUAAAUGCAGGCUAGCAAUUAGGGAAAUAGAAUUUGUUAAAAACUCCACUAUAUACAGAGUUUACUUUGUAUCCCUCUAUGACUAUCACUUCAGAAAUGCUUCCGUGCAGAGGUGCAAAGGUGGCAGCGAAAGGUAGGAUGACACCUAUGGCUAUGUAUCAAGAUUGGUUCCAUUGUCAUAAUAGAAUUUUUGUUAAACUUCAGAAAUUAAAAUAAGCAUCAAUCACAUGGGAAUACUACUCAACUUUUAAACUAAAUAAAUUAUCAUCAUAUCAAGCACAAUUAUAUCUCUGAUCUUUUCAUUUUUUCAACAUGCUAAAAAAAGGUGCUUAACAGAUUUACUGAAACUUUGCAACUAAAAUAAUCAGAGGGGAUAUGAUCUGGCAAAUAAACACGAACUUCAUGACAGGGCAAAUAAGAAAUGCUUCAUGAAGAGAACUCUAGGUCAAAAAAAAUGUCCUGCAAAAGAUAAAAUACAUGAAUCCCCUAUCCCUUUUAAUAAAACAUGAAAUCCUUCUACAACAACACAUAGGUUGCUCCUUUAUUUAUGAUUUCUCAAGCAAGGAUAUGUUAUUUCUUUAAUCCUCUAAAUGUACUUUAGCUCCCUGUGAUACCCCUUAAUGAGAGUAGUCUAUCAAUAAGGAUAAUUUGUUUGACCGGAUACCUUGGCCUAAUCAAGUGCUGUUGAAUGUCUGAUCGAAGGUACUUUUAUCAAUCAUGACCUAUACCUAGCUUGCAUAGAGGCUGAUCACGCUGUAAUCAUACAAGCCUGAUCAUAUAAUAUAAACUUUUGUUUUCAAAGCAUCAGCAUUCUUCUAUCACCUAAAUCAAACAAUAUUCGAUCUUCUAUCAUCAAUGCCCAUCCGAACAAAUUAUUCAUCCUGUUAGUAAAUGACGCACAAAAUCACCCAUUCUUCAAUAGAAGAAAAGAAACAAAAAAGACAGCACAACAAAUGAAGUUAAAAAUGAAUUAAAACAAAGAUAUUGAUUGGAUUCAUGACCUCGUUUUGCUCUCUAAAGACAAGAAACUUCACCAACAAAGAGAACAAGAAUGAAUCAAUGCAUGGUUUACUUAAAAACUGCAAACAUGUCAAAAUCUCCACCAUACAGGCAUGAAGUGCAUGAUCAGAAUCCAGCUUCCAAUGUAAAAAGGAAACAGAUUUUAGAAUCAUCGCUCAAAAUGACUAAUGACCUAUAACUUCAUGAAGGUCAAAAUAAGCAAAUCAUCAACAAUCAGUGAUUCAAGGGGAAACUUACUUGUCAUAUGGCAUAUCAGCACAUUUCCAGUUCGCAUCAGCCAAAGCAUCAUGGUGAAUCCGACACUCCUCUUUGGACCGUAACCGAAACCUGCGUUCCUUGUUACAUUUAUUACAGCGAACAAACUCAUCGCGAUGACAAACUCGUCCAUUGUGUGACCUGUGGGAUCCAUUGCCAUUUUUUGAGGCCUGGUUGUAGUAUUUGAGCAGCACUGUCUUUACCAAUGGAACCUUCUCCCCAUUAACUAUGACCCAUACAUUGUUCUUCCAUUUUCUAGCUGUCUCUCUUCCAGAGUGCUUCUCAAAUGCAGCAGGAGUCAUCUUGUCUUGCAUCAAGAUAACCAUUCAAACAAUUAAAGGAAGCACUUGAUAUUUCCAGGAAAUAAAGCAAUCAAAAGAUCUGAACAAAGAUUAAAUUAAAGACAAAAAAAAAGGAUCAUACUUUAAUACAAAUAUGCUAUGAUCACAUGCACGGAACAAAUGAAAGCUUCAUAUGGUCAAGUCACAGAGAAGAUAACAAUGCACGGGGAACAUCAAUCCAUUUUAACAUUUAGGGACACCGACUGCCAUUUUUUUGAAUUGCUGUGAAGUUAUAAAGUGACUAAGACAUUAGAAAGAAGUUUAACUGGAUUAUUGUACCAGACAAUAUACCACAUUCUUCUGCAAGAGCCACAGGAUAGCCCAUGGAGCACAGACGAACAGUUGCAUAAACGUGGCCCUAAAAGUUAUCAGGUAAGUCCAGCAGAAGGUGUUUCACUAAUGAGAAAUGAAGAUAAACAGUGUGAAUGCUUUCUCCUUUCAGUUAAGACCACAAGAGUUAUUCUUGCGAACAAAAUGCAUUCCCCUUUCUACGAACCUAACUCUCUUUUAAAGGCUAGAAACUGCCCUUACUGUAACAACUUUCAGUAUCAAGCCCUUGCAAGACUCCAGUACUGAACAGAUGUCGAAACCUCCACCUAUACCAUCCCAAGUUAUCAAUUCUUUAAUCGACUCUGAGGAGUCACAGGCACAGGUUAGAAAACCCUUCCAGUUGCACCGUGACAGGAAAAAAAAAUAUUCGGCAAUGUGAAAGAAGAUAGAUCCUGAGUUGUCAGAAGAUGUAUCCUAACUUAGCACUACGUAGCCAAAUGUACAUGCACACAGAAGACCACAUCCAACUUAAGCAUUGGUGUGCAUGAUAGCCCUUUAGAAGUCAGCUUCCUAGUUUGACCCCAACCAGCAGCCAUCCUUGUACAAAACCAUAGUUCUCUUCACAUAGUCAACCUUGAAUUUGCACAUAAUCUAAAGCAAUAACAGUAAAGGUAGAGAGCUGUAAGGAUAGAGUGGCCAGAGAGGGUACUAUAAAGUACAUAGAAGAGUGCCAUACACAAAGGCUUACUCUGUCCAACAGGAAGAGCAGAAUUCUGGUAUCAAAACACCAAACCUUAGAACAUCAAAGUCAACCAUUGCAAUCAAAACAACAAAAGCCAUGCAGCUCUCAUUGUAAAGAAGAUCACUCAAAAGACCAGUUCUUGAAUCAAAACACAAGCUGUAGUUCAAUCCGAACCAGAAAAAAUCAACAUAGAAAAGUCCACAGACAAAACUGCAUUAUCUAUUUGAGCAAUGGCAUGCACAACUCACUCUUUCAGACAAAACAACAUACACUUAGAGACUGUAAUAAUAACACACAACAAAAUUCAAACCAUACAACUGGCAAAGGAUCUUUAUCACUCUCGAUUAAACAAAAGACAGUGACAUCCAUCAACGUCAAAACAUACACACACACACACACACACACACAAGACCUAUUCAACAUGCAUAAAAAUCAGACCCCGGUUCAUUAAAACCCUUCAUAAAAAUUUUAAAAACCAAGACAAAGACUUUUUAAGAAAAGAGACCUUCAUCACAACCAGGAGUGCAUUCACAUGUGAUUUCAAGUUCACCAUUGAUAAAAACCCUAAGCCUACCAACAGCAUCACCAUAUCUAUGGCUAGUACACCCACACAUCACUUCUAUGUAAUCUCCACCUCUCUUGACCCCACUCAUCUCUCUCAACUCUUCUUCACUAAACAACAACACCAUCUCUCUCUCAGCUCCAUUAGCCAUUUUUGCUCACCCUCUCAAAAGCUCUUCCUCUCCGCUUCCUCUCAGAAAAACAGCCAAAACCCAGAUUCCAAAAUGGGAUCUUAAGGUUAAAACCACCGAACAAAUCAAGAAAAGAUAGGAUUUUGAGUCAUGGGUAUUGAAAGAUAUCAAACCCCCAGAUAACCACAAGGGUUAAAAAGCCAAAAAAGACAGAAAGUCUCAAACUUUCUCAAGAAUCACGCAUCUCCAAGAGAUCUGAUGGAGAAAACGUUGAAAGUGUCAUCAGAUAUAUAGAGAGGAGCGGAGUUGGUGUUUUGGUGGUUUUGGAGAGAUAAAUAGAGAAAGAGCGAGAGAGAAAGAGGAUGAGCUGGCUAAUAUGUGCGUGUUUGGUAGUGAAGUUUUUAAAAAAUGUUAUUUUAAAACAAUUAUAUAUUAAGAUAAUAUUUUUAAAUUUUAAAAAACAAUUAACAUAUCAAAAUUAUUAAAAAAAUACUAAAAAAUACUAAUUCAAUAAUAUUUUAGAAUAAACACUAAAAUGGCAUUUGAAAAUAUAACAACGUUAUUUUUUAAGAUAUUUUUUUCUAAAAAAACAUCAAAAUAAUUAUAAACUGUCCCUGAGAGAGAAGCAAUUGUCGUGGGGGCGUAUGUGAGAGAGAAAGGCAAGGUUGAAAAGCCCUUUUCAUGUGAUAGAAAGAGUACUAUUUUUUUUUUUAAUUUAAUAUGGGUGUCCGGACCCGCUUGCGUGUACCUUAAAUAAUUUCACGGGCCCUGAAAAUAACGACUAUGUAAGCCUUCAAUGACCAUUAUAUAAGCAACUACAGGACUCGAAUCUUAGAUCACAGAGAAAACAAACUUCUUAGUCCCAAGUUUUUAUUACUGGAUACCAUGGUUAGAAAGAGUGUUAUUUGCUAUUUGCUAUUCUUGCUUGCUGCAUGACAUGACACGAGAGAAGAAAAUAAAUACUUUUGUGUGUGCGUCUAUAUAUAUAUAUAUAUAUAUUAAAAAAAAAAAAGGGGGUUAAACAGGAUAGAGAGGUGGGGCGGGGAGUUGGGGUCAGCCAGGAAGGAUGGUGGGGUUUAAGGGGGGCAUGGGAAGGACUAUGGGAGAAAACGAGGCUUAUUUACCAGGCAUUUGAGGAAGAUUCGGCUUGUGUUGAUGAGGGUUCACUCUUUACUGCGAUUUUUAUUUUAUUUUUAAUUUGGAUGGCAUGAGGUAUUUAAACACCGACCCUCUGAUUAAUUAACAUGAUUAAAUUUGAUAACUUUGAUUUUAAGAUGAUUUUGAAAUUAAAUGUCUUCUUGAGUGUAUUUUAUAUGGAUUAAAGAAGUGAAUUCUUUUAAAUUUACAAAAUGUGAACUCAUAGAAUCAAGAAAAAUGGCUACCAUCUUAAGACCAGAAGCCCUGCCUGUUCACUUUUACUAUGGUGUACCUUCUGUUCUUAGGUUAGAGUCGUGUUUUUAGUUUUCCAAGCUCUGCCUUUUUGGUGUGGUUGGCUUUGCACUGUUUCCAGGUAGGGUUUCUUUCUGUUUUACCUGGGAGGUUUUGUGAUUCGUGUCAAGAAACUUGUGAGAGGAGUAAAUGGGUUGGAGAAGGUGACCAUUGUGUUGAUCUGCCCUAGAAGGGUAAAUGGAAAGAGUUCAAGGUGAUAGAUGGUUGAUUGUUUUUAUGUUUUACAAAUUUUUUAUUUUUUUAUUUUAAAUUAAUAUUUUUUAUAUUUGAUAUUAUUUGAUAUUAUUUAUUUGUUUUUUUAACAAGAAAUUCAUAUUCAUUAUCCUUCAAAACAAUGACCAAUUCAAACACAGCUUGUAAACUUGAUUUCAAACGGGUGUUUGAUAUUAAAUUGUGUGCUUUUUAAAAAUAAUUUUUAUUUAUAAAAGUAUUAAAAUAAUAUUUAUAUUUUUUGUUUUUAUUUUUUAACAUCAGUACAUUAGAAUCAUUUAAAAACACAGCAAAAAUCAUCAAUUUAAUUUUUGCAGAGCAAACACACUUUUAAAAUACACCAAAGCAUGGUUAGAAAGGCAAUACCAAACAAUCAUCAACUCAACAAUAUCACGAUUCACGGCUAUACAUACCAACUUUAAACAUAUUAUCAAGUUAAAAAGAUCAAUCGGAUUAAUCUUGUUAUCAAAAUUUUAAAAAAAUAUCAUAAUCAUGAGACAAUUUCAUUGAAUACAUUAUUGAAUAUACCUAUUGAUUUACCUGACCAAAUCAAAAGAACUGUUUACUACAAAGUUUGUAGUACAAACUAUCCACCAACACUCUUCAAUCUCCUUUUCAUCUCGAAAAGAAGAAAUGAGAGCAAUUAUUAUUAUAUGAAGACAAAUAUGUUGAGGCUGUAGCCAUGUUAGCAAUGAAUUUGUGCAAGUGGAACCAACAACAUAACAUAGUAGUUAGUAGUCUCGAUGUUUGAAAAUGUUGCCCAUUAUGACCAGUCCUCUUCUUUUUUUUUAGUUUAAUGUGGGUGUCCGGACCAGCUUGCGCGCACCUCGACUAAUCCAGUCACCUUCUUAUUUACUCCUGUGGUUGCUAUUUGGUGUGAUUCGCAAGCGCGACAUCUACUAGGUAUGUUUUAUUUAAAAAAAAAUAUUAAAUUAAAACUUUUUUUCAUGUUUUGUGAUGAUUUUAAUGUAUUGGUGUUAAAAAAAUUAUUUUAAUAUAUUUUUAAAUAAAAAAUACUCUUAAAAAUCAUAGUAUAAUGUGUGGUGGAGAUUUUAGUUGAAUUGUCUAUUGCAAGGCCAACCAGAACCUCUUUUAGUGGCCACAAUAUGGGGUAAGAUGAAAAGCAAACCUCCAACACUACAAUGACCUCAAAUCACCGUGACAGGCAUUCUUUCCAUUUAUUUUAUGUGGAUAAUUGAUGGAAAGGAUUAUUUAAAAAUUAAAAUGGAACUACAAAAGAAUAUCCACGUUAAUAUAUAUACUUUUUAAAAAUGUACAGGGGAAGUGAUAAAAAAAAUUGUUUUUGCACUAUACUAAUUUUUGCUGUUGUAAUUUGAAAAAAAAAAUUAAAUUGUAAUUUUUUUCAUACUUAUUAAAUUUUUACCAUAAUUUGAGAUAAAAAACAAAAAACAAGACAACUUUUGAAAUUAUAAUCAGUCUAAAAACAUUUUUAACCGUAAUUACACCGCUUUACUUUAUCAAACAGAAUUUUAAUUAAAAAUUGACCUUGUCUUAAAAAAAACUUAUAGUUAAGGAGGGGGUUUAAGAUGUGGACUUUGAUUAAUUCGUUAAAUUAAAAAUAAUAAUUUAAAAUGAAUAAAAAUGAAUAAUAAAACUAUUAAAUUCAAAUCCAAUGAUCAAAUAUAAUAUUAGCAUAAUAGCAAUCUCAUGGUUGGUAGCACAUUACUAUAGACAAGACCGAGCUUUGCUUCAUGGUAGUGUAUUUAAUAGUUUUUUUUUUUAAUUAAGAAAGAAUUUAAAACUUAACAAUUAUAUUUUUUUAAUUAUAAUAUAUAAUAGUAUGAUUAAAAAUAAUAGGUACGACGAUGUAAGGGAGUGAUGCCACCUUGCACACCACACAUGACUAUUAGCUAUGUGUUUAAUGCUGUGGUAUAUAAUACUUUUUAAAAAUAAUUUUUAUUUGAAUAUAUAUAUAAAAUAAUUUGAUAUUUUUAAAAUUAAAUAUACAUUUAAAAUACAUCAGAAAAAAAAAAGAUAUCCCAGUCCAGAACUGCUGAGUUUGUUAAAAUUUAUAAAAUUUUUUUUUUUUUAGUUUAACGUGGGUGUCCGGGCCAGCUUGCGUGUAUGUCGACUAAUUCCACGAGUCCUGAAGUUAAUAACCAUGUAAGCCUCCAGUGGCCAUUAUAUAAGCAACCACAUGGCUCGAACCUGAAACCACAGAAAAAAUAAAUCUUUUGAUCCCAAGUUCUUAUUACUAAAACACCAUCUAAAUGAUUAAAUUUAUAAAGAUUCUUAACACUAGUUUAAUUAGCUAGGGAAUAUAAUAAAUAAUUUGAAGAGCACUUGCUUUAUAUCUAAGCUAGCCUUCCCAUGGUCCUUGUUAGGACAAAAAACAAUAAUUUUUGUAUGUCUGACAAAGGACAAUAAUCAAAUGAUUAUAACAUAUAAUAAGAUCUAUAUAUAUAUAUAUAUAUAUAUUCAACUCUUUUAUUCUUGAAGUUAUUGGGCUCAUUGUUCAUGGUUGCCAAGUUGUGUCAUCGCUGAAGCCAACAAAAUUAAGCUUGUCAGGAGUCAUGAUCAACUUGGAGCUAGCUAGCCAAGUUGUGUGCACUUCCUCUGUUCAUGAGGUCAUGUUUCUAGCUUUUCCCACUUUCCUUUAAUUUUUCUUUUUUCCUCAAAGAAAAAGUAAACCUAUAAUUAAUUGCAAAAAGAAGAAGAAAAAACUACAAUGACAAGUUGAUAAUUAAUCGGUGUUUGGUUAUCAUCUCCAAAUAAAAAUAAAAAAAAGACAAUUGAAACAGAGAAAACAUGUCAUUGUUUUAAAAAUACUGAAAUUUAUUUUAAAUUUUUCAUGAAUAAAUUUAUUCUUAUGUUUUUUUUAUUUAACUAAAUAUAUUUUUCUUCUUUUUAUAUAUGUUUUUUCUAUACGCAAUCUUAAUCUCUCAUGUUUUAUCCAUAGAAAUAAUAAUAACAUGAGAAUCGAAAUCAAAAAGGAAAAUUAAAGUUUAAAGAUUCAUUUUAAGAAAGUAUUUAGUUUUAAUUAAAAUAUAAAUUAAUUUGAAAAUAAAUUUUUAUCCUCAAGUAAAUAAAAAUAUUAAAGAUAAAAUUCAAUUGACAAAAAUCUCCAAAAAAAAAUUUAACCACUCAGCCAUAUAAUAUAUUCUCACAAUCUUGUACAUAUCCUCGACAUUCAAAGAGAUAAAAAUAAUGUUUGGGAGUUUAUUAGUAAUUUUUUUUAAGAUGUUUUUUCUUUAUAAACACAUCAAAAUAAUAUUUUAAAAUUUAUUUUUGAUAUUAAUAUAUCAAAACAAUAAAAUAAAACAUAUAAAAAUUAAUUUUAAAUAAAAAAAUUAACCCAUUUCCGUCCCAAACGGGGAACUCACACCAAUGAUUAGUAGUCAAAGGUAGGAGGAUAUUUAUUGUCCUCCUAUGCACAAAAGGGAAGGAGAAGUCCUUCGAUCACAAACUAGGGCGGUAGGGCCUUUUCUUUGUUUUGUUUGAAUCAUAGUUUUCGCCAUGAAGAUGAAAAUGUUCUUAGUUACAAGAUAUCAUGUGGUAGUUUUAGGUUCGCUGAAUCACACUUACGUAAUAAUUUUUAAACUACGAUUCAAUUGUAGCUAGUUAGGAAAUUAAGGGCCUGAUUGGAUUGUUUUUGUUGAACUUUAAGCGUUUUCCAUAGAAGGCUGUCAAGUGUCAUGAAUGGAACAGCUCGUCUUAAUUUUGUGCUGCUUUGAAUUUAAUUUCCUGUUACCUAGACAAAGUCACUAACUCCAAGUCCUUGAUUACCUACACAGGAGGCUAUAUAUAUAUAUAUAUAUAUAUAUAUAUAUAUAUUCUCUGAAACGCAACAUCAUGAUCGCUGCCGGAAAUUAGUUUGCUUUUGUUGUCUACUGGGACACAUGGUUUUACUUUAACCCACAAAAGCCUGCACAUUGUGCUCGAUCUCCCUCAUGAUAAGCCGAUUUCAUGUUGGUUUUACCGGGAGACACCAGGACAAACGAGGAGGCUGGAAAAUAGAUGGUAGAUAUCACCUUGUUCUGCUUUGCCUUUCUGCUUUUAUUGCCAUUGGCGCAAAAAACAAGCACCUUGUUUGCCCUGCUUGGUACUUCGCGUUACGCAGCGGCUCUUGAACAAAACGAAGGCAUGAGAGGCAAGAGAAUCACGUGCCUGAUUCUUUUGUCUCGAGAAUGGCAUGUUAAGAUUUCAUGACAUGACACUGUCUGAUCAACUGAUUUCACAUACCAUUGUGAUUUAUGACAGUGUUUGCGUUAAACCUAAUGCUCUAUUCUAGACACUAUAGAAUAAUUGCUUUGACUAUGCUCUAGUCGUCCUACUACAACUUUACAAGAACAUUUGCAUGCCAACAUGUCGCGCGCCAAGCUGGCAUGCCAAGAGAAAGUUGGCUUUCAAUGGCAGGGAUUCCUCCAUGAUUACCAGCCUGCAUUUCCUCACUGCUGCUACUUUUCUUGCUUUUGUUCAAUGAGUUAUGAGAACACACAACCACCCACUUGAUUAUUCCAUUCAAUCGUUUGUGAAUUACUGCCGAAACUAUGAUCUACAGUGGUCAACUUUAGUACACACACGGUUCAAACGCAGGCCCAUAGACAUACUAACAUUUUCCUCUUCCUUUCGGUCGUUAUAGAGUGCCUUCUACCGACGCAUGAUUCCUAGCUGUCUUAAAUGAACAAACUCAGAUGCUAAUGUGGACCAAAUGAUUGGUACAAUCCUGUAAACAGUGAGUUCAAACCAACUUUUUCUAUUACUUAGCCAAAUCAUGGCCGCAAAAGGGGUUUAAUUGGAUGGUAAUUCUAUUGUUUCAACUUUUACAAUACAAUGGGGAGAAAGUUGAAAGCUUGACUUGAUCAAUAUACUAAUGAAAGCCUGCUAGAAAUACUAAUGAUAUGGCCUGGUGUGAUCUCCAACUGGGAGGCCUCCGUGUUCAAAAAGUUUGUACCAACCAACCCAACCUUUGACUCCUUUUCUUUUAAAAUGUAGAAUAUUCUGGUCAGCUUACACACGUCUAAUUAUUUUUUUGCAGUUUAAAAUUAGCUUUUUUACAGGAUUAAAAUCUUAGAGGAAGCAAACCCGUAAACUCCUGGCUAAAUACCGCUAGACCACCUUACUGGGGUUCCAACCUUUGCUCGAGAAGUGCAACAUGAAAUUAUGAACAUCUUUGGAGUACUUGAUAGAUUUGAGUAUCACUGGAUUCAUAUUAUUACUUGCAAUUGUUGUCCUUUUUCAAUUGCUACAUGAAUCAAACCUCAAGAACUGAAACCAUCUUAUAAGCAUGUUUCCUUUCAAUUUUACAUCCUUGAUGAUUAUUUAUGAUAAUUAACGUUGUAAUAACUAUGUAUUUUUUUUUACUAUAAAAAGUAUACUUAGCCAGGUUUUUGUGCACCAAAACUAAAUUCAUCUCUUCGAUUGAGUCAAAACUCAAGCUAUUCCUGAAAGAACAAAACAACAAAAAAACAAGGGGAUUCAUGAGAAUUUUACUUAUUAAAAUAUGACAUUAAAAAAUUAUUUGAGGUAAUGAAAAGCAUCACGAAAGUAAUCUCUUUCUCAACUGGAGUUAGCUUUAAAAUAGUGUUUGAUAUUAUAGUAGUAGUUGUUUUUUUAAAUGUUUUUUUAUUUAAAAAUAUAUAAAAAUAAUAUUUUUUUUAUUUAUUAAAAUUUAUUUUUUACAUCAAAAUAUUUUUAAAACAUCAAAAAAAAAAUUAAGCAAAAAAAAUUAAAAUUUUUAAAAAACAUGGCACCACGGUAAAGACAAACAGAUUAAUAUGUACGAACACCACGAAAAAAGCUUGCUGUAAUUGAAUAUUGCAUGACUUGGUCAGUGGGGAGAAUCUACUGGGCAUUGCAUGAUGUUAGGGGAAGAACCACCUGAAUUCAAACAUAUGACGAGCACAGCAAGCACACACAGACAUCCAGUGCUAUUACUCUUUGACAUUUCGCUGCUACUUCCCUGUAUAUGAUUCGCUUGGCGCUCACCAACCUAAGCUUGGAGACUCCCUUUACUAGAAUCCAAGGAGGAAUACAAUUUCAAAAGGUUUCAAACCCACCAUGAUCACCGCAGACUGCUUAAUUACCCCAUGUCCCUUUCUCAUUUGCCUAACACACACCUCCUCGCCCUAUAAAGAGAGCCUUAAUAGUCCAAACAAACGUAGUUUUCAAUCUAUGAAGAUCGCCAAAUACAUCACUGUUCAAGGUUGUUUCUUCACAUGUCCAAAUACUAUGUAUGGACCAUGCUUUUGUUGUUAUAUACUAACUAACUUACUGUAGUAGCCAGCCCAAAACCACAUAGAGGACUUGCAUCAUGGAACAAAUCAUGACCACCUCCUGGUCAAGCCAGGCAGGCAUGGAAGAGUUCGAAGAAAAAAGGGAAGGAGAUAGAAUAUUGUCUGCUGCAGAAUAUUGGCCUGUGACUGACUUCGUUCAGGACAGCAGGGUUCAGCCUUCAGGAUUCCUGACUCCAGAACUCUGUAUGAUCUGUACAUUGGUACAGCAGGGUUAAGCCCAUCUUGCCAUUUUCGAUUUUGAUAUUUAGUCCCUUUGAGUAUCUAGAUCGUUUCAAAAACUUCUGUAAACUUAGUUUGCAGAUGUCUUAUCAUUGCUGACAUGAUCAUCAAUUUAGAUAUCCUUCAUUGAGAGGUAUACGUGAAAAACUUGUGAUGAAUGUAUAUAUCCAGAGCAAUUUUUAUUUAGACUCAUUUGUUUUUGAGUUUUAAAAGUAUUUUUAAAAAAAUUAUUUUUUUUUAUUUUAGAUUAAUUGUUUUUUAGUGUUUUUAAAUUAUUUUAAUAUGCUGAUAUCAAAAAUAAUUUUUUUUAAAAAAAUAUAUAUAUUAUUUUGAUUUAUUUUCGAGUCAAAAACACUUAACAAAACAACUAUUACGGUAAUUUCAAAUAUCCCUUUAAUUAGAUUCUUCAUUUAAAUUGCAGCUUAACUAAUGUUAGUACUUUUAGCACAUACGUUUCAUAAAUAUAUCAAUAAAUAUUUUUAAAAAAUAUUGAAAUCAAUUCUUUAGAAAUAAAAGAAAAACAGUAAAAUAUUAUGGAGAAAUGAAAUAUGAAUAAAAUUAUCUAUGUAUUACUCAAAUAAAUAAGGUACAAAUAUGUAUAAAGAUUUUAUUCAAUGUACGUGUCACUAAAUUUUAAUAUGAUUACAAUAUUAGCAUUAUAGUUUUUAUAAAAAAAAAAAUUGUUUUAAUUGUAGAUACUUCCUUUUUAAUAUAUAUGAGACAAAUAAGAUAUAGACAUGAAUAAAAAAACAAUAUGAAUAUUUUCAUUUAAAGGAGUAAAAAUAAUAUAAAACAAUAACAAAGGGUCGUAUAUUAUUUAAAAAAAAAAUCAAGGAUUUAAAUUUAUUUUUUAUAUAAAUUUUGAUGUAUUUUUACUAUUUUUCAGAUUUUAAUUAUUAACUUUUGUUGAUUUAUUUUAAGCAUUUUUAGAGUUUUAAUAGUAGAAAUAAAGUACUAUAGAUUAGAAUUGAUCCGAGAAGCUGAUUUUAUACUAUUUAAGAUUUUAUAUGGUUCAUAAAUAGAUAUAAAAUGAAAAAGUGGGAUUAAUCUAUUUUUUAAAAAUUAUAUUAAUGUUUUAGUCUAUUUCUUAAUUAAAAAUAAAAUUGAAUUGACAUAUUAGUAUUGACAUAUAUUUUGUAUUGUGAUGUAUCCAAAAAAAAUAUAUUUUUUUCUUUUUAUAUAUAUAUAUAGUAGAAGCCAUUUAAAUUUCGGCAUGUAGAGUUUUUAUUUUUUAAAGUAAGACAAUAUAUUUGGUAUUUACUGACAAAAUCUUCUUUGUAUAUAUAAUAACUUUUAAAAAAUUAAGGAUAUUUUAUUGAAUAAAAUAGUUCAACACAACAUUUAUUGAUAUAAAAAAAAAUUAAAAUUUUUUAAAUUUUUUUUUAAAACACAAAAACAAACAGGGCCUUGAGUGUGUGAGUAAUGUUUAAUCCAAACUGAAUUUUUAAUUAAAUUAUAUAAAAUAUUAACUUAAUUAAAUUCAUUUAAUUCAAUGUGAUUUAAUUAUCAUAUCUAAAUAUAUUUUAAAUUUAAUAAUAUCAACACUAAACACAAAAAACAUUAUCAUUUAUAAAUUGAUGAUCUAUGGUCAUUACAUCGGGUAUGAUAAUUAUGCUUACAAAAAAAAUGUCACAAUCAAAAAGUACUAAGGUAGUGUGGAAGUCCAAGCGACAACCAUUAAAGUUAUGUUUAUGAGUGAGAUAAAGCCGGGGUGAGUAUGAGGUUUUUUUUUUUUUUUUUUUUUAAGUACAACUUGUUUAUGCAUGAUUUAUGUUUGGGUGUUUGGGAGUGUGGUAAUAGUUGUUUUUUAAAAUAUUUUUUAUUUGAAAAUAUAUUAAAAUAAUAUAUUUUUUAUUUUUUAAAAAAAUAUUUUUGACAUCAGCAUAUCAAAAUGAUUUAAGAACAUUAAAAAAAUAUUAAUUUGAUGUAAAGAAAUUUUAUUUUUUAAAAGUGAGUUUAGAAUUAAGAUGCGGUGGCAAUGUUUGGCACAACCACAUCUUACUUUAAAAGUAAAAAAAUAUAUAUUUUUUUAUUAUUUUUAUGUAUCCCAUAAAACCACAAUCACUUCUCACUACACAUUCUAAAAACUAUAAAUACAUGUGUGUUUUUAGAUUUCAUAAAAAAAUUUAAAUUCAUCUUGUUUAGGUGGUGUAUGUUUUUAUGGUGACAUCGUGAUUUUAAAAAAAAUUAAAUAUUUUUAAAUAUUUUUUUAAUAAGUUUAUAUCAAAAAUAAAUUUUAAAAAAUAAAAAUUUAUUUUAAUAUAUUUAUAUAUAAAAAAAGCUUUAAAAACACAAUAUAAAAAAUUAUAAUAACAUACGCGGCAUAAGCGUGGCCGUAGUUUUUCUUAAAAAGUGCACAGGCGACGGCGUCUGUUCUUACCCUUUUUAUUACAAUGAUCAUCGCCGCUAAUUGCCACUGUCCUUUUCAACUCUUUUACUCCUUUUCCUUUUUAUUUUUUUUCCUCGAAGUUCCAAAUUUAAAAAUUUACUCCUCUUGUCAAUUGUCGUCAACAGAAUCUUACCAUCAAUUGCUAUGAUAUGUUUGACAGUGUGGGAAUCAUUAAUUUGAUUUAUGGCUAUAAUUUUUAGUUUUGAUUAUAGUUUUUAAAUGUUUGGUAAUUCUUUAAAAGAAAAUAUCACAUCUCUUUUCACUUAUUAUUUUUAAAAAGUUAUAAUUUAUAAUUUUUUCAAAAUCAUCACCACAUUUAAAAGUCAUAACUUUUCUAAACGGAUUCAUAAUUUUGUGCGGUGAUAAUAUAUUAUGAUUAUAUAGCAUUAUGAAUUAAAAGUAAUAUAUUUUUUUUAUUGACAUGGGUGUUCGGAUCAGCUUGCGUGUAUCUCGACUAAUCUAUAAAUGAUAAUUCAUUGUUGUAAUUCUAAUUAAAAGUAAUAUUAAAAAGAAUAUUAGAUUUCAUGAAAAAAUGUUUUUUUCGAUUAAAAAGGUGAUACUUUAAAAUAUAAAAAUAUAAAAAUAUAAAACAUUCACUUAAUCUUUCAGAUAAAUCCAUAUCUAUCCCCCUUGAGAUAUUCAUGGCACCAAGUAUUAAUAAUUAUUAUAGUAUAUUUUAAUUUUUUAUUUAUUAUAUCAAGUAUUCUUAUUUCUCAUUUUCGUUCUCUGUUUUUUUUUUUGCUGUGACUUUUUCAUGAGGACCAUUGGAGGCCAAGAUUGAAAUCCUUUGCCUAGACAUGAGUGAAACUGAAGAUUUUUGAUUCCAUGAUUGAUUAACCUAGUGUUUUUUUUUUUUGAUAUUUUUUUUAUUAAUAUAAAUGUCCGGACUCAUUUGUGCAUGCAUCAACUAAAAUUUCAAGGAAUUAUUUAAUUUUUUUAUUAUUUCAAAGAGACUCGUUUACAUACAAUUCCAAUAUUUGUUGUUAGGUUAGCAAAAAGGGAAAAAAAAAACUAGUUAAUUAAAAUUCUAUCGUUUUACAGAGGAUAGAAACUGGAUCUUGCUCUGAGGUAAAGCCCAAGAUGUUGGGAGCCCAUUUGAGGUAUAGAUCAUUCCCUGAACUGCCAUGCACCAUGACAAUCCUAUAAGAGGAAGGGCUGGCAAUCGGAAAACUAUGAACACAAAUUUUCAUUAAUCUAAAACCCUAUAUGAAAAUAGGUUUUCUUGCUAAAUCGGAAAUAUGAGUUUUUGAUCCGAUAGAUAAUAAGUUUUUCUUUGAUUAUUAGGAUCUAAACCCCGAAUUAGAUUUUAAUGUUUUUUAGUUUUUAUUUAAUACUUAAGCUGAUAAAAAAAAAUGUCAAACAAAAAAAUUAUAAUAAUAAAUCAGAUCCUUUCAUUUAAUAAAGAAUUGAAACAUAUUUAUUUAAGAUAAAAGCUUGUCACUUAUUGGGCCACUUGGUGGAAAUAUAUGUUCUUGUUUAUAGAAUUUAGUUUCAUAAUUUUCCCUUCUUUUUAUACAGUUAUUGUUAUAUAUUUUUUAUUAUAUAAUUAAAUAAAACAUCUUAUUAGAUACAUUAUAGUUUAUGACUUGACUCGUAUUUUUUCUAUAUUUAAAACAUGUUAGUAAUAUUAAGAUAUUAUUUUUAUACAUUAAAAAAAACCAGUCCAUCCACGACAAAACAUGAGCCACUUAUCUAAAUUAUCAUUAAAGUGAAAAACAAAACCUCCUAAAGUUGGUUUAUUAGUUGAGGGAUUAGUCAUUGAGAUAGAGAUUUAUAAGUUCAUGAUUCAGUAAUCCCCUUCCUUCAUCAUUAUUGUAUCAUUAGUUAUUUACUAGUUUAUCUACAAUGUUUUUACUGUCAAAUAUUUUUAGAUUAUUAAAAACUUUUUAAUAAUAUUAUCAAACUCAAUAUAAUAAUUUAAACUUCAAAAAUUUCUACCCAAUACUUCGGUUGAUAUUUUAGUCAACCCAAUACAUUAUAAAUCUUUUGUUAUAUGAUAUAAAAUAUUAAGAUUAAUUAAUUAUCAAACCAAUAUUAAAGGAUAAAAUUCAACUAAAAUCGUACACUGAAUGAUGGACUCCACUUGAUUAAUUUAAUUUUUUAAAUUUUAUUAAACAAUAAAAAAAGGUGAUUUGCCAUUAAUAAAAGUAAGACUGCGUUUGUUUCUUGAAAACUGGUUUCCGAAAAACCACUUUCAAAACUUUCCUGUGUUUGUUUGUUAUUAGAAAAGUUGGUCAAUGAAAAACACUUUCCAGUCAAAGGAAAACUUGGCUUGAUUUCUAGGAAAGUGUUUUUCUUUUAUUUUAGACGGAAAACACUUUCCGGAAGUUGUGAAAAGUUUAGAAAUGUCAUAUUAUUUGCUGAUUAUAUCAAAUUAGGUCCUCAAACUUUUGAUUGCUAUAUAUAUUUUGUUUUGAAUAUUUGUUUUUCAAUUUCAUCCCUUGGAAUUUAAUUUUUAUAUUAAUUUUGGUCUUUAUUUUUAUAAUUGUUAUUUGCUUUUCCCUUAUCAUUUUUUAAUUGAAAUUUUUUAUCUAUCAAAUUUGGUCCUCAUUCUUUUGAUUGUUACUUAUUUUAUUUGAAAUAAUUUAUGAAAUGUUAAUUAUUAUUAUUUUAAUUUCUUCAUCUUUUAUUUUUUUUUAUUUUUUAGAUUUGAUAUUUUGAUUAUUAUUUAUUUUUUCGAGAUAAUUUAUGAAAUUAUAUUUUUUUUCAAUUUCAUUCUCAUUCAACUUUUUAAUUUGUAAGAUUUUUUCAUUAUUAUUUUAAUAAACUUGAAAAAAAUAAAACAUUAAUAAGUUAUUUUUCAGCUUAUUUUCCAUGAUAUAACCAAAUACUGGAAAAUGUUUUUCAAUUUAUUUUUCAUUACACUACAAAACAUCAGAAAAUAAUUCAUUUUCCCGAAAUUCACUUAAAAAAAAAACUAUUUUUCAGCAAACAAACGGUUUAAAUAGAAACCCAAUCAACCUGGAAAAAAAAUUAAAAAAAAACUCAGAAAAAACAAAAUGAGCAGGAAAAAAAACGAACAUGAUCAUUGAUAACUUUUAUCCUGGCAAUCUUCUUCUGACAGGCUUGCACCUCACUGUGGUCCUAGCAAUUAAGCCCACUGCUUUUGUUAUUUUUGUAAUCUUCUUGUUCUGUUUUUGAAAAGGGAAGCCAGGGCCAAUUGCAGAAGAAAGAAUCGUUGGCCAACGAGUAAUGUACUUUCUCCAUGCUUUUGACUUUUUUGGAAUGUAAAGAAAUAGUAUUUUUGUAAGAGAAAAGGGAUUUUGGCUAUUGAAAUAACUAUUAAAAGAGAAGAUAAUAGCUUAAAGGAUAAUUUUUUGGCUUUGGCUUUUCUUUUACUUUUGUGUUGGAGGUUCUCUAAGGUGGGCACCUCCAAUCCGGUGGUGAUUUUGUGUUAAAAGCAGCGUGGACAGGGCACAAUGAUAGAUGUAGCUGGCCUCUGAUACGGUGGCUCUUUCUAUUAGUGCCAGGAAAUGUAACAUGAAUGCUGCCAUUGCAUCAUCAACCCUUGUUUGGAAAUUAAAAGAGAGAGAGAGAGAGAGAAAAGCUAUUCAUUUUAAGAGAAGAUUUCUUUUUAUCUGAUCGUUUUACCACUUAAUUAUGAGGUGUUCUUGAACAAAAAUAGUUUUGUUUAGCUCGAGGAUGUUCAAAUUAUAAUCAAAAUGAGUCAUGAUGUCAUAUUCAUUUACUAGGAUGAGAUUAAUGUAUAUAUUGAUAUAUUUGAAAUUAUACAUGAACAAGGAGAGGAAGAAGGAGGUGCCUUUUAGGAUUCCCAUUUUUAUUUUUUUUAAUUUCUACUUUUAUUUACCAUAAGUGUUAUGAUUCACUUGGUAAUGUUUAGUAUUAUUAAGCAGAGAUUUUUUUAAUUAAAAAUAUAUUAAAAAUAUAUUUUUUAUAUUAAUACAAAAAAAUUAUUAAUUUAAUAUUUUUUUUAAAAAAACUUCUUUAAAAACAAUUUAAAAAACAGAACCAAAACCAAACACUCGAUUAGUACAUAGUUAAUUAUAACCUAAACUAAACAUGGAAUAUCAAGCCAAAAAUAUAACAUAAUUUGUUGAAUCUAGACCAAUAAGCAUGGACAAAUAUUUGAUUUAUCCAAGCUUGAAAAAUAAUUUAAAGAAAAAAAAAUCAGAAUAAACCCACCGACUAUAGACAGUAAAAAGAACACCAAUCAAAUGGUCCCCAGAACUAAAACUCCCGGCGGACCCUACCCCAUUGAUGAUCAUCUUUUCAGGACAAGAUGCCACGACCACCUCCACGUAUGUGUGCAGAAUCAUACUAAUGUAGCUCCUGGUUAAUGGGCCCCGCAGCAGUUCCUCUAUGUGGGGCACACUUUUCACUGCUCGCCUAAUGUCCUUCUUCCUGUCUGUCUUAUAAUGGCCUAUGUUGACGUUACACGCUGUGCAAAGUGCAAGAGACAAUGGUUACUGGUUACUACCGACAGAAGAGAGUUCUUGAAUUAUCGAGUUAAUUUUAUUAGUUUCUCCAUUUUGUUUUUCAAAAAACUUUGUAAUCCCUUCAUCUUAAAAUUUAUUCAUCACCUUAAUUUGGUGUAGUGAUUUUUUUUUAAUUCUAUAACUAAUUUACUUGCUCUUUUUUCAUCGCCUGUGAUGUACAUUACGGCAAUGUUUGGCACUCCAGUAAGAAAUUUUUUUUUUAAUAAAUAUAUUUUUAAUGUUUUUAGAUCAUUUUGAUAUGCUGAUAUCAAAAAUAAUUUUUUAAAAAUAAAAAAAAUAUUAUUUUAAUGUGUUUUAAAAUGAAAAACAUUUUAAAAAACAACCGCUAUUACACUUCCAAACACCCUCUACAUGAUGUUGAAACUUCCAUACACAUAGGUCGCAACCGACAUAAUAAAGUUUUUAGAUUUUUUUUAAUUGUGGAUAUCUAGACCAGUUUACAUGUACCUCGAUUAAUCUUCUGAAACCCUGAAAUUAAUGACUAGGUAAGCCUUCAAUGACCCUAAGGUUUGUGACACUCGAACUAGUGACCUUUAGGAAACAAAUUCAGGUCUGACCAAUUAAUUUACACCUCUCAUAGUUGAGUUAAUAGAUUUUUAGAAGCUCUGUUUAUUUCGCAGAUACAUGUAUUUUUUUUUUAAAUUAAUUUUUUAAUUUUAAAUUAAUUUUUAAAUAUUUUUAAGUUAUUUUAAUAUUUUUAUAUAAAAAAUACAUUUUUAAAAAAUAAAAAAUAUUAUUCAAUAUAUUUUCUAAUAAAAAACACAAAGAAUUUAUUUAACCGAAGAAAACAGAAGAGAGUUCCAAGUUUCAAGCAGUAGAAAUACAAGGUUGAGACUUGAGAUGCCCGGACUUUACGGUGUGGUGUAAGAUAGUGAGAUUAAUGUCUCAUUAAAUCAUGCCGUUACUUAUCUUUUGUUACCAUGUUAUCCCCUACUUGCAUAGGCGCGUGGAUUAGCUUUGGAUCCUUUCAUUUUUGGCAAUUAGCCGUAUUGAUUAGCAUAAUACUAGUUUCUGCGGUUUGAAUUGAAAAAAAUUUUAAAUGUAAAAAUAUGUUUAGAUAAUAAUAAAAUAUUUAAUAUUAUUAUUAAAUUUAUUUCAAUGAAUUAAUUUUAAAAUCUUUUGAUUCAAUUCAUUUUGUAACUAGUUUUUAAAAUUAAAUUAUUUGAGAAUUAUCUCGACGUGAUUCAUUUGACUUAACUGGUUCAAAUACAACCUGCAUAACCAGUAAAUAAAUAUAAUUUGAUUUAAAUAGAUUUUUUUUAAUAUUAAGAUGUUGAUAUAUUAAAUAGACUCGAGUUUCGUAACUUAAUUUAUCAAAUUUAUAACUUGAGUAACAAACUCCACCGUGUUUAAAAAUUUUGUUUUUUAAAACUAUUUUUUACUUAAUUAUACAAUAAAAAAUUAAAUACUUGUAAAAUCAAGCAUAAACUAAAUGUUGAGAUAUUUAUUUGAAACUGUGAUAACCUCAUAUAAAAUAAAUUAAAAUAAUUUAUCAAAACAAAGUCAAAAUUAAAUAAAUAUUAAAAAAUUAAAUUAAAAAAAAUAAAAAAGCUAUCUCUUCACUAUUUAUAUUAACAAUGAAAGAGAUGAAUUAUCACUCAAUUUAGUUAUGAGUAAUCAUGUUUGAAACAUGAGAAAUUUUUCAUUCCCUAGUUAAAAGCACAUAGGUAUUGAUUUUUCAUAUAGUUAAUGUGUGUUAUGUGAGAUUUAAUAUCUCAUAAACUAAUGUAAUUUAAAUUUAGAUUUCACUUGUAUACCAAUUUAAAAAUAUAUAAUUUUUUUAUAUGUGCUUAUUUUAUUUAUUUAUUUACAAAGAUUUAAAGAAAACAGUAAUUAAGUAUUGAAAUUUAGAAGUUGGUUUUUUUAACGGUUCAAACUUCAAGAUAUUGUUAAGGAAGAUUUAUUAAAUUUUUCUAAAUAUAUUAGAUUCAAGUUGAAAGUGUCUCUUUAAAAUUGCUUAAAGUAAAAGAAUUAAUCUCGAUCACAGGUAAAUUCACUAGAAAAUACUUUAAUUAUCAAAUAAAAAAAGCAAUCAAGGGCAAUUGGUCUCUUAUGGAGGAAAACCACGCACCAUGAAUUGGCGUGGGAGCUCUUGUAAUUGCUUGAGCGUUAUUGUCUAUUCUUCAAAUAAUUACGAAAAGGAAUCAAGCUAAUUUAAUCAAAAGUUUUCACCAAAUAAUUAAAUGCAAAACCAAAAUCUUGUUCCAUUUUAGUGUCCCCAUGAUCUGACUCACCACCCCCUCUCUCUCAGGGAAUAAAUUCAGCGGAUUCUGCUCAAAGCUUCAAUCUUUGAAUCCCUCGCAUUGUAAAAAGAUUGCGACUUUCCCUCUCUUUAUCUCCCUCUUAACUACAUUCAAACUCUUCAAACCUAGUAAGUUUUUCUUCUUUUAUUUCCUCCUUUCUGUGGUUCUCUUGUGUUUAAAGUUUCUAAAAAAUUACUCUAAGCAUCUCCCUUUUGUUCUAUGUUUAUCUCUUCCUAUCAACUCUUUGUGGUGAUUAUUAGAUCUGAAACUGCUUAGAGCAAAACCCCACUUUUUAUUUAUUGCAUUUCUUGAAUCUAACUGCUUCUUGGUUAUUAAAGUUUGAGUUUUAAGUUGAAAGUUAAUAUUUUUGUUGCUUUUUUUUUUUAUCACCUGUAAAUACCUUUCUUUUAUUGGAAUUGUUAUGGGUUUUCAGCUUUUUCCUUGUAACUGUUAUUGCCAUAAAGAUUUCUUUUCGAUUUUGCUAAUUUGGGAAUUUGAGUUCUUAAUCUAGGAAUCUUGGUGGGGUUUUGUUAAUAAGCAUGUUAAUGCAACUUUGCUUCAAAGCCUUGAUAGAUUAGAAGCUAUUCAUUUAUCUGAAACGGAGGGUUUGCUUCUAUUUGGCUCUUUUCUGUUUACUAGAUUGAUGGGGGUUUUGCUUUAAUUGAUAGCAUUUCUUGGUGUCCUCUGAUAAUUUGGAGAGUUUUUGAGUUAGAGGAGAACGAUGUCUAUCAAAAAGGCAUUGGUGAGUAUGAGGAAGAAUGGAAGUUCCCACUCGGGAAGGUUGUUCAGUGAUAGAAAAUGGCUUAUCCCAUUCUUUGCAAGCUUGCUAGUGUUCUUAACUCUGUUUUCAUCGGCUACUUUUGGGGUGUUUACAUCUUCUUUUGGAGGAGAGCAGGUGCCAUUUGACAUUGUUUCGUAUUCAAGACCGGAGGACUCAAGUGGGUAUUUCGUAGAAUCGGAUUUAAAGAAAUGGUUUGAUAGAAGUAGGUAUUCAGAAUUGGAACCGCCUAGAUUAGCUUAUCUCAUUUCAGGUACGAAGGGUGAUAGUCAAAGAAUGAUGAGGACUUUGCAGGCUGUGUAUCAUCCUAGAAAUCAGUAUAUUCUACAUUUGGAUCUUGAGGCACCCCCACGAGAAAGGUUGAUGUUGGGAGGGUAUGUGAAGAAUGAUCCAACGUUUCAAGAAGUUGGGAAUGUGCGUGUAAUGGCACAGUCCAACUUGGUGACUUAUAAAGGGCCUACAAUGUUUGCCUGUACCCUUCAAGCAAUUGCAAUCAUGUUGAGGGAGAGUUUAGAGUGGGACUGGUUUAUCAAUCUCAGCGCUUCAGAUUAUCCUCUUGUGACACAAGAUGGUUAGUACCUGUUGCUGCUGCAUUUUUACUUGUUUCAUAAUUAUUAUUGCUGCUUUUUUCCUAUUCUGUUGGGUAACUUAUUGUGUUCGAUUUCCAUAAGAGGAUUGAUAACGUUUAAGAAUGGUAAUUUACUUAUUGAAUUAAUUUGAACUUCUCUCCACAUAUUCUGUAAAACUGUGUAUUGGUUCUUGUAUCCAGCAUAGGUGAUAUCUGACAAAUUGGAGUAUAAUAAGUCGAUUUCUUAGGUUAUGUAAUUAGCUUGGAGCAAAAUUUUAUGCAGUAAGUUGCUUAUCAAAAAUAAUACUGGGUCAUUGAAUCCGAUCCUUGCUUCAGUUCACACGAACAAUUUGAACCCAUUAACUUGUGUGAAUGUGGUGUUUGGGUCCAACCAGGUUUCCUUCAUGCCGUUCACAUAUCAUUUACCAAGCUCAUGGUAUUCCACUUCUUUAGUUCUAAUAAUAUGAAGCUUCAAUUUGUUUCCUUUAGGGCUAAGUUUUGAGCUAUCGCUCUCAAGUAGGUUCUUGCAUUUUGCUUCUAAGGGAAAGGAUAUCUUUGUUUUGCCUUGGGGAAUGCGUGUGGUGAGCAUACUCAAUGGAUCACCUUUUCUUUAGCACCGCACCCUACUGUUGCACUUUAGCAAUAGAGAUAUAUUUCUCGACUGCAUUUGCAAGAUGUUUAGGAGAUCAUGAUUAUGCCAUCAAAAUUUUCUUAUGGGAUUCUAUUUAUACUAGAAAAUGAAGAACAUAAUUAAUUACACCGAGGUUUACACUUGGAGUCUAAGACCGUUUAACAGUUUUUUCAAGGGAAUAUAGCCACUGUAUUGCUGUCACCUGCUGAAGGGCUGGCUCACUAUGUGCAGCUGCUAAGUGCUAACCCUUUCUUUUGGGUUCAAGGAACCUCAAAUUCUGCUGUCUCAUGGAGUUUUUCUGUUUGUCAUCCAGGAGUGGAAAAUUUUGCUGUGUACUUAUUUUAAACAUUGCCAUAGCCCUGUAACAGCUAGAUUAUGCUUCCGCAUUUUUUCUCUCGACUCUAGUUAUUUUUAAGGAAAAAGAUAAUCUCCUGUGCUCUUUCUUGUUCCUGUAUUGCACAGUAAUUCUCUUUGAAAAAGUUAAUUUUUCUGAAAAGGCCAAUACUAGGUGUUGGCCCUUCCAAAGUAGCUUCUUGCAAUGUUUAAUUUGGAAACUCAUCAACUGUAUAAAUCAUAACAAGGUCGCAGCAUUUAUCUUAUUUGAUCAACAACACAUUAUCUCACUCUAUGGUUUUUGGUAUACAAUCAUGUUCAAUGGUUGCCUCUCAACUAUCUGAUUGACUUGCUAUUCACAAGUUGCAUUGGAUGGAUGAACUGACAGAAACAGCAUUGUGCCUACAAAUCUUUUCAUACUGUUCAGCAAUAUGACUAAGUCCCUCAUUAAUUUGCAAAAUUUCAUGUGAUAAUUCUGAUGGGUACAGGGGAUUGAAAUAUUUUUUACUCAAGUUUUGGAAUUUCUAUUUCCUGUAAAUAUGGAUAUGCUUUGCAGUUGUAAAAUCUAAUUGUAUUUUGACUGUGCAGAUUUGCUCCAUGUGUUCUCAAAUUUGUCUAGAAACCUUAAUUUCAUUGAACAUACACAGCUAACUGGAUGGAAAUUGUAAGUGAAGAAAACACAAAACUUUGCACCACUACCUUAGCAAAACUUCAUCUGCUUCUAUUUUCUGAAAAAAGAAUUCACCUAGGGUAUUUUGAUCUGCCAACUUUUUGCAGGAACUCCAGGGCAAAACCGAUUAUUGUUGAUCCAGGCCUUUACUCAUCAAAGAAAUCUGACCUUUAUUUUACCACUCAACGCAGAUCACUUCCCUCAUCUUUCAAGUUGUUUACUGGUAUGCGUGUCUAUCUAAGCUUCAUGGAUUCAUUGAGCAUACAGCAAACUUGUUUUUGUUUUGAGAAAUAUUUAGCUAUGAGAUGAUAGUUGCAUCUUUGAAGGAUUGCAUUGCAUUUCUGAUUCAUGUUAGCUUGAAACUGUCUAUUGCAGAAACAUAUUUUCACUGCAUAUCCCAUACAUCCCCAUCCCCAUCCCCAUCCCCAUCUCUGUCUUGCUCUGUGUAUGUGUUUGCAUCAAACAAAUUCACCGGUGUGCAUACGAGGACAGGAAACAUGGUGGUAGUGUCUGACUAACACCAUUGUAUGAGGCUCCCCCAGAUACGAUAAACUACGCUCUGCACCGACCAAAAUUUGGUAUAUUGUGGAAUGCAUAUAACCAUACACUGACAUCUUACAUAUGAUAUGGAUGAAUGCUGACAUGUCAUCAUUAUCAUCUUAACUUCUUGUCAGAGAUCUUUCAUGUUGCAUGAUGUUGUUGUGCAGUCAGUUGCAGAGAAUGCAGUAGGUGAAAACAAAUCACUAUCUUGAUCUUUUACCCUAAAAACGUCUUUUUGGCCUCUCCUUUCAAGUUGGCUACCCUGGAUUGAUAUAAUGAGGGUUUCUUUCUGUAUUUUGUUUUCUACCCUUACUUUUUUUGCACUGUUUUCAAAAUUUGAACUGUUUUAAGUCAGCCCAUUGAAGUGAGGCAUUGUGAGGGAGAAUUUGGAGACAUUCGUCCCCUUCAUUAGUGUUGCUUGAAGUGGCUUCUCUUGAAGCUGCACAAGAAGCAACUCCCACACAUUAUGGGACGAACCUCAAUUGAGUCAGUUGAUAGCCCACUAGAUUAUCUUUAGUGGUGGUUCCCAAGGCAAAUGGGACGAUCCCAAAUCCUUGCAUGGUCGAGUACCAUGAGGCAAAAUACUGUGUGGUCAUUUGAUUCUUUUAACCCUGCAUCUGGAUGUCUUCCUGCAAUUGUUUAACUCAUGGCCUCUAGAAAAUCUGAUUACUUUCUGUAUAUGAGACUGUCCUUUAUUCUUUUGUUUUUAAUAUGAAAAGGAAAGAGAAGAAAAGAAAAUGCUGUUUGUCUUUUCUCUGGUAUACAGGUUCAGCAUGGGUAAUGCUGACACGAUCGUUUCUCGAAUACUGUAUAAUGGGAUGGGAGAACCUUCCACGAACUAUCCUAAUGUACUACACAAAUUUCAUCUCCUCUCCUGAAGGAUAUUUCCACACUGUUAUUUGCAAUACUGAAGAAUUCCAAAACACAGCCAUAGGUCAUGAUCUCCACUACAUAGCCUGGGACAGUCCUCCUAAGCAACACCCUAUCUCUUUGACAAUGAAAGACUUUGAUAAAAUGGUUAAAAGCAAUGCCCCAUUUGCCCGGAAAUUUGCAAGGGAUGAUCCAGUUCUAGACAAGAUUGAUAAAGAGAUUCUAAACCGCACGGGCAGGUUUGCUCCUGGAGCAUGGUGUAUUGGCGGCGCAGACAAUGGAUCUGAUCCAUGCUCCAUACCCGGUAAUUAUUCAGUAUUUAGACCAGGUCCUGGUGCUCAGAGGUUACAAGAACUGCUCCAGACAUUAUUGUCCGAAGAUUUUCGAAAAAAACAGUGUUCAUGAUGAAAGAAAAUUUUGACUACUUUCAAAUGUACAUUGAUAUAUUCAUAUAGAUUAUACAGCUGGUGUAGAGCGGUGGAAAUUUUUUCCCUUUUUAUAAAUCAAUGAAAGAUCAAGGUUGAUAGAAGAAAUAUUUGAUUCAUCAUAUGAGCAGUGGUUAUGAUAAUAUUUGUGCUGAUGUAUGAAUACAGCUAACACCAUGCUCAAAAGGGUUGCAAUCAGUUGCCCUUGUGAGGUCGAAAUGUGAUGGCAUUCAGCACCUGGAGACCCAAAAGGAGAAAAAGAAAAAGACCGAGGGAGGUAACUUGGAAGUUUGGAGGAGUUUUAAAAAGAAAAGGGACAGAGUAUUUCUAAUAAUAGAAAAUUAUUUUUCUUUUUUAUCAUCAAUUUUUUUCUCCUAUUCAGUUUUACUUUUUCAAUAAAAAAUUAGAAAAUGUAUUAAUAUUUAUAUUUUUAAUAAUCUAAUUAUAGAAUAUUAAUUUUAUUUCAUUCAAAUUAAAUUUAUUAUGAAAUAUUUAUACUUGUUAAUUCAAAAAUUGAAUUUAUGAUAACAAUUAAAUAUAAAAAUAGAUAAAAAAAAUAAAUAUAAUAUUUUACAUAAAGAGUGCUUGAAUAUAAAAGAAAAAUAUUGUAUUAUUCAUCAUUUAUUUAUUUUUAUUUGUAAAGAAAAAUUAUUGAGAACCUAAAAAAUGUUUUUCAAACUCAAUACAGAUUUGUAGAACUAAAUAAUUAGUUUUUUUCUGAAAAAAAUAUAGCAUUUGAACAUAAAUUUUAAAUUUUAUUUUCAACUACUUCUCAAAAAUUAAAAUAUUAUUCUGUUUCUAGACCGUUUAAAAAACGGUUUGUUUAACCUUGUUUUUCUAAGAUAACAUGCCUGACGAACAAAACCCAGGAAAUCAUGCUGCUAUACAUUUUCAUAUUGAUCUUGAAAUUUAUUGAGUUUUAGAUAUUGAAAGGGCAGAAAUACACGUUUUUUUUGCUAAAUCGCAGGGUCAAGGAAAGAAAAAAUAGCAAUAUAUUUGCAUAAAAUGACUUAUUCAGAAGUAUUUUUCUGGUGUGGAAUUCAUUGCUUAUCCAAGAUAUCCUCUUAAAUUUUGAACACAGUAAAAACUUUCAGAGUCGGGAUCAGACAGUAAGUAAGUGGAAGUAGAACAAAGAAAGAAUCAGCAAGUGAUCUAAAAACAGAUAACUGCACGUAGUUUUGAUCAUUUCUUGGACAUUUUUUCUUACUAGAGACAUUAAGCCUGGAUUAUGUUUUAUAUACAGGGGACAAAAACAUAUUUGGAUGAAAAGACAAACAUAAACAUAUAAUAAAUCUGUCCUGAAACUAGUUUGGAAUAGAUUUCUAUCUUCUCAAAAUAGAAAGAAUAGAAAGAUAUGUCUCCAUUAUCUUCGUCUCAUCUAUCUGGUGGUGGUGACGGUAACCAAAAGCUAUCAUAAAGUAGCUACCAAUUGAGUAAGCUUAAGAUUUAAACAGUUGAUCAGUUUAUGUUAUUUGGUUAUGUUCUUUGACCAUUAUGGUCAGCAGAAAUUUGAUAAUCAGUUUAAUGUCCAAACGAGUGUUUGAUCAGUCUCUCCUAGCAGAGAUUAAAUUCAUGUACUUUUGCACAAUCAUUUCUGGUGAAAGAUCAGUGAAAUAGCCCUUCUCUACAUCCAACCCUUCUUGAGCUGCCAACAUCUCAACCUGUGCUUGCACCCUGUCUGGGCCAAUCCGAUUAGGCUCCAAGAGCAUGCAAGCAAUCUCAGCUGAAUCAUCGCCAUGAAAUAGGGCCAAAGAUUGUACUGUUGGGAGCCCACCACCGCGAGCACUUACCAUGCGUGCUAUCCGUCGAGCAGUUGAAACAUCGGUGCACAUGAUGGGAAUGUUGUAUAAUGUGACCCAUGACCGUGCCCCUAUCAGCGUGACUCCUCUGGUCCGAGACACAUGGUUUGGACCAUGGUCAGGAUUUUCUGGGAGAAUUUCGGGUAUGUUCCACCCUGCCCAUUGGCUGCCCAUGAAAUUUGGCCUGUAGUAGCCUAGCUCACGCCUGAUUGUGUCCGGGGCCCUGCCUGUUGGGUGUGCUGCAGCAUAAAGAAAUACCGGCACUGCAAUAUAUCAAGAAAGAAAAAUUAGAAAGUGGUGGAUAUUUUCGAGACUAAAAAAAUGCUGUUUCGAGUGAAAUAUUAACAUCUGCAGUGUGAUAAAUAUGGUUCUAGUUAAAGUUUUGGACCAACCUUGAAAUCUGCUGCCAAUAUCUGCUGCCACAGCCUUAGCAAGCCAGGCUGCUUCAUCCAGUGAUGCUUCAGCCAAAGGGUGGAAAGCAAUAUCAUCUACAACGCCAAGUCGAGGGUGUGCGCCAGAGUGCAACUCUAGGUUAAUGGCUCCAUAAGCAGCCUCAACAAUGGCUAGCACUGUUUGGUGCAAUGGACUAUAAAUGGGACUACCAGUGCUAUCAACAACAACAUAUGAUACAAUAGUGAACCUGAUCCUAUUAUAAACUCGGUCCUCAAAUUUGUUUACAAUGACACUUUCUGGGUCGAUCCUAGCAGAUCGUUCAAUUAAGUCCAGAGCUGCACGGUUACGUGCUUCAGAGAUGAAGAGCAUGCAGCAUAUCAGCAUGGAUUCAUUUGCAGUUUUUUUGUUCUAUGCAACCAAGACGAACAAGAGGAAAUUAGAUAUCUACUGAUGUUGGUAAAAGAGUUCACACCAAUGAGUCAAAGGCCUAUUGGUACCCAGCCAAUUAAUCCCAUCCUAUCAUUUGAUCAUAAUAAUUCAAAGUGUAUGAUCAAAAUUGUCAUUUUCAAGACCAGUGACCAUUUAAUCUAGCGAUGAUGUCUCUUGCAAAACAUGAGAAGGGGAAAGACUCAAAUUUGCGUACUGUCUAAACAAUCAAAGAAAAGAGACUGGUCACAUGCUCUGUGUAUAGCUUUCUGCUAUUUAUAAAGAAGCGUUUGGUUGCUGUUUAUGGACAGAAAAGAUAGAGACAGUGGGACAGAGGAAAUAUGUCCCCCUGUUCACUCCAAAAUUGUCCCCUACACAUUUAUUUCAUGUUUCCAUUUCUCAACCAUACAAGUUUCUGUCCCUUCUAUACCUGUCCCUUCUAUCAGAGGACACUAACCAAACACAACCAAGGAACAAGUGUGUGGUAGAUUGGCAGGUAAAUGGAGGUCAUGUUUAGAGAUUUUUCCAGGGGUUAACUUGUUACAUGGUCAAAUUGGUUUAGCUUCAAAUGCUUCUGGAUUAUCAGCUGGCUAGUUGUAUUGAAAAGAAAAUACUUAAAAGAAGUAGAAUGCCAAAAGAAGAUCAUGCUAAAAAAUCCUAAAAACUAAAAGGAUACUAGAGAUAAAGAGUAUAUGGCAUCUAUGGAGACAACAACAAAGAAGGGAAGUAGAAAGAAGCUACUCAAAUUGCUAAAAAAUUAUAUUGAUCCCACAAAAAACUCAAAUGGGAUGAUUUUAGUUGUUUUAACAUUCAUUAGUAAAUUUGUACGAAACAAGAACUUUUCAAAUGAACACAAACUUCCGAGCUAAUGUUCUAAUUCAGAAGUGAUCAAAAUUCAACAAAGAUCAAAAUAAAUAAUCUUGCUGCACAUGUAAAAACAGACACAUGAAGAUAUAAAGGUAAGUAUCCAUGCAGCAUGGGCUCAAAACACAGAGCAAAAGAAAAGAUAACCCAGAAGAGAGAAAGAAGAGAUGAAAUUCUAUGGAAGACAAUAAUGUGGAGUUGAUGAUGUUUACCUUGCAACUCGAGUCAAAAUCCAUUUCUUGCCUUCUGCUCAAGAUGAUCUUGAUGCUUUUGCCUAUGCUUCACUAUUCAAGGGAAGGAAUUGAUGGUGAGAGGAUGUGCCCUAUGUGCAUGUAUAAGCCAUUAAAUCACUACUAAUAAUUUAAGCUAGUGUGAGUCAGCAUUACACAAAUUCAUUAAAAAACUGUCCCCACAAUUCGACAACAAAAUCAGAGCUAUGGAUAAGGAGAAAUCAGUGGCUUAUAUACCAAAAGCAGAUCCACAUGGCGCUGAAUAGCAUCAUAUUUUACUCAUAAGAAAGCAUUGUGUGUCAUGAGUAGACAUAUCAUAUGUAUGCAGAUCAUUUUCUUAUGAAAGAAGGUUCUCUAUUAUCUAUAAAAUGACAAACAAAAGCCCACAGAAUCAUAUUGCCAUAAUAGUAAGUUGGAAAAUUCAUAGUGCUAAGGGCAGGUAAUUGUUCUUGUGAACCCAAUACCUCUCAGUGCCAGUGGAGUUAUUACAAGGACAGUCUCCUAUCCACAAAUUUAGAUAUUUGUUUCAUCUUGAAAACCAUUGAUUUCGUUUAUUGAAAAGGACACAAAAAUAUGUUCCUUUGUGCUAUAACAUGUGAUUAUUUGUUAAAGAUUUUCGUUGAGGAUUCAUUGACUCGGGCCUAGGGAAAUGAACUUGAAUAUGAGCCCUAGCAACCAAAAGAUGAAAUCCAUCAAGGGCCUUGUAUCUCAGAUUGAGAUUGGUGUCAGGAAGUAAAACCCACCUCAUUUUUCAGGCUAUUAGAUAUGUUUUUAAUGGUAUGAAAAAAAGAAUAACUCUGAAACUACACUGGUGGUUUAGGUGAAGCAUAAAUGGGGCACAUUGUAAUAGAUACAACACAUGGUUUUCAUAACUAUUUGUGAACCCUAGACCCCCCCUCCCUUCAUAAUUUAAAGCUUUCGAUCUAUCAAAUACCAAAAACAGCCGCUCUAUUGUGUUAGCAUUGAUGCUGACGAUACAAUAGCGAGAAGCAGAAACUGAAAAAGACAAAGAAACCGUCUCGUAGCAACCUUAUCAUUCUAACAUUUUUAGAAUCUUUAUGACCAAUCAUAUCAAGCAGAAGAUGAUCUUACAUUUAUUUUUCUUCUAUUUGUCUUUUAACAUAGAUACAUCAAUUAGGUCAUGCACUAGAUGUAAGGAUGAAUCAUUACCUAUCUGCUAAGCAUCCUCAUAAAAAAAACUAGAAUAUGGCACUUUUAUACAUGAUUGAAAAUCCACUAUUAUUGAGUGGAUGAAUCUAGAAAUUCUCAUUCAACCAAAACAUCCUUCCCGUCUCAUCUUGGCAACAAGGGUCUAUUCUGAAAGGAUUAGGUUGCAUACCUUAUAUGAAACGAAGUGGUUUCUAAUUCUGAUGUUAUCAGGAUCUGAGUUGUCUCUUGUGCAGAUAACAGCUUUCUGCACUGGCUGAAAGAUUUCUCUUUAUUGUUUCACAAGCAAAUCUGCAAAAUUGAGGUUGUUAAGGUCCCGGCGAGUUCCUAAGCAGAUAAAUCAUGAAAUUCCGAACAGAGAGUUUGGUCAUCUUUAUUUCUGUUUUGUGCUCUAUGCCGAACAGUAUCCAGGCCAUCACUAUUUCUUGUCUGAUUUGAUAAAAAAAAGAGACUUCGUACAGAUUUCAAUUAGAAUAUCAGGUAAUUGUUCAGUGAUUCAGGUUUCAUUGUUUCAAUGUCACAGCACUUUGCUGAAAGCAACUCUGCUAUCAAACAAUUCCAGAUUGUAUACAACACUAUAUUGCUUGCCUAUUCACUAAGCUUUGCUUUAAUUUAAACAAAAUCCUUGGAAAUUAAUCUUUCUUGUAGAGAACUAAUACCACACUUCAUGCCAUCCAUAUUCGUGAAAACUGAAGUGCAAAAGUGUUACUUCUUUAUGAUAGUAAGAGAUAGAAAGAACGCCAUUAGAGAAGUGCAUUCGAGAAGUCAGAGGAAAAUACAUAUGAAAAGAGAAGAUGAAACUCGUGAAAUCUAAUCACAUAUGAAUUCUCUGACAGAAUCACAUUUAAGCAUUGCAGAACACAUUCUUGUUUCAAACAUUAUAGGAAAUUGUUCUCACCAGACAUCAAGACGACCAGAUGAUCUGCGAGAUAACUCUUAUAGAGGGAUGAAGAACGAAGAGCAGAUAUAGAGAUAUAAGUAGUUGAACCAAAAUAUACAGUGUUUAUAGGAAUUUUUGCAUCUAAGCAAUCUCUCAAGAAUAUGAUGCCAAAACUUCACCGCUUCUAAGAUGAUGAAUAUGCUGGUAAAGACGUACACAUUUCAUGUGUGGACAACCAUUCACAUCACAUGCAUCGGAACAAAAUCCCUUAGAAAGACACCUUUCAGCGUAGCAUUUUUUUUAAAAGUAAUUUUCACAGAAGGGACAAUACCUUCUCUGUUACAAAAUUGCAUCUUGUGGUUACAUUAGGGGACAAAACUUCAAGUAAUUUUCAAUUAUUUUAUCCUGUGAGAAAUCUGUAAAAUAUCCCUUCCCCACAGCCAUACCCUCCUCCUUUGCGAGUCUCUCAACUUCUUGCUGAACCAUCUCUCCUCCCACAUUACUUGGUUCCAACAAGUUACAAGCAACCUCAAUGACAUCAUCACCAUGUGCAAGUGCCAUUGCUUGAACUGAAGGAAGCCCGCCUCCUCUCCCACUAACACGUUUUGCAAUUCUACGAACAGCAGCAAUAUCAGUGGAGAAGACAGGGACAUUGUAGUUAUCAACCCACCUGGUUGCUCCAAUUACAAGAACACCUUUUGCUUGAUUCACUUGAGCUGGACCUUCAUCUGGCUUCAGUGGCAAGGACUCUGAUUUUGGCCCACCUGCCCAUUGGUUUCCAGAAUUUGGCUUGAAAUAACCCAGCUCUCUUCUGAUUGAAUCGAGUGUUCUCCCUUCAACAUUGGCAGCUCCAUAUAGAAAUGUGGGGACUGCAGGCUACAUAUGAGAUCAUUAGCAAUGCAGAAACAAAAUGAGCUAUGAUCCAAUAAGGAGACUGAACAAAAAUUCAACAUAACACAAAAAAUUACAGCAUGCCUUGAGAAAUAAAUAUUCAUCCAUUGAUAUCUCCUUUAUUCUGAACAAAAAUAAAGCUCCAAUCAUAAAAAACAUUUAUAAUUUUCACUGCCUCACUUCGAAUCCAAUGCCAAACUCAUUUCAUUUGUUUAAUUUCCAAUGGGUACCGAAAUGCUCAGUAGAUCACCUUUGCUUUCAAGGUAGAGACAUAAUGCCAUCUUUCUAAUAUGCAUUCCCAGGGAAAACUAAGUACUUGAAGCAAAUAUAUUGUGUUUUGUUUUAUGCUAGAAGCUACUGCCAGCGGGUAAUUGAAUGACAGUGUUGGGCUGUUGUUUAGCAAACACAAACAAUUGGAUCAGGAAUUUGCAGCAUCGAUUAACGUUCAUUGAAAUAAACCAUCACUCAAAUUCUACAAUUUAGAAAGCCAGAAGAAAAACCAAUCACAUCCAAUUGAAACCAGAAGAGAAGAGAUGUAUACAAUCUACUGCUACUUAGGCUGCCUCAGGUAUUAUUAUAGGCAGGGAACAUAGUUUUGAGAAAGUACCAUCUUCGGAGGAGAGAAUCUAGACUUGUCAUCAAGCUAAUUAAUCAAACUCAUCGUUUUUAUAGGUUUCUUUCACUUAUAUACUAUCAUGAAAAACAAAUUCAACAAAUCACAGAUAAGUUCAAAGGGCUCGAACCUUGAAGACUAGAGCCAGCAUCCACUGCCAGAGACUUUGCAAUCCCAGCUGCCUGGUCUAAAGAUGAUUGAGCCAAGGGAUGAAAGCAAAUGUGAUCAACAACACCAAGCCGGGGAUGACUUCCACAAUGCAAUCCGAAAUCAAUAGUUUCCAGAGCAGCUUUAACCAUCGCAAGCACAGCACCCUUCAAAGCACAUGAGUCUAAAGAUGGUUUUGGAGCCAAACUCGAGACAAGAGUGUAGCCAACUCUAUUAUAAGUCACAUCUUCAAACUUAUUAACAAUAGGUGCUUCAGGGAAUAGCUUUGCAGCUCUUUCAAUUGAUUCCAAUGCCACUUUGUUUCUGCUUUCAGAUAUGUAUACCUUACAGCAAGCAAGCAUCAUCUUCAACAUAAUCUCUCCUCCUUACUACCUUUUUCACAAGCUGCACAAGCAGAUAGAACUUAGAUGAUAGAAAUUGACAUUAUCAACAAACUUUGUGGUUAUAAUUCCAAGGGACCACAGAAGCCCCAGCCUCUCUCAGUUACCCCACAUUAUAAAAGUAAAAUUUUCAAGCACCAAUCUUUAAAUGAAAAUAGUCAUGAAAAUCCAAAUAUUAAGUGAACAAGGCUUAAAUUCUUCACAAUGGAGUAGCUGAUCAAUAAAGCUUCAGUAUCUAACACAAUCAGCAACACUAGAAUUGUAUACUUGCUGACAUAUCGGAUCAAACAUAACAUUCUACAGGUUCAAAACCAACUAAGCUAUCCAAAUUCAAUAAACUUAUAGAAAAUAAAAAGCUAUUAAGCUUCAAAAUCAAACACAAUCAACUACACUAGAAUUUUAUACCUAGCCAUAAUAAGAUCAAAUAAAAUCUAAAGAUCCAAACUUUUCCAUAGACCACAAAUUAUCACAUCAAAAAGAAACAUUCUUGUUCUAUUAACCAAAGAUCCACUUGAACUACAAAGGUUCAACAAAAAAACCACCAAACCCAUUACACAAAACCCAAAAACUCCCUCAUCAAAACUCGAUUUCCUUUGGUUUUGGGUACCCAUCAUACUCCAAUUUCACACCCAAACCCGCCCUUAUAACCCGAAACUUCAACCUCAAACUAUCCAUAAUCUCAUUCACUCUCUCAUCUUCCGGGUCCAAAACCGGGUAUUUCUCAAUCAACUCCUCCAUCUUCUUAAUAGACUCCUUCAACCGGGUAGAGAACCGGGUCGGGUCAACAAGAAUAGCAGAAUUCCAAACAUCAACACAGCCACGAUAAAACCCGAGUUCUUCACCGAUUUCAAAGCCCAUUUUCAGGCCCGUUUGUUCCGCUUCUUCUUUUCCAGACAUUAACCCUUGGCUGUAGCCUUCAUUGUAGCCUUCCUUGAAAUGGGUUUCCUCUAAAUUUAGUGAGGAAUCGAAGAUGUCUUCAAUGGAGCUUAAUUGAGAUUGAGAAUUCAUCCGAUAAAGUUCGCUUUUUCACGUGUUUUUUUUGAUUGACCCAGUAAAUAAAAUCGGGGUUUUUUUUAUAGGUUUUGUUUCCUUAACAGAGAAGCAGAUGAUGGUUUACCUGUGGAGCAGCGUGAGACAGAGAGAGCUCGAGGAUCCCUUGGUUUGUGAUUCUGUGGAUGUAGUGAAGAUGGGUCUUUGUGUUUUUUAAGGUUUGGGCUCAAAGAGUUAGUGCGUAUUGGGCUUUAAGUUAGAUCUCUAUAGUUAUAAGAACACAUUUGGGCUGUACCCAGCCCAAAUUCCAGAGUGAGUUAAGCCAUGAUCCUUGGAUUAGUGUGUUAAACCAUACUUUGAAUUAUUAUUUUUUAAAAUUCUGAAAUGAUAUUGUUUUUCUUUAAAAAAACAAUAAUUGUAUUUUUUUCACUAACCUAACUUAGAUUAGGUUCUAGAUAAACGGAUCAUUAAAUUGAUCAUUGAGCAGACCAAGUUUUAUUAUAUUGGUUUCUAACUUUUUUUUUUUUUUUGGGUUUUAUUCAAUAAUAUAUUCCUAAUAAUUUUUGUACAUCAAAUUAAAUUAUAAACUAUACAAAAACUUAUUCUUUAAACAACAUUGUUAAAUUCGAACCAAAAUGAUAAAAUGUAUAGUAAACUCACUUGUUACAUGAGCUCACUCUUAAAAAAAUGUUUUACGAGAAAAAAUUAUUACCAUUUUGAUUUAUAUAUUUCAUUGAACAUUUUUAUUAAUUGCAAUUAUGCAAUAUAAAAUGAAAGUUAACGAAUAUUGUACACACAUGUUCUAUGAACUUUAUAAAAGUUAAUGGAUAUUGUACACACAUUUUUAUUAUUUGCAAUUAUGCAAUAUAAAACCAGGGUCAAACUCAUCAAAUCUACGAAUAGAUCUAUGAGCUUUAUAAAAUUUAAUAACAUGAUUUUUUUAAACUAAUUGAUAAAAAAUAAAUGCUUACAAAAUCAAGUUUAAUUAAAAAAAAAGAAAAAAAAAGUACACUGUGAAUCCCGCGAACAAUAUCUUGUAAAAUUAAGUAUCAAUCCGAUGCCGAGAUAUUUUUCUGAAAUCGCAAUAAACACUUAAAAUAUAAAUUAAAAUAAAUUAUUAACUUCAAAUCGUAAUAAAAACAUAAUGUAAGGACUAAAUUAAAAAUAGUAAAAAUUCAAUAACCGAAGCAAAAAAAGAUCAAAAUGCAAAAAAAAAAUUGCAAAACAGUGUAGAUUGCUAUUGUAAUCCACAAUAUCUAUAGGUACAGAGAAAUAAUAUUUUCCCCACACUUUUUAGUGUUUUUUGUGAUAAAAAUAAUAAAAAUUUAAUAACCGAAGAAAAAGAAACAUUAUUAAAAUGCAAAAAAUAAAAUAAAAUAAAAUAAAAUAAAAUAAUAAUAAUAAUAAUAAUAAUAAUAAUAAUAAUAAUUUGUAAAACUCUAUAGAUAACUAUUGUAAUUAAUAAUGUUUAUGGGUGUGAGGAAUAUAGGUUUCCCCACGCCUUUUAGUGUUUGUUGUAAUGAGUAAGGGAUUUUACUUGCAUGAGAAUUGGAGAUUAUUUUCUAUAGUAGUAGAAAUGGAGAGAUUUUAUGGUGAAAAUAAUUAUUGAUAUUUACUUUGAAGAGAGAGAUAUACAUAAGGAAAAGAGGGGGGGAAAAUAGUCUAGGUGAAAAUAUUUUUUUAUCAUUUUUUAUGGUCAAAUUUGAUUUUCUUUUUCAUCAUCUAUCUCUCUUAUCAAAGUAAGCCAAAAAACUAACUACUCAUAUUUAUUCUUUAAAUAUCAUAAAAAAAUUUAUAUAAAAAAGAACCUAAAUGUGGAUUGCCUAAUUAAUAAACAAGAGGGCGUUGUCUUUUUAGAAUAUCAUUAGUGAUGAAGUCGUGAAAAAACUUUACACAUAAAUUAGUCUCUUCAUGGUUGGGUAGACGAGCUUGACUAGUAAUUGUUCGAUUCACUUUAAAAAAUUAAGUUUCUUGUUGACGAGCUUGACUAGUAAUUGUUUGAUUUAUGUGUAUGUAGAAGAAAACAAUAUACAUGAAGAGAAAAAAAUAAAGCGAAGGUUAAAGAGUGCAUAUUUGACAUAUAAAUUGUAUGGCCUAACAUGUUUGAUCUGAUUUUCAGACUUGACUUUCAUGUCAUUUGGCUAGUUUUGGAUGACUUUUAUGGGCUUUGCUAGCAUUUAUGAUCUAGAAUUACAUGGUUAAGACUUGUUUAGCUAGAAAUUGCUCAAUAACUUAUAGGCUAGUUGUCCUCUAGCUUGCUUACUUAGUGAUUAGGUGUAUUUUAUGCACUUAAGCUUUAAAAUCUUUUUAAGGAGCAGAGAUUGUAUCAUUGAUGGAAAAAUUGAUAUUUAUAUGGAUUGUUGAGCUUAUUUGAUUCAUUAGUGCUAUCCAUGCUUUUUGUUGGGGAAAAAACCAAUAUUGGACCAUGAUGAUUAUUGGUUGAUGUGCUAUGGAUGUUAUUGGUGAAAAUCUUUGGUGAUGGUAUGCUAUUGGUGUGGACAAUGAUACCUCCUCCACAUAGAAAAAGUCAUAUGUAAAUCGAGAAAUUAUGUGUAUAAAAAGUUUAUGUGAGUAGUUCAAGAAAAUCUAAAAAACACAUAAAAAAUAUACCAAAUAAAAUUAGAUAAACCAUGUUUAACACCGAGUCUAUGAUAAAUUUUCGAGUUGAAAUUUUAGAUAUUUGGGAUGAAAUUUCAGCUACUUGUUCUUUUUAAGAUUAUAUUGAUGUAUAUUAUCGAUUCUCUAAUAGUGUUCCUCUAUAAAUAUUUACUCGUAUAAUAUAUAGAGAUCGUUAAAUAUAUUUGAUUACUCACAUAAUAUAAUUAAUUAUUAACCUUCCACGAAAAUAUUUUCAUUAAUUAGAAGAUGCAUGUAAACCAAAAUUUUUAAUCAGGUCAAUAUUUUAAAAGUAAAAUCAACAAAAUUUUUUUUGGAAAAAACAAAAGAAAAAAUAAAUGAAAAAAAAAGAAAAAAAUAGGAAAGUUGAAAAAAAAAAAAUUUGAAUUUUUUUUUUUAAAAAGAAAAAAAAACAAAAAAAAGGGAAAAGUUAGGGAAAAAAAAAUAUGAAUUAUUGUUAUAAUCCACGGUGUUUUGUAUGUGGGGGAACAAUGAUUCCCCAACACCAUUUAGAGUAUGUUAUAUAUAUAUAAAAGAGCAUAAUUUAUAAUAAAAUUAAAAAAUAAUAUUAUUUUAAUUAAAUAUUGAUUUAUAAAACCAUAUCAAGUCAUGUUUCAAAUAUUAGGUAGCACGUCAAGUCAGGUCAUGUUUUUAUAAGUACGUUGAAGAGGAAUAAAUUAUUUUUGCGACCAUAAUCCCAUGUCAUAAAAUUUGUUGCCAAUUCAAGUUCAUAUAUAUAGUUGUAUAGCAAAAAUGGGCCUUGUGAUAAAGUCAGUGUACAGCAUGGAAACUUGAAAUAUUUAUACAUACAGAGCCACAAAAGGGCUCCAUAGUCAGCGCCUGGAAACAGCUUCCAUGCUUCUCCAACCUUGUUAACUCCGCUCUUUUGUAUGAGAGAGAGAGAGAGAGGGGGGGAGAGUGAGUGAGAGAGGGGAGUAAAUGCAUCAUGCAUGACUCUUUUUCCUUGGCAAGCAAGGUCUUGUAGGUAUAAAAUACUUCAAACCUUGCUAGAGAAUUAAAAGGAGAGAGAGGCCCAUUUCUUCUUCUAGUCUUAAUAAUAACUUCACCUUUUAAGUGCUAGCUAGAGAGAUCAUGGCUAUGGGGGGUUCCCACAAAGGAAACGGCAAUGGAAAUAGAGGGAAGCCAUAUGGGUUGAUGUUGCUUUUAGCAUUUGGGGCUGCUUUGCUUGGCGUUAUGGUGCUACACAAGCUCAGAGAGAGGCGCAUCUUCAACCUCCUUGUCGAAGAGAAGGGCCAAGAGCUCAUUUCCCUUCAGCUUCUCUUGCAGGUCCCUCUCUCUUUCCCUCUCUUUCAUGCAUGCAUGCUACUUUUGACGUGUACAUGUCUUCCUGUCUGCUUGAAACCUAUGAUUCUUUCAUGGCUUUAAUUUUCUCACCAGUUUUUGGUGCAAAGAAGGGCGCCUGUGACUUCAAUUCAGUAGAAAAAGUAAACUUCUUUUAGCAAUUUCACUAAUUCAGUCAUGGAAAACCCACCAUUUUUUGGGACCAGUUUUGCUCUCCAGCUAGUUUUUUACUUUCUUCAACGUACUUGACCCCAUGUGGAUUAGGUAGAACGCAGCUUUCAUUUCGCCUUACCUAGAAGCUAGUAGGCAGUGCAUGAUCCCAAAAGCUAUUGACCCACCCAUCAGCCAAAAAACAGUCCUUCACAAAAAGUUGAGAACUUCACCUCUACAGUACGAUUUUUCUGCUUAUAAAAAUGAACUUUCUAGAGGCAAAUUGCCUGUGUGGUUAGGACUAAUGCGUGCAUGAUCUCAUAAUAACCCAAAGUCCAAAGAAACAUUGUGAUCAUUGGUUUGAUAGAUUGCCAAAAAAAUUAAUGCAAUCGGCUUAUGUCAUGGGCCAGAUUCUCAUCGUGAUGGAGCAAAGUCAUUUGGUUAGAUGAAAGUCUAGUAAUGUGAUGACAUUUCACUGGACCCCCUGGAUGGAGAUGUUUGAUGAAUAAUGCUGAUGCGUUAAAAUCUUCUGGCCGCCGGGGUUGGAUCGGACCAAACUAAUCUAUUGUUUGAUUAAGCACAAAUGACAAAUCCCAUCUAAUUAAUACGAUAUUAAAUCCCCUUAUUAUAUUCUUAGGUAGCAUGCAAUUCUACCCAUAAACAACUAAAAUGUGGAAGACUAAGAAAACUAGUGCUUCAUCUGGGAUUCUGUGUGCAUGCAUGAUCAAUUUUCAUGUUUUUCCGACUCCCUAUCCUGACAGAAUGACUCUUGAAUACAGAGCUCAAUAGCUCCUCUCUAAGUUUUAACCUCUGGCAUCUCUUGACUUUUCCCUCAACAGUAUCCCUUCAAUUCUCACGAUAGAUUUAAAAGAAACUUAUUGAUGGCUUGAGAAUUCGUUUUUUUAUUUUUACAUCAAUUAUUUUCAAUGACAUUUCAAUUACUAAAAUAAAAAAAAUUUCAUAAUAAGAAUAUUUUUUUUAUAAAUCUUAUCAAGUUAAUUCAUAGAAUUAAAAAUAAAAGAACAGAACAAAAAAACUAAUUUAUCUUAAUAUGGGUUCUCUCUCUCUCUCUCUAUCUAUCUAUCUAUAUUUGGAUCAAGACGUAACGCAAUUAUAUUCAUUUAUAUCUGCCAUGAUUAUGGUUAAAAACACUCAGAAAGUGAGAUACUGAGCUUCGCUUUGCGUUGCGGUGUAUAUAUAAUCUAGAUUAUGAUGUUUAAUCCUUACAAAAAUUUCUAAUACUGACACUGGUUACAUCUUUUCUUUUGUUCCUUAUUCAGAAGGAAGGACAACGCAGCAGAGAAAUGAAGAGGAAGACUGAAGAGAUGAAAGCAAAGAUUUACUCUCUAAGAAUCCAAAAGAUGGAGCUCGACAGGCGGCUUCUGGAGAUGCAGUCUACGAUUGGUUCUAUGAAGGAUGAACAAAAGAUUAUGGAGUCUGCACUCGAGGAGAAGCAAAGUGAGAUCAAAAUGCUAAGAGAGACGAACAAAGGUGCGGAGAAAGAAACUCUUCAAAUGGAAGUACUUAGAGAAAGUCUGAAACAAAAGGAAGCUGAAAUUGAGGAUUUGAAGCACCGUCUUGAAUACCCAGCUAAGAUAUGGUCGGUCAGCACAGAUGACCCAUCGAGCCCAUCUGUAAACAGGACUGCGACCUUGAAUAUGAUAAGCGAGAAUAAGAUAGAGGCUGGAAAGAGUGAAGAAGAGGUUCUGUUGCAAGAAUCUGCAAAUGAUAGUGAUGGUUUGAAUUCAACAAGGGGUAACGGAGGCAACACUACAUCCAUCAAUCAAGAACAGGGGGGUGAUACUGCCACAGUUGAAAAUGCAAGUGAAAGCAAGGUAGCAAUUCCUGACAGGAUAGAAGAGCCCAGAGAAGAGCAGUUGCAGAUUCUUGAAGGGUCCAGAAAUGGAAGAGCCAUUGGAAUUAAUAAUGAUCAAGUGAACAAAAGUGAAAGUUCUCAAGAGAAGGGCACUUCUGGUUCGGGAGAGGAAAAUAAUGCUUCAAAUGCAACUGAGACGAACGUGAGCAGGAUUGGAAGAGUAUCAAAAAUUACAGAUGCAGAUAAUGAAGAGAAAUCAAAGGAUGGUGAAGAGCAUAAAGUCACCCGAGAUGGGAAGCUGGAACUCGAAAAUGUUCUGGAGGCAGAAGGUCAUCAAGAAACUUUUAGGGGUGGUGUGAAGUUGAAAAUGAUGGACAACUCCAGAAAUACGAGGAAGGAGAAAUACCGCCAUGCUGGCAGAGUAAGAGGAAAGAGAGGGGAAAUGGGUACCAGGAAUAGGCUGCUGGAGAUUAGAAAUCAUGAAAACAAUGGGGCUGAGAAGAUGAGAAGUAGGAAGUCUCCUACUGAUGAUCAAGGAAGACUGAUAGACAGAGAAGAGGGAAGAGCGUCCAAUGAUGGAAAAACAGAAGAAAUAAGAAAGGCAGUGGAUUCUUCUGAUGGCAAAACAAUGGAGCAUCAAAACCAUGAAGACUCCAAAGAUCUGCAAAACAAACUGGGGAAAGAUGGUACAAAUCACCAGAUGAGUGAAGACCAUGAGACAUUGAAAAGGCUCCGGAUAGCUCAUGACAGCAAAGAGCUGACAAAUGGAAGCCUUGAUGGCCAGCCUGGUAACAUCAGAAGCAAUGACAGGAAAGAGAGCCUGGAUAAAGGCCAACAACAUGAAGAUCGACAACAAGCCAGUGGCACGCAAGAAAGCAGAAACAGCAGCAUUAUGAACAACAAAGAAAACAGUAAUGAACAAGUGAAACUAAUCAGAAAGCAUGAAAAGCAAGAACAAACAGAGGAUUCAGAUACAGAACAGGAGACAGAUGGAGGAGCUGGAUAUUUUUACAAGGACUCAUUUUCUGAUUUUGAAGAAGAUAAAGAAGAGUACAGAGAGGAAACGGACGAGUCCGAGUUCUAGCUGAUUAACAACGGCAUUUGGUAUUCUUACUUGCUGUAAAGGUCUUAGAUUUCUAUCCGCAUGACUGCUAGGACCACUAUCAAGUUUGCUUGGAGUUUAAAACUAAAUACAUAAAUACAUGGCAUAUAAAUUUGCAGGAGACUGGUGGUCGGCAGCACAGAAAUGCCUAUGAGAGUAAUCUUGAAAUAAAAAGUUAAGAACCCAGAUGGUAGGGAAUGAUAUCUGCUGGAAAAUGUCCUGCUUCCUAUGGUAUUUUGGAUCAAAUUUUUACUGGGAAAAUGUUUCUGCCCCCUUCACUGGUAAUUUAACGGGAUUUUAACCUUUUUCAUAACCAUUUCUUCCAGAUUGAGUUCAAAAAACGCACCACAGUUUCAAUCAAACGGUUGUGAUUCACACCCAGGUUUUGUACAAUUUCCAUCGCAACAUUACUCCAUUGUUGUCAACUUGUUUUCUUAAAUAACCCAAGCAUUAAUUUCUCCAGACCAUGAUAAUUUUUUCACACAUUUGUCCCAACUUCAAUUACUAUUGGCAAAGCUAGGUCAAAGUUUUAACAUCAGUUCAGUUUGCUGUAAAAAGAAAAGAAAAGAAAGGGCACAACAUAAACCUGUAAUUUGUGGUAAAUCCAUUACAUGAAUUUGGACUAGGGGAAUAUAGUAUCGGAUUAUCAGAAUAUUGAAGGAUAAACAUCAAACCAUUAGAGUGACAACCAAAUGGCCAUGCCAAAGUAAAAGGGCUUAUUUACUUACCAAAAUUAGCAAUUUAACUUCCAAGUUUAAUAAUCCAUCAUUCUCUAGUAAAACAAAUGACAACACUUUUCAGCAGAAUCAUCUGCGAACAAGGAAAAUUGAUCCCAAGACGUGAAGUACAGCCAAACACAUUAUUACCAGAAAAGUCAUGGGACGAUUACACGCUUCAAGCCUCAGUGUGCUGCUUCUACCACUUUCUGUAAACAAUAAUCAAAUGUCAGAAAAAGGGAAAACAAAACUGUAAUCUCAGAAUUACUAGCUAAAGUUGGCAAGUUACAUUUCAUUGUGAGUUUCUUUUAUGAGAUCACAUUGUUGGUUUUCCUAAAAAUAAACCUUCAGUUAAUACUCUCUUUGCUUGACAGCUAAGAAUUAUCAAGUUCGCAAAUGGCUUGAGCAAUUGAGAGGUUCACCAAUAAUUGUAGAAACCGUGUUCUCCUAAAUUGCAUUCCAUCUAUAAGCCUUGCUAUCCCCAUCAUCACAAGUCAAUUCCUUCAAUAAUUGCACAUCACAUAAUCAAAUUUGUUUAGCACAACAUUGAAGAAGCUUUUGCUGUACCAGAUUUCCUCUUAAGAUAAUUGGUGUAGCGAUUGUGUUAGGUGUAGCCAUACUCAAUAUGAUUAUUGCCUAUUUUUAUUGGAGGAGCCUUACGCUUCCUCCAUGAAAUUCAAAGUUGCCAAAGAUGCCAAGGUGCUUGUCUGGGUGCCUUAGAGCUAGGCACUAUGCACUUGAGGUGUUGCCUAGAAUCUUCUAGGGUUUUUUCUGAUUUAUAUUGUUUUGCAAUGCUUUCAUAAUAUCACCCUUUAGAUAAUAGCUGUCUUCAAAGGUAUUUUCUAAAGUUAUUGAAAAGACAAACACAUUCUUCCAUGGAUCAAAGAGCACAUAUACCACCUAUUGCUGCAUCAACAGUAUAAAACAGGUACUUGAAUAGUUUAAUGAUCUGUUGUGCAAUUCUUUCAUCUCUCUCUCUCUCUUCUCCCCUGCUUUACUAUUUUUUUUCCUGCCCCCUUUUCUUCUAUAUAAUUUCAAUUCUCUUUGUUGCAGAAAGUUGUCUUAUCCAAUUAGCUGGUCUUAUGACCUUAAGGCAAUUUGCGCCUUUGGCAAUAUUGGUUGCAUUUUAUUUGACUACUAUUGGAUUCCAACUAUUUAUGAUUAUCUAUCAUAUUAAAAAUUUAAUUUCCAUCUUGGAAAAUGUGCAAGCUUAUGUACCUUGAAAUAUGGUUGUAAUUAUCAUAAUAAUUGAAAAUAAAUUUUUAAAAAUUAUAUGGUGACAUGUACUUCAUUUAGAAAAAAGGGCAAUCAUUGACUAAAAAUGUGAACGAACAAAGCAGGGCAGAGGUAGCAUAUGCUAAAAAGUGGGAUAAAUGGAGCAAAGGCACUUCAUCCAAUGACAAAAAUGUGAAAUUUUGAAUUUUCCAAUGACUAGGCUGGAAAUAACAGUAAAGUACAAGGUUGUAGCAGUAAAACUAUAUCCAAAAGUACCUCUUCCUCCUUCCCCUUGCCUCCUGUGAAGAACUUGUAUCCCCCAUAGAAGGCUAAACCCCAACCACUUAAAGAGACGAUAACAAACUGUAAAACCAAACAUCCAACAAACAGUCAAGACAAUUUGCAUUAAACACAUACCUUCCAUUAUAUCCAUCUACCACCAAUAUCAACAACAUUAAUGGGACAAGGACAUAGAUCAGAAACUCAUAUAUAAAGAAUCAGACAUGAAAGCUCCCAUAAAACACCAAACAACUGUUUGAUAAUCGAAAUAAAACUCGUUAAACUCAAACUCAAAAUGCAUGAACCCGGAAAAAAAAACUUCUCCUUGUCUAGAUAAAAUGACUAUCAAACAGUCCCAAAUCCUAAUCAACGCUGGCUGCAAUGCUGCUCCAAAAACAAUACUCUAGUUUGCAGACAAAAUGCAAAAAACCCAGAAAUGCACAACACCCUUUGGCCAAAACAUAAAACACAACUCUCACAAAAAACAAUAAAAUGAACAUUUUUUUAAAAAAUAAAUAAAUCUUUGCAACAUUAAGCAUAUAGAAUAUAAUAUAAAAAUGUAAAAGACUGACAUGCUCUUCCUUCCAUUUAGAUGGGCUCAUUGGAUCUUGCCAGCAGUUAAUCCUCGAUGGCCCAUGGUGGUCUGCAAUUAUCACAAACACAAAAAAAAAAAAGAAUCGCCAAGCAAAAAUUCAUCAUUUAUUUUAAAUAUUCAUAAGAGUAAUAAUCUGAAAUUUUCAAUUAACGAGUGAAAUCUAUUUCAACUAAAACCUAAUUUCAAGAUUUAAUUAAGCUCAAAUUUCUCAAAAAGUGAGCUAAAGAUUGCAACUUUUUAAUCUAAUCAUCAGCUUCUGAUCUUCGGUAGAGACGAAUAUAUACGUGUGUUAAAUGUAUAUACGUGCAUUUAUAAGUAAAUAAAAUGUAUGUUAGGUAAGUGUGUAUCUAUAUGUGUUUUGUGGGAUGGAUUUACCUGCAGCGCCGGCGAGGCCGCGGCGGUGGAUGAGAGCGGCGACUUGAGCUGGUGACUUGGGAGAGGAGAUUCGAGAGAGAGUAGCGGCUUGUCGAGCUGCUGCAGCCGCCGCUAAUGUAGCCAUGGUUUUCUUCUCUUUUCUUUCGUUGUAGCGAUCGAGAGAGAGCGAGAGAGAGUGGAGAUGGAAAGGAGAGUGGAGGAUUGGAAUUCUCUCUCUUUUUUUUGGCUUAUAAGAGACGGGAGAGUGGAAGAAACGAUGCCGUGAGAUGUUGUUUUGGUGGGAUCUAACGACUUGUCGGUUGGUUUUGGGGAAAAGGCUUGUUGAAUGGAUAUUAAAACUACAUGCCGUUCUAUUUAGGGGAAAGAAUAUGGUGUCCAGGAACGACUUGGAUGUUGGUUUCAGGGAAAAGGCUUCUUGUUUUCAGGCAUCAAGUUGAAAAAAAAUAAAAUCAAUUAAUCUAGUAAAAAACUUGAUUGAUGCUCAUAAAAGCUAAUAAAAUAGAAAAAUCAGAGAAAACACAAACAACACAUAAAUUUUUAAUGGGUGAAAAUAGUUGUAGAUAUAAAUUUUAAAUUUAUAAUUUUAUCUUUUAAAAAAUAAAUAUGUGGUGGUUGAUUCCUAUUAAUUUUUAAAAAACCUCUCUAUAUUAUGAAACAACCUUAAGUAUGAAGACAUUAAGAAAAUUAAAUCAUAAUUUAAAAACAAAUAAUAAAUCUAGAAAUAUCUAAAAAAAAAAAAUGGCCAAAACAACAACUUUUACGUCUAAUUUCGGGAUAUCUAACGGUCCGAUAAACAAUCAAGCAACUUCUUAUAAAAAAACCACAUAUAGAAUUACCUAGAAAAGCUUGAGCUCGAUCCAAUAGUCGGAUCUCCUGUUAUUUAAAUUUUAAGAUGCUAAUUUAGUCUAUAACCAGAUCUUCUUUUAAAUCUAAACAUAUUUUAAUAGUUCAUUAAAAAUACAUGACAUAUCAUUCGUAUAAUUAACUUGAAUUAAAUACUCAUUUAAUUAUAUCUGAUCCUUGUCUGAAUGCUCAGCACUUUAAAUUUUUAUAAGGUCGACUACAUUAUCUACCCUUAACUCAUUAAUUUCUUUUUUUAAAAAAAUAUUUUUGAUAAAAACAACAUUGAUUUAAUCCUUAACUCAUUUUUUCAAGGGUUGACCCUCCCCACCCUUAAUUAUCCCAUGCCAACACCUUCGGGGUUCACAACUAUGCAUACAGGUCGGGGAAAACACUAAAAUCCCGGUAUUUUUUCUUUACUGUUAGGAGAUCUUCAAACUAGCUUUUGUGUAGGAUAUAAAAAAGGGACAAACUCAAAGACAAAACCAUUUAAGUGGUUAAGGUGGCAUGAGGAAUAAUUCGCCUCUGGUUUGAAAUAUAUCCGGAUACCUCAAGUUUUCAAGUAGAUUCAUUGCAUAAAUCAAUUUUAGUGAUCCACUCUAGUGUGUGAAACUUGAUGAUAUUGGAUAAUAUUCACUCUGUUGAGACUAAAUUUGAAGUUUGCCUACAUUUUAUCAAUGUUUGGAAACAGUUAGGCAUAAUAAUUGAAUCAAGGGUAGCAAUUUUGAUUCUUACUAGCACAAAAAAUUAGUAGCAGGUGAAAAAUAGCUCAACCUUUGAUGUCAAGGUAAGAAGAAACAGUAAGUUGACAGUUUUACUUUUGCUUGAAGCUAGUUGAAGUGGCUUACAAUCACAUCUACAUUACAUUUUAUCAUGCCCUAUUCAAUCACAGCCUCCCCUUUUAGUCACCUACAGAAAUUUCUCCUUCAAUUCCCUGUAUUUCUGCCUAAGAAGGGGUUUCUUGUAGCUGUGAUUGUUGUUCUUGCUGCUGCGGUUGUUGUUGCUUCGAAUUGAACUGGAUUAUAUAGCACUUCAAACUUUUCUCUUGUAUCUGUGGACAUGAUCCAAAAAAGUUAGUGUCAAGAACUUCCAGUCAAGACUCGAUGAAUGACAAGUUAACCAUAAAGUUUUUCAAAACUUGGAUAUCACAUUUACUGGGAUCAUAAUGAUAGCGUCAGCUUUCUACCUGUAGUGCAGAUACUGUCUGAAGAAGUUCUAGGCAUUCUUCCACGAGUAGUUUCUCUUGUGCAACCACCUCUGCUAAUUGUGAGAGAAGUGCAACAGUCUGCUCAGCCUGAUAGGGAAGAAUUUCAAGGUUAGUUCGGAUGACAUAAACAGGAGGCAUCAAGCGCCGACGUAGUGUGAUAGGUUUAGUAGUUUCUGCUUACUGAGGGUGAAAAUGAAGAUAAUGCUGACUUGAUGGACGCUGAGAGAUCUGAUGCAUGUCGUAGUGCGAUGGAAGCUGAUUGUGGAUCAACCUAUAAUUUAGCAUUCGUUAGUAAAUUUACUUGAUGCUUAGCCACAAAAUAGUUUUAACAUUAUCUGCUAAAAGGGGCUUCCUUUCGCCCCUUCUUCUCUGGGAUUACCUCUGCACCUUCAAUGAGGGGAACUCUGCAAACAACAGAAUGUAAACACUCUUUAGUCUUUGAAACUGAAGAUAAGUGCUGCCUUUCCAUGUCUCCCCAAGCUUCCAACAAUUUGAUCUACACAAGUUAUCCGAAACGAGUGUAUGAACAUGUCUGCUCUAUCAUGACAUUACAUUAUAAUUGAGAUUGCUAUACAGGCAUUAUUAAUUCAUGAUGCAAAAAUAUUUGUUACUGACUUGAGAGUGAAGUACAAAGUCUAGCUUCAUCUUGAGCUUUUCCUUCUGAAGCUUUAAUCUCCUUUGUGCGACAGAAAGUCGAAGCUUUGAAAGACUAUCCAGCACCCAUAACAGAUUGUUCUGGAAAACCAUCAGAAAUAAUUUUCUCAGGCUCAAUUACAAUUGAAGAACUUUGUGAUGGUUGUUAGGCUAGAACCCUGCCAUUGGUAUAAAUCAUUUUUAUACCAAUGUGAUAGCAAAGUUAAAUAUAUUGAUAAAACCCUUCAACUAGCAUAACUUGAUCAGCAAAGUUAAAUCAUGCAUACCUCCACUUGCUUAUUUAUGUUCAAGUUCACAGUAGCAGCUCUAACAUUUGCAUACCGCCAUUGCAUCAGCCGAUUAUGAAGCAUUCUUAGCUGAUGAAUGUUCUCAACAUUCCCAGAUCCUGAGAGCAAUGAACUAGAUGACAGAGAUUUCUUACCCUUAAACAAGUCCAGACCCAUAUUCAGCAAUUUCUCAACACCUUUAGUCCUCGACGGAUUUGAUGGCGGUUUCAAAUUUGAAAAGGACAUCAGCUUUUCCUUGCUUUCCACUGACAUCGGCGGUGACCCUGAUCGCCCUGGUGACAAGGCCCACUGGGAUGUGGCACUCCCAUACCCCGUAAGUGAAUUAGCUCUCUUAAUCACAUUCUUCAUUGUAAGUUUCUUCAUUUUUGGAGAAGACUCUAAUGAUACUGCAGUUUGAGCAUUAGCAUCCGUUGUCCAUCUCCGUGGCCUUGUUGGUAUAUCAUUCAUAUAUUUAGAAGAGACCUCUACACCAGAUUUCCUAGAACUUCUUCCUAAAGUUGGAGAAAAAAGAUCAUUUCCUGAAUGUUUAUCACUACACUCGGAUAUUUCUGACUCGAGAUUAUCCUCAAAUAUAUCCGAAUUUCUCCGAGAUGCACCAACUUCUUUCGAAUUUUUAUAAAGGGCAUUUUCAUCAACAGAUAAUCUUCCAGGAACAUAAACAUGAUUGUUAUUAGACGAUGAAUUCGAGGAGGAUGAUGACGAUGAAGAAGAAGAUUUUCCCGGAAAGUGAAAUUUCCCUGUGUAUCUCGCAGAUCCUCCAAGAAUUGGUCUAUGAUUUUCUUUUGUGCUCUCUUUCUCUUUAUCAUUUUCAACCCUACCAAACACAGUACCAGUACUCCUUUGCCUACCAAGUGAAAACACACUGCUACUCUUCGUGGGUUUUUCAUCUUUCUUGUGGUCUAACAAAUCUUUCAAUCUUGCAUUUCCAAGAUGAUCUGCUAGAGUGCCUUGAUUGUUUUGGUUGUUUGAUGAUUGUGAAGGCGACGAAGAAGGCCAAAGGCCUCGAAUGAAUCCAGGAUCAUCAAGGCUCCGAUGCUUUCGACCAUCAGAGGAGGGUUUAGGGCGACGUGGUGAUGAGGAACCUUGGUUUGGAGAUGGGGUUCCAUUGUUAUGUGAAGGUGAGGUUGGCGAGAGAAACCUGGAGCUUACUUCCCGAGACUUGGGUCUUCUUGGUUUGAGAGAUUGAUCUGAUGAGAGCAGAAACGGUUCAUUUUCAGUAUUCUUCAUUGUUUCUUUGUGUGCGCGAGAGAGAACGAGAGAGAGAGAGAGAGAGAGAGAGAGAGAGAGAGAGAGAGAGGAUUCUAACAAUAGAGAGAUUUGAGGGAUGUUGGUUUUGUCUUCAAAAUGGAUGAGAGGAGAAACAAACAUUUUUGAAAAUGGCGGCAAUGUAGAUAUGACAGGCCGGCUGAUCAAUGGGAUUUUCUUUGGAUUUUUAUCAGCUUGAAAGUAUUGUCAGGAUCUGCUUGACUCAGUCUUGACUUCUCACUCAGGCAGGGUAAUGUUGGGGAAAAAAAUGAUUCUGUUGGACUUCCUGAGAGACCUUAGGAGGUAGGAGACAAAGGUGAAGCAGUGCUGUUGUUCAAUGUUUGCUUCUUGCUUGCCGGCAUCUGUGUUUCCAAGUGGUUAACCUGGGCUUCUGCCACGUGUCUACGAUUCUCAAAAGCCACUAAGGGUGUGUUGAUCUACGUGGCGUGGACACGUUUUUUAAAACAAUUAUAUUUUUCUUUUAAAUUAAAAAAAAUUCAGUGUUUUUUUUAUGGAUUGAGUUCACAAUAUUAAAAAUAAAUUUUAAAAAAUAAAAAAAUUAUUUAAUAUAUUUUUAAAUAAAAAAUAAUUUAAAAAACAAGUUUUUUUUUUUCGACAUUUGGCAACAGUGACUGAGAAGCCAAAGCUCCAUGCUUUAUAACCAGGACCGUUUCAACAUAAACAUAACCAAACCCAUAUUUUAUCUGCUUUCUCCCCGUGUUCAUUUUUAAAGGGCAAUCCAAAAUUUGGCAUGGAGACUGGUUAGAACAAUCAAAGUUGUUAUUGUCAUUAUGAAGAUGAGGACUCCAUGGUUGAUAAUUUGGAUGCAUGAGUGGUGUGUUUAUGGGAUUGGCUCCUGGUACAGAUGUUGUAGAAGACCAUUGCUCUGCUAAGACAACACAUCAAGACGAUGGAUUUAUUAUUAUUAUUAUUGCUUUUGCUUUUUAAGGUUAAACAGGAGGCUGAAUUAUUCCAAGUACAGUUCUCAUCCCAGCCCAGGAACUUCCCUCGUAGAGAGUAAGGCUAAAGCUUUCAAGGUAUUAAUUUGAACUGAUAGAGGUUUAAUAUUCUCUUGGCAAUUACCUUAUUAGUGCCAAUUGGGGGGAAAGGAAGGAGAGGGGGAGGGGGAAAUUUCAUCAGAGAGCAAUAAAAUGUUAGGAGAUGAGAAACAACCAUACCUGUGUUAUAGGGAAACCACAAAAGAAAGAGUUCAUGGUACAAACAAGAAAGAACAAAUGAGAGAUUCAAAGGGCCUUUACAGCUUCACUAAACUCCAGCAGAAGCAAACCCCACAUUGUCGAGAAGUGUCGAAAAUGGGAUAGAACAAGUAAAACUACAGUGGAUGACUGUUGGUUUGAGCUUGCAGCUUAGCCUACGUAAUAAACUAACGAGACUUGUUGGGCAAUAGGCAGUAAUUCUUGAUCAAUUAAUGUUAAAUUAACAUUCUAUACUACAUCCGUAACUUUUACAACCAACAGCCACGCUUGGUCCUGUGAAAAUUGUGCAAGCAUGAUCUACAAAAUUUGGAUGUUCUUACGCACCCCGGAAAAUAUGAAGCUUCCAUGUCCAAAAUCAAUGAAAAUUGCACUGUUGUAAUAAAGGAUGACUAUAGUCUACGUACUUUUCCCAGAGAGACUUGUAUUUUUCCAUCCCAAUUUUCAACCAUGGCUUGGAGUUUCCAUUGAAGUGCAACACAGCCCCUUUCUCUAUCAAGUGAGGAUCAACAUUUGUAUAGCCCAAUCCCAACACAUGCCAUGAGGGAUCUAAAGGCUCUGUCAACCCAUAGAAAGUCAAAAGUCCAGGCGGUAGCGUCCCAAGUUUCCAUAGUGUCCGAUCCACAUUCUUUUCUUGCCAGUAGUGGUAGAUUUCAGUUACAUUUCGCUUUCUCCACUCAACCAAAUCGAAAACGUUCAUUCCAAACGCCCAACCACAUGCAUCAGGAUCAAAAUGUUCUCUAAUGAGAGGGUGAGAGUAGUUCAGGUACUUAUGGUAUCUGUGAAAUGUCUCCAUGCAUGUCUCAACUGCUCCAUUAACAUUGCUGUUCAAAUCAAUUGAAAAUAGACCAGAUAGAUCCUUCUGAACAACUACAUCAUCAUCAAGAAAUACCACCUUCUCCAGUGCAGGAAAAACUUCAGGAAUAUAAAAUCUGAGGUGAUUAAGCAUGGAUAGAUAUUUUGGGUUCCGGAACUUGAUAGGAGUUUGGCCAUCAUUAUUAUGGCCUGAAAAGUAAUAGCUUUGAGUUUCAGAGUCCUGGAGCUGCUUAAGCACUGGAACAUACGAAGCAUUUAGCCAUUUAAAGUCUUCAAAAUUCUGCACCUCAAUGGUAACUCCUCGGAAAGUGUUCAUAGAAAACCAAGCCUUCAUAGCAGCAUAGUUUAUUUCAUCAGUUACAAGAUGAAACACAACCAUAUCUGGAUUCUUGGAAUUUAAAGUAGUUGAAUUGACAACAACAGAAGUUGCAAGGAUAUUGUCAGAGAAGACACAGAAAUGAUAGAGACUGUUAUCUCUAAGUUUUGUCUCAAUGUGCAUUCUCUCAUUCAUUCUUCUGUGUAGAUUUGAAUUUCCAAACCAUUCAGUAGUUAACCGAAUACCAAGGCAGUAAAGUCCUUUUGGGAUUUCUUCAGCAGCUAUUUGACCAUACUUCGAGCUUUUCUCACUCACUGCAGCCAUUUGUUCAUCAAGAGUUUGGAUUUUGGUUUUCAGUCUCAUGAUCAUAGUUGCGCUAUCAUAAUGAAGUUGCUGGGCGUGGAGGAGCAAAAGUGCCAUAUCACGGAUUGCAGUUUCUGAUUCUCUGGUUGUUAAAGGAGCUCGCCUUGUUGCAACACUUGAAAGGAGGACCUGGGAAUUGCGUAUUUGGGCACUUAAUUCCCAAGCAAACUGAAUAUUGUUACUUUCUUUGGCGAUCACAACAAAAGCUUUUGCAAGAGAAAUUUGGUCGCUAAGUUGCCUGGUGACUGAGGUGGGGCUCAACAUUUCAUCCGUAAUGUUUAGACCUUCAAUGUUUUUCACAUACUUGGUAAAGUCCUGCAGAAAGAAAAAGAAUCAAGGGUUUUAGUUUCAAAGAGAGGAAAGUGGUAACAGGGAAUACAAGGAAGAUAGCAUCAUUAUCAACAUAAAAAUUAAGGAUAAAUGCACAGCAGCUCCAACACAAAAUGUAAACAGUUUAAGAUCACUUUAUAAAUCUAGAAGUAAAUCCAAUACAUAUACUUUAGAAGGAAUUGCCUUUAUAGUGAAUACAGAAAAAGAUGCCAUCACUUCUGAAAGUUAAGGGUUAAAAGGAAGGUAAAGGAACAAAAAAGGAUAUUAACAUCUGACAAACUUUGCUGAGUGAUGCUGGAGAUCACAACUUUGGUGGCACAAAAAACACACAAACAUAGAGUGGGGUAGCUGCCAUUAAUUUCAAAAUUUCUCGGUUGGUGAGUUCAUCUAGUAUUUAAAUUAAUCAUUUCCUAAUUACAGUUCAGCAUUGCAGUUCAUGUCUGACACAGUUUGCAAAUUUUGUUAUUGCUCAGUUCUGUAGUAUAAGUUACACUCGAAGAAAAUGUGAGAGGAACCAGAGAGACACUUGUCCAUACAGUUGUUAUACAUUUGCAAUAUUUCACCAAUUGCUAUAGAACAUUCAAUCACACCAAAAAAAGAAGAAGUUAAAGUCACCAAAAUGUCAGCCAUUCUAUGAUAUCAUAUGAAUACAUGGCAUACCAGCUGUUUCCUAAAUAACACCAUCACAAAGCUAGCACAUGAGGUGCAUUUUAAAACAUGAUGAACUUUUCAUACUGUUGGUCCUCAGAAACACAACUCAAAUCCUUUAGAUCACAACAUGUUUGAUGCUCUAAUAAAUCUGACCUCAAAACACACAUUUUCUCUAAUAUAGCAAGCUAGUCAUCUUUCUUUAUAAGUUUCAUUUUCUUAAAAAAAUUGAAUUUUAUUAGCAGAACAUGGAAACUUAAAUAGAGAAAUGCUAAAAAGAACAGAUCCUUCACCAAUAUAAUUCUGUUUGCUUGUACCAAAAUUCCUGACCAUAGAACUCAUACAAGUUAUCAAACUCAUCUACAAAAAAUAUUAUUCAAUUUGUUCAGCAUAGAAAUAACAAAAAUGACUUAUUGCUCAUUCUUCUCUUAAUUUUACAUACAGCAUAACCUCCUCAUUAAAUAUUUUACCCUCUCUUAUCAACAUUACAUAUACAUGGAGUGAAUAGAACAUUGAGGUAUUUAUACAUAAUUCUUAGAAUUUCAAUGUCCUGUUAACUUUGUUUACGCUUCACAUGCACAUUAUAGAAGCAAUGUAUGACACAAACAAUGCCUUAAACAUAACUUCCUCAAAUCAAAACCUAAUAUGAUCAUUUAAAACAAUUCAACAACCUGAAUCAAAUUAACAAGCUGGAUCAAGCUAAUGCCUCCACUAAGAUAACUACGAAAGGAACAAUAACUAUUAAGCUAUUGGAAUAAUAUUGCAUAUCCUAAAAAUACAACUUCAAAAUUUAAAUGAAACAAAUCAAUUUGUGAGCUUAAGAUUUCAAAACAAUUUAUCCGCGUCUACUUGUUAAAGCAACCCUUUCAUCAGGUGCAGUAUAACUCCAUCUAGCUCAAGCAAAGGCACAGAUCAGACAACAAUUCCAAUCUACACAAAAAAGACAAACCCGGCAGCACAAAAACAUAAACAAAAAAAAAAAUAGCAAUUUAAGCUAACAAUCAUGUCAUAAUAUUGCCACUGUCCCCAAAAAUGUAAAUCUCAACCUUCAUUAAGCCCAAUAACAGUACCAACGAAAACCCAAUUAAGCCCCAUUGUCCCUUCAAAUCCCAAAUCACAAAAGAAAAGGUCUCAGAACUCAAAACACUGAUUCCCUUCAAAAUUCCCACAUUUCACAGCAAUUAAACACAUUAAAAACGAUGCAACUGAACAAAGAAUUGAAAAAUCCUGUAAAGCACAUAUCUUUACCUUAAUAGAGCUUGUGGGUCUUGAUUCAAUACGACUCUCUUUGCUAAAAAUAACUAUAAACAGCAACACAACUGUACCACACAAUGACCACACCACCACAUUUGAUACCCUCCUCCUUACUGGCCUCCUAAAGUCCACUGGUCUCCGUCUCAUCUCAAAUUUAAGCUCUGUUUGGUUCCAAAGAAAGUAACUUUCCUUGAAAAUUUUGAAAAAGAGAUCCCAAUUAUGGAUUUCAAGUUCAAAUUUUUAUGACCCAGGUCAUGAAAAGUUGAUAACUUGAGAUUGGGAUCUGAAAUAUGAUUUGUUUUAGAGUUUUUGGUGUUUUCGGAUUUAUUUUUUGGGGUUUUGUGUGUUGAAAAAAGAAGUGCAGCAAAGAGAAGUUUGCUUUUCUUUUGGGACGUACAGACCGCACACCAUUGAUGAUUGUUAUGGAGAAUAGAUUUUAGAGAGGGAAAGAGUUUUGGUUUUUUGUGAUAUUGUGUAGAUAUUCACUAUAUAUUCUCUGAUAAAAUAUUUAAAAAACAAAACAAUUAUACAUAUAGAUUUUUUUAAUAUGUUUUUAUACUUCAAAAAAUUCUAAAUAAAAAAUAUAUUCACUUGUAAUUAAAUAAAUUAAUAACUAUAUGUAUAAAUAAAUAAAUAAAAUAUUAAAUAAUAAUUAAAAAAAUAAAAAACUGAUAUAGAGAAUAUAUUUAAUAUGACUUUUAUCCGAUUGGAUUUGCUAAGUUUAUUUAUUAAAAUAAUUUUUUUAUUCAAUUAAAUGAUAAUAGAAAUAAACACAUACAUUAAAUUGAUUAAAAAAAUAAAAGAGAAAAAAAUAUUAUGCAAGGUUGUACAUAUUAUAAAUAUUAUAUGAAAAUAAUUAAUUUAAAAAUAAAAUUCAUUUAUAUAAAAGAUAAAUAAAGAUAAAUAAAUAAAAUUCUUUAAAGAUUAAUUGCAUACAAAAUAACCAGAAAAAUAAAUGUCAUUUAAAAUAGGCUUUCUAAAACAAAGAGGGUAUUAAUAUAAAUAUAAAUAAAAAAUAAUUCUAGAAAAAAACAUAUAAAAAAAGCAUUAGUUUAAAAAAAUAUUUUUUAAAAAAAAAAAUUAUGCAUUGUUGGGCCCUUUUUAUGCUUUUGCAGUUGGAGUGAACGACAUAUUUCUUACCCUGAUUGUUUUUGAAAAAAAAAACUUCAAGCAAUGCAUUUUUUGUAUUACCCAAUUCUCAAUUAUUGUGUUGGCUGAAAAAGUAGUUUUUUUUUUUUAUCCAAAACAGCAUAGGUAACAUGAUAAAAACAUUUAUAGCCUAAAAAAAAUCAUUCCAAAACCAAAAAUCUUAACAAGAUUAGAUAUGCUUUUCUUGUCAGUUUCAAGAUAAACAAACCCCUAAUGUGAGCUCCUCUUAUAAAAAAAAAAUAAUUUGACAUCAAUUUUAUCUAUUUUGGUAGUCGGAAUCGGUGCUAAGAAAAAUUUCUUCUCUUUUGCGUGGGAUUCCAGUGACUUUCUCUCAUCUCUCUUACAUUAGGGGCUAAAAAAAAUAAAGUUUGGGAUCAAAAUUGAUUUUUUCUUUUAAUUUUAGAAAUUGAAAGGAUCCAAUUUCUAUAAUUUGUAAGUAUAAGGACUACAAUAAAUAUUUCACGCAGACCUUUUAAAGCCACCUAUUCUUUAUGUGUUUUUUACUUUAGUCCCCUGUCUUUCAAUCUCACCCUCCCAUAACAAAUUCACUUAUAAUUUAGUCUAUCAAGGGUCAAAUUUAAAAAACAUGUUGAAAAAAAAAACACUAUAAACAAUUUGUCCAUGGUGACAUGUGAGGUGAUCGACAAUACAUUUUGCAUAGUAAAUCCAUAUGUUUUAGUUUUUUUAGUUAAUAAUUAAUUUAUUAAAUUAUAUUUUCAAAAUUUAUAAACUAAUCUCUUGACUGGCUUUAGUUUUUGCUUGCAAGAACUUUGUUUUUUUAGAAGAUACCAUGAGAAGCAAUCUUUUAAUUAUAUUAUAGUGUGGAUAGUUUACUUUUGAAUGUAUGGAGAGGAUAUUUUAAAUGAGAAAUCCAAAACAAAAAUUGAUAUUUCAAUUAAAUCAGCUCAACACAUAAGUAAUUGAUGGAGUAACUAACAAAAGAACUAGUAACUUACAAACAAAUAUGAAAUAUAGAGAUUAAUUAUGUGAUUGUUUAAACUAUAAUAAAGAUAGCAAAUGAACUAAUAUACCAUUCAAUAUCAUAUUGUAGUUUUGCUUAUAAUACUCAUCUAUGCUUGUUCUUAUUUAUUUAAUAUGUCAAGAAUUUUAUCCAAGGUCCAAUCAUAACUGAUUACUAGCUUUCUAUAUUUAUUCUAAAAAUAUAGUAUCUCUCAUUAAUUUGGAAGAUUAUGGGUAGGAAAUAAAGAAAUAGUUGACCACAGAAAAAUAAUAAUUUCACAUUGCAAAGAUGUUGCUUUCUUCCUCUUCUAAUGACAGGUGUUUUCUUGAUUUAGAAAUUAAAUCUCAAAAACACAGGUAAUUUCAAUUUUGACACCAAAAAUUUUUAGAAGGUUGAAGAAGUGUUUGGAAAUGUGAUAGUAAUUGUUUUUUAAAGUGUUUUUAGCUUGAAAAAUAUUAAAAUAAUAUAUUUUUUAUUUUUUAAAAAUUAUUUUUGAUAUCAGCACAUUAAAAUGAUCUGAAAAUACUAAAAAAGUUAAUUUAAAAAAAAUCUUAGAUUUUUUAAAAAUAUUUUUAAAAUACAAAAACAAAUAAAUCUUAAACAUCACUAUACAAAAAAACACAAGUCUUAAGCUUUCAAGUAACAAUUCUAAUUUAUAAUAUAUGAGCAUUCCUCUAAAGGUAGGUUUUAGUGAGGGAAGUGAUAUCUCAUGGGCCUCUAAGAUUGGUAAUUUUUAUGAAAAAAAAUCUAAUUUAAAUAAUUUUAUGUUAUGCUAUUUGUGAGCCAAGUGAUUUUAUUAAUAGUGUCUAGAUUUUUAGCUACCGUGAUAUAUUUACAUCUCCAUGAAUAAUUAUAUUGUAACAUAUGCUAAAACACCGAGGACUUUUACUGUAGCAUAUUUUUUUUCAUUCUCAAAGUUUUUUUUAUUAUGUGAUGCCCAAAUUAAGAUAUACUUUAUUAAUUUUUUUGAAGUUUGGGACAAAUUAAAACAUAGACAGCAGAGUCUAAAACACAAUGAAAUUUCAUUAAAAAUCUAAAUUUUAAUUCAAAAAUUUAUUUUUAUUGUUUUACUUUCUCUUUUCAACCUUCAAAAUCCCUAUAAUUUUCAAAAAUUUAAUUUUGAUCCAAAAAUAUAUAUUUUUUUAUUUUUCAGUCUCUAUAUUUAAGAGAUGAGAGAGAAAAUCACUUGAUUCUGGUAGGAGAGAAAAUUGUUGGUUUCUAUUAAUUUUGGGCAUCUAAAAAAUUGAUUUUGAAGUCAAUAGGUUUCAUUUGACAAAAAAAGCUUGAUUGAGUUGUUUUAAAUCUUAAUAUUGCCUGAAAAUAGAUUAGAAUUGAGAAAGAAAUCUUUUACUCUUUUGAUCUUGUGUUCUUAUGCCAUUUUUUGAUUUUUUAGCUUGAUAUUUUUUUUUCAAUGUUACAAGGAUGCUAUUUAAAUAUUUUUAUGAAAAAAUGGGUUUCUAACUAGAAAAAAAACAAUCCAAAAUGAAAUUGUGUAAAAAUAGAUGAUACAUCAUUUUUUUUUUAAAAGGAUAUACAACAUGUUAUUCACUCCUUACAAAAAGAAUAAAAAAAUAAAAGGACUCAAGCACGCGGGCUAAGGCUAGAGGCCUACACGUUAGAGCUUGUUUUAAGGCAACGUGCGAUGAGCUGAAAAAAAUUGUAUUGUUUUUUUGUUGUUGUUGUAUUAGGUUAUAGAUGAGUUUAUUAAGGUGUUUUUGAUGUUUUUAGUUAAAAUAGGUUUUUAAACGAAAAAAAAAACCAAAAUCUUGUUUUUCUAACAACCUCUAGUUGUUGGAUUCUAUAGAAAGCGAACAAUGUUUUUAGUUAAAAUAGGUUUUUAAACCAAAAAAAAAACCAAAGUCUUGUUUUUCUAACAACCUCUAGUUGCUGGAUUCUGUAGAAAGUGAACAACGUGUCAUCUGCUAUCUUUUCUUUUAAAAAAAAGUCGUUUGCCCAUUUAAAAAAUUAAAAAAAAAUAAAGACAAGCUCGGGCACGCGGGCUGGGUUGGAAGGUCCACACGCCUGAGCUCCUUUUGGGUUUUUCUUCUUGCUAUUUUAUAUGAGUUGAAAGAAUUGAUAAAAAAAAAUCAUUUAAAUCUAAUUGAGCUCAUAUGUCGAGUCAUAGGUUUAAUAGGUUAAUUUGUAACAUCUAGGCCAUUAUUUGUUUUUUUUAAUGCUUUUUCUGCCCUUUAAUUAAAAAAAAUACAAUUACAUCUUUUAUUAUCGGUAAUCUAUUCUCUUAUUUAACUCAAACCUAAAAUAAUACAAAUUCAUCAUUUGUUAUCAAUGAUGUACUUUUACUAUCUUGACACCACGUGCCUAUCAUGUUUUUUUUUUUUAACUUCUAAAGAAAAUGUUUUGUCGCACGUCAGAAAAUCUACGCGGCGUCGGCUGGCGAUCUUUUCGUUGUCGUUUGAUUUGAUUGGUUCGCUGGGAGUCGCCACCUAGUAAUUUAUUAAAGGCUACUAGGAAACCGGAUGUACUGGUCUUGUCAGAGAUUCACGGGUAAGGGACUGGUUGUGGUUAAAGAAGAUAUUAGCACCCCUAACACACCCUACCUGAGGUAAGCUGCUUCGUGAAUUUGAUGUGUUUAAAGAAGUUUUAAUAAUUGUUUUUUUCAUCGAAUAUUAGAAAUAUAACUUACAUAUAAGUUAAUAAUUCUGAACCGUGAGCAAAUCAAAAUAUUAAAUUCUUCUUUAAUCUUUGCAAUUUUAUCAUAAAUAAAAACAUCCAUAAAAAAAACAUACAAACACACACGUACACUUUCACUAUAUUUUUUCUUUUUUCUUUUCCUUUUCUUUUUGACAUCCACAUUACAAAUUAUAAAAAUUCAAAACUAAACACAAAAAAUUACAUUAAACAAUUUAAAAAUUACAAAACAGCCCCUAAAAACUCCAGGAAUUGCAGGGAAGUCCUUCUGGAACCGGAUGAACAGUGGCGGCGCGUGCGUCCACGCGCCGCCGCAAACUGGAACGGAAAUUCUCAGCUUCUUCUCCCUUUCCCUUCCUACACCGACGUUGGCAACCUCUGUCACCUGCAAAAGGAACAAAACGCAACAACAAGCUGUUUUAAUCUUCUUUCACUGUUUUCGGAUCUGCCUCUCUCUCUUCUUUAGAUCUGCUUCGCUGCAGAUCUGUUCUUCUGUGAGUUUUUGUCUCCCCUCUCCGCUUCGUGUCGUUGGUAGGAGGAAGGAUGGCUACUGGUCGGUAGGCGGCGCCGUGUUCCGGUUGCCGGUGGUGGAGGUGCCUGCUGCUGUGUGGCUUGGUGGAGGCCGGUUCUGCAGAGCUGCUUCUCCGUUGCUGUUGGUAGCUGGCCGAGGGAGUGUGGACGGCGCUGCUGGGUCUGUGGGGGUUUCUCUCCGAUUGGCUUUCCCAAGGCCACGGGAGGCGGCGGCUGGAGAGGCUGUCAGCGGACGAUGGAGAGAGUGGAACCGGCUGGGAGAGGGGAGAGGAAGAUGGGGCUACGGUGGAGGCUGAUUUGUGAGGGGAGGCUGGUCUGGUUUGUCUUGAGGGGAGAGCAAGGGCUACUUAGGUAUUUUUUAAGUAAAUAUUGUUUUUUUUUAUCAAUGUUGUUCUUCAACAUUAAAUUAAUUUAAAAUUAAGUUUUUUAUUUUAUUUUUCAAGAUUAUCCCCUUCAAUUUUUCAAGCAAACCCAUAUUAACUUAAAUAGAUCAAGUGUUUUUUCAUCUUAAAUAAAAAAAUUGUUUAAAAUUUGUUUUUCAAGAAGAUAUAUCACUAAUAAUUGGAUUUUUUUUUUUUGAGCUUUAAAACAAUUUUGUUCCUAUCCGUGACAUAGAACGGGGAAAAUUACCAGUUCUUCACUAAAGAAAGUGAAAUAAACUCCUUACCUUUCUAUUGUUUAUAACAAAAAUCAUUAUUUAUAUAUAACAAAAUUACAUGUUUUUUUUAUUAUCAUACAAGUUUUGAAUUCUAAAACACUAUUUAUAAGAAAGAAAUAUUUUACGGGUAUAUAAUUUCAAACUUGGAUGAUAUAUUUAAAGUUUUAUAUAAGAAAUAUUCAUUUUUUUAUAGAUAAAAAUUGCUAAUACCAUCUACCUUUAAAUAUAAAAAUAAUAAGAUUUAAUUUUAAGGAGUAGUUUAACUGGUCAGACUCUAAGUUUGCUUCUUAAAAGUUAUCAGUUCAAGUUUUACAAACCUCAGGAUUACUGAAGAUUUAGAUGAUUGUUAAUUUUAGAAUUUGUAAAAUUAAUCAAAAUACACGAGAUAUCCACCUUAAUAAAAAAUAAUAAUAAUAAUAAAAUAAUAGGAAUUGAAUCCCGACAGAUAACAUCAAUGUUUUCCCAAUACGGUCUAUUAAUGCUAUGCUUGGGAGGCUAGUGUGAAAGGAAAGAACGCGCUCCGUAGCUAUCUGGACUUCGAGCGUGUUUGACAGUGUGAUUGCGGGUGCUUUUCAAAUAACUUUUCGUGCCAAAAUACAUGCCAAUAAUGUUUUUUCAUUUUUUAAAAAUUAUUUUUAACAUCAGUAUAUCAAAACGAUCCAAAACAUACAAACCAUAUUAAAUUUUAGUAAAAAAAAAAAAAUUCAAAAUUUUUGGAAACGCAGCCGCCGCCGCAGCCGCCGCCGCGUUCCCAAACGAGUUCGAAGGGUUAUCCCUCUCGUUGCCAAGAAAGCCUAUGCUGAUAUCUAGGAGCUUAUGAAGGUGGAAACAAACAGCCAAGCUUUCCUUACCAGCUAGCACACAAAAGAUAGAAGGUGGCUAGUGACUAAACUGAAGCCCAUCAAGAAACAUCAGCUCGUGGCAGCCGCAGCAUAUUAUUCCAGGUAAACAAAGCUUGGACAAAAUCAAACAUUUUAGUUUGGUUAUCAAUCAUGUAUUCAUUUGGUAUCCACUUUCUAGUCUACUUGCACACACAAUGAUGUUAGAUUACUGAAGUUACUUUCAUUAUUUCCCAUGGUGAUCCGGUUUUCUGUGUAUUAGUUCGCGUCUAUGGCUAAUCCAGUUGCAGCUGAGGAUGGUCCUAGCCACAGAUAUCCAUGGCUGGAUGGAAUCAUGAUAAAGAUUGACAAUUUGUCUCCGCUAUCAAAUUGGAGCAUUUGGAAGGUUUCAUAUAGCCUUCGGACUGUGAAUGAAGAUGCCUACAAUCCUCACAUCAUCUCAAUCGGACCUCUUCACAAAGGAGAGCACAAAUUGCUAUCCAUGGAGGUUCACAAAUUGCAUUAUAUGCGAUCCCUCCUACAACGAACACCAGAUUUACAUGAGACUCUCAAAUCUUCUGCUGAGGCCAUCCAAAAGUUCGAGAAAAAGGUUCGUGCUUGCUAUGCAGAGCCAAUCGAGAUGAGUUCAAGUGAGCUUGCUGAGAUUUUGUUAGUCGAUGGUUGCUUUAUGCUUGAACUUUUUAUAAGAAACUCGAAAGAUGAUCUUAGAGUGCAAGAUGAUCCCUUGUUUCACUCCUCGUGGAUUAUAACACUCCAGCGAGACCUUGCAUUGCUUGAGAAUCAGAUUCCAUUCUUUGUUCUGGAAAGACUGUACUCGCAAGUAGUGGAGUCUAGUACUAUUGGUCAGUCAUUGCCUAGCCUCCCUGAGCUCGCUCUUGGUUUCUUCAAAUCAGUUCUGUACAUUAAUGAUGAGAAUUUUAGGAUCAUUAGGAGGAGACCCUAUCCCCAUUUGCUUGAUUUAAUUCACAAUUGCUACUUACCCCCAGCAUUAUCUGGAAGAAGCAAUAUUAUUGGAAAAUGGAUUUCAACGCAGCCGGCAACAUUACUUGAUGAGGCUGGAAUCGUGUUUAGGAAAGGUACAGAAAGAACUCUAUUUGACUUGACGUUCGGAAACGGUGCAGUACUCGAAAUCCCACCAUUGCGCAUCCAUGAUUCUACAGUCCCACUCUUCCAAAAUCUCAUUGCUUACGAGGAACUUUCACGCGGUACUGCACAAUACAUCACAUCUUAUUUCGCACUGAUGUCCCGUCUUGUUUAUGAUCGGGGAGAUGCUGAACUACUUGAGAGCAAAGGUAUAAUUCAAAACGAUACGAGUGGUUGGAAAGAUGUUUCAGUGCUCUUCAAUGAUAUGUGCAAGCAGGUUGCUGUGCAAGAUUUCUGUUAUGCAGAACUAUGUCAGGAUUUGAACUCAAACUUCAGGACUCGGCGGGCUUUAUACAAGGCGACCUUGAGAAAGACCUAUUUCAGAAGUCCAUGGACAACUGUAUCGGUCAUGGCUGCCUGCGUUCUUCUUUCUCUUGCUGUAAUUCAAACGGUAUACACAGUACUUUCGUAUUAUCCUCAAAAUUGAUAGUUGUCUGAGUGUUUUGUUUCUACAAUUUGUUCAAGAAUUAAGCUUUUAUGCAUAAUAAAUAUUGCGUGUUCAUGGAAACCUUUUCGUUUUAGAUUCGAGUGAAAGCUCGAAAGUUCAAUUUCUUGUGACUGAAAAAUCAAGCUACAGAACAGGAGAAUACAUUUACUCAUGGCCUUACUUCAAUAUCACCAGAUCUUGUUUUUCAUCGAGCAAAACCCCUGCGUGCACUGUAUUAAUCUGUGCGGCCUUAACUUUUUGGUGAAAGUUAUAUUUUUUAAAAGUUAUCUGAAAGUUAAAAUUACAGACUUAAGAAAACGAAGUGUUUGUCAGUACAUGUUAUUAAAUAUUUUUAUAAUUAUAAUCACAAUUAUCAAUCCAAAUUAAAAUAAAAACUAUAUCUCAGAUUAAAAAAAACAAAGACAAUAUAUAUAUAUAUAUAUAUAUAUAUAUAUAUAUAUAUAUAUAUAUAUAAUUAGAGAGAUAAAGACAUAAAACAAAUAUGUUUUUAAAAUAAAUUUAUGUACUAGAAAGAUCAAGAAAAAUAUAUUUGGACUAUCUUCAUCUUUUUUGUUCAAAAAAAUCAUGAUUUUGUAAUUGGAUAAUCACUUUUGUUCAAUUUAAGGAUAUUUUAAUACGCGUCUAAUUUCGACUUUUAUGUUCUAAAAUCAAGAAUAAGCAAAUUGAAAUUAAUAUAUAUUUGAGCAUGGAAUUUUUUAUGUUAAAAUUGCAGUCUACAAUAUAUUAUUUUCCCCGAAUGCACAUGAGCAUUCACACCCUUCCAAAUUCAUAUAUUAAUCAAUAGCCCAAUCCAUGAGAAGAACGUGCGUCUUUUAGAGUGUGUUUAUUAUUAUAGUAAUUUUUAUAGUUAAAGUUUAAAAAAAUUAAGUUUUGAAAAAUUAUUUUUUAUUGUAAUCAGUGCAGUUAAAAUAUAUGUUUGGUUUAAAGUGUUUUCUUAAUUUAUGUUUAUGAAGAAACAUGUUAAAAAUAUUUGGUUAAAAAUUAUGGUUUAAUUUGAUAUUAGUAAUAAAAUUAUCUAAAAGAAUAUAAAUUUUAAUUUUAAUUUUAAUUUUUAAUUACAUAAAAUUUAAUUUUAUAACCAAUACAAUAUUAUAAAAACCGAAAUAUAAUAUAACUUGUUGUUUUGUGGUAGUUGGUAUAACGAGGGUUGUUCUUUUUUUUCCUGCAGUUAUGAAGAAAUUAUAGACAAAUAAAUAAGAAGAAAGAGACGUUGCAAUUGUCAGUUUUGAGGGUCAAGCAGUAAGAAUGAUGAAAUGAAUGCAAAAUUAUUGUUGCAUUUUAAAUGCUUUUUAGCAGUACUAUAUAAAGAUGAGCUGGGGUCCAACAAUAAUUUUAAAUGCUUUUUAGCAGUACUAUAAGAUGAGCUGUGGUCCAACAUGCGCAAAAAUAAAAAAAAAAGGGGGGGGGGGGGUGUGGGAAUCGCUUGAAGCAAGUGGUGUAGCCUAUCAUGUUUAUUAUAUUAUAGAAUACUCUAGAAGGUGGGGAAAAUACUGUAAUUUUUCUCAUGUUUUUUAUGCAUUAGUGUUUCACUAUGUACAUGUACGGUGAAACUCUUAAUUUUUUUUUUCUGUUUUUUAUGUUUUUAUGGAUUUAUUUUUACUUUUUUCUUUGUUUUUUUUCUUUUAAUGAAUUUUUUUGUUUAAUUUAGUUUGUUAAUGUGAAAUUUUUUUUUAUUUAGUUAUCAGACUUUCAUGACACGGAUCUCGGGUUUGACGGGUUAACCUGGUUUGACGAGUUAACCUGAAAUUUAUUUUUUUUUUGCUUUUUAAUCAAUUUUUUUCAUUUAGUUUAGUUUGUUAAUUUUUUUUAUUUAACCCGUCGAUUUUUUUUUCUAUUUAGUUAUCAAACUUUCAUGACGUGAAUCUUAGGUUUAACGGGUUAACUCAGUUGAUUCAGAUUUUUUUUCCUUUUCCUCAUUAGUAACAUGCUUAUGUCUUUUGUUUGUUUUUAGUUUUUUUAUUUUUAAUUAAUUUUUUUGUUUAAUUUACGUUGUUAAUGUUCAAUUUUUUUCUAUUUAGUUAUCAAACUUUCAUGACACGGAUCCUGGGUUUGACAGGUAACCUGGUUUGACGGGUUAGCCCAAUUAAUUCUGGAUAACCCGUCAAUUUUUAUUUUUUUCAAUUUAAUUAUCAAACUUUCACGACACGAAUCCAAGGUUUGAUGAGUUAACCUGGUUUAAAGGGUUAACCCAGUUAAUUCAGAUUUUUUUCUUUUUCUUCAUUAGUUUUUUUUUUCUAUUGGUUUUUUUUUCUAAUUAAUUUAUUUAAUUAUCACACUUUUAUGACACAACCUUGCAGACAGACCCGCAUCCAAGGCUAUUGGGUCUGGUAUUGCAGCUAGACCUACCGGUAAUGCAAGUUUAAUGUUAUUAUUAAUAUUAUAAAUAUUACUUUUAGGUCAGACGUUAUAGCCAAACCCAAGAUUCUUGGAUAUAGCUUUGCAGAAAGACUUAACACUUUUACAUCUUAGCUUUUUCUUGGUAUUUUUUAUACAAAAAAAAUUAACUCGCGACAUCGCGCGGGUAAUAUAACUAGUAUAUUUUUAAAACUCAUAACCAAACAUGUUUGAUAAAUUGUGUUUAUACAAAACACGGUCGUAUUUGGUAUUUUUUAAAAAAAUUAAAUUUUCACUUUUAGAUCCAUCGAUUUCCACUUCCCAUUGACGUUGUUGUAUUCUUCUCUUCUUAGUCAUUGAUUUCUCUUUAAACGAGUUGGAACAUCAUUGAAUUAGUAUUAGUUUGGGCAAUUUGAGAACAAGCUUCAACUUAAGCUUCUUCUUGUAACGGCUCAUUCCGUUUAAUUCACCGAUUUCCUUAUCAUCUGAGGAGUUAUGGCAAUUGUCGUCGGUGGUAGGGUUAUGUCUAGUGGAUUGACUGAGGAGAAUGGAGGCAGUAACAGAGCAGUUGGUGAUAGUAGAGGCAGCAAUGGAGGCGAGAUAAAAGAAGCAAUGAAGAAUGAAUUGAGAAGGGGAAAAGGGAUAAGGGGAGAAAGGGAAAUACGGGUUUGUAUCCCUAGCACAAAAUGGAAUUUAUUAAAAAAAAUAAGUUGGAUCUUAUUAGAGCAACUAUACAUACAUAAAUAUUGUAGCAAGCUUUUUAAGUUGGCCUGGUGCCAAUAAAUCUUCAUUUAAAAUCUAAAAUAAGAAUAACAUAGAUUUGCACUACAAUUAUAAACCUGAUAUAGCAUGGUGGGUUAAGUUAUUGACCUAUUGAUUUAAGAUUUUACUAGGGAGUUAUUGAUUAAAAAACCAAAUAUUUGUUUUUCAAUUGGCAAUCAUAAUAAAAAAAAAUAAUUUUCAAAUUAAAAUAGUUGUACAAUAUGCAAAGAUAUUUUAUGCGCAACUAGGUGUCUUGCACAAGUAUUACUCUCACAACUUUCAAAUUUUAUUUUUCUUCUUUGGAUCCCUUACAUUCUCAUUUAAAUUAAUUCAUCUUUCAAUAUCCAAUGCUCAUGAAAAGAAAAAGAAAUCAAAUAGCUACAAGAAAAGAAUGAUAUAAUAAAAAAAAACAUGAGAGGAGAGAUAAAAAAGAAGAGAAAAGAAAAGAAAAAAUAAGACACUGAAUACACAUCAAAGUUUAGAUGAUGAUACUUCCAAUAUAAAAAAAUAUCUCAAUGGUACGAAUCCAUAGACGUAUUCACUUGUUGGUAUCUCAUCACUGGCUCCAAAGUUGGAUUUUCAUGUUGUCUAUAAAUUUAUCCUGUUAAGAACUUUCUAACGUUACUAAAAAAAAUCAUCCUCAAAGCUCUGAUGUAUCUUCAAUGUCUUAUUUUUUUUCGUUUUUUUGUUACCUUUUUUCUUUGCUCUCUUCUUUCUUAUCUUUGUGUGCCAUCUCAUCUUUUCUUCUAGCCAUUGAAUUACUAUUUUUUUCAUGGACAUUGUAUCUUAGUAAAGAAAUUAGUUUGAAUGGAAAUGCAAAGGAUUUGAAGAAGAAAAUAAAAUGGGAGUACUUUGCACAAUAAUUACUACAUGCACAAUCCACUGGUCACAUGAUUGUAUGUGCACAUAUUAUAUCACUCUGCUAAUUUAAGAAUUAUUUUUCAUUUAUGCUAUGCUAGAUUGAUAAAUAUUUUUGCAUAAAAAAACUUUUAUUUUAAGAUUUUUUUUUUGUUUUUUUUCUUAAAAAAAUUUUGGUUAACAAGAAUCAAAUCAAGUGACCAAGAUCUUUGAAAGAAUAAACCAUCCAAUAGAUAAAAAGGCUAACAAGCCCAAGCUAAACUAUUUUUACAAGUGGUAUAGUUCAAUUGGUCAAGUUUUAAGUUUGUUCCCUAAAAAUCAUCAUUGCGAGUCUUACAAACCUCAUAACUGAAGACUUUACAUUAUCAUUAACUUCAAGACCUGUAAAAUUAGUCAAGGUAUGUGUAAACUGACCCGAAUAUACACAUUAAUAAAAAGAAGAAGAAGAAGAGAAAUAGCUACAAAGCUAAACCAAAUACUGAAACAAAACAUAAGGCAAUUAGAUCAUUGGUAAUAAGCUAGUACUGAAUAUACAGUUUGUAACGCAGCAAGACUUAGAAGCACAAAGCCAGCAACUAGUGAUAUAAUUGCCCAUGGAUUCUUGCAAUGGUCUCUUCUGAAGUCUGCUUUGUAUCUAUACCAUUGUUUGUUAUAGUAUGCAUUCACAUCCUCACAUAACCCAGCAUAGUAAAAGUCCUGCAAAACAAUCUGCUUGCAGAUACUGUUAAAAAAAGCUGAAACAUCUUCCCAGCCACCAAAAUCAUUCUCAAUAAUCAGUUUUUGCACAAGCAAUUCAACAUCAUUAGGUGUGUCAAUGAGACGAUCCAUGAGCAAGAAGUAAGACGUAAUGUACUGUUGACCUCCAUGGAAUCUUUGCUCAUAAGCAAUGAGGUUCUGGAAGAGUGAAACUGUUGAAUCAUGGAUGCGUAAUGGUGGGAUCUUGAAAACACCAUUUUCAAACUUCAAGUCAAAUAGACUGCUCGUUGUGCCCCUUUCGAACUUGAUUCCAGCCUCAAGGAGUACCGAUGAACAGUGUAUGAAUUCCCAUCCUCCCCUGCCUCUUGGAUUUGGUCUUGAAGAAGAGGGCAGGUAGCAGUUGUGUAUUAGGGCAAGCAAAUGGGGGACUAUUCUCCGGCUGACAGCUAAAGUUCCUAUAUUGAUAUACAGAGAUGAUUUAAAGAAAUCGAAAGCUAGAUCGGGCAGGGUAGGCAGUGAUUGACCAAUGGCACUAGGUUUUACUGUAAGCUUGAACAACCAUUCAAGAGCAAAGAAUGGAAUCUGAUUCUCUAGCAGUGCCAAGUCGCGGCGAAGAGUUAAAACCAUCCAAGAAGUAUUGAAAACAGGAUCAUCUUGCAAUCGCAGAUCAGCCAUGGAGAACCUCAAGAAAAGUUCGAGUAUAAAGCAACCAUCAACCAACAACAUUUUGGCAAGAUCAUAUUUUUCGUAUUUGUCAAUUGGUUCGGCAUAGCAAGCUCGGAUGUGCUUGUCAAAACGUAGGAUGGCUUUGCCACAUUCAUCUAGACUCUUAGCAGGAUCCGGUGUCCGUUCAAGGAGAGACAGCAUGUAGUGCCGUUUGUGAACCUCCAUAGCUAGCACGUUCUGCUCUCCAUGGUGAAGAGGUCCGAUGGAGAUGAUGUGAGGACUGUAUGCAUCUUUAUUCACAGCCAGAAGGUUGUUUGGAACCCUCCAAAUACUCCAAUUUGAUAGUGGAUUCAAAUAGGCAAGCUCUGUUUUGAUGGAUUCUAGCCAGGAGGCUGUUUGAUCUGUGAUGUGAAGUUGAUCCAUGAGGCCAAAUGAUUGAAAUAAAAGCACCCUGGAAAAGGAAAAAAAUUUGAAAAUUUCUAUCAAAUUAUGAUUAUCCAAGAAGAAAAAAACCACCAUGACUGAAGUUUCUUUUACCUGGAAAAAUAUGUGUGCCACAAGUGUGAAGCUGUCGACGUCUUUUGAUCCGGCUCUGAGUUCACUGUAUCUUCAUAGUCUGCCUCUCUUCUUCUAAGCCAGUUUGAAAGAUUGAAAUGACACCUUAUUUUUUUUAUUGAAUUUGAAGGACUUUCCUCGUAAAAUAAUGAGGUCUGCCUCCACAUGUAUGCAAUGUUUUUGGACAAAUCUGCCUCUUUAAUCCCUAUGAAAAUACUAUUGUACUAUGUGUUAAAGAAUUAAUUCCAUCAAUGCCAUAGUUUAAUUUUUUUUUGAUUGAGUUGAUUAUUUAAAAUAAUAUCAAAAUUAUUAUAAUUAAAUUGUUACGAGAUCAGAUAUUAUUAUUUUUAAUUUUUUUAAUUAAAAUUAUAAUUUAAUUUAAGAUAAUAUGAGUAUAUAGGUAUCGAAUUCAAAAUGUUUAUACUUGAAUGAUUGUGUUAAAACAAUAAUAUAAAGUUAUUAAAGAGAUUUUGACACUAAGCUGAGCUUAAAUCUCAAAGGAUAGGGUCUAUUUAAAAAUGUGAUUGUGGUUGUUUUUUAAAGUGUUUUUCGUGUCGAAAUGUAUUAAAAUGAUAUUUUUUUUCAUUUUUAAAAAUUUAUUUUUGAGAUCAGAGCAUCAAAACGAUCUAAAAUAUAUAUAAAAAAAUUUAACAAAAUUUUUUUAAAAUUUUUUUGAAAACACGGAUACAAUCGUGUUUCCAAACGCUCAUUAAGUUGAUGGUUAAAAAUGUAUAUUGUAUUUCUUGAUUUUUUUGUGUUUAAAUCUUAGAAUUUAUUAAAAAAAAUUUGGGUGCACGACAAGGAGGAUGUUCCUUAAGAUUGUUCAAAAGGAAGGUUUAAUAUUUAACUAUGUUAAAAAAGGUUAAACUUAAACAUAAAGAAAGGUAAAACUUGAAAAAAAAAAAAAAGGAAAAGGAAAGCGUACGGCCCAGAUUGAGAUAGCCUUUAAACUUGAAAAUCGAAACCCAUUUCAACACAAAGCCCAUAAUCUCAAAAUUUUUAUUGAUUAAAAGUCCAAACCUACUUGAAGCUAACUAUUUUCAAUUUCAAGACUCUAGGCCCAAGCUCGAAAGCUGCUCUUCUUCUUCUUUCCAUUUUAACAAUAAUAAUUAAAAUACAACUAGUUAAUUUUCCUUGAAAAUAAGUGAUUUAUUUUUAUUAUUGAGCAAACAAAAUCAAAAAAUUAAUUACACCAAGAAAACCAGAAAAAAAAUAACCGAAAAUACCGAACCGUAAAAAAAAACUGAUUAAACUGAUUAGAAUUUUAAAAAAACUGACCGGUUCGGUUUGGUUUCGGUUUUAUAAGCUUGAAACCGAAAAAACUGAACCGAACCCAAACAAAAAAAAAAUCGAGCCAAACCAAGACAAACCGGGAAAAAACCGAGCCAAACCGGGAAAAAACCGAACCAAACCGGAACUGGUCGGUUUGAACCGGUUUUUGUUCUAAAAUAACCGAACCGGAACCGGUCGGUUUGAACCGGUUUUGGGUUUUUUUAAUAAAAAAUUUGUUUGGUUACUUUUUUUUGAUAAAAACCGAACCAAACCGAAAAUAAUCACCCUAGUUAUUAUUAUUUUUUGUUAUAAAAACUCAUGAUUUCAGAUUGUAUAGCUGGAAAAUGAGCUAUUGAACUAAAUUGUUAAAAUAAUGUUAUUUGGCAUAAUUAUGGAGAGAUUAUUCUUUAAUUUUAAUUUGAAAAAGCAAAGUAUAGCUAAUACGAGCGUAUUCAGGGAUUAAUUACAUACCAUGAAAGUGAAGAUUUCUUUGAUGGUACUGUUCUACCAAAUAAUUUAUUCAUUGGUGAUAUGGUAUCAUGUAAGUAAAUCUUUGAAUGGAAAGUAAUUUAUUAUAAUUCUUUUUUUAUUUGUAUCCGAAUCACAAGAAUUUUAUAUCUCAAUCUAGGUGCUAGGAACGCAAAUGAGUUUCCUAAAUCGUAAUUGAUUUUACUAGAUUUCUUUUAAAAAAAAGAAUCCAUGGUAGAUUGUUGAUCUUCCUUUUUUUAGAAACCUUUGAUUUUUUGUUCAUGUUUGUUAUGAAAAUAUUCAAUUUUUUUACCCUGUUCCUUAAAUUACUUGUAAGAGUCUUUUCUUUCUCAUCGAGAUGAAUCUGAUCUAUAUUUUUAGAUUUAUUUAUAAUUUAUUUCUUAAAAAAAACUCUUCCUUGAAAAAUACAAUAACAAAGAAAAGAAAGUCAAGUGAAAUGGGAGGAUUUUGCCUACCAAAGAAGGUUUUUGAAACAAAAACUACUAAAUAAAGGGCCAAUCAAGGGAUUAUCUAAUUAUUUCUGACAUUAUAGGUAAUAAUUAUUUAAUCUUAAUAUACUAGAAGUACUAUGAUAUAAUGAAAUAAGAAAAAAACAAUUUCCCUCUUCUUUUUUUUUUUUGCUAGGAUUGGAAAUCUUGUAUUUUCCAUAUUCAUUCAAGAGGCCAACUCGGCCCCUCUAUCUCUCUCUCUCUCUAUAUAUAUAUAUUUACAUAACGUUCUAAUCCACCACCAUAUCCUGAUAGCAAAUUUUAGCCUGGUCUAAAAGAAAGAUGAUGACAGGAAAUAGAAUGAGACGUUUGAUGAACAAUAAGCCAAUUCAAGAGGUUGACUUGAUUUCUGAGUUGCCCGACCCCAUCAUUCAACAUAUCAUGUCUUCUUUGCCCUACAAAGAUGCCGCAAGGAUGAGUAUUCUGUCCAAGAGAUUUGCAUCUGCAUGGACUUCCUUUCCUAUCAUCUUUCUUGACGAAACCCUGAACAUGGGAUCGUGCCUUGAGUUGACAGGUAAACAGAAAUUAAAUAGUUUUUUGGGCUAUGUGGGUGAUUUUCUUUCUCGUCGCCGACUGGAUGUUAGCUUAGAAAAAUUUAGUUUUUGUUUUUGUCUAAAUAAUAGCUCGAUCUGAGCAACCAAAUGGUGGUAUUGAGAAUGCAAUUAGUUAUGCAAUAGAGAAUAACGUGAAAGAGCUAGAGCUAGAUUUUGUUGGAAAAAGUUUCAAAUGUAUGGCACAUUAUAGUUUGCCGAUGAAAGUAUUGUCUGCGCAGAGUAUUAUAGCUUUGAGUUUGAAAGGGUUCAUGUUAGAGCCACCCCAGAAUUUGGCCUUGGAUUUCCCUUUCAUAAAAGAAUUGAGAUUGGAAAAGUGUAAGGGGAUGCAAAAACUCAGUGUUUCAAGCCAAACACUCAAGAUUGUGGUGUUAGAAUCUUGUUAAAGGUUGGAGAAGGUUGAAAUCGAUGCUUCGAAUCUCGAAUCCUUCUCGUUCGGUGGAGGAGCAAACUCAUCCUGCAGCGUCGAUAUCACCGCUUGCAAGUCCCUCGAAUACUUAUCUUUGAGGAAUGCUGCGAUCACAGAUGAAUGGAUUAAACAUGAAGUUGCUCAGUUUCUACGACUUGAGGUUUUCAAAGUUGUUGGUGUAGACUAAAAUACUUGAUAUUUGUCUGGGCUUUAAAACAAUUUUGCUCCGAUCUGUGACAUAGUACAGCCUAGGUACCGAUUCUUCACUAAAGCAAAAGAAGUAAACAAUUUUGGGCUUUAAAAAAAUUUUGCUCCUAUACUUAUAUAAAAUAAAAAUAUUAUUGAAUGUGAUGAAUUUAAUGACUUGUGUAGCAAGACUCAAGUUUAUUUAAGUUUUUUCAAAUAAAUAUUGUUUUUUUAUCAAUUUUAUUUUUUAAUAUUAAGUUAAUUUAGAAUUGAGCUUUUUAAUUUGUUUUGUUUUUUAAGAUUAUUCUCUUAAAUUUUGUAAGUCAACCCAUGUUAAUUUAGGUAGAUUAAAUGUUUUUUUAUUUUAAUAUUAAAUAAAAAAAAUAGUUAAAUUCAUAGUUAAAUUUUUUAUUUUUAAAAGACAUAUAACUAAUAUUUGGAUAUUUUUUGAGGGGCUUUAAAACAAUUUUGCUUCGAUCUGUGAGAUAAUACGAGGUCAUAAAUACCGGUUCUUCACUAAAGAAAGUGAAAUAAACUUCUUAACUUUCUAUUGUUUAUAACAAAAACCAUUAUUUAUAUAUAAAAAAAAUUACUUUUUUUUUAUUAUCAUACAAGUUUUGAAUUUUAAGAAAUAUUUUAUGGGUAUAUAAUUUCAAACUUGGAUGAUAUAUUUAAAGUUUUAUAUAAGAGAUUUUUUUUUUUAUAUAGAUGAAAAUUGAUAAUACCAUCUACCUUUAAAUAUAAAAAUAAUAGGACUUUGGAUCCUGACAGAUGAUUUCCCAAUACGGUAUAUUAAUGCUAUGCUUGGGAGGAAAGGACGUGCUAGGUAGCUAUCCGGACUUUGUAGAGUUAUCCCUCUCGUUGCCAAGAAAGCCUAUGCUGAUAUCCAGGAGCUUAUGAAGGUGGAAACAAUCAGCCAAGCUUUCCUUACCAGCUAGCACACAAAAGAUAGAAGGUGGUAGUGACUAAACUGAAGCCCAUCAAGAAACAUCAGCUCGUGGCAGCCGCAGCAUAUCAUUCCAGGUAAACAAAGCUUGGACAAAAUCAAACAUUUUAGUUUGGUUAUCAAUCAUGUAUUCAUUUGGUAUCCACUUUCUAGUCUACUUGCACACACAUUGAUGUUAGAUUACUGAAGUUACUUUCAUUAUUUCCCAUGGUGAUCCGGUUUUCUGUGUAUUAGUUCGCGUCUAUGGCUAAUCCAGUUGCAGCUGAGGAUGGUCCACGCCGCGAAUAUCCAUGGCUGGAUGGAAUCAAGCAAGACAUUGCAGAUUUGUCUCCGGUAUCAAAUUGGAGCAUUUGGAAGGUUCCAAAUAGCCUUCGGACUGUGAAUGAUGAUGCCUACAAUCCUCACAUCAUCUCAAUCGGACCUCUUCACAGAAGAGAGGAAAAAUUGCAAUCCAUGGAGGUUCACAAAUUGUAUUAUAUGCGAUCCCUCCUACUACGAACACCAGAUGUAGAUGAGACUCUCAGAUCUUCUGCUGAGGCCAUCGAAGAUUUCGGGAAAAUGGUCCGUGCUUGCUAUGCAGAACCAAUCCAUACGCGUGUAAGUACGCUUGCUGAAAUUUUGUUAGUCGAUGGUUGCUUUAUGCUUGAACUUUUUAUAAGAUACUCCAAAGUUGAUCUUAGAGUGCAAGAUGAUCCCUUGUUUUACUCCCCGUGGAUUAUCUUAACUCUCCAGCGAGACCUUGCAUUGCUUGAGAAUCAGAUUCCAUUCUUUGUUCUGGAAAGACUGUACUCGCAAGUAGUGGAGUCUAGUACUAUUGGUCAGUCAUUGCCUAGCCUCCCUGAGCUCGCUCUUGGUUUCUUCAAAUCAGUUCUAUACAUUAAUGAUGAGAAUCUUAGGAUCAUUAGGAGACCCUAUCCCCAUGUGCUUGACUUAAUUCACAAGUGCUGCUCACCCCAGCCAUCCUCUGGAAGUAGCAAUAUUGGAGAAUGGGUUUCAACGCAGCCAGCAACAUCACUCAACGAGGCUGGAAUUGUGUUUAGGAAAGGUACAACAAGAACUCUAUUUGACUUGACGUUCAGAAACGGUGCACUCGAAAUCCCACCAUUGCUCAUCCAUGAUUCAACAGUCUCACUCUUCCAAAAUCUCAUUGCUUACGAGCAACUUUCACGCUGUACUGAAAAAUACUUCACAUCUUAUUUCGCACUAAUGUCCCGUCUUGUUUAUGAUCGGAGAGAUGCUGAACUACUUGAGAGCAAAGGUAUAAUUCAAAACGAUACGAGUGGUUGGAAAGAUAUUUCAGUGCUCUUCAAUGAUAUGCGCAAGCAGGUUGCUGUGCAAGAUUUCUAUUAUGCAAACCUAUGUCAGAAUUUGAACUCAAACUUCAGGACUCGUCCGGCUUUCUACAAGGCGACCUUGAGAAAGACCUAUUUCAGAAGUCCAUGGACAACUGCAUCGGUCAUGGCUGCCUGCGUUCUUCUUUCUCUUGCUGUAAUUCAAACGGUAUACACAGUACUUUCGUAUUAUCCUCAAAAUUGAUAGUUGUCUGAGUGUUUUGUUUCCACAAUUUGUUCAAGAAUUAAGCUUUUAUGCAUAAUAAAUAUUGCCUGUUCAUGGAAACGUUUUCGUUUUAGAUUCGAGUGAAAGCUCGAAAGUUCAAUUUCUUGUGACUGAAAAAUCAAGCUACAGAACAGGAGAAUACAUUUACUCAUGGCCUUACUUCAAAAUCGCCAGAUCUUGUUUUUCAUCGAGCAAAACCCCUGCGUGCACUUUAUUCCGUGCGGCCAUAACUUUUUGGUUUUUGGCAGCAAACUCGGUAGCUAGUAACAAUUCAAUGUUGUAAUGUUAAUGCCUUGGAUAGUUAAUUUUUUAGCUUUAUAUAUAUAUAUAUAUAUAUAUAUAAUCUAAGAAAGUUAUGUUUUUUAAAAGUUGAGUUAACAACUAAAUUUUUUUUUUUUUUUUUUUGAAUUCAUCCUUCCAAGAGACAACAAGUCCUGGUAAGAAAAGGAAAACUCGACAUUCAAAAGUGCAAUGAAAAGCUCUCGGGUGAUUUGUUUUAGUUUUUUUCAGCUGUAGUUUGUAGAUUCAAAUAUGCCUCCGGAUGCUGGGGCCCGAAAAUCCAAUAAUGUAAUAAGUGCACUUUGAAUUACUGUCUCCUCCGUAUUCCCUCGGGAUGGAGAUUGGACAGCACAAAAUAAGUGAGAUCGGACAGCACAAAGUACGAUUGUCCAAGAAGAAAAAAACCACCAUGGCUUAAGAUUCUUUUACCUCGGAGCUCAGUAUAAAAAACAUAUCUAAACGAUAUGAAUUCAUAGACAUACUCACUUGCUAUUAUCUUAUCACUGCCUCUACAGUUGGAUUUUCAUGUUGCUUGUAGCUUCAUUAAAAAUAUUUUGACGGUAAUAAAAAAAUCAUUCUCAAAGCUCCUAUCAGCUUCUUUUUUUUUCUUUUUUCUUUUUUUAAUUUUUGUAUUUUUUUUUUUUCUCUUUCUCUUUGUAUUUACUUUUUUUUUCCUUCUCUCUUUUUUAAUUUUUAUAUCUAUUUUUUUCUUUUCUCUCUCCUCUCUUAGCAUCUUCUUUUUUUCUUUUUCUUUUCUCUCUCCUCUCUCCUCUCUUAGCAUUUUCUUUUUUCCUUUUUCUUUUUCUUUUGUCUCCUCUCUCCUCUCUUAUCUUUAUAUCUACUUUUUUUUUUCUCUCCUCUCUAAUUUUUAUUUCUAUUUUUUUCUUCUCCCUCCUCUCUCCUCUCUUAGCAUCUUCUUUUUUCCUUUUUCUUUUUCUUUUGUCUCCUCUCUCCUCUCUUAUCUUUGUAUCUACUUUUUUUUUUCCUUCUCUCCUCUCUAAUUUUUUUUUCUUUUCUUUUCUCUCUCCUCUCUUACCAUCUUCUUUUUUCCUUUUUCUUUUUCUUUUGUCUCCUCUCUCCUCUCUUAUCUUUGUAUCUACUUUUUUUUUCCUUCUCUCCUCUCUAAUUUUUUUUUUCUUUUCUCUCUCCUCUCUUACCAUCUUCUUUUUUCCUUUUUUUUUUCCUGUCUCCUCUCUCCUCUCUGUGUCUAUUUUUUAUUCUUUCCUUUUCUUUUUAUUCCUAUCUCUUAUCUUUGUGUGCCAUCUCAUCUCUUCUUUUGGUCAUUGGAUUUUUUUUCAUGGACACUGUAUCUUCGUUAAGGAAUUAGUUUGAAUGGAAAUCCAAAUCCAAUAAAAAUUAGUAUUUGCACAAUUACUACAUUCACAACACCAGGGGCGGAGCUACAACUAUUUGUUAGAGGUGGCCAUAAAUAAUAUAAUAAGAUAUAAUAUUUGUUUUAAUUUAUUAUAUAUUUAUUAAAAAAACUAGUAUGAUUUAGUUUUAUUCAAAUAAUUUAUUACAAAAUAUAUAAUGACCUUUAUAUAAGGUAAAAGAUUUAGAGCAAUAUCAAAUUGAAUCAAAGUAAUGAAGUUAAUUUCAUCUUCAUUAUGUAUCCACCACUUUAAUGUUGUUGGUCUUUAUACCUAUCAAAUAUAAACAUACAAAGUAUAUAAGAAACAUUAGUUAAAGCGAAAUAUUAUUUUAUGUUUGAUAAACUUUGAAAUAAAAUAAAAAAUAAUAAAGAAUAAUUCUUAUAUAUUUAUUUUAAUUGUGCUCAUCGUUCUUUUAUAGAACAGAAAUAAUCGAUUAUCAUAUCAAUUGUGAAUCUUUCAACAAAUUCUUUUACUAUAUAGACAAUCAAAUAAUUUGCAAGAAAAUCAUCUUCUAUCCGAUUGCGAAGUCUUGUUUUAACAAUCUUCAUUGCAGAGAAAGCUCAUUCAGUAGUUGCUAUCGAAAUAAAAAGAGUCAAAAUAAGCCGAAUCAACCUGUCAACUAGUGGAUAAAUAUUUUUUUUUUUUUAAAAAAAUCAAUUCUUCUUAUUUUGUUCAUGGUUCAACCUAAAAUCAAAACAUAUGUCGUGAGAAAAAAUUGAUAAUUUUGGUAGCUCUGCUAAAAACAAAACAUAAAAAAAAAAUUCAACCAUAAUCAAAACAAACCAAUAAAAUAUAUCUAAUUAAUUAAAAAAAUCACUAUCAAGAAUUUAAAAAACAAUUGUUAGAACUAGCAGAUCUGAAAAAAAAAAUUAUAAAAAAAUCUUAUUAAAUUCUUAAUAAAUAUCUUAAAACAAAAUAAAAAUAUAUUUUUAAUUUAAGAUAUCGAUACCAGUUAUCUUAUUUGGUUUAAUGAAAAAUGAUUAAUCAAUAAUCUGUUUCAAUCUUUUCAUAAAAAAUUUUUUAUUUAUAAUUUGUAUCGACUGAGCGAUAGGGAGAGAAAAUGUAGCAAAUCAUACUGAUAACUUCAUAUUUUGUUUCCUUUCCACGUAGGCAUGUACAUACCAUAAAAUCAAGACAAAGUCAAAGGAAUUCAAAAGUAAAGCAAAGAAUAACAAAUAUAUUUACGGUAAGAAGGACCCAUCUCAUUAAAAAAUAUUACAACUCCUAAUCACAUUUAAUUAUCAAAUAAAAAAAAUGUCUUGCAAGGCCCGGGCCCCUGCUUGCCACCCUUUCAUUCCGCCCCUGCACAACACACCUGAUCAUGUACGUGCACGUGUUAUAUAAUUGUGCUAAUUUAAAAAUUAUUUUUUAAUUAUGCUAGUUUAGUAAAUAUUUUUUUUGUUUUAACCAAAUACUGAAACAAAACAUAAGGCAAUUAGAUCAUUUGUAAUAAGCUAGUACUGAAUAUACAGUUUGUAAUGCAGUAAAACCUAGAAGCACAAAGCCAGCAACUAGUGAUAUGAUUGCCCAUGGAUUCUUGCAAUGGUCUCUUCUGAAGUCUGCUUUGUAUCUAUAACAUUGUUUGUUAUAGUAUGCAUUCACAUCCUCACAUAACCCAGCAUAGUAAAAGUCCUGCAAAACAAUCUGCUUGCAGAUACUGUUAAAAAAAGCUGAAAUAUCUUCCCAGCCACCAAAAUCAUUCUCAAUAAUCCGUCUUUGCACAAGCAAUUCAACAUCAUUAGGUGUGUCUAUGAGACGAUCCAUGAGCAAGAAGUAAGACGUAAUGUACUGUUGACCUCCAUGGAAUCUUUGCUCAUAAGCAAUGAGGUUCUGGAAGAGUGAAACUGUUGAAUCAUGGAUGCGUAAUGGUGGGAUCUUGAAAACACCAUUUUCAAACUUCAAGUCAAAUAGACUGCUCGUUGUGUCCCUUUCGAACUCGAUUCCAGCCUGAAGGAGUACAGAUGAAUAGUGUAUGAAUUCCCAUCCUCCCCUGCCUCUUGGAUUUGGUCUUGAAGAAAAGGGCAGGUAGCAGUUGUGUAUUAGGCCAAGCAAAUGGGGGACUAUUCUCCGGCUGACAGCUAGAGUUCCUCUAUUGAUAUACAGAGAUGAUUUAAAGAAAUCGAAAGCUAGCUCAGGCAGGGUAGGUAGUGACUGACCAAUGGCACUAGGUUUUACUGUAAACUUGAACAGCCAUUCAAGAGCAAAGAAUGGAAUCUGAUUCUCUAGCAGUGCCAAGUCGCGGCGAAGAGUUAAAACCAUCCAAGAAGUAUUGAAAACAGGAUCAUCUUGCAAUCGCAGAUCAGCCAUGGAGAACCUCAAGAAAAGCUCGAGUAUAAAGCAACCAUCAACCAACAGCAUUUUGACAAGAUCAUUUUCUUUGUAUUUGUCAAUUGGUUCGGCAUAGCAAGCUCGGAUGUGCUUGUCAAAACGUAGGAUGGCUUUGCCACAUUCAUCUAGACUCUUAGCAGGAUCCGGUGUCCGAGCAAGGAGAGACAGCAUGUAGUGCAAUUUGUGAACCUCCAUAGCUAGCACGUUCUGCUCUCCAUGGUGAAGAGGUCCGAUGGAGAUGAUGUGAGGACUGUAUGCAUCUUUAUUCACAGCCAGAAGGUUGUUUGGAACCCUCCAAAUACUCCAAUUUGAUAGUGGAUUCAAAUGAGCAAGCUCUAUUUUGAUGGAUUCUAGCCAUGUUCUCUCGGCCGGAACUUGAUUUGUGAUGUGAAGUUGAUCCAUGAGGCCAAAUGAUUGAAAUAAAAGCACCCUGGAAAAGGAAAAAAAUUUGAAAAUUUCUAUCAAAUUAUGAUUAUCCAAGAAGAAAAAAACCACCAUGACUGAAGUUUCUUUUACCUGGAAAAAUAUGUGUGCCACAAGUGUGAAGCUGUCGACGUCUUUUGAUCCGGCUCUGAGUUCACUGUAUCUUCAUAGUCUGCCUCUCUUCUUCUAAGCCAGUUUGAAAGAUUGAAAUGACACCUUAUUUUUUUUAUUGAAUUUGAAGGACUUUCCUCGUAAAAUAAUGAGGUCUGCCUCCACAUGUAUGCAAUGUUUUUGGACAAAUCUGCCCCUUUAAUCCCUAUGAAAAUACUAUUGUACUAUGUGUUAAAGAAUUAAUUCCAUCAAUGCCAUAGUUUAAGUUUUUUUUUUUUAUUGAGUUGAUUAUUUAAAAUAAUAUUAAAAUUAUUAUAAUCAAAUUCUUACGAGUUCAUAUAUUAUCAUAUUUAAUUUUUUUUCAAUUAAAAUUAUAAUUCAAUUUAAGAUAAUAUGAGCAUGUAUGAAUAUCAAAUUUAAAAUUUUUAUACUUAAAUGAUUGUGUUAAAACAAUAAUAUAAAGUUAUUAAUGAGAUUUUGACACUACCCUAAGCUUAAAUCUCUAAGGAUUAAGUUGAUGGUUAAAAAUGUAUAUUAUAUUUCUUGAUUUUUUUGUGUUUAAAUCUUAAAAUUUAUUAAAAAAAUUUGGGUGCACGAUAAGGAGGAUGUUCCUUAAGAUUGUUCAAAAGGAAGAUUUAAUAUUUAACUACGUUAAAAAAGGCUAAACAUAAAGAAAGGUAAAACUUGAAAAAAAAAAAUAAUAAAAAAGAAAGCGUACGACCCAGAUUGGGAUGGCCUUUAAACUUGAAAAUCGAAACCCAUUUCAACACAAAGCCCAUAAUCUGAAAUUAUUUAUUGAUUAAAAGUCCAAACCUACUUGAAGCUAACUAUUUUCAAUCUCGAGACUCUGUGCCCAAGCUCGAAAGCUGCUCUUCUUCUUCUUUUCAUUUUAACAAUAAUAAUUAAAAUACAACUAGUUAAUUUUCCUUGAAAAAUAGGUGACUUAUUGUUAUUAUUAAGGGUGAGUAAAAAAAUCAAAAAAUUAAUUACACCGAGAAAACCGGAAAAAAUAACCGUGAAAAAGAACUAAUUAAACCGAUUAGAAUUUAAAAAAAAAACUGAACGGUUCGGUUCGAUUUUGGUUUUAUAAACCCGAAACCGAAAAAACCAAACCGAACCCAAACAAAAAAACCGAGCCAAACCGAAAAAACCGAGCCAAACCAGAAAAAAACCGAGUCAAACCGAACCAAACCAGAACCGGUUUUUGUUCUAAAAUAACCGAACCGAAACCGGUCAGUUUGAACCGGUUUCUGUUUUUUUUUUAAAUUGGUUUGGUUAUUUUUUUUUAUAUAAAAAUCGAACCGAACCGAAAAUGAUCACCCCUAAUUAUUAUUAUUUUUUGUUAUAAAAACUCAUGAUUUUAGAUUGUAUAACUGGAAAAUGAGCUAUUGAACUAAAUUGUUAAAAUAAUGUUAUUUGGCAUAAUUAUGGAGAGAUUAUUCUUUAAUUUUAAUUUGAAAAAGCAAAGUAUAGCUAAUACGAGCGUAUUCAGGGAUUCAUUACAUACCAUGAAAGUGAAGAUUUCUUCGAUGGUACUGUUCUACCAAAUAAUUUAUUCAUUGGUGAUAUGGUAUCAUGUAAGUAAAUCUUUGAAUGGAAAGUAAUUUAUUAUAAUUCUUUUUUUAUUUGUUUCCGAAUCACAAGAAUUUUAUAACUCAAUCUAGGUGCUAGGAACGCAAAUGAGUUUCCUAAAUUGUAAUUGAUUUUACUAGAUUUCUUUUAAAAAAAAGAAUCCAUGGUAGAUUUUUCUUCCUUUGUUUAGCAGCCUUUGAUUUUUUGUUCAUGUUUGUUAUGAAAAUAUUCAAUUUCUUUUACCUGUUCCUUAAAUUUCUUGUAAAAGUCUUUUCUUUCUCGUCGAGAUGAAUCUGAUCUAUAUUUUUAGAUUUAUUUAUAAUUUAUUUCUUAAAAAAAACUCUUCCUUGAAAAAUAAAAUAACAAAGAAAAGAAAGUCAAGUGAAAUGGGAGGAUUUUGCCUACCAAAGAAGGUUUUUGAAACAAAAACUACUAAAUAAAGGGCCAAUCAAGGGAUUAUCUAAUUAUUUCUGACAUUAUAGGGAAUAAUUAUUUAAUCUUAAUAUACUAGAAGUACUAUGAUAUAAUGAAAUAAGAAAAAAACAAUUUCCCUCUUCUUUUUUUUUUUGCUAGGAUUGGAAAUCUUGUAUUUUCCAUAUUCAUUCAAGAGGCCAACUCGGCCCCUCUAUCUCUCUCUCUCUCUAUAUAUAUAUAUUUACAUAACGUUCUAAUCCACCACCAUAUCCUGAUAGCAAAUUUUAGCCUGGUCUAAAAGAAAGAUGAUGACAGGAAAUAGAAUGAGACGUUUGAUGAACAAUAAGCCAAUUCAAGAGGUUGACUUGAUUUCUGAGUUGCCCGACCCCAUCAUUCAACAUAUCAUGUCUUCUUUGCCCUACAAAGAUGCCGCAAGGAUGAGUAUUCUGUCCAAGAGAUUUGCAUCUGCAUGGACUUCCUUUCCUAUCAUCUUUCUUGACGAAACCCUGAACAUGGGAUCGUGCCUUGAGUUGACAGGUAAACAGAAAUUAAACAGUUUUUUGAGCUAUGUGGGUGCUUUUCUUUCUCGUCGCCGACUGGAUGUUAGCUUAGAAAAAUUUAGCUUUUGUUUUUGUCUAAAUAAUAGCUCUGAGCAACCAAAUGGUGGUAUUGAGAAUGCAAUUUGUUAUGCAAUAGAGAAUAACGUGAAAGAGCUAGAGCUAGAUUUUGUUGGAAAAAGUUUCAAAUGUAUGGCACAUUAUAGUUUGCCGAUGAAAGUAUUGUCUGCUCAAAGUGUUAUGGUUUUGAGUUUGAAAGGGUUCAUGUUGGAGCCACCCCAGAAUUUGGUCUUGGAUUUCCCUUUCAUAAAAGAAUUGAGAUUGGAAAAGUGUAAGGGGAUGCAAACACUCAGUGUUUCAAGCCAAACACUCAAGAUUGUGGUGUUAGAAUCUUGUCAAAGGCUGGAGAAGGUUGAAAUCGAUGCUUCCAAUCUCGAAUCCUUCUCGUUCGGUGGAGGAGCAAACUCAUCCUGCAGCGUCGAUAUCACCGCUUGCAAGUCCCUCGAAUACUUAUCUUUGAAGAAUGCUGAGAUCACAGAUGAAUGGAUUAAACAUGAAGUUGCCCAGUUUCUUCGACUUGAGGUUUUCAAAGUUGUUGGUUGUAGACUAUUGGAAAACUUCCAUGUUUCCAACGCUAAUCUUAAGACAGUGGAGCUAAGUGAUUGCUCAAACUUACAGAAGAUUGAGAUUUAUUCACGAAGCUUAAACACAUUUGUUUACGGUGGUCAGUUAAUGCCAUCACAAGUUUUCAUUUAUUCUCCAUCUUUCCAUGCUAAGGUCUCAUUGAGUGUAGAUCAUCCACUCCCCCAUGAUUGGUUCUCGAGCUUCAGGGAUUUUCUUUCAUGCUUCGACCAUUGCAAAGAGUUGGAAAUUGCUUGCAGUAUUGAGAUGGUACGAUUUCCUUCGCUUGCGAUUUUGUUUUUGGCUCUUCUAAUUUACGGUCUUGUUCAUUUAUGCAAUACAGACUUUUUUCACUAAUCUGUCUCUCUUUUCCAUUUCUAGGCUUUGAUUGUUCCAAUAGAUUCAAGAGACAGCUUGCUUCCUCCAUUGUAUGACCUCAAGUAUCUGAAGGUAGUCGCAAAAUUUCCAACAAAAUCGGAGGACCUCGUGGGCUUGUUGGAUAGUUUGCUUUGGUUUGCUCCUCGUUUAACAGUAUUAUCUUUUGUUUCGGGUAGCAAGGAAAAAUCUCUUAAGGUAUGUACAUGUCCUAGCUGUGAAAUCACACCAGAAGGGACAGAUGUAGAAGAGAUGUUAAAGAACCAUAAAAUAAAUUUAUCUUUGAAAUAAUUUUUAAUUAAGGUAAAUUUAUGUACAUUUUUAUUCCACCGUCUCUUUCUUUUUUAUUCCAUAACGGUAAUUAAAUGUUACCUAAGAAAUUAAAAAAAUAUGCCCUUGAUUUAUUUAUUUCUGUUGUCCAAUAUCCACAUAAAAUCUUGAUCCAAUGGCUCGAUAAUCCUUUUGAAGUUUUAUUUCAUCAUUUUUUUUCUAAAUGUUUAGUAUGAAGCUACGCGUAAUUUGUUAUCUUUGCAAAAUAGCCUGUCUGCGGGAUAGUAUUUUGACACUGAUGAUUUCUUUCAAUUUUGUAGUUUGAAUAUAAUAUAGCAGUAGCUAUAGAUGAAGAUCUCGAGUGCUGCUACUCGAUGCCUAUAAAGUGUUGGCGACACUCUUUAAAGAAAGUUACAAUGGAGAACUUUGAGGAUCGUGAAGGUGCUAUUCUGCAGAGGUUCUUCGCACAAAAGGCGACAAGGUUGGAAGCAACUUCAAGGGAAGACAGUGCUAGUGCUGAUGCUUCAGCCGAGGAAGGAGUUUCUCAAGGUUCUGGUUCGGUGAUCACUCGGAAUAUCGGUGAUCUAGGGGCUAUUAUCAUGGCUAACUUUUUUGAUGUUAAUGAUACAUUAGAAAUUAUGAUGUGAACCAUGGCUUAUGAGGGCUGUAUGCAUCUUUAUUCACAGGCAGAAGGCUGGCUGGAACCCUCAAAAUUCUCCAAUUUUGAUGUCUUCUAGCCAGGUUCUCUGGGCCACAGGGCUGAAUGAUUGAAAUCAAAGUAGCCUGCAAAAUAAAAUGGAAAUGGAAGUUUUCUAUCUAAUUUUGAUUAUACAAUAUCGAAUGGUUGUGAUGUGAACUUCUCAUUGUCUACUCGGAAUCUCUUUUAUAGUAUCAGCCACAGACACAUUAUCCCUCUUAUAAUCAAGCCAGUGACCACCUGCUAAUUAAUCCACUUCAAGAAUAAGUUUCCAAGCAAUCCCAAAACUCAGCCUUGUUGGCUGCAAAAGCAUGGUGGAAACGGCCUUGUCAAUAUAUACCUGAAAACCCCACCGGCACCAGCUGCUUCUCCUCGCACCAGGUCAUUGUUGAUAUAGGAAAGAAAACAUAGUUUUUUUUAAAAAAAAUUAUUCUUUAAUAUAUUUUUAUUAGAAUUGUUCUUUAUGUUUUUUAUAGGUUAGUUCUAGCCAAAGGGUUAUGGAUUUUGAAGCUUGACAUUAGUUGAUUUUUGAUCCUUAUUUUAUAAAAUUAGUUUAUUUUUAAUUUUAUUUUUUAAUAUUUAAUUGUUUUAGAUUUGGUCUAUAUGAGGUUAUCUCAAUCCCAUACAUAUGAUCGCACAGUUAAUAUGUUAACCUGAGUUGAAUUAAAUUUUAUUUUUAGAUUAAUUUUUUUAGUUUCUAUCCAUCAACAUUUGUUUAUUAAGAAUUUUACUUUGUUUUUUUUUUUUUUAUCUUUUAUGCGAUCAGUCCCUCUCUUAUGACCACAACUACGGGUUUUGAAGUUUAACACGAAUUGACUUUAGUUUUUUUUUUUUUUUAAACUGAUUCUUUUUAGUUUCAUCCUUUAAUAUUUUUUUUUUAAUUGAUCUUCAUGCUUUUGUUUUCACUUUCCUUUCUAUAAGGUUAUUCUAAUCUUGUGCCCAUAAUUCCAGGGUUUACGGGUUGACCCGAGUUGACCCAAAUUUUUUUGUUGCUUUUUUUAAAAAAUAUUUUCCAGUUUCGCCAUCUAACAUUGAGUUGUUUAAUAAUUUAGCUUCAUAAUUUUAUUUAAUUCUUUCUCGUUAAUUUUUUUUAUAUUUUAUUAGCAUAGAUAAUUGUUUGAUUAAAUAAAAUAUUUAUUCUGAAAAAACAAAAUUAUUUAACACAAUUAUUACACCUUCAUGUUACAUAAUCAAAUAAUAUUAUUAGUUAUCCCUCAAUUAAAUAUUGGUUUAUUUAAUUGAAUUCAUUUAUAAAUUUUUUUAUUUAUGUUUGAGAAUUUUUUAUAUAUCUACAAAUACUUUGGAAAUUCCUGCAUUUUCCUUUUUUUACUGAAAAAAAUUACUAACAUAUGAUGAAACACAUGUCAAAUUGAUAGUGAUUGUCGAUUAGGUGAACUUUAAAAGUUGUUUUUUAUAAUUUAUGUAAACGAAAAGGUUAAAGUUAAAAGUAUAAUUAAGAAAUUAUUCAAAUCAACAUGGUAAUAUAAAUUAGAAUAUAAAUCAUAAUUUUAAUUUUUAAUAAAAAAAUUUUAUUCAAUUUUACAACAUUUUUUUAUUUAAAUUAUUUGUAAUCAAUACAUUUAUAAUUUUUUAAAAUUAAAAAUUAAAAAUAACUUCAAUCAAUUUGUAAAAAUAAUUAAAAAAAUAUGUAUGUUACUUUUUUUGUAAAUUGUUUCUUACCAAAACUAAGGGUAAAUUUUCAAAGAAAAGAAAAAGAAAAGAAAAGGAAAGAAAAUUACAACUCUAGUUAUGGUUAAAAUUAUUGGCUUAUUCCGGAUCUAAACCAAAGGAUCCGGGUAUCAAUUCUACUUGGAUCCACUAACCCAUAUUAACAGCCGAAAACCAUUUCCCAUUUCCGCAGCCAAGAUUUGGCCUUUCUUAAACUGAUAGUGGCAUAACCUCUCUAAAUCCCUCAACUAUGUCGAGACCAGUAACCACACUCUCUUCUCCAACUCUCAAAAUCCCAUCCUUUUCUCGUCUUUCCCUUCAAACCCACAAAAGCCAAACCAUUUCUUGUCACUCUUUAGCUAUAAAGGCUAGACCUUUAUGCAGCCAUAACCAGACGCUGAAAAGAUUUGGUUUGUUUCUGGACAGUAGAGAUAGGAAGUUGGGGUUUCGUGUUAAUGCAGAGAAUGGAGAAGGAGAGAGCGAACGGGAUGGUGUAUUUGAUGAUGGUGAACGUGGAGAGAGUACUAUGCCUGAGAGGUUUAGGUACUUAACUAAAGAAGCACCUGACCCUCCUGUUAGGUGGCCUUGGUUUGUGGGUAUGUUUUAGUUUCUUUGCUAGAAGAAAAGGACUUAAUCUUUGAAGAUAAAUUAUUGCUGCUUUGAAAUUUUUUUGAGUUUUGGAUUGUGAGUGCUACUUUUAUUUUCGCUGUUGUUGGUGAAAUGUCAAGUAGAUUGGUUGUUCAGUUUUCUUGAUUGCAAAUGUUCAAGCAAUUUUUUGAGCUUGUUGGCUGUUUUAUUAGUUGAGAAAUUGAAAUCGAUAUUGGUACUUCACGAGUUCUUCUGUAGGAUGAUGUAUUGCUUUGCUCAACAUUUAUAUGUGAUGGUUUUGUAACAUUUAUACAUUUUUUUCAGCAUGGGGGAACUAUUGCUCCUUUUUCUCUGAAGAUUAAUAUUGGAAAUUUGUUUUGAAAUGAUUUCCAUAGAUUACUUGAAUGUGACUUGUGCUGAAUGUCUGAUGAAAAUUAUCCACCAUGAUGAUUUUGUUACAUGAUGCUUUGAACGAUUUGCUUGAGUUGCCAAGAUAUUUGACUCAAUCAGUUGUUACUUGAUUUUGUAGGGUUCACAUUUUGUCUUGAAAUCAGUUGUUGUUCUUGGUGUGAUAAAUAUUACUACAACUACUAGUAGUACUACUAUUAUUGAUUCAAAGCAUCUUUCUUUCAAUAAUUGUAACCUUUUUUUCAAUAUACAUUGAUGCCAAUUGACAUGGAAAUGAUGACAAUAUGAAGUAAAAGGUCUGAGCAGAGUGAGUUAAUGAUGUUAGUCAUGGAUGCGGAAGUUCGGAGGUGCAAGAAAGGGAGAGGGCCCUUGUCCUUGUUUUGAGUUACUGCAUUGUGACUGUCGCAACCUCUCCUACAAAAAAAUUGCCAUUCUUGGUGAUGGGUUGAAAUAAAAGGCGUGGGGCUGCAUUCUAGAAUUGAAUGCUAGUCUAGAGUUCUCCCAACAUUUUGUACUUGCAUCUCCUUACUUUAAGCUUCUGUUGGCUGCCACCAUGCUUCCUGUAUUGAUCAAAACUUUUAUGCUGAUCCACACAAGCUGCAUUGGAUGUGUUCUUUGGGAUAAUGUAUGUUGUUUUCUCACCGUUUAUACAUUGUUAGUUGAGCUUAAUAGUCUUUUAAACAUGAAGAAAAUGGAAAUGAUGGCAAUAUGAAGUAAAAGGUCUGAGCAGAGUGAGUUAAUGGUGUUAGUCAUGGAUGCGGAAGUUUGGAGGUGCAAGAAAGGGAGAGGGCCCUUGUCCUUGUUUUGAGUUACUGCAUUGUGACUGUCGCAACCUCUCCUACAAAAAAAUUGCCAUUCUUGGUGAUGGGUUGAAAUAAAAGGCGCGGGGCUGCAUUCUAGAAUUGAAUGCUAGCCUAGAGUUUUCCCAACAUUUUGUACUCGCAUCUCCAUACUUUAAGCUUCUGUUGGCUGCCACCAUGCUUCCUGUAUUGAUCAAAACUUUUAUGCUGAUCCAUACAUGCUGCAAUGGAUGUGUUCUUUGGGAUAAUGUAUGUUGUUUUCUCACCGUUUAUACAUUGAUAGUUGAGCUUAAUAGUCUUUUAAACAUGAAGAAACUGGAAAUGAUGGCAAUAUGAAGUAAAAGGUCUGAGCAGAGUGAGUUAAUGGUGUUAGUCAUGGAUGCGGAAGUUUGGAUGUGCAAGAAAGGGAGAGGGCCCUUGUCCUUGUUUUGAGUUACUGCAUUGUGACUGUCGCAACCUCUCCUACAAAAAAAUUGCCAUUCUUGGUGAUGGGUUGAAAUAAAAGGCAUGGGGCUGCAUUCUAGAAUUGAAUGCUAGCCUAGAGUUCUCCCAACAUUUUGUACUCGCAUCUCCUUUAAGCUUCUGUUAGCUGCCACCAUGCUUCCUGUAUUGAUCAAAACUCUUAUGCUGAUCCACAAAUGCUGCAAUGGAUGUGUUCUUUGGGAUAAUGUAUGUUGUUUUCUCACCGUUUAUACAUUGAUAGUUGAGCUUAAUAGUCUUUUAAAAAUCACGAAAAUGGAAAUUUUUCUUCGUAUGAAUUUCACUUUGUACUUGAAAGUGACUUGUGCUGUAGGUCUGCAUUAUGAUUUUCCAUUUUGAUGAUUUUGUUACCUGAUGCUGCAAACAAUUUGCUUGAGGUUUUUGUACAAAAUAUGUCUUAGCCAGUAACAUUUGAUGGAUUUUUUAACUUAAAUUUUUAAGCUUAAACAUUUGGUUUUGGGGAGUCAAGCUAGGUUUCCUUGUGUUUAUGACAUUUCCAAAGUUCAGCACUCUGCAUUUUUGGUAUUAUACCUUAUGAAUAAAUAUGCAAAAAUGGUUGCUUAACCUCAAAUUUUGAAACUUGAGUAGAGAAACUGUAGAGUGUAACCUGUUGGAAAUUUUGACUUGAAAGGUAUAUGAUUGUGGUACUAUGAUUUCUUGCUCUGUAAAUCCAUUAGUUAUAUCCUGUGGAGGAAAAUGCUGUUGUUUCAGUUAAAGAUUUCACAGAUUCUUUGUGUUUGUUUGUGAUCAAUAUUUGCCCAAGCUGUAUGAUAGUUAGUGAUUAUGCUUCUGCUCUGUUUUGUUUGCAAAGAAUUGUGACCACAGAUUAUGAUGUGCCAACUAACCCCUUUCACUUGUAAUUAACAUGCAGCUCUGGGUUUCCUUAUCUAUGCAUGGAGAGCAGUCUUAUUUGAACUAGGUAACUGGAAAAGGGGUGUCAUAGCUAUUAUUGGUUUUGUGGGAUACCUCCUGAAACUUCUGUUGGCUGUUGUCUUCCAUUUCAUUGGGGAUCCAAUCACCUCUCUGAUCAGAUGUAUAGAGACUGCAAUCUACACAUUUCAGGCUUUCUACUCUGGAAUAGUACGAUCCGCUCCUGUUCCAGAACUGACCUUGAUUAUCAUGCUUGCAUCAGCAGUUCUUGCUAUUGGCGAAGCUGCCGCACCAAACUCUGUAAGCAGGCAACCUUAUCUUCUCACAGUAUCUGGCCUAAUUGGCUAUGCAGCAGUAAGAAACUACAUCUCUGAGCCACUUUUCUGGACACUUCUACUGGGUUUAUAUGCUUUCUCUAGAUUCAUUAAGAAGAGAGAUGAUGUUACAUCUGCCUUGCCUGCUGCAGCUGUACUAGCUGCAAUCGGAGAACCUUGGGUUAGAGUUUUGGUAAUGGUUUCAUAUCUAGCUUUAGCUAUUUCUUACCAUUCAAAGCAGCUCGCCAAAGGAAAGGAAGAAGUUGAAGUUGUGACAGCGGAUACUGGUAGUAGGGUUCCAGUGCCACUGCUGUGCGCAGCUUUAGCCAUUGGUAUUCAUGUUGCUGCUAAGUGGGCUGGCUACCGCCACUUGACAUGGAUGUUAGUAUGACAGCAAAGACUCAACAGUCGUCUGGAGAUGAUGGGCGAGUUUUGAAAUGGCUCAAGGGACAACUCCUGUAGCAGCAACAAUUUUAGUCAUCUGGACUAGGUUAAUCAUUUCUUCAUAAAAAUCUCCCCAUUGCUUAGAUGUGUGUAUCACAUAUGAUCCAUAAGAUUGUACAAUUGUGAGAAUUUAGUGAGAAAAACAAAAGUCCCGGGGACAAUGUUCUACACAUUGAGAAAAACAGAGAAUCCCUCAGGUUGAAGCUAUUCAUGAUCGCGAUCUCAAAUUAUUAGGCACUCUCAUUGCAUAGUUUUCGGACCAUAUUCGGUGACUAAGUUAGAGAUAGGCUCGGGUCACUAGGUUACCGAGUAAACAUAUGGGUUAUUAAGAUGACAUUGUUUUCCUUUUUUCUUUUAUUUUUUGGAUGUUGACCUAAUAGAGCUUGAACUAGAGUUAACUAGCUCACCUGAUUCAUUAAAAAAAAAUCUAGUUAAGUCAAUUAAGUUUAAUCGGGUUAAUGUUUUAUCCAUUUCAAUUAAUCUAAUGUAUGAUUUUGAGUUUUAGAUUUUCUAAGUUAAUCACUAUGCUUUCUUGUGUGGUAUCCUUGUAUGAUACCGAAAUUUAAGUCCAUCUCAUCGAAGAUUUUGCUGAAUUCGUCUUUGAAUUCCAUAUAUAUUCAAGUAAGAUUGUCAAAAAUAUAUUUUUCAUACGGCAUGAAAAAUAUAAAAUAAACUCGGAUUAUAAAAAGAAGAAAAUAGAAAAUAAACUCGGAAGGUAAAAAGAAUUGUAAAAUCAUAAAAUCAUAAGGAAAUUAUUUUUUUUCAUACAUAGUUCAAGCAUCUUAAAAUAUACGGUUCAAAUACAAAUUCAUACAUAAUUCAAGUAUUUUAAAAUACACAGUUCAAAUAAAAAUUUAUACAUAAUUCAAUAAAAAUUUAUAUAUAAUUUAAGUAACUUUUUAUUAACUAAUAAAUAACAAAUUUAAAAUAAAUAAUUUGCUGAUGUGUUAUAUAAACUAAAAUUAGCUUCGUUUUCACAAAAAAGACAAGCUUUAUCCUUCAGAGUAGUGUUACCUAAACGAGGUGGAAUGGGGAUGACAUCAUCAUCUUCAUAAGAAUAUGCUUAAAGCUAAGAAGCACCUCCCUCGUAGAAACCAACUGAAUGUUGUUUCCUAUCAUUUGAAGAGAUAAGCACUUCUCCUUUGGAAGGCUGGAAAAAGCAAAAUGAAAGCAUACAUUCAUCGAAUUUGGCCGAUUUUAAUUGAGUUUUUAAAUUUCUAUCCAAUUUCACACAAUAUAUCUGUAUUAACUCAUAAAAUUGUAUGAUUUUAUGAAUCAACUUGUGAGUUUGACAACCACAAAUUCAAGUAUUUUAAAUUGUUAAUUUAUGAACCAAGUUAACUUUUUGAUGUUGUCUCAAUGUUCAAAUUUUACAUAUGCCAAAUAGGAGAGCAAAAACUGUGAUCAAAUUCUAAAAUCUUUUGAGUUGUUAACUCGGUGUUGACUAUUCUCCUAUUUAAUCAAAUUAAUUGGUGUAAUUGACGUCGUUGCUAUGCACUACUAGUGAAUCAAUUGAAGAGGUAUAAAGAAAUAAAUAUUUUCCAUGUGUUAUUUGUAUACGAAUGCUAUUUCUCAUAGUUUUUUUAUUUUCAAAUAUGUUGCCCUAUUUAAAAUAUAAUUAAAAAAACAGUUUUAAUAUGUGAAAAUUAUAGUUGUUAAAUUUAGUUCCGAGUUGAUUUGAAUUUAAAAUCUAAUUUGAAUUGAAUUUUAUUUUAAAUUAAAUUAAAAUUAUUCAUUGUUGACCUUCCUAUGCUAACUCGUGGCCUGUUUAUUCAGUUCAAACUCAAACUGGUAUAUAUUGAUAUUUUAAUAAAAAUAUUAGUUUAAUCUUGUUUUAACAACUUGGGUAAAAAAUAGUUUAAUCUUGGGUUUUCACAAUGGACCACUCGAAAUUCAGCCCGGCCCAUUACAAUACCAACACCACCAAAAACCAAUCCAGCCUUCACCCAAAAAAGAAAAAUAACAACAACUAGGGUUUUAUAGCUCUUGAACCCCUCUAUAUAACAUCGUAACCCCCCCCCCACCAAUUCUUCAUUCGCAGUCUCAAAGGCUAUGUUAUAUCAAAUCACAAAUCCUUUCAAAAAUCUUCUCUUUUCAAGAUCUUAGCUUGCACGAUGCCUCCCAGGCUUCGCUGAUUACAAACCCCUGAGGUAGAAAGUCCCAAAGCUCGUGCUAAAGCAUCUGCCGUUUAGUGUUGCAGUUUAGCCUUUUGUACCUUUCCACGGCUUUUCUGUGUCAAAUCAACGGCUACAUCUCUUAGUCUUGAAAACCUCACUGUUUUUUCAUAUGGGUUUGUGUUUUUUCUAUGUUUUUGUUGCCUCUCAAUACCUCUAGCUUGUUUUGAGAUAAAUGGUUGAAAUUAAGCUAGUCAAUGAGGCAAAGAUUGAAUCUUUUUGGUGGGGUUCACGUGGGGGCUUAUGCUAUUUGGUUAAUGGUUUUGCCUCUAAAAAUUCCCUCUAAAUUCAUGAAAGUUGUUGUUUUCUGUGAUUCAAUUUUUUGGCGAUGAUUAAAAUGGAUUUUAUCCGCGCUUCUGAGAGAAAUCAAUGAAGCAAAAACAUAAUUAAUGGUUGAAUUUCUUGAUAUGAGCCAGCCCUUUUUUGCGUAGAGAUGUUUUAUUUUGUUUAUUAUCAUUUAUUGAUUUUUUUAAAAAAAAAUAUGGCAGUGAUGAUUAAUUCACAGCUUUAAUGCCAGUUCUGCUACUGAUAAUUCUUGAUUGAUAGAGCUGUUAUAUCUCUGAGCCAUAUAAUUUAUAGAUCAUGCAACCUUUUGGUUUUCAAAUUGUAAAUGAUUAUAGAUCUAAAAAUACUAACUAGUGUUUAUGAUUUAAAUUAGUUUAUGAAGAAUAUGCAUUGUUUAAGAUUUUUGAAAAUUUGGUCAUGGUGUUAUUUGUUUUGAGCAUCAAUGCAUUGUAAAAUUGCCUGUGAUGAUGCAAUCCAAUUUAUUUGAGGUGUAGUGGAGCCGAGACCCUGUUUUCAGGGAGAACCUACUUGGUAUAAGCUACAUUAUAAUGAUAUUAAUGGAUUUAACUGAGGCAAUUUGAUUUUGAAAAAUUAAGUGUUUUCUGUUCAUUGACCAUUUAAUUUCCUAGUUUUUGAAUCUGCUAUUCAAAUUGAGUUUUAACUAUACUCUUGUGCCCUCUGUAAAUGGGUUUAGAGUCUGAAAAACUCAGACAGUGUGUGUUGUCAUCAGCUUCUUCUCCCGCAUAACCCACGAGAUUGGAGUUAAAUAACAGCACUACAUCCGUUUCCUUUGUUUUUCUUAAAGGAUAUUGCUCUGCAUUUAUUGGUACAAAGAACAUUUUGUUCUAAAUGAUUAUUAAUGGAUUUAUUAUAAAUUUUUCCAGUCAGUCUAAUGUUUGGAAUAAUAUAAAAACGAGCCUUAUUACAGAUUGUAGACUUGAUAACCAGGAUUGCAAAUUCAAACUUUCUUAGUAUGAAUGUAAGAUGAUGGCAAGCUGGGAGUCUCUCGUGAACGAAGGAGGUCCUAAUCAGGGCACUGCAAUUCUAAAUGUCUGUUGGCAAGUGGCGAUGCCAGACGUUUGAAAUUUACUUAUCAUUUAUUAGUCAGAAUUGCAGUGCCUUGAUUUGGGCUUUGUCUGUUCCUGUAACCGCCAUGCUAGGGGAGGGAAAUGCUGCUGCAAAUGUGAGCGCUGCUACUGUUAGGAAUGAAAGAGAUGCUGCAAUCUUCGUGAGAGAUCAUCAAAUAUGCUAUUUUGUUGGGGAAUCAUUCAGCAGAUACUAGGAAGUUGCUUAUGUUAGCUUUUUCUUCAGGGAGAAUCUUAUCAUCUGAUUGUGAUACCUAUUUCCUUGUAGUGGUAUAUAUACUGCCUAUUUAAGAGACUUAUUUUGAAUAAGAUGGCAAGUUUCAGAUUUGUGUUAUUGCCAUUUUCAAUCUGUUCAUAAUUCUUGCUCCAAUUCUCACAUUAUUGAAAUAUUCCUGUCUUAUUGUCCUUUGAUCUUGCCUUUUUCUGCUCUUCCACAACAAUGCGCCACAGUGGUUCACUGCCCACAUUCAUAGCUAAUUAUCAAAUAACAAUUAUCAUUAAUCUACUGCCAGGCCUUUGUUCUCGCUUCCACGACUAGUGUGUUUUACAAUGAACUAUUUGCUGGUUAUAAAAAUUCCUGAAUCUGUUUUCAGAACAUUUGCUUUUUAAUCAUGGUAUGCACACUGUGGUUAUUUGUUUCUAAUUCUAUACCACCUCUCCACCACCUCUCCCGUGCAUGCUUGGACGCUAAUCCAGCGAUCAGAUUUGAGGGCGUAUUUCCUUUGUCAUCCUUCUCAGCCAUGAGAGCCUCUCCAACGCAGCUGCUGAAAGUGAAUUUUUCCUCUCAUAUUAGCAACUCCAACGCGAUUGCUAUAUCAACAGGUAGAAUAGCAUUUCUUCAAAUGCUAUGCUAUUUCUACACAUUCUAUCAAAAAGCUAAAAUGUUGUUGAAGGUACAUAUAACCGUUAGCCAACGGCUAUCUGCACUUGCCUCUUCCUCUUAAAAAAACUGAUGCAAGAAAAUAGAGCAACAUGAAAUCUCAAAGCACCUUACCUUGAAGAAGAAAAGCUGCCUUUGAUUGUCCCAGUCCUGCCCGGGUGAUUAAUUAGCUUCCCUUUUAGCUUCCAGUCGUGUGUGUGCUAAUCUCAAAGCACCUUGCUUCCAGUUGUGUAACCCUGCUGGGUUGAGACUGAAAUCGUGUGGGUUUAGUGGAGGAGGGAAAGUUUGUUGGCUGACAUGGGUGGUUUUGAGCUAAGCUGAAAAUCGUGUGGAGUACGCUGAAGGGAGAAGAUGAAGCAAAAGAAAAUUGUUGUUUUAUUUUAUUCAAAGUUUUUAUGGUCAAGGAUUGCCUCCUUUCCAUCCCCUGUUUUCAACAUUUAGCUCUUUCAUUUAGCAUUUCUCAUCGGAGAUUCUCUGUCGGCCAAGUUUGGGAAUUUGUAGACAUUUCUCAAAGACAUCGCUUCUUUUUACUGGACACAGCACUCCAACCUCUGUUAUCACAGCAAGCUGGACAACGAGAAACAUUCUCUUUCGUUGCUUUCACUUUGCAUUGAAGGGCUGCUGUGUGUAGCUGUUCUCUUAGAGCUGCCUCGUGCUACGCUGCAUCUUCCUCUCCGUUGGUCAUCAAAUAAUUAAAUGGAUGAAAUCAAUGAAUUUCAUUUUGUCAAAUAAUUAUCUAAAACUCUCAACUUAAAUCUAUGAAUUGAGAUUUUAAAAGAUCAUUUAUAAUAUAUUCUAAAAUUUAAAUAAAAAAAUUUAAAUUCAUAACUAUUUAAUUAUCAUGAUUUUAAUAUCAUAUUAAUGAAUUAUAUGAUAUAAUAGAUUAAAGUCUCAUAUAAGAUUUAUGUGAACAUGUUUUCUACUUUAACUUUUCAAGUAUACAUGAAGAUUUGUGUUAUUGUUUGAAGUUUAUUACCGACUAAAAAUAUAUAUAUUUUUUUUAUGAUAUUGUGUUUUUUAAUAAAGAAUUGUUAUUUUCCUUAGAUUUUUAAUUGUUAUACAAAUAAUAAUAAAAGUUAAACUUGAAAUUUCAAGCCCUCAACCUACUCAAAGUCUUUACAAAUCAUUGAAAAAAGAUUCAUCUUUUGAGCAAUAGCUUAAUUAGUUAGAUUUUUUAUUAUUAGUAAUGAAUGAUAGUUAUUUUUAUAUAGUCAUGAGUUUAAAUUUUUUUAAAAUUAUUAAAGAUUUAUAUAAUUAUUAAUUUUAUAACAUGUUAAAUUAAUUGAGAUACAUGCAAGCUGUUUCAAAUACUAACAUUAAUAAUAAAAAAAAAAUCACCGCGCCAAGUUAGCUUAACAAAUUCAUUGAAAUUGGCCCGUUCGUUCGUUCAUCCAAAAGGAAACUCAGAUACAGAACCCAUUUUAGCAUAAUGGAGAAAGGAAGUCAGUGUCUUGGAAUGAAAGCAAGUGAAGUGAAACAGUGGCGAAUCCUUCAUUGUUGAUACAUCUUCCAGCUGAGGCUCUCCGUUACUUAAUACAUCUAAACAGUGAAAGGGGGUGAAUUUAUUUUUUCUCAUUUUCCUUUUUUUUUUUUUAAUUUUAUCUUUUAUAUUUACUUGAUUUUAUAUUUAUCUUUAUAAAUUGAGUUGGAUUGCUUUUUCUAAUUUCAUUGUAAUCUCAAAUAAAUAUCUUUAUCUUUGUGUUUGAUUUAACAGACAUUUGUUUUUGUUAUUGUAUUGAAAAAAAACAAAAUUCUUAGAUCAGGUGAAGUUCAUAACUUAGAUUACGGAUUUGAUGACUUAAAUCACGAAACAAAGUUCAAUUCAAUAUGUUAUUAUCUCAAUAUUAAAACAAAAAUCAUUUUAAUUUUUUUUCUUAAAGCAAGCCACGUUUUUUACCGGUUGUUCCAGUUUUCUUAGAACCCACCUAGUCGAUUGAGGUCAAUUCAAUAUGUUAUCAUUUUAAUAUUAAAAAAAAAUCAUUAAUUUUUUUUAAAAAAGCAAGUCAUGUUUUUUACAAGUUGUUCUAGUUUUUUAGAACUCACCUAGUUGAUUGAAUCAUAUCAGGACAAUUUUUAUAUGGUUUAAUUUAAAACUCAUGCUAGGUAUUUUUAAAAUUAACUUUGUUAUAUCAUGUUUAAUAACAAAAUUAAAUAGUACAUUGUGGCUUGGAUUUUUUUUUUAUGUUCAUAUUUUUUGUUGUUUGAGCUUGUUCAAUAUUUUAGCAUAAUGAGGCAGAUGGUUUUUUAAAAAAUAAUAAUAAUUAAUGAUCUUACAUUUACUUGAGAGGUUUGAUAUCGGUGAGUGGGUUAAUUUGAGGUUUUCAAAAAAAAAAAUUAUUUUCUAAGAUGUAAAGAAAAUUAAAAAAAAAUUCAUUUUUAUUUUCAAGUUUUUUUUUUGUCCUAAUUAAACACUGUGUGUUCAUAUAUCACUUUUAGGUAACUUUGGUUCUCGUCUUAGAAUAUAAAAGACAAAGACAUUGGGGUUAGAGAAAACGUAUAUUUUUUUGUAUUUUAGAAGCAUAAAAAUAUAUUUUAAAACUAUCAUAAAAAUACAUUUAUUUUUAUAUUUUUAUUUUUAUCUUUCUUAUUAAAUAUUUUUUUUAUCCUUGCUAUUAUUAUGUCUUAGUAUAGUGACUAAACAUCGCAUUAAUAAUAACGAUGAUUGUAAUAAUAAAUAUCUUAAAUAUAUAAUAAAAAAGUUUAAUAAUAUUGGUUGAUGAUCUCAUUUGAUAUUUAACAAAAGUUGACCUACUAGAAACAUAAGAGUUGACAUUGAAAAAUUUUAAACUACAUGAAUCGAAGUGACAUAUUUAUUAAUUUCCCAAGGCAAAAAAUAAUAUUAAGAGAUUUUAAAAUUAUGAUUUAUUAGACAAGUGGUUCUCAAGAAUUUAGAAUAUAACAUGAUUUUACUGCAAUAGUUUAGAUUCUUAAUUGUGUAUUUGAUAUAAAAUGUUUUUCAAAAAUAUAUUAAAAUAUUUUUUUUAUAUUAGUACUGAAAUUAUAUAAAAAUAUAUUAUAAAAAUAUCAAUUUAAUAUUUUUUUAAAGACAGAUAUAUUUUUGAAACACUUUUAAAUACAAUUAAGAACACAAAAAUAAAAUGGUGCCAUGAAUGUUAAAGCAUGGGCUUGAGGUGAAGCAUUCUAUAUUUGCAUGUUGGCAGUUUCUAUUUGUCCCUUCCAAGAUUUUCAUUUGUAUUUUGAAAAUUCAAAGGCUUGUUGACUUGUUCAAGCAUAUCCAUAACGGUGAGUAUCCCAAUCGAUGUUCGAAAUUGAAAGAAAUGAUUUAAAAAAUAAUCUUAAGUAUUUGGAUAAUUAAAUUAACACGUGAGAUUAAAACACUGUUUAAAAACGCGGUGCAAACCGUGUUCUAUAAAAUUUAUUUAUUUUUCAUUAAAAAUUAUUUUUUUAUAUGUUUUGGAUCGUUUUGAUACGCUGUUCUCAAAAAUAAUUUUAAAAAUUAAAAAAAAUAUUAUUUUGAUGCAUUUCAGCAUGAAAAUCACUUUGAAAAACAACCGCAACCACACUCCCAACCAGACACUAACCCGAUGAAUCAAUAACAUGCUAAAAUAAAAAUAAUUUAUCAAGCAACAUUUAAACAUGUCUCAAUUUUAAUAUAACCUUUAACCUUAAUUUUAACAUAUUUUUUAGUUAUUUUUUUUUUAAAAAAUACAAAUAACAUGGUUGAAAUAUAAUUCACAUAUCCAAAUUAUAAAUUAAAUUUAAAGUCUUAAAUACACAUACGAUAACAACUACAAUUUUUUUAUAGCCAAAUGAAUAUAUUGGGUUUUUGAAUAUGUAAAGUACAAAAAAAUAAAUAUUGACUUACCCGGACUUCGAUGGAUGUAGAUCAAGUUUUAUCAGAGCACUCGAUUCUUUAAUAAUAUGAUCAAGUUGAAUGAAUCUUGCUAAGUUAAAAUCUUAAUUAAUAAACUAUCUAGGCAAAUUUUGAGUGGCGAGUUUUAAGUCAACUCUUGAACUCAGCUAGAUUUGAAUGUGUUUGAUUUGGCAUUUAAAAGAUAAUUUUGAAUUUUUUUUAUGAUUUUGUAUAGUUUUGAUUAAAUUUUAAGAAAUAAAAAGUAUAUUAUUUUAAUUUAUUUUUAAAUAAAAAAAUACUUUAAAAAAUUAAUUCAAACACAACAUUUCUAAACAAGUUAAAUCAUGCAAAUUGUGCCCCGUUAAAUCAUGUGCCCCCACCAUGGGUCCACGGCAGGACAUCUCGUAAAAUGGCAUGAUUAGUGUUGAUGGAGACCUGAAGGUUUUUUAUUUUAUUUUAUUUUAUUUGGAUUGCAAUAAAUCGUGUUAAUUGCAAUUUCUAAUGUUCGCACUUUAAAGAGAUCGUUCUCAUUCCUUUAUCUUCUUCGUAAUAUUAUUAUUCUUUUUUUUUUCUCGAGUAAUUAUAUUAUUCUUAGAUCUUAAUUCUUAUGGAUUUAUGUUCGACUAGCUAUUUUACCCAUAUUUUACCAUAAAUUAAUUUUUUUUUCUAAAAACCAUAAAUAUUUUUUAAAGCAUUUUUCUUUUUAUAAAAAUAUCCCAAGUGAUAAUCCAAAAAUUAAUAUAUAUAUCUAAUCAAAUAAAUUGAGAACUAUGCAUAUUAAUAAAUAAAUAAAAAGUCAUUAAUAAUAAAUAAAGAUAAAAAAUUGAGGAACAGAUAUAGACCAAGAUAUUUGAUCUCGCAAUUUUUUUUCAUAAUUUGUUUAUUUAAUCAAAUGAUAAUAAAAAUAAACACUCAUGAAAUUGAUUAAAUAAAAUAAAAGAAAUAAAAGUAUCAUGUAAAGUUACACAUAUUAAAAAUAUUAUCCAAAAAUAAAUAUUUUUUAUGUUUGAAAAUAACUUUUAUUUAUAUAAAACAUUAAAAAAAUAUAGGUGAUUAGAACAACCUCUUAAAAAAAUAAAUGCAUAUAAAAUAACUAAAAAAUAAUUACUAUUUAAAAGAGACUAAAUAAAAAAAUAAAAGAGCAAAGGGGUUUUAAUUUAAAUAUAAAUUUUAAAAUUAUUUUGAGAACAAAUACAUAUAAAAAGACAUUAAUUUAGAAAAGAAUUAUUUUUAAAAAGGAAAAAUGAUAGGCUAGCAUGCCUGACCCAUCAAGUAAGGGCUUGUGCGUGGGCCGGCUAGGGUAGACUCGCGUGCUUGGAUCCUUAAUUGUUUUUAUAUAUUUUAGGUGGGGAAUGGUGUCCAUCCCAAAAUGUUCUGAAAAAAUAUAAGACACAUAACGCGUUCGUUUGAUAUUGCUCAGUUUUCAGCCACUGUGGUGGCUGAAAAAUUAAGACAUAAGUUUUUUUUUUUAAAAAAACUCAUCUUGACCAAAAACACCUAGAAAAACAUACUAGGCAAUUUGAUAAACCUAUUUACGGUCUUAAAAAACACAAAAAACCAUCUCAAAACUUGAAAAUCAAUCCGAAACCAAAACUCUUACCAAACUUAUGUAUGUUUUUCUAAGCAAUUUCAAGGUAAAAAAAAAAAACACUCGAUAUGAACUCUUCUCAUUAAAUGAAACAAUUUGACACAAUUAUUGACCUUUUUUUGGUCGAAAUAGUUGUCAACAUAAAUUUCUCUCUCCAAUGCUAGAUUCCAGUGGCUUUCUUUCACCUCUCUUUCAAACUAGAAACCAUAAAAUAAAAAUAAUAAUAAUAAAGUUUUGAAUCAAAAUUGAUUUUCCCUUAAAUUUUGGAAAGUGAAGGGACCAAAAUUUAUAAUUUAAAAAGUCUGGGAACUAUAAUAAAUAUUUCACCCAAACUAUGUCAAAGUCACUUAUCCCCUCAAUAUUUUCACUUCAGUACCCGUAUUUCAAUCUCACCCUUCCCCAGCAAAUUAACCUGCAAUUUGGUCUAGUAAGGGCCAAAAGGGAGAAAAAGACACUGUGAACAAUCUGUCUAUUAUGCCAUGUAAGGGGAUUCACAAUGUAUUUUGCAUAGUGAAUUCCCACCCCAUACAUAUAUUUAUAAUAUGUGCUUGCACUUUCUAUCUUAGUCUAUUAAAUCUAGCAUGACUCGUGAUACGAUCAAGAAUCAUGGUUAUAAGUUGGAUAAAUUAAUUUGAGUUGAUUUUAAUAAAUUCAAAAUAAUAUUGUUUUAAUGUUUUUUUAAAAUAAUUUAAAAUAAUUUUUUUAAAAGUAAAACUAAACUUUAACUAAUGAUCAAGUCUUAACUCAUUAGAUUAAUAUGUUAAAUUCUCAUUUAAUUUAAUUUAAUAUAAAACUGUCUCUAUCAACCAAGUUUGAUUUGCAUGGAAUUUAAAAAUACUUCUUUUGUCCCCUUUUAUUCUAUCCUCCGUCGGAUUAUGCCUCUUAAGUAUUUGUUUUUCUCUGUACCCUCGUAUUUGUUUUGUCGGCUAUUCAGAAUUUCAGACAGGAUAAGGAUUUGGCUUUGUGUUCACUGGAUAAUAUUCGGUCAGAAUUCUUUAUUGGUACGUUGAUCUAAUGAUGACUCUGUGUCUUAACGACCAAUGAUCCAUUUAUUUUUACCCUAAUAAAAAAAAAUACAGUAUAUUUGCUUGUGGUAAUUUAUCAUAAUUGUUUAUUAGUUUACGAAUUUUAAUCUAUUUACUGCAAAAUAUAAUUUAAUGGAUUCAACUUGUUCAUAUUCACAAGCAUAUAUUAAAUUCUACUUAUUAAACAACAAUAAUAACUUGUCGGAUAAGCACGACUUGAGAAGGCCAUCAGAAACAAUUGAAAAGGUCAAUAAACUUUAGCUAGUCAAAGUCUCGGGUUACAUGUUGAUGGAAUUAAUCUAACUUGAUUUGAAUUAUUUUUUUAAAUUAAAACUAUAUUAUUUUUAAAAAAUUCUUGAUUUCUUACUAAAUAAUGAUUGAUUCUCCGAAUUGAUCAGACCAAAUCAUAAAAUAUUUUUUAAAAAAUUUGACCCAAACUAGAGGUGACACUUAAUAAUCAUAGUAUGCAGACACUUAAUUUUAACAAAAAAAUAUAUUGAAGAUAAAUUAAGAGUCAUAAUUGAUUACUUUUUAUACGAAAUAUAAUUUGACUUUUUUUUUAAUAAAACAAACACUUUAUAUAUAUAAAUAAUAACUUUUGCUUGGAUUGUGUAAGUUAGGUAUUCAAAGAGGAAGUUACUAAAUCACACGCUCAAUUUCUCAUUUUUUUUUUUGGAAGAAGGUGUCCAUUGCCGACAUUAAUAACCAGACUACAAAGCAAAGGACAAGUCGUUUUUUUUUUUUUUUGAGUUUAAUGUGGGUGUCCGGGCUAGCUUGCGCGUAUCUCGACUAAUCCCACGGGUCCUGAAAUUAACGACCAUAUAAGCCUCCAGUGGCCAUCAUAUGAGCAACCACAGAACUCGAACCUGAGACCACAGAAGAAACAAACCUCUUAAUCCCAAUCAGAUUUGCUUUUUUUUAUUGCCCAUGUGAUAGAUCAGUAACAUUUGAUUAUAUGGUAAAGGAUAAGACAGAUAUAUAAAGUGUCAUAGCGAUAGAAAUAGUUGUUUUUUUUUUUUAAAGUGUUUUAUGUUAAAAUAUUUUUUUAUAUUAAUAUUUUAAAAUAAAAAAUAUAAAAAAUAAUUUAAAACUAAAAAAAAUUCAAAAUUUUUAAAAAUAUAAUUAAACUGUAAUACCAAACACCAUUAAAAUCUUUACUUUUAUUAUUCUAACUGGUUUUGAACAUGAAAGUUCAAAAAGUCUCCCCUUUUUUUUUCUAAAAGCUUGACUUAAGAUUGUAACUAAAAAUAAAUUUGGUUUAUUCAUAUAUUAUUUCUGGUUGAAAUAGAAGAUAAUGCUGGAGUUUGAAAAUAUAAAUAUUAUGGUAUAUGUUUAUAGGAAUUAUUCUUGUAUUUUGUAUUUAAAAUAAUUUUUGAGUGAAUUUAAAUAUUUUUAAAAUAUAAAGAAACAUGUAUUUUUUUUAUCUUACUAUUUUCGUAUCCUCUAUUUCUAAACAAUAACAAAGUAAUAAAAUCAUCUAUAAGAAGUUAAUCUUGAUCAUACCUAAAGAAAAAAACCUGAAACAAAAAGGAAAAAAAAAAAAAGGAUCGUGAAAAUUUUAAUUUCAUCACAAGUAAUACCCGAUAUUCCCUCCAUCUUUUUAGAAGGUGUGCUAAGUAAAAAUGUACAUGUGUUAUGCUAUCAUUGCAUAAGGCCAAGCGAUUGCAUUCGUCUGUCUCCCAAGCACUCUCUACGGAUAAUUAGCAGGCACUAUUCAGUGCUGUGUCUGAGUGUCAGCUCUCUUCUCUCUCGAGAGUCAAGACCCUCUUGAAUUUGAGAUUUUUUCAGGAAAUGACGAUUAUGUCCUUCAUCAACAGAGCUUCAAGAGCUCUCCAUGGCUAUCCUGCUUCUUCUAAGCUUCUUGUUCUCUUCACUCUCAGGUUGGUUAUGUACUCCUUUUUACUAGUGUUUCUUUUCUUCACUUCUUCAAAGAAAAGUGAAAAAACGUGAAUUUUUAAAGAUCUCUUUAGUUCUUUUAGUAGCUUUUAUUAAACAGACAGACCCUUUCAAGUUGUUCACUUGGAAUGUGUGAAAGGAACACUGUUUAUCUUUUUGGUUGCUGAGAAAAAGCAUAAAGUUUAUAUCUUUUAUGAUAAAGGGAAAAAAUUUGCAAUCUGGGUUCAUUCUUUUUUCUUAAAGAAAACUAGAUUACUUAGCAAACAAAAGGGUCUCGAAUCUUUGAAUUUCUCCUUCUUUUAACGGGUUUGAUUUUCUAAAGGUCAACCUUUUUUGUCCCUUUUGAUUUAUGAUCUUAACAUAGCUAGGUUGUUGCUGAAUGUAGUUUCUUGAUGUCAAUGUAAGUUAUUUAUUUGAUUGUUUACUUUUUUUUCUUGAUUUGAUUAGUGAGGUUUUUUAGCGUGACAGGAUCCAAGGAAGGAACUUGAUGUGGGGUUUAUCGAUCAAAAUGGAAAAUUUUAGAUGCAUUAGUAUAAUUUGUGACCUUUUCCCUCUCUGAAGCAAGUGAAAUUCAUGAUGUUGUAACGUGAAAGGAAGUCAAUGGGUUUGAAAUAUCAAAUUUGACCGAAUAUUUGUGUGAGAAUUCGUUUUAUAUGUUGAAUUGAUAGCAAUGUAUCAUGUUUUUUGCAGAGUUUUGGAACUAAAUUUGCAAAAUGCUACAUUCCCAGAAUUGAGUGCUUCCAUGGUAUCAAUAGCUACAUUUCACAAAAUGGAGCAUUUAAGAUGCCCAAUGGUGCCCUUAACAAAUGAUUUUAACAGAAUACGGCACCAAGUGAAAGCUAACAAUAUGAUUUGUCAAUUUUUUUGACACACACACGCACACAUAUAAGGGUAAAUGAUACUGUCAAAUUAGGUUGAACAAUCUUAUACUAGUCAACUCCCAUUGUUUAUAGUUGAUUUGUUUUUUGUUUUGAACUUGGCCUCAUUCUAGUUGAAUGACACCUGCCAUGUUUGAACCUAGUUCUCCGAAUAGCUUAUCAUUUUCUUUACCUAUUCUAAAGCAGGAGACUAGCAGUUAAGGUCCCUGAAAAGAUAAUUUUCUGGAUUCAUUACAAGUUUUUUCUUUUGCUUUAAUCCACAUAGAUUUUGCAUUAACUAUGAACUUACAAUUUCACGAAUUCUACCAGUCAUUCUCUAACAAAUAUGUCUGCUAUCUUGAGGUCUAUUACAGUAGUGGAGGUCUAGUGGCAUAUGCUGAUUCGCAAUCAGAAACGGCUGCGCCUGCUGCUGAGCUUAAUCAGAAUGAGUGGAAGAAGAAGAGAGUGGUGGUUCUGGGAACAGGGUGGGCGGGUACUAGUUUCCUUAAAGAUCUGGAUGUUUCUUCAUAUGACGUUCAGGUUGUUUCACCCCGCAAUUAUUUUGCAUUCACCCCUCUGUUGCCUAGUGUGACCUGUGGUACAGUUGAAGCUCGGAGCAUUGUAGAGCCAGUGAGGAAUAUUAUAAAGAAGGUAAAGGAAGAUAACAAGAACCCAUAUUUAAUCAUGUGAUAAAUUUUGAGCGAUUUCAUGGGUGCACACACACUCACACAAAAAUACCUCAUACUCACAUUCAUGAAUAUAAACAUAUGACUGCACUUUGUACAGAUCACUAUGUUUUCAUGUUUAUUUUCUUAUAGAAUUUCCAUUUUAUUCUGAUAGAGAAAUGGGGAAAUUCAAUUUUUCGAGGCAGAAUGUGUCAAGAUUGAUGCUGCAAAAAACAAGGUUUUCUGUAAGUCUCACUUUGAGAACAACGUGAUUGGUGCUGAAGAUUUUUCCCUGGAAUAUGACUACUUGGUGGUAGCGAUAGGAGCCCAAGUAAACACUUUUAACACCCCUGGUGUCACGGAGAACUGCCAUUUUCUGAAGGUAGGGUCAUUUUAAUUAUAUAGGGUGGAGUUAAGGUAACACUGUAAUCCUCAUAUAAUAUCUACUACUCAGCAAUCUUCCACGAGGUUUUGGGCUUUUCUUUCUAUAAAGGGAGAAACUGACCUUUUCAGGAAUUGGAGGAUGCACAGAAGCUCCGCAGAAGUGUGAUUGAUUGUUUUGAAAAGGCUUCCAUCCCUGGCCUGACUGAAGAAGAGCGAAGAACUAACCUUCAUUUUGUAGUUGUUGGAGGAGGUCCCACUGGAGUGGAGUUUGCUGCCGAGCUGCAUGACUUUAUCCAGGAAGAUUUAGUCAAUGUCUAUCCUAUGGUUAAAGAUCUAGUGAAAAUAACCUUGAUCCAGUCUGGAGAUCAUAUUUUAAACAUGUAAGGUUUUAGCUUUCACGAUCUACAUUUAUAAUGCUUCUGAGCAUAAGUCAGUGGAAUGCCAAACUAUCAGUUCUGGUGAGAUGUUCUCAUAUUCAUCAUCGUUGUGCCACUGGAACUAUUACUGCAUAUAACUGGCCUCAUGUUCCUUAUAAAGAAGUAUGUUUAUUGCUGAUAUGAUGGCUUCAUCUUUGCUUAUAAAAUGCAUCUCAGCAAAUGGGCAAGAAGAAAAUUUGAAAACUAAGCAGCUACUAUACUCUGCCUUUGUAGGUUUGAUGAGAGAAUUAGUACAUUUGCUGAGAAGAAGUUUCAAAGAGAUUGUAUUGAAGUUCAGACAGGAUGUAGAGUUCUCAGUGUUUCUGAUAAAGAAAUUACCAUGAAGGUCAAAUCCAAGGGUGAGAUUACAUCUAUACCACAUGGACUGGUAGUAUGGUCUACUGGUAUCAGCACUCGCCCAGUUGUGAAGGACUUCAUGGAGCAAAUUGGGCAGGUUCGUUGCAUAUAGCAGAUUCUAACUCUAUUAUGACAAUGCUCGCUUAUGAAUGAAGGUUGUUCUACCGAGUCACUUAAGAUCCAAGUUUUUAAAUAUGUAAAGUGGCAUCAAGCUCAUGCUGUUAUUUUGAGAUUUUCAGAGUUGUCAGACUACAUGGUUGUUCUUACUCUAUUAAUUACACUUUAAACUUUGUUUCAUAUGCAGGCUAACAGACGUGUUCUUGCAACUAAUGAAUGGCUGCGAGUAAAGGAAUGUGAAAAUGUAUAUGCACUUGGUGAUUGUGCCACAAUAGAUCAGCGUAAGAUCAUGGUAGGUGAAUCCUUUAGCCUGUCAAUUUAAUUCUUAAGAGAUGCCUAGUUUAUUUAUCUUGGGGACAUUUUGCAUCAUGAAAUGCUUUAAUAGCUGCAGAUUCAGCCUAUACAUCCUGGGAUUUGUUCUUUGUUUUUUCUGUUAAUCGAGUUUGAUAACCUAAAUCAUGGAAAACUUGCAUCAGAAUAGUGUACAGAUGGCAAAAUGUUAGGAUUAGGUGCGCAUGUUUAUAUAAACAAGAGACCUUUGCUUCUUUGAAAUACAGAAAAUAAGCAGAGAUAGCAACAAGUUGUGCUUCUCUGAUCUCCAAUAUAUGCAAUUCUUUUGCUGGAAUGUUGAGUCUCUUCAUGAAUUUGUGCACUGAACUUUUUUUCUACUAGUUUUUAUGAUAUUACAUAUUCCAGAAAGAGAUGCUGUAUAUUCACUCACAUAUCUUGUGAAUUAUAUGUAUCUGUGGGAUUAAUUUGGAAAAACAAUAGGGAUAUGCAAGAACAAACAAUUUUUAUUGGAAACAUUCCUCUAAUGAAUUCCUUGGGAACUUCUUAAGUAAGUGGAACAUAAAGAAUUGUGAUCAAUCAAAUUAACUGUUGGACUCCCAAAUAAGCCUUUGCAUUAGAAUACCAUAUGUAGAUCACGUUAAUUAUUGAAUACUGGUGUUUUGUUGCUGAAUAAGGGAGGCGUGCCAAUGUUUUUAAUAUUUCUCAUUUUUAAAGAGAAAUUGAAAUACUUGAAUCACCUUUCAUGGACAAACUGAAUGCCUUUAUCAGCUUUUUUUUUGUCUUCACUAUCAAUUCAUUUACCUUUUUAUUUCCUCAUCCAUUUCAUGUUUGCUUCAAAUUCUUGGUUUUUAUAUAAUUGUAUAAAUUUGUGAAAUUUUGGACAAGAUUUGAAUAUGAUGCAAUGCCAUUCUGCUUUAGGAGGAUAUUGCAUCCAUAUUUAAAGCUGCAGACAAAGACAAUUCUGGUACCUUGACUGUUCAAGAAUUCCAAGAUGUGGUAGAUGAUAUCCUUGUAAGGUAUCCCCAACUGGAACUCUAUUUGAAGAACAAGCAUCUGAGAGAUGUGAAAGAUUUGAUGAAAGAUCCCGAGGGAAAAGACAUAAAAGAAGUUGAUAUUGAAGGUUUUAAACUAGCCCUUGCUCAAGUGGAUUCACAGGCCAAAAGUCUGCCUGCAACUGCACAGGUAUUUUUCUUGCAUCUACUAUUGUACGUUUUGAUGCCAGUCUUUUUUUUUUUUCCUCUCUUCAAAAUAUGAUGCAAGAAUUUCUUUACAUACUUUUUUUUUUUCAGGUUGCUGCUCAACAAGGUGCUUAUCUUUCUAGGUGUUUCAAUCGUAGAGAACACUGCAAAGAUAAUCCUGAAGGUCCUCGGCGUUUUGUAGGUUCUGGGCGUCAUGCAUUCGUUCCAUUUCGGUAUGCUAUCUAUCUUUGAAGUGCUCAUCUUUUUUCCUAUUGAGCUGUUACAAUAUCUAUAUAAGAACAUUAUGAACCAGUUUUUAUUAUACCUGUAUCAAGCCUCCUUUCCAUCUUCAUGUUUCUAACUUCCAAGAUGCUGACAUUUUGGAAUGCAAGGUACAAGCAUCUUGGGCAGUUUGCUCCUUUGGGAGGAGAGCAGGCUGCCGCUGAACUGCCCGGAGACUGGGUUUCCAUUGGUCGCAGCACACAGUGGCUCUGGUAUUCUGUAUAUGCAAGGUGAUUAUUAGCUACUUUUAGAGUUCAAGAUUUGCUAGCUCUUUGAGUGAGCAUUUAGUCUCCACAUUCAUGAAUUUGACUGUAACCUUUUCUUUCAUUCAGCAAACAAGUGAGCUGGCGAACAAGAGUGCUGUUGGUAUCUGAUUGGACUCGGAGAUUCAUUUUUGGAAGAGAUUCAAGCCGUAUUUGAGACAACAAAUGGCGUCUUCUAUAAACUAUCCCAAAGUCACUGGUUUUCCCACAACUCAAUCGCAGCAUUUCCACCUACCUUGCAUAAAUAUAUAUGAUUUCCUUUUUUCCCUUUCAAAUUUGUGUCUAUGUACUCUCCUUUGGUAUGUAAAAUUGAUACACUGUUACCAUUUACUAGUAUACCAGGUGUGAAAUAGCAUGGAGAGCAACAGAUUUCUUGGUAACCUGAUGCUGUAUAUGGCUGACAAGUAUUCUUUCUUGUAUGGAAGUCUUACGUUGAUUUACACGACCAUGUAAAAAUGCUCAUGCUCCCGCAAAGAAGUUCCAAACUUUACAGGGCUUAGACUUGUAUUUUCUUGAUGUCUUCAGUUUUGUGUUAUGAUGUAUCUUGUCCAAGGCUGCUGCUAUAUCUUUGAAUUACCUAGUGUUCUGAAACCACUCGAGGCUUGGACCCAGCCAGGUUUCUAAACCAGGCAUGUAGUUUUAUCUUGUGAGCAAGAUUCAAGUAAUUUUUUUAAAUGAUGUAUUUUUUUUUAAAUAAUAUUGUUUUGAAAAAAAAUUAAAAAAAAAAUUGUGAAUUAACCUACUAACCUAGGCUUUAGACCGGGAUGGUUUUUAGAACACCUUUGAAAUCACCUCAAGAAAAUAAAAAUAAAAAUUAAGGGUUGAAAAUAUGGGAUCAUGGGGUGAGAUCUUAGGGGAAUGAUAUGGGAAAUAAUAUUACUCAUCUAAUGUACAAGAAAAAGAGUGCUUGGCAUUUUGAAAUGAGAUAAAUUAGGAUCUGGUCAAAUGCCUGCUGGUAAUUUCCUCUGUGGUGAGGUCAUGGUGGUAUAUAAUGUGUCUAAAAUUAAUAAAGCUUGCAACAAGGAGAUCCUGUUUUCCUGCUAAAAGAGUAUCAAAAUUAACAAUUUUUUCUUUCUAAAAUUACCAUAAACUUAAAUAUUAGUAACAUUUUUGUCAAUAAUAUUAAAUACCAUGUGGUUGGCAAGUAAGUAUGCUCCUCACUUUGUGGAUAAAGGUUCUAUCCCAAAAUUGUGAAGGGAUAAUACAUUUUCUUUUCCAUUUUCUAGUUUCAUGAUAGAUGAUUUUUGCGGAAACAGAGACAUAAAAUUUUUACAUAUAAGUUGGUACGAGGAUUUCCUAGAAUCAACCGGGAUGAAAAACAAAAAAAAUAUUAAAAUCAUAUGUUACCCCUCUUAAAAAAGGGGACCAAACUGUUAGCUAGAGGAAGGUAUGGUUCUGUGACUGUGACACAGAAACACUACGUAUUAAUAGCUCCAAAUUUUUGAUCCGUAAACUUCUCAUUAGAAUCUGCUCUUGGAUUUAUUCUUCCUUUGCAACAGAAAAACAAGAUUGAAAGAACUGUUUCAUUAGUUUUUGUUUAGAGAGGCAACAAAAGUUUGGUUUUACAAUGAGAGGGUACUAUACAUUCUUUGAGAGAGCUCUUCGAGCUUUUAAUGAUCACUCUACAGUGUCUAAGAUUCUUGUCAUCUCCUCUGUCAGGUUAUCAUCUGGGCUACCUUUUCUUAACUUUUUUUCCUAUCUGUUUUUGUUUUGUUCUCUUUGAUCUUGUUGAGUUUUGAUCUAAGAGAUGUGUUUCUGAAGAGUUUUUGACCUUAGUAUGUGGUUGUUCCCUUAACAAGGUAUAUCUAUGGCUGGAAAAGUAAAGGAAAGAAAAGAAAAAGGAGCAGAACAUUGCAUAAUUAACAUAAAAGAAGUAAGCUAGGAAAAAAGAUGGAAUUUAUGGAUGAAUUAAGCUAUAGAGUAUGUUACAGAUUGAAUAUGGUUUUUCUUCUCCUUUUUCUUUCACAUGCUUCAUGGUCUUUUUAACAAUAAUUUGGAGACUUUGCAUUUAUAAUGACUCUUUGUUCAUGUGUUCUUCAAUUUGACUUGCUAGCGGUGGAGGUCUACUGGCAUUUUCUGAUGCCAACGCAUUCCAAAGUUAUGCUGAAGGAGAUGGCAAGAAAAAGAAGGUAGUGGUACUUGGAACUGGCUGGGCUGGCGUCAGUUUCUUGAAAAACUUGAAGAGUUCUUCAUAUGAUGUUCAUAUAGUUUCACCGCGUAACUAUUUUGCGUUUACUCCAUUGUUACCAAGUGUUACAAAUGGAACAGUCGAAGGACGCAGCAUUGUUGAACCAAUUCGCAAUAUUGCAAGGAAGGUAUGAAAAUGUAAAUCAUAGAGUAGUGUACUUGCUGUUGCGUUGGAAUCUUGUGCACAUACUUCAUUCAGAAUUACAUGAAUUAAAGUGAAAUAUUAUGUUGAAGGCUUCUCUUAAUGUCUAGAAUUCGCAGCAUGAAAGAAUCGAAGAGGAGAAAUUAUAAGAAUUGUGAUGAUCCUAUUAACAUGGAUUAAAUGCUGCUUUGGAGCUGCACACAUGUGUUGGAAAAUGGAAAACAACAUAUACAUAACGUUAUUUCUGUAUCUUGCAGAAACCAUUUGGAGUUGGAUUCAAGGAGGCUGAAUGUUAUAAGAUUGAUCCAGUACAGAAGAAAAUUUAUUGCAGAAGUACUGAUCAAGGCAAAACUUUAGGAGGGAAUGAAGAAUUCACAAUGGAUUAUGAUGUCUUGAUUGUGGCCAUGGGAGCUAAAUCAAAUACUUUCAACACCCCUGGUGUUGAGGAACAUGCUCACUUCUUGAAGGUAAAUUGAAUAUCAUGAGGAGUUUAUAUGACUUGGUAGCUAUGCGUAGAAUUUUUCACCUUCUGAGCAUUAUGUUAAAACAAUUAGAUUAUUAAAAUUAUUUUGUCCUAACCUAAACUUGUCGAGUUCAUCAUGCAGGAAAUUGAAGAUGCUCAGAACAUCCGUAGGUCAAUAAUUGAUUGUUAUGAACGUGCAAGCCUUCCGAGUAUAAGCGAAGAAGAGAGGAAGCGCAUUAUGCAUUUUGUAGUUGUCGGUGGUGGCCCAUCUGGUGUGGAAUAUGCUGCAGAACUUCAUGACUUUGCACAUGAUGAUUUAGCUAAACUAUAUCCUUCAAUCAAAGAUUACCUGAGAAUUACACUUCUUGAGGCAGGCGAUCACAUUUUGAACAUGUAAGGCAGAUCACUUCAGAAAGAAAUUAGUCUGGUGGGGUCUAAGGCAUGAUUAUGGUUAUAUUUUCUGCGUUUGUCAAUGACAAUCACUGUCAGUUGGUAAUAGCUCUUGCUGUGUUUAUACCUGUUUAAUGGUCCUUGAAUACACAUUUUGAACAUGUAAGGCAGAUCACUUCUGUAAGAAAUUAGUCUGGCGGGGUCUAAAGCAUGAUUGUGGUUAUGUUUUCUGCGUUCAAAGACAAUCACUAUCAGUUGGUAAUAUCUCUUGCUUUGUUUAUACCUGUUUGAUGGUCCUCGAAUAUGGAAGAUGGAUACACCAUUUUCUGCAGGAAUCUGGUCUUGGCCUUUUGUUGUAGGUUUCAAUCCAACUCCAUUUUGUUGAAAGUAUUUGGAAUAAUUACGUGCAGCAUUUUUAUACACUAUAUCAUAGCUAAUGAAAUCUAGACACACAGACGACCAGAAUCGAUUAGUUUGGUACUCGAAAUGCGGAUAAAGAGGGGUUGUACAUCUCUGAAUAUAUCAUAUCCAAGAAAAGAAGGUUCAACUGUCAAAUGGUGAUUUUUGAAAUUAAGAAUCAAUUAACAUCUGAGCCUUGCUUACUUGUUUCUUACAGGUUUGACAGCAGAAUUACUAAAUUUGCUACUGAGAAGUUCGAAAGAGAUGGAAUUGAUGUAAAGACAGGUUCAAUGGUCAUAAAAGUUUCUGACAAGCAUAUCUCUACUAAAGAGAUAAAAACUGGCCAGACUAUUUCAAUACCUUAUGGAAUGGUUCUCUGGUCAACCGGCAUUGCAACUCGUCCUGUCAUUAUGGAUUUUAUGAAGCAAAUUGGUCAGGUCUGUUUCCUCACAACCAUUUACAUCUCCAUAUUUCCCUACACUUCACAGCAAUGCGUGAUAGGAUAUUCCAUUAGGGUUAAAUUUCUUUGAUCUCAGGGUAACAGGCGUGUUUUAGCUACUGAUGAGUGGCUGAGGGUUGAAGGGUGUGAUGGUGUGUAUGCUCUUGGUGACUGUGCCACGAUAAAUCAACGGAAAGUCAUGGUAAAUGAAUUUAGACAUAUAACAUCUCUUUGCUAUAAGAUACGAGGCCUUUCAGUUUUUAUAUGUUCUAACCAGCACUUAGCUCUUUCUAUCGACAAUUUUCAUACUAUUCUCUUUGUUCUGACAGUAAGUGUAUCCUUAGGCCAGCUUUGGCGUAUCUUGUUAGAAGGUGCCCUGUCAGUAUGCUAUUGUAGGUUAUCUGCCGACGAGCUCAAUAAAUUUGAUUUUUCUCUCCAUUUCACUAUCAGGAAGAUAUAGCAGUAAUAUUCAGCAAGGCAGACAAGAAUAACUCUGGUACCUUAGAUCUCAAAGAUUUUAAAGAUGUUGUUGACCACAUCAGCGAAAGGUAUCCUCAAGUGCAGAUUUAUAUGGAAAAGAAAAAAUUGAAAACCUUUGAUGCUUUACUAAAAAGUGCUCAAGGGAAUGACAACAAACUGAUAGAUAUUGAAACAUUCAAGAAUGCUCUACAUGAAGUAGAUUCUCAAAUGAAAAAUCUUCCUGCAACAGCUCAAGUAAUUUCAAUUUUUUCCCCUUCUUUCAUUCCUUCUCUCAACCAGCUAACAAUGCUCUUUUGAGUUACUGUUUUUUUCUUUUUUGAAAUUUUAAGGUUGCAGCACAGCAAGGUGAAUACCUUGCAAGCUGUUUUAAUCGUAUGGAGCAAUGUGAAAAGUAUCCUGAAGGUCCUAUGAGAUUUAGGGGAACAGGCUGCCAUCGGUUUCGUCCAUUUAGGUACAAAAUAGACGUUCUUCCUUUCUCUAUUUUCCAUGAAAUAUACAGGGCAAUUUAAAAGGUAGUCCAUCUCAAAAAGAAAAAUUUAAGUAAUAAGUAAUGCCCUUCAUGAAUCAGUUCUUCUUGCCAAUGCCUUUUUUGUAGAGGCUUUAAUAUCCAGAUGAACAUGUGCAAAAGUCUUGUUUACUUGAGACUAAUUUAAGGUUUCAUAACAAGGACACUGUCUUCUCUGUCAAAGACACCAUUUGUUUAUGUUUGUUGAUAUUGUAAUGAAGAGUUUUAGAGAGAAUGCCGAUACAUCUGUCGAUUAUCCAAUGCAAGGUAUAAGCAUUUUGGACAAUUUGCUCCAUUGGGAGGAGAACAAACUGCAGCUCAACUUCCGGGAGAUUGGAUUUCCGUUGGCUAUAGUACUCAGUGGCUCUGGUACGCGGUGUAUACAAGGUAAUACUCUUAUUCAGGUUCAGAAAUACCUGCUCUAAUGUUAACAUACUGCCAUCAUCUGAAUUUUUUUUUUUUUUACUUACAGUAAGCUAGUCAGCUGGCGCACGAGAGUGUUAGUGGUAUCUGACUGGCUUAGAAGGUCAAUAUUCGGAAGAGAUUCAAGUCGAAUCUGAGAGUUCUGGAGCAUGAAUCUUGCAAAACAAGUACUGAUGCUCAGGCAAUUCUUAGCAGAUUUUAUUCCACCUUCAGCUCAAAACCUCACAUAAUUAUCUUUGUUUGUUAGUGUUUUUCCUGACUGUUUCAUUAAAAAAUAAGUUCUUAGCAGAAAAACUUUUGCUGGAAAAAACUUUUGGGUACAAUACUUGCCCUUAGUUUCGGAUUGUUUAGGAAUAUUGGCGAAUCCUAAUUCCAUUUUAACCAAGUCAUUCUUAUGAAUUUCUUAUCAAUUCAUGCUGUUCCAUUCUGAUGGUUGCAUCAAAGUAUUGUUGUUUUCUUCAAAAUGUGAGCUUGUAACUUUUUAUAAAGCCUUUUCGUAAUACUGAUUAUGGUAGAACCAAUAUCCUAAGUAUUGGAAGAAACAAGGCUAAAUAAAGUAGAGGACUGAAACAAAAUUGGAACAAAAUCUGUUGUCUAAUUGUCAUAUGACAUGAAUAGUUGUAGAAAAUACUGUCCUGAGCUGUCUCAGAUUUUGCUGGAGUCCCUUCCAAAUAUAAACUUUCUCGACCAGUCAGAUAUCACCAACAUUCUUGUACGCCAGCUAACUAGCUUGCUGUAAGUAGAGGAGGAGAACUGUCAAGUGAUGAAAAUAUUCUGAUAUAAAUCAAAUAUAUGUGAAUAUGAGGGAAUCAUUACCUUGCAUAAACUGAGUACCAGAGCCACUGAGCGCUAUGUCCGAUCGAAACCCAAUCUCCUGGAAGUUGAGCUGCAGUCUGCUCUCCACCCAAUGGAGCAAAUUGUCCAAAGUGCCUGUACCUGAAAUUUCAUAACUAAAGUUUCAGUAUUCUAUAUUGCGUUUUCAAUCGUUUAGCAACUCCAUCAUUUAUAAAAAAAAUUCCUUUACUUUCCUAGAUCUCCUCUAUACAAUAGAUAAAUUCCAUACAAUAAGUAAUUCAUAGCAUAUGAAGAAUGAAAAGAAAGAAAAAUGGUGGGAGAAUAUACUGUACCUGAAGGGAUGAAACUGGUGUCGGCCUGAAGCCCUGAACCUCAGUGGACCCUCAGGAUUCUUUUCACAAAGCUCCUUUCUGUUGAAACAUUUUGCAAGGUAUUCUCCUUGUUGUGCAGCCACCUAUAAAAUAAAAAGAAAAUGAAGAUCGAUAAUGUAAAUGAAUACUAUAGAUGGUUGAAUAAUGUCAACAGAAAAGUGAAAACUAAAAUAUGUUUUACCUGAGCAGUUGGUGGGAGACUUUUCAUUUGAGAAUCAACUUCGGAUAGAGCCUUCUUAAAUAUUUCGAUAUCUAUUUGUUUCUUGUCAUCUCCUUGAGCAUUCUUCAGUAAAGCAUCAAAGCUUUUCAGUUUGUUCUUUUGCAAGUAAAGCUCAACUUGAGGGUAUCUCUCACAGAUGUGGCCAACAACUUCUUUGAAGUCUUUAAGAUCUAGAGUACCAGUGUUGGUCUUGUCUGCCUUCCUGAAUAUUGCUGCUAUAUCUUCCUGUUAAAUCAUAGGGCAUUAUUGUAUCAAGUCAGCUGAAAACUUCAUCAGAAAACACUAUGCAAUGUGUAUAAUACAGAGAUUUUAAAUAUGUUUACUUUCACAUACCAUGACUUUGCGUUGAUUUAUAGUCGCACAGUCACCUAGAGCAUAUACAUCUUCGCAGCCUUCAACCCUCAGCCAUUCAUCGGUUGCCAGAACACGCCUUUUGGCCUGUCCCCAAAUAACAAUCCUCAAUGGUUAGUUUAGUUGAAAAGUCUUUCACGAGUAAAAUUUCAGAAAUGAAGGUGAAAUAGUAGGAUACUCAUGGUUGCGGAACCACAGACCUGAUCAAUGUGGUUCAUGAAAUCCCUGACAACAGGACGAGUAGCAAUGCCGGUUGACCAGAGGACCACUCCGUAUGGUACAGAAACAAUUUCACCGGUUUUUCUCUCCUUAGUAGAAAUAUCCUUAUCAGACACUUUUACAACCAUUGAUCCUGUCUUUACAUCAAUGCCAUCUCUUUGGAAUUUCUCGGUAGCAAAUGUAGUAAUUCGUUUGUCAAACCUGCAAGAAUCAAUCAAUUAAAAACUAGUCAUUACCAGUCAUAAUCACACUUCAGAACUCAACAAAUUAAGAGAGAACUGAUCUGACUUACAUGUUCAAAAUGUGAUCACCAGCCUCAAGAAGGGUUAUUUUCAGGUAGUCUUUAGCUGAGGGAUAUAGCUUUGCCAUAUCAUCAAAUGCCAAGUCGUGUAGCUCUGCUGCAUACUCCACACCUGUUGGACCACCUCCAACAACUACAAAAUGCAUCACCCGCUUCUUUUCUUCUUCGCUUACACUCGGAAGGCUUGCACGCUCGUAACAGUCAAUUAUUGACUUACGAAGCCUCUGCGCGUCUCCAACUUCCUGCAGGGUGAGGAGAUCAAGUCAUGGCUUUAGUAUUUCCUUCCCAGGCUAUUCGAUAGAGUAUUCAAGAAUUCCGGGAUUUUGCUAUAGCUGACACCGCUAAUUUCAAACUUUCUUUAAAUGGUGUUAAGCAGCAAAUCAAAUUCAUAAUUCAGAACAUACCUUCAGGAAAUGAGCAUGCUCCUCGACACCGGGGGUGUUGAAAGUAUUUACACGAGCUCCCAUGGCCAAUAUCAAGACAUCAUAAUCAACUGUGAAUUCUUCAAUUCCAUCCAAAGUUGAGGAUUGGUUAGAACGACAAUAAACUUUCUUAUUUACUGGAUCAAUCUUAUAACAUUCAGCUUCCUUGAACUCAACAUUGUAAGGUUUCUGCAAUAUUACGAAAAAAAUAAGAAACAUAACUCAGCAACACUAAUUCAAAAAACCAACAUAACACUUUGUACAUUUAACAGUCAUUAUUGCUUCCAACCUUUUUCACAAUAUUGCGAAUUGGCUCUACUAUGCUGCGAGCUUCCACCGUUCCAUUAGUUACACUCGGUAACAAAGGAGUGAACGUGAAGAAGUUAUUCGGAGAAACGACUUGAACAUCAUAGGAAGAGCUCUUCAGGUUUUUCAAAAAACUUGUGCCUGCCCAACCAGUUCCAAGAACUACCACCUUCUUUUUCUUGCCUUCAUUCUGAGAUGAGUCUGUGAUCAAUCCUUGGAAUGGACUGGCAUCAGAAAACGUUAACAGACCUCCACCACUGCAAUAAUUCGAGAAUCAAGCUAUAUAAGUUGAAAACAACAGCAACGAAUAACAUUAUUACUAAGUUCUCACAUGGAAUACUGCAUAUGGUAUAUUACAUGCAUCAUCACAACAAAAUGUUUUUAGAUAAACAAAAAUAUGCGUACAUUUCUUGAUGCACCAACAAAAGUUUUGGAUCUGCAGUCACUAGUUAGGAUAAACAUGUUACUUUUCAACAUAGUGAUUUUUUUAACUGUAUUUAAGGUAGCCUGAGACAGAAGAGACACGAAGAUAGUCUCAAGGGUCCAACCACACAUAUCUCUAUCACUUAUCUCCCUGGACAUUAACCAAACGCAACCUCUAUAAGGGUGCCUGACAGCUUUUAUGAUGGAAACGCACUUUUUAGAAACUUUUUAAAGAAAGAAAAACCGUGUUGUCUGUACAAAUUAGUUAAAAGCUUCAAGAACAUAUAAAUCCACAAAAAAAGAAAAAGAAAAGAACAGUAACACAAACAAUUAUAAACCCAAAUAAAUAAAAAAAUAUGUUAUGAUUUGUAACCUGACGGUGGAGACAAUAAGCAGCUUAAAGAAAGUAGGGUGCUCUUGAAAAGUUCUAAAGGCUCUCUGGAAGAAUGCAGACCCUCUCAUUGUAAAACCCCAGUCUCUCUUUCUCCCUUGAAAAAUAGAAGCAAACCUUAGGGCAGAAGCUAGAGAAGUUUAUAUAGGGAGUACAUUGUGGAAUAAAAUUGGAAACAUGGAUUUUAAACUGUGAGAGAAUGAAACUUGACAUGCAAGACAGGGUUAAAUAGAGUAACUGCAAUUGAGACAGGUCUAUAUUUCCUGAGAAGUUGCAAAUCCCUAACUUUAUGCGUUGAACCUGCAUUAACUCCCACUAUUACAUAUUUCUAUAACUUUUCUUUUUUAUCUUUUAGUUUAUAACUUGUCAAAGCAUAAUUGUAAAACCUGAUAUAGAGUAAGGACAAAAUCACGGGUCAAUUUCAAUUUUUUUUUAAUUAAAACGGGUCAAUUUCAAUUUAUUAUUUUUAAUUAAAACAAUAUUAUUUCUUUAAAAAAACAUCAAGAAAAAAGUUAGUGGGUUUUGACCAGCGAGUCAAAUAUUUUACCAAGUUAAUUGAAUUUCUUUUUUAACUCCAAUCAAUUCAAGUUUUGAAUCGAAAUUAAUCUAGGUCUUGAUUGAAAUCGACCACUAGCAAGUAAAGAUUUUACUAUUAAGUGUGAAAGGACUCAAAACAGGAAAGGAUAGCAUGUCUAUUGUGAAAUAUAAAGAUAUUUGUUUCAUAAAAGAAAAGAUCUCUUUCCAAAAGAAAAAAAAAACAUUAAUGCAGAAGAAGAAUCUUCUUGUUAACAUAGCAGUUUCUUCUCUUAAUUUAAAAUACAUGAUUAAUUGCUUUAAUGCAUGGUCAUGAAUGGUUACCAGCUGUCUAAUUGGGUUUUCCAAGAGACAUUUUUCAUACAUAGCAACUAGGAGAGUAUUUAAAAGGUUGAUCUUGCCAUUAAGAUAUUCUUGUAAAAAUAAAAAUAAAAGUUUGAUUUUUAGAAAACGUAAGAGGCAGUCAUAAAUCCCGAAUAUGACUAGUCUCACUCUUUAAAAGGGUACGAGAAUACCCGGAUAAGAACUAAAAUAAAAAACUAGAAGAGUGUUUGAAGUUUGAUAACAAUUAGUUUUUAAAGUGAUUUUUUCUUCGAAAUUUAUUAAAAUAAUUUUUGAUAUUAGUAUAUAAGAAAUUCAAAAAUAUUUCAAAAUUAAUUUUUUUUUUUAAAAUAAACUCUUAUAAAAAUUUGUAUAUGUUGCGCUGCAUUACAAAACUGUGCUUAAAUUCCUUCACCAUGGAGUCUUAAAGCAAGCCAUCCAUAAGCAGACCAAUGCAAAAUCCAAGAUGAAGUGUGGGGAGCAAACCAGUGCGGCUUGUCCAGCCUCCUGUGUAUUGUCUCAGAAUUUUGCAUGACAGGAACCGUACACCUAACCUGAGCGAGAGUAAUUGAUCAUUCAUGCUUAUGAACAAAUUUUGUUACUAAAUUGAGCUUGAGGCAAUGCAUAGGAUGGAUAGAAAGUAAUUAAGGUAUUUUUAUGUGAUAAAAAAAAUAACACAUUAUACGAAGGUAUAAAUCAACAUAACAAGAAGAAUAUAAAGUUAAGUAGAAAAAAUAAUUAGGAUCUAAAAUUAAAUAAAAAAAUAUUUUUAAAAAACAAAAACAACAUUUUAUAUUUAAAUGCAUUCCAGACUUUGCUGGUGGUCGAUCCCUUAAUAAAAUAGAACUUGUAAAAUAAUUUAGUAAAAUUUCAACUCGAUUCAACAAUUAAAUCUAAAAUUAUAUAUAUAUUUUUUUUGUUAAACUAUAUGCAUGAUAUAUAUGGAUUUCUUUGCAGGUUAUAUCUUGUCUGUCCAGUCCGUAAAUAUAUCCACGAGGCAUGAGACAUUCAACGUCAACAAGUUUUCUAAUACUUUCACUAAUCUCUCUUAUAAUCAAAACGACCAGAUUUGUUCAAUCAGACUUCUCUUGCAGAAAAAUGUGGUAAGAUCAAUACAUCUAAAAUGCUGCCGUUGCAAACAAUCCAAAAAAGCUAUAACUAAAUCGUUCCGAGGUUCUUUCGAGCAAUUUCUAAUGUUCAGCAAUAAAAGGAAAUGGAUUUUUCAACUCUGCAACAUUGGCUUUAAAAAAUGCUGAAUCUAGAGGAAUUGAAACCAUCUUACUAAUCAGAAUCUAGCAAUUGCUUGCACUCAAUAGUUUCAUUUAGUAUUUCCAGGACAGGAAUUUCAACUAUUCCUUUUUUUCUCUCCAGAAAGCCUAUAUGCACUAUAACUUUCCAGCUCAUAAAAAGCUACCUUCUUUCUUGACCCUGGAAAGGUAACAUGAAAUGCAAUCAAUAGUUGUUGAAUAUCCCAAAAUUUAAAGAUCUACAAUGAACAAUUUAAGAUAUUAAAUAAUAUUACGAGAUAUAAUUUAUAUUAUUUUUUAAAAUUAUUCUAGUUAUAAUAUUAUAUCAAAUAAUUAUCUCAACCUGAAAUCUGAAAUCAAUGAAAUACUUAACUUGUGAUGUGAGGUCAAAAAAAUGGUUGAUAUUAUUCCCUGGUAAGCAAUAAUGGAGCUGGUCUUUCUACAAACUCCCCAUAUCCUAAUAUAUAUAAGAGGAUAGAUCAAACAACUAAGCCAUUGAGAAGGAAUGAAAGAUAAGAUAUCACAUUUUCAUGGAAGAAGAUGGAAUCAUUACAGAAAGCAAUAGACAAAACUUAUCAUAUUAUUGCAUAUAUUCAGAAGGCCAAUGAAACUACACUACAAACUUACGAGGUCCCAACCCGUUUAGACCAAACCAAAAACAACCUUACUAGUCCAUAACAAGAGUUAUGGCUUAUCAACGACAAAGCUGAAAAAUAACUUAACCAAUUCAAGUGUGGACAACAAAGAAGAAGAAAAACUUCCCUUUAGUCCUAAUUUACUCGUUCUCACCAUCCUCCUCUUCUGCAAAACUAAGAGCCUGGCAAACAGAGUCCCCUGCUGCAGUCUCCUCGACGGGGGGAAAGUAUGAUUUCCUCCCAACCAAAUCAGCCACUCUUUUUGCCGGCCCUGAGUCCCUUGGAGUCUCAGCAACACUUCUGACAGUCUUAAUAUUCGGCAACAUAUCGGUCACUACAGAAACUGCCUGCGGAGAUUCCUCCUCAGCAUCAUCCUUGUAUACCACUACUUCACUUGGAAUCUCCCACCUCUUCUUCACUCUACCACUCUCCGCUCUCUGACUCACCCCAUUACCACGCGAAGCCCGCCUCUUAUUAACAUCUUCCUUCUCAUUAUCCGGCAAAGACCUCUUCCGAGCCUCGCUAGCAGUUAGAUUCCCAUUAGACUGAUUUGUUCCAAUCUGAUUAUACCUACUAGCCACCACCCGUCCGGGCUUCAAGGGUUUCUUAUUAGGCACAGAUCUUUCCCCGUCUUUGAAUAGAUUCUUUGGCUGAAUUGAAGCAAUAACCCCAUCUUCUUUCUUCACUGACCUUCUAGACCCCACAGUAGUAACAGCCUGUUUAGGAACUUGGAUUUUGGACACAUUUUUUCGUGAUCUCGGACUAACACUCAAACUUUUUCCCCUCUCUUUAGUUGCCUUCAACUCAUCAAUCUCUUCAAGCUUCCAAAAACACGAUUUCCGCCGAUUCUGCGUCGAAACAGGAGUUUUCAUCUCUUGUUUUCCAAACAAUAACCUUGAUUUGGAUCCAGAGAAAAUCUCACUUGGCCCUAAACUGACCCCUCUUCUAUUAAUCUUCGAUUUAGCACUUGAAACCAAUGGCUCUUCAAUCUUGACACUCUGUUUCUGCUCCAUAAAUUUUGCAGCCACAACCCUCCCUCUCUUUUCAACAGUCUUUGAUAAAUUCCUCUCUGCCUUUUCAAGCCUAAGCACUUCAAGUCUUGAAGAUAAACGCUUAAUCUCCUUCUCGAUCUCUUCAAUCUCUAUAUCAAUCUUUUUCUCAUCAUGAUUCUUGAUCUCCUCAUUUUUCUCCACCAUCUUCGACAGCCCAACCUUCAUUGAAUUACUCCCUUGUGAGUUAAAAGGAUUGGGAUUAGAUUGAAGUGGCUUGGUGGGUUUUGAAGAAUUGACAUAAAUAGGAGAAGAUUUUUCACAAACUGGGCUAAGAUUCUCUUUGCUUGCAUCGGAUUCAAGACUUUGAUUCCACCAAGAAGACUUAAGAUUCAAAGAAUCCUCUGAUUCUCCAUUAUCAAACGCUGCAUUGUUCCAUAUCUGAACUUCAGGAGCAUCUACCACAUCCGGGUAUUGAAGAACAUUACUCAUCUUUCUUCUUGAAAGAUCAAAAUGAUGGAUUUUCUUUGUUUUUAACAGAUCAAGAUUGUAUCCUUUUUUAAGGAAUCUGUGUGUGAGAAAAGAGAGAAUUUUUUUUUUUGUGUGUGUGGGUUUUUGAUGUGGGGAUUUUUGAGGGUUUUGUGUUGUUUUAAGGAUUUUUUUGACCGUUGGAGAAAAAGUAUUCGUUGGAGCCUCAUGGUGGGAUAUUGACCGUUGGAUUAUAAACGGCUUAUAGUAUUAGACGCUCCGAUUUGAUUUAAAGGAUUAAUUGGUCAAAAAAUGGAAAAUUCUGUAGGGAUGGGAUUUGGUGCGGCGGUUUGUUUCCUUGUUUGAUGGGGUCCAUAAGGAGCGUAUACGUGAAUCGGUCGGCCCAUGCUUUUCUGCAGUCAUAUUGGGUCAUAACCCAUCAGCAAAGAGAGUCCUCGAAGUGAAUGUUCAGGAGUGUUGUAGUUUAUGUUUAAAAAAAUAUUAAAUUAAUAAUCUUUCAGUUUUUUCAAUAAUUAAUAUUUUUUUAGUUUUUUUAUAUUUUUAAUAUUUUUAUUGUGUUAAUAUAAAAAAAAUAUUUUAAUGCAUUUCAAAUAAAAAUAUUUUAAAAAAAUAUUUUGCACUACAAUAUCAAAUCUCCACAAAGUAAAAAUUAUAGUUCGUUAAUACUUAAUAGAUAUUUAUUUAAAUUUAAUUGGUUGAAUUUAAAUAUCUAAAAUCAAUAAAUCAGUAUAAAUAAUAAUUUUGAACUCAAAUCUGAGUAUAUAGAUAGUACUAGAAAUAUCAAAACUAAAAAAAAUAUUAAUUAACAUCUAAAAAAAUAAAAGAAAUCAUAUCAUUAAUAUCAUGAAUCAUUUUGUUAAAAAAAUAGAGGUAAAUAUUUGAAAAUAUCAUAAAAAAUAAUGCAUUAAUGUAACAAGAUUAACAUAUAAUUAUAAUAGUGUUAAAAACAAUUGUAAAUCUAUUGACCCAAAUUUUUUUAAUUUAAUCUAGUUCUAGCAUCAAUUAAAUUCAAAAUACUUUCUCUAAUUAUGAUAUUAUCAUAUAAUUUAUAAUGAUUUUAUUAUUAUUUUUAUUAAAUAAUGGUAAGACUUAAACUUUUUUUAAAAAAAACUAAAAGCCAUAGACACAUUUUACUAUCUUUUGGAAAAAUAAAAUGACAUUUAUACCCUUAACAAGAAACUUAAAAACUUGCAAUUGAGGGUAUAAUUGUUUUUUUUAUGGGAUUCAUUAGUUAUUGCAAAAUUUAUUGGGGAUAGAUUGGUCAUGACACCUUCUUAUCAUAGUAAAAUGACUAUUCUGUCCUUAAAAGCAAAAAAAAUAUUAAGCUUUCGGUCAUGGGCUUUUUUGUCUUUUAAAAAAAAUGUACAGUAAAGUCAUGGUCAUAUCCUUGAGAGAAAAAAAAGUAAACAUGCAUAAAAAAGCUUCUUUAUCUUUUCUAUUUUUUUAAACAGUUCAAUUACAUAAUUACUCUUGAAUUAAAAAAAUUAAGGCUAAUUUCAAGAGCGUUUUAGUCUUUUCAUUCUGAUUGUUUUGCAUUUUUUGAAUUUAAUUAGGAAUUAUUAGGUAAUUUUAAGUAAUCAAAUAUUAUUAAAAAAAGUUGUUGAGCGCAUGAUAGCCCUUACACCUUUUGACCGAUGUGUAUGAAGGCAUACGGUUGCCAAAAUCCUGCAUUCACGGCAGCAUUGGCAAUGACCAAUCAUCAUUUUUCCGACAAUGUGGGGCGUGCUCAUGGCCAAAUUUCGGUUGGGCUGCGAUGAAGUUUUUUUUCUUUCCUUUCUCAUGCCCUUGAAAUUCAUGUCAGCUUUCCCAAAAAAUAAUUGUGUCCUCCAAUUUGUAAUUUUAUCAAUUUUGGCUCUUAUUCUUAUAAUAACUAUUUUAUUUGCUUUUGAUGCUUUUUGAAGUUUAACUUUUUUUCAACUUCAUCCCUUGGUAUUUUAUUCCAUUUGAUUUUUAUAUCUAUUUUGGUCCUCCUACUUUUGAUUGCUUUUUUUUGUGUUUUAUAUACUUUUCUUGAUUAUUGUUUUUCAAUUUUGUUCCUUAUCAUUUUAUUGCAUUUGUUUUUUUCAUUAAAAUUUGGUUCUCAAUCUUUUAUUGCUAUUCUCCUAUCAUUUUCUUAAUUUUUUUUUAUUUUAUCCCUCAAUAUCUUAUUUCAUUUAGUUUUUUAAUCUAAUUUUUGUCUUCAUUCUUUCAAUUACUUUUUUUUUUAUCAUUUUAUUAAUUUAUUUUGUUUUCCAAUUUAACCCCUGAAUAUUUUCUUUCAUUUUGUUUUAAUGUCGUAUUUGAUCUAUAUUGUUUGAGUUUUAAAUUAUUUUACAGUUGGAAAUUUUACUUUGUUAUUUUUUCAUGAUUGCCCUCUUACAAGGUAAUCUCUGUCUCAUGACUUAGACUCGAUUAGGUUUGGCCUUUUUUUGGGGUUAUUUAUAAAAAAAAUAAUUGUUUUUUCAAAUUCAUCAUUAUACUUUUUGUUAUUAGGUCAUUGGCUUCAUUGUUUGUUCCAUUUUUUUUUGUUAAGUUAUCUCAAUCUCAUACAUCGAGUAAUAGGUUAGUUGAGUUAACCCAAGUUGACUUAGGUUUUUUUUUUUAAGAUUUUUUAUGAGGUUAAUUUUUUUUCUUCAAUUUCACCCUUUGUCAUUAAAAUAUUGGUCUUGAGUUUUGUGAUUUUUUUUUCUUUCUAUUGGGUUAGUCUAAGUGUGGGUUAGUCAAGUUAGCUCAAGUUUUAUUUUUCAAUAAUUUCUUUAUUUAAAUUCGGUGUUUUUUUGCUAGGUUUUUCUUUUGGAAGUCUAAUUUUUUUUAUCUCGAUCUUAUAUCAUGGAUGACAGAUUAGUCGAGUUAACCCGGGUUAACUCAGGUUUGUUUCCCUUGACUUUUUUUUAAGGUAUUUUUUUUUCAAUUUUAUCAUUUGACAUUAAAUUAGUGGCCCUUGACCUUUGCUAUUUCUAGCUUUUAUUUCUAUUAGGUUAUCCUGAUAGCGGGUAAAUAAAUUUAACCUGGAUUAUCACUGUUUUUUUAUGUUUUUUUUAUUGAACUUGAGUUUUUUUUUUACUAAACUCUUCUUUUGAAAUUCUAUUUUUCUUAUUCCAAUCUCAUAUUGCGAUGUGGUGGUUAGUCAAGUAACCUGGGUUGACUCGAGUAUUUUUAUUUCGUUAUAUUUUUUGAAUUUUUUUUCAUUAUUUUUCAUUUGAUUAUUAGGUUUUGAGCAAUUUCUUUUCCUACAUGUUAUUUUAAUUCCAUAUUUCAAGCCAUGUGUUAAUAAAAUUAAUCUAAAUUUUCUCAAAUUGUAGUCAACUAAAUCUUUUUUUUAAUACAUUAAAAAAAACUUUACUCGGGUACGAUUAUCUAUACUUGAAACAAAGAGUGUAAAAUAAAAAGGCAAGAAAAACCAAAGCGGCGAGGAACGACGUCGUGUGAAUUCAUUGAACUCAAUAAGUUAAAUCCGUUAAAACCCCUCUGUAAACCGAUAACUUCAUUAAUCAACGGUUACCACCUCAGGCAACGUUCCCGGUCGAUCAGUCUCCGAUUAAAAAGUCAGGUAACUCAAUUUUUCUCAGAAAAAACUAAUCAAAACCAUUGCUUAUAAAUCCAAUAAUUUCAUCUAAAAAAUCUUUGCAGGAAAUGGAUCAAUCACGGCAAGUAUUCACCGUCGAUCUCCUAGAACGGUACGCAUCAAAAGGCCGUGGUGUUAUCACCUGUAUGGCAGCAGGAAACGACGUCAUCUUAUUAGGUACCAGCAAAGGCUGGCUUAUUCGACACGAUUUCGGCGCCGGCGGUUCUUCCGGUACUCAAUUCACAUUCAAAUUCUUCCGGUUGUCUCUGUCAAAGAAGCAAAUCUCUAAUUUUCUUCCUUGAAAUGCUAGAUUUUGAUCUUUCUAGUGGACGGCCUGGCGAUCAAUCUAUACAUAGAGUGUUUGUGGAUCCUGGUGGUAGCCACUGUAUCGCCACCGUUAUUGGUGGAGGUGGUGCGGAGACGUUUUAUAUGCAUGCUAAAUGGAGUAAGCCACGUGUGCUUGGGAGGUUGAAAGGUUUGAUCGUUAAUGCUGUUGCUUGGAAUCGGCAACUGAUUACUGAAGGUAAUUAGUUUUGAUUUUUUUAUAAUUGCUUGUUUUAAAGAAAAAUCUUAGUUUAAAUGUGUAUGUUAAUUGUGGAUUAAAGUGAAAAAGUAAAAGCUCAACCCUGUGGAAAUUUAUGUUAGUUUCGUUUUGUUGUAAAUUUUAUUACCGUGUCUGUGAAUUGUGAUUUCAAGUUAGAGAGGGGUUUGUGUGAUGUGUUAGUUUGAUUUAACUUGCUAAAUUAUGGUAUAAUUUUGAUUAAAGUGAAAAAAGAUAGAAGUUUAAGUGAUUAUGAUAUCCUUUUGAGUUACUUGUAGAAAGUGACUGGAAUUAAUGGUUUUGAUGAAUUGUGAAGUAUGUUUUCUUGUGCAGCGUCUACGAAGGAAGUUGUUAUUGGGACGGAUAAUGGGCAGCUGUUUGAGAUGGCUGUAGAUGAGAAAGAUAAAAGGGAGAAGUAUAUAAAGUUUUUGUUUGAAUUAAAGGAAUUGCCUGAAGCUUUCAUGGCUUUGCAGGUUUGCUCUUUCUUUGAUUUUGGUUGAUAAAAAUCAAUAAAUUUGAAGGAAUUGCAUUUUGGGAUUAAUUAUAGGGCAUGCAUGUCUGUGCUUAAGUAAAUGAUCUCUUGUUGGUUUGCAGAUGGAAACGGCUAGCUUAAGCAAUGUAACCAGAUAUUAUGUGAUGGCUGUUACUCCAACACGACUUUAUUCUUUUACUGGAAUUGGAUUAUUGGAGGUAAGUUUGUUUCUGAUAUAAAUUCUGUGUGCUAUCAUGAACUGAUUGUUGUAGAACUCUUUAUCUUCUUUGUGCUUUUGAUCCUGAAUUUGUUUGUGGCUGUGCUAUGAAUUUCUUACCAAGUGACUGGAACAACUUGUUAUUGGCUUGCAGCAGUUUGUUUUACAUGAUAUUGGCUAUAAUUCAAAUUGAAUUCUUAUUAGUUGUUAGCAUUUGUAGACAGUUUUUGCUAGUUACUUGGAACGCGCGGUGCAUUUUAUGGAACUGCCAGGGGAAAUACCAAACAGGCAAGCACUUCUCAUUGCCUAAAUUUAUUCAAGUUUCUUUACUUAUUUAUUUAUUUAUUUAUUUUUGUAAUCUGUAAUUUAUGGUUUUGUAUGAUGACUUGGGAACAGUUAUUUUCCAUUUUUUCUUGAACUUUCUGACCAUGAAGCUCCUGUGCUGUUUUGGUCAUCUAUCAGUGAAUUGCAUUUUUUUAUCAAGCAAAGAAGAGCAAUGCAUUUUGCAUGGCUUUCUGGAGCAGGUAUCUAUCACGGUAGCUUAAAUUUUGGAGCGCAGCAUAGGUAAGGAAUAUCAUUCUUGACUACUCCCUUUAUAUCCACAGAAGCAUCUGUUAAAGUUCUUUUAUUUGUCACAUUUUUGUAAAUGAUAAAAAAAUUUGUGUUGCUGGUACAGCUGUGUUCCACUGAUGUCUUAGAAAAUGGCUAUUGUAUUUUCUCUACAUAUGCCGCUUGUUAGUCCUCAAUGUUUUAGCAAAUGCCUUUUCUAUUGCAAAACCUUUACUUACAGUUGUUCAAUGGAAAUUUCUUGGGCAGUUACAUAAAUGGUGAUGAGAAUUUUGUGGAGAAUAAGGCUCUUUUGGACUAUUCAAAAUUAAGUGAUGGUGUUGAUGCAGUUAAACCGAGCUCAAUGGCAGUUUCAGAAUUUCAUUUCUUACUUCUUAUUGGAAACAAGGUUAAGGUAAGUCAUAACAAGCACUCAUGACACUCUUACUCUUGAUAAUGCCAAUUGGUUGACUUUAUGAGCGAGUAUAAACAUAAGUUUUCAUUCAUUACCUUCAGUUUUUGUAACUAUUUCUGGUUAUGAGGCCUUUACUUUUGCUUAGUCUCUUCUAUUACAUCUCAUGUUCAACUACUGAAGUAUUUUGGAUUUAAAUUAGGCAUCACGUAGGAUUUUCCAAUUUAUGCAUUUACCUUCUUUAGGUAUUCAUACUUCUUUGUCAUGUUUUGAUAGGUUGUUAACAGAAUCAGUGAGCAAAUUAUAGAGGAGCUUCAGUUUGACCAAACAUCAGAAUCGGUUUCAAGUGGUGUUAUCGGAUUAUGCAGUGAUGCCACUGCUGGCUUGUUCUAUGCAUAUGACCAAAAUUCUAUUUUUCAGGUUUGUAUCUCAUGAUGUGGCGGUGGGAAGAGAAAUUAACUCAACAGAAAAGAAUAGAAUUUCGAUGGCAAAAACUGGAAGAUAAUGAAACUGGAACUAGAAAAAUAUGUUUAGAGUGCAUAGAAAACCUCUAAAAUGUAAAUAGAUUGAUAAUAAUAUAAGACAUUUCUGAAAAACAGCAUUGGCAGCCCAAUUUAUACUAGUUUUAGGUCUAAAUCCCAAUCCUUUUAGAAGAGGAAUCACCAUUAAAAGUUUUAUGACUCAUGUAGAAUUCAAAUAGCGCGAGCAUUCCUGAACUAUAUAAGAAAACUAAAACUACUAAGGAAAAUAUUAAUCUGCCAGCAUCUUGAUUGUUCUCUAGUCCUCUAUUUUUAUGUCAAUGUUGCAUAAGACAGUAAUUUAUUCGUUUUGUGCCACUGUAUUGAGAAAUAAAUAGGUGUCUGUUAACGAUGAAGGGAGAGAUAUGUGGAAGGUGUAUCUAGACAUGAAAGACUAUGCUGCAGCUUUAGCAAAUUGCCGAGACCCUCUCCAGAGAGACCAAGUAUAUUUAGUGCAGGUAAUGUCUAUUAAACCACGCUGCAAGUAAAAUAGCAGCUGGUUUGUGAUUUAUGAAUUUAAGUUUAAAAUUAUGGCACCUUAAAUUUCAAUUUCAUCUGCAAGCAGUAUCUUUUGGACAAUCCUUGUUGUUAUCUGGCCAGUGUAUAACUGGAGUGGUUUCUGAUUCAGGCAGAUGCUGCUUUCACCUCCAGGGAUUUUCUAAGAGCAGCAUCGUUCUAUGCAAAAGUGAAUUCUCCGUUUCUUGAUUUUAUUUUUUCAAAUAGCUCAUUCAUUAUGUGAUUGUGCCAUUAUUUAGAAGAUGGCAUAUAACUAAUAAGAGUUCUUUUUUUGUCUUGUUUUGUUUUGCUUUCUCUUCUUCUUUUCAGAUUAAUUACAUACUAUCAUUUGAGGAAGUUACGUUGAAGUUUAUUAGUGUAGGCGAACAGGUAAACUCAGGACCAUUCGUAUUUUCUGCAUUAUGGUCAUGUUAGUUUCAUUUUAACAAAAUGAUUACAUGUCAUAUGCAUCAUAUCAUGUUUUCUGCCAGAAGUUGCCCAUGCUUCUUCCACAUUGAAUGCAUAAAUUGUCCAUGCUUCUGCAUAAAUAUAUAAAUAGCAAAUGCAAUACUAAAACGGGAGUUUGAGAAGGAUUUUAGUUCCCCAUCAUUAGUUCACAUGUGACCUUAAUGCUUCAUUGAGUAAAACUUCAAUUGGGUCAACACUCAGCCUAGUUUUUGUAUUUUAACCAUGCUUAUUAUUCUAUUUAUAUGAAUUGCACGCAUAAUAUGGUUUUUACUAUUGGUAGUCCGAGUCUGUAAAUAUAGGUAGCUGUAUAGUUGUAUAAAGUCAGGACUUGAGAAAUGUUACAUCUGCAUUUAAUUUAUGAUAACUUCUGCUUUCUGGGCUGCCAAAAGAAAAGGAUUGGCUUGUACAAAGAAAUUCUUACUUAGCUUUGCUUACAUGCAGGAUGCUUUGCGAACUUUCUUGUUGCGGAAGCUUGAUAAUCUUGCCAAGGAUGACAAGUGCCAAAUAACAAUGAUUUCCACAUGGGCAACUGAAUUGUACUUGGAUAAGGUUUUACUCAUUUAUCUGACAUGUAUCAUCGAUAAAAAACUAUCUCAGAUAUUUGGUCUUAACUGGCCUUUGAUCCUCUAGAUUGAUUGCAUUGUCAAUUUAAUAGAUGUUACUGGCACAAGAGAGAAAUGAGCAUAGGUUUGAUAUAUGCAUCUGACAAUACCAGACAUUUCUGAACUUUUUCCUGUGUUCUACUUCUAAUGUUCCAUUUUUAUGUCUACUUCUCUCAAAAGUCAAAUGCUAAUAUCUACUGAAAUUAAAUUGAAAAAAAUGAAAAGCGAACAUUUUAUAUUAUUUGUCGGGCAUGAACAUGCUAGUGGAUGAUUUGUUUCUUGGAGGUCAUGGUAUGUCAGCUCCUUUUCCAUCCUUGUAUCUUCCACAUUUUGAAUCUGAGCUAAUUAAUCAAAAUUUUAGUUACUUCUGUUUUACUUUAAGCAGAAAUUUUUUUGUAAGAGUAUGCAGCAGCUUUUGAGAUGUUCUGAUUUAAAUUCUUGGACAUUCUUCACCUGUUGCAUUAGUAGUAAGUAGUAAUCCACCUCUGCUAUGUUUGUUACUACAUGAAAAUUUUUAGUUGCUGAAUGAGUUGUAAUGUUUUAGCAUGUAAAAGUUCUAUUGCUUGAAAAGUUUUUCAAUCCAUAUAUGCAUCAAUAAUUAGUAUCUGAGAUCAUUAAAUUUUAGCAAUGAAUUUCACAUUCAAUUUUCUAGAUAAAUCGGCUACUCUUGGAAGAGGAUAAUGCUUUGGACAAACAUAGUUUUGAGUACCAAUCAAUCAAUCAAGAGUUUCGUGCUUUCCUCAGUGACUGCAAGGAUGUCUUGGAUGAGGCAACUACUAUGAGACUUCUAGAGAGGUAAUCAUAUAAAUUUUUGGUAGUGUUUGACCACUUAUUUAGACUUUAGACCUACAAUGUCUGUCUCUAGUCUUAUUUGAGACAAAUGUGCUUGGAACCAUUGAUAAAUAACCAAUUUUUCUUGUUUGAUGUGAUUCCAUUCUAUUAAUAUUAGUUCCUUAUUCUACUGCAUGUUAAAGAACUCGUUUGCACUAUGAUAGUUUUGCCCAACAUCAAACCAUCUCGGGUGUCCUUGCAUCCACAUGCAUAAAUUGCUAUUGGUUUUUUGUUUGACUUCUCGAUUGUUCUUGUCUGUUAAAAAUAUGCUGGAGUGAAUUUUAGCUCAAAUGCUUUUCUGCAGCUAUGGCAGGGUUGAAGAACUAGUGUAUUUUGCUAGUCUGAAGGAACAGUAUGAAAUUGUAAUUCACCACUAUGUUCAGGUGCUUUCACAACCUUUGUUUAUUUGCUGAACAUUGUUGUUACUUGCCAUGCUUUGUAGUUUAGUUUCAUUGGAGAAUGCAAAAUUGUCCUCUAUUUUCUUUUUUAUUGAGUGGUGAUAGAGGGUGAGAACAUAAAACAAAACUAAUGAAUACUAUGUUUGCCUUCAACUUUAGUGUGGCAAAUCCUUCUAAUUUGAGAACACAGUCCUUUUGACUGUAGCAGAUAGGUUUUAGUAGGUUCGUUAAGUAAAAAAGCUCUAUCUUCAUUUGGUCAGAUACUUUUUGUUGACAGUGUCUGUUAGCUGACAGUGGUGGUUAGGAUUCUUUAUUUCUUCUCUUAGCGCGCGCGCAUACACACACACUGUUUUUGAUAAAAUAAAAUUAUAUUAACUGACUAAAUAGAGUUACAAAAGCAUGAUAGAGAAUAAGUCAGCCUCCAAAUUAAGAAAGCAAAAGGAAUAUCAUGAAACAGCAGCCUGAUCACACUGAUUGUCAAGCAAAGUCCCCUAAAACCACGUGAAGCAUGACACCACAGAGAAAGAAAAACUAUCCUAUUCCUCAGCAAUGGCAUAGAAAGUGUUUUUUUAUAAAAAAAUUCUAGCAUCUGACCAAACAGGUACACUGUAUGACAGCACACAUAGUACAAAACCAUAUGUAUGUGUGUGUGUAGGCAUGUAGGUAGGCAGCUUUUUUUGCCUGAGUUCUUGUUCCUGGCGAUUCAUAUUAUUAAUUUGCCUUUGUUUUUUGGUGGGUGGGUGGCGUUUAACUCCAGCAAGGAGAAACAAAGAAAGCAUUGGAAGUGCUUCAGAAACCUGCUGUUCCAAUAGACCUUCAGGUACAUGUUUAAGUGUGAUUUGAACUAUGGUUCAUUUUCCCAAUCAUGGAUGGUUGCAGCGAGUUUUUUUGCUGUAAUGCUUUCUGUACUCUUAAGAGUCCACACCACCUUGUUUUUAGUCCUAUUUUCUAUAAAGGUACUUAGUGAGAUUGUUUUUGCUUUGCAGUACAAGUUUGCCCCAGAUCUCAUUGUUCUUGAUGCAUAUGAAACAGUUGAGUCAUGGAUGACCACAAAAAACCUGAACCCAAGAAAACUGAUUCCUGCAAUGAUGCGUUAUUCAAGUGAACCUCAUGCAAAGUAAUGGGUGCAACUUUUUUCAAUUAUUACAUUUUUCUUUUUAUCAGAGGGGUGUGAAUUUUUACUUCUGCAAGCAUUAAAACGAGCUCAAUUUUCUUGUGAUAGUCUCCAUUAUUAUUUAGUUGUUUUUGGCUCUAAACAAGACUUGUAAAUGAUAGAAAGUCUGAGUUUAGCUUUGGUGCUGCUGCUCACACCAGUGCUAGAUUUCCCAAUCCUUCUGGUUUCUCUCUGAGUUGUCAUCUAAUCACAAUCAUUGGCUUGCUUUUCCUACCUGUGGCAUAAACGUUUCUUAUGAUCUGAUUGGUAGAUUCCAUGACAAAAAAAAUUACUUUUGUCAAAGGAAGUUUGUGUCUUGUAUCAUCAGACAUGACCGCCAAUUGAUAGAUCAAUAGUUAUAAAUUGCAAUAACCUUCAGAAGUUCUAUUUCCUGUUCAGUUAUUAACAUAUAGAUGUUAGAUUAUGUAUUUGAUGUUUCUGGUGAAUUGCGGAUCUCUUUUCACUGCAACUAUGUUGUCACCUGCAGGAAUGAAACCCAUGAAGUCAUCAAAUAUUUGGAAUUCUGUGUUCAUUGUUUGCAUAAUGAGGAUCCUGGAGUUCACAACUUGCUUCUUUCUCUCUAUGCUAAACAGGUUGGGUUUGUUCUUAGAAUUUUAACAGGUGGAAAUGUCUUUAAGUUUGUAAUUUCAUAUUUUGUUUGACAUGCUCCAUAUCAUUUUAAGAUUUUGAUUUGAAUUGUUUACUGACAAAAGGUUAAGUAUGCCAGUGGGUCUGUAUCUGGAUAAGUAAACUAUAUGUAUUUUGUGGAUCCUUUUGAUGCCACAACAGUCAUUCCAAACUUUCUUGCUCCUGAAGUUAUUCCAUGAAAGCACUUGAGUUUUUUAUCCUUUUAUUUUCUUCACCCACGAGAUUUUGCUCAAACAGUAUUAUCACAGUUCAUUUGAGGGUUGCCUUGAUGAUAUUUUGUUUCAUUUAUAUUCAGGAAGAUGAUGAUGCACUUUUGCGUUUCCUACAAUGCAAGUUUGGGAAAGGACGAGAAAAUGGUCCAGAUUUCUUCUAUGAUCCCAAGUAUGCCUUGCGCCUUUGCCUCAAAGAAAAGCGGAUGCGUGCCUGUGUUCACAUAUACAGCAUGAUGUCCAUGCACGAAGAAGCAGUUGCUCUUGCUCUACAGGUGAUAUUUUAGUGCCUCUAGAUCCUACUGCAAUUUGUUUUUAUAGAAAUUUGAUGUGCUCCAGUUUACCAGCAGCCAGUGCUGUAAACCAAGUAAAACUGAGGGUUAUCAAGUUUUGAAAGAAUCCAUAAGAAAUUCAAAUCUAAGCUAGAAGUCUUGCAAUCUGACCCCAGAUCAGUUUUCUGCAAGUUUUAGCAAAUAUGGCUAGAAAUCUAGAAGGUCAGGGUUCACAAAUGAACACUGGAUGGAAUAAAAUCUGAGGAAAGGGAUAAUUCAUGUUUGAAAUUUUAUUUUCUGAAAUCCGCUACCAAAUUUGUUUACAGAAUUUUUUUUUCUUUUCACGGGGGCUCUUGUUCUUACCAAACCCUACAAAUUUUGCUUUACCUUUAUCCACCAGACACCUCAUAGAAUUAUUUAACCCAUUACAAUUUUCAGAUAAGAUAGUUGAAGGGAAAAAAAACCCAAAAUUCCAGGUUGAAUAAGACAUCAUAGCCCCAAGUAGAAAAGGAAAAAGCCCUUAAGAGUUCUCUCAAACUGAAUUUACAGACACCUCCAAAUCCAAGGAGCUCAGAAAUGAAAUUGGUUUUUCCUCUAGUCUUGUAUCUCUGUGUGGUCUUGUGCUAUUUUGACAUAUUUUCCCGCUUGUAAUUAGGUUGACCCCGAGCUUGCAAUGGCUGAAGCUGACAAGGUGGAAGAUGACGAAGAUUUGAGAAAGAAGCUUUGGCUUAUGGUUGCCAAGCAUGUUAUUGAACAAGAAAAGGGAACUAAAAGGGAGAAUAUAAGGAAGGCAAUAGCAUUUCUCAAGGAAACUGAUGGCCUUCUAAAGAUUGAGGAUAUAUUACCAUUCUUUCCAGACUUUGCCCUAAUUGAUGACUUCAAGGUAAUCUUGUUACCCUGAUGUUUUGGGAUAAUUUUCCAUGACAUCGUUGAUCCCUUCUUACCUUAUUUUCAAAUUUUAUCUCUCCUCCGAUUGCCAUUUGAGCUGCUGCGUGCCCUUCUAAUUUUAUGCCUGUUAUGAACAUUCUAAAACUUGAGUAUUUUAUUGUCCCUUUGCUGCUGGCUUCUAUACUAGAGUUGACUCUCUUGUGUGAGUGUAGGAGGCAAUUUGCUCAUCAUUGGAGGAUUACAACAACCAAAUCGAACAACUAAAAGAGGAGAUGAAUGAUGCUACACAUGGCGCUGACAACAUAAGAAAUGAUAUUAGUGCACUUGCUCAAAGAUAUGCUGUCAUUGACCGUGACGAGGAAUGUGGGGUAUUGGCCAUUCCAGUCUUUAGUUCCAUUCACAAUCUGCAUGCUAAAGCUAUACUUGAUCUUUUUCCAUGUACUUGCAUUGGUUGGGAUAUCACUUUACCCUUCACUUGCCUUAGGAGUAAAAGGAUGCUUUUUUGGCUCAGUCUCACCUUUGAAACUUUUUGCUGAAGUUUUCCAUGUACUCUAAAAGAUUCCAAGGCUGAAAAUAGGUGGGCCUAAAUAGGUCUUCCCCUUAUACUAUGUUUAUUUUAAUUAGUGUCAUUACCUUGUUGUCAUCAUACUGUAGUUGGGUCAUAGGAACUAGAUCUUGGACUUUGGAGAUAGUCCCAGCCUUCAGUAUUUCCGCAUGAGGUGGUUCCUCUCAUGAUUCAAACUUGGACCCUCACGGUUGGUAGUCCAAGAUUUUUACUGUUCCAUAAAGCAACUGUUUCCAGUUGCAUAGCUCAUAGUUGAACUUGUUAAAUUCUGUUGUCAUCUUACUGAAUUUAUUCUUCUCAGGUUUGUAAGCGCAAAAUCUUGAUUGUGGGUGGGGACUACCGUAUGUCUCGGGGCUAUACAUCAGUAGGACAAAUGGCUCCCUUCUAUGUAUUUCCAUGUGGGCAUGCCUUUCAUGUGCAUUGCUUGAUUGCCCAUGUGACAUGUUCUGUCAAUGAAACUCAAGUAAGUUGAUGUGCAGCAUUUCUCACAUAGUAUUUUUGGUUAAAUGCUGCUGUUGCAAAUUUGAGAAUCAAGAUGACAUUUUACUUGGUAGGUGCAACUUGAAAGUCAAAGUAACUUCUAAUCUGAUUAAAUAGUCAAUCAUACUACCAUUUAUUUCUACUUUGAAUAGCAUAAAAAGCACAUCCAUUGAUGGCUACAACAUUAAUCAAAUCGGAAAGCAUCAUUUGGAAAUGCAUUAUGUUUCACUAGCACGACCAUUAAAACAACUUGGCCUCUGCUGGUCAAACCCACCAUCCUUUUCUCUUGAGGAUGGAAGAAAAAGAGCAUUGAUUGGUUACAACUUGUGCAGAUUGUAAGAAUUGCAUUUGUUAGUUUUAUAGUUAGUUCUGAACAGAGGAAUUAUGCUGGCAAAAUUGUGAUUGAAUGAUCAUCUGGAUUGUGGAUCUGGAUUGUGGAUAACUAUAUCUGCACAAGCAUAUUAUUCUACUUGUGCCCUGAAAGUAGAAUUCUGCUUCUGCAUUUGUGAAAUUAUCUCACUCGCAGGAACUUCAUAUUUGAUCUGACCUUUUCAACCUCAUUUUUGUUUUUUUUUGUUUUUAUCAAAUGAACGAUGCAGGCAGAAUAUAUACUGGAUCUGCAGAAGCAGCUUACGUUGCUUGGUGACGGAGCUAGGAAAGACAUGAAUGGUGGCAUAACUGAGGAUUCCAUUACUAGCAUGACUCCUGCAGAUAAGGUCUGUUUUUAUGCUUGUCAUUUACAAGUAAACAUUUAGUGGCUAUAUGAAGUAGUUUUUAAUUUUCAAUAGCAGUCUUCACUUUCAGUGAGAUUUUUGCAUAAACUUAAUCCUGGUUAAUGGCUUUUGUGUACACCUGAGAACAAUAUACCUCCUGUUACUAACAAUUAUGAACUAAAGCUUCGUAAUGGUGAAUUUAAUCGACUUUCUUAUGUCGUGAUCUCCAGCUCCGUUCUCAGCUGGAUGAUGCAAUAGCAAGCGAAUGUCCAUUUUGUGGUGAAUUGAUGAUCCGUCAGAUCUCUUUGCCUUUUAUACUCUCUGAAGAAGCACUGCUCGUUAAUUCAUGGGAGAUAAAACCACAGAACAACCUUGCGAACAUGAGGACCCUCUCUUUACCGGUAUGACCAUACCCUACUUUUGUGGCUGCAUGCUUGUCAUUAAUUGUUCUGCUUGCUUGUGGCAAUAUAAUUAUCAACAAUUAUAGAUAGCUUUUGAAAGGGUUUUUGCUGCUUGUUUAUCCAUAUGGAAUGAAGAGUUCCCGCCUUAAGAACCAACAAGAACAAGGGUGUUGUUAUUGUUAUUUUCUUAGUGUUAUACAUUAUUAAUUGUAAAUUUGAUUGUUUUAUUUUUGUAAAGAAAAAAAAACACACACACACAUAAAAGAGUAUCACAUUUUAAGGAUACUGAAAUAUUUGUUGUACACGACAUGCUGGCGCUGCUGAUAAGAUGAUGUCACAAGACUAUAAUUAGGUUGUGUUUCUAUGAAUUUUGUAGAUAUAUUUAAUUAAAAAUAUUUUUUAUUUAAAUCAGAAUUUGGUUUUAAUCAAAAGUUAAAAGUUUUAAAUUUAAAUAUACUAUUUUUCAAAAAAGUAUAUUUAAGUUAUUUUUAAUCAAACAUAAUCUUAACUUAAUUCAUUUUUGUUAUAAAUUAUUUAUGAAAAAAGCUUUCGAAUUAAAACUUAAAAGUCAAAUUUUAAUUUUUAUAAAUUAUGUCAAAGGGAUUCUUAAUCACGAAACUUUUUUGGCCUUAAAUUAAAAUUGGCUUAAAAUAGACCAUUGAAAUUAAGAGUUAAUCACCCCCAUCAUGCUAAAUUUUGCGUGCCAUUACAGUUUACACUUUAUGCUUUUAAAAACUAUAAUUUUUACCCUAAAAUUAAAAUUAAUGGAGUUAACUUUUAUUUCUAAUUUUUUUAAAAAAAUCAGAAAUAUCUUUUUUAAAAUAAGCUAAGAAAUAUAUCACUCUCGUUUUAUCAAUUACACUCCUUUCUAUAGAAAUAUUUGUGUUUUCUUUUAAUUUAUAAAAUCAAGUCAAUUUCUUUUUUUGUUUAAAAGGCUUCUAUAUAUUUUUUUUUAAAAUCAUAUCAUUUAUGUAUUUAACUAGUCUUAUCACUUGUGUUACAUCGCAGAUAGAAUUUCAAGUUAAUUUUAAAUAUAAUACAAGAAUUUCAAGUUAAUUUUGAAUAUAAUAAAAAAAAUAUGUUAAUGUUGUGGAUAUAUUUUAAAAUAUCAAGAUUUUUUUAAUUAAGAAAGACAAGUAUGUUCAAGAUUUCAAGUCAAUUUUUAACUUGAAAAAAAUAAUUAAUUUAUGGAUAUGUUUUCAUGUAAGAAACAGAAGGAUGUUUAUGCUUUAUAAAAUAAACUAAGAAAUAUAUGAAUUUAUAAAUUAACACUAAUUACAAAUUAAAACAGAAAGUUAAUUUUCAUAGGAAAAAUAAAAGAUAGAUGUAUAAAUAAAUAUUUUACAUUGUUCUUUUUCUUUAAAAUAUUUUCAUUCAUUUUAUCUUAGUGGUUAAAUGUGUUGCUGAUAAAAAAUGAUUUAUGUUUUUAUAAAAUCUUCAUAUAAAUGCAUUUAACUCAUAAAAUAUAUGAGAAAAAAUUUAACAAAAAUCAAAAUCGCUUUAAGGUAUCAUGCAAUUAAAAAAGUAUAUGUAAAGGGUAAAAUAAACGAGGCCAUGCGCUGAUGGGUCAGACCUACAUAUCUAGCUUUAAUAAAAAAAACCUAGGUGUGCCUUGUGUUUUUUUCAUUAGAAGAGGACGAUAUCUGCUCCUAUAUUUCUUUUUUAAGAAAAAAUUAGAUAACAUGUUGCCGACUAAUUUAUUUUAAAAUCAAGAUCCAAGGAUUCCAAAAAUUCAAAUUUUAACACCUUUUGUUUUUUGAAAACACCUCCAAAACACAAUAUAAACCUCUAAAAACCACAUAUCAACCUCAAAACACUCCAAAAUUACUCAAAAAAAAAAAAAAUUCAACCAAAUAACAAACAAACAUCAAUGUUUUUUUUCCUGAAAUAUUUUUAGGGAAACAUCUUUUUUGAACUCCUCUAGAAAAGAGAAGCCUGUCAAUACAAAAAUUAUUUUUAUUGGUGGUUGAAAUAUGGUGAAUCGACAACUUUCUUUCUUUUUUAUUUUUUUUUCUAUUAGUCUCUCUCUUUUCUCAAAACUAGAGAGUGAAAAAAAUAAACAAAAAUAAAUUUUUAAACCGAAAUAUUUUUUGAGUGAUUUUCAAAUUAGCCACGUGGUUUUCAUGUGUUUUACAUUCUCUUUGUUUGAAUGUUGUUUUUCUUUUACAAAUUUAAAUCAUCUCAUCAAUUGGACCACAAAAAGACAAUUGAAAAAAAAAGUUUAAGUAUGAAAAUAAAAAAAUAUAUGAGUGGUGUUCAUAUAAAUAACGUCAUCCCAAAUCUUUUAGUUGUACUAAAAAUAGUAAUAUAUUCUUUUAAUAAAUCAUUAAAAAAAAUCUUACUUACAAACAGAAGGUAGCACAUUUUAAAUGAAAUGGAUGAUUUAUCCUAUUGAAUCCUUUCAAAGUACCAGGUAGAACAUAUUAUCAAAAAAAUUAAGAGGCCUCAAUGAAACAUUGUAUACACAUACUUAGAAUAUUAUGGAUUAAUACAAUAUAAUAACAUUAUUGCCCUUCCUAAACAAAAACUAAACCGAACCGAAACCGAUCGGUUGGAAUUGGGUUCGGGUUGUUUUUUAAAAAAAUUGGUUUGGUUGUUUUUAUAGGUAAAAACCGAAUCGAACAAAAAAUAUUCACUCCUACUUUCACGGUGGCUUUAGAACUAUCUUGGUUUCACGGUGGCUUUAGAACUAUCUUGGUGAGCUCUUUUUAGUGAUGAGACGGUUUUCAUAGAAAAGCAAUAAGUCUUCAAUUGACUUUUCUUUGUUCUCUUCUAUAUGAUAUUGAUAAUUUAUUUUUUAUAAUUAAUUAUUAUAAAAAAUAUUUCAUUUACUUUAUUUAUUGUGAAAGUUUUUUUUUUAUUAAUCAUCUUAUUAAAUUAACUGAAUUUAUUAAACUACAUUAAUAUCCUAAAUUUUAGUUUUUUUUUUUUUUUACCUUUUUCAAACCAUUACAUCUUUUUUUUUUUACAUUAUAAAAAAAAAAUUUAACGCGGCCUAGAACAUAUCACAUGACACCUAUCUAUUCCAGUUAUUCGUUAUCUUUUUAGGGGCUAUUUAAUAAUUUUAUGUUAUUUCAAAUAAAAAUCAACUCAAUUUUUAACGAUCAAUUAACAGAUCCUGUUUUACGGAAAUUGGAAAGUGCAAGAGUUGGAACAAAUUAAUAUAUGGAAAAUUAAGGUCGUGAUUAAUGUUCAUGUAAGAAUAGACAUGUCAUUUUGAUGCUUGAAUAUUAUGCUGUCUUCUUCUUCUUAUUUUUUUUUUUAAAAAAAUCUUAUUAAAAAUGAAAAUUCCUGAAGAGAAUAUUCAAUCAUAAUGGGUAUAAAUAUAAGUAAAUAAAAUAAGACAAAAACAGUGCAAUAUUAUUUUUAACAUUUUGUUUCUGUACAAAUUCACAUUAAUUUUUUUGCCAUCAUCUCCUCAUCCCCGCAAUAAAUUCACAAUGUACAGUCAAUCCCCUCGCACCAUUGAUUCCACAACUCACCACCUGGUCAAUUGCCUCAGACUCUACAACUCACUACUGAGUCAAUCGAUCACAAUCCACUGCCUAGUCAACUCUGGCCAAGUCCCCCAGGCUGCACCUCGCCAACACACCGCUGAGUUGAUCGGCUAGAGAUCACCACCUAGUCAAUCUCCUUGGACUCUGAAACUCAUCACUGAGUCACUCGGUCACCGCUGCCUUCUCACCCUAGUCACCCCUGGCCCCAGCAAUUCAAGUACAUGACUUGUCGGAGAGACUCAUCGUUCUGCCUCACUCCCUCUUCCGAUCCACAACCUCCAAGACCAAUACAAUCCGAUCCGACAGAAGCAGCAGCAAGUGGCCGGAUCUCCACCACAUCUCCGCCAGAGAACACCCUGCUCUUGCCAUGGUGCAGUGAUUUUAAGCUGGAUUUCCAACCUUGAUCAGGGUAUCCAACUGCAGCCACGGUAGCUGCCAUCCAAACCCGGUUCAAAUAACUCAUUUCUGGGGUCUUCCGAUAUAUUGGGGGAACAGAGAUUACAGAUUGGAGUGAGAGAAUUAUAUCAAGCUUCGUCUAGUGUUUAGAAGGAGGUGUGGGUGUGUUAUUUUAUAGAAGGAAAAGUAGCGGAUUUGUAAAAACAGGAAACAGGAAGUGGUUUUACUUUAUAAAAUGGUAUUGGGACGUGCGUGAGGCUCGAGGCUCUAUAUCUUGGAUGAAUGGACGGUGGACAGAAGUGAAGUUUUCAAGAGUUUCUCAAGAGAAAUUGGAGCAUUGAUGUGAUUGAAAUUGUCAAUUUGUUGCAAUUUUCUCCGCAAUUAUAAGAAAAGCUAAAAGACGUGGGAAAGCAUUGAUUUUUUUUUUCUUCUAAACACUGCAGUAAAUGUUUUUUGAAUACAUAACUUUUUUUUAUUAUAAUUUUUUGAAAAAAUUAUUUUUGUUAAUUUUAUUUUUGAAUAUUGAGAUGAUUAAUAAUUUAGUUUUGUAAUUUUUUUUAUUUUAUUUUUUUAUAAGAUUAGCAUAGUUUGUAGGUUUAUUAAAAUAACAUAGAUUGCCCCUAUUUAUAGAUUUGAUGUAUUUUUUUUAAUUAAACUUGGUUUUUUUAUAGUUUAUUUUUUUACAUUGUUAAAAAAUAAUUUUAAAAAAAAUCAUGUUAUUAAACUUUAUGAAGUAAUAAAAAUUAAGAGAUGUGGAGGAAACCACUUUUCAUCUAACACCUAUUACAUUGUACAUUACAAUAGUAAUUCACAAUGUUUUGUUUCUUAUCUUUUGAAUUUUUGUUAUCAUUUUUUUUUCAAAUCUAUUUUUAUCAAUUUUAUCUUUUAAAUUUGAAAUUAUUAAGAAUUUAGCUUUGUAAUUUGCUUUUUUAUAUUUUAUCUCUAUACGAGAUUAGUGUGGUUUACGAUUUUAUCAAGGUAACCAAGUUGCCUCUAUUUACAAGUUUGGUGGGUUGCUUUUUUUUUUUAAUUGAACUUUGAUUUUUUAUAGUCUAUUUUUUCUCGUAUAGUUAAAAAAUAGUUUUAGAAAAAAUUCAUGUUAUUAAACUUUAUAAAGUAACAAAAAUUAAAUGAUGUGAAGAAACCAUUGUUCACCCACACAUAUUACACUGUGAAUGACAAUAGUAAUCCAUAAUGUUUUUUUUUUUUUGAAUUUUUGUUAUGAUUUUUUUUUCAAUUUUUUUUUGUCAAUUUCAUCUUUUUAUAUUAAGAUGGUUAAGAAUUUAGCUUCAUAAUUUAUUUCUUUUUAUUUUAUCUUUCUAUAAGGUUAACAUGAGUUGCUGGUUUUCUAGAAUUACCUAGAUUGUCCUUAUUUAUGAGUUUGAUGGAUUGUUUUUUUUAUUGAACUUAACUUUUUUAUCGUCUAUAUGUUUCUUACAUAGUUAAAACAAUAGUUUUAAUAAAAAAAAUUAUAUUAUUAAAUUUUAUAAAGUCCGUAGAUCUAUUUAUAGGUUUGGCUGGUUGACUUGAUUUGCAGGUCUGACAAGUUUAACUUUUUUAAAUUAAUUUUUUAAUCCUUAGAUAAUGGGUUAAUUAAGAAUUCAAUUUUAUAAUUGAUUUCAUUUAGCCUUUUAUAAGGUUAUCGCAAUUUAAAAAAAACAUCUCGCUAUUGGGUUGGUAUUUAAUUUCACAAUCUUUUAUUUUUGUUAUCAUAUAGUUAACUAAAAAUUAGUUUAAAAAACAAAUUAUAAUCUCAGUGGAGUCCAUAACUCAGUUCAUAGGUUUGACGUACUAGCUCGGCUUACCCGAUUAACAGGUUUGAUAAAUUUACCCACCAAUAGGAUAUGCUUUUUUUUUUAUCUUUUAAUUUUUUUUAAUUUAUUAUUUAAUAUUUGGUUAAUUGAAAAAUAUACUGCAUUAUUAAUUUUUGUUUGCUUUCUAGGGACAAUUAUCUCAAAUAAAUAUCUAUUUUUAGGUUAAUACUCAAUUUUGUUUGCAUCUAUUUUUAUCAUGUAAUAAAAAAAAUUUAUAUAAAAAAAAAGUUAUUAAACUCAAUAGAGUUCAUAAUCCUAGUGGCAGGGGAAAUGUCGAUCCAAUAUAUUACUGUUUUAAUAUUUUUUUUAAAAAAAUUAUCAUCUUAAAAUUCUUUUAAAAGUUAAGUUAUAUUUUUAUUAAUCAUUAAGGUUGUAUAAUACAUUGAAAUCAAGGUAUUAUCAUGGCUAUUUAAAAGAAAUGUUCAAAUAGUAUAAACUUUUUAUUUUUUAUUUUUCAAAACGUUUAAAAACGAUGUGUUAAUUUAUUUUUUGUUAGCCAUUUCAUUUUUCUAAUUCAAAUCUCUCGUAACCCAAUGAUAUUGGAUAUGAACAUUACACAUUACUAGUUGAAAAAUGUAAAAUCUUAAAGUUAGGUAUUCAAUCAUUUAUGUUUUCUAUGCCGGAUGAAAAUGAAUUUUAAUCUGUUUUUUUAUUAAAAUUUAUUUUUUAAUUUUUUAAAAUCGUUUGGAUAUGAUAAUAUCAAAAAUAAAUUUUAAAAAAUAAAAAAAUAUUAUUUUAAUAUUUUUUAAAUAAAAAAAACUUUUAAAAUUAAAAAGUCUCCAUAGCCUCUUGGGAUUACUUUAUAAAAAGAUUAGACGUUAACAUCAUGUGUAAACACUUGCUGCAAGUGGGAUUUCCCAUCAUAAUGACUCUUGUUACUCACCUUUUGCUUAGAUGGUACAAUUUGUCAAAUUUGUUUCGUGGAAUUAUGAGUGCCCAUCGACGUCGAGCAGGUAAAGGGCGGAGUCAACUGGUGUUGACAGCAUCCCAAGACCAAUUCCAUGACUCAUCUCUAGCUAGCCAAUAGGAACCCAACACCUACUUGAUGUACCCUCGAGGGUUUGCCAAGUGGAUAGUUUUAUCUUUUUCCUUACUUGCCAGUCACGUGAUAGGAGACACGUGCAGUGAUGAGAAUUGGCAGCAGGCAGCAGGGUAUGGAUGUCACGUGCUGGAGCUCAAGAUCAAUUAUUGUUCUUGUUAAUGAUAGAAAAUAACAGGGGAAGCUCCAAAGCCAUUGAUUGCUCGUGAGGGAACAUCACCUGACUUGGAUUUCUUCGAGGAUUGUGGAAUUCUUUUGGUAAGAUUUAAUUUUGAUUUCUCAAGUAUUAUCCAUUUUUCUUGUUUUAUUCUAAAUGACUACAAUUGUUUUAUUAUAGAGGUGAGGUGUUAUUGAGGCAUGAAGGACUCGAUUGAAGAAUGUGUGAUACUUUAGGGAUUUAUUAAUAACUUAUUUUAGACUGUUUUAUUUAGAUCCAUGAUUAAUUACAAUUAUAUAUCUUGUCUAGUGGUUAAACAUGCAUAUACGACCUAUUUAAUCAUGAAUUUAUACAAAAUAACCAAAACAUAAUAUAUAGUAUAGUAUAUGAGGAUGAGAUUAGAACAAAGAAAUGAGUUAAAUUUUAAGUUAAUAAAUAAUCAGAUUGACCUAUUGAGCUAGAUGAAAUUUUAUAACCAUCUGCAUAAUAUAUACUAACCCGUAUUAUUAAUACCAAAAAAAGGAAAAAAAAGUUUGGUUCAUGUCAUCAUUUCUAUAUAUUCUUAUCUUACAUGAAGACUUGCAUUUUUCUUUUAUUAAUGUAUAAAUUGAUAUGAGAAUAUCUCAUUAAUGCAUGCACACGUUGAUUCAAGAUCAUUCAUUAUCAUCCAAUAAAAAAAAUGAUUUGAAUCAAUUUCACAGAAUAAUAAUAUAAAAAAGAAAGAAAGAAGAGAAUUUAGGUCAUGCAUGAAAGGGUGGUUUCUGCCAUAAUAAACGUCUUGCAUGGAAGCAGCCAAAGGCGAAGUAAUCUUUAUAAUUACCAGAGGAAGAAUGUAUCAGACAAGAGCAACAUCGAGCAGAGAUGAUGGUCACAGACAGAGGAGCACGGGCUAACCAUGGCCUUACUGCAUGGUGGGAGGAAACCAUAGACAGAGGAGUACGGGCUAACCAUGGCAUUACUGCAUGGUGGGAGGAAACCAAAGACAAAAAAAAAACACAACUCCCUCAAAUUGUUUAUGGGCUUGAGCUAGUGUCUCUCUACUCGCUGAGAUGGAUGAAUGUGGUUCAAUCUCACCGUGUCAAGUUGCUAUCUGUCUCCACUGUGGUAUUGAAUUUUCUGGUGAGAUCCACCCAGCAGCUUUAAUCAAGAGUUUAUUUGAAUACAAAGGAUAUGAAUCAUGGCUGCCCUGCCCUUUACAUGCCCGUUUAUAGGGACAAAUUAAGAAGAAUAUUGGUUUCCACUUUUUAGAUUAAAAAAAUAAAUCCAACCAAACUCUGCAACCCACUUGGGAGAGAAACAGCAUCCUCUUUCCAUGGAGGGUCCCCAGAUAUCACCAUGUCCAUGAAUUAUUACAUUGUUUGGAACCCCAGCAAUUAUAUUUUUGAGCUACAAUUCCUUUCGAGCCUUGAAUAAUCUCUCUCUCUCUCUCUCUCUCUCUCUCAAUAAUACUGAUGCUUUUGUACUGACAUCUGUGUUUGAUUGGGCCUACGCCUAUCUAUGUAAACAAUGACUUGUAUAGUUAUUACACUUUCGCCUAGAGAAUUGAUCCGGUUAACUUUGAAUUUAAAUUGAUUUUAAUAUUGAUUUAGUUAAAUUUAAGUGAUUUAACAAGUUGAUAGUGUUAUAUCUAGCUAUGUCAAAACAAAAUUUUUUUUUUAAAAAAUAUCAAAUAAAUUUUGUUAAAAAAAAUAAUAAACUCAAGUUAAUCCAUUGAACUAAUUAUCUUUUAUACUUUUCAAGUUACACCUUAGAUGAUUCAACAAAUAUACAUGUAAUUUAAAAAAGAAUAGUAAAAAUAAAUAAAUUUAGUUCUAUAUAUAUUCAUCACUAACCAUAAAUUAAGUGUUAAAUAGCUAUCAUCUAUAAUCUAUCCUCCUCCAUUUCAAGUACUUCAGAAAAUAAGAUCUUUCCCUUUAUUCUCAAUUGUUCUUAUGUUUCAAAAAUCUUUUUGAAAAAAAUUAAUUUUUAUUUUAUUUUUUCUUUACUUCAAAUAAUUAUUUUUGAUCUUUUUAUAUUAUUUUGAUGUACCGAUAUUAAAUAUAAUUUUUUAAAAAAUAAAAAAACUAUUUCGAUGCAUUUCCUAACCAAAAGUAUUUUGAAAAACAACCGCAACUAUAAUGUCAAAUGGGCACUUAUUCAACUAUGUUUCAUGUAAUUUUUUUAUUUAGGUUGAUUAAUGUAAGUGUUCGGGCCAGUUUGAACGCACCUCGACUAAUCCCACGGGCCUUGAAGUUAACGACUAUGUAAGCUUCCAGUAGGAUAAUUUAGGAGUAACUUACUUAAGCUAGAUGAGGACAUUUUGGGACCUGACCAGUUGAGCUGUCCCUUAGGAUAAUUUAGGAGUAACUUACUUAAGCUAGAUGAGGACAUUUUGGGACCUGACCAGUUGAGCUGUCCCUUAGGAUAAUUUAGGAGUAACUUACUUAAGGACUAACAUGAUAAAUGGGACUUCAUUUUUAUAGGAAAUAGUCCAAGCACAACGCAUUUCAGGCACUUGAUCACUGUCAUUAGAAGGAUAAUUUAAUUGCAGUGGACCAAAAGAGAAUCAGAACCAAAUCCAGAUCUCUAUCAAAAUCCAUCCCACUAGCUCAUCACCUUAUCAACACAAGAAAAUAUAUUAUUCUUCCACAGCAAAUUUGCCUCUAUCAGGUCCUCAAUCCAUUAAUAAAAGCACAAAUAACACCGAUGAGUAGCUUUCAACUUGUUUUAAUUUAGACUUUAGGCUAAAGGGUCCAGUGCCGGUCAAGGUGAGCACAUAUCCGUGGUCACGUCCAAGUUACGUGUAUGAUUAGUGUUUUAAGAUAAAAUAUACAUAGUUAAUGUUUUAGGACAUAUGAACAUAGAAGAGACAAAAAUUAUAGGUUGAAGAGACAAUUUUACAUUAGACUAGAUAAUUGACCAGUGUAGCCCAUUGGUCGGAUUUUUUUUUCAAUGUAAAAAAAUGUUUUGAUAUUGCUAAUAGUAGGAGAAAAAAAUCUAAAUUGUGUGACGGUUAUUCUAAUAUAAUCUGGUUAAUUUUGUGGGUCUAAAAAUAAUUUGUAUAAUAUAUAAAAAUAUAAUUUGACUAAAAAACAAUUUAAGAUUACAUUUUUUUUUAAUAUUAAGAUAACAAAAUAUUAAAUUGACUUUGAUUGACCCUAUAGGUUAUGAGACUAUAAUAGCCCCAUAAAAAGCAAAUCAAAAUAAAUUAUGAAGCUCGAUUCUUAAUCAACUCAAUGUUAAAGGAUGCAAUUGAAAAAAAACCGAUUAAAAAGAGACCUAAAAAAAUGACCCGAGUUAGCCAGUCAAACUCGCGACCUGGAUCAUAAGACCGAGAUAACUCAACGGAAAGCAGAUCAAAACUAAUUACGAAUUUCAAUCUCCAAUUAGCCCAAUGUUGAAGGAUGAGAUUAAAAAAAAAUUAAUUAAAAAAACAUAAAAAAAAAUUCCCAAGUCAAUCCGCCAAACUUAUGACUCGGGUCAUUAGAACAAGAUAACCUAAUAAAAAAAUAAAAAAAUGACCUGAUUUAUCCCGGGUUAACCUGUCAAAUCUGCGACUUUGGUUAUGAGAUUGAAAUAACUUCAUAGAUAACAAAUCAAAACAAAUUAUGAAACUUAAUUUCCAAUUGCUCUUGUCGAAUCCAAUAUUGAACGAUGGAAUUUAUAAAAAUUCUCAUUAAAAAAAUAACACAAAAAAUAAGUUAAGUCAACUCAAGUUAACCUGAUAUGCACUAUUACCAUGUUAUGAGACCGAGAUAACGUAACAGAAAAGAAAAUCAAAACAAAUCAUGAAGCCUAAUUCCCAAUCAAACACAAUAUUAAAUGAUAGGAAAAAAGCCAAUUAAAAAAAGAAAAAUAAUAAGUCAAUUGGAUUAAUCCGCCAAACCCGCAACCUAGGUUAUAAAAUAGGGAUAACACAAUAAAAAUCAAAUCCAAUGUUGAAGGGCAUGUGAUCCAAGUUAUGAGAUCAAGAUAACCUUCUAAAAAAACAAAAAAAACCUGAAUUAACUGGGGUUAAAAUUCCAAAACUCGCGACCUUGAUCGUGAGAUCAAUAUAUCAUUAUAGAAAACAAAUAAAAAUAGAUUAUGAAACUCAAUUCUUAACCGAUCUAGUGUUGAAUGAUAAAAUAAAAAAAAAUCAAUUAAAAAAUAACACAAAAAAUAACUUGAGUCAACUCGUUAAAUACUAUUCAUGGGUCAAGAGGCUAAAAUAACUUAAUAGAAAGUAACAAAACAAACCAUGAUGUCUAAUUCUCAAACAACCACUAUUAAAAGAUGAAAUUGAAAAAAGAAUUUAAUUAAGAAAAUAAAAAAAACUUGAGUCAUCUGGGUUAAUUCACCGAACUGAAAAUCCGUGUUAUGAAAGAAUAAUAAACUAAUAAAUAAAUAAAAAAUAAAAUAAAAAAAUAUUCAUAAAAAAAAAUACUACUCAAGCAAAUAAUGCUUUAUAAAAAGCAGUAAAAGUACUUUGCGACCGGAAGUACAGUAAAACCCGUUCUGUUUUAGUUCAUAGUUAAUUUGUAUAUUAUCAAAAGAAGAAAGACACAUUCAAGCGCUACCUUGAGGAUCAUCAAGAUAAUAAAACAAAGAUUUGAUGCUUUACAUGCCAGAACUGUAAAUACUUUACAUGAGCACUAAUGAUUAUAAAGUUCAAAUAUUCUUCAAUCCAAUCAGAAAAGUAUGCAAAUACGAGAAAUCUAGACAUGGUGCUUUAUUCUUAAAUUCUACACAGGAAAAAUUGCAAACCAUGUUGCAUCCUGUAGUUCUGCACUCGAUUAUGAAUCUGGGACAAGUACGAGUCAUGAAAAAAAAUAAAAUUAAAAUGAUAUUAUUUUAAUUAAAAAAAAAAUAACCAGAUUUUAUCAAUUUAUAAGAUCAGAUUAAUCUAGAUUUUUAACCGGAUUAAUCCAGGUUUUGUAAUUAGGCUUGUGAGCAAGUAAAUGCAAAAACCCUGCUACAGCAUGCAAUAUUGUUAAAAAAAACAUGAAUUGCUAACAGAGAAUUAAAUAAUUCAAUGUUAAUCAAAAUCCCAUAUCUACAACAAAUAGGGCACAAGUGCAGUAUUAGGUGCCUUAAACCAAAUACAGCUUAAUAUGGCAUAACAAAAUGCCUUUUUUUUACCCUGAUAAAUCCUGCUUCACAAAUUUUUAUGUCUACAUUCCUAAAAGAACAGAUCACACAUCCUCCUCCGCCAAUGGACAAAGGGACAAAGCAUUCAACAUUGUAUGAAGGAAACCUCAGCUCAAGGAAAAAACAUUGCAAGAAAAGGAAACAGAACUUUCACACAGAAUCAACUUCAACCUGCUGGCGUGCCAGGUAUCUUUCCCUCCGCUCUUUCUGAAAUGUAUAUCAGAGAAAUUAGUGUCAGGAAAGAUUAUAGGCCACAAUGUGAUAAGAAGAAAUUACACACCAGAUGUUCAAGACCUUACCCACUCAUCUAUAACAAGUCCUUCGUUGACGACUCGGGGACCUGCGUCUUCCGGAGGCUUCUUGCGUGCCUCAAGCUCAGCUUCAGCCUCAGCCAGUUGUCUUUUAAGUUUUUCCAGUGCCUUGACAGAGAUAAAACAAAAUUCCCUCAAGGAUUGAAAAAGCCUUUUCUUGUCUUUAUAUUUCGUUUCCAAAUGCAGGCAGAGGACUUAAUAGAGAUAAUUUCUAUUUACUUACAGGGCUAGGGCAUUCUGGAUCAAGAAAAAUUACUCGCAGAAUUUGCUCAACUGCUACUUGAUCCUUCUGCUCGUCAAACUGAAUAGAAACAAUAGUUUUAUCAGCAAAAUCAAGGAAUGUGUUCAUAGAAUCAUGUUGCCAUGAGCUUAAUGUAGAAUCCCUAAUAAGAAUCACAUUAGGGGUUCAGACAGUAUACCAUCUCAGGAACAUAUUCCAUUUCUCCUUUCACUUUCAAGCUCAUGAUCUUGAACUUAACCCUGCUCCUCUGAUCCAUUUGUCUAUCAUUGUUCUCUGGUGGUUCCACAAACUUGAAUACUGUUGGACAAGUAAUGAUUCAGAAUAAUAAUACCCUAAAACCAAAAUGUUUACAGCAUACAGUCGUUGAUCACUUUAAUGGGGACAGUAAUCUAGAGUGGUGGAGCAGGAGAUUCUGAUUACCAGUUGCGGUAAGACUUUCUCCAGGAGCAAGUAUAGCCCCGGGAGGACGCAUGUAACAGCUCUUUGGUGCAGUCGUUUGGAACUACAACAGCCAUCAAAUCACUAAUUAUUCCCAAAAUUGAUCGACAUCAAAAUCAUUGAUCAAAGAAAAGGAGUCGAGAGACGCUCCAUACCUUGAAAGCUACAUGAUACUUGCAAGUGUUCUUGAUGCCAAUUGCACUCCUAACCUGUUUACCUGGUUCAUCUUCAGCACAAUAAUAUUGUAACAAAUUAAGUACCAAGAAAACACAAAUCUAGUUCACUACCAAAUUUCCAAUGUUUCAAACACAAAGUAAACCCCAGAAAAAACAAAGGGACAAAUCAUUAAACAACUGAGUUCAUCUGCAUAAUGAUAGCUUCAAAUCUGCAAACUAAUCAAACAAUCAGGUUCCUCAGCUAUAAGUACAUUAACAAAGAGCAGCUGGAUGAAUUGCAGUCGAUAUACAAUGAGCAAACCCAAUUAGGUUUCUUUAACUUGUUUGAUUUUGACCAACAAAGAACAAUCAAUCUGUUUUCUUAAGGGCUAGACAUUACCAUUCUCAAGAAUCUCACUUCCCUUCACUAAACUAAGAAAACCCCAGAUCAUCACCAACAGCAACUGAAUCUACUAAACACAGUUCAUAUCAAGCAAAAUCUACAGGGACAAUCUAAUCUGUGUAAUUUAUGAUAUCAACAAAUCGAAGGUCAUUUCUUCAUAUAAAAAUAAAGAAACCCAGAUCACGAAAAGUAAAAAAAAAAAACCGAAAACAGUACAAGCUAUGCAUACACAAUCAAAACAAAAAGAACAUGGCCAAAGAUUUUCAACAAAAAAGAACCACAAAACCUUAAUUCUUACAAGGAAAGAAGAGCUUGUUAGGAGGAUCAAGCCUGAGUCUUCUUCUAGUAGGCAACAAAGACUUAGUAACAAACGAUAUUGCAUUAGUCGAAUAAUAAAGACUCGAUCUUGUCUCUCCAAGCUGGUUACUUUGGUUCUGUUGACAACCAUUAUUGCCAUUACUGUUAUUACUACUCAUGGAACUUGAAGAUGUCGAAGAUGAAGAAGUGGUAGUAGUAGAAGAAGAAGCGGCAUUGCCAUUGCCAUUGCUUGUUUGCCAAAAUGGCAUCUUGCAAAGACUCCAAAGGCUUCUUUCACUCUCUGCUUUAAAAGAUGGAAAACUUGAAUAGUUUUCUUUACUGGGGCUUCGUGCUUUUGAUUUAUUUUGUGUUUUUACUAUGAUAAUGUUGCUGUUGUUGUCUUUGUUUCUGUUGAUGAAAGCUAUGUAUCUCCCUAUUGUAAUAAUACUGUACCAUAAAAAUGUGCAUAAACUGUGAAGUUUCCGCUGUAAGGUAAUGCCUAAUGGGAAUUUGGUGAAUUUGAUUGGUCUAUUUGAGGUCCGGUCUGCAUAGAUUCCCGGGCUUUUUCACUCGGUGUGUUCGUUUUUGCCUUUUUUGUGGUAGCCAUGAUGGUGGGAGUGUUUUCUACCUACUUUUCUGUAAAGUAUCUAUUAUUUAGAUACAUACAGCGUCGUUUUAAAAAAAAUAAAACAUCAAUGACAUUAAAUAAACCACCGAACUAGAAAAAAUAAAUAAAUUAUAAUGAUUAGUUGCAACAUAAUGCGGGCCUAUAACAAUAUAAUUGAAAGACACCCUCAAUUUUAUUUUUUUUAAAGACCAUGAUUAAUUUUAUUUGAUAAUAAAUAAAAAAUUAAAAGAGAUAAAUUCAUAAAAUAAAAAUAAAAAUUAAAGCUUAAUUCACAAUAAAUUAAAUAUUAAAAGAUAAAAUUAAAAAAAAUUAAAAGGAUAAAAUAAAAGGACUCGAGUCCACCCGAAUCAAACAACCAAAUCUGCGUUCUAGUCGUUAGAUCAGGAUAAUCUCGUAGAAAGUAAACUAAACAAAAUUAUAAAACUCAAUUCUCAAACUAGCCCAGUAUUAAAAGGCAAAACUAAAAAAAAACACAACUAAAAAAAGACUCGAGUCAACUUAAGUUAACCAACUAAGCUCAUAACCCAAAACAUGAGAUCAAGAUAACUCCAUAGAGAGAAAAUUAAAAAAAAUAACAAAGCCUAAUCUCCAACCAACCAAAUGUCAAAUAAUGAAAUUUCUUUUAAAAAUCAAUUAUAAAAAAGGGCCUAAAAAAGAUCAAAGUCAGCUCAAGCUAAUCUUUCAAACUCAUGACCCGGGAUUAUCCCAUAAAAGACAAAUCCUAAAAAACUACGAAGUUAAACUCUCAAUCAACCAAAUACUCAGGGAUAAAAUUAAAAAAAUAAUAAUUAAAAGAAUAAAGAUCAAAUUUGACAUAAAAAUAAACUAAAUAUCGAGGGAUGGAAUUGAAAAGAACAACUCAAUUAAGAAAAGGAUUAAAAAAAAAUGUUAAUAAAAAUAAUAAGUACCAAAUUUAAUAUAACAAUAAAAUGAAACAAAAUGUUGAAGAACAAAAUUGAAAAAUAAAAUCAAUUAAAAAAAUCAAAACAAAACAAACAACAAUAAAAAAAAUAAAAACCAAAUUUGAUACAAAAUUAAUAAAAUGAGAGGACAUCUUUCAACUUUGAUAGACCAGCUCAAAUUCCAAGAGAGAAAAUAGUGAUGAGAAGAAAGAAAUGGCUAUCAAAGACUCAUUGUUGCUUCUCCGUGUAUACACACCACCGAACAAAUCUCAUCAAGAUGGUUACGAAGCAACCGUGCAAGGCAGUAUGGCGCAAUGUAAGAUGUUGCACGUGCGACCUCUUCCCACGUGGUGGUGCAUGUGCACGCACCAACCAAGUUUCCCUACCUUUUAAUUUUGUUGCUUAAUCUUUUUUUUUUCAACACACCAACCAAGUUUCCUUACCUAUCAUUUUUAGUAGCUCCAUCUUUUCUUUGUUUUUGUUAUGUUUUUUAUUUUUUUAAUUUGAAUCCUUAAGCCUUAAAUAUUUUAGAUUAAUAUAAUUGUAUUUUAUUUUGUAAAAUUGAGAAUCAAACAUGUGUCAUAAUUGUUUUUCAAUAUUGUGAGAUCCCCACAUUUAGACCAAAAAAAAUAAUAUUAUGUCCAAUCUAAGAAAAAGACUUAAAGUAAAAAGAUUAAAUUGAAAAUUUUAAUAAAUGACGUGGCAAUGCAUUUGGAGUUUUAUCAAUCAUUCAGUUUCAUAAUUAUAAUUAUCUCAUUAAUGAAAUUUAAUUCUUAUAUUGUAAUAGAUAUCAUGAAUUCUUAUAAUGACAAUAAAAUUCACUUUUGCUUGGACGAACCAGCUUGGAUAUCAUUUUGCUUCAAAAUUGACACACUCUUUAAUUUUUUUCCCUCAAGAAUAAACAUGCUUUUGCUCUUUAUCUUAAGGAAUAUUUGUUUUUGUAAUUCAAUCUAUUUUUAAGUUUUUUUUUUAAUCUAAAAAGAUAUUAAAUUAAUGCUUUUUAAUUUAUUUUUUUAUAAUUUUGAUAAACCAAUAUAAGAAAAUAACAUUUUAAAAUAUUUUCGAUUAAAUAAUACUAUAAAAGAUACACUAAAAAGAAUGGAUAAACGACUAGCUAGGACACUAAGACACCGUUUGGCAUUGCGUUUGUAAUUGUGUUUCAUCAAAUUUUGAAAUUUUUUUUUUGCUAAAAUUGAGUGCGGUUUGUAUUUUUUGGAUCGUUUUGAUGUGCUGAUGUCAAAAAUAAUUUUUAAAAAAUGAAAAAAAUCAUUGGCAUAUAUUUCAGCACGAAAAACUAUUUGAAAAGCACCCACAACCAUACUGUCAAAUACACUCUAAGCUUGAAGAUAGCAUCUAAAACAUCAUGAUUUGCCAUGAUGUUGGAAACACGAUAUCGUGGAAACAUUAAAAUAACACACUGAUGCUCCCAUGUGGCACUCUUGCAAGAAAAAGCAUCUCUUCCAUAAUUCCUUCCCGGUGCUUCAUUCAAAAUAUUUUGUAGGCAAUGAUUUAACCAACCAACCAGAAGCAUUUGGCACUAGAGAACCUGCGAGGCUAUAAUCACACAACCUUUGUACAAAGUCACUUUACUUUUAAAAAUCUUUUGACAUGGUCAAUAAUGAAGGAUGGAUUCCCUAGGAUCUUAAUUCCCAUUGGACUAAUUAUAACACUUGUGAUAAAAUCCACAAAGCACUAAUUGACAUUAGUGGAAAAUGAAAUUUUAGAUGAAGAUUAUUGGAGUUAAUUAUCACUAAUUACAAGUGACCGGCGGAGCUCUCAUUGAAGGCAAUCAAUUUAUCAUUAGCGUUCUCAACUAAGGAAAAUUAGUACAAUUUACACGACUAAAUAAACUAUAUAUCAUCCAUAUCUAUUUAAUAUUGAGUUUGAGUUUCAUAUAUAUAUAUAUAUAUAUAAACAAAUUCAAGUCUUAAAUGUUAGAAUUUAAUAUCAAGCAAAGAGUUCAUGUAUUGUAGAAUUUAGAGUUUGUAAGAAUUCUAACAACAAUAUUAGAGCUAUGUAAUAGCACUAUAAAAAAAUUAAGGGUGAAGUGUUAUCUAUGUGUGAUAUUCCUUAUUUGAUCCUAUCAAGAAAUUCUUUUUUAACAAAUAAGGAUAAAUAAAUAUCCAAUUCUCAGUGUUCAUGACUUGGGUUGGACAAUACUAAUUCGUAUCUCUUCUCGCUUUUAUAGAGUUUUUCCGGCGAGAUUAGGAGAAAAUCAAGGUUGGCUUUCAUCGUUUAUGGUUGUGAAUUUGAUGGUUAGUAUAUAGGCUUGCCAUGCCAUAUAUGGAGGAACCAUUCACCUCCCCCACCCACUCCCUAUGAUGAUGAAGCCAACUCAUGUUCAGUUUAUGCAUCUGAUCGAAAGUGUGUAGAAAGAGUAAAGAAGAUGCACAUGGUUUUCUGCAUUGACAUUGAAAUAGCAAGGCACAUGUGAUUAUUUACUUUGGCAUAAAUGUACACAUGCUUGCUCCUUCCUCAUCAUCUUUUUUCUCUAUGUUGGGUAGGAGCUAGCAAUUACAAAGUGUUGUAUUUUUCUGUUUAUUUUUAGUUUAAUUGGGACCCCAGCAACUCAAGUACAUAACAGUUCUAAGUGAUUCUUCUGACUGAUUUACCCUUUUCUCUUUGCAUUCCCUCUUCGGUGCAAAAUUUGAAGUUGUAGUUGCUGGUGGUGGUGCUGCUGCUGCCGCUUCUCGUCCUACUUGAGUAGGCUUCGAGGAGGAGGAGUAGGAGGCCAUGUUGUUAAUGACAUGUUGGUGAUACAAGGAUUUCAUGGUAGAAUUUAGCCUACACAAAUUCUUAUCCUUCAAUUCCUCCACAGCUGCUACACUGCCUACAACAGUCCAAACUUUGCUCUGCCAACUCAUUGUACAACAAUAUGCUAUGUAUAUAGAUGAUGCAAGGAGUAGCAAAUCGUAGAUGGGCUAAUUAUAUAGAGAGAAUUAAACAAGAUGAAAUCAGUUACAAAUUAGCCUAUGGUUUUUGCCAAAUCUAAGCCUUUGGUUUAUUCUUACCAGCGGCACCUUUUGUUUCUCUUCAGCCUAGAAUUGAGGGAGAAAGCGAUUGUCGUUUCCUUUUCAUGGGUAUUUCCAGGCAUCCACAAAGUGGACAUGUUAAAAGACUCAAUGUAACUGAAAAAUUCAGGCCUGUUGUUGGAUGUUACAUCAAGUGUCAUCUACAAGAUAGUUAGUGUAUCGAGUGUAGUGUUAAUUUAACACCUGCAUGCCGAGUGAUCUAGAACUUUGCUUGGACUGAUCAAAUCUAGAUGAAUACCAUUAAAAUUUAAUUUGAUUAUUUUUUUAAAUUUUCUUUUUCAAAUAAAGUUAUUUCAAUUAUUUUUUAAAAAAUUCAAUAUUAUUUUAGAUCCGGCUCAACUUGUAACUUAUACCAUGAGAUCGGUACCAUUCACAUUGAAACUAGAAAGAAAUUUCUUAAAAGUAAGAGAUUAGCCGGAGCCUCCUCCCAUGAUUCUUGUGGUGAUCGAAACAUUACAUGCAACUUAUACCAUGAGAUCGGUACCAUUCACAUUGAAACUAGAAAGAAAUUUCUUAAAAGUAAGAGAUUAGCCGGAGCCUCCUCCCAUGAUUCUUGUGGUGAUCGAAACAUUACAUGCACUUAUUUCUAGAGCUAAAUCAAAUGAAUUUGUGUGAAGCAUAAAUAUUUAUAAAAUAUAAUUGCUUUAUAUUAUUUAUAAAUCAUUUUUUUGUGUUUGAAAGAAUUCAAUUGAUCAACAAAUCCAUCGGGAGUGUUUUUGUUUUCUUUUACUGGAAGAGUAUAUAUCCUGAUCAUUGCUAGAGGUUGUUAGAGGAUGAAGGAGGAAGACACAACUUCUCAUCAAAGUGAGAGUUCUGUCUUAACUUUUGGGUCUACGUCUCCAUGCAUCCUCUGUCUUGUCAAGUUUCCAAAGCUUUACAGGACAAUUUGGAAAACGAUUAGCUGAUCGGGCCGGGACCUCUCUCUAUAAUCAAUGUUUUAUGAGCAUAAUUAAAACACUAAGAAAAGUUCCAGAGAGACAGUAAGACAAUACUUAGAAAAGAUAGUAUUAUAUAUUAUACAGAAACUAACAUAGUACUGUAACAUUUUGCUUCUCUUCCUCAUGCACAAGCCGCUGCUAUGCAGCUCUUCUACUGUCAUGCAAAGCAUGGAAAUAUUCUUAUCGAAAAGUUUUUUUUUAAAACAAAUAUAUAUAUCUUUUGAAUUUUUUUCAACAAAGUACUUAAUAAAUAAUUAAUAUGAGAGAUAUGUCUAUUUAUAUAUUCUUUAAAAUAUCUAUAUUUUAUGUCAUUUAAAUAAACAUAAGGAUAAUUGUAACAAAAAGAAAUAAUUCAUGUAACAAGAAUGAUUUCUAAAUUAAUAGCAAAAUUGUUAAUUCAAUUUAUGUGUUUCCACAUGUAUUAUAAACAAUAUAGGAUACUGCAUAGUCAAAAUAUUUUAUUUGAUUAAGAUAUUCUUGAAAUUUAUUUAACCUUAAAAAAUUAUUUGAAAUUCAAGAUAAAAAACUCAGCUAAUCAAAAUACUCUAUUAAAUUCUGGGUGAAAACUUAUCAAGUUUUUUUUUUUAUGUAAUUUAUUUUCCUACAAAAAAAAAUAUUUUUAUAACAAGACUACAUAUGUGUAUGGAAUUGCAGUGUCUAUCGAUUGCACCCAUGAAACUAUGUUAUAUACAGGUUGAUUAACUAUAAUAAAGUUCGCCUCAUUUUGGUUUUAUAAUAUGACUUAAUUUGGCAUAUGUAAUAUCAUCUAUAGCACGAGAAGGGGUAAAUUAGAUAAUCAUAUUAUUUGCACUAUAUAGUAAGGCUUUUACACUAAAGUUGAUUAUACAAAAAAUUUAACACCAAACUUCACAAUUUAAUUAAUUAUAUCGACUUGCAGAAAUUAAGAAAAUUUCCUCCCAUGAUCAUUUAGCGAUUCAUUCAACAAUAUCCCAUUGAAACACAAACAUUGCUGUAGCAGAAUCUGAUUGAGCUGACCAUGAUUGUUGAUGGGACUAAUCUCUAUAAGCAGUUGGCAUUGUCAUGGUUUUGUCCUAACCCUAACAAGUGUACGUCUCUUAAAUUUCAUUUUGAUUUGUAUUCUAAAACAAAAAAAAGAUAGUAACUGUUAGUCAGAGGGAAGAGAUAGAAAUAUAGAUUAGAUUUUAGAGUAAAUUUGUAAUUUUUCUAAACAUAAAAGAUAAGAAAUUAAACAUAUAUAUAUAUCCUCUCUAUUCUCACUAUUUACAUCUUUUUUAUCUUCAUAUAGGAACCAAACCCUAAGAUAGCAACUCACUCACUCCUUGAUUGUCUCUAUAUUAGAGACACAAGUCUAUGCAUGAAUAUAGCUCCUCUGCUAGUAGUUUAGAUACUAGUAAGGACCCCAAGAACUUAAGUACAUGACUUUCCUCAUCGACUCCUCUGAUUGCUUUGCUUUAUGAUUUUCUCUCACUUUACUUGAAACCAAAGUAGAGGGAGGAGAAGACAGCUUCCUUGUCUUAGAUGUUGACCUGACCUGGUUCUUGGCAUGUUGGUGUAAUGAUCUUAUUGUGUAGUUCCACCCGCAAAAUCCUUGAUCUUUCAAGGCUUCCACGGCUGCAAUACUAGUGGCUACAGCCCAAGCUUUGGCUGUUGAACUCAUUUUCUAUUUUCUUCUUUGUAUAAAAAGAAUCGGACAAUCUCGCAGUUCAGGAAGAUGAGAUAUUAGGUGAGGAUUUGCAAUGUUUUGAUGGUGUCAAUUGCAAGCAGGGGCCUGCUUAUAUAGAGAGUACAUAAAAAGUGGACAGAGGUUUGGGAAGAAAGCAGAGGCUACCGACUAUGAGAUGCUGCUGCUGGUUUUGGCAAAGUACUGUAAGCCAAUGAGAUGUAAUUUUCUUUUGUUUUUUUUAUCAGUGGGAUCGUGAUAGGAUAGGAUUUGUUAACGUCAAAAACAACAGGUGGGAGAAAAUGGCGUCUCCACCGUAUCUAGGCUAGAAUGCGACUUAUUGCUAGUGAUGGGCACAAAGUUUUUAUAUAAAAAUCCAAUCGAGUCUGAAGAAUCAAGUCCAGUUGUUUUCGUUCAACAGAGAGAGGGUAGAAGCAUGAUGGGAUGUGAGUAUUUGGCCAUGUCUCCACCUGGAAUCAUAGUUGAUGACGACUACGUACCAUACAUUCAUGUGUCACCAAAACCAAAUUCUCAGCUCUCCAUGACAAUUGAUGAUUUUGUUUGAAAACAUGAUAUAAAUUAUACUUUAACAAUUUAUUUAAUAUUUAAAGUUUUUUAUAUUAAAAUAGAUUUUUUACAUGAUAUUAGGGUUUUAAUUAAUAAACAAGCGGUAAUGAGUUAGAAUUUCUUCAUAUAUAUUCUAAUUAAUUAAAAAAAAAAAUUAAACACUAAAUAAUGAUAGGUUUAUACAAGUUUCAAUCCCAAAAUAUUUUUACUUAAAGAUAUUUGUUAUAAAAUAGUAUAGAUCAUAUCUUGAAACUCCAUUUAAUAAUUUAAUUUUUUUUUAUUAAUUGAACUGGUUCUUUGAUAAUUUGGUUACUUAUAUUUUAAGCAAAAAAUCAAGGAUAUAUAUCCUUUAUUUUUAUUUUUAUUUUCAUUUACAAGAUUAUGAUCUAUAUCAAUUAUUAUAUUAUCAAAUUUGGUGUAAUAUAAUUAAAUCCUUCAUCCAUUUUCGUUAAUAAUUUUGUUAGGCCUGAUAUUAACCGGCUCAAAUAAUUAAAGGGUAAUUGAGAAUAAUACCACAUAUACAUAUACAUUUUGUAUUUAAUGUAAAUAAAAACAUAGAAUAAAAUAAAAAGGAAAAGAAGUGAACAUGUAAAGGAGGGGGGGAAACUUCUUUUUUAAAAAAAAACUAAAUUAAUAAAGUAAAAAAACUUUUAACUUUGAUCCGAUCCAAGAAUCUUGUUCAUGGCAGUUUCUCCUCAGAGAACUGCACGAGCAAUAUGAUACGAUGAGGACACUUAAGAUAUAUGACGUCUAAUUUCAAAAUCUGAGAUUUUUGUGCGUUACAUGGAUCGAUGAUUGCGAAAGAUUUAUUAUAAACAUUGUUUACAUUUAUAUUAAAGAAAAUAUUUUCAAUAAAAUAAAAUAUUUUUCAUUAAUUAGUAGUAUUGAAAGAUGAUAAUAAUAACAAAGAAAUUGUGAUGUUGAUAAUAAAAAUAGUGAUGAUCGAUGAUGUAAUUAUAAUGAUAGUAUUAAUUUAAUUAUGAUUAUGAUGAUAAUAUUUUUAUAUGAUAAUGGUUAUGAUAAUAUUCGUAAUAAUAACAGUGGUUCUAUGACAACAUUUUGAUAAUAAUAAUAAUAAUAAUAAUAAUAAAUAUGAUAAAAUUAUAGUUAUAAUAAUUAUUAUUUUAAUAAUAAGAUUAUGGUGUGGCAAUGGUUACGAUAAUUAGUGAUGGUGAUGAUUGUUGUUUGGAUAGUAAUGAAAAUUUAUCAAGUUUUUUAUUUAUUUAUUUUUAAAGUUAAUUAUUUUCCGGCAAACAGAGACACAGUUUGAAAUGUCUCCUCCAAUCAGCGAGUUGAAAAGCUAGCUAAAGCCCCCUUCUUGAAAAAAUAAAAUAAAAACCAUGUACAAUAAAUUUGUUUGAUAUAUUUAUCGAGUUAAUUGCAAAGUGUACUAAUUAAUUGGGGUGUUUUCAUCAAACUAUAUUUUAUAAGGGAUGGAUUGGUUAAUAAAAUUCUAUAUAUAUCUCUCUCUCUUCCCUUAGCCUCGUUUAUUUAUUAUAUUUAUUGGAAAGUAGUUUUCAUGAAAAAUAAAUUUUUUAAAAGAGAAUUAUUUUUUAAUAUUUAGUAGUAUUAUAAAAAAAUAAGUUGAAAUAUUUAACCAUGUCAUAAAAAUAAAUUAUUAACGUUUUAGUUUUUUUUAAUUUUAUUAAAAAAAUGAGGACUAAAUCUAAUAGAUAAAAAAAUUAAAGGAGAAUGAAUUUUUUUUUAAAAAAAUCUAAUUUCAUAAAUGAUUUUAAAUAAAAUAAAUAGAAAUCAAAAUAAUAAAAACCAAUCAGUCAGAUAAAAAAAUUAAAAGAUGAUACAAUUAAAAAAAAUUUAAUUUCAUAAAUUAUUUUAAAUAAAAUAAAUAAUAAUAUAAAAUAAAAUAAAUAGCUAGCUACCUGUGUUACUGGUGGUUUCGGCUCACAUGAAAGCUAAUAGUAGUAUUUUAGCAUGUUGGAUUUAUGAAAUAAUAUAAAUUAUAUUUUGAAAUUUUAUUUAAUUAUUUAAAUUUUUAGGUUAAAAUAAUUUUUUAUAUAGUAUAAGAAUCUUGUUUACCAAGCCAUCUAUUUAAAAAUUAAAUAUAAAAUAAUAUGACAUCGUGUAAGUUUUAAGUUUAAAAAGUACUUUUCUUUUAAGAAAAUAUAAUAUGUUAGAAAAUAAUAUUAUAUUUGAUAAUAUAAAUCAUAAGAUCUGAUUUGAUAAUUUAAAUUUUUAAGUUGAAAUGAUUUUUUUUCUAGGUUUGGUCAUUGAAAAUCCAAAUUAAACCAAGAUAUAGGAGGUUAAUCUACUUAUUUUCCUUCAACAAUGAAGCUUGACGGAUAUAAUUCUAGCAUUUGCCAAAGCAUAUGCUCAAAACCAGGAAAAAUACAAGUUUUUUUUUUUUUUUAAAAAGGAAAAGUGGAAAACUAACAACUUGCAUGUGCAAUUUUAAAAAUAAUUGUACUGUUGGAAAGUGCGAUUUGUUUUUAUAAAAAAAAAUAACUAGAAUAAUGAAGAAGACAUUGAAACUUCGAAAACGAUGCCUCUAGUAUUUCUCGUCCAGAUAAGUCCAAUAAUACCAAAUAAAAAUUAUUAAAUGGGUGCAGAGGCUAGUGAGCCAGGCUGCCACUGGGAAAAAACUACUUGUUUUUCUUCACUAAUGGGGCUUGAAGGAUAUUAUUUUAGCAUUUGCAAAAGCGUCUGCUCAAAACCAGGAAAAACACAGCACUACUUUUUGAGAACAAUGAUCGUUGAUCAUACGCAGCACGUUUCACAUAAUCAUAAUCAUAAUUUUUUUAAAAAAAUUCUUAAGUUUCAAGGGGCUCGCACCGUAUAAAAACAUUGUCGACACGUCAUGCAUGCAUAAUGUUGUUAGAAAUAAUUUAAUUAUUAGUGCAUCAAUUUUACAAAUUUUGUCAAUUCAGUAUAUAGAUUUUAAGUUUGUUUGUUUGAGUACAUUGAAUUUUUUUGUCGAGUACUUUCAUCCAAGUUUCAUUUUAUUUGUUCUAAAAUCUAAUAUAUUUAGAAAUAAAAUUUAUGUAAUUGAAUAAAAGGUUAAUUAUUUAAUUUUUACGAUUUAAUUUGUUUUUCUUAGUCAAGAAUGGUAGCUUGACGUGAGAAGUUAAAUAUUUAUAAAAUAUUAUUUUUGAUAAAUAUGAAAAAUCGUGUAUGUUUAAAUAUUUUUGUAAAGAGAAAACAAUAUAAUAAUAUUUUAAAAAGUAAUUUUAUCUUAAUAAUAUUAAUGAAAGAUAAAUAGAAUUAUAUAAAUAUUAAUAAGAUGAGGAGUUGAUAACCAGAGAUUUUUAUACACCUAAAUACUCGAAAAAAUAGAAUUCAAAAUAUAUAUGGGUUAGUAAAUCCAAAAUAUUUUUUUUCAUAGUUUGGGCCCAUGGUUUUUUAAUCCCUAUUGGCUAAAAAGGAGAGGAUAAGAUUUUAAUCCUAGCUUAUUAAUUCAACAUCCUGCAAUAAUUCUAAAAGCUGUUUCAUUCUAAAAAUUUACUCGCGGAAAUUAUAUUUUAAUGUACUAAUCAAAGGGAUAGCUUCCUAUUAAAAAAGAAAUGAAAUGAAGAACUCCCAAAAGAAAUGGGAGAGCAGAAAUUGUAAAAUAAAUGGUGUCAACAAAAUUUAUCCAAAAAUAAUAUGGUUUGAUAUUCAGUAAAUUGGGACCAAAAUUUACAAUUUACACUAUUUUUCCCCCAUCAUUCAGGAAUUCACUUUCAACAUUGAUCGAAACAUAAAUUGCAAGAGCAUAAUCUGAUGGAGCUGAAUAAUUGUUGAUGGGUUCCAACUUCCAUCUCUAUAAGAAGGUGGCCUUGUCAUGUUUCUUCAAAUAAUGAAGUCUUGAAAACUGUAGAUUGUCUCUAUGCUGCCACCAGUCCAUGCAUGAAUGUAGUUCCUCUGCAAUAUUUAGUUUAGAGACUAGUAAGGACCCCAAGAACUUAAGUACAUGACUUUUCUCAGUGACUCCUCUGACUGCUUUGAUUUCUGAUUUUCUCUUAGUUUACCUGGAACCGCCCUAGAAGUUUGAGAAGAGAGCUUCUUGGCCAGAGAGAAUGACCUGACUUGGUUCUUGGCAUGUUGAUGUAAUGAUCUUAUUGUGUAGUUCCAUCUGCAGAAUCCUUGAUCUUUCAAGGCUUCGACGGCUGCAAUACUAGUUGCUACAGCCCAAGCUUUGCUUGCUGAACUCAUUUCUCUAUUUCCUUCUUAGUACUAGAACAUCAAGGAUUUGAAAUGGACAAUUUUUAGAUAGAAGUUGAGAUGUAAUUGAGGAUUUGAGUUUGACGGUGGAAAUGGCAAGCUGGGUGCUUUUGCUUAUAUAGAGAGGAGGUAGGUAAGUGCAAGAAAAGGGGGCCAGAAGUUCGGAGGAAAAUCAGAAGCUAGCCACAAGCUGUAGCAGGUGGUUUUGGCUUAAACGAAAGCAAAUGGUAUUAUAUCAGUGGGGUUACGCUAGGAUAAGAUGAAUUUAAUGUACAGGAUUGCCCACUUGCCUAAAAUACAAAGGAGAAAAAGAUGGGGAAUUUUUACCUUUUAGCAUGUUCGGUCAAGACAAAGCUAGAGUGUGACUUGUUUAGUGAAAGGCACACGGUUUUGCUUUACAAAAAUCCAAAUCGAGCCUCAAGUAUAGGAGGCAAAUCCACUAGUUUUUUCUUCAAGAAUGGAGCUAAAAGGAUAGAGUUUUAGCAUUUGUCUUGGCCUCUACUCAAACCUGGGAAAAUACAGGAGUCCUUGCUGAAAAAAAUAGUAGGAUUCAUUGCAUGUGUCACAAAAAAAACAAAAAAAAACAAGUUCUCUGCUCAUGGAAAAGGACGACACACGUUAUCCAAUGCCAACUGAUGACUGAUCCAAUUACCUUCAGCAAAUAUUGCCCCCUCAAUUCUAAUUUGUGAAGCUUAUUUAUUUAUAUACUUAUCAGAUUUGUUUUUUUUUUUUAAAAAAAAAGUGGUAUUACCAAAAAAAUGGGAAAACAGAAAACCAUAGAAUAAAUGGUGUCAACAAAAAAUUAUCCAAAAAUCAUAUGAAUUGACUGGAAAAUUGACAAUUUACAUCAACUGCAACAAUCAGAGAUACAUGACUUUUCUUAGAGACUCCUCUGACUGUUUUCCCUUCUCUUCCUUGACCUUGCUUGAAAUCAUUGCAAAAGUUGAAGAAGAAAGCGUUGGUGUAGUGUUCUCAAUGUGUAGUUGCACCAGCAGAAGCCUCGGUCUUUCAAAGCUUCCACACCUCCAAGAGCAGCUGCUACCAUCCAAGCUUUACUUGUAGAACUCGAUUUUUACCUGGUAUGUAAUGCAGAACAACUAGUUGAAAACUCUUUUGAUGUGGGGAUAUUGUAGAGAGUAAGAUAUCACUUUCCAUGUUCGAUGAAGUAAAUGGCAAGGACGAGUUUACUUUGUACAGGUGAGAGCACCAAAAUUUUAGGAAAAAACCUGAGAAAAACCAAAAGCAUAUAAUUUUGAGUGAACAGGCCAACGGUAUAUUGAGUGAGGAAACCAGCAAAGGCCUACGGUAUUUUUUAUGGGAUAAGACGUCCCUAUUCUCCUUGUAAUAUUGUAUACAAUUUGGCAUUUGUACUCCUGGGAUGCUAUAAUGCCACCAUGAUUUAUCAACAUAUAAUUAAAUAAUCUCCAAUUGCUUGAAAUGCUAAAGCAUCAACCUUGAUUUAUCAGCAUAUAAAUAAGCUCCAGUUGCUUGAAAUGUUAAAGCAUCAACCUUGAUUUAUCAAGGUAUGGUUAAAAACUUAAAUCCAUGCUCAAAAUUAAGCAGAAUAUUUGCAUGUCGUGUUCUGUGAUUUUAAGCUUCUGCAUAUUCGCCUGUCCUUAAGUAGGAGAGCAAAUACAAGGAUGAUGGCCUAAAUUGGCCAUGUUCUUUCACAACAAAAUGAUGAAAAGCCGAGCUACAUUACAAGAGAGAUAAAAUAAAAAGAAAACACACGUAAAUAGUAAGAGAUAGGAAGGUGAUGACAACAAUAUUUGUUCAACAAAACUCUCGUGUUGGAUAAUUACAGCUUGCAGUUCACAUCGAUACUUGCAGCAAUCACUCAUCAAUUUCCUCAUGUUUUGUUCUUCACAAUGGACCAGCUUUAGCUUGAAAGUGUAAUACCAAUUAUAUUUUAAAGUAUUUUUUACUAAAAAAUAUAUCAAAAUAAUUUUUUAAAAAAUUAUUUUUAAAAACAAUCCAAAAAUAAAAAAUAAAAAAAUUAAGUAAAAACACCAAUUUUGUUUUAAAAUUGCGGUGCAAACGCAACCCUAGAAAGGUCUAAAAAUAUGUUUGUUUUUAUGGCAACUUUUAUUUUUAAGACCGGUCAACUACAAAAACAAGGUGUUCGGUUAUAUUUGAAUUACAUGUUUAUGUUUAUGUUUGUGUGAUCUAUUAAAAUUUACAGUCCAACUAAGUUAACAAAAAGCAACAUCAACAUAUUUUUACUGAGUUACAAACUCAAUCCAACAAAAAAAACACCUUCUUUCUUAACAUGCUACAGUCAUUUUACCUCAACAAAAUCAGUGUCUUUCUUUUUAAUUGUUCUUAUUCCAAUAUAUUAUGAUUUCUAUGCAAAUUAAGAAAAAACUUAAGUGUUUUUUUUGGUAAUUUAAGUUAUAAGAUCAAUUUCAAACAUAUUUUUAAUCAAAUAUUUUUAAUAUAUUUUUUAUUAGAUAAUAUUUUCAACAAUAAUUUUAACCAAAUAUCUAUUUAAUUUAAACAAAACUAAAACGUGAUUAUUUUUUCAUAUCUCAACCACAAGAGACACACAACAAAAACAAACACUUUAUAGGCUUGAGCUUCACACGUCGAACUUCUUAAUUCAUUAAUACGGACCCCAACAACCCAAGUACAUGGCCUUCCUCAAAUACUCCUCGGAUUGGCUUGAUUCCCUCAAUUUGCUUGAAACCAUAGAAGAAGAUGAAGAAGAGAGCUUCUUGGCCUGAGGUGUUGACCUCGUGUUAUUCUUGGCAUGCUGGUGUAAUGAUCUUAUGGUGUAGGUCCAUCCGCAAAAGCCCUGGUCCUUCAAUGCCUUUACAGCACCAGUGCUAACUGUCACAAUCCAAGCCCUUCUUGAUGUGCUCGUAUUUUCUUCUUUAAACCUAAAAAUCUCCUCUUUCUUUUAGGUAGAUGGCUGUAUGUAGUAGGAAUAAUGGAUUGCAAUGGGGUUUUAUUUAUAGAGGGUGACGGUACGUAGUGAGUGAAGGUGAGGAGUAGAAACAAGAAACUAGAAACCAUCAGCUAGCUAUAGCUAGAAGGCAGUGGCUUUGGCCCCAGGUAAAGCAAAAGGUUAGUAUCUUGUUUUGGCAUAAUGACUCUCUUGACCAUGCACAACCAUUUGACAAGUCAAUUAUACAAGGAGAAAUAUGGGUUUUGGUCACACUUUGAUGGUGAAAUUGGACAGAAUAAUGUAGCCAUUAGAGUAAAGCAACCAAUAAUGGACACACCCUUUUCCUCUAAACUGCCUGCUACUCUAUUAUAUAAUAGAUGAGGCAAAAAUGGGAGUAACAGGUGGCACACUAUGGUCAUGCAUGUGUGGUUUAGAUCCGUUUGAUAUUGUAUUAACUAUUACUUUUUAAAGUAUUUUUCAUUUAAAAAUAUAUUAAAAUAUUAUUUUUUUUAUUUUUUUAAAUUUAUUUUUAACAUCAGCACAUCAAAAUAAUAUGAAAAUAUCAAAAAACUUAAUUUGAAGUAAAGAAAAAAUAAAAAAUAUUUUUUUUUUCAAUAACGUUUUUAAAACGCAAAAACAAAUAAGUUAUUAGAUUUUAAAUAUGUGUUUGGGAGGACAGUCGAACCACGUUUCUGAAAGUUUUUUAUAAUUUUAUUCAAAAAAAAAUUUAAAUGGUACUAACUAAAAUAAUAUCCAAAUAUAUUCUUAUAUAUUUGUAAUUAAUCAACUUUUAAGAAAAUUACACCUAAUUGUUAGAAAAAUAUUAUUUAAAAAAGGCCAAGUGUCCUAGAUGGGCUAUUGCACCUGGCUCAUAAAAUAAAAACACUAGGCGUAGGGGCUUGCAAGGCCAAGCCCGCACCCUGGCAUGUUUUUUUGGUUGGUUGUUGCCUUGCUUUUUUUUAAUAAAAAAAUAAUUAAACAACAUGUUAUUUGAAAGCCCUAAACCCGACCACUGGAUUGGUGAUCAAAAAAUUCAAGAUUGCUGAUUUUGGCUAAAAAGAUAUUUUUAAUUUAUUAUUAUCUAAAAACACCUAACAAAUACCCUAAUAAACUUAAAAUGCUAAUCUCUUAGCUUAAAACACCUCAAAAUUAAUUAAAAAAAAUCAAGUUGAAAAAAAAUAUAUAUAUCAAUCCCCCAUCUAACAUUUCUGGUAAGAUAAAAAGCAAAUAAAAAACACCCAGAGACGCCAAGAAGUCAAAUAAUUCUCAGGACGAUGCUAAUAUCCUUCGAAUUAACAAACCAAAAAACCAAUCUAAUAAUUCUAAAAAGACAAAAAAAAAAAAAAAAAAAUGGUAUCCCAAGGUUCCCAACCUUAAUUUCCAUAUAUAUGCACAGGUUUUCUGUGGCCUCUUUAAGAAAUCGCAGUAAUGAGCUCAUUAAUUGCAAUUUUCCUAAUCUGAAAGAUUUAUUUAAAUCGUGAUUUUGCUUGGCUUACAAGAACUGCUUCUGUUGAAGACACCCUUUGAAAAGACACCGUAUUUUGGCAGGUAGCAGAACCAAAUCGCCUAAUUUUUCCAUCGGGCCAAACGUUUAGGUCAUUAAUCACAGGGUUUAGUCCUGACGUUUAUAGGCCAACAAACAUGAGUCUUAAGGUGCUUAAGCAGGAAUUGUUUUAGAGCAGUUCAAGGCCUAGAAGACUAGAAUUCUAAAGGGAUGAUGACGCAUCCUCAGGCAAAACCAAGACCAGAAUCCGAAAGUUGCACUCAGUUUAGAUGGGUUUCUGGUGCCCACUGAACCCAGGAAGAAGGCUGGUGCUGGUGAGAAGCGAAGGCUGAGGGAAGCUGAAAAGGCUGAGAAUGUCAUGCAUCUCAUUUCUUGUACUGGUUUUGGUUUUUGGAUAAAUGUGUACUGGUUUUGUUAAUUUCUCGUAUUUCACUGUACACGAAUUAAUAUUCUGUUGUUUUUGAAAUAUUAUUUAAAUCUUAUAGAAUUUUGCUAUAUAAAUCUUUAAUUUCAUGGUAUUUGUUUUUGUUAUUUAUUUAUUUCGGUUGAAUCCAACACCCUACACUAUUCGAUUACACGAUCGAAGAUGGUGCUUUCUCAAUCUUCAAAUUUCCAAAAACUUCAAAACCAGAGACCUAUGGAAAUCCCGAAUUUUAAUAAUUAGUUUAUUCCAUGGUUCUGAAACGCUUGGUUGGCCGACUGGAUGCUCCAGCCAUUUAGGUCGGGUUUUAUUUUAAAUUAAUUGGACAUUAAAAGUGCCAAACUUGGUUGAUUUGAUGAGUUCAUAAUAUGGCUAAAUUUAGGUGAACCUGAUUAAGUCCCUUUCAAAUAAUUUAUUUUUAAAAUCAAAACAAUAUCAUUUUAAAAAUUCAGGUGAACCUAAUUAAGUCAAUUUCAUAUAAUAUAUUUUUAAAAAAUAAAAAUAGUAUUAUUUUGAAUGAAAUAAUUGAUUUGAAAUGACUCGGUAACAUGCAAAUUGAUCAGAUUGUCCCAUGACUUAGUUGAUCUAAUUAAAUUCAAGUAAACUUGAUUGAGCCAACUCCAAGGAAUUUAAUUAAAAAAAAAUAAUGUUUUAGAUAAAAUAAUUGAUUUAGAUUGGCUAGGUGACAUUCAAAAUGAUCCUAUAAUCUAAAAAAUAAAGUUUCCGAUCAUAUUUAAUAACUAUGAUUUUUGCAAGCUAACCUCUCCAAGAAAUUUAUGUUAGAAUAGUUUAUUUUGCAAGCUUUGAAUUUUUCAUUCGAGGAUUCUAAUUUCGUCGUAUGAUCAAGAGAAAAUUAAAUAAAGUACAAGACGUAGCUUUAUAUAAUUAUUGCGGAUAUUAGCUUAAUUUAGUAGAUAAAUUCACUUAUUUAUUUAUUUUGUUACAAGCGAGACUAGAAAGUACUGCGAUCUUUCAGAGAGGGGAGAAUUAGCUAGAUGCUAGUCAAGAUAACAGUUCUUCGAUGAAGUCUCUUUCUCAAGUAAUCUAAAAAAUGAAUCUUGCUUGCAAUUGGUUGAGUACCUAAUUUAAUGGAAGUCUGUCCCCUGAUGCUUUGCCUAACAAUGAGCCUUCUAGUAAAUUGCAAAACACAAGAUUAUCUAUGCAUUCAGACAUGUUGUGAAGUCUUCAGAGUUACAGUGCUUCUGUGUCCAUUUGUCCUUAGUAUUAUCCAAUAGAUGAAAAGUCUAUUUGUGUGAUGCAUGAUGGUUUGAAUAGAUGAAAAGUCUAUUUGUGUGAUGCAUGAUGGUUUGAUGCCUGUCUUUACUAGCUAGAGAUAAUAUCUCCUUGAACCUUACUGUUAUAUAUCUUGAAAUUGUUGAUUUGAUUGAUGUUUGAUCAAUAGAUCAUGUUGUGUUACUGAUAAGCAUAUUCCUCUCCUAGUUCUAUGGCCUCCCCAUCACCAUCAGGGUAAAGCAUAUCUUACAAGCAAGAUAGUUUUGUCAAACAUGUAGGUACCACAUUGCAUUAGCACCUUAAUAGUUCCGAUCCAUGUUCUUUGCUUAAACACAUGAUCAUUGCUUCCAUUUAUCCUCUUAGUAAUUCCCAUCGUGAUAAUUUCUUAUCUGGUUCGAUAGAUUAUAUAUACAUGAUCUUGAAGGAACAAGGAACAGAAAAAAAAAGAUAGUCAUAGAUGUUAACUUCAGAAAUAUUACAUGUACAUUACAGGCUCUGUAUACAUAAGCUUCUAAGCAACACCUCGGCCAGCUUUCGCAAAUCGGAUUGCACAUCAGUUAGGAGUUAGGACCCCAGCAGCUCAAGUACAUCACAGUCCUCAGUGACUCCUCUGCCUGUUUAAGCUUGUUAUCUUCACUGUUUUUACCAGAUUUAUUGAGAUCAUUAAAACUGAAAUUACCUGAAAAGCUUAUCGUUUGCUUAGAUGAAGCAGCCUCCUUGAGGUCAGUUUUAGGAGCUUUGUCUUUAACACUUUGCAUCCUUUGGGAACCAGCUGGAUGAAACUCUUCCUUGCUGAUGGAUCUCAAGCUCAUGAAUGCUUAAUUUCCUUUGUGUGUGUGUGUAGGAAGUACUACUGUUUGUUUCAAGAACGUUAGAGAAGAGAGGAAGAGAGAUGUAAAUUCUACUCUAUAAGAGUAGAGUAGAGCAGAGCUGGAGUGGAAGGAUGUCAAGUAGCUGAUCUAGUUAUUGACUUGUGGGGGAACUUUGAGACUAGAGUUCAAUAUAUAUAUAGGCUUUAUUUGUUUAUGUAAUGUGGUGUGUUCAGUGUUUUACAUCAAUUACAAUUUUAAAGAUAUUUAGUUAAGUAACACACUACAGUUUUGCAGAAGUUUAUUUAAAAGAAUUUUUUUCUUGGAAUUACUUUGAUUUUUUUUAAAAAAAAGCUAUAAUUUGCAUACAUGCUCAAUUACUUCCGAUAUGGACUGUAGAAAAAAAAAUAGAAAUGGGUUGAAGAAAUCUUUCUUCUAUCCAUAAAUUUCAUGACAUUGAAAGAGUAAAUGAAUCUUUUCUCUUACCAUUUUGUUUCUCGUGAUAUAUAAAUCUAUUUUUUUAAUUAUGUUUCUUUGUGUCUACGAGAAUUCUUUACAUGUAUUAACCUAGUUCUUCCAACAUGAGCCGGAAGGAAUUAAUACAGGUAACUAGAACAUUAAUGGAGGUCCUAUGUUGUUUCUUCUCUUUUGCAUGAAAAAUAGAGAUGACAAGCUAAUCUAAGUUCCUGACGCGAGACUUUAGACUCAUAACAUCCAUACAUACCUUAAGGGAUUCUAUUACUUCAUCUAUCAUCUUCAUGAUCAUACUAGUCUGUCGCACUUGAUUUAAAAUCUAAAUUACUGGGUUAUUAAAUCAAUUUGAUGGUUUUCGUAUCAAGUUAAAUUAAUUAUUUUAUCAAAAUUAAUAUUGUUUGAAUUUUUUUUUAAUAAAAAAUUCUUUAUAGUUAACUAAACGAUUAAACCUCAUCUAAAUUUAACCGGUCAAAUAUUCUAGAGUCACUAAUAUUUAACUAAUUCAAUAUUAAGAAUAAUUCAAAAUAAAAUUUAACCACGAUACACAUCAUUCAAUCAAUAUAUUUAAUCAAAUUAAAUUUAAUAACUUUUCUCUUUAUCAAACCAAGGCAUAUGUAGUUGAUGUGUCUUCCGGUGUCCACCAUUACAUUUUUUUAGUGAAAGAUUCUAAAUCUAUCACAGCAUUGGAGAAUCUGUCCAACUAAAACUUCAUUUUUCUGUAUAGGUAUAACAUAUUAUAUGCUUGUAGCUAGCUAGAUUCUUUGGAAAACAUGACUCGACAUCAAAUUUGUUUCUUUAUCCAUCUUAAGAUCUUUCCUUGCUAUUCCAAGCUUCUUUUGGUGUAUCUUUUUGUCCCUUGAACUGUAGAUCACUGAAAGUUUUUUCUCUCUCUAGCUUUACAGUUAGAAAACAGUCCGUCAAGAUUGUUGCUGAUUAUUAAAAGAUAUCAAGCACGUUACUUCCACUGUCAUUGGAGCAGAAGGCAUAUAACCACGUGAAUCAAUGGAUAGCAUGGAGAUGGAUACAUGAAAAGUCAGUUGGAUAAGAUCGACACAUAAUCGUGGAGAAGCUAGCCAUGGCUCUAAGUUGCAACUUGCUCCCUUCCUUACUUCUUGUUUUCUGUUUCAGUGAAUUCUAUAAAUUAACCAGGUUGCUGGUUGAGUACUGGAGCACGUAUUUCAGCCACAAGGUCAUGAAACUCGCUCAAUCCCAAUCAAGUGAAUAUCAUGACCAAGACAAAAAUGACCAAGACCCUUUGAUGGGACGGUUCCCAAACUGGGUCUGAUAUUUAUACUUGAAACAUGACUGUAAUGAUUUGCUUUCAAGAAAUAUAUAUUUUUUGCGAUAAAAACAAACCUUCAUGUGCCCAAGUUGAUUCUAAAAUAUUAUCUAAUUAAUCUAAACAAAAAGGACAAUAUGUAUAUCUUGACCAAGUCCAUUUUCAUUUUUCUUUUUGUAAUUGUCAUUUUGCCAUUUAAAUCCCUUCUCAUUUCAAUUAUUUGAUGAAAUUAUUUUGCCUUUCUCUGGUAUCUAAAUACAAAUAAAAGUGUAUGCGUCAAAACAGCAAAGCAAUGGUACACUAGAACACGCUGAAAAUCGCCUUCAUGUAAGCUGUAACUUAAGCAAUACGCAUUUAUUUUUGGACAAAGACCCAUGUAGAUGUAGUUCCUCCCAAAAUGCAUCUACUCAAAGAAAAUGGCAUCCAAGUACCUCUAAGUUUCAGCAUUAUAUAUCUACCAUUACAGUGAGAAAGGACUCCUGAGAAGAAAGGCUGUUUCUCUCUCAGACAGCGGUUCCAUGUUCACGUACAUCCUAAUUGAGUUCGACCUAAGACAUCAGCUGAACCCAGUGUGUUUGUGUAUCAUUUUCUUUCUCUUUUUAUUCUAUCAGUAUGUCAUGAUGUUCUAAAAAUCAAUAUGAUCAUAAAUAAAGUUAUUUAAUGCUAGGAUGGAAGAUAAUCAUGCAUUUAGGUCAAUAUUUUUUUUUUUUAAGCUUAGAAAGUAUAUGGUUGUUGAUAAAAAAAUCCAAAACCUGCAAAACAUUUUCUUCUAGUAGAAACCCUUAGAUAUUGAUAAAGUAAGUGGCUUUUUAGUAAGGGAUUACAAUAAAUGAAAGAAUGAGCAAUAAAUUCCAAGAAUAAGAGUUUUUUUUCUUGUUUUUAUAUGAUAAAUACUCUAAGAAUUAAAGUAUAAAUACUUAGAGAAUAAAACUUGUGAACCCUUUAUCCGGGUGGUUCAAGGGGUAUUUUAAGCCCUUAAACCUUGUCAUGUUGCUAGAAUAGAAGGAUUGGAGUUAUUUUCUUUUGUUAGCAUUAAUAAGUGAUAAAUAUCUCUUACACCAUAUCAAUGGGGAGUAAAUAUUUCUUACACAAUAUUAAUGGCGAUGGAAAUAUGGUAGGUCCUUAUAAGAUAUUUAUACACCUAGGAGUGUAGAGAGAUGAGUGCUCAUGUCAUUAACAUUUUAUGUUAAAAGUUAUAAAAAUAAACAAAUGAAGUCUCAUGACCCAGCCUGGGAGCCUAUAUAUAAUGGUCGUCAUACCCAUAUCCACUUGGAUUUAGUACGAUACAAAGCCCAUGGGCAGUGGGUCUCAUAACUUACUAAACCCAUGUCUACUUGGGCUCAGCGCGUAGUUGAACCUAAGGAUGUUAAUCUGGCAGUUUGCCACCUUCUUGUCUAUUUAGGCUUAAUUAACGCAUAAUAGAACCCAAUGACAUUGGGUCUAACAACUCACUAGAUCCAAUUUAUUUGGACUCAAUGCAUAGCUAAACUCAAGGAUGUUAGGUUUAGCAGCUCGCUAAACUCAUGUCUGUUUGGGCUCUGCACUUAGCUAAACCCAGGGAUAUUGAGUCUGACAACUCGCUAGACCCACGACAGUUUGGGCUCUGCGCUUAGCUGAACCCAAGAAUAUUGGAUUUGGCAGCUCGUCAAACCUAUGUCUAUUCAGGCUCGGCAUGUAGCGGAACCCAAAAACAUUGGGUUUGGCAACUCGCAAGACCCACAUCUAUUUAAGCUUAACGCAUAGCUGAACCCAAGAAAAUUAGGUAUGACAUCUUGCUAGACCCAUAUAUAAUUGGACUUAGCAUGUACAUAAAACCUAGGGAAGUUGGGUCUGACAAUUUAUCAGACUUAUAUGUACUUGGAAUUAGCGCAUAGUUAAACCCAUGGAUAUUGGGUCUAACAGCUCAUUAAACUCAUGUCUGUUUAGGCUCAACACGUAGUUGAACUCAAGGAUGUUGGGUCUAGCAAUUCACUAUACUUAUAUUUACUUGGACUCAACGCGCAACUAAACCUAAAGAUGUUUGGUAUGAUAUCUUGCUAGAUCCAUGUCUGCUUGGACUUAGUAUUCAGAUGAACCCUAAGGAUAUUGGGCUUGAAAGCAAACUAGACUCAUACUAUUUAGGUUUGAUAUUCUGUCAAGUUUAGGUAUGUUAGAUUAUCACCCUAUUUUUUUCCCUUUUAAAUAUAAACUUAGGUUAAAAAUUAAAUUUCAAAAAUAUGUUGAUAUAUUUUUCAGACUAGUUUACACAUAAUCACGGGUUAAUUUUAUUUUUAAAUAAUUUUAAAAAUAUCUUGUCUUCAUCGGUUUGGUGUAUUCUCUAACUAAUAAUUUUAAAUGUUAAAUUAAAAAAAUAAAAAUAGAAAACAUACAUUCUUAACCAUCAUAAAUCGAUUUCUGUUAGAAAAAAUACUCUCCGCGGCACCAGGAAGCAGAGGGGGGCAAGGAACAGGUGAGCACCUAAAAGACAAGAAAGGCUAGAAGCCCAAAUAUGCUAGAACACCCAUUAGAGAUAGUAAAGCCCAGUAAUAAUCAUUUAGUUGACCCAAUUUCAAUUGGUAACUAUGAUAGCUGUUCAUGGACCAAACUUGGGCCAAGUUUUUGUUACAUUUUGAAUGGGUCCAGUCCAAAAUACAAAAAUUACUACAGACCAACCAACACAAAAAUUGGAUCCAUGGAUAGUUAUGGACUAAAUAGUGACUGCACUACGCCGUGGGCCGGCCCAAAUAUUUUUCAGUAUAAGAAAGAAUGUUAAGGAAAUGCAAGCAAGUGUUCCUAAAAAAACUAAAAGAAAUUGAGACUCGGGUCUUGUGUUUAAUAAGCUCGACUAGUUUAAAUAAUAUAAACAAGAAAUGCAAUAAAAAUAAAUAAAAUGACAAAAAAGUUGACAACCAAAAAAAAAAAAAUUGACUUCAGCCCAUCAAGGUUAACAUGUCAAAUCUGCGACUUGGUUGUGAUACUGGAAUAACAUAAUCGAAAGCAUACUAAAUAAAAUUAUAAAGUUCAAUUAUCAAAUAACUCAAUGUUUAAGGGUAAAACUAAAAAAAAAUAAAAAAGACUUGAGUCAACUCAGGUUAACCUACUAACCUUUCGACCAUGGACAUAAUAUUGAGAUAACCCCAUAUAAAAAAAUUUGAAAAGAAAAAAAAACAUGAAUAUCAUUCUUUGAUAAAUCAAAUGUUGAAUGAUAAAAAUAUUAAAAAAUCAAUUUAAAAAAUGACCAAAUUUAACUCAUGUUACCUUUCAAAACUCACGACUCCAGUCAUGAGCUCGAGACUAAUCCUAUAAAUGGUAAACCAUAAAAAAUAACAAAGAAAAAUUUUAAAUUAUCAAAAUUUUAAAGGAUAAAAUUGAAAAAAAAACACAAUUAAAAAAAAUUCAAAAUAAAUGAAAUAACAAUUUAAAAAAUGGAGAAUAAAACUUUUACAACUAUGAUAAAUACCUAAUAAAUUAGCUUAAAUUGCCAUCUCUACAAGUAUUGGGAGCACAACUUGAGAAGAUGAUUGUUUGCGAGGAUGCUUGUAACUGUAGUGUAAUGUUUUUUUUAAAUAGUUUUUUUUCUUGAAAAUAUAUUAAAAUAAUUUUUUUUCAGAUUUGUUUUUUUUUAUUUUUAACAUUAACAAAUUAAAAAUAUUAUAAAAUACAAAAAAUACCAAUUUAAUAUUUUUUUAAGCUAGAAAUACUUUUAAGAAGUUCUUAAAAAAUAUAAACAAAAAAUGUGUCAAACACCGCGAGGUUUACCAUCAAGGAAGGAAAGUGUAUCUUUGGUAUUGAAAUUGAAUAUGCUUUUCAUCAAAAAUUGGAAAAACAAAUUUUUUCAAAUUAAUUUUUUUAGUGUUUUUUAAUUAUUUUGAUGUACAAUGUCAAAAAUAAAUUCUAAAAAUAAAAAAAAUAUAUUAUUUUAAUAUAUUUUAAAACAAAUAUUAUUUUAAAAAAUAAUUUCCCUACACUCUAAACACCCUAUUAAUAAAAAAAUCUUCAGUGGACUUCCUUGUUUCCAAGCAACCCAUUGGUAAAAACCGCAAACACCCAUACAACAACCCAAACAAAUAAAACAGAUUACGUGUCAAACUUCACUGGUUCCCUCUAAAAAUCACAAAAGUCCUGUUUGUUUGUUUUUGUUUUUUGUUUUUUUUAAGAUAAGCCUCUCUUUCAAUUUCUAACCUCUCACUUUCUCUCCUUUUCUCUCAAUCCAAACACAGGAUUUAGAAAAUGCAAAUAAUUUUCUUCUCUUCUUUCCCUAUAACUUAAUUUUCCCGGAAAAACACUCUCUCAUUUUCUCUCUAUUCAAACACGCAUUUGUAUCGAUAAACAAUGACUGCCAUUACUAGCCUAUCGUUCUCUGCUGUAAACCAAUCUUCUAGUGAGCGAAACACUUUCGUGUCCUCUUUAGCGUCGCGUAAUUUAAGUUUUGAAGGUUUUCGACUUCGGUCGGUUUUUUCGUGUCACUAUGUUGGCGUUAAAGCUUCGAAUUCGACUUCUCGUACGGCUAUUCAUUGCAUGUCCACUUCCACUGGUAAAAAAAAAUAGUCUUUGCUGAUUUUUUUUUUUGUUUUUCUGUUUUGUGUUUGGUUGCUGAGAAAGUGGGAGAAAAUAGAAAUAAAAGUUGUAGAAAGUUAGUGUAGUUAGGAGGUUAAGCUUUUAACAUUCAAUUGUUUGAUUCUAGAUUCAUUUUUUCACAUUCAUGAGGAAUUAGCGGGAUUUAUUCAUUUAUUUUUAUGAAUUGUUUGUGUGAAAAUUUCUGUUUAAUAGUUGAAAAGAACUAAUUUUGUGAUUGAUUCAGUAACAAAAUGAAGUAAAUAUAUUUUAGUAUUUUUUUUUAACUAUUAAUGAUUCACCUAGUGGAUAUUGGAAACUUAGACUUGAAAUUUAUAUGUAUGUUUUUAAUGCGUAAUUGUAGUUUCUGAGAAUUUGUGGUCAAAGAUUUUAUUUUUCCUUGUCAUUAUUGUGUUUAUGGUUUUAAUUCUGCAAUUUUUAGGUUUGUUGAUGUAGCGUAUGAUAGUGUGUGGAUUUGUUGGUAAUGGUUUGUUUGGUUUAUUGGGUUUUCAGAUGUGCCACCAACGGUAUCCGAGACAAAGUCCAAUUUCUUAAAGGCGUACAAGAGACCGAUCCCGAGUAUCUAUAAUACUGUUUUGCAGGAGUUGAUAGUACAACAACAUUUGAUGAGGUAUAAGAAGACUUACCUUUAUGAUCCCGUGUUUGGUCUUGGUCUUGUUACUGUGUAUGAUCAACUCAUGGAAGGGUAUCCGAGUGACGAGGAUCGAGAGGCCAUUUUUCAGGCUUACAUUAAGGCAUUGAAGGAGGACCCGGAGCAAUACAGGCUUGUUUUCUGAGUUUUUCUUUGGUUUUGUUGCUGGAAGUCUUUUUGUUUAUUUCAACUCCCCAAUAAAAGUUUAGUUUUCAAACAGGAAUUAGUGUAAAUAAUGAUUGUUAAUGCUUUAUGAGAGUAUCUCUUUUAUCAAGCUUAUUGCAUCUGAAUGAUAAUUUUUUAUAUUUGAAACUAUUGCAUGAGAAAUAAGAAAACGUUUGUUAUUGUUGAUUAUUGGCAUUUGUUUUCUGAAGACCACAAAUCACUUUAAAAUUCUGUUUAUUUAGAUGGAGAGAGUUAAAUAAUUGCUGGAUGUUUGCAAGAAUAAGGCUUAGGUGGUUCUCAUGGUUUCAGAGAAACAUGAGAAAAAAAAAUCUUAUUCUAUGCAUAAUUUACAACUAUUUUUCUCAAGAUUUUUUUUUAUCAACAUUGUUACCUUUAUAUAUAGAUCAUUUGAGUUUUUCUAACCAAUUGAAAUGAAAAGAAAUACAGGCAACACAUAAAGAUAGAUAAAUGACAAACGUAGCAGAAACUGAAACGUUUGAAAAGCUUAGCCAGAUCAUUUGAAAAAUUGGAGAUGCCUGGUGCUUUUAAGAUGUUCAUAUAUUGGUGGUCAAUUUUUUUCUCUUUUAUUCCUUUGUUACUCUGCAUAACAGGAAACUGAAAGAAUAUAAUUGUUACAUCAUAUAGAUCAUUAAUAGUUUCAUUGAACAGAGUCUAAAAAUUACCUUUCUAUUUGACCUGACUUGAAUCACCAUUUGGGUUGAAUAGUUCUGUAUGUUUUGGUCUGCAGAAUUGAUGCUAAAAAGCUGGAAGAAUGGGCUCGGGCUCAGACUCAUAGUUCAUUAGUUGACUUUUCAUCUAAGGAAGGAGAAAUUGAGGGGAUAUUAAAGGGCAUUGCAGAAAGAGCUGCGAGUGGGAAUUUCAGCUACAGCCGUUUCUUUGCUGUUGGGUUAUUUCGUCUUCUUGAGCUGUCAAAUGCAAGUGAACCAACAGUACUAGAAAAGGUUGGUUGUUACAUUCCUUCUCUAUUGCAAUCUAUGUAAUAUAGUGCUCUACUAUUCUAUUUAAAGUUUUAGUUUUCUAGUGAUUUUCAUUGUUUUGGAUGUUGUUUUUAGCUCAUCAAAUCCAUAAAUUCUUCAGUUCCCAAGAUUUGCUUCAAUUUAUAGUUGCAUGUGUAUAAAUUUAGCCCAUUUAACCCUCAAAUCCGAGAUCCAAAUUUCCAGUAUAGUAUCUAGUUGUGUCAAGAAGUUUGGAGAAUAUGGAUUUAUAUGAGACCUUCUUCUUGCAGAUUGUGAAGAUAUUAUGUGAUACAUUUUUAACUUUGUGUAUUUGGGACAUUUUAUGACUUUAAAUCCUUUCAGCUUCUGCCUGACAAAAUGAAUACGAAGCAAAAAAAAAAAAAAAAAGAAGCUUCAGGAACUGAAAGUUCUAAUGGUGAAUAUAUCCAAGUAAUAAAUUCAUUGGCAUCCUAAGGUUAAUUUUUCCUUCCAUGGGCUCAAGAGCUUCAUAUGCUUUCUUAUUGCAUAUAUUUGAGAACCAUGACUUCUUACUUGAGAAAGUGUUGUUUUCAAUUGGAGAUUCAGUUCCUCGAACAAGAUAUGAUGCAUGUAGUAUUUCAAUUAACAGAGAUUUCGGACUUGAAUUUUCCAAUUUUAAUUUCAAGUGGUUGGAUUUUUAAUUUGGCUAACUUCAACUCCUUAAUGAACUUUGUUAUGAAAUAAAGAUUUUUGCUUGAUAGUUUGACAUUUACCCUUUAAUUUCCAUGCAACAGCUUUGUUCGGCACUAAACAUCAAUAAAAGAAGUGUGGAUCGGGACCUU